rnacentral:lncRNA from 1 species
CCAUGCUUUAUGAUGAUCAAGUGCUUCAGUUUUGAUUAUGCUUUAUGAGUAAGGCUUGAAUUGGAGGUGAUCUAAAAUUUUAUUGCUUAUCUAAAACCUCUGCAAAAACAAGAUUGAUCAAGUUCUUUAACUAGGUUGAGAGUUAUUAUUUAUCCUAGCCAAUGCCUAAAAAGAUUUCUUCAUACCACCAUAAGCAGAUUUGACGCUUUGAAUUGAGUUAUGAUCUUUCUCUCUUAGUUUGCUUUAAUUUUGAGCAUUGAUCAUAUCCUUUUACCAUCUCUGAUUUCUAGCCUCGUCAAUAUUCAGUAAUGAGAGUUCUUCACUGGAAGAAUCAUAUUUUCUACUGAAUUACUAAACUCGAACCAAAUAUUUCUCAAUUUUAUUACCUAUUCCUUGAACACAACCCAGUAUUUGAAGAUCUGUUCUGUUUCUGGUCGAGCUUUAUGAAAAAUAAGGAAAGUUACAAAAAAAGAAGUUUCACCAGAAAGUUGAGCGAGAGUGGAGGAAAAGAGAGGCUAGGCUGAUCAGCUUAGUCCCCUCCAUGCCGAUCAGCCUAGGGCCUCCUUGCCUUGGUUUUCACGCAGCAAAAUUCUGGAAGGCCUCUGGAAGGUUCUAAAACUAAUUUUUAUGGUGUGGUGUUCAAAGGAGGUUCGGAGAAGAGAUUAAGAAUAAAGAAAGAAAGGAAGAAGGAAAGAAAUAAUAGAAGAAAAUGAAAAAUAAAUAAAGGAGGAGUUUUUAAGAGAGGUGCAAAGAAAAGAUGAACUUGUUUAUGGAACAGAUUUUCAUUCCAACCAUGUGCAAUCCGAUGACAAGGACAUUGCUUGUGCCUCAGAGUUACUAUUUUAUUUGCCUUUGCACAUGUCCACCAUUCUAUAUCUUCUCAUCCUUGAAAAUCUCACAUUAUGUUCAUAUUCUUUUGAUCAAUGACUUAGAAGGUAGGCAACCGCUAGAGAGUUUUCUUAAUUCGAUAAUAGCUAGCCUUACCCAAGCUCCACAAUAUAAUUGAGUGAUUUUUGAGAGAUGAGAGCUUGCAAAUAAGUAGGAUAGCCACCAUUCACUUGAGCGACAUGUAAGCACCUAGAAAAGGAUUCUUUUUUAAUUUUUUUUGUAGGGAGAUUAUUUUAUGAUGAAAGAAAAACCCUUCGAAAAAAGCCAGAAAGUAAGUGUUAGUUGAUUCUUGAAGUUACUUGAUCUUAAUAAUAGCUGUGGGGAAUCUUUGCUUAGAUAAAUCUUUGAACACCCAUACUUUGAUUAUCUUUGCUGCUCCUCUGACCUUUUAUUUGAAGGCUAGGUACUUGACUCGCUUGCUCAGGUUUAGUUCAAGAUCAUUUUCCAACCCUACUGGAGAAGUUUAUAGUCACCCGAUUUGCUCGAGUAGGAGCAAGAGCUAAGCGUGAGGGGAUUGUUGACACUCGUUAUUGACAUACUUUUAGUGCUAUUUAACUAGUGUUUUCAUGCUUAAUCUUAUACUAACCCGCUACUUGGCACCUAAAAUAACCCCAUUAUUGCAUAUAUUUUGUAUUUUGGAGUAUAUUGUAAUAUGAUAGGAAAUAUGACAUAAUCAAGGGUGUUUGCAUAAAGAGCUUAAUGGAUAUUUAGACAUGGGUUGUCGAGGAAAGCUAGCACGAGGAAGGAGAGGACCAGAAGGGCUAGGAAGGCCCCAGGCCGAUCGGCUUGGGACUCUCUAGGCCGAUCGGCCUAGCCUAUUCCAGGGCCCAAUCGACCUCCCGCUUCUUCAGCGUGAAGUUUACAAUAAUGUCUAGGGUUUUUUCACCGACGUUGACCAGAGCUGCCGCAUAUGGGAGACUAAAUACCCCAUCAUGAACUUCAAGGAAGAGGGAGUUGGAGAGAGAGAAGAAAACACCACGUAAACACCAUCCACCGCCGCGACAAGGAGAAAAAAUGGAGAGAAGAUUGGAUCUAUGAGAAGCCACGCAAAGUGGAUCGGCUUGGAGGUGCCCAGACCGAUCGACCCAGGGCUUUUUUGCCCCCGUUCGUUGUCGUCUUCGGUCCAAUUGAUCUACAGGGCAAUAUUUACCCAGAAUUCUAUCAACAUGUGUAAGAUCAUAGGGUAAAGUCUUUGUUUGACCUCGAGGUUGUAUGGAGACCUUGAUUUGUAAUCGUUGAACCUCUUGUUUAAGAUCUAUUUGUUAUCUAUCAUAUAUUGAUGAUGCUCUUUCAUGUAAUGGCUGACCAACGCUAUUUCUGGUUGCUUAUUUUCUUACCUAGAACGAUCAUCAUGCCGUAUUCUUAUUGUUCAAUAAUUGAGUACCCUCGUGUAGUGAUAACGUGUGAGAGGGAAAGUGUUGGGCAUGGUUCACAUCACCUCAUGAUAACACUUAGAUCUAGUUCUUUAAUGCAUGAUGAUUACAUCUACAAGUGAUCCUAGAUCCCUAGGACAAGCAUUUUGUCUAUCUUGUUUAUAUCCAUACUCUCUAUCCGCUUUAACCUAAGUUACAAGUUCUUUUGUUAGUCCAAUCUUAUCAUAUACAAAGAACCUUCGGUUACAUAGAUUAGUGCUUAGUUAAGCGUGCAAAUGCACUUGUUCCAAAAAUUAAUAAGCCUUGGGGGAUUACUCUAAGGGAAGAGCUACAACUGAUCCGUACGCUUGCGAUUCAUAAAUUGGCAUGCUAACUGCCGUUAACAGGAAUAAAUUUCAAGUUAGAGGGCUCAUGUAUUCAAUACAUAGUCGAGUAAUAUACAACUUCAGGGCUACACUGAAUAGUCUAAGUUCAAUUAAAAAGAAUGUAUACUACUAGUUAAUGUGCUUCAUGGAAAUUCAGUUUCCAUUCUACUUGCAUUGUAGCAAUGCACAAUAACUAUAACCUAUAUGGGUUACUUGAGACUUUAGUGGAAAAAUAAUUUCAAAUGAUUAUCAAAUAGGCAAUCUAAAGCAAUUAUUUACAAUAUUCAGUAUGUAAUUCUUUUAUGUAUUCCAUGAUAUUAAAGUGAUUACUACAGGUAAAAAUUGCUACAAGCAAGUGGGCAUAAGAUGAGGUGAGAAAAACCUAUAUAGAGGUAAGAAACACCAAUUUAUUCAAAUUGCCCUUGUAUUCAGGGAAACAUUCUUGAACUAAUGCUAAACUUCUGGUCUUGAAGCAAAAGGUAAGUGCUUACUCUUCAAGAGUGUAACCAAAUUCUUCAUGAAUAUAAUUAAUAAUGCAACUUUUGUAAGAAAUUCUAUUUAUUAAUGGUUAUGGUAAGAGGAUGAAACUUCUUUGUCUCACUACAUCUCCCCCUAAGCCCAACAUCACUUCUGGCAUAUACAUUAUUUCCCCUCCACUUUAUGUGGUUUAUACAAUUUCUGAUUGUAUAAAUAUUUCUAUCUUGAGUUUAUGCAUAUUCUUUGAGAACUGCAAAAGUGCCUACAUGGCAACACAAUAUGAUUCUUCAAGAAAAUAAUAAUUUAACAUAACUUCAUGUUAUGUAUGAACUCAAAUAGGUGACAUACUUCCAUAGAAUUUACUGCUAUUGUAAAAUCAUAAUGUCAUGUUGGGAAGUAAAUGUUUUGAUUUCAAUUAGCUAAAAUAACUUUCAGAGUUAUAUAGAAAUUUUUCUGGAAAUUACAUGGUGCUAGGCGUAAAACCAAUAUUAUGUCUCUUUGAGAAAUAAUGGAUUUUAUGUCACAUCCUACAUUAUUCAUGCAAUUUCUAUAGGCACACUUCAUGUGUUUUAAAGGCAUGAAACAAGUGCAAAAUUAAUUAAGUACGGUUACUCCAUUCAAUAGAUAAUUUAUAUAGUUUCCCAGAAUUUUCCUAGCAAAAAUAUUUACCCUAUUCACACAAUUGCCAGGAAAAACAUAAAAAUAUGACACUCUUAGGGGGGUAUUAUGUCUAAGGUUCUUCAAGAUUGAGAGAGGUCAUAAAUCUAAAUCCAUUUUCUAUGAUUAAAGGUAAUUUUCUAACCACUUUAGGGAUUAAUGGUUUAACUUUCAGAAUUAUAUAUCCAUUAAACAUACUAGAAAAAGUUAAAUAUGAGCCUAAAGGGGUUUUAAAAAUUUAGAGACCUCAUAUACCUAAAACCAUGUUUCUAUGGUUAAAGGCAUGAUUUACUAUAUCUAUGUGCAAUUAUGACACUUAUAUCAUAAAAUAGAAAAUAUACUCUUAUAAAUAUCAAUUUACAUGGGUUCAAAAUGUAAAAGACAUGUAAAUUCUUAACGAGCCACAAAAACCGUAAAUCUGAGGUAUUUUCUGCUAGAAAAUUUUAUUAAAAUAAGAGUUCAAACUGCAAGUUUCUAAGAGUGCGCUUGAAUUCAAUAUUAUUCCAGGGAGUUUUUCGCAAAAUCAACCAUUCAAGGUUUCUAAUCUUAUUUGUUCCCGCUGUGAACCCUUCAUAGGCCAGCCCACAUGGACUCGUUUGCCGGUAUGGGGUCAGGUCAAACUCUAACCCGGACCCCUCUCCUCUCCUCCUCCUCCGGCCGUCUCACCUGAGCUGGCUACGGCGACAGGCCGUACGUUCUUGUUAGCAGCACUACAAGGCCUCGGGGUGAUGACAUGGCUGCUGCUAGCAGCGUGACUCGGCUGCGAGUGAUGUCAAGACCGAUGCGCAUGCGGGCGGGUCUCGGCUUCAGUGCUAGCACGUUGGUGUAUCCGGCUUGCGUUCAAGCAAAACCGGUAGCGAGUGGUGUGAGGAGACAAAUUCGGCUUCGAGCGGUAUUCGGCUCUGAGCAAAGCUCUGCUUCUGGCGGCGAGCUCGGUUGCGGGUGGUGUUCAUCUUCGGGCAGGCGGUGGCGCAGCUUCGGGCAUGUGCUUGUGCUGGGCCGUCUUCAGGCGGUGGUGCAAAUGCGGAUAGUGGCGCAUGGCUAUAGUUGGCAACGGCGUGUCGCUCUCUCUCUAGGCGGCGGUGUUCGUUGCAAAUUCGCUUGGGACUUAAGCUCCCAGGUAUAGUUGGCCAAACGGGCAGCCCGACCUGGCCUGGCACGAGCAUGAUUUGGCCCGACACGUUUAGGCCCGCACAAUAAUCGUGCCGGGCCAUGCCGGCCCACGUGCUGAAGGAGAGGCUCAGGCAUGGCCGACAACCUUCUUAGGCGGGCCGUGCUGGCACGCUAGCCCGGCGGGCCUUAAUGGCCUCGCCGUGCUCGUGCCAGCCCGCGACACGGCAUAAAAAACACCUUCACUAGAAUUCGAAUCAUCGUACCAAUUCGAAUUUCACAGUUUGAAAAUCAAAUUCAAAACUAAUACAAUCAAAUUCACAGCUUCACAAUCAAGAUCAAAUUCACAGCUUCACAAUCAAGAUCACAAUCAAAUUCAUAGCUUAGUUCACAGCUUGUAAAGGAAGCUCACAAAUGCACAAGUUCACAAUCAAGACCAUAAUAACACAAACAUAUUUGAAUAUUAUUUUGAGAUGUUUGUGUUGCUGCCUCAUUAAAAACUUUUGUAGGUAAAAACUCACAUCUCGUGAAAAAAGAGUACAGCUAGCUCAUCAAAGUUCAAUGUUCAUUACAUCAGACAUUACAAGAUUCACAACAGUAACACUAGAACACCAACAUAACACCAACAGAACACCAUCAGGCUUCUGGCUUGCUCCUGAACACCAACUGAUCACCAACAGGGCAACAAGCUUCUGGCUUCUAGCCUUGAUCACCAACAGGCGUCUAGCUUCUUCCAACAUAACAGCAACAAAGGUUUUACUUCUUCAAGUUCAGGAUACAAGUUCUCAAAUGUCAGGAAAUGACAGAAAUGGAAGAACCCUUACCGUUUACAUUUAAUCAUCAAGAUAGAAGUUCUCAAAUGAUUCUUCAAGAUCAGGAUCAUCGACGGUAUGCUGCAGUCUUGAAUCUCCUUGCUCCCAAUCCUUGAUCAAAGCUAGGAUCUCCACCAUUUCAGGGGUCAGACGAUGUCGCCGCUCCUCAAUAAUCCUGCUAGUGGUACUAAAUACAGAUUCUAAAGAUAUAGUAGAGACAUGCAUAGUCAUAACAUCCCUAGCUAAGAUAGAAAGAACAUGAUAGGAUAACUUAUGCUCAUGCCACCAGUGCAAUAUGUUGAAGUCAUCAUCAUACUGGUUGAUAGUAUUAUUGUCUAGGUAGGCAGAUAAUUUAGAAGUAGUAGUAAGAAAGGCACCAGUAUGAGCAGCUUGCAACAAAGCACUAGUAGACUGUCUCCUAGAUAGGGAGGAGGAAACAGAACUAGAACCCAGACCAACACCAAGUCUAGCGGCAGCAUAACUAGAUGAAGUACCCUGGAAACUAAAAAUCUUACCCCAAGUAGUCUUCUUCUUACCUGUAGGCCUUGGCUGUAUAGCCCUCUGCAAUCUCACAGAACCAUACUUAGCAUCAUACUUGGAAAAGAUUGUAGACAAUUCAGCUCUUACAUCAGUUAAGUAACAAGAAUAAUCCUUUCCAUUAUGCUGAGACAAUAGCUGAAGAACAUUGCUAAAACCAGUAAUCUUAGCUCUAGGAUCCAAUAUAAAUGCAAAUAAAUAAAAUAUAGGUAUAUCACACCAAUAAUCUAAGAACUUCAAAUACUAGUGUUCAAGAAAUUGUUCAAGAAAAUAUAGGUAUAUCACACCAGAUAGAAUAAUAGUAGAAUCAUAGAAUUAUUCAAGAAAUAACAUAAUCUUUUCAGCAACAUACUAGUGUAAUUUUGUCAGGAUUGUCUAGCCUUCAAACAAACCAUAUUGAGUGGUUAUGAACUGAUGAAAUGUGUUCUUAUGGGGCAUUAGAUGCUUGAGCAUGAGAUAAGUUGAAUUCCAUCUAACAUCCAUGUCCAAAGCAAACUUACGAGGACGAACAACAACAACAAUGCAAUAUGACUUGUAUGCAGCAAUACGUUGGUUAGAACAAUUUAGGAAUGAAAUUGCAGAUCUAAAUGAACUAAGCAUAAGCUUGAAAACAUCAAGGUCAACCUUAACAAUAAGAUUAAUAAUGUGACAAGCACAACGCUGAUGAAAAAUAGUUUUCUCAUAUAACCAGACAGUGAAGGAUGGAGCUUACCAAUGAUACCGUAGUUUUGUAUGGCCAGGAGCCGGGCCUAAACAGGCUGUGCCGACCGUUGGUUUCCCACGGGCCAAGUGGGCCAGGCCGUGCCGGGCCAGCACGCGUGCUGAGGCAGCGGUCAGGCACGGCCCGUGGUGUGGGCCGUGCCAGCACAGGCACAACGGCUGCCGUGCUGGGCUAUGCCAGGACCGGGCCAAAAAAGCUGUGCUUUGGGCCGGCCCACGGGCCAUAUGACCAACUAUACUCCCAGGUGGCAACAUACGGCUGCUGGCCGUUUGGUCGAAAGCGGUGGCGUGCGAACCAUGGAGACACAUCUGCGGGACGCAAUACAGCAGGAAGGCGACAGCAUGCUGGCGGCGCGUGCAGGCGCUUCUCACCGUGCCUGUGGUGCUUUAUGCACGCAUGCAGGCGUGCGUACAAACUAGCUACCAGAGCUAAGUUUGGUAAUCACGUAUUAUCUGCUUUUGUGUUGAUAAGCAUGGGUUUCAUCCCGUGCAUGUGUGUGAUCAAGAUCAAUAUGCAAGUUUGAUCCAUCCAUGUCCGCGUUGGUUUUCUUAGCUGCCAUAUCUAUGCCGAUUGAUGUGCGUAUGAUUGCAAGCUCACGUUAUGCGUAUGGCGACCUUGCAUGCCGCGUACAGUAGAUUGAAAAAUUCCUGUUCGAUGGCCGGAAUAAAAGGUCUAAUCUACUGCACAACCGAAACAAUUCAUACCUUUGUUGUUUGGUGCUAAUUGAUCUACUCCACUUGCCGCGUAGGGCAGUAGAUACAUACCGCAUACGGUAUUAGGCAUGGUCGUAGUCAUGCCUGCUUGAUGGCGAGUCGGUGCAGAUCCGUUCGAUGGCGACGUUGGUGUAGUUAACGUCGUCAAAGUACUCGUUGGCGAGAACAACGGCAAUAGCAUCGGCAUCGAGCUUGAUGGCGACUCCUCCAGCGUAGUCGACGAAGAGCGGUCGUACUAUAACGUGUUGUAGUCAAUAUCUUCUCUCUCACGUCUCUCAUGGCAAGUACAAGAACAAAGUAGAAAAGACACAAUAUAGAUGGAGCUUCCUUUUAUUCCUCAUAUCGAUAUAUUACAAUAAGGGGUACUCGUCUAAUAUAUAUACUCCGAACUAAGAGGGCGAUUGUUUCUUUAGCACCUCCUAAAAUUCCUGUCACAUCUAAUGUUUAGAUACUAAUUAGGAGUAUUAAACAUAGGUUAAUUACAAAAUCAAUUGCACAGAUGGAGACUAAUUUGCGAGACGAAUCUAUUAAGCCUAAUUAGUCCAUGAUUUGACAAUGUGAUGCUACAGUAAACAUAUGCUAAUGAUGAAUUAAUUAGGCUUAAUAGAUUCGUCUCGUGAAUUAGCCUCCAUCUGUAUAAUUAGUUUUAUAAUUAGCUCAUAUUUAUUCCUCCUAAUUAGCCUCCGAAUAUUCGAUGUGACAUGAAUUUUAACCAUUACUAAAGAGCCAAACACCCCUAAGUCUAAAAUUUUGAUAAGAGUCCAAAACAACCGGACAACGACUAGAAUUUCCAGUCCUCCCUCUGUAAGUCCCGAUUGUUUUACAAGUAAUUUUCGACGGAUACCAAGACAUCACAAUCUCAGUACCAUAGACAAAUACGGUUGACCCUUAAGAGACACGAUAUCACUCAAAUCAGCGGGGCCAGCCAGAAUAUAAUACAGCAUCGUCUGUUUUCUUCCACUGGACGAAUAAGAAUCCUUGUAUUGUACUUGCCCGACGACCUGUUACUUGUGACGUUUUCCUGCUCCGAGAGAAAACACGCGGCUUGUACCAUGACCCCGUUGCCAUUUCGCGAGCCCAAACUAAAUGAGCAAGAACCUGGCAAAUUCCCGAGUAACUUCUGUGCAUUUCGCGAGUCCUACCAUUUUAAGCCAGUCCCAUCCCUCCACCUCAGAUAGUUUUCAUAGCAUUAAGUAUGGUGCCAUGUAGGCAAAAAACUAAGGUGGCAAGAGAGUUAAUGAGGAGAGGUGUAAAAAUACAAAGAAACCGGGUCUCAUACAAGACAUGGUAUUGACACGAUCUUCAACGAAGAAUAAGAGAGGGGAGAGAGGAGAAAAAAUUUAUUAUGGCCCACGUCAAGAAAUUAUGAGUUAGAAGUGUAGUUUUUAGAGCUGAUGUCUUGAUGAUUUGGCAAGAUUAACACUAUUUAUGGACAUCGUGAGUUGGGACUGGCCAUUAUCAUACCCAUCCGCCGGUGGAGGUGACCACCGCGUCGAGGUUUGAACCAUCCGGUCAGGCCAGAGCAACGACGUCCAUCGCCUCGCCGCGCCGUGCAGCUCGCCAAGCCAUGGACGACUGCUGCUUCCGCGUGUACGGGCUGGUGAUCGCCAACACGGUGUGCGUCGGCGGCACGGCCUUCCUCGUCUACGCGCUCGUCAAGCUCGCCCGGACGCCGCACAGCACGGGCGGCAUCGUCGUCGUCUCCGUCUUCCUCGUCGUCUGGCUCGCCGUCAACGCCAGCAUCUACCCGGCCUUCUGCGGCUCGCUCUUCCCGUGGUUCGCGCUGGGGCGCUGCCUCGCGUCGCCCCUCAGCGCCAUCCUCUGGCUGCUCCGCUUGCCGUCGAGGUGCGCUCGCGCCGUGCGGAGUCGUCGUCCGAGGAGCGAAACCGGUGCCUUGCCGCAGUUCGUGGUGCAGAGCCGUGGGUACAGCAUCAGCGUGCUUCCCCGGGAGCCGCCGGUGCGUGGCGCCGCCGCUGCCGACAUCCCGUCGUACGAGCAGCCGGACGACGACGCGGGACACGACGGCGGCGGCUCGCCGGAGUGCGCGGUUUGCCUUGGCAAGGUGGAGAAGGGGGAGAUGGUGAAGCGGCUGCCGGUGUGCCUGCACAUGUUCCACCAGGGGUGCAUUGACCCGUGGCUGCGAGACCACUCCACAUGCCCCGUCUGCCGGUGGAACGUCUUCGCGUCGUUGCCGGGCCAUGUAGUGUGACGUUCUUCAUCAUCUCGCCAUUCUUUUAAUCGGUGUGGAGCCAUAACUUGGUAAUGUUGUGUACUACGGCGACCUGCGAAAUGUACAGACGAAUACUGUUUUGUCAUGUAUAGGUUCCUGUAAAGAAAUUAAAAGAAGGUAUAUAAAGAAGGGGUGAUAAGUUUCUUAGAUUGAGUGUUCUUUUGUUAUCGAAAAAGGAUUUUUCAUCUUCGAAAGCUUCAAUGAACUCAUGAUUACGUCAGGGAUGUGUUCUCUCUCAUUAGCCUAGCCGUUCGUUGCAUUAGAGAUCCUGAGCUCUGCCUCUCGACUUCUUCUUGUGAUUGCAUCUGCUACCAUGCCUCUUUGAGCGGCGUCACUUUCUUCCUCAAAAUGCAAUUCGAUCACCAACCAGAAAUGCACGUCCAGAUGUACAAGCGGCCGCGGAGCCUAUCUCCACCGCUGAUCUCGCCUCGGGCCGCGUAGUUGGCCCCACAAUGCUGCCAGCGGUUCGGAUUUUAUAUUCGAGUGGCCCUCACUUGGUCAAAGCCAAAGGUGCCUCGCGCUCGAGCGCCGGAAGCGCCCGCCCCACGCUCGGAUGCCUUCCCCCUCCCUUGCCUUCUCAGUUGCAGUGCUCCCAUGGUGCUCCAAGCCGACCGGUCGCUCCAGGAAGGCUCCGCCAUACCCUCUAGCAAGAGCUAGCUAGAAAGGUGAGAAAGAAACAUUUUCCUUAAUGCAGAGUACAAAGGGGACAAAUCACUAUCUCAGAUCUAGAAUAGCUAACAACCUACGAAUUCGAAACUACUGGAGAACCCUAUCACCUCAGCCCCUCCCCACCCAGCGGCGAGCUGCCGCAUGUAGGGGACUUGCUGAACUCUAUCUCACGAAGCUUCAAUGGUGUGGUACUGGAGAACUCUAUCCCACCCAGCGCCCGGCUUGCUGGAGAUCCGGUAGGCGCCAGGGAAAGAGGAAAAAGACGAGUAGGGGAUUGAACGAGAUGGGCAUCGACCAUGGCCAUCUUGUCGUGGGGAGGAGAGCUACAGAAAAUGAACUAGAUGGGGAUGGCCAUGAAGAAAAACAAACAGGUCAAUAGGGGACUGGAGUGAGGCAUAUUUUUGCGAGGCGCCAUUGAUGCGGAACCGUAACACAUUUUCCUGCGUGAGGGAGGGGUGAGGCAGGAUUCUACGGAGCCAGUUCUGUCCUUUUUGCGAGGCGAGGCACAAUUUGUUGUUGACAAAGUAGGACCCAAUGGUAAAGAAAAUGAAAAGUAUAGGAACCUUUUUGCGUGCAUGCCGGGACACUUUACCUCAUCUCAAGGGAAGCCAAUGCAUGGGAGACGAAGGAUAAGCAAACCGGUCGAUUAUACAUCUGGUUUUUUUUUUUAACUCUGAUUCACCAACACCCUCCUUGAAAACUAGGUUAAGCAAUCAGCACCAGUGGCUAACCACGCUUGACCGUAAUCUCUACUACUACUCCAAUUCUUGGUUUCUUUCAGCAAAGUUCCAAACAUACACCUUCCCUUGCACGAGCACGACUCACUAUAUAGCAUGCAUGAUAGUCAGCUCAUGUUGCUCGAUCUAGACUGAAACUUAACCAGUUGCAUAGUCCCCUAAAUUUGCAUAGCCUCCUAAAAAGGGGGACCAAUUGGGUCAGCUCCAUUGAGAAGUCAGACGACAACCGUCAGUGAUCUACCGCAGUUUGCAGUGCCCAGACGACAGGGCUAGGUCGUGAACAUGCUUCAUAGGAGGGAUCGGUUCACAAUAGUACGCGGGUAGUUGCCGCCGCCGCGCCGACCCGCUGUCGUCAAUGGCAUCCCGGCGUAGGAAGUAGUGGAUCGGGGUGCUGGCCGACAGCACGUCGGAGUGCCCGUUGUGCCUGAGAGAGGUGGAGGAGGGGGAAGCGGCUGCCGGUGUGCGUGCACAUGUUACACCAGCGGUGCAUCGACCAGUGGCUGCACGUGUUGGAAAAUUAGACAUCCACAUGAUUAAAUUCCAAACUAGAUUUAUCAUGAUAAGAACAAAAUCUAGCAUGCAAUUCUGCAACAUAUUAGGCAACAUCAAGCACAACAUCAUGAUCUCAUUAAACAUGAUGAAAGAACAAAUUGGAUCACGGCGUACGUACUUAGUAGGUGCAGCCGUGAUGACAAGUGGUGUUGACGGAACGACGACGGUGUUACGGAUGGAGCGCAGCAGAUAGCAUCGAAGACGAUGGUAUGCCGCAAUGCUGAACUUGGACGGAGGACGAGCCGUGGUGAAGACCUUGAGCAAUCGCGCGGAGCGCUUCCCAAAAACCUUAUUCGCCCUCUCCCGGUACAGGAUCACAAAAGCAAGAGGUUCCGGAGACCUACUCUCCCAUUCGCCGGUGCAUGCCGGCGCUCGGGAUGGAGUAGACUAUGGUGGCGGCGCAGCAGUGAGAAGAGGCAAAAAUCCUAGAACGAUUAGAUGUGUUUUUGGUAGAGGCCGAUAGGUCAUCUCACGUCGUGAUCGUGAUCUAAACCGAUUAGGUUUCCAUAUAUCUUGCUGACUUAAAAACCAAGUAAUAAAAAAUAAAACGGUAAAAGGAAACCACGCCCCCUCAAGGCUAGGGGCCGGAUUUUGGCGAACCAUUCACGCAGGCAUCGCGCGCCCGCACCCUUCGCCCCGCCAGGCUCGGCAAGGCGUGGCGAGGCGAGCGAGCAAGCGCGUGCGGAGCUUUCUUCUCUCCCCACACACAUAGCUUGGAGGAGAGAAGACACCUCCAUAUUUAUGUUGACCAUCCUCCUCCUCAACUAGCAAUGUGGGACUAAAGGUUUGCACCACUUGCUUAUGCCCACACGAGUUUUUGAGAUUUAUUUGGAAUUUCUGAAAUUUGCAAUGGGCCAAGCCCAUUAUUCCAUCAAUCCCCCACCAGAUCUCGAAUGCCCAUCAGAGAUUUUGCAUGUUUCUUACUGCUGUUUAUAUACCAGUGUUUCAGCAAGGACUAUUAAGUUGAACUCUCGCCUAGAGCUUCAAGCUACAUUCAUCCGCAACUUGACAAUGGACUAAGCCUUGAAUUGCAAGUUUUGUGCGGAUAAGUUUCACUUAAAGUCGGAACUAGUACCUAGCUGCUAGUAGCCUACCCCACGGGUGGAGCAUAUACGUCGUACUCCUUGGUCUCUUCAUGAGCUUACUAGAGAUCACCUAAGUCUCAUAGACUGCGACGUUCUACAAUCAGGCUCAUAUAGGUGUUCUUUCAAGAAUGCUAUGUAGGACAGUAUCUUCGCUUAAUCAAGCCAACAGAAACACAUUAAAGGAUAUUGUUAACCUUCCUUUCAGCAUUUGAGAGUGUUGCAUCUUCACAUAGAGAGGGUUUAAUAAUUACUCUCCUCAGUCAACCGACAACUUAUUUUUCCCAAAUCUUAAUUCACAGGAUCUCCAAAUUCAUAGGAUCUCCGAUCACAUAGGUUGGGUUACCACAACGGCAACUUAAACGGGUCUCAUACCCAUCUCACUCGAUGCACAUUCUAUCACAUUCCGUGAUAGCCCUUUUGUAAAGGGAUUUACCAGGUUUUUGUCUAUUUGAAUAUAAGUCACACUUAUUACUCCGGAGUUUCUCAACUUCCUGACAUAUUUCAGUCGUCUCUUGACAUGUCUCGAUGACUUUGCAUUAUCCUUAGCAAUGUUCACUUUGGCUAUCACCGUUUGAUUGUCACAGUUCAUAAGGAUUGCCGGUACUGGUUUAUCAACCACAGGAAAGUCCAUCAAGAGAUCACGCAGCCACUUUGUCUCAAUAGUGGUUGUGUCCAAAGUAGUGAGUUCUACUUCCAUGGUUGAUCUCGUCAAAAUGGUCUGUUUGCAAGACCUCCAUAAUAUUGCACCACCUCCAAGGGUAAACACAUACCCACUUGUGGCAUGUAGGUUAUCAGCGUCCGAAAUCCAGUUCGAAUCACUAUAUCCCUCAAGCACAGCAGGGUGCCCGGAAUAGUGAAUCCCAUAACUCAUAGUACCCACCAAGUAGCGCAUAACCCUUUCAAAUGCAUCCCAAUGAUCAGAACCCGGGUUUGACAUGAACCUACUCAAUUUGUUCAUAGCAAAAGAUAUGUCGGGUCUCAUUGCGCUAGCUAAGUACAUGAGUGAGCUGAUAAUCUGAGAUUAUCUCAGUUGGUCUUUAGCAAUUUUCUUGUUCUUUCUGAGUAUCAUGCUGGGAUCAUAAGGUGUUGGAUAAGGCUUGCUGUCCAUAUAAUCAAAAUGGUUCAAGACCUUCUCCACAUAAUGGGAUUGCGAAAGGGUAAUCCCAUUCUCAUCGUUAAUCAGCUUGAUGUUUAGAAUAACAUCAGCUUCUCCCAGAUCUUUCUAUCAAAGAUCCUUGAUAGAAAAGACUUGACCUCAUUGAUCACAUCAAUGUUUGUUCCAAAGAUCAGUACGUCAUCCACAUACAAGCAUAAUAUAACUCCUUCACCCCCACCAUGAUGAUAGUACACACAUCUAUCAGCCUCGUUAAUGACAAAUCCCGCAGAAGUUAAAGUUCUAUCAAACUUCUCAUGCCAUUCCUUAGGUGCUUGUUUCAAACCAUACAAAGACUUCAACAACUUACACACCUUGCUUUCUUGACCCUUCACCUCAAAUUCAUCAGGCUGAUCCAUAUAGAUCUCCUCAUCCAACUCUCCAUUUAGGAAAACUGUCUUUACAUCCAUCUGGUGGACGAUAAGAUCAUAUGAGGCAGCCAAAAAAAGUAGUGCUCGAAUAGAGGUCAGUCUAGAACCAGGUGAAUAGGUAUAAAAAAAGUCUUCACCUUCUUUUUGUGUGUAACCUUUGGCCACAAGCCAAGCCUUGUACUUCUCAAUAGUGCUAUCAGGCCUAAGCUUCUUCUUGAACAACCAUUUACAACCUACUAGUUUGCAACCAUAGGGUUGUUCAGUGAGUUCCCAUGUCCUAUUAGAAAAAAAUCGAAUCCAUCUCACUUUGGAUAGCUUCUUUCCAAUCAUCUACAUCUAGAGAUGCAUAUGCCUCAGUGAUGGACGUGGGAGUAUUGUCCACAAGGUGCACAUAGAAAUCAUCACCAAAGUAUUUUGCAACCCUCUGUCUCUUGCUCCUUCUAGGAGCUUCAUUGCCAUCCUUCUCUAGAACGUCCUCAUGCUCAUGCUCAUCGGGUUCUUCAGAAGACUCAGCAAGUGCAGUAGGUUCAGGAACUAUUUCAGCAGAAAAUCUAGAAUUGCUAUGCAUAUUUUUUAAAGGAAAUAUAUUCUCAAAAAAUGUUGCAUCAUGAGAUUCCAUAAUAGUAUCAACAUGCAUAUCAGGACCUUAGAUUUAACCACUAAAAAUCUAUCACCAAUGCUCCUUUGAGCAUAUCCUAGAAAGACACAAUCUACUAUCUUUGGCCCCAACUUGCGUUUCUUCGGAAUGGGUACAUUAACUUUUGCCAAGCACCCCCAAGUAUGCAAGUGAAAAAAGUGAUGGUUUUCUCCCAAUCCACAUCUCAUAUGGAGUUUGAUCUUUAUUUUUGUUCGAAACUCUAUUCAGGAUAUGACAUGAAGUCAAUAGAGCCUCCCCCCACCAUACCUUAGAUAAACCAGCAGUAUCUAAUAUGGAAUUAACCAAGUCAGUUGGUAUGCAGUUUUUCCUCUCAACAAUCCCGUUUGACUCAGACGAAUAGGGAGGUGUCCUCUCAUGAAUAAUACCAUGUUGCUCACAGAAUUCAUCAAAGAUUUUAGGAAAAUACUCGCCACCAUGAUUAGAUGCUUGAUAUUUCUCUCAAGUUGAUUCUCAACCUCAGUCUUAUAAAUUUUAAAGUAGUCUAAGUCUGCAACAAAUAAAUAGCAAAAUCUAGUUGCAUCAUCAAUCAAAGUCAUGAAGUAUCUCCUUCCACCUUUUGUCAACACACCAUUCAUUUCACACAGAUCAGAAUGUAUGAGUUCUAGAGGUACCAAGUGUCUCUCCUCAACCGCCUUGUGAGGCUUUCGAGGUUUCUUUGAUUGCACACAACUAUGGCACUUAGAACCUUUAGCAAUGGUGAGGUUCGAAUUAAACACAUGCUGGAAAGCCGAGAUAUUAAACCAAAAUUAAUAUGACACAAACGUGAAUGCCAAGUACUCGCAUCAUCACUAACGUUGCCACAAAUAUGGUUCACGGAAUUAUUACAAAAAUCUGCAAGGAAAAAGUGGAACAAGCCUCCGCAAUCAUAGCCUUUACCAACGAAUUAUCCAUGUUUUGACACGACUAAUUUAUUAGACUCUAACACUACCUUAAACCCAUCCUUGCAUAGGACCAACUCACUCAUAGGAUUCUUGUUGACGGUAGGGACAUGAUGCACGUUCCUCAACUGCACUAUCUUUCUCGAAGUAAACUUCAAAUCUACCGUACCAACACCAUGAACACAGCAUGUGACCCAUUCCCCAUCAGCACAGAGGAAUCCCGGACGACUUGGUAAGAAGAAAACAUGGAGAUAUCAGUACACACACUAACAUUAGCACCCGUAUGAAGCCAUCAACUAGUGGAAUGAAAACUAAAAGAACAGUAGGUAAAUUACCGUACCGAUCUCUAGUGUUGCCUAUGGUCACCGUGUUGACAUCCUUGGACCCAUUAGCCUUGUUGCCCUUGUGGUCUGCACGAUCUGGACAAUCCUUGGAGAAGUGUCAAGGCUCACCACAAGUAUAGCAGUUCAUCUCAGCCUUCUUCUUCUUCUUCUUGAAAGUAGUAGCCUUGACGACUUUGUUCUUCCCUUUGUUCUUGCCAUGUGGGAACUUCUGUACCAUGUUGGCGCUGGACUGACCUUGGCUCCUUUCUUAGCAGUAUCCUUUUUUUCGAGCUUUCUCCUCAACAUCAAGAGAUGCUAUCAGAUUUUCAACUGAUAUCUCCUAUCUCCUAUGAAAGAAGUGGCAAAGUUCCUCCAUAAGGAAGGCAACUUUGCAAUCAUGCAGCCAGCCACAAACUUGUCGGGUAUUGGACACUUAAGGAGCUCAAGAUCCUUCACAAUGCACCACACCUCAUGCGCCUGCUCUACCACAGAACGUUGUUCACCAUUCUGUAGUCAUGGAAACUCUCCAUGAGGUAUAGUUCAUUGCUUGCAUCUGCUGCAUCCAGAGCAUCCCACAGCACCUUCGUAUCUGUCAUGUCUAUGUAGACAUCAACCAGACGGUCAGAGAUAACACUAAUAAUAUAUUCCACGAAAAGGUUAUUGGCAUCAUCGAACUUUUUUUGCACUUCAACAGAGUGUUCACCUUCAUGUUUGCCGAGCCUCGUGUCCCAGAUGUUCAUAGCAUUAAACCAGAGAUGGACCUUUGAUUUCCACCUCUUAAAGUUCACACCGGUAAAUUUUUUCGGCCUCAGUGACUCAGCAAAACCAGCCAUACAAAAAUCAACAGAUUGCCUAAAAUAAGAUUUUUGGAUUGUUGGAAAAUUAGACAGACGCAUGAUUAAAUUCCGAACUAGAUUUAUCAUGAUAAGAACAAAACCUAGCAUGCAAUUCUCUAACAUACUAGGCAACAUCAAGCACAACAUCAUGAUCUCAUUAAACAUGAUGAAAGAACAGAUUGGAUCACAACGUACGUACUUAGCAGGUGCAGUCGUGAUGACGAGUGGUGCUAACGGAAUGACGACAGUGUUGCAGACGGAGCGCAGCAGACGGCAUCAUAGACGAUGGUACACCGCAACACCGGUCUUGGACGGAGGAUGAGCCGUGGUGAAGACCUUGAGUAGUCACGCGGAGUGCUUUCCAAAAACCUUAUUCGCCCUCUUCCGAUGCAGAAUCACAAGAGUAAGAGGUUUUGGAUACCUGCUCUCCCGUUCGCCGGUGCAUGCUGACGCUCAGGAUGGAGUAGACUACGGUGGCGGCACAGUAGCAAGAAGAGGGAAAAAUCCUAGCUCGAUUAGAUGUGUUUCUGGUAGAGUCCGAUAGGUCAUCUCUGUCGCGAUCUAAACCGAUUAGGUUUCCAUAUAUCUUGUUGACUUAAAGGCCAAGUAACAAAAAAUAAAACGGUAAAAGGAAACCCACAACCCCCGCAAGGAGGCUAGAUUUCGACGAACGAUUCACGCAAGCAUUAAAUGCCUGCACCCUUCGCCCCGCCUAAUGAGGUGAGGUGAGCAAGCGCACGCUUGUGAAGCUUUUGUUCUCUCUCACACACAUAGCUUGGAUGAGAGAAGACAACCUUCAUAUUUAUGUUGAUUGUCCUACUCCUCGACUAGCAACGUGGGACUAAAAGUUUGCACUACUUGCUCAUGCCCACACGGACCUUUGAAAUUUAUUUGAAAUUUCUAAAAUUUGCAACGGGCCAAGCCCAUUAUUCCAUCAGCACGGCCACUAAACGUGCCCGGUGUGCCGGUGUGACGUCUUCGCGUCACUGCCAGGCCGAGUAGUAUGACGUUCAUUUGGCCCUCAUUAUUUAUCCCCUUUAUUACUGUAUUGAUGAUUCACGAGACCCAUGGGUUGGCUGAACUUUAUUGAGACAGUGACAAAAAUACAGCUGGUUAAUAAUUGCAGAUGUUGCUUUGACUUGGAGAAAACAAAUUCGAGCUUCUUUGGCAUGAGAUGAAGAGGAGAAAGCAAUCUUCUUCUUCUACACAAAAAGGGCACGCUCCCGAAGGUCUCAUGUUGCAGUAGUUGAAGUGUUCGAGCUCAAACUUCGCAUAUGAAGCAACCAAAGAAAGAACUUGCAUUUUUGUUUUGUGGUGUGAAGUUCCGUCAGUGGUGAACUCAUCGUCUUCAGUGACCUGAAGGAAAGGAUGUUGUAUUCUCCUGUGGAGCGUGUCAGCAGUCAAGGCUGUUACAGACACAAGGUAUUGAAGUUCCAGUAAUUCACGAUUGGUGACAUGAGUCUGUCGUGGGCGAAGGGAGAGCUGAAGUUCUUGAGCUGGCAGAACUUUUGUAAACUGAUGCAUGGGGUUUUGUAAUGUGGCUGAAAAGAGCAGGAAAUAAACUUGACCUGUGGAAUGGUAAAUGUAAAUUUAGUGAUCUGCAAGGGUGUUCUUUUAUUAGAUUUCAGAAACACGUAGUAGUAGCACAGCAGGACACAGUCCAUCCUAAAGAGAACGAAAUUCUAACUUUGUAUGUGGACAAGCACAUGUCCAGAUACAAAGCUAGAAUUGCAUUCUUUGCAUUCUUUUGGACCGAGUGAGUACUUGAACCAUGACAUAGUUGGAUUUUGACAUAGUUGGAUUUUAUUGGAACCAUGACAUGGUUGGAUUUUACUUGAACCAUGAAGUUUAUCUGCACAAAGUAAACUUAUGCAUUUUUCGCUAAAUCCUCAAAGAUGUAAUCAACAAAAUUGUAGCCUCUAAAUUGAGCUCGGACGGGUUGGAUUAACAUAACAUACAUGUCAAUGCAUCUGAAUUCUUAAGGAAAACCAAAUUAAUGCAAAUUGUUCGAAGUUCAUAACACAGCAAAAAUCUCACAGGUCACAAUGCCCAGCGCACCAUAUCCGUCUUCUGAAUCUGUAAACUAGCUUAUUCUGUUUAAAGCAAGUAAGUAUAAACUGCAGGACGGUGCAACGUCCAAUGAAAACACCUUAUUCUACUGGGGUGGCUACUCUUGACUCUUGAUGCAGUCCGUCACCUUCAUAUCUGCACCAUGUUCUGGGAAGAUGGGAGGCCAGACCAUCACGAAUGGAAGAACACGUAUAACGAAAUCAUUGUCCGGGUUCCUCUGGUACACCUUCUUCACAUUUCUGCUCUUGAGAUGCAUGUACACGAUGACGCCAGUUCCUACGAACUCCAAGAACACAAACUCGGCGUUGUCCCCAACACCGACCACCGACACACCAUCCUCCUGCCCGUCUGCCGGCUCGCAGUCCUGCUCUACGAGAUGCCCACAUGUCUCGAGCAGGGAAAUGGUGUCCCUGAGUACCCAAUCACCAUUCCUGCUUCCAUCAUCUCCAUGCUCAUUCAUUCUCUUGAGCCAGACGGUGAGCUUGUCUCCCUUCACAUGGAAGAGGUAGAGAGCAGAGUCAUCGCCCCGGCAAGAGGUAAGAUUGCCGUGGUACUCAAAUUCCACACCUUCCGGGAGAUCGACGAUGGAGAAUCUCGCGGUGGCCAGAUCCAGUGCGAGGAUGUAUCCUGCCCUGGUCAGCAUGUAGAUCUUACCGCGCAUGAGCAGAGUCACCGUGAGGAUCUUCUCCGGCGACCUAGCGAGAUCAGCCAAGGCAGAGCAGUGGAUGCUCCAGGAGCCGGCUCGCAGGACAAGUACCCUUGCAUAGACCUUCUGGUUCUUGUUGCCAAUGUCGACACGGUAGCAUGAGGAGUCGUCACCAUCAUCGUCAGGGAGGAGCAUGGCGUGAGGGCACUCGGCGGGCCAGGUAUUGGAUGGCUGCGGUGGGAACACGACUGUGUCUUCUCCAGGAUGCCGCAGCGGUGUUCGCACAGCAGGGGCGAGAGCGGCGUGGAUGGAUUCGCCAAAUUCGUAGAGGACGCCGUCGUUGCGGCAAUCCCAAACGUUCAACAAGAGAGAAUCCAUAUCAGGGAAAUUAAAGUUGCCAUGACGGAGUGCGACUGCAAGCUCCGGACAUGAGGCAUCAGGCAUCGGCACGAACUCCGGCUGCGAGAAGUCAUCGCUGCAGACGUAGAUCCCCAACAGACGGGGUGAUUGCUUUGCGCGGAAGCUGCGGAUGAUGGCCUGGUCGGAGGCGUUGUGGAGCCAGCGCUUGUUGAUGAUUGCAGCACGAACGAGGCAGGCGGGGCAGUCAAGGCGGAGAAGAAUCUCACCUACAAGGCCAUCGUUCGUGAGGACCUUCGCGGUAGAGGUUUCAUCAUCCUCGAAAGGUCGGAAACGCAUCAUGGCUUUGGUAGGCAUCACUCUUACUUUGGGAUUGUUGGUUUCUCAGCGGUUCUGUUCUUAUUUCCACUUUAGGAUGCCAAAACUUAUAGUGCCCCACUCUUACCAUUGAAUGGCAGCUGUCACCCAAAACAAAUUAUGUGUAUGAAUGCCGCAGGCCGCUGCCGCUUAAGCGCUACCUCCAAAGACAACUGUUUCACAAUAAUUCGGUAUCCAUGCCAUGCCGCUCCUAAAGCAUGCAUAGCCGAAUGGAAGAUGUAUAUCUCUAUCUCUCUCAAAUAAAUGAUCUACAUCCCUAGCCCGACCUCUGAGUAAGCAUUAGGCCUUAUGACACGUGUUCCAUGGAGAUCUAAUACGUGUCCACCACUGCUAACACCAAUUGUUGCCCCAGGUGGAGAUCUAAUACGUGUCCACCACUACUAACACCAGUUGUUGCCCCAAGGUGAGUGCUUGUCAUGUAAGCUCUCUAAGUUUGUAAUCACCGACUGACUCUGCUUGGUCUGUUGUCUCUCAAGCAAAAUGCUGUGAAGGAUUGAACAGUUGAGUGCACACACCCUUCCUCGUAUGCUUCUCAUACCACGAUAAGUAUUAGUCAUGAUUGGAAAGAAAAAUGACAGCAUCAAGCCACGCUCCCCAGAGGAGACGCUUGAACUUAUUAAUUGGAUCCAUCUGAUUAAAAAAUCUUGUGUACAAGGAAGAUAUGCAUCUCCCUGUAAUACAUGCCACUUCUAUAUCUGAAUUCUGAUGGGUUGAUCUUCUCUGAGUAUUUGUGUAUCCUGUUUGGGCCGUCAACUCGUAAUUUACUUGCAUAGCAUGUUUAUAUAGCAAUGUAUGACAGUAUGAAUGUACAAACAUGAUUGCUUUCCGUAAUGCUUCGAAUGUCUGCAUCAAAACUGUUUUGUUCUGUAUAUAUAGGUUAUGUAUUUUGCAUGCUGUGAAGUCAUCCAUUUCUUCUUCGAAGAUGGUAAGAAAUUGACAUCCCAAUGUUCAAACUUUCUGAGCUGAACAUUUCUAUUUUCCCAUCCUGAACUUUGAUUUUGGUUUGGAACUUUGAAGGACAUGCUAAAGAACGUUUGAACUUUGGAAAAGAUGCAAGCAUAUGUUACAACUUUAUUUUGAGUAAAGCUCAAUCAGUUAUUCAAUGCAACAAGCGUUUGCCCAGAACAAGCCGGUACAAGCCUUACAACUAAAAGACUCAAACUUAUGGGUAAACAAGAUAUGGUAUGAAACCUUCCCCCACGAGAUCCAAGACAUGUAUUUAUCUAGCCAUUAUAUCGCCUGUCCUUGAGGGUCUCAGGAUAUCACCUAAUUUGUAAGUGCUACACAAGAGAAUCUUUGUUGAGGCGCUGAAGAGGCUUAUCUCAGUGGUAGGGUUUGGACUUCGGGCUUAGGCAUUAGACUUUAGAUGUUCGGAUUUAGGGUAUGGAGUGGGUUUAGAAGCAUACUUGGGCACAAUUAGUUGGACAAGUACAUCAACCCAUGCUCUUGAAUGGUUAAUUAUUAAUUUUGAGAGACAUGAGUAUUAAAAAAUUAUAAUGAAAAUUAGGACUCAUAGAUAAUGAUAAAAUGUAUUUAUCUUGUUCUCUCUCAUGCCCAUUAAAUGUUUAAAAUAAUACUCAUAUAACGUACUUAUUUUUAUCCUGCUAUUGUGAUAGCUCUAUUUAGUAAUUACUAUAUACACAUUUUCAUCCACAUUCGUAGUUAUUUUUUCAAUUUGAAUCUCAACUUCGUAUAUGUUUGUUGUAUAACUGAACAUUUAGUUUGAGCGAUGUGUUUAAUAUAGAAAUCUAUUCUCAUGGUUUCCACCAUGCAUGUAUACCAUUAUGCAUAUGUACCUUGAUUUAGUGUUUUCUGUAUUACAAUGACAUAAUUAAUUAAUUAGAAUUACGUAUACAUUGGGAUAUAUAUUUUUUGUAAGAUAAUUUAGAUAUAAAUUUAAAGGUUACUUUAAGUUAUUUUUAAUAUUGAUAUAUAUAUAUAAUUUAGAUGCAAAUUUAGGGGAUUAUUUUAAGUCUAUUUUAUAGUGGCAUAAGUGGGUAACGUAGAAGAAGAUUAGGGAUUUACUUUAGGUUAUCUUUUAUAAUGAUAGAUGUGCGUAAUUUAAAUAUAGACACCGAGGAUUGUUUUAGAGUGUUUUCAUAAUGCUAGAGAUUGAAAAAAAUUUAGGUUAUUUUUCAUAAUGUUAGAGGGGUUAUUUUAGAAUAUUUUCGUAAUCAGUGUGUAAUUUUUUAGAAAAAAUAAUAGAUCCAACGGCUAUUCCGAUUAGAAUUAAUAGAUUUAUGGUAAGAUAUUUUUAAUUUUUAUGAGAAUUUCUUAUAUUUAUCUUUUUUUUUCUAGUGCGUGUUGUGAGAAUUAACCUGGAUGCUAUAGAAGGAGACUUCAUUUAGUAAUAUUAAAAAUAAGAUGAUUUGCGAGUAGUGGUCCCACGGAAACCAAGAAUAGGAGCAGGAGGUUGGAAAAAGUUGCCAAUAGGGAAUGAUGGCCGGUCGAAGAUGGGUUGGCCUAUCAAUGCAUGGCGGGUGGAGGAGUUGGAGUUCAGGGCUUCAGGCCAAUGAACUAGGCAUGGCAUACAAACUUAGUAUCGGGGUGAUGAAAAGUAGUUGAAGAGGAGGAUGAAAGGGGAUUGGGAGGUGGAGGAAAGUGGCUGAUUGUUGAAACAGAAAGGGAAGGAUAUCUAGUGCGUAGCUCCAAAUUGAGGUGUUUUGGUAGUACGAGCUAGAAGAGCCCCUUUUAUCGUUUUCUCCAUAAUUUUGCUCGUCAGCAAGGUUGGGUCGAGCUCCUCAAUUUUGCAAGUCACCGAGGCCGGCCAGGUCUCCGUGGAGCUCCUUGAUUUCUCCCGUUGAAUUUAUGUGCAUCGACAGUGAGUGGCCAAGAAGGAACCAAAGGAAAGGGACGUGCAGAAAAUUCUUAAGUUAAAAUGGAUACAAAGCGUUUUGGUAGAGAGGGAGUACACCAAACGCCUAACUAAUCGAAUGCCCCUGUUUCAUUUGCUUGCUGACGAUUGUUUCCUCUGCACGAACCAACACCGUUGACUUGGAGAAAAAGAACACGCUUUCAGCCAAUCGCUCUUCGUCGCCAUUUCGCGGGCACAGGGAGUGAGGAUCUUGGAAAUUCCCGUAGAAUUUGUGCUCACGACCCAUAUCAUCAUCAUCCGUGUCACGCGCACCCGCGAGUGAAGGAGGUUUACUAGAGCAGCUCAGCUUCAGCACCCCGGCUCAACUCAACGCGCGCGCCAGGCCGCCGCCGCAGCGAUGGACUGCUUCAUCCGCGUGCUCGGCCUGGCCAUCGCCAACUUGGUCUGCGUCGGCGGCACGGGCGUCCUCAUCAACUCGCUCGUCCACCGCGCGCGGACGCCACACCGCACGAGCGACAUGGUCGCGCUCUCCCUCUUCUUCGUCUUCUGGGUCGGCGUCAGCGCCUGUGUCUACCCGGCCUUCUGCGGCGCGCUCUUCCCGUGGUCGGCGCUGGGCCGUCUCCUCGCCCCGCCUCUGCGCGCCGCCGCGUGGGUGCUCCGCCUGCCGUGCCGGUGCGCGCGCACGGUCGCCGGUUCCGUACUACAGCGCCACCGGAGCAGCAGCGGCGGCGGCGGCGCUUCGGGCGCGUUGCCGCAGUUCGUGGUGCGAGGACAGGGCGACGGCGGCAUCUACGUGCUCGCGCGGGAGCCACCGGUGCGCGGCGGGGCGCGGGUGGUCGCCGUCGACGACAUCCUGGCGUACGAGCAGCAGCACGGCGACAAGCGGCCGGACGGCGCGUCGGGCUGUGCGGUGUGUCUCGGCGAGGUGGAGGACGGGGAGAUGGUGAAGCGGAUGCCGGGGUGCCUCCACAUGUUCCACCAGGAGUGCAUUGACCUGUGGCUGCGCGACCACUCCACAUGCCCGGUCUGCCGGUACAACGUCUUCGCUCCGAUGCCGGAUCAAGUAGUAUGAGUGUGACAACGUUUAGAUUCUUGCCAUUUUUCUUGUCUAUCUUGGUAGCGAGAGGCAACAAAAAGAGCUUACUGUAUAUGUAACUGGGUAAAUGUAAAUAGAUGUAGAUAUAGAGACUAGUAAAAUCUUCAUCCCCUACAAUUUAGUUUUCUAGAAUCCUAGCUAGGAUAGGAAAAGUUGGGAAUUGUAAACUGCUGGCAAAUAUGAGCAGAUUUUGUUCAAAGAGCCCUUUAUUUCAUAUAGUGUGUCACAGGAGGCAAAACCACAUAGUGGUGCCACUGCAUCAGGUGCAGAGAUUGAGUGGGAGGAAUGUUAUCGUUGUCCCAGUCUCAAUCAAGUGCUGGUUAGGCAGACUCACUGUAACGAUUUAGCCCAGGAAAAUAGCUCAUGCCCAUUCUGCACGUUGAGUGUAACACACCUACACUAAAACCUACUUACUAUACGCUUUCAUCCUCGCUUCACGUAAAAAGAUUAACCCGAGGUUGAAGUGCUUCCUAAAACUAGCUAUUUAAGUUGCAGUCACUCUUCUUUGGCUAGCAAUACGGGACUAAAUCCAUACAUGCUACCUGGUGGAGUAGCCGCAAGGCCAUUUUGGCCCAUGGGCCUCACACUCACUUUCUUGUUGAGGGGGAUUGGAGGUAGAGCUGGGACUUGGGCCGUGCCAUGCUACGGGCACGGCCCGGCCCUCUCAUGCCUCGUGCCGCAUCGUGCCUAGACUUCUAGGCACGCUAGGCAUGUCGUGUCGCGCCGGCAUGGCACGACAAGCCUCUUACUUAGCCCAAGCACGAUCUGGGCAUGCCGCCACGUCUUUGAGCUGUGCCGACCCAAGCACGGUCCUCGCAAUACAUGUAUUUGUUUUUUAUUGGUGUUCAUUUGCUUGCACAUAUUUUUUCUCUCAUACGUAGAAAAUAAUUUCUAAAAUUAAUAGAGGAAACAAACUGUAUUAUAUAAAUGUUGUAGGUGAAUGUUAUGAUUACCUGUGGCCAUACGAGAACGCAUCAUUAUUACGUUAUGAAUGACCAUUAUCACGAUUCCAUACUUGUAAGUUGUAAGGCAGAUUUUGUGGUUUCAUUCUACAGUAAUAGUUAUGUUAGGCUAUAUGACACAUAAAACGAAUGAUAUUAGGAUGAUAUAACCUAUAGAUGUUCUAAUGAGCCAUUUUCGUGCCGUGCCGGCAAAAGCACAGCCCAAGAUACAUACCGUGCUGUGCCACCCGUCGUGCUGAGAUUCUAGGCACGGCACGGCACGGAGGUAUGUUCGGAGUAUUUGCAUGCAUGUGCUGUCACAAGUCUUUGAGCAAAGAGAACAGGGGAAUUUUAAACCAGCAAGAUCAAGCAAAAUUUGCGUGGCAUUUUAUCUAACACUGCCCUCUCUCCGCACAUUUGGCGAAUACCAGCCCCUGUCACUAUACAUCCCCUUGACAACAUAGCAUGGUCAAAUACAACACCAUGGAAAUGUUUGGAGUAUGAUUUACUAAUUUACCAAGAUGUUACACUUAAUUGAGCAGUUUACAACUUGUUGGGGAAAUCUGCACGGUUGACGGCAAUUAGCACGUCAAAUUGUGAACCUCAAGCGCACGGAUCAGUUGUAGCUUUUCCCUUAGAGUAUUCCCCUAAGGUUUAUCAAUCUGUGGAACAAAUGGGAUGUUGGCUCUCACUUUAUACUAAUCUUACUAACAGAAUCAAGCAAUAUGAGUUGUGUACUAAACUAACAACAAGCAAAGGGUGAUACAAGAUAGAAAAUAAAGAUAGAUAUGUGUUCCCUCCCUAGGAUCUAGGUUCACAAGAAUAUGCAUCUACUACACAAAAGGGGUGUUGCCUUCACUAGCUUCACAAUGGUUAUGCGCUUGCUCCGCUCUUUUCCUCCUUCAUACCGUCACUACACAGGGGUACUCAACAACCUCUCUCACACAUCUAUAUCAAAACAUUCGCAGAGUUAAGCUAAUCACCACAAUUACCACAAACUCUACUAAGAAUAUGGACUGAUCAGAACACAUAUGAAUGAAACAUUGCAAUGACAUAGACUAUAAAGAAUUGAUAGGCAUAAAGUACAUGUAGCAAUUACAUAUCAAGAAUCCAAACAAUCCUAGGGAUGAACAGACGCUUUACCCUAUCAUCUUACAAAGAUUGACACAAAAAGGGGUGAAGGAGACUCUAAAGAAUGUCGUCACCAAAGAUGGUGGCGAGGGGGUGCAAGAACUCCCUAGGCCGAUCGGCCUAGGGCACCUCAGGCCGAUUGGGCUGAGGGAUUCCUUGCACCUCUGACUCCCACCGGCGUUGGUCGUCAUGGUGAUCUAAUCUAAUCCCUGGUUCAUCUUGUGGCGGCAGCGGCUAGGUCUAAACUCGUCGGGAUUCUCCUCCUUGUUGAAUGUCUUGGGUAUUUAUAGUUGGUGGCGCCCGUUGGGGUGCCUUCAUGGCCAAGUUUCUGGAAAAUAACCCUAGGCACGUCGUGGGCUUCCUCCUGGUUAAAGGGGGUGACAAACGAAACCGAAAACGGGCCAGGCCGAUUGGCCUGGACCCCCAUAGGCCGAUCGGCCUGCACUAUUUUGGCCUCCAAUGCCCGAGCACUUCAUAUGAAAGUUGUAGAUCUCGUCGAGUGAUGCAAUUUUCUCUAUAAAUUCACUCCAAUCGGAGUUCGGAUGAGGAAGAUAUGGCCCAUGCAAGUUUCAGCUCCUCCUGCGGGCCUACAGUUCAAUGUUCGUGUUUGGGCCUUCCAAUAUCCAAAGUCCAGGCCCAAAUCCGACUUGUAGAAAAAACCCUUCAGUUAUGUUGUAUUUCCUGCAAUUUUGCAAUAUGGUCCAAAACACAACACAUAUGCGAAUAUGAGGUUAUUUUAGGUUCCAAGUGGUGGGUUGCAUAUGCAUGAAAAUACUAGUUAAAUAACACUAAAAAUAUGUCAAUAACAAGCGUCAACAUGCACAUACCUACAACUUGUUGCAUUUUAAUAAAACCUCAUCUUCUCAAGAACAGUGGGACCCGUACCCUCUCUUGUCUCAAGCAAAAGUCCAACAUCAGAUUGGCCCUAGCAAAAGUCCAACAUGCUCGACCUUUCCUUUCUACUCUCCUCGGCGCCAACAAAACUUUCUUACCUCUUCCAUUCCACAAAUGGUGGUUGGACUGCGCAAAAGAGCUAUUACCUGCCCCUUCUAGCUCACAAUCACUACUGGAGGAUCAACUUCUAGUACCGGUCGGUAACCUCCCUUUAGUACUACUUGGUCGCUGUUACGGAUGGCAGUUUAGUACUGGUUGGUUUUACUAACCGGUACUAAAGUUUUUUUUACCCUUUUGUUUUACUUUGUAUUCGUAUCCGAUGGAGCUUUUACUAAUAAUAUUACGUUAAUAUAUCAAUCCAUUCAAAUCCAAGUAUCACAAGUAUCAACCCAUUCAAAUCAUUAACACUCAAUAGUUUGUACAUUAAUACUUAAGGUAUCAGAGAGAACAAGUUCAAAUCCAUAAGAAAAGGGUACGGUAGGAGUACAUCCAUGCAUGCUAUAUAGUUAAUAAUUCACUUCUCUUAUGUAGAUAUGCUACAUAGCUUAAGUCUCCAAUCGUAAAGCUUGGAACUUCAUCAAUAUAAGCUAGAGCAUGAAUUAGUGCACUCUCUAGUGCUUCAAAAGGAUGGUCACAUGCACUACUAUAAAUCUCGAACAAUGGAGACGACAUCAACUAAAAUGGCCUAUAGAAAGUGAGAUGAGCCUAGAGCUUGAAAUCUCUGGUGUGUAUCGGGUUUCCAUCAGUGUAACUAUAAUUCAACACAUCUAAGAUUUGAGCUAGAAUCGCAUGAAAUCUCAUCGCCGCCAAGGUUUAACCAAAGACAUCCUAAAAGAAGAGAAUAAUGUGAUGAAAUUUAAAAGAUGUAACAUAAUUAAAGAUAAAAGGAUGAUUAGAUAUGUUCCAUACCAUGUCAUGUUGAUUCAGCUGACAAAGCCUCUUAGUAGUCUAGUCACAUUGCUUUCUCCCUCCUCGAGCACCUUUAUUUUAAAAUAUGAGAAGUCUGGCAUAAAGUACCCAUGAUCUUUAAGCUGUUGUAGGCAAGCCUCCACAGUGGUCCUUUCAAAAGUUACACUACUUGGUGCUAAUUGAACCUAUGAGGCAAUUGAAACUAUCAGGAUGGGCUGUCCUGGUAUUCUCAUCUAGUUAGCUUGUGUUUCUCAAGCAAAUACUUGAAAAGAGAUUUUAACUCUUUUAAAAUUUCGUGGGCCAACUAUCUCGGAUUGCACUAAAGGCGAAGUACCACUAGAGCUUCGACAAUAUCUUUCAGCCAUCUAAUAUUGUCGAUAAGCUAUAUUGUAUGUAAGAAAAUUUAGGAAUUAUUCAUGUGUAGUAAAAAACCAAUUACAAGAAGGAAAGAAUAUUACUAUGUUGGGAAUUGCUCCUUUGCUUCGAUUGCAUUUUGGCAAGUCAAUGACACGAUUAGGGAAGUGAAUUCCUAGAGGAUGAGCCAACGGUGGCUCCUCGAAAAUGUAGUGUCCACGGCCAUCACUACCAGGGCGAGAAAAACUUUCACUUGCCAUAGUUAGCCCAAACUGUCCAAAUAAAAUUGUGAUAAGAUAAUUUGCCACCAUUUUUCUUAACUAGUCAACUUUGCCACCAAUAAUACAUUGUCAUAUAUGCACAUCAUAUACAUUGAAAUAAAUCUAGACCAUCAUUUAAUAGCCAUCCACAAUUCUAUCACAAUGCUACCCGUGAAUAUCUACAUGUCCACUAACAGACAUAGUCUUAUGCCAUAAUUGUAUCACAAAAAAUAAUUAUUUAGCAUCCAAUACAAAUUGGUAUCCAAUUCAAGCAAAAUUAUAGCCAUUUUAAUCCAAUACGGGUAGCAAAAUCAUUUUAAUGCAUCAAAAUAACAAUUAUCAAAAAGAAAAAAGAAAAACUAAUUGGGGAGAGCACGCGUGGGAGGCGGGGGAGGGAGAGGUGUGGUGGUGGCUCGCGGGGGAGGCGGGGAAGGGAGAGCCGCGGCGACGAGGAUGACGGCCGGGGUCGGGGUGGCGGGGGUCAGGGACGGGGCGACGGGCGAUGGUGAUGGCAACAGGGAUGGGGAUGGCAGCCAGGGACAGGGUGGCGGUGGUCGGGGAUGGGGCGAUGGCGACAGAGCUAGGGAUGGGGCGACAGGCGACGGCAACGGGGAUGGCGGCGGGGGACGGGGUGGCAGCGGUCUGGGACGGGGCGACAACGACGGUGACGAGCGAUGGAGCCGGGGACGGAGGGAGGAAUAACUGCGGCUUGUUGGAAACUACUAAGUAUUUGGAGAAGAUGAAGUAUUUGUAGGUGGGACAUUUAGUACUGAUUAUAGCUCUUGCUUGGUACUAAAUUGCUCCAUUUAGUACCGGGUAGGGCUUCUUACCGGUACUAAAUGGUCUAAAAUGGUGGGAGCAGAAAAUUGGAGCAUUUAGUACUGGUUAGAGCCCUUGCACGAUACUAAAUUGCUCCAGCAGUUUCCUUUCGCGCGUGCAAUGUCUUGUCUUAUUAUUUUCGUGACUUGUCAUCAUUACAUAUGAAAAUAUUUAAUUGUAAUAAAAUGUUCCGAUAAUUAUGAUAAGGUUGUGUAUAUAUAUGAAAUAGUAGAAUUCAAACAUCGACCGUCCGCAUCAUGGCCAUUAAUCCUCGUGACAUAUGUAGAGUAUUAACUAGAGUAAAUUAUAUAUAUGAAAUAGUAGAGAUAAAAAUUCAUCAUGCAUAUUAAGUCUUACAUAAAUAAGAUAUUUAGAACAUAGGAUCGUCCACGUCACGACCAUUAAUUUGGGAGACAAAAAGAUACACCAAUCCUAAAAUAAUGGUACAACAUGAGAUCUACGAGUCCACCUACUCUGGCUGAAUAUCAUAAAAGGAUCUUGAAAUAACUGUCCAAACAUCUUUUGGAACAAGUGCUACAUUUCAUAAUAGAAGUAUGGUGUUCCAAUAGCCUAUCCAGGCAAAAGAUUUGUUCACUGAGCAUGGCCUAUUUUGGCAAUUCAAAACCAACCAUAAGCUGAUGAGUCGAGGUUAGUGAACAAAUCUUUGCCUGAACUAGCUAUUGACCACCGUACUUCUAUUAUGAAAAUCUAGCUCCAAAAGGUGUUUGGAAAACUAUUUCAAGAUUCUUUUAUGAUGUUCAGCCAGAGUUUGUGGACUCGAAAUUCUUCUGUUCUCUGGUAUUUGAGGAGCAGAGGUGUUACAUCCAUUGCCGGUCCAUCUGUAUCGAAUUACGUGAAAAAUGGACAUAUAGCUUCGUAUUAGAUAAAGAACUUGAUCAAGAUUAGGUAGGGGAAAAGAUAGAGUAAAUGUGUUUAUAAUAUUUAGUCAUCGCUCUAAAAAACCCUCCAUUCUCCUCAUUCUAAAAGAUCAACAAGUAUUCCAUUUAUAACAUAAAACUCAUUCUAAAAACUCUCCAUUCUCCUGACUCUAAAAGAUCAACAAGCUAGUACUCCAUCUGUAACAUUAAACUCAUUCUGAAAAACUCCCCAUUCACCUCACUCUAAACAAACUCUCCAUUCUUCUCGUUCUAAAACAUCAACAAGCAGUUCAUUUGUAACAUAAAACUCAUUCUAAAAAACUCUCCAUUCUCCUCACUCUAAAAGAUCAACAAGCUAGUACUCCAUUUGUAACAUAAAACUCAUUCUAAAAAACUUCCCAUUCACCUCACUCUAAAAAACUCUCCAUUCUCCUUAUUCUAAAAGAUCAACAAGUACCCAUUUGUAACAUAAAACUCAUUCUAAAAAACUCUCCAUUCUCCUCACUCUAAAAGAUCAACAAGCUAGUACUCCAUUUGUAACAUAAAACUCAUUCUAAAAAACUCCCAAUUCACCUCACUCUAAAAAACUCUCCAUUCUCCUCGUUCUAAAAGAUCAACAAGUACUCUCCAUUCUCCUCAUUUUAAAAGAUCAACAAGUACUCCAUUUAUAACAUAAAACUCAUUCUAAAAAACUCUCUAUUCUCCUCACUCUAAUAAAUCAACAAGUACUCCAUUUGUAACAUAAAACUAGCUCAUUCAAAAAACAAACCUAGAAAACUAUGACCAGAGGAGGGAGAAUGAAGUUGCUAGCUUGUCUAGUGAAGAAUCUGGUCGAGUGAAGAAAAAUGAAGCCCGAGCAAAGAGUUGAGCUUGCUCGGGGGAAGAAGCUAACGAAGCAGCUCAUUUUAGAGCAAAUGGUUGACAUUAGUACCGGCUGGUAGGUUCAACCGGUACUAAAUGCAUUUUCACCAUUUAGUACCAGCUGCAGCCACCAGCCGGUACUAAAUGGCUUUCUAAGGAAUCUAGCUGUCAGCCACGCGGUCUAAGUGCCGCCAUUUGGUAGUAGCUAAGGCUCCAAACCGGUACUACAGGAGCUUCGGUGGCACUGUGCGUGACGAUCGGUACUAACUUCGUGCGUUAGUACCGGACAAAAAGACGUUUGGUACUAACGCAUUGAACGAAUGCUCAAUUUGCCAGUAGUAAAUGCAUGUGGACACACGACACUGUUACGCGGCAGGACCGCAGGAGCAAGGUACUUAUAUACAAGGCGUCUCGGCAGUCUUUUAUUGCAUAGAUAUCCAACUAUACGACGCUUUUCCGUUUCAACAAAAAGGUGAAACUUUGAGCAAUAUUAUUAUCUCUAUUUUUUUUAAAAAAAAGUAAAGAAAACGUAUCUUGGACAACCGCAGGGUAUAUAUAGGAUCUCUCACUUAUAUAUCCACGUACAUUGAUGCUUAUCAGUAAGUUACAGGUAAAAAGAAAACAAUAGCCAUAUACAUACAGAAUCAAUAAAAAAAACAAGGAACACUUCGGGAGGUGCUACAUGUCGACAUGAUUGCCUACGAUGGAUUUAUUUAUAGCUCAAAACUAGAUCGAUGAGUCAAAGAUUAACCGCUUAAUCACUAGUGAAUCAGAAAACCGCUUGCAUAUGCACAAUCACAAACGUAAGCAGAGUUUCGUUCCUCUGCAUGGCAACUUGAACUUGAUAAGUAAUGAAGACACUAUAAUACUCCUAGCAUAUGUGCAAGUAGCAACAGACUAUUGUGGCAGCUAUACUUCAUGACAAUUUGAGCUAGAUGAUGAUGAGAUACAUGUUGAUACAGGAUUCGAGGAGGUGGCUAUUGCAGCUAUUCAAGGGUUGGGUUCCUAACUUGUCAUGGAAUACAAGUGGUGUGUAGCUAAUAAUGUUUUCUAGUUCAGCUAGUUAAUUACAUUGCAUGUCAUUUUAGUUCAUUUUCACUCUAAAUUAGUUUCUCUACAUCAUCUUAGUUAUUUUUUAGUGAGUUUGGAUUAACCGACCCAAAAUAAGUGGGACUUGCAUUCCUACUCAUCAUAAUCCGGAAGUUUUAUAUUCAAAUUCACUUUAGUCAGUCUGCUAUGUUCAGUUGUCAAGAAGCGAGGCGAAGGCCAUUUCCGGAGUUUAGUCAGUCUGCUUUGUAAUUUUCUUACUUUUUCAGAAACUCCCAUAAAAUUCAAUUCAUUUAUAAAUUUUACAACGGUAGAAAUCCAUAUCUUAUUGGCUGCCAAGACAAAAUUUCGAACUUAACAUCCUUUUGCCUAUUCUACAGAAAGUUCAAUUCAUUGGUACUAUUUGAUUUUUUUUUAGAUAAUGGAAAUUGGUACUGAUUGAUAAGAGCCCCUCACCCGCCUGUUUUGACAAAAUCCACGCGUUCUAUUAUUGGAGUGGGGCUGCAUUGCCAGAAUCUACAUGUUCUACAUUUGAACCGGGUUGAACUUUGUGCUUCUCUCGUAGUAUACACUACUCUUCUUGCUGCUGAGCUCAGGAUGGAGUUUCCAUAGUUUCCAUAUCGUUCCAAGUUCGAACCUUAUUAGAAAAAAGCAUUUACGAAAUUGACGUCCACAUUAAAAAGAAAUGCAACAAAUUAAACACACACCGGCUCAACGUUUGUAUUGCAUCACUCCCAGUACUGCACGCCGCAUCUCACCUUGGUGCAAGGUUUCAUUCCGUUCAAACAGCUCGUCGACGUAUAGUUUAUCGGGCGCGCCUUAGAUAACUCUCAUACGCUUCGUUCCGUGCAAGGCUAAAUACGGCCAUUGUACGGCGACGGAGUUGAUUACUGAAGUUCUCAUUUUCGCCUGAGGUCGCCUGUACGGACGUCAACCCGGAGCGAGCGGCGAUGUCGGUCGAGCCCGCUGACACCUGCUACAGGUGGAGCCGCGACUUCGCCGUAGCGCACGCGAUGUUCGGCACCGGGCUCAUCACCCUGCCGGUGGCCGUCCUCCACCUCGCCAAGCGCCCGCACACGGGCGGCGCCGCCUUCUUCGCCGUGUUCGCCGUCUUCUUCGCCGCCGUCAGCCUCACCCUCUGCUGCCGCUUCUACGCCGAGCUCAAGCGCCCGCCCUGGCCGCGCUGGCUCUCCGCGGCAUCGGUGUCCGCCGGAAGCGGCGAUGAAACGACGACGACGUCGGGGGCGGUGCUGUCGCACGACCUCCGACACCCAGGGCAGCCGGUGAUGACCCGGGUUGAGAGCUACGAGCACUGUGGUGGCAGCGCUGCGGACUGCGCGGUGUGCCUGGGCGAGGUGGAGAAGGGGGAGACGGUGCGGCGGCUGCCGGCGUGCGGGCACGUGUUCCAAACGGAGUGCAUCGACGUGUGGCUGAGCACGCACGCGACGUGCCCGGUUUGCCGGCGCAGCGUGACCCUGGCGCUCGAACGGCCGCGAGAGGUCGUCGUGGACAUCGGAGUUGUUUGUGCGCAGCCCGGAGAGACGAUGCCGGCUCAGCCCGGCAUGAUCUUCGCGGACCAGGCCAGGGCUAGUUGGGGUGUGUGACUGCGUGUUGUGUGGAUCGUGACGCGGUCGGGGUUUUGGGUAUUAAAGGAAAUGUGCCCCUGAGUCCCUGAGCGGUAGUAAUUUGUUUUUUAAUUAUACAGUGCCAAUGCGUGGCACGAAAGGAAAAAAAUCAUUACGGGUCCCAAAACACAUAGCAUACGUCACCAAAUAUGCACGCAUCAAAUGAGGUUGGGCUAAAAAAUCAACCAAAUAAUAAUUUGGUUAAUGCCAAGGCUCUCUCACUUUUAAUAUGUUGUUCAUUAUUAAAAUCAACCAAAUUUGACGGUUGGUUUGAAUUAGUUUUUGUUGCGUGAGGCACAGAAGUGAAGUUUUUUUUUCAUGUUUUUCUUUGAUUCAUUUUGCCUUGUGCUAGGAAAUAUCAUCUGCAUUUCUGCUGCUACCUUCAGUGAUCCUUCUUAAUGGCUAAUUUCUCUGCAAAAAAACACAAACCGAGUGAAAAGCGGUAGUGAGUAGAUGACAAAUCCGAUAGCUGACGACCAUAUGGUUUCAUAGGACAACAUUAAGCCACUUCCAUGAAGAAAAGAAAGCAAUACUGAUCUCCAUUUUGUAUAUGCCUUCAUCAUUCUGUCUAGAUCCAUUCACAUGGUCGUAGAACAAAUUAUGCAUAGGAAUCAUGGAACAUAAUAUUGGUACAUCAGGUACAUAAGAAAAAGGAAAAGCUGGUGUCAACGAACAGUAGAAAGGUUGGGAAUAUUCAGAGCAAGCAAAAGGGUUGGAAACAUUCAGAGCAUAGCAGACUACAGUACGACAGCAGGGAAAAGAGAUUGAUACGAUUGCUGCAGUAAUUGAUUUAUCUAUUGAUCCAUCCAUUAUCACGUAGCAGUAAUUUUAAUGAGCAAACGAAAAGCAACGAUUACCAAGAGAGAGCAACUUCUUUUAUCCAAGAGCUGACAAACAAUUGAGAGAGAGAAGAAAGGGAGAGCAAGGUGCACCUGGCAAUGGAGGAAUGGCCAGGGACGCGCGCUGGAAGCGGAGCAGAGGAGGAAGAGAGACUUGCCGCCGGUGGGUGAGUUGAGAAGCACGCGUGCCUCCCGUAGGCGCCCUCACAGCAGAUCUCAAAGGGGCCGCUGCGCUGCCGUGCUGAACGACGUCUUCAACAGAGGCAAGGCUGAACAUCAUCGCCUCUCAGCACCUUGUUCGAUGGGCAGGGCGCGGCGCAGUUCCUCAAGGCGGCCGGCGAGAUGGCGCGGGGGCUGCCAGUGCUGUCGGUGGCACCGGUCUAGGACCGCGAGGCUUUUUCCCCUUCGCCUGAGUAGUUUUUUUUCGCAGGCGUCAUAGAGGUGGACCUGGAGCGGCACAUUGACGCCAUAGACCCGCCACACCACCUCUUCCGACCACGACGCGGCCUCCUCAUGCGUGACGGCCAUUGCUGCCGUCGGUGAGCAGAUCUCGUGGCGUCCGCUGCCCUCCUCCUACGGUCUUGGUGUCGUCCCUUCUAUCGUCGGUGGGCAAGCUUCUCAAUCUCCUCCGAGCCCCUCCGGCGGUUGUGGCCUCGUGCCCUCCGGCCCCUCUCCCGCGCGGCGGGCAGCCUAUCGCUGCCGCCGCGGAUCUUCAGCGGGUGGGGCAGCUGCUGUGGCCUCCAACCCCGCAUCGCGGAUGAUGGCGGCGUGCAUGAUGUGGCCCCUGGAGCAGACGCCGAGGCGGCCCAGCCUCGCCGGUGGCGGCGGCACGCUCCCCUCGCCCAAGCCUCGCAGCCUCACCCUCCUCCCAUUCUCCACGGCCGCGGCCGAGCCUAGGACGGCGACCGCCGCACCACCAAUGCUGCCGGCCGCCCGCGCCCAAUCUCCCUCAUUUGCCUCUCUGUUCCGAAGAAAGAGAAGCUUUUUCCCCUUUAACCCCCUCCCUUCUCUUCUUUUUCCGCCCGAUCCCCCCUCUCUUCAGCAUUUGGACUGCGGGUUGAUUACCAAAAACUUGAGGGGUUUUUUUACAAAAUAUCCACGACGGUUGACGGUUGAAAGAAACAUCCUCUCUUUAAUAUUAGGUAUAGAUUAUAACAGCGCUCCUAGCGAUCGAGCGCUUUUGUUUAGUUCAUUCCGACACGAAAAAGAUGCAUUUGCAACAUGAGAAAAUAUUAUCAGCAACAAUGAAAAUAAUAUUUGCCACAUCCAAAACAUGCGGUAAAUAUACAUCUUUACCCUUCUCUCUACCAUCUGACUCUAGGAUAGAAAUUCCAACGGCAACAUUGCAUCAUGUUUCAUGCAACAACGGUCUAGAACAUCCAAAAAUACAUAUUGCAACAUCAAAAAAUACAACUUGCAACAUUGAGUGAAAAUAGCCAUGACCAAAUAACUCAAUGCAACAUCACAAAUCAACUAUUGUAACAUCACAAAACACAAUUGCAACAUCCUAAACCUAGAGUCAACCCACGUCACCACGCUCAUUGAUGUACCUCCACACAGCCAACUCUAUCACGGUGGGGGUAAACGACAAGGACAACAACGGUGAUGGUGAGGUGCUCGCACUCUUAUCAAGGUUGAGGCCGUCCUUGACAACAUUGAGGUCAUAGAGAGGAUGGAGAGGUGCACAGGAGGAGCAGAUGCCGAGGCCCCAAAGCCGAAGAGGGCGAUGCCUGUGACUUGAUGAAGCGAGCAGGUUGUAGAAACUCUUGCAUACUUGUUGUGGCAAUUUCUUGCUACAAAUUGACAAUGAAGGUGAAAAGGAAGGGUGGUGCAGCAUCAAUUCAUGGUGGCUGUUGCUACAAAGAGGCUGGGGGUCAGGCUGUGGAAACUCCUCCAUGCUCGUUUUGCUGAUCUUGGUUGACCAAAGGAUGGGGCAAAACAAACAUGGUGAGAGCUUAGAUGAAGUUGGGUAGCAGAUGAGAGAAGUAUGGUAAAACUGUUUGGACGAGUAAAAGUCAUGUCGCUUAGAGAAAGGAUUGCAUUUGCUUUAGGGUGAGGAUGGGUAUGGGUCCUAUGGAUCAGGGGCGGAGCUAGGAUUUGAGGUACGGGGGGCAAUGGAUAAAGCAAAGUAGAAUUGAUAGCCAUGUGAGCUGGUUUUAGUCACAUAUAAUAAUAGCAUAUUUCACAAGUCUUGACCAAAAUAAAAUUACAUAUUUAUCAACUUAAAUUUAGCUCUUCAACUAGCAGUAAGAAUCGUACGUUAUAAUAAUAUCAUCAGUACUAAUUGGUGUAACCAAUUCCUUCUCGAUAUAAAUUACCAAACAAUCUCGCAGAAAUCCAUCUCCCAUUGUACAUCUGAGACGUGUCUUCGCAAGUUUCAUAGCUGAAAAGCAUCUUUCGGUGGUUGCAGUUGAUAUUGGAAGAGUUAAUACUAAUCUUAAUAACUUGUCCACCAUAGGAUAAGAUGAAUAUUUACCUGUUUUAAAUAGUCCACUUGUUAGAUUAGCAAAUGUUGAUAAUUCCUUUAGUUCUAGAUGGUUGCAUACAUCAAUUUAAAAAUGUGGCAGCUAACACUCCAAUUGAGCUCUUUCUUGACUUGAGAAAUCAGCAGGAUAAUAUUUUUCCACCAGAGUGCAUAUAUUGUCUAUGUUGAAUGUGUCCAGCCUAGGAUCCAAAGAAGCACAAAGGGAUAAAAGCUCUGUCGCUUGAGAACUGAAUCGAUCUUCUAACUCUGCUAGUUGUUGAUCAAUUGCAACAUUAAACACAUCUACUUUGUAAUGGUGAAAGGCUGUGGUGUUGUCAUUCUUAUUUUGAGAUUUAGUCACAUCAACAUAUGGGAAGAUAUGGAUUGAUUGAUGAACAAGUACAAUUUUACAAAAGAAUAAAUAUGAUGUAGCUUUCAUACUCAAAUAAUUUGGGGAAAAAUAUACUUCUUACUUAGAUCCGGAAUAUCAAUCUCAUGCUUUCCACAAAACAAUUUGACCUCCUCAAGAAGAGGUUCCCAGCCAUUAUUUCGCAACUCACCAAGCAACACUUUUGUGGUAGAAACAGAAUCCACUGCAUUUAAGAUAUCAACAAUGCUCUUCUUUUGGAGUGUCUGGCACAACACAUCAAUGAUCUUCAUAAUAUUUUCUAUUAGGAGUAGAAUAAACACAAAAUCAAAUGUGACAAUGAUUCGUAAGGUACCACUGGCAUCUUCCCGAGAAUACUUCGAAACUGAACGAUCAUUAGCAAUGCUACGUAGGACUGAAACUGUGGCACCAAACAUCUUCUUUAAGCUUAGAAUAGACCUAUAGUGGGAACUCCAUCUAGUGUCCCCUGGCCUUUGUAGGGAGAAAAUCUGAUUUGCCCCUCGCCCUGUGUCAAGCUCUCCCAAUUCAAUUUCAUGGGCAAUUUCCUCUGCUUGUUUUGCUAGCAACUCAUCAUUGCACUUAGGAGAAGCACUAACAGCAUUUAUGAUGAAAUUUGCAUGCUGGAAAAAAUUGUGUACCUCAUGUACCUCCCUUGAUGCUGCUACAAGGGCCAAUUGAAGCUGAUGAGCCAUGCAAUGAAUAUAAUAUGCAUAUGGGCACUCAUUGAGAAUUAGAGCUUUCAAUCCGUUCCACUCCCCUCUCAUGUUACUAGCCCAUUGUAACCUUGACCUCUUAUAUCUUGUGUGCUUAGGCCAUUAGCUGAGAGGACAACACAAAUUGACUCUUUAAGUUUCAAAGUUGUAGUAUCACUAACAUGGAUCAGAUCAAGGAAACACUCCUUUAUAAGGCCUUCCUUGUUGACACAUCGGAGGACUAUCACCAUUUUCUCUUUUUUGGACUCAUCUCAAGCUUCAUCAACCAUUAUGUAAAAUUUGCUAUUGCCAAUAUCUUCUCUAAUUGAUUUUUGCACUUUUCAAGCAAAUAUGCUUAGAAUUUCCUUUUGGACAUCAGGUGAAGUGUAUUUUGCAUUUUUGGGAGCAUUUUCCAACACAACCUCAUUAACCUCCUUGUUAUAGGAAGCUAAAAGCUUGAGCAUUUCAAGAAAAUUACCCCUGUUUAAGGAACCUGGUGAUUCAUCAUAGCCUCUAAAGGGACAACCUUGGAAUGUCAACCACCUAUAAGUACAUAAAGAAAGCAAGUUAAAUUUAAAUACUGCCGAAAGACAUUAGAAAUUGAUCUUAUUACCUAAUGCAAUCAAUAGUAGUCGCAAGCCUUCGUCUUCCUUUUGCAACCAUUAUCUCAUUUUGCUUAACAAUCAUAUUGUCAAUUUGAGCCAUUGUGUUCUUAAUAUUAUUAAAACAUCAAACUGAAUAAUUAUGGGUAGAGCCGGUAUCUCUCAUUUGUUUUAGAAAAGAACAUUCAUUUCCGCAAUUAACUUUCUUCCAGUUCCGAAACCCCUUUACUAUGAAUAUAUUUGAUCCAACUUUCUUAAUUGGCUUUUUGGAAAAUAAAAAAUAUGGUAGACAGAAAGCACAAUUUGUAUGAGGUGAAUAUUCUAGCCAAGUAAAUUGCUUGAACCAGUUACUUUGACAUCGAUGACGAUGAGCUAAUUUACUGAGUGGGUACUCUGCCAACACAGGUGUGGCGGAACCGCCCAACUUAAGCUGGUUUAAGUGCACCUAAUCGCCGCCAGAACGGCAAUUAUCCGAAACGCACCUAAAACAGCAUAAGUCCGGUAGUCCGUCGAGUGUCCCUCGGACUCCUCGAAGGAUCCACGGCGUGUCUCAUAACCAUGCAUCAGGAUAAUAUCCGCGAUGGGAUAAUAUCAACAAAUAUUACAAUUUUUUUUACAUACAUAAUUAAGAGGUACGAGUUAUUACAAGACAUAAGUCGAGGUAAACUUAGUGAUGCAGUGUUAGACAAGCUCUAAGAUUAAACAUAAAUAGUUCAGGAGAAGAUGCGUCGAUAAACUGUUUUCUAGAGUAUUGUGAGACUUAGGUCAAUACUCUAGGUCUUCGGGGUCUCCUCCUUGGUAGCUUCCGGUGGAGCUUCUGAAAGAUAACCACAAGGGAAAAAAACCCUUAGUACGGGGUACUCAGCAAGUCUUACCCGACUAACCAAUAUAAUAGUUUUUCUUUGGAAUGCAUGUCAGCCUUUGAGUGUGCUUGGUUGACACAAUUUUGCCGAAAAAGCUUACUACGAGUGAGGCCUUGGUUUUAUCUUUUAUUUUAGUUAAGUCAUUACCUAACCAUUCUAGAUGAUAACAGAAGUAAAAUAAUCAUAGCUGUUAAAUCAUACAGUACUUGGCAACAGGAGAUUUUAUAUCAUAUGAGUUUAUACUACGAUGCUCAACAGUGAUCAAGUGCAUUCAUGACCGAGAAUUGCGGCGAUCCGGAUCAAUUUACAUCCUGCAGGAGAGCACCCCGAUCACCAGCAUUAUACGACUGUCCAGGUCGUACUAACAACCUCUCGAUUAGUAAAGUCAAUGAUUAGGAAUACAACUACCCGGACCCAGGGAUGCACCCCCACAUGGGACCCCACGUCUGGCCUGAUCUCCAUGUGAGUUUCAGGCUACACCCCUGCCAAUCUCCAGCACGUCAAGCGCGGGUACGAAGCAUUCCUGGUCAUAGAAUUUACUAAUCUACUGGGCUUUACUGGUCCCAUACCCAGUAAGUGAUCAAAUGGUUAUCACUUGAUCAGCGGUUAAGACACGAAUCGGGCCUUAACCAGAUUAAUCUAGCAGACAGAACUACAUCUCUAGCUUCUGUCCGUUUUCAUAUUCCAAACUAUCCUUCAUAAGCAACAUGUAUGACUUAAGAGUUUUCCUUAAGGUUGGUAAACCAAUCAUGUAAGCAAGUAAGCAUUUCUAGACUUGGGUAGUUUCUAAGAUUUGAACAAGUGGCAAAGAUGUCUUUAAAUCAAGGCAUGAUCAUACACAAGAAUAGGUUUCAUUCAACUCCUAGACUUAGUGCAUGCGAUAAACAAAUAACCUAUAACUAGUCACAUGAAAUAACGAUUCCAAAAUAGAUAGGUAUAAAUGCACCGGGGCUUGCCUUGAUCGUUAAAAAGAUUAGUAGGAGCCGACGGAUUUGCUUCACAGGGAACAAAUUCAAAUACUUCGUCGGACUCCAAGGGUCCUUCUGAAAAUUCCCAGUAAUCUUCUUCUGGUGCUUCUGGAUCUACGGCACAAUAUAUGCAGGGGUUAGAAUGCAAACUUUUUAAAUAACAGACUAUACAACUUUCCUUCAUGAUAAAGUUGCAAGCCAACAAGGACUAUACGACUUAUCAUGAUAAAGUUGUAAGUCAACACACAAAAUCUAAAAAGAUUAACCUAUGUUUUUAUUUUUCUUAAUUAACCCUUCCUAUAACUUUUCCUUUAAUUUUUAGAAAAGGUGGUAAAUAAUUUCUAACUUGAAAAUCUAAUUUCCUAUGGGUUAAGAAUUAUUUGUGAUUGAUAAAGUAUUAUUCAUAUUUUUAUACAUUUUAUAAAUAUUAAGUAUUUAUUUAAUUACCUUAAAAGGAAGGCAUUAAAUAAAUACCCAAAUUUUUAUUAUUUUCCUAGGGUGUAAAACUUUUAAUGCAUAAAGGAAAAUAAAAUAAGCCUAACAAAAUUGGUUUCACUAAUUUUGGACACUCCUACAAAUUUCUGUGAUUAAAAUGGUAUAAAACGAAUUUAAACGAAUUAUUUUGCUAAGGAAAUCUAACUUUUCCCGAAUUUCCCCCGGAAAAACUUUUCUUACUCACCCACGCUCUACCCUCUCUCGCGAACCACUGGACCCCACGGCGCGGACCCCACCUUCCUAUUUAUUUCUACCCGCCGGUUCUCCUCUUCCCCCUGACGGGCCCCCACGGGCCGCUUUCCUUUUCUUUCUCCUUUGGCAGCCCAACGCCGGCCCACGGCCCUUUUCCUUUUUCUUCCUUUAUUUCGCGACGUCGGCCUGCGUCGCUCGUGCGCGUGACUUCCUGGGCCUCCGCGACGUCAGCCCAAGAACCACACCGGCCUCUUUUCUCUUUCGGCCGAAUCGCACGCGCGCUGCUCUUGGGCCUCCAACGCGUCGCGGCCCAGCAACCGACUGCACCGCCUCGGCCUGCUCCUUCUCCCCCUCUUCUCUCUGACACGCGGGCCCGAGCGCACAGCGCUUCUUCUACCUCCUGCCAAAACGCGUCCGCGACAGGGGGCGGCGCGGCUCGCCGGCCGGCGUCCUUCCGACGGCGGGACUAGGUCGCGACACCAACCCUAGACCUACACGACCUCGUGCGCGGCAACAGCUCCCCAUGAGAUGGCCGGAGCCAUCCCCUCCACGGCGACAGGCGGCGACUCCCUCGGCCGGCCGCGGUUACUCGCGACAACAGCUUAACCGACUCAACCGACUGCUUCUACCCCAUCCUCAGACCCUAAGGACUUGACUACGACUGCUCAAGAAGGAAGAAAGGCAGCGCAAGGUGGUUCUCACCGUGAGCAGACGGCGCGACGGCGGCGGACAGAAGCGGCGGCGAGCACGGCUAUCCUGGCAAGGAUGUGGGACAACGACUGGCUCGGGGUGUAGCUGGGGUGUCUGUGGAGGAGUGGGCGAGAGGAAUCGACGGGAGACGAGUUGUGGCGGCGGAAUUUUGCUUGGCGGUGAAGCUUGACAGAGAGGAGCGGGCGGCGGUAAAAAGGGAUGGCAGUGAAACGGUGGCGCGGGAACAGUAACUAUUCAAGCGAUUCACCCCUCGCAUGGACGACACCGUGGCCUACCCGUAGGCUUGCGUGGUGAGGAGGUGGCCUAGCUAGUUGUCCUGGCGGUCGACCGACGACGGCGGCGGCGACACGUCUGGAGCUCUGUCACCGUUCUCCUGGCGCCCGUGAUCUUUAGAAGCGACUAAUGGUUGAUCCUCAAUCCGACGGCCUCUCGUGCUUUAACAGAACUUGAAGAUAAACUCAAGACCGCCAUCUUUUAUUUUGGCGUCGGCUUGAGAUAAACACCGAAUCACUGGAAUUUUUGAAAUGUUGCUCGAAGGGUUCUGAAAUUGACUGAAUCAGAGAUUCAGUCUGUCAGUAUCGACAGUGGUGUCGAUCUCCAUUGUCAAUCCAAUUCAGUGGCCUAAAGCUUGUUUUUCCAAUCCAACUUCUACCCAAACAUGUUCUACUAUGUCCCAGUGUUCCAUUUUGCUCAUGAACAAGUAUCUCUUUUGAUCUAAAUAGCUCUGAAUUCGAGCCCCAAGUCGUUGCCUUGCUGCUGUUCAGACUUAGAAAAAUUCAGAGUUUCAGUGAACUUGUGAUUUUGUGCUGACUUUGAGCUGGAAUUUGACUCCCUUCCUGUUACUGAUCCUGGCCAACAACACCCAAAUCUUGUAGUCCAAAGUUCACACUUCAAUAUGGUAUAGUUGUCAUGGUGCAGUUAGUUGAAAAAUUCUCCAGAAAUGAAUUUUGAAAACAGACUCUAUGGCUGUUUUUCUGAAUUGCUGUUUUCGGACGGUGAACAGUAAACAGCAAUUCUUCUUUUUCUUUUUCUUUCUCUAAUUCUUUUGUGAUAAUUAGCACUAAUCUGGUUCCAACUUUUUGAUCCCUUAAUUCUAAAUACUCUUACACUUGUAUUCCACAUAUUCGACAAAUUUUGCUGAAUUUCAAAUUUGAAAUUCAAAUUUCGGUCAAAAUUUGGCCGAAUUUGAUCUUUUUGCCAAUUGUUUUUCUUUUUCUUUUGGAUUUAUUUCCAACUUCCCAUAGUUACUUUGAUAUUGCAAAUGGCAACUAUUACAGCCUCUCCCCCUUAACAGAAUCUCGUCCCGAGAUUCCCGGGGUUAAAUUCUCGGUUUUUGGAAUGGAAAGGAAACUGCGUCAGAUCAUUUACUCUUUCUUUUUCUGUACAAGGAUAGUGGGGUGGUGGUCUUUGGUCAUCUGUCCCUGACGGUUUCAAAUAACUCUGGAUAUUUAGACUCUAGGUCUUCUGCUUUUUCCCAAGUAGCUUCGUCCGGAGUAUGAUUUUUCCAUUGCACUUUAUAAAAUGUGAUACUCCGAGUUCGGGUAUCGCGCGUCUUUUGAUCCAGAAUUUUAAUAGGUUUUUCUUCAUAUGUUAGAUCCGGUUCGAGCUCAAUUUCUGGAUCCUCUAAAAUUUCUUCUGGGAUUCUUAGGCACUUCUUAAGCUGGGAUACAUGAAAUACAUCAUGUAUAGGAGCAAGUUGGUCUGGCAAUGAUAGCUUAUAUGCCACGGGACCUUUUUGUUCCAGAAUUUCAUAGGGACCAAUAUAUCUUGGGGCUAGCUUACCUUUUACUCCAAAGCGCUGUACGCCUUUCAUUGGGGAUACUUUUAAGUAUACAAAAUCUCCGGCAUAAAAUUCCAAGGACCGUCUUCUUUUAUCUGAAUAACUCUUUUGCCGGGACUGAGCUACUUCUAAGUGCUUGCGAAUUUUCUGGAUCUUCUCCUCGGUUUCCAUAACCAGGUCCGAUCCCAGGUGUGUCCUUUCUCCUACUCCUGACCAAUUUAGAGGAGUUCGGCAUCUUCGACCAUACAAGGCUUCGAAAGGUGCCAUUUUAAUGCUAGCUUGAUAGCUAUUGUUAUAGGAGAACUCGGCUAGGGGUAAACAUUCAUCCCAAAGCUUAGAGAAGGUAAGGACACAUGCUCUUAACAUGUCUUCUAAAAUCUGAUUGACCCUCUCUAUCUGUCCUCCAGUUUGCGGAUGAUAAGCAGAACUUCUAAUAAGGGUAGUACCCAUGUCUUUUUGUAAUUGUUCCUAGAAUCUAGAGACAAACUGGGAACCUCGAUCGGAGAUAAUGGUUUUUGGCACUCCGUGCAAGGAUACAAUCCGGGCUAUAUAGAGUUUGGCAUAUGUCGACACGUGGUAAGUAGUCUUAACUGGAAUAAAGUGAGCUGACUUAGUAAGGCGGUCGACAAUAACCCAGAUGGAAUCAUACCCCUUUGAAGUAGUAGGUAAUCCUACUAUGAAAUCCAUAGAAAUAUCUUCCCAUUUCCAGAUAGGAAUUUCUGAGGGUUGUAACAAACCUGCUGACUUCUGUAAUAUGGGUUUAACUCUUUGGCAAGUGUCACAUUCUGACACAUAUCUUGCAAUUUCUGGUUUCAUUUUGGCCCACCAAAAUCUUUGUUUUAAAUCUUGGUACAUUUUAUUGGUUCCGGGAUGAAUGGAGAACUUGGAUGAAUGUGCUUCUUUUAGGAUUAAUCUUCUCAGGUUCUCAUCUUCCGGAACUACUAUCCUGUUCCUGAAAUAUAGUCCUCCGUCUUCUUCUUGAUUAAGUUCAGGAAUCUUUCCUUCGGCCUUUCGCUGAUAAAGUGCUUUAACCCAUGGGUCUUCUUUUUGGGCUGCUAUGAUUCUUUCUUUUAGGGUAUCUUGAAUCAUAACAUUCUGGAGGGUACCUUGUUUUACUAUUUCCAAACUUAAUUCUCCUAUUUCUUCACACAGGGUCUUUAGGCUAGACUGGAUGGUAGUGCAAUGGCAUUGGGCCUUUCUGCUCAAGGCGUCGGCCACCACGUUAGCUUUACCAGGAUGGUAAUGAAUCUCUAGUUUAUAGUCUUUAAUCAGUUCUAGCCACCGCCGUUGUCUCAUGUUUAAGUCCAUCUGAGUGAAGAUAUACUUCAAGCUCUUGUGGUCGGUAAAGAUACGACAUUCACUACCUAAAAGAUAGUGUCGCCAUAUCUUUAGUGCAUGCACUACGGCAGCAAGCUCUAAGUCAUGAGUAGGGUAAUGCUCUUCAUGACGCUUCAACUGACGAGAAGCAUAAGCAAUAACCCUGCCUUCUUGCAUUAGAACACACCCGAUGCCUGUUCCUGAGGCAUCGCAGUAUACAUCAAAGGGUUUUUCUAUGUCAGGUUGAGCUAUCACUGGGGCUGUAGUCAAUAAUUUCUUCAAGACUUGGAAUGAUUCUUCACACUCAGGUUUCCAUUCAAAUUUCAUGUCCUUCUUUAAUAACUCAGUGAUUGGCUUAGAAACCUUAGAGAAAUUGGGAAUGAAUCUACGGUAAUAGCCAGCCAUUCCCAAGAAACUCCUUACUUCAUGAACAGAAGUUGGUGAUUUCCAAUCCAGUAUAUCCUUGACUUUUCCGGGAUCUACUUCAAUUCCUUUUUCGGAUAGUAUGUGCCCAAGGAAUGGAACUUUCUUUAGCCAAAAUUCACAUUUACUAAAUUUGGCAUAUAACUGGUGUUCCCGGAGUCUAUUUAGAACAAUGCGCAAGUGUUGCGCAUGUUCCUCUUCAUUUUUAGAAAAGACAAGGAUAUCAUCUAUAAAGACAACCACAAAUUUAUCCAGUUCUGGCAUGAAUACUGAAUUCAUGAGAUACAUAAAAUGCGCUGGGGCAUUUGUCAAUCCGAAAGACAUAACCAAAUACUCAUAUAGUCCAUAUCGGGUUGAAAAAGCUGUUUUUGGUAUGUCUUCGGGUUUUAUCUUAAUCUGGUGGUACCCUGACCGAAGGUCGAUUUUUGAAAAGACCUUAGCUCCGGACAACUGGUCGAACAACAAGUCAAUCCGUGGCAGCGGAUACUUGUUUUUGAUGGUUACCGCAUUCAAGGGACGGUAAUCCACACAUAGCCUUAAGGUACCAUCCUUCUUUUUAACAAAUAGGGCUGGACAGCCCCAUGGUGAAGUACUAGGCCGGACAAAACCCUUAUCCAACAAUUCUUGGAGUUGUGUUUUUAAUUCUGCUAGCUCUUUAGGUGGCAUUCGAUACGGUCUUCUAGAAAUAGGAGCGGUGCCGGGUUCUAGCUCAAUAGUGAAUUCUACCGCUCUGUCAGGCGGUAGCCCAGGCAAUUCUUCUGGAAAUACAUCUAGGAACUCAUUAACAACAGGAAUAGAUUCUAGAGUCACUGCUCUAGUCUUUUUGACCAUUUGGCCCAAACAAGGUUGAACGGGUAAUUGGAGUUCGAAAAAGUAACCUUGGUCAUCCUUCAGGCUAACGACCCGUGUAACCACAUUAAUUUGUACUUCAUGUGCUUUCAUCCAAUUUACUCCCAAAAUAACAUCUAUUCCUUGAUCUUCCAGAAUUAAAGGAUAAGCUCCCACUCUAUUUCCUUCUAGGUUUAAAAUCACAUUGCGAGCUACUUGAUUGGUAUUCUGUGUGGCACCAGUAGCUUGAAUAGCAUAUUUAACAUCUAAGGUAUGAACUUCUAGUUGAUGUUGGGUAACAAACUUUUUACUUAUAAAAGUAUGCGAUGCACCGGAAUCAAACAAAACCAUAGCAGGAUAGUUGUUAACAGGGUACAUACCUGCUAGGAUUGGCUCCCCUUCUGGAAUUUCUUCUACAGUCAUAUAGUGAGCCUGUCCUGUCCUGGUGUUGACAAACUUGCGACGGACAAACUUUUGUCCAAUGCCUUGGCCCGAGGUCUGAGCCUUUAAGUUCGCGUUUCCCCCAAUUUUGGGAAAACGACAGUCUCGGGCGAAAUGUCCUGGCUUCCCACAGUUGAAACAAACCUGUGUGGUUCCUGAAGGAGUAGGGUUACGAAACCCGAAAGGUGGUGCAGUUCCAGGACGAGGGGCAGCACUGGGAGCUCUGGCAUUCCAGGACUGGAAAGGCCGUUGCUGGAAUGAAGGACGAUACAUGGGUCGGGGAGGACCUCUAUAUACCAUCCUCAUCCUCUGAGGAGCAUUUCCAAAAUUUCCAGAAGGAACAGCCUUCCUCUUUAAUGCUUCUUCUUUCUUCAAUGUUUCAUCCAAUGCUUUCAUCUUUUCUUCUGCGGUAAUGGCUGUACUUACCGCGGAACUGUAAUCAGCGAACGUGCAGGUGGAUAACUUUUCCUGCAUUCUUGUAUUAAGUCCUCGGAGAUAACAAUCCCUCUUUCUUGUUUCAGUAUUAACAUGCUCGGGAGCAUAUUGAGCUAAGUGAUCGAACUCAUUGGUAUAUGCCAGAAUACUGCGAGUUCCUUGUUGCAGUCCCAAGAACUGUUCCAACUUCAUUCUCAUGACACCUUCCGGUAUAAACUGCGUCCGAAAGGCUUCCUUAAAAUCUUCCCAUGUGACUUCCCUUCCCACUGGCUGCCUGGCCAGAUAACUGGUCCACCAAGUUGCUGCGGGACCUUGAAGCUGAAGCCCCGCAAAUUCGGCCUUCUGAACGGGAGUACAUUGGGGAAUUACUCGAAAUUUUUGCUCCAUGGCCUGAAGCCACUCGUUAGCCUCCAAGGGAUGCUCAGCUUUUAAGAAGACUGGGGGACGUGUUUCCAGAAAUUGGGUGUAGGACACCCCCUGCUCCGGAUCCCUCCUACGUCCACCGUUGCCGGUGUUCUGCACUAUCAUCUGAAGUAAUCGGGCUUGCUCUGCCCCGGAAUUCAUCAAACUGGCUAUCGCGUCAGCCAAUGUAGGUGCUCUGGGUAAAUCCUCUUCCUGUCCUCCGGAACCUGAAGCUCGGGGUUCUCUGGGAUCCGUCAUACUGCCAAGAGUAACAAGAUAUUAAUAUCUACGGUGCAUUUUUAUCAACAACUUUCGGCAUACUAACAUAUCACACAUCACAGCAUGCUCACACACAAACUGUACUUAUGUACAUACUUAUUUAUAUUACAUGCCUAGGAGUUAAUAUUUACAAAACCCCUUAGUGCCACUUGUCCAUCACCCAUAUCUUACAAGAAUAUAUUAGAACACUUUCCAACCAAGUCCAUUUCAACCGUCAUAAGGGAAAAUGCCCAGUUCUUCGGCAUUUAAUCCCAGUCGUGCCAUGGCUUCUUGCAGGACGUCUUGGUCCACGGUCAUUAGAGUUUGCCCUGGGGGAGCAACAGGUGGAGCUUGAUUAAUAGAAUUUUCGCUUCCGGACUCCGGUCCGUAGUCACUCCAAGUGCGAGAAGUGUCAGAGGUGCUAAUUCCAGAAUUUCCUUCCAUCUCUUCUGGCUCCUCUUCUUCUUCGCCUUCCUGUUCUUCUUCUCCCCACUGCUGCAUGGGACCAUAGCCCUGAGGAUCUAGUCCAUCGGCAUUGGCAUUGGCCCAUGCAAACUGUUGAUUGCCCGCAGGGACUUCGCCCUGAUCAUCUUCCAUGUCCACAUCAAAGCCUUCCAGAUUCUCGUGAGCAUAUAAAUCUAUUUCAGGUUCUGCCGGUGGCACUGGAUCUUCCUCCAUUUCUAUCACAGGCACUAGUUGAUCUGCUUCCUCCGGGUUCUGUGGUUGAGGCUCUUCUGGUGGGGGAGGUGGUGGAACAUUGACAAUAUUUUACGCAGGUGCUUGAGCUUGCAUUUCUUCCAGAGCUAGACGAAGUGAUAAAAUCUCGUCUAGCUACUGAAAUCUUUCCGCCUCCAGCCUAUGGACAUUGGAUUCAGCUUCUUCUCUUGCCCUAUCCGCCAUGCUUCGACUUGCUUCGAUGAACCCUUGCAUUGCCCGAAGUUUCUCUUCAUAAUCUUCAAUCCGCCUGGACUGCUCUCGCAUUGCCUUUUCCAUCUCAUGUUCCCUUGCCAUUGCCGCCUUCUUAUACAUUUCCUUGUCAUACCGGGCACCCAUCGCUUCCAUUCUAGUACCUUCGUUCUUCUGCCUCUGAUUAUAAUACUCCCGGAUACAAGCUUGAUGUAAGUUGUACAUAGCGGUCAUGUAAUCAGAAGCAGCAGCCACCAACACAUCGUGCUCCACACGAGAUGUAUUCUUCAAGGCUUUAAUCCUCCGCUUCCAUAUCCCGUCAUUUUGAUGCUUAAUUGGAUAGAAUCGAGCAGAGCUCGACCCUAUUUCCACUUUAUGAUUCUCACACAGCUCAGUAAGAGCUGUCAUGGCUGCCCUUUCUAUAGUAUCAUUGAAUUCAAAACCCGAUUCCAUUACUUCCUCCAAACGCCAGUUAGAUCGGGUAUCAUCAUCUGGGAUAUGCACAUACACCGUGCAAUAUUGCUUAUGGCCAGUAUCUUCCUUUCUCCAAUAAUACUCUGGGGGACUAUGAAAACCCAACUCUUGUAGUGUCUUCCAGAGUAACUGCACGAACCCCGGUUUGUCCAGAUAACGACCACGAGUCCACCCAUCCCUAUCCGUGUAACCUUCUUCGAACAUCUCUAUAAAAGAAACGAGGUCAGGUCUAGCGGCACUCACCAAAUCCAAAAGUUUUAAACAUGCAAUGCAAUUAUGAUGCAAUGAUUCCUACGUACUUUCAGACUCAUAUACACACUCGUAGAAAAAUUGGUGGCAUCGUAAUUUCUCCCUAAAUAAUAAACUACCGAAUACUAGCGACACGCAGCAAACAGUUAGCAUCUGCAAAACAAUCAAUCAGUUAAUACUACUGCCACCUACGACUCUUGUUUUUAUUAUUUUUAAAAUAGAGUCUCAGCAUUUAAAAGGUAAUAUUUGUUGAUUAUCCCAACCUACGGCUCUGAUACCAGCUGUGGCGGAACCGCCCAACUUAAGCUGGUUUAAGUGCGCCUAAUCGCCGCCAGAACGGCAAUUAUCCGAAACGCACCUAAAACAGCAUAAGUCCGGUAGUCCGUCGAGUGUCCCUCGGACUCCUCGAAGGAUCCACGGCGUGUCUCAUAACCAUGCAUCAGGAUAAUAUCCGCGAUGGGAUAAUAUCAACAAAUAUUACAAUUUUUUUUUACAUACAUAAUUAAGAGGUACGAGUUAUUACAAGACAUAAGUCGAGGUAAACUUAGUGAUGCAGUGUUAGACAAGCUCUAAGAUUAAACAUAAAUAGUUCAGGAGAAGAUGCGUCGAUAAACUGUUUUCUAGAGUAUUGUGAGACUCAGGUCAAUACUCUAGGUCUUCGGGGUCUCCUCCUUGGUAGCUUCCGGUGGAGCUUCUGAAAGAUAACCACAAGGGAAAAAAACCCUGAGUACGGGGUACUCAGCAAGUCUUACCCGACUAACCAAUAUAAUAGUUUUUCUUUGGAAUGCAUGUCAGCCUUUGGGUGUGCUUGGUUGACACAAUUUUGCCGAAAAAGCUUACUACGAGUGAGGCCUUGGUUUUAUCUUUUAUUUUAGUUAAGUCAUUACCUAACCAUUCUAGAUGAUAACAGAAGUAAAACAAUCAUAGCUGUUAAAUCAUACAGUACUUGGCAACAGGAGAUUUUAUAUCAUAUGAGUUUAUACUACGAUGCUCAACAGUGAUCAAGUGCAUUCAUGACCGAGAAUUGCGGCGAUCCGGAUCAAUUUACAUCCUGCAGGAGAGCACCCCGAUCACCAGCAUUAUACGAUUGUCCAGGUCGUACUAACAACCUCUCGAUUAGUAAAGUCAAUGAUUAGGAAUACAACUACCCGGACCCAGGGAUGCACCCCCACAUGGGACCCCACGUCUGGCCUGAUCUCCAUGUAAGUUUCACGCUACACCCCUGCCAAUCUCCAGCACGUCAAGCGCGGGUACGAAGCAUUCCUGGUCAUAGAAUUUACUAAUCUACUGGGCUUUACUGGUCCCAUACCCAGUAAGUGAUCAGAUGGUUAUCACUUGAUCAGCGGUUAAGGCACGAAUCGGGCCUUAACUAGAUUAAUCUAGCAGACAGAACUACAUCUCUAGCUUCUGUCCGUUUUCAUAUUCCAAACUAUCCUUCAUAAGCAACAUGUAUGACUUAAGAGUUUUCCUUAAGGUUGGUAAACCAAUCAUGUAAGCAAGUAAGCAUUUCUAGACUUGGGUAGUUUCUAAGAUUUGAACAAGUGGCAAAGAUGUCCUUAAAUCAAGGCAUGAUCAUACACAAGAAUAGGUUUCAUUCAACUCCUAGACUUAGUGCAUGCGAUAAACAAAUAACCUAUAACUAGUCACAUGAAAUAACGAUUCCAAAAUAGAUAGGUAUAAAUGCACCGGGGCUUGCCUUGAUCGUUAAAAAGAUUAGUAGAAGCCGACGGAUUUGCUUCACAGGGAACAAAUUCAAAUACUUCGUCGGACUCCAAGGGUCCUUCUGAAAAUUUCCAGUAAUCUUCUUCUGGUGCUUCUAGAUCUACGGCACAAUAUAUGCAGGGGUUAGAAUGCAAACUUUUUAAAUAACAGACUAUACAACUUUCCUUCAUGAUAAAGUUGCAAGCCAACAAGGACUAUACGACUUAUCAUGAUAAAGUUGUAAGUCAACACACAAAAUCUAAAAAGAUUAACCUAUGUUUUUAUUUUUCUUAAUUAACCCUUCCUAUAACUUUUCCUUUAAUUUUUAGAAAAGGUGGUAAAUAAUUUCUAACUUGAAAAUCUAAUUUCCUAUGGGUUAAGAAUUAUUUGUGAUUGAUAAAGUAUUAUUCAUAUUUUUAUACAUUUUAUAAAUAUUAAGUAUUUAUUUAAUUACCUUAAAAGGAAGGCAUUAAAUAAAUACCCAAAUUUUUAUUAUUUUCCUAGGGUGUAAAAAUUUUAAUGCAUAAAGGAAAAUAAAAUAAGCCUAACAAAAUUGGUUUCACUAAUUUUGGAUACUCCUACAAAUUUCUGUGAUUAAAAUGGUAUAAAACGAAUUUAAACGAAUUAUUUUGCUAAGGAAAUCUAACUUUUCCCGAAUUUCCCCCGGAAAAACUUUUCUUACUCACCCACGCUCUACCCUCUCUCGUGAACCACUGGACCCCACGGCGCGGACCCAACCUUCCUAUUUAUUUCUACCCGCCAGUUCUCCUCUUCCCCCUGACGGGCCCCCACGGGCCGCUUUCCUUUUCUUUCUCCUUUGGCAGCCCAACGCCGGCCCACGGCCCUUUUCCUUUUUCUUCCUUUAUUUCGCGACGCCGGCCUGCGUCGCUCGUGCGCGUGACUUCCUGGGCCUCCGCGACGUCAGCCCAAGAACCACACCGGCCUCUUUUCUCUUUCGGCCGAAUCGCACGCGCGCUGCUCUUGGGCCUCCAACGCGUCGCGGCCCAGCAACCGACUGCACCGCCUCGGCCUGCUCCUUCUCCCCCUCUUCUCUCUGACACGCGGGCCCGAGCGCACAGCGCUUCUUCUACCUCCUGCCAAAACGCGUCCGCGACAGGGGGCGGCGCGGCUCGCCGGCCGGCGUCCUUCCGACGGCGGGACUAGGUCGCGACACCAACCCUAGACCUACACGACCUCGUGCGCGGCAACAGCUCCCCAUGAGAUGGCCGGAGCCAUCCCCUCCACGGCGACAGGCGGCGACUCCCUCGGCCGGCCGCGGUUACUCGCGACAACAGCUUAACCGACUCAACCGACUGCUUCUACCCCAUCCUCAGACCCUAAGGACUUGACUACGACUGCUCAAGAAGGAAGAAAGGCAGCGCAAGGUGGUUCUCACCGUGAGCAGACGGCGCGACGGCGGCGGACAGAAGCGGCGGCGAGCACGGCUAUCCUGGCAAGGAUGUGGGACAACGACUGGCUCGGGGUGUAGCUGGGGUGUCUGUGGAGGAGUGGGCGAGAGGAAUCGACGGGAGACGAGUUGUGGCGGCGGAAUUUUGCUUGGCGGUGAAGCUUGACAGAGAGGAGCGGGCGGCGGUAAAAAGGGAUGGCAGUGAAACGGUGGCGCGGGAACAGUAACUAUUCAAGCGAUUCACCCCUCGCAUGGACGACACCGUGGCCUACCCGUAGGCUUGCGUGGUGAGGAGGUGGCCUAGCUAGUUGUCCUGGCGGUCGACCGACGACGGCGGCGGCGACACGUCUGGAGCUCUGUCACCGUUCUCCUGGCGCCCGUGAUCUUUAGAAGCGACUAAUGGUUGAUCCUCAAUCCGACGGCCUCUCGUGCUUUAACAGAACUUGAAGAUAAACUCAAGACCGCCAUCUUUUAUUUUGGCGUCGGCUUGAGAUAAACACCGAAUCACUGGAAUUUUUGAAAUGUUGCUCGAAGGGUUCUGAAAUUGACUGAAUCAGAGAUUCAGUCUGUCAGUAUCGACAGUGGUGUCGAUCUCCAUUGUCAAUCCAAUUCAGUGGCCUAAAGCUUGUUUUUCCAAUCCAACUUCUACCCAAACAUGUUCUACUAUGUCCCAGUGUUCCAUUUUGCUCAUGAACAAGUAUCUCUUUUGAUCUAAAUAGCUCUGAAUUCGAGCCCCAAGUCGUUGCCUUGCUGCUGUUCAGACUUAGAAAAAUUCAGAGUUUCAGUGAACUUGUGAUUUUGUGCUGACUUUGAGCUGGAAUUUGACUCCCUUCCUGUUACUGAUCCUGGCCAACAACACCCAAAUCUUGUAGUCCAAAGUUCACACUUCAAUAUGGUAUAGUUGUCAUGGUGCAGUUAGUUGAAAAAUUCUCCAGAAAUGAAUUUUGAAAACAGACUCUAUGGCUGUUUUUCUGAAUUGCUGUUUUCGGACGGUGAACAGUAAACAGCAAUUCUUCUUUUUCUUUUUCUUUCUCUAAUUCUUUUGUGAUAAUUAGCACUAAUCUGGUUCCAACUUUUUGAUCCCUUAAUUCUAAAUACUCUUACACUUGUAUUCCACAUAUUCGACAAAUUUUGCUGAAUUUCAAAUUUGAAAUUCAAAUUUCGGUCAAAAUUUGGCCGAAUUUGAUCUUUUUGCCAAUUGUUUUUCUUUUUCUUUUGGAUUUCUUUCCAACUUCCCAUAGUUACUUUGAUAUUGCAAAUGGCAACUAUUACAACAGGUUGAUAUGAACCCUCUAAAAUAUAAAAUCUUUGAGCUUCAUCUUGUUGAUCAGCUGGCAGUUCCAAUAUUUGAACACGUUUACCAGGGUCUCUCUCAAAUCUAGUAGCUACAAUUGGUGGAUGCUCGGCAACCUCGGCUUCGAUUGGUUCGGCAGUAGCAGCAACAUUACUUUGAUUAUUAGGAAUUUGUACAUGAUCAUUAUGAGUUUCCCCUUCCAGAUUAGGAGCUUCCACUUCCACAUUACUCUGACUGCCUCGGCUUGCAAUGGCUUCAAUACAAUUAGCACUUGAACCAAUCGGCUUAAAAAAGCUAUUAAUGGUCUUUCUCUUCUUCAUAUUGUCUGAAAUUAGAAAGGGAAAUUUAGAAUCACUAGUGAGUAGUGACUGUGAAUUAGAUAAGAGAAUAUCACUGGAUGAUUUAUGAUUAUGGAUUACCAGCGAGCUACAGCGGUGUCAAUUUGGACAGCAGCGGUCGGCGGCGGCAUGGCCGCGGCAGUCCGGUCUGGCGUCUGGCGGUCUCCCAGUGGCAGCGGCGGAAGAUGAACAGGAACGAUCGAACGGAGACUUGAUGCCUUGAUGCUUCGUAUUCCAGGGGGUCAUGAUUCAUGAACAUAGGCUUAAAUGGCCAAAUGGGCUGCUUCGUAUUCUAGGGGGUCACGAACGGAGGCUUCUUAUUGGGCUAGGAGGUGCCAAGCCGCCAGGGGGUAGAGGCAGAGGCCGCAGAGCAUCAGGGGGUGCCGACCCCCCUCCCCCUCCCUCCGCCACUGCUAUGGAUAGAGUGUCCGAUGCUAUCGUUACUAUCGAAUGUUCUAUAAGGAGCAUUGCCAUUGAACGAACUUGGUGUUGUAAAUGAUGAUACAUUUUCUUAUAAAUCUGGUCAAAAUUAGAAAAAAAAUGGACUUCCAAUAAAAUUAAAACAUCUUCUUACAUUUUCAAAUAGAUGGGGUACUAUGGGAAAAAAUGAAAAUAGAGGUAAAGCAAUCAUCUAAAGUCCAUAUAAUCCCUAAACUACUCCACAAUUAUAUCAAUUAUUGGUCAAAUUUAUCCCUUUACAAAUUUUCCCUUUCAUUUCUCCACAAACAAGUAGAGCAUUAAGUUAAAAUCUUGCAGGGUGAUAGUAGACAUCAUAACAUUUGUUAAAAAAAUAUAAUAUGAAUUUUUUUCACUAUUAUUUUAGUUGGCUAGUAUGUGGAACAAUAAUAAAAUAAUCCUUGGAAUACAAAAUUCAUUAAAAAAUAAUGAUGAAAGAUAAUUCGACAUAUAGGUUUUAAAAGUAAGUUAUGAUGUCCACUAUCCUGCAAAAUUUAAUUUUAAAAUUUUAAACUGAUAAAUCUUAGUAAGGGGUAAAUUAGACCAAUUAAUAUAGUUGUGGGAACAAAUUGAACCAAAAAUAGUUUAGGAGGUUAUGUAGACUUUUGCUAUAAUUGAGGGGAGUAAUUUGGACUUUUUCAAUUAAGUAAAUACAUACUAAAACAACUUGGUAGUGUAUUUAUUUUUUAUUAUGUUAAUAUAUUUCCUAUAAAUGUGGCCAAAUUAAACAAAGGUCAUUUGAAGAUACAAACUAAAGUGUAUUACAUUUUGGGACUCAGGGAGUAGUUUGUUCCGUAGAUAUGUUCUUAGUGGGUUAGCAUCAUAAUUAUAGAUUAACCUAUGAGUAAUUUGUCUAUUCGAACUCCUAAAAAACCUCUUUGACAAUAUGAUUAGGGACAAGCAAAAUCACCCACCAGGAUAUGUGACAACUAUAAUACUUAAUCAACGUGCAUUGGGAGGUAUUUGAAAAUACAUAAAAUUUGCAGGUGUUCUAUUAAAGUGGGUACUUGGAGACCUCGUUAGCUUGUUGGUGGCGUUUUGGAGUUUUCCUCGGUAUAUAUGGGUAUAUUGUGUUAGAAAAAAUGAAAUUGAGAGGUAGAUAGCUAUUGGCCCUAAGUUUAUUUACAAACUUAUUAUAAGCUUUUUAAAAAUGAUUAUGUCUUUUAAAAUGAGUUGAUGAGUCCUUGAUUAGUAAUUUGAAAUUGUCAUAGAAUAAUCAUUAAAAUAUUUAUUUUGGCACCUCCGCGUAGAUACGGUUUUUUUUUGUGUACAUGUUGACUAUUGAUCAAAUGGCAAACAUGGUAUAGUCACUACUGGUAUGUUAGGCAAUAUUGAAAAUUAAAAGCUAAUCCUUACAUACAAAACUGUGAUAUAGGAUUGCCAUUAAAAUCAUUCACCCUUGUUUUUUUUUCUUUGCGGCACCGGAAGCUCUGAACAAGCAAGACUAGGAUGAAAGUGGUGUGGUAUAAUUUCUAUAUCUUAUCAUAUCCAAAUCUAAACUUUGAGGUAUGCAAGGGUUUUAGAUGUGUGGAUGUGGUGUAGCCGUGUAGGAUAUAGGAUCGCAAAAAUCCGAUGAAUAUAGAUUAUUCGAUUUUUUGAAGUGGAUUAUCCGACUUACAUAAUAAAAUUAUCGGACUAUACACUAGUUGAGCUUUGGAGGUUUGAUUGGCUAUCGUUACUUAUUUGUUUUGUCUAGCUAACUGUGAGUCCUUUCAGUUUUCUUGCUAGGACUUAACUAUGCUUUGCCAACCAUGUUAUGUUUGCCUUAAAGCUUCAUAGCUGUAAUAUGUGAAUUAUUUUUUAAAAAUUUGUUAUGCUUCUGCUGCUUUGUGCUUCUGUCUUUAAAGAACCUGAGAAUAUGGAUGUUUCGUUUCAUGUUAUGGCUUUGUAGCUUUAUUUUGUAAUUUUUUUACCAGCUCCAAAAUCUAUAUAUAAGCACCUAUUAUAUAUCCGACUAUUUAAGUCUUCAUCCAGUCCAACUCUAUACCAUCUCUGCAGCUGAAAAAAAAACAUAUCCAUGUCAGCAUCUAUUCAAUAUGCCAAUAUCUCCAAAUCCCGAAUAAAGAAGAUGAAUUAGGAUAUGAGGACACUAUCUGCUCCGAUCCGAUUUGUAACAUAGAAAAAUAAAACGAUUUCUCCUACACGGCGGCCUGUGAGGCUGUGACCUGAUGUAACUGUGAGGCAGGCUGACCUCUUGUGCGUUGAAAACCCACACGAUUUCAACCAAUCUCCUCUGUCAUUUCGUGGGCGCCGAUAAUGAGGACUCUGGAGGUUCUCGAGCAAUUUCUGUGUUCUUUGUUAGAAUAAUUGGGUAGCCCAAUUGCUUAAUUAAUCAAAUAAAUCUCAAGGUCUAAGGUCUAUUAGUAGUGGUAGUUACAAAAAGGUUAAAACUAACUUGGAAGUUGAGAGGGUCCCUAACCAACUUAUAUGGUGAAGUUGUGCUGCACUUGUUGAGAAGUUGAUAGAGGGAUAAUAGGAUGCCAUACGCGCGCUCGCUUACCGAGCCGUGCCGAGGCGCGGCGCGGCGAUGUGGGCUGGGCUUUGUCAGGUUUUGCAGUUUUUUGUCACGGUUGAUGACUAGUAACUGAAGAUUCAUUCAGUGACUAGUAACUGACGACUGCUAAUGGCUGGCAGUUACCAGAAACUGAUGCAUUAAUCUGGACAUCCAAAGGUCUUCUGCUGCCUAUAAGAGUGAAACUGACGACUGCUAAUGGCUAGCAGUUACCAGAAACUGCUGCAUUAACCUGGACGUCCAAAGGUCUUCUGCUGCCUAUAAGAGUGAGGCUGCAUCUCAUUCUUUCGUGCGCGAAAACACUAACCACCAGAGCUUUUGUCCACUAUUGUGCUGCGCUUCUGUCAUCUCCGUUCCGGCGAUCUGUGUGCACGGACUUCGCUGGAAGAGCAGGCCUCCGAAGCUGCGCUCUUCACCAGAAACUUUGCACCCGAGGAGUAGAAGGACGAUCAAGUUUUUGGGAAGCGUGUCUACGCAACUGCUCACUGUUCGUCUACGACUACUUCCUGGUGACGCGUCUGCACUGCCUCAGUUCUGCACUACGUCAACUCCUGAACGGCUACAUCGAACAGGCUCGACUAACAAUGUCGGGUAACGGCGCAAUCGGUCCCUCCGGAACCGUUCCCGCCUCUGGGUAUUUCCUAUUAAACUUUAUCGUUCAAUUCUUAUGUUUCAUAGUACCUGUAUGCUUUAUGUUCACUGCAAAUAUAAUGAUGGAUCAUGUUCCUGUUUACAUUAUCUUAAUUGUCAUAUUUUAUUCUAUAUUUCAGAUUAAAAUGAACCGUAAAAUGCAUCUGAUUCCAACAUUCUUUGGCUUACGACAUCAGCGAAUAGAAAUACUCGGUGGUCGGUGGAAGGUAGCAGUUUACGAGCAGCUGCGCAACGACCAACAAGAAGGCGUCUCCUGAAGCGAAGUGGAUCUCGGCCCGAGGUGAGGCACCGAGCGCUGCAGCCGCCAUGGACGUCGGCUUCUGCUUCGACGUGCAGAUGCUGGCCACGAUGACCGCUGUGGUCUUCGGCGGCGCGGGGUACCUCGGCUACCUGCUCUCCGUGGCGGCGCGGUCCCAUCAUCCUCGCCGUCUGGGUCGCCGUCGGUGCCUUCGUCUACAUCUCCUACUGCGUCGAUUUCCUCCCGGGGUCCGAGCUGGGGCGGCGCCUCGCCCCUCUCCCCCGCGCGCUCCACCGGUGCCCGCGCUGCGUCGCGUGGCUGCUGCGGCUCCCGUUGCGGUGCCUCCGCAGCGGCGUCCGGCUGCUCCGCCUCCCGCUGAGGCACGCGCACGCCAGGCUGCGGCGGUGCCCGACCACCGCUGCCGGCGGCCACGGCCGUGGCGACGCUGGACCCUUGCCCCAGUUUGGCGCCAAGAAAUGGCAGGGCAUGGCCGUUCUUGCGCGGGAUCCGCCGGUACUGCGGGGCGGGGCGCGGGCGGCUGCCGCCGAUGACAUCCCGACGUACAAGGAGCGUGACGGCGCGCGGCCGGACGGUGCGUCGCCGGAGGAGUGCUCCGUGUGCCUGUGCGAGGUGGAGAAGGGAAAGAUGGCGAAGCGGCUGCCGGUGUGCCUGCACGUGUUCCACCAGGAGUGCAUCGACCUUUGGCUCAGGGACAACUCGACAUGCCCGGUGUGCCGGUGCGACGUCUUCGCGCAGCUGCCGGCGCAAAUGGCGUGACGACUUACGUGACCUUCUUCAGUCCUUGCGCAUAUUUUUCUUACGUUUCUUGGUGGUGAGCGUCAACUGAAAACCGAAGCCGUUGUCAGGAAUUUCCGAUGUGCGAGUCAGCAAAUGCCGACUUGUUCCAUCAGAACUCAAAUGCAAGCACAGUGUUCAUGCUAGCCGGCGCCAACUUGAUGUGCAUCGGCGGCAUGGGCUUCCUGAUCUACACGCUCGCCCGGCUCUCGCGGACGCCGCACAGCGCCGCCAGCAUCGUCGUCUCCGUACGUCUUCCUCCUCUUCUGGGUCUGCGUCAGCGCCAGCAUCUACCCCGCUUUCUGCGGCACCGUCUUCACGUGCUCCGACCUCGGGGACUGCAUCGACGUUAUCCUCCGUGCGCUGUUGCAUGCCUGCAGGAAUGUCUGCUCUGCCUGACGUGCCGGUGCGCGCGAGCCGCACGAGCCCAGCUCCGGCGCCCGGGCUGGGGCGGCGGCGGCGGCAGUCAAAGUCAUGCCAUGGACGUGCUUCCGCGGGAGCCGCCGGCGCGCGGCUGGGCGCGGGUGGCGGCGGCUGCCGACGACGACAUCCCGUCGUACGAGCAGUGGGGCGACGCGUCCGUGUGCGCGGUGGGCGAGGUGGAGGAGGGGGAGAUGGUGAAGCGGCUGCCGGUGUGCCUACACGUGUUCCACCAGGAGUGCAUCGAUCCCGUGGCUCUCGAGAGGCAAGUUGACGUGCCCGGUUUGCCGGUGCGACGUCUUUGCGCCACGGCCCGCGGAAAUGGUGUGAGAUCGUGCUCUCUUGUUUUGUUUUUUCGAUUUGGACAUGUCACAAUGAGAGAACUAGCUCCCAGAAACCGUGUGUUUAAAAAAGUAAAUAAUUGACAAGUGACAUGAAAAGGUCUUUUUUUUUGUUUCAUCACAAUUGGCGACAUGCAAGCUGCAGCGCAAUUGGAUUUUACUUGGAUCAUGAUGUAUAGUUGAAGAUUAUUGGUAAAUGGCACUCGCUCCGUCCAAAAUUACUAUUUAUUUUAACUUUUUCAAAUAUAUAGUAAAAAUUAUGUAUUUAAAUAUAGCGUAUAUCUAGGUACAAUCUCAGUCAGUUUAGAACAUGCUUUCAAAAAGAGAUACAAAUAAAAACACGAUGAUGCCAAUUAAAAUCUAAGCCUAUUAGAUGGCAUCCACCCGCACAUGGCGAAAAUCUCCAGAGCCUCAGUCUCCAAUAUACGACACGCCCUCUUCAAACUUGGUCCGCUAUCAAAGGCCACAUCAUUGCAGCAUACCAAAUAAAAUCAAAAAUUGUAGAUACUCCCGCACAACCUUUUUUCGUUUUAUUUGUUGGAGCCAAACCCCCAAAAAAACAAGCUUUGUUAAUUGGUGUUUGUGAACCACAAGUAAUUUGAACCUCUCCAAAGAGAUCGAACAACAUGACAACAAAAAAAAUAAAUAUUAGAUUGGUUUCAUUUAUUAUGAAAACAACAUUUGUUAUCACAUCCUUCAAUAGCGCUUUAAGAGGUUGUCUUUUAUUAAAAUGACUCUUUUUAGCACAAACUGAACAAAAGUGUUAAUUUUGAGGGAUACUUUCAGUUUCCAUACAUAUUUAUGUAGAGACUGUGUAAGCACCGCGUAAGUUCCUUAGUGAAAUCACGUUGGUCAUCUAACUACACAAUUGCAAUUUUUGCGACCAACUCAUUCCACCUCUGUAGCUUGUCUCCCACUAAUGCCCUUCUAAAGUCUGAACGUUGUAUUAAGUUGUGCAGAGCUAAAAACAUGAUCAACUGAAACAUGUUUCUUUCUUGCAAUAUUUAUAAAGAUGGGUAGUUCUUUGAGAGUGAAGUUUCCUAACCAAUUAUCCUCCCAAAUAAAAUUUGGAUAUUAUUAUGAAUAUUGAAAGUCGAAAGUUCAAAGAAACGAUCUUAAACCCUCAUAAGACCUGACAAGAAGUGUGAAUCUCCCGACUUCAAACGAACUUCACCGAUAAUUUUAUUUUUUAAAUACUUAUUCCUAAGAUGCUCUUGCCAAACCCCAUCUUCAUUUAUUAAUUUGAACAGCCGUGUACUAAGCAAACAUGCAUUCUGUAGUUCAAGGUUUAUAAUUCCUAAGCCGCCUUGUUCUUUUAUUAGGAAUAAAUUUCCACAUUUCAUCAAUCUAUUUUUUCUUAUGGUUGGUCCCUUACCAGAAAAAAAAAUUGAAUCUAUAAAGGUCUAAGUUUUUAAGAAUAUUUUUUUCGUACUUCAAAGAAAGAAAUCUGAGUCGAUCAAAACUAACUGACAGAUGUAAGACAAAAGCAUCCCUUUCGAACUACUCAACUUUUCUGAAAGCAUUCUUCCACGGAAUAAAUAACUACACGAAAAGGGUGCUGACCCGUACCACAUCCAAAAAUAUGUAAAUAUUCAUCUGAACAAUUCUCAGCCUCCCGUAGAAAAUAUUUCACUCUUGUGGAAACUAAUUUUUAACCCGAAAGUUGUCCAAAGGCACAUAAUAUGAUUUUUCAUAUUUUUUGUUGUAGAUGCAAAUAUAAGGGUUAUUUUAGAUUAUUUUCAAUAACAACAAAGGUGGGUGAUUGUCAGUUGCCACACCCUAAAAUUUCUAUUUUGGGGAUGUGAACAAUUAACACUAAUAAAAUAAUAGAUUUUUUCAUAUUUCUAAAAUUUCCAACAAUUAGUUUUUGCAAAACAUAUAAUUUUAGGGAAAAUUGUAUUUUCUAAACAAAUAAUCAAUAUAGGACAUAUAAUUUGUUUUGUGCAUUCAUGCCAAGUAGUUUGCAUUAGGUGUUUAUUCGAUGAAAAUUGUAUUUCAAAAUUCUAUCAAAUUCGACUUCCUUUGAAUUAGAAUCGAUUUAGUCUAAAUCCUAAACAUCUUUUAGGCCAAAAACAUCUCUAUCUUGUUCCCGGCCCAGCUUGCCUCCUCUUGAUCUCAAAGACUAGUGGGCCCGAUCUGUCAUCUCUAUCCAGCGCCGCAUUCAGCAACAGCUCGCGCGAAAUCACCGACGCAUCUCGCCCGCUCGUCCACGCCUCGCCUCGCUCUUUAAAGAGAGAUGACGGUACGCGCUCCUCCCUUUCGCAUCUACGCAAAUCCCCGCUCGCUCACCAUCGCAACCGAGCCGCCGUCGCCGCUAUCAUCUUCUCGACCCUAUAGGCUGAGCCGCCAUUUCUGUUCUUCACGUACCCGUCUCGUACAUCUCUCAUCUCCGUCUCGCUCUUUCCCGCAUUGCAGAAUGCAUAACCGUUAGGAAGCCACUCUGCCGCGUCUCGUCGUUGUUACGUGACCGCCGUCGAGCCCUGACAGAGCACAAAAUGCCUCUCAUCGCUCUCUCUAUCCAACAUCCAUUACGCCGUUACGCGUCGCCAUUGGCCCAUUGCCCUCCACAACACCCUACCAGGGGCCUGUUUGGAUACAAAUUUCUAAAGUUUAGAAUUGUUCUAAAGUUUAGAAUUCAGAAAUUGGUAGUCCUAAAAUUUAGGAGAGGGCUGUUUGGAUGGAAUCCUAAUAUUUAGGAUGUUAGAGGGAAAAUAACUUUUUUACCCCCAAUUACUCCUCUAAAUGCUCCUGCACUGUUCACGUCAUUAAAUGCUUGGGGAGGGCAACAGGGGUAAAGGGAGGUUUGGGAAUCACUUUUAGGAGAAAAAGGAUCCAUUAGGAUGCCUUAGCUCUCCUAAUAAAAAUAGCCCUUCUAAAAUUUAUGAGUGCACUUUUAGAACCUAUGUUUGGAUGCACAAGUCCUAAAAGUGUCAUAAAAGUGGAGAUCUAAUCUUUAGGAGUGUAUCCAAACAGACCCUAGGUGAGAUCCCAUUCCGAGGGCGUUCCGUUUUUUCGCUUCCCGUCGAAUUCCGUAAACCAUAGCCUGAUCUGGCUUUUUCCGGUGAAGUUCUGGCCGCGUCCAUAAGCUCGUGCAUGGCACCACGGUGACUGGACGCCGUCGUCCUGUGCCGAGGGAAGGAGAUGAUAUGGUGGCCCGUAGAUCCGAAACCCAUGGUCCAGAUUAGAUCCUAACUUUACCCAUUCGUAAACCAUUCAAACGAUGCCACGUGUUUUACAUAAUCCUAGUCAGCGCACGCAUGUGGAUUCCAGUCAGCACCACGCGUGUAACACGUCAGCACAUGAGCCUAGUCAACCUUCUUUAUGCAUUCCAAUCCCUUUACUUGUUUGUAAUCAUCACAUAUUUAUUCUGGGUCAUCUAAUCUUACACUCUAGCACCUGAAUGCCUUGAUAAUUAUUAUUCCGACCAUAAUCCUUGUACAUGUUCACCUAAGCCCUUGUUAUUUUCCUUAUUUACCCUAAUUUUCAGAGCCUUGCUAUAAUUAUGUGUAAGCCCUUCUCGACUUUAAAUAAUUACAUAUAGAUCCCUAAAACUUCAAACGCUUUGUAUCUUUUUAACCCCAGUUCCGAUUUAAGUGAUUCUUGUGCUCAUGUGUUUGUAACGAUGAGUAUUAUGCGUUUGAUCCUUAUAUCGUAUUUUGAUCCUUAUAUCGUAUUUUGUUACUGUUUUGGUGUACUAUUCUUUGUAUUUAUUGUGUAUUGUUUUGAUUGUUUGUGCCUUUAGGAAGUGAGACGCUCGUGAACCUCCAACUCCAAGAGUUCAAGGCUGUUGGGCACUCUUCUGCUAAGGGCAAGUGUCCUUGAUUAUUCUUACUCCUAUUUAUGUUUUUAUUGGAGUAGUUAGACUUGGUUGCAUGAUGUGUCAUAAACUUGAAUCCCUAGAUAUUUCCUCUAUCAUCCUUGAAACCUUGGUUGGUUGGUUAUGGGUAAUUUCAUGCUUAACUUGUAGUUCGGUUGGGUGGUUGGGCUUAUAAUAUUAAACAUGAUUAAUUAUUUAUGUAAUGGGACCGGUUGAUAAUCUUUUGAUAGUAACAUGGUGAUUAGAGAAUCUGAGCAGGAUGGAUGGAACCGAUGGAUUCUCCCUUAUGGUUUUUAUUUGGUUUUGUGUUGUUAACACAUGGAUUGGUAGAUUUGAAGGACCGGUUCAUGGACAAGUAACCCGGCUUAACCGUGCAACCAUGAGAUCUAUAUAGCUCUGGACUUAGAUAAUUAGUUGUCCCACCUGUUUAAUUACAUUGUCAAACGGUUUGAGUGGCACAAGAGUGGGCUUCUGCAGUGGAGGAAAAUAGGACUCCCCUGUUAGCGGUGAAUCCUUAGUGGGUGUCUACAGGUGGGAAGCUACAACUUUUGAAAGGCCUUGUAGCAGGGGCGGACCUAGGACCCAGGCUGGGGGGGCUGUACCCCGGGUCCAAGCCAUGUAUCCUUGUGUGUAUAACAUGGUAUUCACUAGCUAGCUAAAGGAAAAAAGAAGCACAUGAGGCAAAAGUUAGCUCAGGUUUGCCCGGGGCUUAGGUCUGUUCUGGGUCCGCCCCUGCUUUGUAGUGUGACCUUGGUUGAUCACCUCGAAAGUGUGAUGUGUAAAGGGGAAUCAUGACUUGUGGGUAAAUAUAUGCAACCUUUGCAGAGUGUAACACUGGUAUAUCAGUCAUGCUGACGGUCAAGAGUAGCUUCGACUUCUUCGUGAUUAGUGAGGAGGUGGAUGGUAUGUUUGGUAACUAGGUGGUGGUACCCUUGUUUGGUCAGCUGGAUGGAAUCCAAUGUUGGUUUUGGUGCUCGCAUGAAAUCCGAGGGGUUUUUCUAGCCGGAUGCAAUCUGAGGAGUUGGUGCUUAGGAAGACGAUGGCCUCAACUCGGAUGCACCAUACUAGACUGGCAACCCCCAGAAGACUGCAUGUGGCUCAAUGGAAGAACCGCUCUGCUAGAACCUUUAAGUGUAUUUCUCUUUUAGACCUAAGGGUCAUUUUGUAUUAAAGUUACAUUUAUAUAUGACAUUGUAAUGAUAUUGACUGAUGAAGUCGCUGCAUGUAUGAAUAAAAUGAUCCUGACAUAUAUGUGGUUUGCAUUCGGUUUUGUCCUUAUAAAACCGGGUGUGAUAGUGAUUCUAUAACAUUAGGGGAUGUUUAAGUUAUUUUUCAUAGCAAUAGAGGUGAAUAAUUGAGAUAAUAUUUAGAGGGUUAUUUUAGAUGGUUUUCAUAAUGUAGAGGUUGGUAAUUUUUCAAAAAAGGGAUAAAGCUACUAGCUAUUAUUAUCAUUGAUUAUUGGACUCUGCAGAAAUGACAGAUGUUUCUGAUUUUUAUAAGAUGAUUUAAGAUUUAUCUCUUUUUCUAUUUCAUCUUGAAUUUAACAUGAACACUUCCAAAUGAACCUCUGACACCGUUGAGACCUAACACAGUUAAGUCAACCAAAUAUUAUCUUGUUCUAUCUUUUACAGUCAUCAACAAGUUGUCCUUUUGCACUGGCUCCAUGAUCAAUCAAGUUGUUGGCACGUGCUCCAUCUGGUUAGGUGCCAGGUUUGUUGCGUCGUCGUAUCAUGAUCGGGCUCCUUUUACUCGAGUUAUAUGUUUGAUCCUAGAGAUACAGAGGCACGGAGCACAUGUGGAUCUGAGCAAGUUCCUCGGUCAACUAGCGAGUUGCGUACGGUCUUGAGUUGUAUACUGAAUUACUGAUAUAGUGAUAUCCACCCCCACAACACUAACACUGCAGAGCUCCUGCUGUUCUGCAUUUUUGACUACUCAAGGAGUCAGACAAAGGUAAUCAAUCCCCUCUGCACCUCAUUUCAUCUUAAUUGGAUCACAAAAUGUGCUGUAACUGCUUGGAAUUUGCUUGUGCAGUUAUCCUACAUCGAUGGAAGCCACCAUCAAGAUCGCCACCAGCUUGCUGCUGAAUCUUGCCUUGUUCUUGCCAUGUCUAUCUGCCACCGUCACGUCAAAUCCGUCGUUCCAUCCAAGCAUGUCGUCGAAAGGACCCAUCCAUCAUGACUACACACGCUUCGCCGACGUCGAGCGGCACUGCCAAUCCGUGCUCUCCUCAGCAGCGGAGCUCGGGGCUGAAGCUGGCCGUGCCGGCGUCCGGAUGCAACAGCUAUCCUUCAUGAAUGGGGACUGGAGCCAGGACGCCGGCCAAGCCCCUCUAUUUCCGUUCCAGGGAAGCUAUGCUGAUGCGGCGGUGGCCGGUCCUGAAUUUCUUGAAGCUGUUCCACUUGCGUCCUUUAUGCUCACGCACACGGACAUGGUGCCACGGCGAGGGGCUCGUGCUGCCUUCAACGUCAGCGGGAUCCUUAGCUUCACCAUCAGCCGCAACUGCUGCUGCUCGUCCAUGGAACCUCGCACAUCGCCGGAGUUCGAGCUCCGGCCUGGGGUCUCCAGGCUCCAUGUUCUGCUCCAAGGUGUGUAUACCGAGACGAAGACGUCAGGGAGCGGUGAUGACGGCGGCGGCGAGAGGGUGCUGUGUAUGGUCGGGGACGCUGUCCUCCCCGUGCGCGGCAGCAACAGCACGGACCCUUGGGACUGGGCCAAGAACCAUGGCCGCGACGGCAAAUUGAAGCCGCCGGUCGUGGCCGACGGCAACAUCCUGCUCGUGCUACGGUACCCGAAGGCGGCCACGCUGACAACUCGCGCCGUGCGCGGCGAGAUGACGAGCACGAGCGCCAAGUCCGAUGCCGCCUACUUCGACACCGUCCGCCUGGUGUCACAGCUCGGCGGCGGGUACGACUCCGGCUACCAAUUCCAGCCAGAAGAUGCGGAGCUUGAUGCCGUCGUCGCUGGGUGCAGCAACGACCCAAUCUUCCAUGACGGCGACGACGCCACGGAGCACCUGAACAGGGGCGCCUCUCCUUGCGACAUCAUCUACCAAUCCGCUCCCGGUCACCAGGUGAUGGAAGUAAUCCCAAACUGGAACUGCGAGGGGACCGACGCGUUCUGCAGCCGGGUCGGGCCGUUCGGGACCAGCCGCCCCACCACGAGGAGUAUGCAGGACAUGGCGUUCACCCGUUCUGGCAUCGCGGUGCAGGGCCUCCAGUGCGAGCCGACGUCCAGCAUCGACGGCACGGCCGCCGCGAGGGUGGCGGCCCUGUUCCGCUACGUACCCCCAUGGGAGCAUCAGUCCAUGGCGGUCGAGCGGACCGGCCUGAGCGCCAUGACCCUGUCGGCCGAGGGCGUGUGGACCGCGUCCACCGGGCGGGUCUGCAUGGUGGCCUGCCUCGGCGGUGCUAAGGAGGCAUGCCACUAUCGCGUGACCCUAUCCGUCCGGAAGACGUUCUCGAUGGCUCGCCGCGGCAAUAAUAUCGGCCAGAUAGCCGCCAUGGAUGGGAGCCACGCUUCGCUCUUGUUCCAGCAGCGCGUGAGACCCAGAGAGCAAUGGUUUGGCUCCGGGGAGACGCCGCGCAAGUCGUACAUUUACACCAAGGUCGAGCAGGCUCGGGAGCUCCUACGGGUCGUCAAACCAACUGGAUUUCGCGACACCAACAUUGCCAAGUUACUGCUCAGCUAUCCAAACCUCGCCGGCGCUGCCCAUGACUUGGUGAGCCUCUCCAACCUCGCCGGCGAUCUUAAUCUCUUAUUUCGAUGCGUGGUGAAGCCACCUUUCGUGCCGGGAUGGAUCGAGGAGCCGCUCUUCGAGCUCCAGAUACUCUCUGUUGGCACCCUCGUCGGAACCUAUUCUCCAAAAUUUCAGCAGCAAUUUCAAGGUGGUGGGUUCAGUAUGCGGAUGGAACAGCUUGGUAGAGUCAGAGUCCACUCCGUGGAGAAGCAGCAGAUACUGAAUGUGUCUGCAGAGUUCACGGCAUCCAGGAACAAUUUCCUCAGUCCAAGUUCGGUGAUGUCGUUGGAGGGCGUGUACAGCCCGGAGGAUGGGCGAAUGUACCUGAUCGGCUGCCGGAACGUCCAUGCCCCAUGGCGAGCCCUGUCGAAGAGAAGCGACCUUGAAGACGGGAUGGACUGUUCCAUAGAGGUGACAGUGGAGUACCCGCCGACGACGACGCGGUGGCUUGUCAGCCGGGCGGCGAAGGUCUCCAUCGCCAGCGUGAGGGACGAGGACGACCCGCUGCACUUCAACAGGACGGAGCUCCACACGCUGCUCGUCACCUACCGCGAGCAGCGGCGGGACGAGCUGACAGAGGCGACGGUCGAGGGGCUCCUCUGCGUCACCAUGCUGUCGGCCACCAUCGCCGCCACCAUCAGCCAGCUGCGCUAUGUCAAAUCUCACGCCGACGUCGCGCCGUACAUCUCCCUCGUGAUGCUCGGCGCCCAGGCCCUCGGCUACAGCGCGGCGCUGGUCACGGAUGCCAAGAUGCUGCCUGCGUGGCCGACGUCGAGGUACAAGCCCUAUGGUGACCGUAUGGGCUGGGACAUGGACUGCUCCGUCAAGGCGCUCACCCUCGCGGCGCUUCUCCUCACGGCGCGGCUCGCCCAGAAGGUGUGGCGAUCGAGGGCCCGGGCGCGGGCGCGGUCACCGCUCGAACCUGGGCGCGUCCCGGGCGACGGCGCGGUGUUCCUGUGCAGCUGCGGCGUGCACUUGGCCGGCCUCUUCUUCGUCCUCGCCGUGCACUGGCUGAGCACCUAUGGCACGUCAACGGCUCAGCUGACACCCAGCAGGGUGAUCUACGUCGAAGCGCAAGGGAUGCCGUCGUCGCACACGCGCACGCGGGCCGCCAUCGUCGAGCGGCACGUCGGCGUCGUGAAGGAGUGGUUCUUGCUCGCGCAGGUCAUCGGCAACGCCCUCUGGCGCGUCAACUGCAAGCCUCUCGCGGCGAGGUACUACGCCGGAGUCACCGCCGUGUGGCUGCUGCCACAUGUCUACGGCUACCUCCGGCCGCCGGUGGUCAACACUUUCUACGAGUCCGAGGCUCACGACGAUGGCAUGGACUUCUACUCAAAGGCCAGCGCCGUGGUGGUUCCCGUCGUUGGCUUCGUGCUCGCUCUCGUUGUUUAUGUGCAGCAGCGCUGGAACUACAAGAUCGUCGGCUGGGCAAUGAGGACGGAGAAGAAUAAGCUGCAGCAUACCUACUGAAGCAUUGUGCAAUUGCCACCUACUCCCUCCGUCCCGAUUUAACUGUCGCUCAGAACCGGGAUUGUAAGGGGAACAGUUCCCGAGCGACAGUUAAUAGGGGACAGAGGGAGUACUCUGCUUUGUGUCAGUAUCUGAAGAUUUCUGUCGCCCAUGUCUUGUUCGAAUAAGUACAAGUACUAUGUCUACUGGAGCAUGUUUCGGUGAUAUUUUUUCAAAAUAUUUUUUACAACGGUGAAAUAUUUUUUUAUAAAUCUGGAAUAAAAUUAUAUUAUGUUUAUGAGAAAAAUAUUUUAUAUCCAGAAUAUAAGUAAUGCAGGCUCGUAGAAAGAAAGGUUUUUAUAAAAUACCCCAACGGUACAUGAACUUGGCAGUGAGUAUCAUCCAGGACCUCGAACUCCUAAAAUGCACAUUUCAAUCCCCGAACUUGCUAAUCAGUUCACUUGAGGUCCAAAUCAUGUUUGCUUGAAUUAAACAUCUACGUGCCCGCUGACAUGGCACUAGGUGGGACCUCACCCUCUCUUUCUCCAUUGUUUCCUCCUCUUCUUCCCUAGCUCUCUCAGUCUCUCCAACGCUGGAGUAGCAGGACAGGGCUUGCCGUCAAGGCGGCCGGUAGCAGCGGUGGCCCUCCGAGGGUGAACGGCGGCCGUGCCCGCUGCCCUUCUAGAGCGGACAGCCAGCGGCGGCCGCCGUGCCCUGCGCAAGUGGAAGGGGCCGGAGGCCGAGGUCAGCGUGAGCGAACGGCGGCGACGGCCAGCGCGGCGAGGCCCUACGUGAGCGGACGAGGGCCGAGGCCACGGGCGGCCGUCACGCCCUGUGCGAGCGCACGAGGCCCAGGCUUUGGCCAACAUGGGCGGACGGCGGCUACGACAGGUGGCCGUGCGCGUGGGCGGCGGCCGCGGUGGACCCUCGCAUGCCAGUGGAGACGCAUCGUGCUGGCCAGCCCGCAGCGACACCUACCCGCGCCCACAAAUUCCAGCUGUGUUGCUCUUCUCCCCCAGCCGCUCGCCAUCCACCCCCACAAUGAGCUCCCUCACCACUAGAUCUGUCCUACUGCACCACCUGGGCCCACGCGUCUUCGGCACGGUUUCCUCUCCAGUGACUGCGGCGCCGCGACCCCUGCUCGUCCUGGCCGCUGGCAGCGGGGAACGCGCCGCCACCGUGUGGGUGCAGCUGCGGGUGCAGCCCCGAGCAGCGCGCCAGAGCUUCGAGAGUGGCGGCGUGCUUAGGGGUAGCUCGCCUGCUCAUGGGUCGAGCCUUGGCCUUGGCAAUGCGGGCAAUUUAGAUGUAAAUGUAAGGGGUUAUUUGAAAUUAUUCUUUAUAAUGGUAUAGGUGGGUAAUUGAGAUAAAGAUUAGGGGUUACUUUAAUGAGAAAAUUCGUUAUUUGACAUUAGAAGAUGACUAAAUUCCUUUCUUUACACUGAAAAACUUCCCCUCACUUAUAUGACAAUGAGUUCUAUCUUUUAUUCCUUAUUUGAUAUUUUUAUCACUUUUGUCAAAUACGCUAACAAAAUAACCAUCAAAUCAACUCCAAAAUUCAUGAAACUUUUUUUAAUAAUAGAACAAAUGAAGAUGAGUCCAUUUUGCUUAAAAAUGCACAUGUACCUUUGCCAUUUUCAAAUUAAAAUUCACCAAAUUUGACUAUUUUGGAAGAAUAUUUUAAUCUUUGUGGCACCAAAAUACUUUCCACAAAAUUUGAAAAAACAACUAAUAUUCCUUACAUGAGAUGUAGUCAUUUAUAAAAUUAGUUUUUAUCAUAAGUUACAUAGAGAAUUACAAGGUUCUUUGAAAUUUUCCUAAAUUUACAGUUCUUCACAAUUCUCUUUGUAAGUUUUGCUUGGAAAUAAUCUAGUAAGUUCCAACAUCAAUGUAGAAAUAUUAGUUAUUUUCUUAUAAUUUUUAAAAGUAUUUUGGUACCAUAAAAAUUCAGAUAAUUUAUAAAGGUAGCCUAAGUUGGUGAAUUUUAAUUUUAAAACCGUAAAGGUAUGUGUGUCUUUUUAAUAAAUAUGGGUUUAUAUUCAUUUGUUGUAUCACUGUAAAAAGUUUCAUAAUUUUUUGGAGAUCGUUUCACCUCACUUAACUAACACAAGUGACGGAAAAUAUCAAAUAAUGAAUGAAAGUUAGAAGUUGGUGUCAUAUUGUUGAUGGCAGUUAGCACGCCAAUUGUGAACCGCAAUCACACGGAUUAGUUGUAGCUCUUCUCUCACAGUAUUCCCCAAAGGUUUAUCAAUCCGUGGACCUGAUAAUACAAGAUCUAUUUCAACUAGCAUUGUUAGUAUGAACUUGGUGUUGAUGAGUGAUUCAGAUCCAAUCUACUAAGUAUAUAUAGAUAGAUAACAGAUAGAGCACAGGUAACCAAUCUAGAGGAACCUAAACUAUGCAUAUGUUGUAAUUCUGAGCAUGGAUAGCAAAGCAACAUAGAUAUAAUCUUAGUGAAAAGCAUCUUUAAAUCUACACCUCCGGUCAGGCUCCCGAAAACCCUAUCUUACACAAGAAAGACCUCAUCACGAUCCUCUCUAUCAGCAUAGGAAAUCUAAAGGCACGAUUACAAGAACAUGUUAUACUCAUCGGUAGAUCAGGCAUGCAAAUCCGAUCACCACAACCACAUAAACAUCCUAAGAAAUCUAUCAUCGAUCAUAGAUUGAAAAUCAAGCAAAUCUGAAAGAGCAUAAAACCAUAGAAGGAGAUACUUAGAUCGCUAAUAAAAAGAACAGAUCUAUUACUUCACCAUGAAUGAUUCUACAUCACAAGAUCACCACCGGGAUCCUACCUUGACCUUGAUGUUCCUAGCUCCAGAACUCCGAUGUGGAUCUUCCUCACAAGGUGAUCACACCGGCCAGGGCUUAGCUACACUAAUCCCUAGACAACUGCAUGACCCUCGGCUCUCCGAAGUGGUGUCCCUCAAGCUCCUUCUGCUUCUCUGCUACUGUGCGUUGAAUAUGUCUUCUUUGAUGUGUUGGUCGAUGGAGAAUCGGGGUAUUUAUAGUCUGGAGAACCCGUGGCAGAAAUUGGAAGGCGAGGGAGUGAAGCAACACACUAGGUCGAUCGGCCUGGGUAGGUCCACGCCGAUUGGCUUGGGCCUUCCUUUUGCCCACUUGCGCCUCCCUUCAUCUCCAAGUCUUCCCAGAUAUUCUGGAGUCUUCUUUUCACUUGCAUGUGGGACUGGCACGUCGAUAACUUCGGGAUGAGAUUGAUUUUUGAUAACUUUCCAAAUCUCUGCUUGACCCUCUUUGAUCCUGAACUUAUCUUACCAUAUCCUUGCAAACUUAGCCCUUAAGUCAUCUUGGAAGAUUGCUUGCCAAAUAAACGAGCACGAGAGAGGGUCUAAGGAUCCUAGGUCGAUCGGCCUGGGCCUCCUGAGGCUUAUCAGCCUAGGCCCUUCCUAGGUCCGUUAGCCUUCGUCUUCCUCUGGUUCGUUGCUUGUUCAGGGUUUUAUCCAAAUUUGCUCCACUAAGUCCAAUUUCCUGCAAAAACAGGAUAUCCUCCAAAUUAUAUUGCAUAUGUGAAAAUGCAUGGUUUAUUAGGUAUGAUCAAUAGUUUAGAUAUUAAAUUAAUAUCAUUAUUGAAAAUAAAAACGGGUAAAAAGAGUCAAUAACGAGCGUCAACACAUAUUAGGAAGAAAAAACUUUUCAGACUCAAGAAAAGAAUUAACUCAUCGUCCGGUGUCAAAUAAGGAAUUACCUCUACUUUAAUUUAUUUUUUUAUAAUGGUAGAGUGGGUAAUUUAGACAUAAAUUUAGGGGUUAUUUUAAGUUAUUUUCAUAAUGGUAGAGGUGGGUAAUUCAUGUAAAAAACAUAAUAGAUCCAAUGGGUAAGAUGAUUUGAGUCUAUGAAUUGAUGGCUAGAUAUUUUUCUUUUUUUGAGAGAGAGAAUUUUUAUGAUUUCUCUCUUUUCUACAGUGUCCACCUAGGAUCCUAGGUGGCUUCAUGUGGAGGUUUCAAAAGGAGUCUCCAAUUAGUAAUAGUAAGAUACUUUUAAUGGGUUGGUUUUCUUUUGGAAGUUGUUUAGAUUUGUUACCAAUAGGCUGAUUUAUCAAAUGGUUUGGUUUGGUUUGGAUUCUUUCCAAGAGAAAAUGAUUUAGGAGUGGUUUAGAGUGGGUUGCAUUGGUUUGAUUCACAAAACAAUUCAAGGAUCUGACUCUUGAUGUGGGGCCCACAUGUAUGUCCAGCCAUACUAUUUUGCACAAAGUAGUGGAUAAUUAAAUUGAGUCAUCUCCAACAAAUUUCGAUCAAUUUCGCUAGAAUUUUAAGGUGUGAACGCGAGGUUUUAAUUCCAGGGUCCAGUUCUUGACGUCCACAUGUGUGUUUAGCCAUACUAUUUUGUACAAAGUAGCGGGAAGUUAAAUUGAAUCAUCUCCAAUAGAUUUUGAUCAAUUUCGCUAAAAUUUUAAGGUGUGAACUGAGGUUUUAAUUCCAGGGUUCGGCUCUCGACACUAGGUCCACAUGUAUGUUUAGCCAUACUAUUUUGCACAAAGUAACGGAUAGUCAGACUGAGUCAUCUCCAAUAAAUUUCGAUCAAUUUCGAUAAAUUUUAAGGUGCGAAAGUGACAUUUUAGUUCAAGGGUCCGGCUCUUGAUGUAGGAUCCACAUGUUGGUUUAACUUUUAUUUCAAAUAUGUACGCAAUUUUUAUAUGAGCCCAUAGGCUUAUAUAGCAAAUCCAUGGGUUCUAUCAACUAGUAGGGUGGAUUGGCUUGGGUUUAGAUGAUAUAAAUAUGAGGCGAGGUAGGUUGAAAAAAUAAAUUAACUUGAUGUGGAUUGGUGUGGGUUAGAGUUGGAUUAAUUUCCAAUUAGGAGGCCUACGCGAAGCUCGUAUCGCCAGUGCUGAUGAACAACACCACCACGUUGACGACGUCUAGCAUGAUCACGUUGAACAAGCAGCAACACACCUGUCCAUGGUUGCCGCCGCACGGUGGCUCGUCUGUGCUCUCCAGUCUUCAGAUGCUGAAUUCCUCUGGGAACUUCUGAGAUCGUCCCCUCUCCGUGUCCCAAAAUGGCAAUUUAGAGGCACAGCUGGAAAGAAGCAUAACACAUAAUGAUAGGGAAAAGCUAUAUUGUGCCCGAGCAUUUCUUCCCUCUCUCACACUCGAAUUUUUUCUUCCUCCAUCUUCACUCUGUUCUCCAACUCCGGUGAAUCUCACCGACGGGGUAUGGUUAGGGGAUUUGGGGAUUUUGGGGUUAGGGUUUGGGAUUGGGGUUGGGAAUUCAGAGAUUUGGAGGUUUAGAAGGAAGUUCAAGGGAGGAAGGUCGGCCUGGCGAUGGUGGCGGUUUGUGGGCGGGCCGGCAAGGUGGCAAUGGCGCUGUUGGCUGGGGUGGUGGAGGAUAACCGGUGGGAAGGGUUGGGGUAGGGGAAGUCACUUCGACAUGUUAGAGUAGCGGUGGGGAGUGGCAGCGGCUCCGGCGGUGGGAGCCACCGGAGAUGGGAGGAGGAGGAUGGGGCAAGGGCGCUGGAUGGCUAGAGCUUGUCUUUGGCACCAUGGUUGGAGGUAGAAGAAGGAUGGAGGAAGAACAAGACUGGAGGAAGAAGAAAGAAGGGGAACCUUUGGAUGGGAGUUUGAUGAAGAGCCAAUGGUCCAAACUUCGAGUGCAGGAGGGAGGCAAAAUACUCAGGUGCAAGGUAGACAUCUCGUGAUGAUAAUAUUCUCACGGAACACAUAACAACCGUAUACCUAAUACUCUAGACUCAUAUUUUUUCCCCCAACACGUGUUUGUGGCCCAAUAUUUUCCUGCCCACGCCUAAAUAUCCCACAUAAGCAUGUCUCUUAUUGCCUACAUCACCGUCUUAACGUGUGUUUAAGUAUGUAAACAUGUUUUAACUUCAGUUUGAAUUCACUGCUUCUACCUUUUUUAUGAUGUUAGGUUUAAUUGAGAGACUAGGCCCUAAACUACAGACAUACCCUCUGUUUUACAAUCUACAUGCGUUUAGGCGAAUACUUUCGUCAAUUAUUGCCUCAUUUCCUAACACUACCUUAUUACAAGAUCUAUUACAUAGCAUGAUGAUGCAGGAUGAGAACUCUGUUUGCAUAAGAUAUUGAAUCUGAUGCACUAAGCCUCUCCAACAACACUGGCCUAUCGAUUCCUAUGGAGCAGAGAGCUGAUGCGAGGAUAGAAGUGUAACACCCUAAUUUUUCAACUUUUGCAAAUUCAUAAAAUUUGUAAGAAAUUUCUAGAAUUUAAUUGCUUGUGUAUAAGGACUUAAGGAUUUUCUAAGGUUGCAUUUAAUUUAUUAGGCAUUUAAGUCUUUUUGAAUUCAUUGCUGCAUUCAUGCUUGUUCAUUUUCUCUUGGAGUGUUGAGUUCGAAUUUGUGUUUGAACUCAAGUUUGAAUUAUGUUUGUUGUCUUUUAAAUAAUAGGAAAUCUUUUUCUCUUUCUUCUUUCUUCUUUCUCCUUUUGGCCCGCUCCUUGUUUCGACCCAGCUUCUUAAUAGCGUAGCGGCCCAGCAGUCGACCCAUCUUCCCGCGCUAGCCUGCCAGCUGAAGGUGCCCCACCGCUCUACACCUUCCGCCGCACCCGCUGACCGCCGGGUCUUGCCUGUCAUCCCCGUCCUUGCGUUGCACCCGAGCCGGACUCGAGGUCGAGUCCGUGCCACCCCCGCUCCGUGUCCACCCGCCUCCAGCCUUGGGCCCGCAUGCCAAGGCCAAUCUUGCGGCCUAUAAACCCAAGCUGCUGCACCCCCCAACUUCACCAAAACCCUAGCGCCUAUCGCCUUCAAGCCCCAGCGCUGCCACUAGAGCUCAACCCUAGCUGCCAGGCUGCCGCGCUCGAUCUCUUCCGCCACCGCCUUCUCAUCGACAAGAGCAACACCUGAAGCUUGGUAAGGAGGUAGGGAACCUGCCGGUGGUCUUCCUGCGCGCUCUGGUGCCCGUCUUUGCCCGCUAGAGCUCGGCGGAGUUGUCAGUCCAUCGCCGAGCUGCUUCGCUGUGCCGCGCACCUCCGUCACUGCUCCAACCGCCGCUCCAAAGACCUAGAUCAGUUCGCCGGGCCCCCAGCUCUGCCUCGAGCCAACCCCAUUGAAAAUCGUGUAUCGCUGCUUGAGUUACGCUCGAUUCCUUGAGCGCCGCCGCUCGAGCACCACCGCAGCCGCCAGCCACCAAUCGAGAGCCAACAGCUCGGAUUGGAUCUGACUGAAGUCAACCGGUCAGCGUACCGGUCAACUGCUGGUUAGCCAUGUCGGUUUUGCUUAAGAGCCCCUUUCCUUUUCUAGUUUUUGCAUCUAAUCCUACCGCAGUUCAAAAGUAAUUAGAUCUAAGUGCAACUGGUGAUCCGCCAGUGCAACUGUGUGUAUAAGGUUAUCUUUUUGAGAAGCAUUAUGGCCAAAUGUUGUAUUACUUGUAUCAUGAAAUGUGCAGUUGGUAUUGAUCAGAUAUUCAAAGAAGUGGUACCAUAUGCGCAUAUGCUGACUCCUGAAAAAGAACUGAUGCACAGGGUAACAAACCUGGCAAAAUGAAAUGUGAAUGAUGCAUGAUGUAACAAAUGUUUCAAAGAACACUGAUCAACUGUUCCACGUUCUUUCACGUUCUUGGAAGCUUUCAUCUUACUGCUAACCUUAUGUUCAGUCCAGCACCAUCAUCAUCAGACCUCGCCGAACGCAUGAUACUUGGCUUGUCAAAUUGCAUUAUACUCUUUCUAUUUUAAGGUUUUGCUACUAGAUAACACCAUGUUGAAUGACAUGGCUAACUACUCAAAAGAAUUGUACUAGAACAUAAUAUAUAACACAUUUUUUUAGAAAGAAAACAUUGACAAACUGAUGAAAACUACAUUGUUUGGAUAACUUUAGGAAAAGUGAACGAAAAUUCAGACCCUGUGAUUAUAUUUGGAAUUAGUGAAGUGACAUGGAAGUCAACAAAUAUACAAAAGGAUUUGUUUUGAACAUCAUGCCAUGUUAAUCCCUCAGAUGAUAUCAGGGGAGAGCUUAUUCUAAAGAACCGGGAAUGAAGGUACGACCGUAAGAGUAUCCUAAUGCACGAUGUAGGAAUCUUUUUUUAUGAUUCAAACAUCUUGUUUAUCGCAAAAACAAACAUUCAGAAUUCGACAAAUAUUCCAAGUUUCCAACUACUUGCAAGCUCCAAGAGCUUAAAUAAACUCUUCCUGAGUCCUGACAGUCAGUCAUUAUCCUCUUAUCUCUUAUAUAAGUAUAUGAAAUCGAUGUGCAGAUAAUAUUAAUGAUCAUUACAAGUUGCCUCUCAAAAAUAUCGAUUUGAAGUAUUAAUCAUUUUUCUUUACCAAAACCAUGUGUCAAAGGUAUAUGCUUUCAUGUUUCAGUAGCGUACUGCCCCCAAGUGGGCCAUGUAUCGUCACUUCGUCAGCCUCCAAAACUACUUGUGUCGCGAGCGUGCGCACUUUUUUUUUUCUUUGAAAGAAUGGAAGGGCAAAAGCCCCUGCUGGUUAUAAAAUAUUAAAGGUAAAAAGAAAGUUACUUACAGCAAAAACAAAACGAAGAAACAGAAAAGACUCACUGUAAGCUGUUUAGCCAAUCUCCCAAAAAAGGGAAAGUAGCUCUUAUUUGCUCUAGUAUGCUUAAGAAAGGCAAAUUCAUGGUUGAACUUGGAUUUCACACAGCCAUUAGGUUUGCUGUUUGAUUGUUGAAGAUGAUUAGAUGAAGUUAUUCUGGGUAGUUCAAAUGCUCCAGGCUAGUAGAUAGAAUAAUAACCUCCAUGCAUGAAGAAUGGCAAAAGAAUACUAGGUUUAGUGUUGUAGGCAUAUGAAGAUUUACUUGUCUGCUUGGAUGGCUGAGGGACAUUUGAGUGUCCUGCCAUAACCUUAUAAACUUUUGCUCAAGAGAAGAAUUGAAAGACCCAAAUGUACGACCAAGUGUCUUUAUGGUCCCAGCAUUCAGAUGUAGCCAUAUGUAGGUUAUCCAGGAUAUCACUCACUCAGCGAAAUUGACUAAUAGCCUGCUCAGACAUUGGAACUUGAAAGAGAUUAUGUGUCCGAGUGAUGUGUCUACUUUUAAUAUCCGUGCCGGUGGGAUAUCACACUGACACGUAUAAUUCGUCAUUCGUACCGGCUUCAACGCCGUCACGAAUAAUCAGCCUCAUUUGUAUCAGCUUCGUGGUGCCGGUCUAUCAACCGAUGUGAAGGAGGUUUUCGCGCCGGCAUAUAGAUGAGGUGCUAUGCAAUAGUGCCGCAUCAUCUGUCAUGUUAAUAUUCUCAAACCAUUGCAACGAUAUUAAUGUUCUCGAACCAUGGUAGCAUGGCAGCCAAGAUGCGGUAACUUCUACAACCAUUGGCGAGUAUACAAAUCUCACUCUUCAGCUCUCUUGACAAUAGAUCACCCGUACAAGUUAUGUGUACGUGAAGGUCAACGACGGACUACUAAACAUAGAAGCCACGUACAAUCAAUCACAGACGUAAGCAGUUUGUGUGCCUUCUGUAUAAACAAACUAAACUUGAUAAGUACACGGCCUUUUAAAAUUUAAACGUCGAGCAACAGGCCAUUGCGACAGCUACUUCCUGCAUCCAGAAUGAUUAAAAAGAGCAAGGGGAACUAAAGGACGUGCAUCGGAUAUUCAGAUGCCACAUCCACCUACCAAUGCAAACAACUCCAUCAAUUAUUUGCCGCGCGCACCUUUAUAACAAAAUUAUCCACGUAUCCGCCCGUCCGUACGGGUGAAGAGCUAACAAGUUUUCGACUCACCUGAGGCCGCUCCCACCGUUUGAGCUGCGCCAAGCUUGACGCUUCGGCACGGCACCGGCGCGGCGCGGCGCGGCGGCGCGCGGGCAUGUCCGAGUCCGACGAGCCGGACACCUGCUACCGGUGGAGCUGCAACUUCAUCGUCGCGCACGCCGUCUUGGUCACGGGGUUCGUCACCGCGCCCGUGGCCGUCGUCCACCUCCUUAGGCGCCCGCACUCCGGCGCCGCCACGUUCUUCGCCAUGUUCGCCGUCUUCUGCGCCACCGUCAGCUCCAUCCUCUGCUGCCGCUUCUACGCCGACCUCAACCGCCCGCCCUGGCCGCGCUGGUUCUCGGCAACGGCGUCCGGCGGCCAGCAGCAGGACGACAGCGGCGGCGGCGGUGGCUUAGAGUCGACGAGGGAGUUAUCGAACGAUCUCCGGCAACCCGAGCUGCCGGUGAUGGUCCGCCUGGAGAUGCAGGCCGCCCUGGCGACGGACCGGAUCCCGAGCUACGAGCACGGAGACGGCGCCGUGGACUGCGCGGUGUGCCUGGGUGAUGUCGAGAAGGGGGAGACGGUGCGGCGGCUGCCGGCGUGCCACCACGUGUUCCACCGCGAGUGCGUCGACCAGUGGCUGCGCGCGCAUGCCACGUGCCCGGUCUGCCGGAGCGGCGUUCUGCCGGAACGGCCGCCGGAGUUCUUGGUGAGCGUCGAAGCAGUCCAUGUGCAGCCCGGGCUGGUGAUCCCAGCACGGGCCAACAUUAUGCUCCCGGGCCAACAACCCGGUAUCGGGCUAUGGUUUGGGCCGGCGUCACGCCUGAAUUAAGAGCUUGUGGAUCACAUACGGAUGUACGAGAUUGAGAGGUGUAAACUAUGAGUCUGUUUGGUUAGUCUCUAACUCGUGAAAAAAUUGUUGUGAGCUGUGAGUUGUAGAAAAGCUGUUGUGAACUGUGUGUUGUGGAAAAGCUGAAAGUUAUUUGGUUGAAAUAGAACUGUAGGUUUGGUAUGAAAUGUCUGUGAUACCCCUGAAGGUCUGAGAUGAUAUGCAAAUUCAUCAUAAAACAUUACGUUGUUUACAAAUUCGCAUAUAAAUGAUCAGUUUAGAAAGAAAAACUUAAUUUUUUUUCGUUUUGCAUCCUCCGUUAAUAUAUGGUCCAGUUAAGGUGUUUCUAUCUCAUUUUCUCUUUUUUUCACAUCUAUUUUUAAUGUUUAUUUUUCAGAUUCUAAUAUCCACACAUUUUCCUGUAUUGGAAAAUCAAACCAAAUAACAAUUGGCAUUGAAAAAAACAAUUACUCACAGCAAGCCGCAAACUCCCAUCUGCCGACGAGCAAGCAGCACCAAUCUCACUCUCGCAGGCAAAAAUCGAGCACGCAAAAACUCAAAGCCCCGGUUGGAGAUGCUCUUAUCUCCCUCUUUCCCAUUCGUGUCUCCCUCGCUCGAUCUUGGGUGCCGCCUUGGAGAGGAUUGGGGCCACCAGGAGCGCCGCAUCAAGGUGCCCGCUCCUUGAGCUCUCCCGUGCUCGGUGUGUGCUUGCGGAGGUCGUUGCCAUCCAUCGUGGAGCAGAUCAGCUCAAGCUUUCUCGGCGAUGGCGGCCGGUGCAACUGGGUGUUCAAAUCGCUAGUGGAGGAGGAGGAGGAGGGGCCCGAGGAGGGGCGCAACCGUCACUGGUCAGAGAAGAGGAGGGGCCCGGAGAGGGGCGUUGCUCCCGUUGGCCGGGAGAGGAGGGGGGCCGAGGAGGGGCGCCAACACCGGGAAAGGAGGGGUCCGGGGAGGGGCGCUGGCCAGGCGCGGGGGAGGGGAGGGGCAUGGCUGGGCGCGGCGGAGGGGCGCGAGCGAGAGGUGAUGAGAAAAGAAAAGGAAAUCGAAGGGGUACGCUCGUAACCGAUGGCAGGCGGGUAAUUUCGUGGAAAAGUUGCCCCUCACAGCCGAUAAAAGCAAGGGAGGAUGUGCUGUGAGAUUUGUAUAGAGGAAAAGCUGCUUUUGUUGUAGUUACUUGAUAUGGGGUUACCCUUUUAGUUGACUUUUAUUUUUUUUUAAGCCAAAGCACUUCGAAAAAUCUAACCAAAGGCACCCUAUAAAUGCAUUCAUGCUUUCCAGGGUAGGCUAGUCUCAGUGAAGAAAAAAGGAGUUUCAUGAUCAUUAAAUAACAUGCCACAUCAGUAAUUUUGUUGAUAUAGCAAAAUCAUUAUGAGGAAAAAGGAUAGUUCAUCAUAUGUGAGAGAAGUUCCAUCACCAUGAAACCUAGCAGGCACAAAAUUGCGCUGAGUAAUUUUUUUUAAAAAAAAGAAAUUUUGCGCUGAGACUGACCUUAAGGAGCCAUGUUACGAUGUGUUAUUCUCAAGUGUUGAAUGUUGAUUACCUUUGCUUUUGACUAAAGCCUGUUGCCUCCAAUAGGACGCCGAGGCAACCUUAUUUAGGAUUUAUAUUGAUACGCCAAUUUGCAAGAACAGUUCGUGCUUCAUGGAGAUGAUCAAAGUCGCUCCUCUCUUGGAAAAACUAUACUGACAUCUUUCUGAUAUAAGUUAUAUAUGCGGAAAAAGUUGCCAGUGAGAAGUUGUAUUUAGAAAUUGUAUGGAUAAGUUAUGCAUAAAAGUUGUGUGAACAAGUGACGGGGAGGUGGAAAAUACUAGUAAAGAAGAAGAAAAGGUCAUCUCCUAUUCAUAUACUAGUAAAGUGUAGGUGCGGCAUACACAUGUUAUUAAUAAGAAAACUAAAAUUAGUAGGGGCAGUGAAGUCUUUUCCGUUCUCCACUGAUCUGUAAAACGGAGAGAUUAUAUAUAAUUUUUCUCCAUCAUGUGGUGAACAAAAGAAAUUAGCUAUGAAAAUCACCCCAAAAAACCACAAAACUUCAUGUCAAUUAAAGGAAGCGAAAGGGGAACACGAAUUUCUCAAAGCAACGAGGUGAUGAAUUAAGCAAGAACAACAAGGUUCAUGCUACAAACGAGCGUAAAUAUCGGAUGCCCCGAACGAGCGAGACAGCUAGUAGCAUCAUCACGUCCAAUGGCCACAGGGACUGGGAGUGCCGAAUUGAAGGGCCAAGCAGCAUACGUUGUACCGGGAGCGGGAGAAACAAGGCUAACUGUCUCCAAGGAAGGACAUCUAAAAGUACACACACGGCAUAUACCCACUCAAUAGGUGUCUAAAUAUCUUCAAAAUAAUGCUAUUUCGUUUGUAGCGCCCAAGAACAAAUUAAAACGGUGAAUUGCACUAGGACGAACAAUCUAUUAAUGUUACGAAGGUCUGCAGCAAGGCUGCUGAUAGAUGCAAUUUGUGUCGAAAUUGUUCGAAAACAAGCCGUGGUGAAAUGGACUGUAGUCCAGCCGCCCUCGCCUACAUCAGCGCCGUGUGGAUGACCCUCACGGCCUGGGCCGUCUACAGUCUUCUUCUCGCCGCGUCGCCGGAGGCACCAUGCAACACCACACUUGAGCUCCUCGUGGUGCUGGCCGCGGCAGCCGGCCGGCUACUGCUGGUGACGUGCCGGCCUUCCCUGCCCGCCGACGCACACGCUAGUGCGGCCGCGGCCGGCCGUUGUCGUCCUCGCCUCGCCGGAUACCGCGGGGCGAGCGCACGGGCGACGGACGCCGCCGCUGGUGAUAAUCAGGUCGUCCGGUCACACGAGCACGGCGACGCUGCCGCCAGCAGCACGGCGGUGCGGUGCGUGGUGUGCCUCGGCGAGGUGGGGGACGGGGAGCCGGUGAAGCGGCUGCCGGCGUGCCGGCAUCUGUUCCACCAGCAUUGCAUCAACCUGUGGCUCCACGGCCACCCGACGUGCCCGGUCUGCCGGUGCAGCGCCUUCGCGCCGCCUCCGGGGCCAGAUGGUUCGGGUUGACAACCUUCUGAACUCCGUGACAACAUCCUAAACUGUAGUAGUUGCUGCGUUACUAGAUGAGCUCUUCUACGAGAUAUACGAUACGAGACUAGUUCGAAAAGAAUUAGUAUAAAAAUAUCCGACGGUCAAAAUUAAUUGUAUGCUAAACUUCGCAUGUGGUAUGAGUAGCAUACAUAAGUAGAUCCCGUUUGGAUACUCCUGCUAAAGUUUAGCACCUGUCACAUCGAAUAUUUGAAUGCUAAUUAGAAAUAUUAAACAUAGGCUAAUUAAAAAAGUCACAUAAGAUGUUUGAUGCUAAUUAUAAGUAUUAAACAUAGGAUAAUUACAAAACUAAUUGCACAGAUGGAGUCUAAUUCGCGAGACAAAUCUAUUAAGCCUAAUUAGUCCAUGAGUAACCCUGAUGGAUUAAUUAACCGUAAUAGAUUCAUCUCACGAAUUAGACUCCAUCUGUGCAAUUAGUUUUGUAAUUAGCUCAUAUUUUGUCCUCCUAAUUAGCAUCCGAACAUCUGAUGUGACCCUGCUAAAGUUUAGCGCUUCGUAUCCAAACACCCCGUAGUAUACGUAGCAUAAGGGUAUCAUGCUAAAAAAUAUAUAAAUAACAUCACUAUAAUUUUAUUUUUAACACUAGCGUAAAGUUUAAAAAACAUUCCAUUUAAAAUAACAAUUUUUAUAAUAUAAUAAGUAUUAAACUAUCCAUAAUAAUGAACGUUAGAUCUUACCUAUGCUACGUGUAUGUCUAUUGCUCAAACGAUUGAUUUUUGUGAAUCUGUCAAUCACUUUUUUUUAGCCGUGGAUGCUAAAUCCAACGGCUGGUGGGAAGUCAGCUAUUCUAUUUUGUCUGCUCAUCGAAAUUGAUUGAGAAUUACUUUCUCAAUCACUUUUCAAAAGAAGACCCGUUAAGAUGUUGUACUGACUAGAAUUGAUUGAGAUUUACUUUCUUCUAAGGGGUGUUUGGAUACGAGGUGCUAAACUUUAACAGUGUCACAUCAUAUGUUCGGAUGCUAAUUAGGAGAACUAAACAUGAGCUAAUUAUAAAAUUAAUUGCAGAACCAUGUGCUAAUUCACGAGACGAAUCUAUUAAGCCUAAUUAAUCCACCAUUAGCAAAUGGUUACUGUAGCACCACAUUAUCAAAUCAUGGACUAAUUAGGCUUAAUAGAUUCGUCUCGCGAAUUACACUCCAACUGUGCAAUUAGUUUUAUAAUUAGUCUAUAUUUAAUACUUCUAAUUAGCAUCCAAACAUCCGAUGUAUGGAUGUUAAACUUUAACAGGUGGGAACCAAACAUGCCCUGAAUCACUUUUCUAAAACACAGGAACCGUUGCAUUUUUUCAACUUUUUGGGCCAUCUUUUUUUUGGGCCGAGUUUUUUUUAGAAAAUAACUUGGAUGGGCCUUUAAAACAAAAAAAAAGCCCAGAUGAUCAGAGGUAGUGGGAACUACAGAUGUUAGCCCGCCAAAAACAACAGUUUUUAGAUUCCUGCCCACCCCUCACGGUUUCAGCUCUGCCUAUUUAAAUAGGCAGCCAGAGUCCAGGGUACAAACCAAGCAAGAAAAGAGGAAAAAGAAAGAAACGAUCGCGUGAUGGAAGAAGGCAUCAAAAAAACGAAGCGGAGGCUUUGGCUAGAGGCGACCUGGAGAGAGCAGCAUGGUGCUGAUGAGAUCCAGUUGCUUCCCCAGGUCAGUUUAUCCUGCUUCCCCCCUUUAAUCACAAAAAACCAGAUUCUGCUUCUUGUUGAUCCAGUUUAUUUCCUUUGUGUGCGAGAUCCAAUUCUCUUUCCUUUUCCUGUUGAAAACCAAAAUCACAACUGUAGAUUAGUGUUCCAUUCUGGAUGCAGAACCUAGUUUGAGAAAAUGUGUGGGGAAAUCAAAAUUUCUAUAUGAAAUCAACAUGAAACUACAAUUUCUGGUGAUUAGAAAACGUUGAUAUGAAACAGCAGAUUUCAGUUUUGAACAUGUAUAGAGUACCAGUACUAGAAAUCAACAUGAAACUACAAUUUCUGGUUAUUAGAAAAAGUUGAUAUAAAAUAGCAGAUUUCGCUUUUGAACAUGUAUAGAGUACCAGUAUUGUUUCAGGUUAUUCCUGCUAUGUAAUUUCUCUUUCCUGCUAUUGUAAACAAAAACUGAGUGGCAGAUCUAUUGUAAAAUUUCUUUCCUGCUAUUUUAUUUACUGUUAUUCUGUAAAAUGAUAUAUGAUAGAAAAGGAAGAAACUCUAUCCUGUUAUCUAAUGUGUGAAAUUAAAAAUUGAAAACACAAAACUGUAGCAGAAAAACAGUACUUCAUGAUAUGUUGUUGAAGAAUACAAAGUCCAAAAAAACAGAUCCAGAAAAUCAGCGAAAAAGGAAUUGUGGUUUGCUACAUAGUUACCACAAGAAGAUUGAAUGCAUCCCUGAUGUUUUUGGUGAAAAACAAAUACAUGUUUCAGGUGGGGCAGCAGGGUAGGGGUGGCAGGUUCCCUAUUCAAUCAAUGUCACUUGGUGAGUUUCAAAUGUAUGGCGACUACAUUUGUGCCCCAACAACAGAUGGUACAGGAGUGUUUGACAAUGCAAAUGCAAUGGAGGCUGCUGUUUCUGUUGAUUGGGACAAAUCUGUAAACAACAUGUUCAUGCCACCAGAGGGUGGUUACACAGGGUUGCUGCUUGAUCAAAUAAGAACAUCACAAGAAAUGUCGCGAGAUACAACUUUUGAGGUGGGUUGUUUGGAGCAAAAACUACAUAAGUUGCUACGCACUUGAUAAAUAAGUAACUACCGCACAUUCAUAUAAGUUGCCGUAGUAAAAAAGGUAUUCCAAAACAUAUGCAUCAUGUACCUUGUUUUAUAUAUCUCAUCAUAAAAAAUGUAGUGGUGCAAACGGAAUUGAAAACGGACACUCCAUAACAAAGUUAUCACACUUUUUUAAUGGUGAAACUUAAAAAAGGAGUGCGGCUACCGAAGCCUACCUCCCUCCCGUCUGAGCUGCAGUACGCUGCAUAGGUCACGCACUCACACGUUGGUGUGACCUAUCGUCCGGUAGAUUUUUCCAUUGUAAAAGGUAAACACUAUUAUAAGCCCUUGUAAUCUUACAAUAUCUGCAUGUUUGAUAGUGAUUUUUUGGGCUACGCUACAGCUCAGCUGCGAUGGCCAACAACAGAACUACAGAAAAAUGCAGCCAACCAGCUGAAUAGGAUGGGAAGGGAGUGUUUAAGCCUGCAAGCCGCAGCUGCAGCCAUCCAAAAACCAGGAGCGAGCAGAGCCUAUGUCAUCAUUUAUUUUUUAUUAAUAUAAUCCAUGAAAUUUAUCGGAGUCAGUACUCUCCGCUGAUAUCAGUGACAAUAUUUUCUAGCUCCGUCCCUGGAUCCGAGUAAACCUUCCAUAUACUAGUUUUCUUACUGUAUAGAGUAAGCCUUCUAUGGAAAAAAUCCUUUUUAUACUCAGCCACAAAGCGACACAUUUACUAAAUUUGAUUGCUCCAACACCAUGACCAACAGCUCCUCGGAUUCCAUUCAAACAACCGAGAUCAACCACUGGAGUCAAUCUAGUUGCCAAACCAUACCAUAGUCCGGCUAACACCAUAGCCCUACUAAUCAUGAAUAAGUCUAAGCCUGCUCUUAGCCAUGAGUCCAUAAUCACAGCUAAUAUACUAGUUUUCUUACUGUACAGAGUUUGCACAUUUCACCCAUGAAUCGUGUUUCCGUUGCGCAUCAUACUUUCUGAGAUGGUCAGCUAACUGGGGACCCACUAGAAGACCUUUACAAAGCUCAGCUAACUGGGGACCCACUAGAAGACCUUUACAAAGCUCCUCCUAGUUGUAAACACCCAUUGAGAUUUCACUGUUGAUAAUUAAACAUUCUCUCACACUAAACAACAGCCCAAAAUUAUGAAUUUUCCUUUCCCGCAGAAGAAAAAAAAUCCAUAGAAGGGCACAUUUGUCUCUAUUUAAGUAAAAUCACCUGUUAUCUCGUUCUUCAAUCUUACGAUUGCUAAUAAUUGGAGGCUUCUUUUGAAGCCUCCACAUGAAGCCAUAUAGGAUCCUACGUGGACACUCUAAAAAGAGAGAGAAAUCUUAGAAAUUCUCUCAAAAAAGCUAAAUAUUUAGCUAUCAAUUCAAAGACUCAAAUCAUCAUAGCCAUUAGAUUCAUUAUAUUUUUUCUAAAAAAUUACCAACCUCUGUUGUUAUGAAAAUAGCUGAAAAAUAACCCCCUAUGUAAAUUACCCACCUCAGCCAUUAUAAGAAUAAAUUAAAGUAAUCUCUAAUCUUCAUAUAAAUUACCCACUAAUGCCAUUAUAAAAAUAUAGUUUAGAAUAACCCCCAUAGUUUGAAUCUAAAUUGCCCCACUAAUAAAAAUAACUCAAAAUAACCCCUUAAAUUUGCAUCUAAACUAUCCACGUAUGACAUUAUUGAAAAUAAUAUAAUGUAAACUCACCUUCAUUAAAAAUAUACCCUAAGGUACAUCAAUAUAUGUUUCUUUAUUGUCUAUUUCUUACAUUGUUAGUAUAGAAAAUAAUGAUUAAGGUAUAUACUAUGAUGUGUGUCACCAUUUAUAAAUAUAUAGAGGAAGUGAUGAUAAGAUUAUAUAUUUACAUAUUAAAAAUAUAGCUAAAAUUUAGGAUCCAUUAAACAAAUUCAAAUGCAUACCUAAGAUGCAAAAUAAAAAAAUAUAAUUGUGGAUGAAAAGGUUAUAGAAUAAUUACUAACGAAAGUUUAUUAUAAUCAAUGAAGAUAAUAAGUAUGUAUCUAUAUAAGUAUUAUGUUAGAAAAUUUAAUAAAUAAGAGAGAGCUCAAUGUAACAAUUUUCAUUUUUAGCUAUGUGUUCUAAUUUUUUUUAUUGGAGACUCCGAAUUAAUUAUCACGAGACACGCUAGGUAAAAAGAUAAAUAGAAAUUCUCACAAAAAUCAGAAACAUCCGGACAUCCAAUCUGUAGACUCUAAUAAUCAUAGCUAUUUGUCUAUUAUAGUUUAUAAAACUUACUCACCAUUACCAUUUUAAAAAAUAUUCUAAAGUAAACUCCUAAAUCUAUAUCUAAAUUACCUACAUAUGCCUUAUAAAAAUUAAUCUAAAGUAACUAUAUAGUUUUUAUUUAAAUUAUCCAUACAUAUCUUUCUAAAAAUAACUUAAAAUAUCUUUCUAAAUUUGUAUCUAAAUUACCCAGGUAUACCGUUAAUAAAAAUAACCUAAAGUAAAUACCUAAAUCUUAAUCUAAUUAUCUGCAUGUUCAUUACGUAAAAAUGUUAAAAAGCAAAUCAAUAUAUGAUACUAAAUUAUCUAUUUCUAUUAUUGUUAAUAUAGGAAUACUAAGCUGAGGUAUAUAUGCAUAAUAGGUGUCACUAUGUGGACCGUUUAUACAUGAAUUCGAGGAAGCGAUGAAAAAUACUAAUUUUAUUUUCAUAUUAAAUAUAAUGUAUGGAGGUGCGAUGUAAAGUGAAAAAUGUAUGAAUGUGGAUGAAAAAAUAUAUAAAGUAAUUACUAAUUAAAAGUCUAUCACAACUGGAUAAAGAUAAGUAUACAUCUAUGUUAAAUAUUAAAUAAAUGAGAGAUGUAGAUAAACAAUUUUAACUAUUAAUUAGGGAUCUAAUUGUUAAAUAAUUUUUAAUACAAUCGCUCUUAAAAUUAUUAGCCCGUGCGAGAACAAGUUGAUGGACUAGUGUUUUACAAUCAGGAACAAGUUGCCCUUUCGCACUAGCCCCAUGAUUCAACUUGGCACAUGCGAUCCAUCUGGUAGGUGCCUGGUCUCCUCCGUAGCAUCUCGAUCUGGCUCCUUUUGCGUAGUAUGUUUGAUCCUGCAGAUACUGAAGCACAUGAGCCCAUGUGGGCAGGCUCCUCGGUCAACUAUAGACUUUCAUCCAUUCAACUAUCUCCGACCCCACAACACUAACACCGCCGAAAUCCGUAGCUCCUGCAGUUCAACAUUUUGGACUCAUGGUGCCUCCUUGAACACUCUGCACCUUAAUUGGAUCACAAAAUGGGCAAUUGCUGCUGGGAAUUUCCUUGCUGAAUUGUACAGUUUCUUCUAAGGCCACAUCCAUGGAAGCCGCCAGCAGCAAGAUAUUCCCCAGCUUGCUGCUGAAUCUUGCCUUCUUGUUCUUGCCAUGUCUCUCUGCCGCCGUCUCGUCCAACCAGUCGUUCCAAGCAAGCAUGUCGAAAGGACCCAUCCAUCGUGACAAAUCCGUCUUCGCCGACGAGCGGCACUGCCAGCCCGUGCUCUCCUCAGCCGCGGAGCUCAGGUAUGGCGCUGACAGUGACGGCAGCCUGAAGUACAGGAUAUCAUUCAUAAAUGGCGACUGGUGCCAGGACGCCGGCCAAGCUCCCCUGCUUCCGUCACAUGGAAGCUCUGCCGACGCCGCUGCGGCUGGUCCUGAGUUGCCUGAAGCGGUUCCCCUCGCGUCCUUCAUGCUCUUGGAGAUGAGCGACAUGGUGCCACGGCGAGGGGCCCGGACCGCCCUCAACGCCAGCGGGGUCCUUAGCCUCACCAUCACCCGCAACAACGGCUCAUCGCACAUGGAACUACAAGCGUCGCCGGAGUUCCAGCUUUUGCCAGGGGUCGCCAGGCUCCUCAUACAUUUCCAAGGUGUGUAUACCGAGACGAAGUCGUCGGGGAUUGGUGACGACGGCAGCGCCGGCGGCGAGAGGGUGCUCUGCAUGGUCGGAGACACUGUCCUCCCCGUCUGCGACAGCAACUGCACGGACCUGUGGGAGUGGACCAAGAACCGUGGCAGCGGCAACAUCCUGCUCGUGCUACGGUACCCGAAGGCGGCCACGCUGACAACUCGCGCCGUGCGCGGCGAGAUGAGGAGCACGAGCGCCAAGUCCGAUGCUGCCUACUUCGACACCGUCCGCUUGGUGUCGCAGCUCGCCUUAGGGUACGGCUCCGAUUACCGAUUCCAGCCAGAAGAUGCGGAGCUCUAUACCGUCGCUGUCGCUGGGUGCAGCGACGACCCGCUCUUCCAUGACGGCGACGCCAUGGACAUGGAGAGCCUGAACAGCGGCGCCUCUCUCUGCGACGUCAUCUACCAAUCCGGUCCCGACCGCCUGAACCUGGUGAUGGAAGUGAUUCCAAACCGGGACUGCAAGGGGACCGACGCGUUCUGCAGCCGUGUCGGGCCGUUCGAGACCACCGGCCGCCCCGGCACGAGCGCUACGGAGGACACGGCGUUCACCCGUUCCGCCACCGUCGCGAUGCAGGGCCUCAAGUGCGAGUGGACGUCCAGCGUUGGCGGCACGGCGGCGGCGGCGAGGGUGGCGGCCGUGUUCCGCUACGUGCCGCCAUGGGAGCACCAGCCCACGGCGGCGUGGCGUACCGGCCUGAGCGGCGCGACCCUGUCGAGCGAGGGAGUGUGGAACGCGUCCACGGGGCGGGCUUGCAUGGUGGGCUGCCUCGGCGUCGGCGAGGAAGCGUGCCGCUACCGCGUGACCCUGUCCGUCCGGACGGCGUUCUCCAUGACUCGCCGCGGCUUCCUCGUCGGACGGAUGACCGCCAUGGACGGGAGCCACGCGCCGCUGUCGUUCCAACAGCGCGUGGACCCCCGGUUUGGUCGCUACGGGGCGUCGCCGGCGUCGCUGCGCAUGUCGUACAGCUACACCAAAGUCGAGCAGGCUCGGGAGCUCCUCCUUCGGCGCAGCGUACCGUCUGGAUUUCGUGACAGCUUCGUUGCCAAGUCGCUGCUCAGCUAUCCGAACAUCGCCGGCGAUGUCGAUGACAUGGUGAGCCUCUCCAACCUCGCCGACAACCUUGGUCUCCGAUUUCAGUGCGUGGGGAAGCUGCCGUUUGUGCCGGAAUGGAUCGAGGAGCCCUGCUUCGAACUAGAGAUACUCUCUGUCGGCACCCUCGUCGGAAGCUACUCUCCCCAAUUUCAGGGUAGCAGGUCUAGUACGUGGAUCGAACUACUUCGUAGAGUCCGUGCCGUGGAAAAUCAGCAGAUACUGAACGUGUCCGCGGGGUUCACGGCAUCCAGGAACUUACUCAGUCCGAUUCCGGUGAUGUCGGUGGAGGGCGUGUACAACCCCGUGGAUGGGCGAAUGUACCUGAUCGGCUGCCGGAACGUCCACGCGCCAUGGCGAGUCUUGUCGGAGAGAAGAGACGACCUUGAAGACGGGAUGGACUGCUCCAUAGAGGUGACGGUGGAGUACCCGCCGACAACGACGCGGUGGCUGCCGAUCGGCCAGACGGCGAAGGUCUCCGUCGCCAGCACGAGGGAGGAAGACGACCCGCUGCACUUCGCCAGGUCCGAGCUCCGCACGGUGCCCGUCGUGUACCGUGACCAGCCGUGGGACGAGCUGGUGAAGCCGGUUUUGGAGGGGAUUCUCUGCAUCACCGUGCUGUCGGUUGCUCGAAUUGUUUUUGUGCCUGCUGCGUUUUUUCAGCUGUUCGGAUAGACGUUCUUUGAGAUCCAGCCAACGGUAAAUGGUAAGUAGUAAAUGGUUUCUUAUGCAAAUUAAUCACCUGCCGGUGUAAGGGCUUCGCAUUGUUGGCCGAGACGGUGAGAGCGUGACAAUUUCCUCGCAUCUGUAAACUCCAAGAGGUAGAAGGGAUCUUAGACACAAGCAACAACAAUAACAACAACUAGCCAAAUCCCAGCCUUACAAUUCCACACACUUUAAAAAUAGAGAAAAGGAAAUCCUCGUUCUUCGUUUGCAGCGAACAAAACAACGGUGUGGUUGUUAGAUAGAAAAACACAAAACGGCGUGCUGCACUAGGCCGGACAUCCCAUUUAUAAUGCUGCACUGCAUAGCACCAGCUUCAACGAUACCAAGUUCUAGUUGUGUAUGGUCAGAAAUGGUGUUGAGGUGGAACGACGGCAGCAGGGUCGCACGCUUCAGGGCGAUAUGGCUCAGCCUCGCCGCCUGGGCCCUCUAUGCUCUCCUCAGGGCGCCGAACACGCCGGGCCUCGUCGUCAUCGUCGAAGUCGUCGAGGUGCUGCUCGCAGCCAUUUUCCUCGCCACCAUGGCGCAGAUGGUAUUUUGCCCGGAGCACAUCGUCGGGCCGCGGCCCGGGGGUGACGACGGCGAGGGCGACGCGGCCGUCCUUCCGCUGGUUGACGGUCAGGUGCCUCGCGUCACCGACGACGAUGAGUCGCUCCCCAAGGUGCAGCCGGCGCGGCAGUGCACGGCGAGCGCCCGGGUGGAAGGGGUUCGGGCCGUCGUCGCGCGUUCGUACGAGCACGGCGGCGAGGUCGACGGCUUCGUGGCAGAGUGCGCGGUGUGCCUGGGCGAGGUGGAGGAUGGGGAGCUCGUGAAGCGGCUGCCGGUGUGCCUGCACGUGUUCCACGGGAUGUGCAUCGACGUGUGGCUGCGCGGCCACUCGACGUGCCCGGUCUGCCGGUGCGGCGUCUUCGCACCGUCGGCGGGUGAGAUGGUGUGAGCGAGUGUGUGACAGCUUCCCUGCGUCUGUGCUUGCCGUUUCCAUGUUUCUUUCGAGCACUGGUAAUGGGCGGAAAACAGUAGCAUCCUCAAUUUGUCACCCCCCAUCGAUAGAACUAAUGAACUGGUCCAGCUCGCGUGCAGGCCUCAUCAUGGCCAUUUGACGCGAACAGUCUGCCCGGAAGAAGAAAAAAAUUACAGCAGUGAUUUUCAGCUCCUAAAUCAGAUAUAACUAGGUUAGAUAGUCCGUUCUCGACUUACUAUCGGUUGGUCUUAAGAUCGGGUUCAUGGGGUGUACGGUGUACCGCGCAAGACUAUGGUCAUCGUAGUCUACAAAAGCAUGUUGAUGAGCUCGCAUAAACCGGGGUUGUGUCCUCGUGUACAUCAUUAUCCGAGCAAAGGUCACGUGAGUUAAUGCCCACAACCCCGCCCACCGGUCCACGUCAAGCGCGGCUAGCCACAGUUCAAACUUUGGCGCCUCAGAAGUACAUCAGUUUACCGGAUCCCACGUAUCGAUAUGUGAUUAGGGUGUUCAAAGCUUGAUCAAAAGCCACCAAUCCCUUAGUGUCCUGUGUGCAUCACAGGUAGGAUUUGUUUCCAUACAGCUACAGUUUCACUAGUUUGGAAAUUGCAUGUCCAUGGAGAUAGCUCAUUUGGUUUAGGGACACAGCCACACAGGUCAUAAGUAACAAUAAGAAUCAAAACGCAACGAUGAGCUUUAUUCAUACAGAGCAACUAAAUUGGAUGGAAACAGGAGUAUUCGUAGGUGUUUUGGGCCAUAAGCAAAUAUAAAGAGGAGCUAACCUGACUUAAGUUGCUGCCACAGUAGCUAAUAAGAGGCAGCCAACUCUAAAGGUUGCUAGUUAGGCUUAUGAAUUAGCCCCUACGAAGAUACGAAAAUAUUUAUCACAUUAUCUUAGCAAUUCUUGCCAGGCUAAGAGGCAGGGCCGGCCGGGGGGAGGGGGGUGCAGGGUGUGCGACCGCUCCGGACCCUUAAAUUCCAAGGCUCCCAAAUCCCAGAGGUACGGUAACGGUAACAUAAUCUUUAGGAAAACGGUAAUGCUUAUGUUCCAAAUAGUAUUAAGGUGGGGUCCAGAAAAAGGUAGUCUUUGUUACUGCCCCGUCCACAAUGGUUCACAAUAAAAGUAUAUUAAGGUGUGGACCCACUUCGUGGUUAAAAAAGGGUCCAAUUCAUCUACCGCACCCCCUCAUCCCUAUCACCUCAUCCUACUGCUGGUCCUCUCUCCCGCUCGCAUCGCGCGCCCGCCGCCCCUUGGCGGAACGGCGGACGGACGGAAAUCAGAUAGGAGAUCGUCAAUUCGCUUAUGUGAUUAGGUGAUUCGAUUGCUAAUUCCCUAAUUCUCCAUACCAUUAAUUAUUAAUUCACUAUCAUAAGUUAUUUAAUCUUAACUGAUUUAUAACUAUUGUAUAUUUAUAAUAAUUUCAGUACUAUGGGAUAUCAUGUCGUCUACAAAAUAUGAAUCAAGUAACGAGAAAAGGAAAAGAAAAGGACGUGUGGAUGAGUUGAUAGAAUCACAGAGAUGAGCUAUGGGUAAAUUUUGCAAGAGUAAUCAGGGUUCUGAGAGUAAUACGGGCGCUUUGACAAACCCAGAUAAGUUAGCAAUAGUUGUUGUGGAUGAACCAACUAAUGGGAAUCAGGAAGAAAAUGUUAACAUCAACGUUGAUGAUAACAAUGUAAGUGAAUCUGAGAACACAGUAAAUGCAUCAUGUGUACAUGCACAAUCUGCUAGUGUUGAUGAGCAACCAGUUUAUACUUUAGAUAUUUAUGAUCUAAGAAAUUAGGAUAAUCUUGAUAAUAAAGCAAGAGACAUAUUAGUCGAGAAAAGGCCUAUAAGAGAAGAAAAUAUCGAAUUUCCUAAGUGACUUUGCAUCGAGGAAUAUUACAAAAUAAUAUAAUAUGUAUAAAUAAUUUGAUAUGAAUAUUAUUUUUAGAUACAUUUAAUUAUUUAUUGGUAACAUUUCAUAUAUAUUUAUUGGUAACAUUUCAUAUAUAUUUGUUAUAAUGUUUAUAUUAAAAAGGCUCCGAGUUUUACUUUCGCAUCGGACUUCCCGAAUCUUAGGACCGGCCCUGCCAAGGGGUCAUUUUAAUCCUAGACAAAUGUAUAGAUCACUUAGCGAUGUAGCUCUCGGAGGAAUAAAAUUAUUUUGUGAACAUAAUGUUUUGUAGUCUUGUUGAGCCAAGCAUAUAACUUUUGGAUAUGGUCGUGCUUUCUGUAGAAGGAAAAAAAAAGAAAGGCAGGAAAUAUGAAAUGUAGAAGAAGCUUGGAUAUAUCUGGAGCACAAAAGAGGAAGACAGGGACAGCAGGAAUUCUCACCGGAUUAGGCUCGAAGGAGCCGCCGGCUACCGGCGUUAACCCAGGCUCGUCCCGUUGAUCCGUCCAGCCGCUGAGGUGCUGCAGCGUAGGAACAGAGGGAAUCCAAAUCGAGGAGCCUUAGCACCAGCUGGGAGGGGAUCUGAAGAGGCUCGGAGCAUCCAUCGCGGUGAGCACCGCCGAUGAAGCCGACGACCGCAUGGCUCGACCGCCUCGGCGACGGCAAGCAUCGGCGGAGCGGGCGGUGUCCGUUUCGGCCAAACGAUAGGAGGGCGAAAUAUUGAGGAGGCAUUGACGACGCGCACGGCAGGCGAAGCCCAAUAACAGGAGGCCUAGACGACGGAAGCAGAUUGCGAUGGGCCAAGACGACACAUGGGCCAGGAUGUCCGUUGAAACGGGAGGCUGGAAAUGGUAAAAAAAAAAAAGCCAGGCACACAAAGGGUGCACCCGUCAGAGAGCAAUACAGUUAAACGAAGAGUUCCCUCUCAAAAAAAAAGUUAAACGAAGAGUUAAUUUUUUAGUCUUGAACAGUAACUUGAUGGCCUGGGAGGCUCCUUUUUCUUCCUGCCUAUGAGGUUAGUUAUUAUUAUUAUGUCCUCGCACUCGGUAACCCUUAAACCCUAACCCCAGCUACUUUAAAAAAAAAUUAAAUUCGAUGGUGGCGCAUUGUUGGAGACGAAUAGGUGUAUGUUAAUAAUACCCAUGACACUAGGCACCGCACAACACAUUGACGAGAGGAAGAUGCGCAUGGUAUUUAGCGCCCAACAUGUGUGGUGACCCAGGAGCAGCAACCGUGAUGGCUAGGAGAAAGCGGGAAGCCCACGUACAUUGCCAAGUGUGUCGCCUCACGGCAUAGAUUUACUACUGGCGCACGACACUAGCUGACAAGUGGGUCCAUGUGCGAAGGGUAAUUUUGGCCGCCCAGCUUUCUUCUUCCUCCUUUCUUCUUCCUCCGUUCGCCUCCGCAUCUCCCGCACGCGAGCUCUGCAAGUUAGGGUUUAGGGUUGCCGGGGGUGGGUGUGGUCUUCUCCAGCGAGUUCACAGGUACAGAGGAGGCAGGGGCGUCACGGUGAGCUUCUCAAUGGAACACAAUUAAGGGUCGGUGGCGGACGGUGGUGGCAGAUUCAGCAGCUCCGGCCGCCGGAGUUGAUGGAGAAGGACGGUGCGGGUGCGAGGAGAGGAGAGACGGUGUCAGAUAGAAGCAGCUGAUUCGGCGGCAGGAGCUGCCGGACACGAGGAACAUCGGCGCCGUUGGGGCACGAUGGCAAGCAGCUUGUUGGCGGAUGUCCGAGGAACAUCAGCGCCGCAAGGGCACGACGGCAAGCAACUUGUGGGCGGAGAGGAAGACGAGAAGCUUGUGAGCUUAUUAUUGGGCCACUGAAGGCGAUAGCUGUGGAUUUGUCGCCUUCGGCAAUAUCUAGAAGCGCCCUCCUCUCUCGGCAUCUCAUGAAUCAUGUCUGCAAAAGGAAAAAGGCUUUGACGCGUCUAAAGGCUUAUACAUCCGUUGCACAGUGAUACAGUUCUUGUUUUUUUAGGGGUGAUACAGUUCUUGUGAACUGCCGUACACUCAGUAAUUCAGUAUCCAACAAUUUACGUGCAGAGAAAAUUAAGCCUUGGCCACUUUGCCUAACAGCGCGCGCCGCAUGAGAUAUAUUUACCCUGGGCUGCUAGGCCGGCCCGAGAAGAUAAAUGCCAGACGGGGCUCAGAUCGUCGCCGUGGGCCGCCCAUGAACUACUCCAAUGUUCACCACGAGCUCCUCCACCGCCCGUUCGGGCGCCGCCGGCAGCACGCCAGACCGGCAGACCGGGCACGUCACGUGCCCGCGCAGCCACAGGUCGAUGCACUCCCUGUGGAACACGUGCCGGCACGCCGGCAGCCGCCGCACCGUCUCCCCCUUCUCCACCUCGCCAAGGCACACCGCGCAGUCUUCGGCCGCGCCGCCAUCGACGUCGACGUCGCCCAGGUACUCGUAGCUCGGGAUGCGACCCGAGGCGAGGGCGGCCUGCAUCUCCACGCGGCGCGUCAUCGGCUGCUCGUGCUCGGGGUGGCGGAGGGCGUGCGACGUCUCCCGCGCCGUCGUUUCUUGGUCGACGCCGACGAAGGACUCGCCGUCCGCUAGCUGCUGGCCGCCUCCGGACGCGGAGCGCCAGCGCGGCCAGGGCGGGCGCCUGAGCUCGGCGUAGAAGUGGAGGCAGAGGAUGAGGCUGGCGGCGGUGCAUAAGGCGGCGAACGCGGCGAAGAAGAUGGCGCGGCCCUCGCGCGGGCGGUGGACCAGGAGGAGGACGGCCACCGGCGCCGUGACGAAGCCGCUCGCGAAGACGGCGUGCGCCACGACGAAGUCGCGGCUCCACCGGCAGCAGGUGUCCGGCUCGUCGGCGGACAUGGCCCGAGCGCCGCAGCCCGUCGAGACUGACGCGGCCGCGUGCGUGACCGGUACGGAGAAAACUUUAGCUGUACGGACGGACGGCUAGAUACCUUCGUAUUUAGCAUUGCACGGAACGGAGAUUACGUGAGUUAAUUGGUGGCAUUCGCAGUAAAAAAAUUGGGCGUCUUGGACGGAGCGCAUCUCUGUGUCCGUCGCUGCAAAAUGUGGGCAGCACGCCGCGCGCUUAGUUGAGGUCAUUGUGGAGAUGCAAACGAUGAGUUUCUGCGCGUCAACUGCGUGUUUUCUUGUCUUUGUUUUUGGAUGGUUUCACUUUCAUAGCAUGUAUCAUCGUUUUGGAAUUGUAUACCUUGCUCUCACUUGUUUCUACUAGUAAUUAACUGGCUAUGAUUGCGAGUACUUAAAGACGAUCCGUCGACUGUAAUGUUUGAAAAGGCUUUUUUUUUUAACCAAUGUAGGAGUACAGCAUACUACUACUGUUGUGUGAGCCACAAGGCUUUGGCGUGGGCCGGAAUGUGAACAGAAAGAAAACCAGGCCGGAUUGAGCUAGUCUGUAAGUCCUUCCGGCCCAAUACUCUUGGAGAUCUGGCCCAAAUGCCCAACGCGAGCUGCUCAUUCCCAGCCUGCUGGUCUGGCGCUUUUCAGGUGUUCCAAGUUUAAACCGGCUGCUCUGUUAAGCCAAAUCAAAGAGGAUUGUUUUCGCCAAAAAAAAAAUCAAAGAGGAUUGAAAAAAAAGGUCUAAACUGUAUGGCAGCACCCGGAGGCCAGGAGCUGCAGUUUUUGUGGACCUUUGCAUCAUGUCACCAUCCUAACCGUGCAUAAGGUGUCCUGCUUUGAAUGGGUACCGGAUGUCCAGGGAGAUUCUCCUGGUCUCUGGAGUAGCCUGCAUGGAUGUGACGUGGGCAGUCACUAUGCACGCCUCCUUAAUCAAGGGAUAUUUCUCGACAAAUGCGUCCACAUUCCACUCGCAUGUGACCUGACCCGACCUCUCCGGUUGGGAGAUUGUCGAGCGUGACCGGAAAAAGAUAAGCAGAAGUAUCAUUUGGUUAAGCAGAAGUAUCAUUUGGUUCGCCAUAGUAGCCCAGUGUUCUUCUACUGCAGUUAACCGCAGAAACCACAGGAGCUAAACGAGCAUUUGGUAACUUUUCCCCGUAGGAAAGACGUUGAGAUCGCGAGGGGGAGAUGAAGCCGGGGAACUCAGGAGUCUUGUCAAACCCAAGUACGCAAACGCAAGCCUAAAAGCACUGCCCCACCCAGCACAAGCGCACAGCAUGCUGAUGCGAGCACGCACUCCACACCACACUCGAUUGAAACAGAUACUAGCUCGGUCCGUGCCAUGCCGUCAUUCUGGCAGCACCACUCCACUCCGGAUGCAGGUGCAACGUCCAAUCCUUGGGCUCCCUCCUGCCCCAGUUUGUCUGCCUCUCUUUCCAAAGCCGCGACUGUUGCAAACUUGCAAUUUGGACCAGCAUGCCAGUGUUCUCGUGGAGACGAACGGAUUGGUAUUUGGUACCCCGUACAUGUCGCUCGCGCUGGGCCGCUGGGGGCAUCCAAGUACCGACGAGGCGACGACAGGAUCCACACCAGGUCAAAACUGCGGCCGUCCUCCCUCCCGGCCGGCCGGACAGAGGAAACGAUGGACGUCGCGUGCGUUCGCAACGUACUCCUCCAUAAAAAGGGCGGGUCAUCAGCAGGACAAAAACUCGAUCGUCGAUCCGUGCGUGCGUCAGCCGUUCUUGCCUUGGUAGUGGAGUUGACUACUGGUGCUGCCUGCACCCGCUGCUGCCUGCUGCAGCAGCAUUUUUUUAUACUGGGCGAUGAGGUUGCAGUCGUGGCCAACGGCAGCAUGCAGACUUGCAGAGGCAGGUGAAGCUGAUGCGUGCCGCUGACCUUUGCGGAUGCCUUGACUGGGCGCUGUAAAUUCGGGGUGGACGUGCAGGUCACGUCCGGCGUCUCGUCGCCGGAGAAUGGAAUCGCGCGGAGCAGAGCCCCCGCGCCGGCCGAUAGCAAGGUCGGUCCCUCUUGGAUUGGAUCCCGAGCCAUGGGCCAUGGCCGAUGGAUCAGUCAAACGGACGAGUGGCACGGGCACUGCCGACCUCUGCUUCUCCGGCCAAUCUCCGUCGCGUGAGAGAGAUGAUCUUGUGACCGGCAGGCAGGCAGAGGCAGAGGCUCUGCCCCGGUUUGGUUGGUUUCAUUUCAUGGCGAUGGUAUUCCCAGCUUUUCGAGCGCUGGCGCUGCGUUGGCCGAAAGAUCUCGGUGCGGCUUCUCGUGGCCGCCUGCACAUGAACCGAUGAACGAACGAUCAUCUCACACGCCGCAAGGAACAGAUCGCUGCGCCACUGACAAUGCCCAGUGGGUUGACCCGGUUGAGCGCUUUGGGCCGCAUCUGCAUGGCAUGGCAGGGCCCCUGUGUACCAAAAGGUAACUUGGAGGGAAAUGGCGGUAUAUUUCUUUUCAGAAAAAAAUGGCGGUAUCUUAAUUUGAAGGGAAUGAACAUUAGUGUGUGCGAUGUUGUUUGCAAGUGUACAACUUCCCCAGAAGAAUCUUGGAGCAUGGGACUGUUUUCUCCAUAAUUCUAGAGAAACUACAAAUCCAAGUCUGUCUCUUGUUUUUUUUCAAUUCGUUCCGAUCAGGGUCUGUUCGCUUCAGCUUAUAAGCCGGCUGAAAAGCUGAAACGGCUGAUUUGUUGUGAGAGGAAAAUACUGUUUGGUGGCUGAUAAGCCAGCUGAAUAAGCUGAAGCGAACAGGCCGCAGAUUUCCGAGAUGCACCUACUCUAGCUCCUGAGCAUGCAACUCUAAAUGAUCUCUACUGCUUGCUCUAAGUAAACUGUAAACCCGGUGCCCUUUCAUUCCUCCUGAUUUAGGGGUUGUUUGGCAACAGGGUGUUAAAAUUUAACACCCGUCACAUCAGAUGUUUGAUGCUAAUUAGGAGUAUUAAAUAUAGGCUAAUUACAAAACUAAUUGUACAGAUGGAGUGUAAUUCGCGAGACGAAUCUAUUAAGCCUAAUUAGUCCAUGAUUUGACAAUGUGGUGCUACAGUAACCAUUUGCUAAUGAUGGAUUAAUUAGGCUUAAUAGAUUCAUCUCGCGAAUUAGCACAGGGUUCUGCAAUUAGUUUUAUAAUUAGCUCAUGUUUAGUUCUCCUAAUUAGCAUCCGAAUAUCCUACGUGACUCUGUUAAACUUUAACACCUCGCUUACUUAACCACACAGUCAUGCAUGUGCUUGUCUUUUGUCUAGGUCUAUGGCGUGACCUCCUCUUGUGCUAAAUAAAGUCACCGGGUGCCCUAUCUUUCUUUAUAGGGCACCUAUACUAGCUGCCCUGGCUUUUCUUUUGCUUUUUUCUAAAGACAGACAUUCUCCUGGCUUUGGAAACUUCCUCCACUAGACAGCCUCCGCUCAUUGAUGCUAGCACAACAAGAUGAUCACUUACACAGGUAAUUAAAUUUGGCAACAAGUCAUAAUCAUUACCACCAUCGUCGACCGUAGGAGUAUAUCGGCUUGCACUCAAAUACUCCCUUUUUAUUUACAAUUUAUUUACAAGGUGCACAUGCAUAUUAAGAUUAAAACUUUACAAUCUAACCAAUAAUUUGACUAUUAAUUUUUUUAUUUUUAUAAUGUAAACUUUAUAUGCUUGGUACAAUGAUUAUAAUUUUAUAACCAUAAAUAAUAUAAUAUAAUAUAAAUGAAUGGUUAAAGUGUUUGGAAGACCGUGUUGAGUCAUACCAUACCUUAUAAACAUAGAUGGAGGGAGUACUCACUAACAUUAACAUUAAUUGUUGCCCGAGAAAGUAUCAUUAGAUUUGUUGUGAAAAAUGUUAUUACUAUAAAGUUUUAUUACCAUUCGAUACAUAAUAACUCGUGGUGGAAGUUAUAUACUAUCGUUCUAUAAUCCAAUUGUUAAUGCGCCAAACAUCAUACGUCUCAUCUAGCCAAGCUAAGAAGUUCAAUGAAAAAACAGAAAUCACAAAAGUGCAUGACCAAGUUGUCUUCUUUGGAUCCACCAUGCAUGUGACCCCUACCUUCUCAUAGAUCCUUGUGUCCAAAGGACUGGCCGACUGUUCACGAGACUAUAUGGUUGGCAUCCAUCCCUCCUGUCCUCUCUGCCGCCUGAAACAAUAGAGUAGGUUACCCCAUGAUAAAGAUGAUUACGAAGCCCGUGACGGCCGUGAGACAACUGAUAGACAAUCGAGGCUACAGAAAAUGCCCUUGCACAGUUGCACGCCUACUUUGGAUGACAAGAAGCUCGCCCAGCACGAAAGAAGCAGCAUGCAACAACCAACAACUCUGGGUGACAAGGAUGUAGGCGGAAUGGCCAACCGCGCGGAGAUCGAGGAGAGGGUGCAGACGUCAAAGAAAGGUGGUAAAGGGCAGGGCCGCCAGCCCCAGCCGCGAUCGAGCGAAAGUCGCCACACCCACCGCCCGCAAUCCAUCCCAUAUUCUUCGGCCUCUGCUGGCUGCCGGCUGCCGCCUGCCCUGCCCCUAGCAGCUCGCCUUGUCUGCCUCGUCACCCUUUUUCAAAGGCAUCGACGAACGAACGAACAUGGACUAUGGUCAUACCUCAUGCAGUCAUGCUCUCUGCAGAAAAGGGUCAGAAUGCAGGCACUUUUUCACGUGACGGGUCAAAACCCCAACAUGGCCUACGGUACGGCCCGUCAAAGUGGCCUGUCAGACAAACUCGAUCAAUAGUGCAUCUGUGGCUGGCCUGUAGACGACGGCGAGAGGGGUCGAGUCCGUAACGUACCUCGCCUGCACCAGCCGGGUCUUCUUUCUCAUUUCUGCAGUAGUUCGUCGUGCCGUGCAUCAUCACCAUGCAUGCCGUUCGCCUGUUCCUGGGUGCCGGACGGGACCUACUGCGGCUUCGCACUGUGCGUCUGUACCCUGCUCCCUGUGGACUCUCUGUGCUCACGCGUCUUGUCAAAGCAACCGGGGGCAGUGGGGCACGACCGGUGGCCGGCCACGUCCGUCACUUUGCGGCCCGGCCCCUCUCGCGCGCGGAGGAAUCUCGCGUCACAGGUAGGCGCGGCCACAGGACAUUGUCCCCGGCCGCCGGACGGGAGGAAGAAAAAGUGGUGAGGCGGGCGAGCGCAGCCGCCGGGUGGUGGCCGGGUAUGCGCGGCCACUGGCGGCUUCCCGUGGCGAGUCACAUGGCCCCGGCCGGCUGCCGUGCGGCCAUGCCAGAGCCAGACUGCUGAAUAGUUGAUGCUGUCCACGGUAUAUACGUACUGUAUAUAUCAAUCUCGCGGUCAGGGUCAGGCAGCCUUGUCCUGGGAGAUGGAGAUGGAGAGCAUUCCGAUGCUGGGCAGCCUCGACCAGCACUGGAGGUGCGGAGGGAGACAGCCCUGUACGGGCCUUUUAGCGGUGCAGGGCAGGACGCGUGGACUUUUUACCUCUUUGCCCUUUCCAUAAUUUUUUUCUAGUGGGAUCACUUCACUUAGGCGGUGUUUGGAUACCCAUGCUAAAGUUUAUCACAUGUCACAUCGGAUGUUUGGAUACUAAUUAGGAGUAUUAAAUAUAGACUAAUUACAAAACUAAUUACACAGAUGGAGUCUAAUUCGCGAGAUGAAUCUAUUAAGCCUAAUUAGUCCAUGAUUUGACAAUGUAGUGCUACAGUAACCAUUUGCUAAUGAUGGAUUAAUUAGGCUUAAUAGAUUCAUCUCGCGAAAUAGCAUAGGGUUCUGCAAUUAGUUUUCAUGUUUAGUCCUUCUAAUUUGUAUCCGAACAUCCAAUGUGACACUGCUAAAAUUUAGCACCUAGUAUCCACAAAACUGAUGAAUACUUACUUGAGCAAAUAUUCUCGGUCGAAGCUUGGACACUAGUGAUCGACCACUCUGAAAUGGACGAGGCAGGUACAUCAUCGCGGAAAUACCGGUGAUUUUGCACACGAAUGGACCCAACACAGCAUGGGUGGCGACUGACGAGGGACAAAACCGGAAGUGGGAAAAGAAAAACGGGGCAAAAUGUAUAUUCCACCGUCCGACAACCACAUUUGGAGGUGCUGCAAAUGCUUCUGCAAUCAGCACGUAUUAUUGGUUGUUGCCCAACAGUAGACGCGCACGCCGUGUCAUCGUGGCUCUUAUAUUUUCUUAGCAAUCUAACUCAGCCUCAGCCUCUUCUAAUUUUUAGCUCAAAAUCUUAUAUUAUUAUGGCCCAGAUUCUUAAAUUUACUAGGCUAAAUUAAAGGACCCUUUACCACCCAUAGUCACACCUAAAAAAAGAUUGUGGCUAGCUAAAAUAUAUUUUUUUAAAAGAGCUAAAAUCAUUAUUCCACUACCACUUGUAGUACAAGGCAGUAGUGGGCCGGUGCAAGCCUGAGUCAAACAAGAUUCCGGUAUUGAUAUCGGUGCCGGCAGUAGAAAGAGAGUUCAUGAACAACAUAACAAACAUCAAUCUUGAGCAUAAAAUCCAAACCCUAUCACCUCAACAAUACAAGUAACAACUAAGGGCAUGUACAACCCAUAGACAAGUAAUAACUAUCUGUAUAGCCCGUGCUCCGAGGACGAGUCGACGGGUCGGCGCGUGUUGUGCGACCUCGUCGCCGUUCAAGGACUGCUCCUCCGGAUCAACUGCGACAUGUGAGAAAUCGAAGGCGCUGCGUGCGCCAAAUCCCCUUCCGCACCAGUCCACCACCAUACAUUCCCUUCCCCACUAGAUGCCAGAUGACAGGCACGGCGGCAACGGUUGUUAGGAAGCAGAAGGGCACGGCGGCAACGGUUGUUAGGAAGUAGAAGGGCACGUCAAUGCAGCGGCUGACCGUGUCUUGGUUACGUCAUUAGAGCGGAAGAAGAGUGCGGCAGCGGCUAGGAAGUGGAAGGGCAGUCUCCGGCUCUAUUGCUUCCUCACUGAUGGGCCCAGCAAGAUAGAAAGCAGAGGAGGCGGCACGGCGGCAGAUUGCUCACAGCCGGACAAUGCCCCCUCAGCCGACGGCAGCCAACACCUCCGUCUACAAUCAGUGUGUAAUGCCCCUUGGCCGCCAGCGAUCGCCGUCAACGUGAGUACACACGAGAAGAUCGAAUUCGUGAGAUUAGGGAGGAGCAACGGGUCCCUUUACCUUUCACUGUUCUAUUGCUGAAUGAAUAAAGACGAGUUCAACACGACACCCUACCCAUGCCUUCAACCCUGGUUCACCGCCAUCGUUUAUAAAAUGCAAACUCACAGUUAGAAAAUGUAAAGCUAUAGAAUACGCCUCUUGUAGAUUAAAGACUCUCCCGAACUCACAGCUAGAAAAUGUAAAGCUACAAAAUACACCUCUUGUAGAUUAAAGACUCUCCCGCCUCUUUUGUCUUCUGGUACUACGCCUCCUCAGCCGUGACAUCUUCCCCCGUUGGAAUACUUGCUUGUCCCCAAGCAAUUGCAUCAGGAAAACAAGUCUUGAGCACAUAGAAGUCCUCCCAUGUAGCAAAUUCAGCUGGAAUGUGCUUUCACUUGAUCAACACCUGAGGUAUUGCAUUGUUGCCUUUCUUCACCAGUCUUCUCUCCAAAAUUACUUCAGGAACCACAUCAGUAGUAUCCAAUGGCACCUGCUUUGGCAGCUUAGAAAACAAUGGAGUAUGAUCAGGAACAAAGCUUUUGAGUUGUGAAACAUGGAAUGUUGAAUGUAUCUGACUUGAUGGAGGCAGAUCCAGUUUAUAAGCUGCCUGCCCAAUCUUUUCUACCACUGAAUAAGGUCCAAAGUAUUUCAUAGACAACUUGGGAAAUGGUCCAUUAACUAAAAAGGAUUGAGCAUAAGGUUGUAGCUUCAAGAGUACUUUGUCUCCAACCUAAAAUUGAACAUCAGUUCUAUGCUUGUCAACUGCAAGUUUCAUUUUUGUUUGUGCCCUUAACAAUUGUUCCUUCAACAUAGUCAGUUGUACUUCUCUGUCCCCAAUAAAAUCCGAUACUAGAGCAUGAGCAUCAAGUAGAAUAGAAGGUCUGACUCCCAGAUCAGGAUCAUAGCCAUAUAAUGCUUUAAAAGGUGAACACCCUAGGGAAGAGUGAAAGCUGGUAUUAUACCACAGUUCGGCCUGACCAAGCCAAGAAUGUCACUGCCUAGGAGAAUCACCAACAACACAAUGCAAGUACAUCUCCAAACAUUGAUUCACAUGUUCUGUUUGACCAUCUGUUUGUGGAUGAUAAGCAGUACUACAUAACAGCUUGACCCCCAUCAACUUAAAGAGCUCAGUCCAUAUUGCGCUGGUAAAAACCUUAUCUCUAUCUGAGACCACUGAUUUGGGAAAACCGUGCAAUUUAACCACCCCAUCAUAUAUGACCCGAGCCACAAAAAUAGCAGUAUAAGGAUGUUUUAAUGGGAAGAAAUGAAUAUACUUGGUCAAACGGUCGACCACCAUCAGAAUGACACUGAAGCCAUCAUGCUUAGGAAGACUUUCUAUGAAAUCCAGAGAUAUAUCCUUCCACACUCCCUCCGAAAUUGGCAAAGGUUGUAGAAGAUGAGCUGGUCGAGAAUGUUGAUGUUUAGCUUGUUGGCAAAUAGCACAUUGAGAGAUGAAUGACUCCACAUAUUGCUUCAUGCCUUUCCAGUAAAACAUCUUCUUAAUACGUUGAUAAGUAGCCUGCUGCCCUGAAUGACCUCCCACAGCACUAGAAUGAAGAGCUGCGAUAGUUUUAGUUUGUAGCCCAGAAUUACUUUUCAGCCACACUCUAUUUCUGAAUUUGAUUACACCUUGAUGAAGUGUGUAUCCUUGAUCAUUUGGACUGUGUACUGCUAGCCUGCUAGCCUGGCCAACAACUUCUGAGCCUGGUCAUCAGUGAUAUAAGAAUUUUCCACUUCUUGCAGCCACAAUGGUUGUAUUGUAGAUACAACAUGAAUAACCAUUAGGUGCUUCAUUCUAGAUAGAGCAUUAACAGCCACAUUGUCCAUCCCUUUUCUAUACACCACCCCUAAUUGCAAGUCCAUUAGUCUUGUCAUAGAUUUUCUUUGCAUGUCAAAACACUUGUUGCAGAUGUACUAUAUGGGUUUUUAAAGAUAGGCUAUAUAUAUAAGAAUAUCAGUAAGAAAUACCAUCACAAACUUCUUGAGAAAGGGAGAAAGCACCUCAUUCAUGACACACUGAAAGUUGCUAGUGCAUUAGUCAAACCGAAUGGCAUGACCUUAAAAUGAUAGUGCCCUUGGUGAGUCUUGAAUACUUUCUUAUGCUCGUCUUGAAGCUUCAUUCUCACUUGAUGAUACCCUGACUUCAAAUCAAGUUUAGUGAAAUAUUUGCUACCAACCAACUCUUCCAGAAUCUCUAACUCUUCCAGAAUCUCCUUCAUAAUAGGUAUGGGAAACCUAUUCUUGAUAGUCGAAUCAUUUAACUUUCUUCCAACUGCCAUUCGUUUUUUAAUGAGUAAAACAGGAGAAGCAAAGGGACUUGUGCUAGGAACAAUAAGACCAGCAGCUAGCAUUUCUUUCACUUGCUUUUCAAUUUCAUCUUUAUGUUGAGGAGAAUACCUGUAGGGCUUGGAAUUCAUUGGAACUAUUCCAGGAAUCAAUGGAAUUGUAUGAUCAUACACUCUCUCUAGAGGUAAUGUCUUGGGGUUAGAGAAGGCAUCUUCAUGCUGGUCUAAGAUGGACAAUAUAUCUGGUGGUGUAGAAGCAACUUCUUUUCCUUGCUCUUGAGAUAGAAUGACCAUGGCCCAUAUGUCAUUGCCCUUGUACCAUUUCACCAAUUGUUCAACAGAUAGUUCCUUGAUCAGCCUUGCUUGCUAUUGAACCCCUUGCAACACAACCUUCCUUCCACCCUUUUCAAACUCCACAGUUUUGUUCUCCCAAUGGCAUGUCAUAGGACCGUGUGGUUUAAGCCAAUCAUAUCCUAGAAUUGCAUCAAAAGAAUUUAACUCCAGAACUCUCAUAUUUGUUUCAAGUGUAUAACCACUACACCACCAAGAUAGGUUGGGAACCCAUUUGUUAGAGAUCAGUAUAUCCCCAUUUGCUACUUUGACUUGCUUGGGUGUAGUAGGUAGUGGAACGACCCCAAUUCUUCUCAGAUUUUCAUUACUGACAAAACUGUGACCGCUACCACUAUCCACUAGUGUAAGCAUCACCUGAUUUUUCACUAAGGCUCUGACCUUCAUAGUUUCCCUUCCUCUAUCCCAGAAAUUGCAUUGAGAGACAAAUGGAAAAAUUCUGCUGACAAGGAAUCCUCUAUAGCAAGCUGAACCAAUACUUCCUCAGUUAAGGGCAUAUCCAAGUCAUUCACCACCAGUGCAUUCACUUGAGCUUUGGUUCUCUUUGUACAAACAUCAACAUAGGCUGGAGCGUAAGGUUUCACACAAUAGAAACACAAGUUGGUGGCUCUUUUGUAGUUCAUGACCUGCCUUUCUUUCCACAGAUUAGUACUUGCAGAAUUGUUCUUGUUAUCUCCCUUUGACAUAUUCCCUCGAGGUUUAGAGAAAUUCUGAGAUUUCUAAGCUUUGUAUUUGCCUUUCUCCAAAACCUGGUACUAAAUCUUGGCUACUAGCAAGGCUCUUUCCAAGGUCUCAGGGACCAAAGAUUGUACUAUUGUUCUGAGUUUAGGAACUAGCCCCUUCACGAAAGUUGUGAGGAAAAAUAUAUCUCCCAACCCUGUAUUCAACAUGGUCAACUGAUACUGCAAAUCUUCAAAUGCAGAAAUGUAUUCUUCUACAGAAGCUGUCUGUUUCAACUCCAUCAACUCUCCCAAGGCUGUCCUGUACUCAUUUGCACCAAACUUCUCCUCUACUACUUUGAUGAACUGUUCCCAACUACCAAGUCUAUUUUUCAACUUGUACACCUGCAGCCAUCUAGCAGAGUUUCCAUCCAUAUGCAUUGAAGUAAUCACUGAUUUCAUGAAGUCUGGUGUGUUCAGGAUCUCAAAGUAGUUUUCACAUUUGUCCUUCCAUAUCCUUUGAUUUUUGCUAUCAAAGAUAGGAAAAGCUAGUUUGGGCACUUGCACCUUGUACUGAUUAAAUCUCUCUGAAUGUUGACGACGCUCAUGAUUGCCAACACGAUGAGGAUGAGGCACAUAAGAAGUAAAAUGCCUGCGCCUCUAGAAUUGCUGCUCAUCUUGAGAUGUUUCAGAAGAGGUUGGACUGACAGGUUGUGUGUCUUGAGCCCUUGCUUGAUUAAGUGUCAGUUUAGCCACUGCCUGUCAUAUGGCCUCUAUCUACUUGGAUAACAACUGCUAAUCCAAAAGCAUUUGUUUUACAACUUUUGCGCUCAUGUUGAACUGCGCUGCUAAUUUUCUGUUGAUUAAUAUUGAUGUCCUCAACCUGAGCAAACAACAGAUCCAGAUGUUCCAUAACAUGUUCCCACCGCACAUCAUCCUUCUGGUCACGUUCAUCCAUCUUGCUCAACAGCAGUUUGGUCUGUACCGAGGGCUUAGUAGGAGCCGUGGUGACUACACCUCAAGCCAAGCGAACUACAUCGUGAUUUGAUGAAACAUCGAACCCCUCUACACGAGGCACGCACCGAGUCGCUCAAAGCCGAAGGAGAAUAGCAGUGACUCAUCGAUUCCUCGAACAUGUGACGAGAUGUUCGCCUUUGCGCCCUAGUUUCGCACUUGGUCACUGCCUCCUGCUUCUCCAACUCGCCGCCGCCUGCGCCGCCAGAGCCGCUUCCCAAACUUCUCGAUCCGCCGCCCACACAAUGAAUCCGAGUCAAAUCGCCCGCAAGUGGAACCAGUUGCGAGAAGGAAUUACACGGGGAUCUCGAAUUGCAAUCGGUUCUGCGCGGUACACUAAUCAAUCGCCCAAAACCAACUCAGUUCACCAGUUCAACACCGGUGGAAUACUGCAAUUUGAAUACGGACGCGCACCGGGGAUAACUGAAUCUGAUACCACUUGAAAUGCCCCAUGGCCACCGGCGAUCUCCAUCGACGUGAGUACACACGAGAGGAUUGAAUUUUCGAGAUCAGGGAGGAGCAACGAGCCCCUUUACCCUUUGUUGUUCUAUUGCUGAAUGAAUAACAAGAUGAGUUCAACUCAACACCCUACCCAGGCCUUUAACCCUGGUUCGCUGCCACUGUUUACAAAGUGCAAACUCACUGCUAGAAAAUGUGAAGUUACAAAAUACGCCUCUUUUAGAUUAAAGACUCCCGCCUCUUCUGUCUUCUGGUGCUACGCCUCCUCAGUCGUGACACAGUGUUGACUUCUUCCACGGUGGCGGCAUGGAGAGUCACGGUGGCCAAUGGAAUCUCAAUUUCUCCACCCCAUCUUCAGAUCCUGUAGCCUUGUAAGUUCAAUGCCAAUUUAUCAUAUUGUAAAAACAUCAAAUUGCACAAAAUUAUUACCUGAAAGCUCGGCAAUACGCACACAUGAACAUAAAAAGCCAGCGAGAUUGCAUGGAGUAUUCUAUAGCUUUGUUUCAGUGUUUUGUACUGUAGGUAGAAUGAUGAGGAAACUUACAAAAUUGAUAUAUGUUAGCGUUGUGUAGUGUUUACGGAGAUUAGACUACAGUUCUGAACUUGAGUACAUAUUUUCUUUAGUUAACAAUUCUGAAUUCUAACUAUACACAACUUCUUGCACUUUCUGAAUUUUUAAUUAUAUAUUUUAGUUAGCAAUUCUGAAUUGAGAUGAUGGGAACAAUUUAGAGUUUUCGUUUGGGUACAAACAGUUAGCUUUCUUUGCAGCAAGCUCUAUGUCAUGAAUUUACAUAACACAUGCAUUGGUUCUGUACUCAUAUUGUGCUUAUUUAACUUAAAGUGAAAUAUAUGCCUUCAAUACCACUGCAGAUGUCAUUUUGAUAAAUAUGGAACUGAGCUUCAUUUUCAAUCUCUGGGUUAGAAUUUGAAUCUCCUCUACUGAUAUGUGAUAACUGAAUGUUAACAGGUAAGCGAUAUUAUUCUUUUUUCUAAAAUUGUGAAUAGGACUUUGUACUGAUAAGUGAUAACUAAAUGCAUCGUCACAUAUGAGAUACAUAGAUAAAUUUAUACUCGAUCACUAUUGUUUACAAGUUCAUGCAUGAAUUUAAUUAUAUGUAGACAGUCUAGUAGACAAGUCAUUGUACAAGAUGUCUGUGUUGCUAUCUUUAUAUGACAUGGCAAAACUUGCAGACAUCAACUAUCUAAAUGGUUGAACAUGCCCUAACAGGUAUGACUAGUGAACAGAGCAUGCCGGGCAUCGGUGGCUCGGUGGUCAGUGCCCGCGGCUACUCGUGGCCGCCGAACGGACGAAUCAACUAUCAGCGCCGGAGAAAGAUUGCUCGUUGCCACGGCGUUGUCCAUGAAUGCCUGCGAAUCUGCGAUGGCAUCUCGUCUGGCUACUGGCGCCAAUGAGGCAAGGACUGGGCCCCCAUGGUCCCUGUCAAUCAAGGUCCAGAUCACGUCUUCAUCCGCUGCUGGCUGCUCCGAUUGAUCUCGUCUCUCGUGAUUCGUUUGAAGAGAAGCCAUCUGGAGAAUGGUGUUGACCUCUGUCGGCGAUGGACUUUCUGCCUUUCUGGGAUCGGAGCCCAUGCUGCGAGUUGGCACCAACAAUUGGCUUCAGAAAUUGAGUUACCACUUGCCGAAAAAAACGGUGUUGCUAAGAAACUCCUAGCCAUGAUAAGCAUGGUAAAAAGCUAGGAAAAACAAAUUAGUGUACCCAUGUACUAGCUUGCACAUUAUGCAUAACGUGACAUCAACAAACCCAAACGUUAUACUGGCUGAAAGCUGCGGUGACUAGGCGUGUUGUCAUGAACUCAGGUUUUAACUCAACGAAUAGUUGGGGAGAAAACAAAACCUAGCACGUCAAAUCAACCCGUGCCUGAAUUGAUAGAGCUACUAUUGGCACCUUAAUUUCCAGAGACUUGUGUGCACUCAAAAAUAUAUUGUGGCAUUGCUUUGGUUUCUUUCGAUCUUUUUUGAAUUUAGUAUAUUCUGCAACUUAGUAUCAUUCCAAUGCUUCGAAGUUGCCGAGCUGAAGUUCUCGUUACCUAUAAUGAGCAGCAGCUCGAGCUAGCUCACGGGGCUAACGAGCUGGCUUCAACUCCAAACAAGUCGAGCCGAGCUACAUUUUUUUUGCUCGUUCCGUUAACGAGUCGAGCCGAUCAAGUUCGUAUCCAAUCCAGGUGGACCGAUCUGAGCUAAGUUGAGCCGUUUCAGGGAGGAACGUGAAAAGGCAUAGAUAUUUGGUCUCAGACAUGUAAACACAGUACAAAAUAAAAGGUGGAAUAGUCAUUUCAUCCUUGAACUAUUGACCAAUGCUCAACUUAGUCCCUGAACUACCAAGACAGUCAUUUCAGUUCUCGAACUCUCUUGAAUAGCUCAAUUUCGUCAUUCAUCCCAUGUGUUGUGCCAUGUUGGCAAUGCCAUGUCAGCAUCCAGUCGGCUAAGGUUUUAAAAUACCCUUUCUAUCCUCUAUAUGCUGCAUAUAUCCAUAAAUGUUUGACGUCCUUAUUCGCUCGAGGUUUGUAAGAUACCAUUCUCCUCUUACUGCUGAACUUGUAAAAAAGUUGGUUUGGAAUUACUUGCUGAAGUAUACAUUCUCUUUUUGCCGGUGUGUAAAAAAGUGGUUGAAUUGUUCGAAACAAUUUACUAAAUAGGAUGCAUUGGUCCUUUUACUACAGUACAAUCCAUAACUCAAUUGGGGAGGGAGAAAGGGGCUCUCAUCUUGACCCUAACACACAUGGAACCGGCUGACAUGGCACGCCAAUGUGGUGCAAUAUGUAGGAUGAAGGACGAAAUUGAGCUGUGCGAAAGAGUUCGAGGACUGAAACGGCUGUUUUGGUAGUUCAGGGACUAAACUGAGUCUUGGUAGAUAGUUCAAAGAUAAAAACGACUUUUCCCCUAAAAUAAAAAAAAAUCCACAAGGUUGGAGUGUAUGCACAAUUUCUAGAAAAUUUGUAUGUCAAGGUACAAGACCCUCUAUUCCAAAGGUUUCAUUCAUAUACUGGGAGGAAAAAAACAAAGCAAUCUUACUAUUACUAAUUGGAGGCUUCUUUUGGAGCCUCCAGAUGAAGCCACCUAGGAUCCUAGGUGGACACUAUAUAAAAAGAGAGAAAUUCUAGAAAUUCUUACAAAAAAGCAAAACAUCUCGCCAUCAAUCAGUAGACUCAAAUCAUCAUAGCGAUUGGAUCUAUUAUAUUUUCUAAAAAGUUACCCACCUGUGCCAUUAUAAAAAUAGCCUAAAGUAACCCCCUAAAUCUAUAUCUAAAUUACCCACCUGCCAUAAUAUAAAAUAAAUUAAAGUAACCCCCUAAUAUUAGUAUGUCGUUAUUAAAAAUAACAUAAAGUAAACGCGUAAAUCUUAAUCUAAUUAUCUUCAUGUGCAUCAUACAAAAAUAUCAAAAAGUAAACUAAUAUAUGAUUCUAAAUUGCAUAUUUAUGUCAUGGUUAAUGUGUAUACACAUGAUGAGUGUCACCAUGUAGACCAUUUAUAUAUGUAUGUGAGGAAGUGAUGAAAAAUUAUUGAUUUUUAUGCUAAACACAAUGUAUGGAGGUGCGAUACAAAAUGAAAAGAGUGUAAAUGUGGAUGAAAAAGUGUAUAGAGUAAUUACUAAUUAAAAAUCAACCACAAUUGAACAAAGAUAAGUACACAUCUAUAGAAGCAUUAUGUUGAAAUAUUGAAAAAAAUGAGAGAGUAGUAGGUAACUAAUUUUAAUUGUUAGCUACAAGUUUAAUUUCUAAAUAAUUUUCAAAUACAAUAUAUUUUAAUUAGCCCGUGCGGGAACGUGGGUUGAUGGACUGGUCCUUUAAAACUACAAAACUUCACUAAUAACUUAAUAAGAAAUCCCAUCCUACCAGUCUACCACCCUCUCUGUUCAAGAGGCUCGGUUGCAUUAUUUUGGCACACCUCUCGUGUCCUCUCUGCCGCUGCCGCGCGAGACACCAGCAGCACCAACCCAUUAUUCCUGUCAAGGGCAUGGCAGGGAUCAUUGCGGUCGAUGGAUGGAUGGAGAUCGGGGCCCAAAGGUUAAAGCCGCUAUAAUUGGGACGCGGCACUCUGCACCAUCCUCCUGGCCUACCGCCCACACCGGAGCUUGAGUGCUUCAUUUCAUUCGGCAACAUGGACAGCUGCUAUCCUACUACUACUACACAGCCUAUGCUAGCACAGCAGGUCCGGGUCCUUUUGCGAUGCAAUGAUUCAGUGCACCCUCGAAACAUGGCCCCCGGAGAACUCGUUCGCCGGCAGCCAAUUCUUUUGACCUACGCUUUGCUUACGUUGCCACUUGCGUUGCCACUUGCCACUAGGAGAAGUCUCCAAGGGUGAAGCUAAUCUUUUAUAGGUUGAUAAUAGAUCACCUCUCUAAUAAUAUAGUAGAUGUUAAAUGUCAUGUGUAUAAGAACAGAGAUAGUAUCAGCUAUAAGAGUGUACAGGUCAUGUAAAAAUAGCACUAAAGCUAGCUUCCAUCUAUAAGCUUCUCUCUUAGGCCCUGUCUGGGGUAGCGGUAGCUUUUCCAGAAGCUACUUCCUGGAAAAGCUCUUCUUGGUGGCCCAGGAAGCGCUUCCUGGAGAAGCGAAAGUGAUCUGUUUGGCAACCUUGCUUUUCGCCGCUGUCGAUGUGAGGAUUGAGGAAGACGAGCUCCGGGCGACGGCGCGGCAACGAGGGGGAGCCAGAGAGCGUGGGAGUCGAGAAAAUGGAGGGAGGGGAGGUCAGACCAGCAGCCGCCGUCGAGGAAAGAGAGGCCGGGGUGACGGCGGAUGCCGACGAAAAGGGAGGUCGGGGCGCCGGCGGACAUCGAGGGAAGCUGUUGAAGGAGGGUGACUUGGGCGGUGACAGCAGGAGGGGAACUCGAGGGCGGCGGCGGCCGUAGAGGCAAGGGAGCUCAGGGCAGCUGCCUUCGGUCGUGAGGGGAGAGAGCUCGGCGGCGGCCGUCCAGCAGGGGGUAUCCGCGGAUCUCAAGCUCGGAGGACGGACGGCGCCCGGCGGUCUUCAGAUGGAGUGGCGAGGUCGGGAUGAGGCGACGUGAGGACGAAGUGGAGAGGGGGCGGACGCAAGAUCCGUCACGGGGAUGAAAAGCUCGGGAAGCGACGCGGAGGGAGCUUUUCCAAUUUAAAGUUUCAAAAAAAAAAAGCUUUCCCAAUUUUAGUACCAAAAACCGGUGCUUUUAACCGCUUAGAGAAGCAACCCUGUUUGGGGAGCUUUUGGCUUUUGGAGCUUCCUGGAGAAGCAAAAGCUUCUAAAAGCUUCCCAAACAGGACCGUUGUUAAAAAUGUGGUGAUAAUCGUCUCGUUUUUAGAUCUAGCAUAGCUCUUCAACGAGAGAUGGUUUGUUUCUCCCAUCGAUAAUGUUGGCACUCUGAGAUCUAACUAACCUAGCACCGUUGGAGAACAUGGUAAUAAUCAAGCACAAUACGGUUUUAAAAUUCAUUAGCUGAAUCAGAUGAAACCCUGCAAAACAUGUAGUUUGAUUGAUGCUUCUUGCAAGAAACAUAAACAAAAUGUUUUUGUUUUGUUUAGAACCAUGACAGUUACCAAAAUUGUCUCUCAUUAGAAUGGCCUCCUCACAUAUUCACAUACACCAGUUCCAGAAAUCUGGAUCCACUGAACUAGCCGAGCGAUUGCAUAAAGGGGGUUUCUUUUCACCACAUAAAUGUUGCUUAGAACUAAACUAAAAACUGAAGAAUCCGGAACCCUGGUAAACGGGAUCGGGCCUACGAAAGUAGAAAGGAAACAACAGAGAAAGCACAGAGUAACGUUCCAAGGUACUGUAAGCCUCAUCAUGGCAAACCUCUGUAGUUUAAGCCCCAGUUGGAGGCGUGCUUAAUGAUGGUAAUCCAUGGCGCAAAUAAUCUAAUCCCUCCUUUUCAAAAAAAAAAAUUCUGAACCCUAGCGCGACCAUCAUUGCUGCUCGUUCAUGCCUGCCGGAGUGCCGGUCCCCAGCAAAUAGAAUUCGGCGCCCUGGUACGGAGCAAAGAAAGCGCCACGAAAUCCAGAGGAGACGGAUCCGCCACUCAGCAACAGCUACCGCCGAAUAUACAAAUACCAUGCGAAUAAACUUAUCCCACCAUGAAAUAGUUUUCUCACACUGUUAGUACCUUCUUUUUUCUAACUCCACUAGGCUGCAUUCGUUUCAGACAGACACCAAAAGAAAUGGUAACCUGUUACUGUUAGUAUACUGCUCAGGUGCAGGAGCAGGUGUGACAAUCCAAAAUUUGUCUGGCCUGACACCAAAAUUUUGUUGACAGCAUACACAUAACUCUUCAUUUGGCAGUCUAUAGCAAGUCAAACUCAUGGAAAUUUGAGGUGCGACGAAGGAAUAUCCGGAAAUUACGAUUCAGUGCGCCGGUUUCAACCGUUUCUGACAUCGAAAAGACCUUUCCCCAGGGAAAUCGAAACCUGUCCCGAGAAUUAGCAAUGCAAUUCCUCAUCCCCUUCAUCCGUCGACCGUGUUCUUGCAUGCGGUAGGUAGCGCAUCAGCAAGUUCAUCCAUUGCAUUGAAAGAAAUCCCUGUAGCAUGUAAACAGAGUUUUUUUCCCCCCCGGAAAUGUAAAGCCAAAUCCUGUUCGUUAGGCUUGAUCAGGCAGCAAAGUUUGCACAGAAAGAAGUCCUGGUUGAAUUAUGUAGGGCGUAUCAAACAAUCUUUUAUUUUGCUCGCAAGAUCGGUGUAUAAAUUUCAUAAGUACUGAAACAAUGAGCCCAACAUAAGUUGAGGUGGCUGGCUGGAAGGAACAAGUUCAAUGACAAACACACAAAGGGUAUACACCCAUAAAAUGGAAAAGGCUUUAAUCCCUUUUAUUUUUGGCACAACUGGAAUUUACUUCUGUGGAAGCAAGCCUUUUGUUCAAAGCGAGCUGUAUUUUGCAAACAUAAAUUUAUAUAAAAAAAAAGUUAACAUGCCUCCUGAGCAUAUGUAGGCGCAGGUGAGGGCAGUGGAAAAGGAGCACGCAAUUUCAUAUCCCUCCUGAGCAAACUUUCAAGUUCUCAUAAGAGCACAUUGUUUAAAAUUUCAACAACAAUUUAUUCAGGGCCCACCAUAAGGUCAAAUUUGGCCACACAUUGUCAGUGUGUCACUAACAGAAUUGAUCAGGUUCUUAUGGAGAAAAAACGAUAUGGGAUGAAUUUAAAUGCACAAAUGAGUUGAGAUUGCAACUACAGAGCAGAUGGAUCUACAAUUUUGAAUCGGUAGAUAUCCAGACCGAAAGCAAUUGCAGCUGGCCUUGUACCAAAAUAAAAGAACUGCACCUUUGGUGCUGCAAAAUGCACGGAAAAAUGCAAGCUCAGAUCAAGAAAUGAGCAUGUACAGCAUCAAAAGGUUUUAGGUUCAGUGACAGCGCCACAGGACCAAACCAAGCACCGUUAUUGUAGAACUUCCAUGACCAUUAUAUAGUUAGAAUGGAAACCACAACAUAUAUGCACACUGAGUUACUGAGAUUGACAAUAUUGAUCUACCAUCAGCCCACCUUAUGAAGCAAGAAGGGAUGAAGCCACAAGCACCGCCCCUAUUGAGUGGUGGCUAUAAAGGCAAUCAUCAUCAUCAUCAUCUCCUCUCUUAUGACAACUAUCCAUAAUUACUAUACCUACCUUCGCAUUCAAGGAAGUUCCUUUUCUCCAAAGAAAGGCGGAAAAUAAGAUAAGAACAAAAGAGAAAGAGAAAAGGGAAAGGAGGAUAGGUUCUAGCUGGGGACUCAUUUCUCAUGUAUACUAAUUCAUCCAUCCAAGGAGUUUCAACCAUGGUGAAUUGGUGAUGCUGAUCCUUCAGUUCCUUCACUUGAUUCACUUUGAUCAGAGCAGCAAGAUGAAGCAACAGGCCUGGAUCUCUUCCCCCACCUCACAUCACUGAGCAGCUGUUGGGGUUCUCAUCGCUGAAGAUGUUGUAAUUGUCGGUGUGCGAGUGCGGCGGCAUUGGGUAGGCCAUCGGGUAAUGCAUCGGUGGGCGGCCGUAGCCGUAGUAACCGGCGCCGCCGUGGCCGUGGUGGUGGUGGCCAUGGCCGUGCGGCCCGUGCCCAUGGCCAUUCAUCAUCAUCAUCUGCUGCUGCUGCUGCUGCUGUUGCUGCAUCUGCUGCUGCUGUUGCUGCAUCAACAUGUACUGCUGCUGAGCCAUGGGGUUCCCGGCCGCCGCGGCGGCCUGCAGCAUCUCUGCUCCCGACGGCAUGCCACCGCCACCACCUGCGUUGGCGCCUCCCUGGUAGAACCCCGGCGCUGGCAUGCCCUGUACGGCACCACCGCCACCGCCACCGCCACCCUGCUGCAUGAUACCCAUGUGCGGGUGGUGGCCCAUCGGCAUGCUCAUGGUCAUGGGUCCGCCGCCCAUCUGCCCCGCGCCGGGGAAGCCGGCACCACCCAUCAUGUUAGGCCUCAUCAUGGCCUGUUGAGGCAGCAUGCCGCCCAUCGGCCCACCGACACCGACGGCGCCGCCGCCCUUCUUCCCCGGGCCCGGCUGGUUCCCGCCGCCCGGGGCGCCACCCUUCGCAUUGUGCGGCUGACCACCGCCCCCGUUCUUACCGCCGCCGUGGUUGGCCUGGCCGUUCCCCUUGAUGUGCACGGGGAUCUCGUUCCCACCGCCACCCUUCUUUCCGCCGCCGCCACCGUUACCACCCUUCUUGUCGCCCCCGCCGGCGCCAGGCGGCAUGGCCAUGGGCUUCAUCAUCAUCUUGGGGUCGUCGUAGAAGUCGUCGUCUAGGCCGUCGUCGUCGUAAUCGUCCUCGUCGUCGUAGUCGUCGAAUUCGUCGUCGAACUCGCUGCCCUCGUCGUCGAAGUUGUCCUCGGGGAUGGCGAACUUGACGGACUUGGGGUCCUUGAGCGGCGCGGCCGCUGCGAACGCUGGCAUCUUGCCGCCCAACAGCUCCGGCGGGAGCUUCAGCCCCUUCAUCUGCAUCUGCUGCUGCAGCUGCUGGAGCUGCUGCGGCGUGGGCUGCGGCAUGGAUUGCGGCAGCAUCAUCUUCGCAUCCUUCCCCCCGCCGCCGCCACCUCCGCCCUUGUUGUGGCUGCCAACGCCCCCUCCGCCCUUCUGGCCCUUGCCGCCGCCGGCGUCCUUGGAAUGGCCCUUGCCGCCGACGUCCUUGGUCUGGCCCUUGCCGCCGCCGCCGCCAUGGUGGCCGUUCUGAGGGGCGCCGGGCUUGGCGCCCCACAGCUGGGCGGGCUUGCCGGCCUUGUUGAGCUUCCGGAUGAUGGUGUCCGGAUCCAGCAAGCCGGACACCGUCACCUUCCCCUGCUCCGCGUCGAUGCUGCUCUGGUACACGCCUACACAGACCAAUUCCAUCACACAUUCUCGUCAGAAAACGCAGAGCACGCGCUGACAAACAAAAUACGCACCAACAAGAAAAACGCAAGCAAUCCGCUGUUAAAAGAAACCAGUAUUUUUCUUUCUUACCAUCGAUCUUGUGGAGGGUCUUCUUGACCUUCUUCUCGCACCCAUCACAGUGUAUGUUGACCCUCAGCACCAGAGUCUAAGAAUUUGGGAAUCAGAAACGUCACCGCAACAGCAAAACAAAACAAAAGCGAUUCCAAGAAACGAAAAAACACACGGGGGGACAAAGAAGGGAAGGGGGGACACAUGCUGCAAACACAAGCAAGCAAAGCCGCCCUCCGCCUGCCUGGCCGGAGAAAAUGGCGGCAAGAACAAGAAGAAUGGUUGGUUGGUUUGGUGGGUUGAGUUGGGGCGAAGCAAGGUCACGCACCUGCACCUUGAGCACAUCCUCCUUGCUCAUCCUGGAAACACCACCUCCCAAACGCUACGCCGAAGGAACGGGAGACAGUCUCUGUAACUCAGAUCUGGUGCCCGGGAGCGCUCAACAAGCCAGGGGAAGACGACGAGCGAGGAGGGAGCAGCUGUGGAGCAUUUCUGUUCUCUCUCCCAGAGGAAGGAAGCAGCGGGGAGGGUGAGUGAUGUAGGCGGGUUGCUUAAUGGGGUUGGAGGGCGCAAUAAUAUCUCGCUCACUCCCCUCGCACUAACACACACACACACACACACACACAGUCGCAGGGAGCAGAGAGCGAGAGCUCAAGAGAGGAGAGGAGUGUGGGAGACUGUUGCUGUGGGCUGUGGCCGGCCGCAGCGGCGCAGAGGGAGGGGAGAGAGGUGGCGCGGCGCAGUACAGCGGCAUGGCAUGGCAUGGCCGCAUGGGCUCGCAGCCAAAAUUGCAUGUGAGGGGGCCACCCUAGGCAGAUGCCAUGUGACCCUUGUCCCCUGAGCCACGAGCACCAGCCUGCCGCUGCCGCCCUGCACCGCCUGAAACGCCCCGCGCGGUAAACGCGUUUCUACGCGGCGGUAACUCCUCGAUAGGAGUACACGUUCCUUCCUUCUUCUGCCCAUUUCCUUCUCUUUUUUUUCCUCAGGAAAGUUCAUUCCUCCUCCUACUCUGGUGCCUUUGAACGUAGACAAAUUCGCCAGCAGAUCUAAAGUAUAUUCUGCAACGCGAGGAGGGAAGGGGGAAAAAAGAUAAAGGAAGGUUCGAGCGUAAACUCUGGUACAUUUUUUUUUCCGGCUACAUGUGUAAAGGAAAUAAAGAAGAUUGCACGGCACGUGCCAGUGGUGAAAUUAUCUUCUCUUCAGCGUUUAUUUGGAGAUGAUUAAGAGGAUAUUCAGGCCCAACUGCGGGCCCUUCGACGUCGGUGGGCCGGGAAUUUAGUCCCAGAUUCCUAGCCCACCAAUGCGGAUUGGGCCAAGAUAUAAAACGCCAAUAUGGUAAGCUGAAAGGAAUAUUAGUUCCUCGUAAAAAGUUAGAAAACGAAAAAAAUAACUAAUAAAAUUUAGUAUUUGAAAAAACUUGUUACAAAGAUCCGUAAACAUUAGAAAAACAACGCCAUCGUUCGUUUUAUGGUUUUCUACGUCCAUCUAUGUAACAGAUAAUUCAAACCUAAGAUCCCACGAGAGUUAAAUGCAUGUAAAAAUCAAAGAUUCGUUAAUAACACAAGUUACAAGUUCGGGGUGUUUGGAUACACCAUGCUAAAAUUUAGCACCUGUCACAUCGGAUGUUUGAUGCUAAUUAGGAGUAUUAAACAUAGACUAAUUACAAAACUAAUUGCACAGAUAGAGUCUAAUCCGUGAGACGAAUCUAUUAAGCCUAAUUAGUUCAUGAUUUGACAAUGUGGUGCUACAGUAACCAUUGCUAAUGAUGGAUUAUAUAGGCUUAAUAGAUUCAUCUCGCGAAUUAGCACAGGGGUUCUGCAAUUAGUUUUAUAAUUAGCUCAUAUUUAGUCCUCCUAAUUAGCACCCGAACCUCCGAUGUGGCACUGCUAAAGUUUAGCACCUAGUAUCUAAACACUCCGUCUAAAGCAAUUAGUCCAUAAUCAUCACACCAAGAUGAUUGCAGUAACAGACGGCAUGAGUCCAAAGUUGCUGGACCAGUCGUUGGAAAAUUGGUAAAGUUGCCUUUUCUUUUGGCACCUAUCUUUUGCAAUUUCAGAACAUACACAGUUCUGUUACUUUACACAUAGGCACCAAGCACCAUACGUUCAAAGCUGGUUGAAGAAAUGUAUGGUACACUCUGAAGCACCUAACCUGGCCCUGCCAUGCAAAAAGAGCACAAUGCAUAUUUGAUUUAACAAGAUAUUUAUGACUUAUGAGGCUGGAUAUAUAUGUUCUGAACACUCGCCGUUGACGUGCAAAACACCAAAAUCAUGUUUGACUCGAGAUUAUUUGUCUCAGUCUUGGCCUUGCCAACUACAGUAACAUAUAGUGUCUUUGUCCCAAAUAAAAUCAAUUUGCACUUGUCAAGUUUAAGAUAAAUAGAGAAUUAUAAAGGAUGGUGGCCAAAUAAGGUCACAUCAACUACAAAAAGGUAGGUCGCAUAUUUAAGUGUGGCUUAUAUUAAUAGUUAAUGAUUCAAUUUACAGUGCAGCUAGAAAAUGCAUGUAUAAACAAAUGAUGAAAUGGACUUUAAUUUCUUUUCAGAUAAAGAAUGAUCGUAUGACUUUUUCCUUAGUAAUUUUAAUUAGAUCGCUGCUUUGCCUCCAAAUAAUUCAUGAUAUCAAACCAAAAAAUAUACUUUCAGUAUGAUUUUCCCUGAUUAAUAAUCGUAUUUUCACAAUGACUGCAUACUUUUAAGCUACCAAAGUCAAUCCUUUUUCAUGACACUUGGUUAGCUCCGUCAUUUGCUACCGCGACGAGUAAGACUGUUGAUGAUACAUUUUAACAAAUAUUUUCAUAAAUAUCUAUAUUACUAGUACCGUGGUAAAAAUAACGAAUAAGGGGGUGUUUUCUUCCGGUGACUUAUUUUUAGCACGUGUCACAUCGAAUGUUUAGAUACUAAUUAGGAGUAUUAAACAUAGACUAUUUACAAAACUCAUUACAUAAGUGGAGGCUAAACGGCGAGACAAAUCUAUUAAGCCUAAUUAAGCCUAAUUAAUCCAUCAUUAGCAAAUGUUUACUGUAGGAAUACAUUGUCAAAUCAUGGACUAAUUAGGCUUAAUAGAUUCGUCUCGCCGUUUAGCCUCGACUUAUGUAAUGGGUUUUGUAAAUAGUCUACGUUUAAUACUCAUAAUUAAGUAAACCAAGGGUAAAUAUAAGAAUUUUGUUGUCUUUUAUGAAAAUAAAAUAAAAAAGUUAGGAUGUCUACGAUUGUCCUUGUACGGGCUACAGCUGUACAGAGGAACGGAGGGGUAGAAUCGGGAAUUGGCACCGCCAUCGCGGCCGGAUGGAAGAGAAGCGUGGCUUCUGGUUCUCCUCCCCCCCGACCCCUGUUGCGGAACGGAGCCUAUAUAAGCAUCCUAUUCCCCUCCACCACUUCUCCUCCGUUCGUAUAUAAGAAUCCAGAUUUCGAAUUCCAACUCCCCUGCUCCCUCUCCUCCCUCACCACCUCUCGUCGGCGCGAUCCCUCCCCCCCAAGGCUCCCCGCUCCGCGUCGACGCCGCUGUUAAGGCAGAUCCCAAGGGGCCCUUCGUCUUCGCCCUCGUCCGAUCCGUCCCCGUCCCGAUCCUCGUUGGUAAGAACCUCUCAGGUUUCGAUUCCUGAGUUUUCUAGGCGGCCUUUGCUGGGCGCCACGGCCGGAUUGCUAAUCCGGCCUCCGAUCCGCGCGCGGCCGCUGGUGAGCGCCACCGAAUUUCAGUUAGGGUUUGCUUGGGGCGUCUCGCGGUUCGUGGUUUGGGGGGACGAUUGCGAGGUUGAGCUGAGUGGGGGGAUUUCGGUUAUUUGGUCUGCGCCCGUGAAAUGCGUGCUAGUGUUGUUCGAUCAGGAGAUGGGAUUUUCAUCCUGGAUGUGCCACCCCAUAGCCAUCCUAAUCACAUAAUCGUGAUCAUUCAUUAAUCUGAUAGCCUAAAAACUUCUAAUACGAUUCUCCGCGGCGUAUUCUGAUGAUGUUGAGGCGUUGCAGGGGAUGGCCACCUUCGAGCUGUACCGGAGGUCCACCAUCGGCACCUGCCUCACCGAUACGCUGGACGAGCUCGUCUCCAGCGGGGCCGUCAGCCCCGAGCUCGCCAUUCAAGUUCUUGUGCAGUUCGACAAGGUUUGGCAAUGAUGGUCUUGAAAUUAUCACGUCCUGCUGUCAGUUGCUGCUUAGUUGAGUUGGUCUUGAUCCUUCUCUUCUAUGUCUUUAGUCCAUGACUGACGCGCUGGACAGUCAGGUCAAGAGCAAGGUUAACAUCAAGGUAGAUAUUCAAUAUGUCCUGUUGGUUGAUAUUCCCUCCAUUCUAUAUUUGAUAGUACUAUUUCCUCUUGGCACAAUGACCAAGGAAAACAAUCCUACCUAUCAUCUUACUUAUCAUCCAUUUAAUCAUGUCAUUAACUAGUCCUCGUAAAUAAACAAUUCAUUAAGGCAUAGACUUCUGGAUACCAUGUAGCCAAUCUUGGUUGGAAGAAUGAAGAGUUUGGAAGAAUGAAGAGUCACGCAUCAGACCCAAGACAACCAUUAAACAGAUGGAUAGUUGGACUAAAUAAGGGGGUGUUUGCUUCCACUGACUUAUUUUUAGCACGUGUUACAUCGAAUGUUUAGAUACUAAUUAGGAGUAUUAAACGUAGACUAUUUAGAAAACCCAUUACAUAAGUGGAGGCUAAACGGCCAGACGAAUCUAUUAAGCCUAAUUAAUUCAUCAUUAGCAAAUGUUUACUGUAGCAACACAUUGUCAAAUCAUGAACUAAUUAGGCUUAAUAGAUUCGUCUCGCCGUUUAGCCUCCACUUAUGUAAUGGGUUUUGUAAAUAGUCUACAUUUAAUACUCCUAAUUAGUAUCUAAACAUUCGAUGUGAUGGGUGCUAAAAAUAAGUCAGUGGAAGCAAGACUAUCAAAAGAGAACUUUUCAGAUUUAGAAAUACGCCUAUCAAAAGAGAACGGAGGGAGUAUAACAGUGCAACCUUCCCUUCCCCCUUUGGGUGCUAUGUUUGGUGUUGUUACUGCUAAAGAAAUCAUAGGUCUAGAGUUUUGAAGGGAUGUUGAGAUUCCUUUUCGUUACCUGCCAAUAUAGCUGUAACGAUACAAAUCUGUUAGUUAUAAGCCACUUCAAAUAAAACUGUUCUAGCCAAACAAACAGGUGUUUUUUUUUCUUAUCUCUUUUUAUAAACUAGCAGAACGCAUAUGGGGUGCAGUUUCAGACUUCUUAUGUCUUGUACUUUAUGAUAAGCACUUAGAUAAGGUAGACAACUGUGAAAAUUCCUGUUUAACUAAUUAUCUUGCUACUACAAUGUGUCUUUGCUUGUGUUUUAUUUUUGCAAGAAAUCAUGUUAUGCACUGCAAAUUUAUUAGAUCCAUCCAUUCAGAACCGAUAAAGGAAAAUAAUGGGUCUAAAAAACUGUUCCCACUCCAUAUGUGGACUACAUUUUAGUAUGCUGCUCAAAAUAUGGAAGCAAGUGUGUUGGUGUUUACUUGUAGUGUGAAAUACACAGAUACACUUGCAUGCAGGCCUCGCAUUCCUUUACUGUUAUCCCUUUUAUUUUCCAUUGCUCUGAUAUGUGUUAAACUGUGGCUCUGAAUUUAGCAUUUAUUAUUUAAUAAUUCUCUCCUUCAGAUUGUGAUUGUUACAUGCACUAUAUUGUACCAUGACCUAGUUGUCAACUAGCAUAUAUGCUUGCAAGAAUUGUUCAAGCGUGCUUUAUGGGGUGUUUGGAUACGAGGUGCUAAACUUUAGCAGGGUCACAUCGGAUGUUCGGAUGCUAAUUAGAAGGAUUAAACAUGAGGUAAUUACAAAACUAAUUGCACAAAUGGAGUCUAAUUCGUGAGAUGAAUUUAUUAAGGUUAAUUAAUCCAUCAUUAGCAAAUGGUUACUGUAGCACCACAUUGUCAAAUCAUGGACUAAUUAGGCUUAAUAGAUUCGUCUCACGAAUCAGACUCCAUCUGUACAAUUAGUUUUAUAAUUAGACUAUGUUUAAUACUCCUAAUUAAUAUCCAAACAUCCGAUACGACAUGUGCUAAAGUUUAGCACGGUGUUCCCAAACACCCCCUUAAUAAUAUUUACUAUACAUAUAUAGUAUCACCAACAUCAUCAUUAUAGCCUUGCCAUAAUAUCUUGUGCAUGUGUGCACACUGCCUCUAUUUUGUCAUAAAACAAGUUCAGGUAAUGCAGUCCACAGUUCAAGUUACUAUGGCUUGUCAUUUAUCUAAGCCAAUAGUACUGCUCAGUGUUCUUGUAUGAACAAAUUUUUUUUUCUUGUGGAAGCAAACCUCGACUUGAUUAAUUUCCAAAUUUGGCAUUUGGUUGAACUUUCUGUAGACUUAUAACUGAGGCUGUAAAUAACUGCAAAACUGAACUUUCCUUACCCAAUUUAACGUGUGGAAUUUAACACAGUUUUUUCGUUUUAAUAAUGCUGUGUGUACAUGAAAAUUCUAGGUAGCUGCCUGCCAUAUUGCAGGUUUAUCUUGCAGUUUGUUAAUUUGCACCCUCUUAGCCAUUGCAAACCUUAUAGAACAUAUUUUACUUCCAAUUGUAACACGUAACUGUCAUUAAUAUGAAAACUAGUAUUCUCUUUGUUUUAAACCAUGAGACAGUUUUUUUGAGGCAAAACGACUUUUUUGUAUGAUCUAGCAUGAACCUAGGUGAUAUCUUUCUUCGUUGAAGGCGAUGUCCUUGCCAAUAGCUUCGCAUAUUGAACUCUUUCUAUUAUUCACUCAACUUCAAAAUAUUACCCUGCAAAGACAAGUGCCUUACUGCAUAUGAGUAGGGGUUGUAUGCCUUUGUGGCUUUGCACAUGCCUGCCAUAUGAGUACAGUGUAUGUGCUUGCGUUUGAUUGCUUAAUACUCUACAAUCAGUAAGUUGGGGCUUAAAUGUUCCAAAAUCGAUUAAAAUGAGUUUCUAAAUUGUCUUAUAUAUAAGUGGUUUCAGACUGGCAGAUUCCCUCUGUUUAGCACUUCGUUUCAUUUUGGCAUGAGAUGAUAUAUGUAAUGACUUGUCGCUGUACAGGGCCAUCUGCACACCUACAGGUUCUGCGACAACGUCUGGACCUUCCUUCUAACAGAUGCAACCUUCAAGAGCGAGGAGAUUUCAGAAACACUGAGCAAGGUGAAGAUCGUGGCCUGCGAUUCCAAGUUGCUGCAGCCUCCUCAACCAUAAAUUGACAGCCGCCUGCUCCAUCAUGUCAAUUGAUCCCCGUCCAGCUUAGCUCAGUCGCCUUCUUGACGCUAUUCUUGGCGCCACCCAAACUUUCCUAGUUCUCGGGAAUUUGCCCCCCUCUGAAAGUUGUUUGUGUGAACCUAAACAACCGCCCGUGGCACCAGACUAGAGUACCAUGGCUGCCAACUUGUUAUCCAUACCGCUUAUGGAAUAUGGUUUCCCUCGUUUCUGUUGUUAAUUUGGCAUGGAUGAUUCAGGUCUAAUAUAGUCAUGCUUUAUGUUGAUGAUUUGGCACAAAUGCUUCAGUCUAAUAUAAUCGUGCUUUGGGUAUGCGACCAAUAGACAACCCCCAGCUGUCGUUUCAUAAUCUAUUACUUACAAUCCAGUGAACUACGCUGCACGAGAUGUUAAUGACAAAUCAGGACCAAAUUUGUUAUGACAAACUAUGACGAGUUAAACGUGAACAUGGACUCCAGGGGCAGCUCUUCACAGUGGAAUUUGAGCUCAUUCUGAAAUCUCUGUAACACGAAGUGCUCGUCCUCUGUUAUCAAGGUUGUCACACUGCAUUCCAACCUGGAGAAUGGUUCUCUCCCAGUUCUUCCAGCACGGUGCAGAUAGUCAGUCGCGGUCUUAGGAAGGUCAAAGUUGUAUAUGUGGCUGGUUUGAGGAAGGUCAAACCCUCUGCUUGCUAUGUCCGUUGAAACUAGCAUGAAACCUCUUCCCAUCACUUCCUGCGGACGACACAAAUGCCAUAGUCAGCCAGUACGGACAACAAAGAUGCUGGGCCCUUCAGAAAAUGAACUCAGAGGGCGCUUACAGAGAAUGAGGCAGCUCGAGCAUUGAAAUUCAUAUCUUCUUCCAGAAGAAGCACAUCUAGACUUCCCUUGUAUGAAUUUCUCAGGAAUUCAACGACGACGGCUGUUGAAGGAGGAUUUCCAGCCUUCUUUGAUCUCUCAGACUAAGAAAAUAGGUUCAGCAGUUACAAAAACAGAAAGCAAAGAUGACGCUGAUACAAUACUUCAUCAUCAACAAAACUGCUUAGGACUGGGUGAAAAAUAGAUACUUCUUUGUUAGUAAACAAACCGGACUUGUUACUUAUAAUUGUUAUAAAAUGCCAAAGGUUUAUAUUUAAAAGCUGGUACACAGAUUUAGUUUUUAAGGGAUCUAAAAGCCUAUGAAUUGGGCAUCGGUUAGUGCACAACAAUCGUGGGAACUGAAAUUAUGGAUGUCUCGCUGUAUUUGGUGGACCCUGCCUCUACCUCAGACAAUGCUAAAAGCCAUCACAGGGCCAGAUGUUGGUGUUUCCAAUGAUGAAUGGUAGCUGGGGUAUUGAUUUGCAGAAAUAUUAUAGAUUUGAACUGGGCACUUGCCCAGCCAUUAGCAAGUGAAAAGGCAAGAAACAAGUUUGCUAAAGUGCAGAUGUCAAAUUGGGUCAUGGCAGAACAGCAUCAUGGCCCAUAACUGCAGCAUGCAUUGUUCUAUAUCAUUCCAUAUCAUCAGAUACAGCCGGUUACUUGUCCAAUGACUACUUUGUAUUCGCAUCUGAGAUAAUAUUGCUGGCCCAUCUUGCGAUCACAAGGCCAAUUGGCACCUCUACUAAGGAAGCACCCAAUAGAUGACAAAAUCCCAAUAUACUAGAGAAAUUUGAUAAACAACAUGUGGCAUGUUAUCAAAAGAACUUCAUGUGCACGGUUACCUGUUCAGCAACAAAUAUGAUUGCAGACUUUGGUGCAUCCCUCUCAAGCAAUGAUAGUAAAACAUGCACCCUUUCCUUCUUAGUGCAGAUCUGCACAUUGAUUGUGUUGUUAUAGUCACUACAUUUCAGACAGAUUGAAAACAGAUCUCUGGAGCAAGGAGGUUAGUUGUGGACCUAGUUGGCCAGUAGGCACUAAAUUGUGGGAAUGAAAAAAAAAAGGAACAGAGAGGCUGCUUCUAUCCAUUGGAUUAGUUGAAAAUUAGAAGAAAUGUGCCAUGGCUGUGGGUAGGUUCCUACAGGAAAGUACCAACCAAGAAGUAGAUCUUGACAAUAAUAUUACUGUACUAUAUUUUACAACAAUGAGCCUGUGGGUGGGCAUGCCUACGGUAAGUGCCUACAUUUUGUGGGUAAGGGGGAGAAGAUUGAAAGGUUUCUUACAUGAGCUAAAAGAGGAAUUGAAAGCACAGUCAUUAAACAAUGCACAAAGAAUUCGACAUGCUCACCACAUAUUUGUGACAUAGGUGCGAAGGCAUGGGCUGUACAGGGUUGACAUGAACAUGAACCACAUCACUCUGCACCAUGAUAAAAUAGAAUACACAAAAAGAACAUUAGCCUUCUUUGAAGUACAAAAACUUCCCGAAGUUCUGUUCAGUGAAAGUUAAUACAACACCUUGGUCCACUUAUGCUGCACGCAGUCAUGCAGAAAGCGAUUGUGCUGAGGGAUUGAUGCGCUUGCGAAUAUGGUUUGACGACUGGAGGCUGCUGAAUAAGAGGUUAAUAUUUUGCGAAGAGAGCUCACUUGCUUUGAUGAUCCAAAAAUAAAAUCAACCUAUAAAGACAAGGUUAGCCGCUAGGCGAAUAUACUGACACUUAAUCAGUGAAUGGAGCAAACUCUGCAUUUAAUUUGGUUGAAGACUGAAGAAAAUGGAGUGAUGACCUCACCUCAUCAAUAACUAACACUCUCAUGGAUUGAAGGGAGAAAGCGCGCCUCUCAACCAUUUGACACAAGCUUGGCACUGUAGCUACAAUUAUUGCAGGGGGCUCUGCCUGGAAAUUUACCAAUAUUAUCAGCAUGACCGCAUCAGUACAUCACAGCAGAGAAAAGGAAAACUUAAAUAGAACGAUCCUUUACAUUCCAGUAUUAGAGGGUUGUAUUAGAGAGUUUCCUUUUAAUGUUAUGCUAUUACUACCAACACUAGAGCCACAAAAGCAUACGUCGAAUAUCAAAGAUGGAUUGGGACCUAACGAUUGAAUAUCCCUUAUUAUCCGAAAUAAAAUGGUCCUAACUAACCAAGCAUCGACAUAGACACAAACGCACAAAAAUAUGAAGAGUAUUACCUUGACCCAGCUCUUUUGCCUCUUGAGCAUGCCACCAUCAAGCAAAGCCAUGACGGUGCAGGCCUUGGCUGCAAGCAGUCUAGCAACCUUGGUGACCUUGGAGCAGUACAAUUAUGGAAGCAACUCUGUCAGAUAGAAUGUGGUGGACAAGCAAAUUCCAUGGCAAGGAGCAGCAAUCAGCACUCACCUGUAUGCCAAGCUCCCUUGUGGGAACGACAACCAGUGCUUGCACAGAGGACCUUCUGAAAUCGAUGGCGGAGAAGACAGACAAGAGAUACGCCAGUGUCUUCCCGGAGCCUGUCUACAAUAAGCUUGCAAUCGUGAAAUGAGAUAACAAGAAUAUCUCAGAACAUGAACUAUUUGGUAUAGGAAACAGUUGGGCAAGAAGCCUAUCGAGGAGAGGACCACCUGCGCAUGGAGAAUGCAAUCCUGGCCGGACAGCAGAAGCGGCAGGGAUUGCUCCUGCACCUCGGUGGGCACGACAUACCCAACCUCCUCAGCCCUGAAAACGAAUAAAUUUCAAUUGCUGCCUCCACCGAGAAGGGGAAGGGACCAAUUUCAUGGCAUGAUAAUGGAAAGCUGUGCGGUUGUGCGUUCACCUCUGUAGGACGUGGUCCGGGACGCGGCCGGCGCAGACCUCGCGGAGGGUGGCGGCGGCGGCGGUAACAGCAGCGGCGCGACGUGGGCCGACGCGGAGAUGCAGAGUGAAUGGGGCGAGGUGGGUGCCGGGGGUAGGGUUGAAGGUGGUAGUAGGGAGCGGAGGCGCGUAGCCGGAGGGGGGAAAGGCCGCUGCCAUGGCUGCCGCGACGGCCAUGAGAGAGAACUCAACCCCUUUCGCCUGCUCCACCAGGGGGGAGGAGGAUGCAGUUGUGCGCAGCCUCGCACGUGCUCGCUGCCGACGCCGACGCUGACGCCGCCGCCGCGUCCCGUGCGUGUCUCGCCUCGCGCACAACCCCGCCGGACAGCUCCUCGCCGUCGCAGCCUCGCACGUGCUCGCCGCCGCGUCCCGCGCCGCCCCACUGAAUGCUAGGGUUAUCUGAGGGAUGGAAGCGGGAGGUAUGGGGAAUUUGGGGCGGGCGGUCCGGGGACCACAGGUGUGCUGCGGCCGGAGCUGCGGCCGGAGCAGGCGUCAAUGGGGAUGGGGAUGGGGAUGUGAGGAGGACGGUCUCUGGCUGUGCUCGUGGCGGGCAUCAGAUGGCAGGGGCAACGAUCGGACGGCGCCACCGCGGUUUAAAAAGUAAUCCGCUUUAAAUUGCUCAGCUCAACCUGCCACUGACAUCUAAUCCGCACGCCUCACACAGUCACACGUCGUAACCCUCAACUCAGGAUCCUUUCAAAAUACUGGACCCUUCCAAAUUAUAAUUCAUUUUAAUUUUUUAGUUUAUAAAUAUUAUUAUAUAGAUAUAAUGUAUAUCUAGGUACAUAAUAAUAUCUAUGAACCUAUAAAAAUCAAAACAACCUACAAUUUGGAACGAAGGUGAGUACAUAUUUAGGUGCAUAGCAAAAUCUACGAAUCGUAAAAAGCAAAACGACUUAUAAUUUAGGAUGGAGGGAGUAUAACCCUCCGUUCGUGAAUUAUUUUGAUUUGGAGAAUUUCGUCCCCUUUUCUCAAAUUCUGAAUUUCUUUUUUCUUUUCGUUCUCGAGACCAACUGAACGGAUAACUUUUAUUCCAAUUGGAUUGAGCCAUCUCUACCAUUUUCAUGCACCCCCUCUCACUAUCUAGAAUAGAAGCGCCACCGCUCGCUAGGGUUUUGGCUAUCGGCGGAUUCAGGUGCCUGAAACCGCAUGAACGGACUCCAUGAUCCCAUUUGAGGUCCCUCCCAGGUAAGCCUUCUCAUUCGUCCAUUAAUCCCUCUCAUAUUCUAUCUAAGGUCGAUUGGGGAAGAAGGAUGUAUGGAUAGAUAUUCGAUAGGGCAGAUCCGGAUGCAACAUUUAGAUUGUGUGUUCAGGUGUCUCAGUUCAAAGCCAUUCUCGAAUCUCGAUGAUGGUAGCUAUGUUGAUGUGCCACGUAAAUAUGAUGAACGGGUAGUUCGCUCUCAAUGUUAUACUUUGGAGGAGUUAGAAAAGGACAUAGCAGCUAAGGUGAAUUGGGGAAGCAACCAAUAGGUUGUAAUAUCUGAAUAUGACAUGGGCAGUGGUGGGGAAAGGAGAUUGGUAGAUGAUAAGGCUUUGACAUUUUGUUUCUCUAAUAGAUAGAAUGACAAGAAGAUGUUUUUAUUUGUUGAUGUGGAGAAUAAACUUGCAGAAUUGCUUUUGAAAUCAGUUGUUACGGAAGUCAUGAGCAAUAUGGUCAUAGAUAAUGCUAAUGCUAGUGUAACAAUAGUAUCAAGCAAUGAGCCAGCUAUUGCACAUGUUAUUGAUUGGGACAAUAUAAAAAUAGCUCCAAUUGCAAAUGACUAGAUAGGUGUUGUUUUCUUUGUGAUGGAUGAAGAUGCAAUGUAUGAAUUUGUUGGUCCAAGAAUGGAGGAUGAGAGAGCAGAGAAAGCAAGACUUGCAUCUAAAAAGGAGAAGGAACUAAUAUGGACCUAGAGGGUGUGGAGUUGCUAGUUGGUGAUCUUAUUCCUGGUGAGCAUCCAAUUAUUUAUGAUCAAAGAUCCUCCAAUUGGACUUGGUUCAUGCAGUAGCUGUAAAAGGCAACUGGCAAUCCACCUUACCUAGCUAUAAGUUCAAAUGCUUCCAACGCCAUAGCAAAUGCUACGAAGGAUGUGUAUCCUUGGGCAAAGAAUAGAGAUUGUUUUUCCCACUUGAUGAAGAAUUUUGUCAAGAGGUUUCAAAGUCCUACAUACGGGAGAAUGUAUGCUGUAGCUAGGACUUUCUAGCCUGAAUAUCACAAGUACCAUAUGGACAAGAUUUAUGCAGAAAGUUAAAAGGUGGAUCCUUUUUUGAUAGAGCUUCACAAUUUAAAAUGGAUGAGGAGCUCAUUUUUAGAAGAAAUAAAGUGUGAUCAUAUUACCAACAAUGUUGCAGAGGUUUGGGAUAAGUGGGUGAAGGACAUUAAAGGCCUUCCUAUAGCUGAUUGUGUAGACACUUUUAGAGAUUAAUUCAUGGAGUUGUAUGCAAAAAGGAGAAAAAUAGGUGAAAAACUUGAAGAUCAUGUGAUGCUACCCAUUGUAGUUCACCAACUAAAUGCAUUAAGUAGACAAUUGGAUCACUUGAAUAUCAGAGAAGGUGGAAAGGAUGACGUAGAGGUCAAAAAGAUCACUCCAAAGCACAGGAUCAUUCGACAUGUGGUGAAUCUGAAAAACAUGUAGUGGCAAGUCUCAAGGAAACCAUGCCCACAUGCUUUGGCACUCAUAACCAUUGAAAGAAAUCCAAUGGGCAAUUAUAUGCAUCCUUACUAUCCAGUAUAUCAUUUUAGGCUAGUAUAUUUAAAUGUCAUUAAACCAUUACCUAACAAGUCUUAGUGGCCACAUGUUGAUAUUGGGUUCAACUGUUGCCACCUUUGACUAAGAGAGCAAUUUGGAGAGAAAGGAAGAAUAGAGUUCCUAAGGGAAAGAAGCCUAGAACCAAAGGCAUGUGGCAGGUGUAGUGUAAGAAUUGCUUUGGUCAUGGAUAUAGGAUAAUGUCACCAAAGUGCCCUCUCAAUGGAACUAAGAAGAGGUAAAACAUUAUGCUAUUAUGCUACUUGAUUCAUACUUAUUUCCUAUUUCGUUGUGUCCAACUUUCUCUAUUAUGAACUCUUGUAGAAAGAGUAAUGCCAAAAAAAGGACCGCUAGGAAGGCCACCUGGUUCUAGCAAAGGUGCCGCAAGUACACCCAAAAGGCAAAAAGUUGUUCAGCAGGAAAGUUCAUUCAACGCUAGUCUAGGACCUACCACAAGAAGUAAGAUAUUGCAUCAAAUUGAAUUGCAUGUAUGUCUUCUAAUUUUCAGUGACUUGACAAUGUAAAGUUUAUUUUUUUAGCCAACUUGCAUUGCCCAUAGUUCCUGAGUAGGAAAGUUUAGUCAACACUAGUUCCGUGCCCAUCACAAGAAGAUAAAAUAUUCAUCAAAUUGAUUUCAUCCAUUCAUUAUAAAACCUGACAAUGUAAAGUUUUUAUCUUUUUAGCCAACUUGCCUUGACCACCACUGCUACACCAAGUACUCCCCCAACAAAGAAAAAGAAGGCCCUGAAGAAGAAACUCGCUCCAAGUAAGGUAAAUAACUGAAAUAAAUGAAAAUGUUGUGCCUGCCAUGGUUUAUUUUGUAAACUGAAUUUGUUGUGUUGCAAGGAAACUAUGAACCUAACCUGUCAUGGAUGUUUUUGUAAUCUCUCUUUGCUGAAUUUGUGAACCGAAGACUUAAUUUUCUUUUGUAUGCAACAUGCGACUAUGCAGUGAAUGAAACUGUGAACAUCAAACUUCUUUUUAUGUGUGCCAAUUUAUGUAUGGUAAUUUGCUUAUGUAUGCCAAUUUAUGUUUGGUAAUUUGCUUCAUCCCUCAAAGCACUUGUUAUGGGGACAUGCUGCCAAAAUUUUGCAAAUUAAUAGAACAGAUCACAAGGUCACAAUUUUUAUUGGUAGAAGCUCCAAUUCAUUGCAUAACAAGAAAUACAACUGCAGUCUACUUCAACACAAUCCAAACUAUGCAUAUCACCACAAACACUACUGGAACACAUGGAAUUUUCUUUCUUAGUUAUUUGUUCUUCAUCUCAUCCAUUCCCAUCUUCACCAUGGUCAACUCCUCCUUCAUUUUAUUGAAUGCCAACUUGACUUGUUCGAUUUCUUCCAUAAGCAUUCUAGGGAUGGCAUCCAUGAUCGAGGUCAGCUGCAAAUAACCCUUACUCUCAAGGUACUGCUCAUACUGAUUCUAAACCAUGAUAAUGCCACAUCUAUCACCACCUGUAAAAAUCGAUCCAACUCACAUUGCGCGAAAUCGAGACUUAUGAACACAAAUUUGAAGGAACCACUCACCCAAUCAUCAUUCUUUGGGCACUUGAAAAAUCUCUUGCCCCGAUUUUUAGUCCACUUGCAGGUGAAUGCGGUGAGCCUCAAAUGCUUGCAGUUCGAGCACAUUAUCAAUGGCAAACCAGUCACCUCAUCAACCAUCGGUGGAGGCACAACCUCUAGUCACGUCGCUGCUCCAAUUGUGGUUCUGACGAGCCUCAACAAACCCUAGAUGCCGUACAGCCACGGUCGUGCGGAUGAGGACCCUUGCGACAUAGGAGGCUAAUGCGGCAGAGGGGAGGGCAAAGAAUGUGGUGGGAGGGAGGGGGGUAGCAGAGGGAGACAGAGGGGGGAGUGCUUAGGGAGGUGGAGGGGAGGGAGGACAAUGACACUAGAGGUGUCGGUCAGUUUAAUCGAUUCGAUCCUAAAUGCAAAGAAGAUAUGGUCAGGGGAAACGUUGUAUGUUCUGUUGGUCUGGAAAAGGAAAAGGAAAAUAAAUUUGCAAAAUCGAGAAAAGGGGAUGAAGUCCUCCAAAUUGAAAGAAUUCGCAGGCGGAGGGUUAUAUUUUUGAAAUGCUUGUAAAUUGAGGGUUAUAACGCGUGAGGCAUGCGGAUUCAAUGCCAAAUAUCAAAAAUUCUCCCGGUUGGAGGAGUAAAUGUAUAUCUAUUAAACAAAAUCUGAGGGACAUAUUCCAUGAUAAUGUUUAAGUAAAUAGAGGGAUGAAAUUAUACUAAAAAGCUAGAAAACAAAGAAAGCUAGUGAAAAUUUAAUAAUUUGACAUAUUCGUUACAAGAUCACGUUAGACAAAUACCACCAUUGAUCAGUUUACCAUUUUCUCCAUCCAUCUUGAGUUGAGAGGUUCUUCAUGUUGAGUUUUUUUGGUGUUGGUGUUUUGGCGUGGUGCCUUCUCAUCUUCGGUGAAAGUGAAGAUGUAUUGUGGCUUUGGUUUUCCUAUAGCGAGAUUGCCAGAUUAGUGAGGUGGUGAUGACAAGUUCGCUUUGUAGCAAGGUCUUUUGAGUUCUCCAUCACGCUGAUGGCGACGAUAACCAAAUGAGGUUUGGUUUGGGGUUUGGCAGGUUCAAGGUGUUUGUGUUUUAGUUUUUGCUGGCCCUUUCAUAAGUGUUUUGAUGGAGGUUCAUGUGGGUUGGGAUAAAUCUACAAGGGAAUAUGCUGUUGAGAUGCAUGUUCCAUCUCAUUCCCUUGAAACGAGCGAACAGGUCAACCCCCUUUGAUGUCGUCUCGAGUCCAUCUAUACUGCUUGGAGGCAAUCACAUCAGGAGGUGAGUAGAAACUAGAGCUACCGAGCUUCACAGAGCAAAGGUGCGAGCACAGGAUCUGCAGACCUCCUUCUCAGCAAGAGGGAAGUCUUCAGUGUCCGGCGUGGCCCAGUGGAGACACUUAGUGGGGCAAGGGUGGGUGGCAACGCGAUGCAGGGUAGGCACGGGUGGCCAAUGACGCGGGGUAGGGGUAGGGAUGGACUGCCAGUGUCGCAUGGUAGGGGCAAGGGUAAGUGGCGGUAAGACGCGAGGUGGGCCAGGGAUCAUGAUGGCCUGGGCAGGGUCGAGCGGUCGGUAGUGCAGUGUGGUGUCGGGGUAAGAGUGGCGGCUGUGUGGAGGCCUUAGCUGUGAGGUAUCCGUGCAACUCAAUCUCGAGGAAGAAUAUGAGGUGCACACAAAAAAAGGAUGGCAGAUGGGACCCAUAGAUGACUGUUGCUAACGGUGUAAAAAUGGCACCCACCUCAACCCCUCCAACCAAAUAAAUAACUUGAAUGGAUCCAUCCCUCUCAACCAAACAUGAGAUGGAUUCAUCCCAUCCCAAAAUUUAGGGACAAAUCCAUUUUAAUUCACAUGUUCCCAAACCAAACACAUGCUAAACAUCUGGUGGUAUUAUUCAAUGCUAAGAAGUGCAACUUCUUCGAAAUCUUACUUCUAUUUAUGUGACAAGAUCUGGUACCUUCUACCCUCUAUUCUAGCAGUGGUUGAAACCAUGGCUGUUCUUUUGGUUGGAUACCUAGCCGACUAUCUUUCACCAUCGCUAGCAAAAGGUAGUAUUAUGGUACCAAUAGAAAUCUACAUCUACUAUCUCUGUAGUGUCUUUUUCAAUAUCUAGUGAGCAACAUAUUUUCGUAGAAAGUAAAUGACCUCAAAGUACCUCUUUUAAUGUUGUAAGCAAAUCAAAGGAUUAUCGACACUUAUACCAAAAAAGGAAGAUGCUACCAUGGUCAAGGAUUAUCGGUCGAUUAAUUAGCCUCAUACAUAGCAUUAUUGUUAAACUUAUUACAAAGCUACUGGCCAACAAGUUGGCUAAGAAGCUUAGUGAGGGAUAAGGGUACCAUGGGUCCCCACCAACAAGGAUACUAGUCGGCCCUGACAAGUGGGCCCGCUCGACCACGCCGUGCGGGCCAAGGCAUGUAGAUACGUGGAGCACUAGUCCGGAGGUCGGGUGAACGGAUUCUGCCCAGAUAUCACGGGACAUUUGUUGUAAACGGACUCACAUUGCUUUCCAUGUAACAACCGACUAGGAUUAGAUCAUAUCUAAUUGUAACCCUAGGUCGUCAGCCUACAUAAGGUGGCCAGGGGCGUCCCCCGAGGGCACGUUAACUCUUUGCACCUGCGAUCAACAAUACAAUCCACCAGAACACAGGACGUAGGGUAUUUCUCUCCGGAGACCCAAACCUAUCUUAACCUUGCGUCCCUGUAUUACCAUUCGAGUUCUUGGUCUUAUGUGACAUCCGACCCAAAUUUGGAUGGCCCAGUACUGGCGCAUGAGCGUAGGUGCGCAUGUUUAGUACCACAUUGCUAGUUGAGCAAGGGUGGAGCCAACUUAUAAGCCUUUGUCCACUAGCAAUAGCACGUUCGGAUUAACCCUUUUACACAAAGUGAGGAUAAAAGUGUAAGCAGAGUGCUAUGUGUACGUGUGCCCGCCCCUCGGAAGGGCUGGGCAGUACGGCUUCGGAGGAUGGGGUGUUACAAAUGGUAUCAAAGCUGACCCUCGCGGUUGUGCGUACGGGUCAAUGUGCGGGCAUAUGGCGCAUGACACAUGUGGGCUUUGGAUGGGACACACGGUAUGGUAUAUGGCGCCGGUAGAGGACAUACGGUCAUGUGCUAAGAGGGAACGUUCCUAUACAGUUGCCCAUGUGUGGGUGACUUGGACCGACGAGGAUGUCGGGUUCUUUGAGGGGGGUGUAUGUGAUAUCCAGCCCAAAUUUGGUUGGCCCAGUAGUGGCCCAUGAGCGCAGGUGCGCAUGUUUAGUACCACAUUGCUAAUUGAGCAAAGGUGGAACCAACUUAUAAGCCUUUGUCCACUAGCCAUAGCAACUUCGGGUUAAGCCUUUUACACGAAGCGAGGAUGAAAGCGUAAGAAGAGUGCUAUGUGUACGUGUGCCCGCCCCUCGGAAGGGCUGGGUAGUCCGGCUUUGGAGGAUGGGGUGUUACAAAUGGUAUUAGAGCCGACCCUCGCGGUUGCGCGUACGGGUCAAUGUGCGGGCAUAUGGCGCACGACGUGUGUGGGCUUUGGAUGGGACACACGGCAUGACAUAUGGCGUCGGCGCUGGAUGUACGGUCGUGCGCUAAGAGGGAACGUUCCUGGAUAUUUGUCUAUGUGUGAGUGACUUGGACCGACGAGGACGUCGAGUUCUUUAAGGGGGGUGUAUGUGACAUCCGGCCCAAAUUUGGAUGGCCCAGUAGUGGCCCAUGAGCACAGGUGCGCAUGUUUAGUACCACAUUGCUAGUUGAGUAAGGGUGGAGCCAACUUAUAAGCCUUUGUACACUAGCCAUAGCAACUUCGGGUUAACCAUUGUACAUGAAGCGAGAAUGAAAGUGUAAGCAGGGUGCUAUGUGUAUGUGUGCUCACCCCUCGGAAGGGCUGGGUAGUGCGGCUUUGGAGAACAGGGUGUUACAUCUUACGAUCUCCCCCGCCUACAAAUCUAUCACCUGGGUAACCCCCUGGUAGACUGCCAAUCACUAAGGGUGUGUUUGGUUACCGGGUUGAACUGGGUUGGAACGGGUUCGACCCCCUUCAUCCCGCGUUUGGUUGAAAAACGAUGGGGAACGGGUUCGACCCAGAUGGGAAUAUUCCCACUUGAUUCGGGUCAAGCGGAUUCCUCCAAAAUGGACGGACCGCUCUGACCCAGUUCUCCCUCGCGCGUCCCGUGAAUCCAGCUGGGGGCAGCAGUCACUGCUCCAACCCUAUCCUCACCUCUCUCACCCCCCGACGCCCGGCGCAGCGCCGCCUGCCUUGCCAUCGCCACCGCCGCCUGUGCCAUCCGCCGCUGCCCGUGCCAUCCGCCGCCGCCCCCUUCCCCCCAUCCGCCACCCCUCUCUCGUCGCACCAUCUCCUGGCCGCACCUUCUCUCCUGCCAUCUCUCCCGGCCGAACCUUCCACCGGUUGGAUCUCGCCGCCGCCGGACCUUCCACCGGCUGGAUCUCGCCUCCGCCGCCGCCUCCUUCCCCCCAUCCGCCGUCCCUCUCCCGGCGCACCAUCUCCCGGCCGCACCUUCUCCCCUGCCAUCUCUACUGGCCGGACCUUCCACCGGCUGGAUCUCGCCGCCGCCGGACCUUCCACCAGCUGGAUCUCACCUCCUCCUUCGCCGCCUCCCCUACAUUCCGCCAUCCCUGACAUCCUCCGCUACCCCUACCCUCCGCCGCUCCUGACCUCCGCCGCCCCUGACAUCCGCGGCCCCCCUGCCAUCCGCCACCCCUAACAUCCGUCGCCGCCUCUGCCAUCCGCCGCCUCCCUUGCCCUCCGCCAUCCCUGACAUCCAGUGCCGCCCCUGCCAUCCGCCGCCCCUGACCGCUGCCACCGCUCCUGCCAUCUGCCGCCGCCCCUGACCGCUGCCGCCGCCCCUGCCAUCUGCCGCCGCCCCUGCCAAGUGCCGCCCCUGCCAUCUGCCGCCGCCCCUGCCAAGUGCCGCCCCUGCCAUCUGCCGCCGCCCCUACCAAGUGCCACCCCUGCCAUCUGCCGCCGCCCCUGCCAAGCAUCGCCCCUGCAAAGCUCCACCUCCCCUGCCAAGUGCCACCCCUGCCAUCCGCCGCUGCCGUGUCCCUUGCUCUCCAAGGUAAGGAAAGUCUACACCAUGCUUGACUUGGUUGAUAUUUGAACUGUAUUGGCUUCGGAUGCUCCUGGUUGAUAGUAUUGUGGGAGUUAAAUUGAACAAAUAAUCCAGUAGCAGGACAUCCUGGUUCAAUGGUCUCUAAGAAUAGGUGUUUUUUUCAUUCUUGUAUUGUAGAUGGAUAAGAGGACCAAGAUUGUAAGUUGUGCUGCUGCUGCAUACAUGCUGUUGUCAAUGAUGGCGGUGAUUAUUCAGUCUAGGAAACGUAAACGAUGUACAAGAAGAGUUGGUAUUACCUAUGGACCUAUGGAGGCAAGAGAUAGGAUGAGAGUAGAUUAUCUAAAUAACAAAAUUUGGAAGGAUGACACAACUUGCUUGAACAUGUUAAGAUUUAAUAGAGGCAAGUUCUUUCGGUUUUGCAAUCUUUUUAGAGAGCGUGGGUUGCUUCAAGAUACAUGUAACUUGUGUGUUGAGCAACAAGUGGGUAUGUUUCUAAAUACAGUGGGGCAUAACCUUACGAAUAGGUUAGUAGGAACUAAUUUUGAUAGAUCGGGAGAAACAGUUAGCCGCUAUUUCAACAAAGUACUCCAUGCUAUUGGGGAGCUGCGAGGGGAACUAAUUAGGCCCCCGUCUUUGGACACUCCAAGCAAAAUUGCAGGAAACAACAGAUGGGAUCCUUACUUUAAGGUGUGAGGCUUAUCCCUCUUUUGUUUUGAGUUUUGUAUUAAUCUUACCUCAUAUGGUCCCUAAUUAUUACUUUUUGAAAAAAUUAGGAUUGUAUUGGAGCUAUUGAUGGUACUCAUGUAAGAGCAUCUGUUCCUAAGAACAUUGAGCAUGCCUUUCAUGGUAGGAAAUCCGUUUGUACACAAAAUGUAAUGGCAGCUGUAGAUUUUGAUCUACGAUUCACCUAUGUGUUGGCUGGUUGGGAAGGGGCUGCACAUGAUGCUCUAAUUUUACGUGAUGCUUUAGAACGUGAGAAUGGCCUUCGUGUUCCACAAGGUAAUAGAGUAGUAAACUCUCAACUUUUACAUACAAAUAUCAGUUUAUAGUAUUAUAACCAAUCUAUCUAUCAAAUGAUAGGCAAAUUCUACCUAGUCGAUGCUGGAUAUGGAGCCAAACCAGGAUUUUUGCCCCCCUUUCGUGGUGUUCGGUACCACUUAAAUGAAUGGGGAAGUAAUCCAGUUCAAAAUGAGAAGGAAUUGUUCAACCUUAGACACUCAUCAGUACGUGUCACUAUAGAGCGGGCAUUUGGGGCACUAAAGAGGAGAUUCAAAAUUCUUGAUGAUGCUACUCCAUUCUUCCCUUUUCCAACACAAGUAGAUAUUAUUUGUGCUUGCUGCAUUAUUCACAAUUGGGUCAUACAAGAUGGGCGUGAUGAGUUCUUUGCAGAGGAUACUAAUUGGCCAAGCUACAACCAUGCUUCCACACGCACUGGCCAAGAAAAUGAGCAUGCUGCUAUGGUUAAUUUCAGGCAACAGCUAGCAGAUCAGAUGUGGGCAGACCAUCAAAACAAUAAUGUUAACUAAUAUUUGUUUCAAAAAUAAAUUUUUUUUCAGUUGUAUAACAUCUUGGCUGAUGUAUUGCUAUUUGUAAGGACAUGUUUGAUGUUGAAUAAUAUUUUUACGAACAUGUUGCUUGCUGAAUUUUAUGUAAUUUGUGGUGAUAAUGUACAUUUUGUCUACGUAUUGGUACUGAUUCUAUAUUGGUGUAAUCUAUAUUUUGGCUAUGUAUUGGUGCUGAUUUUGUAUUGGUGAUAAUCUAUAUUUUAGCUAUAUUUUGGUGCUGAUUUUGUAUUGGUGAUAAUCUAUAUUUUGACUAUAUUUUGGUGCUAAUUCUGUACUAGUACUAUUACUGAUUGUGUUUUUGUCUGGCAGAACAAUGGAGGAAGUAGGUGAAGGGCGUGGGGGAACUAGUGGGCAUGCUACAUGGACAUCAGCAAUGUCUGCUUUAAUGCUCUCUCACCUCAAUGACUUGGUGGCUACUGGUUUGAAGACAUCAAAGGGCUUUAAGAAACACCUUUUCAAUGGUUGUGCUAGGGCUAUCAAUGAGAAGUUCAACACAAGGAUCACUAGUGAGCAAGUCAAGAAUCAUUUGAAAACAUGGCAGAAAAGGUAUGCAAAGAUAAAUAGAUUGAAGAAGUUGAGUGCUGCCCUCUUUGAUGAAGAAAACUACAUGAUUACACUAGAUGAGGAGCACUACAACGGUCAUGUCCAUGUAAACUUACUAUCUUUGCUUAGUUCUUGAUUGAUUGACCAGUGUUAAAUUAUAUUAACUUAUUUGUCCUCCAUAUCUAGGAUCACAAGUCUGAUGCUGAGUUCUUGAACAAGCCCCUCUUGCACUAUAGAGAGAUGGAUGCAAUAUUUGGUAAUAGCAUGGCUACUGGAAACUUUGCAAAAGACACAAGUGCACCUCUAGGUAGAGAGGAGGAUGAGGGUGAAAGUCAGGAAGAGGGGGAUGAGGUUACUGGUCAUGGUCUAAGUGAUGGGCCUACCAAUCAAGGGGUAACAUCUUGUGCUAGUAGACCAAGUAAGAAGGCCAAGGUAGCUGAAAUGGAGGAGGAUGGGCUGGUUGCCGCUUUCAAAAGUGUAGGUGAGAACCUUGCCGCUGCCAUAAAAUUGGUUGCUAAACCUGAUAAUGAGCUGCCAGCUGACCUAUUUGACAUCUUGAACCAACUUCCUGGUUUUACUUCAGCACACAUAUCUUUCUACUAUGCUCAUUUGGUGGCCAAUCCUCACAUUGGCAAAGCUUUCUAUAAUCUGCCAUUCGAGCACAAGUUAAAUUGGAUCACAAUGUUCAUCGCUGAGAAGUUCCCUGGAAUGUAAGGUUGAUUUUGAUGAGUGGGAUGUUUCUUUUGUUAUAACUUGAAUCUUAUAUUAGUGUGUAAGUCUUGAACUUAUAUUAGUGUGUAAGGCUUGAAUUUGGUGUAACUUGUUGUAUUGCCUUGAACUUGCUAGAUGUAAGUAAGGCUUGAACUUGAUUAAUGUUGCUCAAGAUUGAUGAAUUGGUGUGCCUGCUUGCUGCCUCUGUUCAAUUGGUUAAUUGCCUUGGCACGUGAUUUUCUACUCGGCAACUGCAUGGUGUUAUUCCCAUCCCUCCUAGUGAAUGUUCUGUUCUUUUAGGAUGAUUUAUAUCCUAUGUGUUUAUAACUAGAAAGAAAAGGAGCAUCAAAUCCUAUUUUUACAAAGAUGACACAAUUGCUACAAACAUGAAAGUCUGGAGAAAAGCUUGGAUUUCAAUAGCCUAUUUUGAUAUAUUCUGUAGAUCGGUUAAGAAGUUAAGAAGUUGAUGAUUCUGUAUUAUUUUCUAAAUUAAACAGUAGUCAAUAAUUUUUUACAGUAAAUAACAGUGCUAGAAUGUGAUAUUGUUGAUGAAUUGGUGUGGCAGUUAUGUAUGUGGUAAUCUCACCAGAUAGGUGAGCAUAUUCACUGUCCAACUCGCAUUCUCCAACCAAACAAGAGAUGGAACUACUCCAACCCACUUUAUCCCCCCAAUCAAACAAAAAACUGGGUCCAACUCAUCCCUGCAACCAAACAAGAGCUAGGUCGAACCCAACCCAGAAAACUGGGUCGGCUCUGACCCAACCCGCAUGGUUCCAAAACCAAACACACCCUAAAUCCAACAGUUGGUGCACCAGGUAGGGGUGAUUGUGAGAUCCUCCCCAGCGAGCUCGAUGGCAUCCCGCCCCGGCGUCAUCUUCCCCGAGAGCAUGAAGGACUUCCUCACCAAUCCGAUCUAGCUCCGCUUUGAAAGCAUACCGGUGGACUCCGACUCCAACACCUCCAUCACCGACUCGGUAUCCGCCACCAGCUCAGCAUCCGUUGGACCUGCAUCAACGGAGCAAGGUCUUCACCCUAGAAUCAUCACGCCGCUUGCCAGCAGGUCAGCGAUCUCUCUCUAUCUCUCUUUCUCUCGGAGAGGAUCCCGCGCAACCUCGCGGCAACCCGCCUACCCACACCCUCUGAUCUAAUCGUGGGGCUAGAUCACAUUAGCAAUACCAUUGCUGAGUGCAUCAACCUCUCCGAGGCAGCACCACGCCCCGAAGGUCGGCACAGGGCUCUUCCUGCGCCCCUUUUGGCAUCAAGAAUUCGGCUGCCCUGUUUUCUGAAAAACUCGUGCAGUCUUUCCAGAUCCAAUCUGACGACCCACCUAAACCCACCUAGUUUCUGGACUACGGCAAGUUCCAGGUCCCUCGCUUUGCCCUAACUCCAAACCCUUACAGUCAGGGUGACGAUGAAACCUCUACGUCACUAGAUCAGGAAGUAUUCACUAUCUCCGCCGAUGAACCUCCUCGUGAUGGCAAAACUUCCUCCUAGGAGGAAAGGCACGACGAGGGGUGAGACCACGGCAGGCACCGCCAACAGGAACGAGCCGAGCAAGUUCGUCAGCCGCCUGCCACCCCCGCAGUGGCCGGCGCACCGCCCGUCCCGUCGGCACCAAACAACGGCAACAAUGGUGGCCAGGACGACGCAGGAGGUCGGCAGAGGUGCCCUAACCCCCUGCGUGCUUGUAAUCUACAGGCCGACUUAGAACAAGCCGACCACGACGUUUUCGCUACACCCCAAGCCAACCUGGGGGUUGUCUUUGCCAGUCUAGAAAACUUUCCGGAUUCAGAGCAACUGCAGAGGUUCUGGGUGCGUCUCCAUGUUGCUAACGCCUAGAUCAAGAAAAAGGCCUAGGUCCCAACGCGCUCAUGAAGCUGAUCGUCUCACCCAGAUCUACAUCUACCCGGCACUCCCGAAUCCGAUCUACUCAGAGUAGAUCCGAUCGUAGCCGAACCAAUCACAACCACCGUAGGGGAGGUCGGCUGGAACCCAUUUAAGAGGAGGAGGUGGACCAGUCCCAAAGAAAUGACCACCAUCCCAACGACGACGAUCACCGACUAGACAACCAUCACCAUGACAAUCGUCGUCGUGACGAAUGAGGAGAUGGCGAAUGCCACGAUCGGCCUGGUCGUCGACCUGAUCGCGAUCUCCGCGACCAUCUCUGCGACCAGCGCGACCUCUAUGGCGAACUCAACAACCGUCACCAAGAGCGGGAUGAGGUGGAGCUCCACCAGCGUGCCCAGUAUGAUCGCGACUUUGGUGCUCCAGGGGUCGGCAACUAGCCAAACCGCGUCAUGGAGGAGGAGGCCCACAACCGUCGGGAGGAGGAGCUACGCCGCCGUGAUGAUUACGACCGUCGCUACGGCACCCCUGGCGAUGCCUACAAUCCACCCCAGCAUGACAAUGGUGCACGCUCCAGGGCCUCGACGGUACACUAUUGCCUCAUGGAAGACAACGACAUGGACAUCGACGGGUUCACCGCGUUCACCCCUGUCUUAGGGUUGUCCAGUGGCCACCCACCUUCAAGCCAGCCAUCAACGAGAAGUACGAUAGUCGCUCCAACCCGAAGAUUUGGUUGAAGACAUAUUGCACCGCGGUCAAGGCUGCGCACGGCACCUACGACCAGAUGGCCGCUUACUUUCCGGUGGUGAUGGGAAGCACAGCUCUCAUAUGGCUCGAAAACCUCUCGCGAGGCUGCACCGACACAUGGGCAUAGCUCGCCAGAGCCUUCACCCAGAACUAUUAGGCUACAUACACUCAACCUGGAAACACGAAAAACCUCAGCCAAGUAAGCCAGCGGAAGAACGAAACUCUCCGCGUGUACGUUAACCGCUUCUUCGACAAUCGCAAUACGCUUGCUGGCGUUGAAGACCGCAACGUCAUCUGGUACUUCCGCACCGGCCUCAAGAACCGCUCAAUGUUCUGCACCAUGUUCCAGGCCACUCCCAAUAUGGUCGGACACAUGAUGCAGAUCAUCAACCUUCACACCGACACAGAUAAGGCCGAGCACGUCCAAUUCUAGGAUGGCAAGAAUCGCUACAACGAUGAUGAUGAACUGCCGACCCAUCAAGGCCACCAGCCCCAGCCCAGGCCGGAGCUCUCCCAACCUCAGAAGAGGACCCCUGAGGUCCUCGCUACUGAAGCCAACCCUGCGAGGCAAACAACCUUCCUCCAGGAGGAAUUUGAUGAUACGAUGAACGCUCUGUGCCCCUUCCACAAGGACGCACGCCACAAUCUUCGGGACUACACGAUCCUCAAGAAAGAGCUCGGUGCCCCAGUGGAAUACAAGCGGCCUCAUCAGAGUGACUACCGCAAGGAAGAUAACCGACGUGACAACCGUCGCCGUGACGACCGUGAUGACCAAUGCAGAGAAGAGCACCAUGACCAGCGUAACCCCAACAACAACCUGGGCGCCAGCAACAACAAUGGCGAGUUCCAGCGCAUCGAGCAGGAGGUGAACAUCAUCAUCAGCAGCCCUAAGGCUUUCUGCAGCAAUCGCAAGCACCAAUUGCAAAGGCGGGAAAUGCACUUCAUUUCCGUCACACCAGUCCAGUAUCUGUGCUGGUCGAAGAUACCCAUAACCUUCUCCAGGGAAGAUCACAGGGUGCACAUCCCAAAUCUUGGGUCUUUACCCGCUGGUGGUGUGCCCCACCAUAGAUAGAGUCCUCCUCUCCAAGGUGCCGAUCGAUGGCGGCAACGACUCCAACUUCAUCUUCACCAAUACCCUGAAGUGCAUGGACAUCAACUUUGAGCGGCUCCUCCCGCAUGAAGACCCUUUCUACAGCAUAGUACCCAGCAAAGGAUCCUAUCCUAUUGGGCGAGUCGUCCUGCCGGUCACGUUCGGCACCCCUGACAACUACUGCACUGAGCACCUCACCUUCAAGGUUGCCAACUUCAAGACCUCCUACCAUGCCAUCUUUAGCAGGCCAAUGCUGGCAAGGUUCAUGGUGAUUCCCAACCAUGCCUACCUUGUCCUCAAGAUGCCGGCUCCAAAUGGCAUCCUCUCCAUCUUCGGGGAUGUUGAAACAUCCUAUAGCUACGACACGGAAACAUUCUACAACUACGAUACUUGGCCAACGCCACCAUGAUGUUCAUCGAGUCCAAGAAGGUGGACUAGAGUCAGCUGACAUUCCUAGAGGCAGACGCGAUGCCCAUGGUGAUGUAGCCUAACCCACAAGUCAAGAAGAUCAGCCUCAGCCUGGAAGGCCCCUCCAAGAUGGCCCUCAUCGGGGCCGGCCUCACCCCCAGAUAGGAACACGCGCUCACCAGCUUCCUCCGGGACAAUUUAGACAUAUUCGCAUGGAAACCAUCCGAUAUGCCUGGUGUCUCACGGGAGUUGGCUGAGCACUCCUUGGAGCUGAGCAAGACAACAAGGCCGGUUAAGCAGAAGCUUCGCUGUUUUGCUCAAGAUCACAAGGAGGCCAUUAGGGUAGAAAUAAAUAAGCUGUUAGCUGCCGGUUUCAUUCGUGAAUGUAAGCACCCCACUAGUUAGCAAAUCUAGUCUUUGUAAAGAAGAAAACCGGUGAAUGGAGAAUGUGUAUCGACUACACCGAUCUCAACAGGCACUACCCUAAACACUGCUUCCCUCUUCCUCGCAUCGACCAUGUCGUGGACCCCACGGUCGGCUGCACCAUGCUGUGCUUCCUUGAUUGCUACUCGGGCUAUCACCAGAUCGCCCUCAACCCCGCCAACCAAGAUAGGACCGCAUUCAUAACGCCCUAUGACAUCUACUACUACAACACCAUGACCUUUGGAUUAAAAAAUGCUGGCGCCACCUACCAGAAGGUAAUCUAGGAUUGCCUCAAGAAACAACUCGGCAAAAACGUAGUGGCCUACGUCGACAACAUAGUCUUCAAGACCAAAGACGAAGAGAACUUCAUCGCUGACCUUGCCCAAACCUUUGACAGCCUUUGGGCCUAUCGAUGGAAACUCAACCUGGGCAAAUGUGUCUUCGGUGUCCCGUCCGGAAAGCUCCUAGGCUUCAUGGUCAGCCUACGUGGCAUCGAAGCCAACCCUAUCAAAGUGGAUGCCAUUAGGAACAUGAUGCAGCCGGCCCGCUAGAAGGAUGUCAUGAAGCUCAUAGACAUGAUAGCGGUCCUUAUCCACUUCAUCAGUAAGCUUGGUGAAAAGGGACUCCCCUUCUUCAAGCUAAUCAAGAAGGUGGACAAGUUCAAGUGGGAUGACGAGACCUGCAAAGCCCUCAAGGAACUCAAAACAUUCCUCUCCACCCCUCCCAUCUUGACGGCUCCGGCCAACCAAGAAAUGCUGCAGCUGUACAUCUCCGCGACAACACAUGUCAUGAGCAUGGUGGUGGUCGUAGAAUGUGAGGAACCCGGCCACGCCCACAUGGUGCAAAGGCCGAUAUAUUACAUCAGCGAGGUCUUGAGCGACUCCAAAGUUUGCUACACGCAGGUCUAGAAAUUGCUCUAUGCAAUCGUGAUCACCUCCCAUAAACUACAUUACUACUUCCAAACGCAUAACAUCUGAGUGGUCUCCUCCUACCCAAUCGGUGAAAUUUUGCACAACAAGGAUGUCCACGAUUGAGUCGUCAAAUGGUCCGUGAAACUUGGCGAAUUCAACAUCGACUUCUACCCACAUUAUGUGAUCAAAUCCUAGAUCCCAGCCGACUUCAUUGAUGAAUGGACUGAGAUCCAAGAGUCGUCCUCCCUGGAGAGGCUGGAGUACUGGACGAUGUACUUCGAUGACGCCCUCAACCUCGAAGAAGCUGGCGCGAGGGUCCUCUUCAUAUCCCCGAAAGGAGAGAAGCUCAAGUAUGUCCUCCAGAUCCACUACAAGGCCACCAACAAUGGCGCUAAGUACAAGGCCCUCAUACACGGGCUCCACAUCACCGCCUUGCUCGCAUUAAGCUCAUCCUCGCGUUCAACGACUCCAAGGUUGUCAUCGAGCAGGUCAACAAGUCCUGGGAGUGCACCAAGGAAACCAUGGACGCCUACUACGCUGAGGUCUGCAAACUCGAGGCUCACUUUGAUGGUCUCAAGUUCCAUCAUGUCCCUAGGGAACACAACAUCACCGCUGAUGUCCUAUCCAAGCUUGGCUCAAAACGCGCCCAAGUCCCGGUCGGCGUGUUCGUCCAGGAUUUGAGAAAACCAUCCAUUAAGAUCCUGGACCCAGAUCAAGCUGACAACAAUGCCUAGGCUUAGGCCGACCCAACAUCCACCAAUGUCCUAAUGAUCAAGGCGGAGGAAGACUGGUGCGCACCUUUCAUCUCAAUCAUCACCGACAACAUGUUCCCAGAGAACAAAGUUGAGCACGAAAAGCUCGCACGACGCAGCACCAACUAUGUUGUGAUCAGUAAGGAGUUGUACAGGAAGGUCGCAUCUACUAGCAUUCUGAUGAAGUGCAUCUUCCGCAACGAAGGCCUCAAACUCCUCCACAAAAUCCACUCGGGUUCGUGCGGGAACUCUGCCGCCUCGGGCAAUUUGGUAAGGAAAGCAUUCUGCUCUAGCUUUUACAAGCCAAUUGCUAUCACCGACGCAAAAGAGCUCGUCCAGAGGUGUAAAGGGUGCUAAUUUUUCUCCAAGCAGUAGCACCUCCAGCGCAGGCCCUGCAUACCAUCCCACCAUCCUAGCCCUUCGCAUGCUGGGGGCUGGAUAUGGCCGGCCCUUUCAAGACUGCUCCGGGCAGAUACACUCAUAUCUUCGUAGUAGUUGACAAAUUCACCAGGUGGAUCGAAGUCAAGGCUGUAAUUAGCAUAGAGUCGGCCAAAGCCCCUCAAUUUGUCAAAGAGCACACACACCGCUUCGGAGUCCCCAAUAGGAUUAUCACCGACCUGGGCAAACAAUUCACAUGAUCCGAGUUCUAGGAUUUUUGCCAGGACAACCUCAUCGACGUAUACUACUCCUCAAUAGCUCACCCAUGAUGCAACGGCCAGGUUGAACGUGCGAAUGGGAUGGUCCUCCUAUCCCUCAAGUCUCGCAUCUUUCACGAUGCAUCCAGUAUGCUACCAAAUGGCUCCGCGAGCUACCCCAUGUUGUUUGGGGUCUCCGCACCCAAAAGAGUCGGGCCACCGGCUACACCCCAUUCUUCCUCAUCUACGGCUCAGAGGCUAUACUUCAAAUAGAUGAAGCCUUUGGUGCUUCGCGGAUUCAAUGCUAUAUUGCCAAUAGAUGUAGCAGAAAAGAGUCUAUACUACCAACAGAUGUAGUAGAAAAGAGUCUAUACUGCCAACAGAGGCUAUACUGCCAGCAGAUGUUGCCUUUGGUGCCCCGCGAAUUCAAUGCUAUACUGCUCAGAGGCUAUACUGCCAACAGAUGUAGCAGAAAAGAGUCGGCAGGCCGACAUCGACAGCCUAGAAGAACACCGCGUGGUAGCUCUCAUCCAGCACACAUGGCAUGAACAACAGACUCAAUGCUACCACGACAAGAACAUCCAGGAAUGCUCGUUCAACGUCGGCAACUUGGUGCUCCACUGGAUCCAGUCCACCAAAGAUAUGCACAAGCUGUCAGCCUCCUGGGAGGGGCCCUUCAUUGUCAAAGAGGUCAUUCAACCCGGUACAUACUGGCUGCAGUGGGUGGACGGCUCAAGCGUCCCCAACCCAUGGAACAUCAAGCACCUACGACGCUUCUACCCUUAGGAUAUAAAAGCUAUGUGCUCUUUGAACUUUCUCAUAUUGAAUAAAUAAAAUCCCAGAGGUUCUUUGCGUACCUACUACCUUCUCACUUUCUUAGCCGAGCUCUUAAUCACGCUCGAGGGCUGUCUGACCUGUUUGAAAAACCACACCCUCGCCUUUACGCUCAGGGGCUUCCCCCGCUAUGCGCCAACCUCCGGGUCCCAACUUUUCUCCUACCCCUCUCAAGGUUAUGCGACUAACUUGUGUGGAAGGCAUCCUAGCAUGUGAAACCUAGACAACCUUACAUUUGCCCCCUCUACAAGCUUGAGAUCCGCUCUCAGCAGAGUGCUGGCUAGGCAAGGCUAAGCGCUUAGUGGCUACAGGCCUAGGCCACAUGGUGUCCUGUCAAACAUACCAAGGGAGGGAAGGAGUUUUUCCUUUACAUAAGUUAAUCAACAAGUUUUCUUGCCCCACAGCACAAGUUGAUACAUUUUACAGUUUCUUCAUUAGAGGUCCAGUUCCUUAACUACAUCGUCUGUGGCUUGUAGGUAUUGCUUGGCUAGUUCCGGGAGGUUAUUAGCAUCAAAGUCCUUGGCAACGCUCGUUCCGACGCGCUACACGGCCAGCGGGGGAAGUGCGUCUUUAGAAGCACCAUGACAUUCUUGGCACACUCCACGGUGGUCUCCUUCAUCAAGGCCUUCAGUUGACUUGGCGUACUCUUCAGGCGGUCCAGUAACGGCAUUGACUCGUCAGGGUUGGCCUCGGGCUGGAUCAUGUCCAUCACGUAGCCCGCGGCCGACCUCAAGUCUUCCAGCUCCACCUCCAACCCUGCAAUCACCACCUGAUCAUGUUGAAGAUUAUGCAUCGCCGUAAUCAAGCACCAGUCCAUAUCCUUGCGUAAGUUGGCCUCAUAGGCAAGUUUUUGUGACACAGCAUACUCACGGUGCAUGGCAAUAUCAUGAUCUUGUUGGAGUUGGGCGUUGGCUGCUUUGCACUCUUUGAGGUCUCUCUUGAGGCUCACUUCUUUCUUCUGGGCAUCUGCAGCGCAAUGAGCUUCAAGAACAAGCACUAGUCGCAUCUAGAGGAUCUGGAAUCACAACAACGAUCGAAGCCGUUACCAUUCAGCAUCGCGUUGAGGUCCCUCAGGACGUCCUUGGUUAUCUAUUUCUGGUCCACAAUGUUCUGAUCUUUUGAUCGGAUCUGCUCUACGACGUCCUCUUUGGCCUUCCUGUGCUCGACCUUGGGACGAUACUCCUCGGCGCGAUGGAUAGUGUUCGCCCUCUUGUGCGCGCGCUUGGCCAGGUUCUGGGCAAGAAUAAUCCCAACUAAUCAGAGAAGGAAACCAGGAAUGAUGAUUAACAUCAAAUCAAGUCAGCUAACUUACGUAUAACAGCUCCGCGACCUUGCCGGAAGCUUUCUUCAGCUUGACAAGGUCUCUCUUGUCCUCGGCAACCUCCUACGCCAGAACCGUCCCGGAGAAGUCCAGCAUGGAGGGAUCAUCUUUUCGUGGGCGUUGAUGUUGGCCUCAUGGCCCGCCACCCCAGCAUCAACCGACACCUCCUUGGGGUCUUCCUCCAUCUGGACCUCGAUGUUGGCAUCCGUGUCACUGGGCGCAACAACUACAGCAUCUCCGUCACUGUCUUGGCGCAGGGGCGACUGCUGCUUGGGCCUCUCAGGCUCCAUCACUAGGCCACUUUCGCCACUGACCUCAGUAGCAGAUGAUGAUGCAGCCCCUUAGGGUGCAUCAGACGUCCAACCCUCUGCUUGGGUCUCGACGCCAGCAUCCUGCGGGUUUGGCUCGUCCUCCAUCAUAGCCUUCGUGUUUGGACGGCAGGACACAGAGAUAAAGUGACGCAGCAUACAGACAAGCUUUCAACAACAAACAACAUCGUGAAGAUACUUACAUCGUGCUCUUCUUCACAUGGAACUUUGGGCGGAGAGGCGCUAGCGAUGGCAGGGUCAGCUCCUUCUGCUUUCCCCCGCGGAUUUCCGUCUUCAGCCGCUCCUUGACCUUUUCCACAUCAGCGACUGUUGUCUCAAGGAGCUCGGCCUUCUUCUUUUUCACGGUGGGGGUGGGUGAGUUGGAGUCGUCGCUUACCACCCCAUAUGAGGACUCAGUAAUAGAGGCAGAUGCCACAGCCGGGGCCUCGAUCUUUGUGGCCUUCUUCUUCUUCCGCUUCUUCUCCGCCUCCGAUGCCUUGGACUCCGUCACCUUCCUCAUGGCUUGGCGCGUCCACCGCCAAAUAGGAGCAACGCUCCCCGCCUCCAUCCCGCUACCUUGGACUGGCACAUCCUCGUUGGAGCCAUCGAAGGAGGAGUCCAACUCCAAGCCAAGGGCAGCAAGCGGUUGGUCAGCCUCGGCGGAUGGACAGAGCUUGGGUUGCUAUUGCUUAGUGCUUCCGAGGAGCGGCGCCGGAUAGAAGAAUUCGCACUCGUGGCUCUAGUCAAUCAACGGGAUCAGAUCAGGUAAGCGCAACACAAACUAAACUAGGAAUAUCAACAACUGAAACAAAAAUUUACCGGAUCGGCCGGCCUCACGAGGGAGUACGCCUUGGGGCAGCGCUUGUUCUUGAUGACACCAUCAAAGAACUCGCAGGCCCAGCUGGCAACCUGUAAUGCCCGUAAAAAUUCAUCAAACCAAAUCACGCGCUAAAAUUCAUUUUCAAAAUCUUUCACCGUUUGAGCUCCCAAAAUUCCAACUUCCUGAUAAAUUCACCAUCCCAGCACCGAAGCCGACCGCCGUUCAUUCCUUUUUCCUUUUUCUCCCCGCGAGUCACGCCACGCAUCGGACGGAAGACCGCCGCGUGUGCUCAUGACUGUUUCCCGCAAUCACCGCCAUCUCCCUCUUUUCUUCUUCUCCUUUUCCCUUUCCCUUUUCUCCUUUUCUUUUUCCUUCUCCCUUCCUUUUUUCUUUUUCUUCCUUCUCCUCUUCCUUUUCCUGGCCGUGCGCAUGCCUCCUUCUGCCGCACCUGGCGCCUGGCCCCAAGCUGCGCCCCCUUAGCCCACGCCGUGCAGCGCCCUCGCGCUAGCCCCCUUGCACGCGCACGCCCCUGCGCACCGCGGCCCCGCGCAUGCCUCCCGCCUAGUGCACGCCGCUCGCCGCACGCCUAACCUCUCCAGCGCGCAUCCACACCCGCCCCUACUUGUGCUGGCCCCGCACGCCUCCUGCCUGGCCACGCUCCCGAGCGCUCGCCCUGUGCCAGACCGUGACGCCGCGUGCCCUUGGCUCGCAGUCAUCGCGCCACAUGGCCCCGCGCGACACUGCUCGCCCCUAGUGCCUAGUCGCGCUCACCGCGCACGCCUGCCGCUGCGCCGCGCCAACGCCUCACCGCCCUGCGCCCCGGCCACGCCAUCCACGCGCACCAUGAAUUUGUAUUUCCAUAAAAGACUUAGGAAGGGUUUCCCUUUUUGGAAAAGCAUGAGUUAAUUAUAAAAUGAUAGUAACUGAACCACUAUGGUGUAUUUUGGACCUACAGGUAAAAGUACAGCCCCCGUGGGGGAAUAUACUGCCCUGACGCUUAUCCUGGUCAUGUAAGGACUGGUUCAUUGGGAGAGUCUUUCUUGUGACACGUAUAGCCUUACGUGCCAAAAAGGUACAACCUUCGGGAGUGCCUGUUCACGCGAGGCCUUGAUUCGAACCCCGCUAGCUGAACCUAGUCAUCCAUCCCAAGGGGCCAAGGUGGGCAACAGAUAUGCUGGAGUAGGACCUUCGCAGAGUCCCACGUCCGGUCAGCACGGGUUGACUGUUUGGAGGAUCGGAGACCUUGAGGGCCGGAGGCCCUGUUUAUUUUUUUGUGCACAUUUCCCGGGAGAGGAUUCGCAAGGCAGAUGUUAGUGUCCCCUGUUUAGACCCGAAUAUAUCCGUGGAUGGACCUAGGGAAUGUUGUCUAGAGAUAGACAUGGGCAGGUAUGGGUCUCGUAGGUCAGUACCGCAUAGGAACAAGGUAUGGGCUGAUCGAACGUAUGGAUGUGUACACCUCUACGCAGAGUUUUGAUCUAUCGAUAGCGAGGCUCACGGUUAUGAGCCCAGUUUGUUAAAGCCCCCAUGAUUAGUCUUUGGGUGGGAAAUUAGCAUGUUGGAAUUGCCAAAUGAAGGUCGUAGACCGGAUUCCAGAAUUAAAACCUGGGGACUGGUAGGGGAGGUAGUUUCCCCCUCUAGGACCACAACUUUCACUUAUAAUAUAAUAAUAACCUUUUAGAGAGUCUUUACAAAACUCACCUUUUUAAAUCCACUUUGCAUAUGUGAGAUGCUUUAGGCAUAGGUUUUGCCUCUCAACCAUAUUCCUUGACCACCUCCCAUAUUGCAUUUAAUAUACUAGUUAAGGUUGGGGUUUGCUGAGUACCAACCAUAAGUGUACUCAGCCUUGCUUUCAUCAUACAGGUUUUCAGGUGUUUUGACCAUCUUGUUAGUGGAUGGGCACCUGCGCUUCCCUUCACUAUACUAAGGUGAAAACCUUUCCUUUAUCAAAUUAUACAUUUUUUAUUGCUUAAAAUACUGAACUGUGAUGGUAACUGUAUUACCCUACUGAUCCAGGGACUAAUACAAGUGAUUAACAGGACUCCCAAAGGGAGGUCCCCACAACUACCUCCAGUCAACCUCCCGAAAACCCCCACCUUACACAAGCCAGAUCCUGUCACGAUCCUCUCUAUUAGUGCAGGUAGUUUAAGGGCACGAACACAGGUGAACAUGUCUAGCUAUCAAGAAGGAUUAACAUACUAGAUCUAAUCACCAUGAUUACAUAAAGCAUGCUAUGUAGUCUAAUCAUGUAUUAGACUAAGGAAUAAGCAUAUUCAUGAUAGAUAGAAGAGCAUAAAAGGAGGCAUUGAGUCGCUAACAAAUCGGAUGACAUGAAGAACAUUGCUCAUAUAAUAGAUGUAUUUAGAUCAUCACCUCCGAAUACAUACCAUUGAUGAUCACAACUAGCUCCUGAACUCCACCAUGACACAACCGCGUAGGGGCAAUGGCGGCUAGGGUCGGCCUAAACCAUCUCCUAGACAACUUCAAAGACUUGCAGCGACCCUCAUCUCCCUCUGGUAGAUAUCCUUGGUUUCGUCGAGUUCUGGUGGACGGAUUCCGAGGCUCGGUGUAUUUUCGAGGUAUUUAUAGUCUGAAGAGCGCGUGGUGAAAAUUGGAAGGCGAGGGGAGUAAGGAAAGCCCCAAGCUGAUCGCCCCAAGGGGAGGGGGCUUCCAGGCUGAUCGGCCUGGCCCUUCCUUGUGGCCUCUCGCACCCUCCUUCAUCCACAAGUCUUCUCAGGUGUCCUGGAGUCUUAUUUUCACUUGCAUGUGGGCCUGGUACGUCGAUAGUUUGGGGAUAAGGAUGUCUCUUGAUAUCUUUCCAAUUCACUGAUUAAUCCUCCUUGAUCUCGAACUCAUCUUGCCAUAUCUUCGCAAACUUAGCUCUUAAGUAAUCUUGGAGGAGUGAUUGCCAAAAAUGAGCAUCAGAGGAGCCCGAAGGAUUGUAGGCCGAUCGGCCUGGGCCUCUAUAGACCGAUCCCCCUAAGCCCUUUUUGAGCCCGUUGGCCUUCGUCUUUCUCUAGGUUGUCGCUUGUUCAGGGCUUUAUCCAAUUAUGCUCCAUUUAGUCCAAUUUCUUGCAAAAAUAGAAUAUCCUCCAUAUACAACACGUAUGCAAUAAUGGGGUUAUUUCAAGUGUCAAGUGGCGGGUUAGUAUAAGAAUAUAUAUGAAAACACCACUUAAAUGGUACUAAAAGUGUGUCAAUAACGAGCGUCAAUAGUGCUUCAGCAUGAAGUGGAAGUUGUGCAUAAAUGGAGAUUGGAAGAAUCUAGUCAGUUCUCAACCAGAUCAGCCUACUUGGCCUUCUUUACUUGUUCAGUCCACUUUGCCCCAAGCAAAGUGAUCUGGGACACUUGGGCUCUAAGGAAGUGCAAGUUUUUCUUUGGUUGGUUGCUCACAAUCGUUGCUAGACGGCUAUUGAGGAAAUCACCUUCGAAACAAGACAUGUGUCCAACGUUCGCCCUGACAUUCAAAUUACUUUCGGAAACCUAACUCUAUGGCGCAGGUGAACAAAGGCCCCUUCGGAAGGCCCGUGCUCGAUGGCGAUGUGAACCUCGAAUCAUGGAGCAUUGCAAAUCAGCAACGUAGCCAAAGAAAGGCAAGGCUUGACAUCUGGAGAAAACUUCAGAAUGUAGAUCUGAGGGUCUUCUCUACGAAGGGCAAAGAUGUUCCAGGAUGAGGUGGAGGCCGUACUGAUGACCUGGAAAGUAGGAGUCCAUACCGAGGGUGUAAUCGCUAUUCUACUCUGGAAUAUUUCCGGAAUCUAAUCAUUGUAUAACAGCAAAGCGUAAUUAAGGUGGUUUGCCUUCCUAUAAAUAGAGGGGUAACUGUAAUUGAUGGGAUGGCUGGUCCGAAGUUAAGGAAAGCUUUUAUAUAGUUGCGCAUUUACUCUCUUAUCUUUAUUUCGGAGCAAAAGAAGUAGCUGUGGAGGUAGAGGUAGAAGCAGGCGUGAGUAGGGGAGAAGAAGUGAAGCAACAGACCGAGGGGUAGACCCACUCACCCUUCGGUCAGUCUACUUGGGACUAUUGUGAAGGAGUCCACCUUGGGGCCAUCGUACACCAACAAUAGCUGAUAGGCUCACCCGUCAUGCGAUGCCCCACCUGUAGCGUCUUUGCACGUAAAUUUUGGCACCGUCUUUUAAGCGUUAUUGAGCUACACGAGGUCACACCACAAGACAGAUGAUUUCUUCCAUCGGUGGCAGCAAGCUAGUAACACGGUUGCAUCAAGAGCUACGAAGGUCGUAUUGGUGGCUUGGAUAAUCUGGAAGGCACGGAAUGAGGUUGUGUUCAAUAAUGUCUCCCCUAGGGUUGAUCAGUCUGUCCUGCUCACGGAGGAGGAGCUGGACCCUGGAUGCUCACAGGUGCUAAAGGGCUGAACGCCUUGGCCGCUGCUGGUCCUGUCGGUGGAUAGAGUUGGUUAAAGGCUAAUGGUCAUUUCUGAGUUUUCCCUAGCACGAAUGUGAUAUAAGAACCCGCUAGGGGCAAGGGUCUGUGUGUUGUAUGACUAUUUUGGCCUUUCUUCUAUCUUAAUGCAAUGAUAUGAAGUUCUCUUGCAUAUUCGAGAAAAUUUUUGUAGUUUAUGCUUAUUCUUCCAAAACUUGUUUUUUACACUCUCAAUCCAUCACUGUUUAUUUGCCCUAUAAUAACCUCAAUCAACAUAUUUGAUUUGUGCUUUUUGUGAGUUAAAACUACUCAAUUGUUUGGACUAACUUAAUGAGAAAAACAAAUAACAAACAAUGAACAAAUUUUCACCUUAGUACAAUUUUGAAAUAGCGAUUUUACCAAAAAAAUAAAUUGUCCUAGAAUUGUAAUAUUUGAUUAACUUUGUCAUCUAAAGAGAAGUAUUAGAAAACUAUUUCUGUAAAAAAACAAAGAACAUAUAAUAAUGGUAAAAGAUAGCAUGCCUACAUAACUUCCAACCAUCAUCCUUGGUCAAUCAAUUUGUUUGUAUUACUAUUGAGUUACCAAUCUAUUACCAUCUUCCGUCAUAUCUAUCUUCUAAUAUGUAGGAAGUAGUUUUGCACUAGUGACGCCAUUCACUAGGAGCGUGAAAAUUUACAUUUUCGAAUGAAGGAGCAAGAAAUUACUAACAUACUUAGUGUAUAUUUCAAUCCUAAAAUUGAAUCUUCUUGUUGGUAGAGAUAAACUCACAUAAAAGAAGGAAUAGAGAGAAAAUUGGAUGGACACACUUAGCGCUCUAUAGUGCCAUCCAUUGUAUUUAUAAAUUAAAAGAGAGUAGGAAUAGGAAAAAGGAUCCUAGGAGAUGCAAUGCUAACAUGUUAGAGAUAAGGUUAGAUAAAUAUCUUGUAACAAAUCAUAGAGAUAGUUGUGUAUCUUUUUGACUUGUACACCAUACCUAACAUGUACUUACCAUGGCAAGGGCUUUCCUUGGCUGAAUAGAUGAACGAUGCGCCCCUAACUAGGGUUCAGCAGUUCCUCAACAUUUCACAUGGCAACCAGAGCCUAAACCCCUCCAGCUGAUCCAAUCUAUUCUUGUCCAAAAAAAAUCCCAACUACUCCCAUUCCAAUGCGUACUCCUCGUCCACGCCUUCUCUCCUUGGCUUGACCAUACCACGGAACUCAUGAAGACCAACCAUGCGCUGUGGAAAGUGCGGGUCCUCACCACAUUGUGGCGUCCAACUUGCCAAUUUCCUUGAUGUCGCACCAUCACCAUCCCACUGAAAAUGAUAAGAGGUGGAAAAGGUCGAAUCGAGAAUGUCACCAAUCUUGCGUACAUUCAGUGGGCAGCUCAGGAGCAAUAAGUCCUGAGCUACCUUAAGCUUCUUACCUUCUUGUUGUCCAUGACCACUGUUGUUGCCAUGUGGAACGCCAUUGAGGCUAUGCUUGUUGCUUAGUCCCGUGCUUGAGCGAUCAAUACGUGCUCGUGUUGUCUACAGUCAAGAAGGGCAACCUGAACAUUAACAAAUACAUUUUGCAAGAUAAAGUCCCUAACGAAUAAGAUGGCAUCUCCGGGGAAGGUACUGUAUGAUGAGGGUGGUUGAUGGGCAAGUGAAGCCAUGGCUGGGACCUUAGGAGGGCUAUCUUACAAUUAAAAAGUUUAUCUUCUGGUAUUUCGGUUUGUAUGGCUAGUGGUAGGAGUAGAAUUGUUUACUUCGAGUAAUUACUGCGUUCAUCCUUUGCUGAACCAACUUGAUGGUAUGAGUAGGUUAGGAACCUAUCGAAACUAUCAACCUACCACCUAUAUGUUGUUUCAUUUCAUUUGUUAACUCGGAAGGUCGUACAGCUCCAUAAUCAGAAGCGCAGGAAGCACUAAUGAAGGAUGGUAAAUGGUAUCUUCUUUUUUUUUGCGCUUAAUGGGUAUUGCGUCGUAAAAUACCCCUAUAUACAUUACAGAUUUACAGGAGCAUGCAUACGAUAGCAUUGUAUAGAAGAUAGAUCAGCAAGCCAGCCAGCAUGCAGACAAGAGGCGGAAAAUGCAAAAUCACAUGUACAUGCGACCGUAUGGUUUAUCUCAGUUGGUUUUAUUCCAUUCAACGUUGAUUCAAUGCCUACCAAUGUGUUUAUUUAUCUACACAGGAUCCAUUUCACUAUUAAUUCAAAGAUGAAUGGCUCGGGUAGUCCAUGUGGUGGUAUGCAUAUGCGAAAUAUCCAUGUUCGGCAAGAGGCAACUCGAGCUAGCCUAGACGACUGACGGGAACGGGUUGAGGCGAGGGGUGGGACGGAGCAGAAGCGGGUGCUUGCGAGCGCACACCAGCCCGACGUCGGACUCCUCCAUGUCGACCAACCCCGUCUCGCCAUCUGCAACCGCCCAGUCGAAGCACUGCACGAGCGCCGCGAGCACCGCCGGCACGGACUGCUGCGCGAGCCCCACGCCGGGGCACCCCCUGCGGCCGCCGCCGAACGGCAUGAACUGGAAGUGGUGGCCGCGGGGCUGGGGCUCCAACCCCGCUGCGGCGCCGCCGGGCAUGAAGCGCUCGGGCCUGAACGCCGUCGGGUCCUCCCAGAAGGCCGGGUCGCGGCCGAUGGCCCACACGUUGAUGAAAACCGCCGUCCGCGGCGGUACCAUGAACCCACGGACGGAGAUCUCCGCCGUCGACACCCGGUGCGCGAUCGGCGCCCCCGGGUGCAGCCGCAGCGUCUCCUUGAACGCCGCCUGCAGGUAGGGCAGCCUCGGCAGGUCGGCCUCGCCGACGAUCCUGCAGUCCCCGGUGACCACCGCGUCGAUCUCCUCCCGCACCUUGCGCAUGACCUCCGGGUGGUUCACCAGCUCUGCCAGCAUCCACUCCACCGUGGCCGCCGACGAGUCGGACCCCGCGGUCACCACGUCCUGCACCGCGCCGCGCCGUUUAUUAAUGAAACUUUCCGAUAGACCAUGUCGCACGAUGAAGGUAAUUAAGAUAUAGCUAGCUUACAGUGAUGAAGGCUUUGAUGUUCUCCCUGGUGAGCUUCACCUCCGCCGCCUCGUCCUCCGCCUUCUCCAGCAGGAUGUCCAGCAGGUCCUUGUUGCGCUUGCGUGUCGCCGGCGCCAACCCUUUCUCGUCCUCCUGCUCGUGCUCAAGCUCAUAAAUCGCGCCGCAGCUGCGGCCACGCUCCCUGGCCUCCUCCUUGUGCCUGAUCAUCUGCUCCAGCAAGGCGUCAAAUCGCCGGUGGACGCCGGCGGCCGUACUGCGGAGGCCCUGGAGGUCCCAGCCGCGGCACAGGGGGACGUAGUCCUCCACGUUGAAGGCGCCGAUCAGCUCCGUCACCGCCUUCACGAGGCCCUGCGCCUCGUCGGCGACGCUCCCCGGCGCGUCGCUGGCGACCAUCCGGAUGAUGGACGCGUUGGCGAACCGGACGAGCUCGCCGGUGACGUCCGCCGCCUCGCCGCGCUCCGACGCCGCCAGCACGGCCCGCAGCAGCGGCGCCAGGGCGGCGCGGCGGACGGGGCGCAGCUGCUCGACGGUGCGCGGACUGAGCACCUCGGACACGCACAGCCGCCGCAGGAAGCGCCACCGUGGGCUGUAGGGGGUGAAGGCGAAGCCGGCGGAGCUGUAGGAGAAGAGCCGGGCCAGCGCCGUGACCGGCCGCCCCGAGAUGACGGCGUCGUGGCGGUGGAUGAGCUCCCUAGCGACGUCGGCCGAGCCGGCCACGACGCAGUGCGUGGAGCCGAGGCGGAUGUGCAUGAGGGGCCCGAGCUUUCCCGCGAGCUCGUGGAAGGUGCGGUGCGCCGGCGGCCGCAGCAGGUGGAGGUGGCCGAUCACCGGGAGGCCCGGCGGGCUCGGGGGAAGACGACGAGCAGAUCGCCAUGACGAGACCAAGUGGUUCAGGGCAAGAGCAAGAAGGGUGCCCACGGCCAGGACGGCUACUGAAUCGGCGGACAGGAGUAUGGGCAGUGGCUGCUCCGUCUCCAUGGCCAUCGCUAGCUCAGCUCAACUCCUCUCUCAGUCUACUAGUCUAACGGUGCAGGUUUUUAGUUUUGUCACAGCUAGAAAAUUGCUGCAACCGAAGUUAAACACUUAACAAGAGGUAUGCUUUCCAUGAAUUAUAUAACAAUUUAAGAUACACACGUUUCCAUACAGCCCAAAUUAAAACCGGUGGCCCACAUAUGUAUAUGGCACUCUCUGGUCCAUUCGUGUCCAUUUCUUGUGCACGUCGUUCUUCCUCAAGACAGAAAAUAACAUGAGCAGAUGCGUGGUGGCAACCGGCAGCAAGCUGCACGAGGUUUCCAUGGCGACGGGCAAGCUGCACGAGGUUUCCAUGGCGACGGCAAGCUGCACGAGGUUUCCAUGGCGGCGGCAAGCUGCGCAAGCCUGCGUCUACAGCAGCAUCCCGGCUCGCAACUUGCAAGGAGCUCCGCGGCCAAGCGCUUGAAAGAACCCAGGAUGGCUGCGGUGGGUCAAGGAGCUGAGAUCUGUUUUCCUUUUUAUUUUUCUGAUUCUCUCUUGUCCUCAUCGUUCUUUAGGCAGAGAUGAUUGUUUCUUUCCCUUUCAUUGCCUCGGGCUUACGCGAAACCAGAGCUCAGCGUGGAUGUUUUAUUUCCUACGUUUUGUGAAGGAGAGCUUUCCUUUCCUGCGGAACUGGGAAGCUCGUUCCUCCAUUUCAGACAGCAAAUCUCCAAACCUUUCCUCUGGAAUCGAUUCCUCUAUCUUUCCUGUGAUUUUCCUCCAUUCCAGACAGGGCCUAGCACCAACGGCAUGGGUUGAUUCGAGCCUAUGGAAAUAGGAUGGGCUUUGUUGGUGAUCAGCAUGGUGAUGGCAAUAUAAUGGUUUGUGGCGGUAGGGAGGAAGCUGUCCGCUCGAGGUUGAGGGUAAUUAAUGCUGCAGGGAUGGGAAAUGUGUACUCGAAUCCGAUUCCAUGAUAUGAUUUUUGUUUUAUAUCCGAUCCAACUCAUGUCUAGGGAGGGAAUGUGGCACCCUAGAUUUUGAGCUUAAAAGGUGAUCUUUUGGAUUAUUCGGCAGUUCGAGUGAUUACUAAAAGGUGAAUUUUUGUAUUUGAUAGCGGUGAGCAUCUCCAGCAGUUCUCCAAUUCCUGAUCAACUACCGUAUUGGGAGGGUUGGUAAAAAAUUAAUGCUCCAGCAAACUUUCUUUACUUUCUCCUUUUUCCAAUAAUUAUUGGGACAACCCAAUAAUUCACCCCAACUCUCCCUUAACAAAGGUGGAGGAGUUGUGACUCUCCCAAUACGAUAGUUGGAUUGGGAUGAGGUUUUGAAAGACUGCAAAAAUAACUCUCCCAAUAACAAUAAAAUGGAUAUUGGGAUAUCCUCAUUAACUAGUUAUUGUGAGUUAAUUGGGAGAUUGCUGGAGAUGCUCGAUGUGAUUAAAUAUUAGAGAGGAAAUGUUCUGGUUUGGCUUCUUGUGGCUCAAGUGUUCUGAUACGAUGUGAUUAGUUAUGCUUUGUUAGUUUAGGCGCUGUUUGUUUUAACCAGAGGAUUGUGCAUUCUAGCUUUUUAUAAUUCCUAGCUACAAAAACUUUUGAUCUCAAAUUCCACGAGCCAACUUGUCUAGAAUUUAUAAUCCACUCUCUACCAUGUGUGUGUAGAGAAACAGAGAAAGAGGCUGUAAGAUAGAAUCCAUGUUACCAGGCAGCCACAAGCUUUGGACCCUCAGCUUUACACAUUCAUCGUUCCUCAUUUCAAGUACGUACAAGAUGCUUUUCUCAAUAUCUCUAGCUGAAACAAACAAGACCUUAGAUAGGUUGUUGGACAAUCUUGUAAGACUUUUUCUCUAAACAAUACACUUUCGGGUAAGCCAUUUUACACGAAAAGAGAACAUAAUUGAAAGAUAGAUGAUUUGCAUGUGUGGCUCACUCUGACGGUAAGUUAGUUUAUAUAAGUGUGUUUCGUUAGUUAAUUUUCUAUGACUUAAUGGUCGUACAUAUCAUUAUCAGAACAGUAGGCUAACAAGGAGAUGUAGCGCCUAAAUUAUAAUUUUAGAGACUUUAAAAACACACAAGAGAUCGAUUUGUUGUUGUGUAGCACAAGAUGAUAAUGCGAAGAAGGCGAUAGGGCAAUUAUUCAAAAUAUCAGCUAUAGAUUGUUGAAUAGUAACGUACGAUGGCGACAGGAGACACACUGAUGGCACACAUGACCAUGAUUAUGUCAUAUAUUUCGGUUGCAGGCACAUGGUGGUAGGGCUGACGAUGGAGAUUAUUUGAUUGUGAAGUUAAGCAUUAUUUUUUUUAUUUUGCACAUUGUUCGCAGCCAAAUUAACACUGAGGACCGUGCAGAUUGUUUAGUAGAAUCCCUUGGACAUUCCAGCGUAACACUAUUUCAAUUGAUGAGUGACAACACACGCAUGCUAGCUCUACAGUGGAUUUGUGAUAACAGAUGGUAUUUCGAUUUUCCAUUGGCCAACACCGAACAUAAACUGUAGCUGCACUCUUAACUAUCUUUGAAAUUGUGAAAAAAUGUCAUCGGCUGUAAACCUUGAUAAGACUGGAAACUCCUGUGUGAGCUGACUCAUACGAGGGACGCCCGCGCUGCUCCUCCUAGGGCAACUCGGGCGGAUGGGAGAUCCAAGCGCCGCCACCUCCUCCCUCCGUCCCUCUCCCUCAUCGUCGCCCGAGCAGGCCAGCAGAAGCCCGUUCGGCUACAAAGAAGGCGGUGGCAAGGUCAUCUUUCCUCAUGCCAGAGGUUUUUCGCGGCCACGGCAUCUGGCGGCCGGCUGGCCAGAUUUUGCUACUCGGUGCCAAAUUCAUUAUGCCCUAGCCUGAUCUACCUCUCCCGGGGUCAGAUCCAACGCCUAGUGGCUGGGAGGCAGCGCCAGGGCGAUUAGGCGGCCAUGCCGCUGGUUCCCACCCCCAUCCUCUCCUAUCGGGGCUGUAGCAUCUCACGGCGGCAGCCUUCGCCCCCGGGAUGGUAGCGUCCAGAUCCAUCUUACCUGGAUCCGGCACCCUUCGGCUUUGGGGACCGGUCCGACGAACCUAUUCCCGGAGAGGAUGGUUGGUGACUACGGUCACAAAUGUCGUGCUUGCAACGGAGGUGCUCAGGAACUCGUUGUGCGACGAGUGUGGUAUGGGACACAAUUCGUUGACGUUGGGUCUUAGGUGCUUUGACCUCGUGUGGUUGGCGAUGGUGCGGUAUAGGAUGUGUCUCGUCGACCCUUGGGGCUGUGUUGUGGUGGGCUAGGGUGCACUGGCGAAAGCCACGGCGAUGAUGCCUGUGGGCGUCAUUUUCCUUCUUGGAGGCGCCACCUAUGUGUCCUGAAUCCACCCCAUCACUAGGUCUUCAGGUGAAAACUUUAUCCCAGUGGGCAGCAGCGGUGACGACUAUCGUCAUUUCCUCGGUGGAGGCGAUAUUUUGGAGGCUUUUUGAGUGGUGGUGCACUUCAUGUGGGCACUGUGGUUACCCAACUCGGAUUCUUCAACGGCUAUAGUAUCUUACUUAUCCCCAUUGUGCAAGUGGGGAUGGUUUUGCUGCGAUCUUAGUUUGGUGGUCGGAGCAUCAAUCAGCACAUGGAGUUGUUUCUCUUCCCUGUUGUUGAAUUUGGCUCAUGCUUUGGUUCUGCUUUCACAUGAUGUGGAGAAGUUCAUUUGAAGGUGACUUUACGGAACAUGCCACUAAGGGAGGUUACUGGAGUAGCUUGUUGAAGAUUUUGAGUUUCACCUUUUUGUUUAUUUUUGUGACGUUUCUUUACUACAUCAGAUCUUCUGAUAUCUUGGCUACGUGUUUAGUUGGAACAUGUGCCUCUCUGUAUUGUUUGUGGUCUAAUGCAUUCUCGAAAGAGGAUGUCUGAAGCCGGAAUUUUAUCUUCCAUUAUAAAAUAAAAAGUAUAUAUAUAUCAAAAGUAUAUGUAUAUCAACCGUCUUUCAAUUUUCCACUCUCUCUUGCAAUCCGCGGCCGGCUUCAUCCUGCAAAGCUUUUUAACUUGCAGUAGACUUUUGGCGGGUGAGGCCAUAUUGAAGUUUUUAAAAAAGCAACACCAGGUUCCCCACUAAUGCAGGCAUGCAGCCAAGGUUGAUUAGUUGCUUUCACACGCUGUGUCUCUGUUGAUGCAGUCCGGGGUUGUUUGGUUACUUUCACAAUGUGACUCCGUCGAUGCUGCCAAUAAUGAUUGGCUGCUUUUCACAAAGUUGAUACCAGGAUCUUAUGAUAUCUUUAUUGCCUAAUUAUUGGUUAACUGCACAAGAACCAACAUAGUAAAUAAAAAUGUUAUAUAAAUCAUCACCAUAAAUCUAUUUUAUGUCGUUUUUACCAGGGGCGGAGCUGGACUACCCCAAUACCUUGGACCACUCCAUGGACCAACUACUCUUGCUAGGAUGGACCUUCAUGCUACAAGGCCUGUUUGGUCCCUGAUCACGCCACGCCACGCCACAAGCUGUGGCGCCGAUUUCUCGCUCAGUCACCACAGGUUGUGGCGUGACGAGCUGUGGUCGUGAGCCAAGCAUGCCAACAAUGCACUAUAGUUGGAAAAAUCAGGCUGACGCCUAGAGCCACGACUCUACCCUAUCCUCCCCCAUAGAUGUUAGAUAUGAUCUGAAUUAUAAUGUGAGUCUUAUGGGGAUACCUGGUGGGCACACGCAUGCCAACAAUGCACUAUAGUUGGAAAAAUCAGGCUGACGCCUAGAGCCACGACUCUACCCUAUCCUCCCCCAUAGAUGUUAGAUAUGAUCUAAAUUAUAAUGUGAGUCUUAUGGGGAUACCUGGUGGGCACACGGUUUGUGUUGUGUAAUUAGCGGAGUUAUUUUCGUAUUUGCACAAAAUCAGUUUAGUUCACCCUAUAUAUACAUCUUGUAAGUAACAUGGAAAGAAAACGACGGCUCAUUGUAUUCCCUGCAUUGUAACUCUCGAUCACUGAUUGGUGUCCGUGAUUUUUUGCCGUAAAGAUUUUCCACGUAAAAAUCGUGUCUCGUGUUCGAUCUUAUUUUCGCAUUAUUCACUAACGAGUAGUACCAGAGCUGGUUACGAGAUUAGAUUGAAAAAAAUUAGGGUUUUAUCCUGUUCGUCGCGCCGCCGGCUGAGCCAAUCUGUUACUCGUCGAUUUGAUUACUCCGCGACCCGGCGUUCAAGACGGAAUAGGAUUCCGUGAUUGGCCGAGUUCCUCGGCCGACGUCGCCGGUACAGCUUCAUCCAUCUACAAAGUCUGUAUCCUGCAGUUGCUGUCGCCGGGAAAAUCAAACCGCUGCGUCAGGGCGGAGGAGAAUUUGCUGCCGCUGUUUCCGGGUAGCUGUUGCACGCGGAUCGAGGGAAGACCAGCACCUCCGCCGUUUCUGUGCGUGAAAAGAAAUUCGCAAAAUCUGCUACGCUCACACGGGAAGCUACCAGGAGUUCUUCAGUUUUCUGCUGAAGGUACACGGAAGUGUACACAGGCUGCAGGUUCUGCUAGGGUUACAUAUACCUAGAUUAUUACUGCAGAUUAUUUUUUCUUCUGAUUAUUUCUUCGCAAUGGCUUUGAUGAAGUAUGAUAUUCCUCUGCUUGAUCGAGAUACAAGGUUCGCUCUAUAGCAAGUCAAGAUGCAAGCUGUUUUAGCGCAAACUGAUUUGGAAACAAGGAUUCAAAGUCUUGGUCUGAUGAUGAGAAGAGGAAAGAUUGUAAGGCCUUGUCUCAUAUUCAUCUUCAUCUUUCAAAUAAUAUUUUGCAAGAGGUUUUGCAAGAGAAAACCGUUGCUGCUUUAUGGCUCAAAUUGGAGUAAAUCUGCAUGUCUAAAGAUUUGACAAGCAAGAUGCAUAUGAAGAUGAAGUUAUAUACGCACAGGUUGCAAGAAGGUGGUUCUGUGCCUUGUUAGAUGUAUAUGUACUGUUGAUAUUUUACCUUUUCUAUUAGGGGAUUUUGUGUAUAUUUAUCCCUCCAUGUACCUGUAUAUAUAUGGGCAUAGUGCCCCUGUUAUGAAUACAAGUGCUAUUCCUAACAUGCCUAACCAUCUUUCGGUCUUUAAGGAGAUUGUUGCUGACCUACAGUCUAUGGAGGUAAAAUAUGAUGAUGAGGACUUGGAUCUUAUUCUUUUGUGCUCACUGCCUAGUUCUAGUUCUUUUGCAAACUUCAGAGAUACCAUAUUGUAUAGUCGUGAUACUCUAACCAUGAAUGAAGUUUAUGAGGUAUUGCAACAGCCAAGGAAAAGAUGAAAUAGAUGGUGUCUACUGAAGGUUCAGCUUCCAAUGGAGAAGCUUUGUCUGUUCAUGUUAGGACACAAAAGAAAGCAGAUAAUGAUUAUAGAGGCAAGAGCUCGAAUGAUUAUAGGAGCCGUUCAAAGUGUAGAGAUAAGGAUGAGAAAUUCUACAAUUAUUGCAAGAAAAAGACUCAUUUUAUAUCUCAGUGCUAUAAGUUGAAGAACAAGGAAAAGAGAACUGGCACAUAUAGACCAAAAGGUAAAUCUGACGAAGGUAAUGCUUCUGUUGCUGCUACUGAUGGUAGUUCACAUGGUUCUAAGGUUCUUGUUGCUUUUGCUAGAUAUGCAAAUAAUGGUGAUGAAUGGAUUCUUGAUUCUGCUGCUUCCUUUCAUAUAUGCAUUAAUAGAGAUUUCUUCAUCACUUAUGAUUCUAUCCAAGGUGGUUCUAUUAGAAUGGGUGAUGAUAGAUCACAUUAGGUUAUUGGCAUUGGAUCCUUCCAGAUUAAGAUGCAUGAUGGUACUACUGGAACUUUGACAAAUGUGAGGCAUAUUCCAGAUAUGAGCAAGAAUCUUAUUUCUUUAAGUACUCUUGAUGGCAAAGGGUGCAAGUACUCUAGUGGAGUCGGAGUUUUGAAGGUGUCAAAAUGUUCUCUUAUUAUUAUAAAAGGUGACUUGAAAUCUGCCAAUUUGUACCGUCUUCAUGGUACUAUAAUUACAGGUGAUGCCGCUAUUAUUUCUAAUUCAUUAUCAACUUAUGAUGCUACUAAUCUUUGGUAUAUGUGUCUUGGGCAUAUGAGUGAGCUUGGCUUGGCAGUGCUGAGUAAGAGAGGACUUCUCGAUGGGCAUAGCAUCAACAAGUUGGAUUUCUGUGAGCAUUGUGUGUUUGGCAAAUACAAGAGGAUGAAAUUUAAUACCUCGAGUCAUACCAAUAAAGGUAUUCUUUAAUUAUGUGCAUUCUGAUUUAUGGGGAUCAUCUCACAAGCCUUCUCUUGGUGGUGCUCAUUAUAUGCUGACCAUUAUUGAUGAUUAUUCUAGAAAAGGUAUGGCCUUAUUUCUUGAAAGAUAAACUAGAAGCUUUUUCAGCAUUUAAAGAAGUUGAAAACCAAACUGAAAAAAAGGUUAAAAAGCUUCGCACUGAUAAUGGGAUGGAAUUCUGUUCUAAUAAAUUGAAGUCAUAUUGCAAAUCUGAAGGCAUUGUUAGGCACUACAAUGUUCCUUAUACACCUCAACAGAAUGGUGUAGCUGAGCGUAUGUACAGUACUAUCAUCUCCAAGGCCUGUUGCAUGUUGUCUAAUUCUGGUUUGAAUAGAUAUUUUUGGGCUGAAGCUGCUUCCACUGCUUACUAUCUUAUUAAUCAUUCACCCCAUAUUGCUUUUGAUAAGAAAACUCCAAUUGAGGUUGGUCUGGUUCUCUAGCUGAUUAUUCGCAAUUGAGAGUUUUUUGUUGUAUUGCUUAUGCUCAUGUUGAUAAUGGUAAAUUAGAGCCUAGAGCUAUUAAGUGCAUCUUUCUUAGUUAUCAACUUGGUGUUAAAGGUUAUAAGUUGUGGAAUCCACAAACUCAAAAGGUUGUAAUUAGCAGGAAUGUUAUCUUUAAUGAAUCUGCUAUGUUACCUGACAACGACCUAUCUAGUAGUGCUCCUAUUUAGCAAAAAUCAAGUGUGCGGGUGGAGCAUUUUAUUGAUGUUGAGAAUACACUAGAUAAUGAUAAUGUUGCUAUCCAAGGUGCAUCUAUUGUUGAUAAUUCACCAAUUGUUGAUGAUUCAUCUAGUGUUGAGCAUUCUUCUCCAGUUGUGCAGCCUCCAUAACAAUCUAUUGAUACUGAUAGGGCUAGAGGGCACCUAAGCCAACUAAAAGGUUGAUUGAAGAAUGCAAUAUUGCUUAUGCUCUGAGUGUUGCAGAAGAGAUUGAAGGUGCUGAACCUUCUAAUUAUUCUGAGGCUAUUACUUCUGCUGAUGGCAGUAAUUGGAAGACCACUAUGCAAGAUGAGAUGGAGUUACUUGAAAAGAAUGGUAGUUGGAAUUUAGUAAAAUUGCCCAAGGAUAAAAAGCCUGUCUGUUGCAAAUGGAUUUUCAAAAGAAAGGAAGCUAUUUCUCCAAGUGAGCCAACAAGGUAUAAAGCAAGGUUGGUUGCUAAAGGCUAUAGUCAAAUUCCAGGUAUUGAUUUUAUUGAUGUCUUUUUCCCAGUUGUGAAGCAUAGUUCCAUUCGUACUUUGUUGAGUAUUGUUGCUAUGCAUGAUUAUGAGUUGGAGCAGUUAGAUGUUAAAAUUGCAUUCUUACAUGGGGAGUUAGAAGAGGUUAUUUAUAUGGACCAACCUGAAAGUUUUAUUAUUUCUGGAAAAAAAAACCUUAUGUGUAGAUUAAAGAAAAUCUUUUUAUGACUUGAAACAAUCUCCUAGGCAAUGGUAUAAGAGAUUUGACUCAUUUAUGCUCUCUCAUGGUUUUAAGCGGUCUGAUUAUGAUAGUUGUGCCUAUUUGAAGACAGUUAAUAGUUCAACUAUUUAUUUGCUUCUUUAUGUUGAUGAUAUGUUGAUUGUUGCAAAGGAUAAAUCAGAAAUAGCUAAGUUGAAAGCACAAUUGAAUUUAAAAUUUGAGAUGAAGGAUCUAGGUGCAGCUAAGAAAAUUCUUGGUAUGAAAAUUAUCAGACAUAGAAAAUCUGGUAUGUUAUACCUCAGUCAGCGAGGUUAUAUUGAAAAGGUUCUUCGUCUUUUAAUAUGCAUGAUGCAAAACUAGUGAGUACUCUGUUAGCUGCACAUUUCAAAUUAUCUUCAGCUUUAUGUCCAGUGUCAGAUGAUGAUAUGGAGUACAUGUCUAGAGUUCCAUAUUCCAGUGGAGUUGGUUCACUUAUGCAUGCUAUGAUCUGUUCUCGUCCUGAUUUAUCUCAUGCAUUGAGUGUUGUCAGUAGAUACAUGGCUAAUCUUGGCAGAGAGCAUUAGAAUGCAGUUCAUUGGAUUUUCAGAUAUUUGCAUGGUACUGCUAAUGCUUGUUUGCAGUUUGGGAAAUCUAGAGAUGGAUUUGUUGGUUAUGUUGAUUUUGAUUAUGUUGGUGAUUUGGAUAAGAGGAGGUCUCUCACAGGUUAUGUUUUUAUCAUUGGUGGUUGUGCUAUUAGUUGGAAAGCAAGUUUACAGGCUACUGUUACUUUGUCCACUACUGAAGCUACAUAUAUAUGGCUAUUUCUGAAGCUUGUAAAGAAUUUAUUUAGUUGAGAGUUUAUACUCUAAACUUUGCGGGAUUUCUUCUUGCAUUACUAUACAUUGUGAUAGUCAAAGUGCUAUUUGCCUUACUAAAGAACAAAGUACAUUGAUGUGAGAUAUCAUUUUAUUCAAGGCGUUAUUGCUGAAGGUGAUGUUAAAGUAUGCAAGAUAAAUACUCAUGACAAUCCCAUUGAUAUGAUGACUAAGCCUGUUCCUACAGCUAAGUUUGAGCUAUGCUCAAGCUUGGUUGGUGUUAAAGUUUAAGUCCUAGUGACUUUUGACGUCGGUGAUUAUUUAUUAUUGAAGUAAGUUCAUUGAUGAUACUUCAUUUGCUACAAGAUGGAAUUCAUCUCAAGGUGGAGUUUGUUGGAUAUGAUCUGAAUUAUAACGUGAGUCUUGUGGGGAUGCCUGGAGGGCCCAUGGUUCGGGUUGUGUGAUUAGCUAAUUUGUUUCCGUACUUGGCUGCAGUCAGUUUAGUCCACCGUAUAUAUACAUCUUGUAAGCCACACGGGAAGAAAACGACGGCUUAUUGUAUUCCCUGCGUUGUAACUCUCUAAUUAUAGUGAAGAUCGCCGAUUGGCGCCCGUGAUUUUUUCCCGCAAAGGUUUUCCACAUAAAAAUCGUGUCUCGCAAUCGAUCUUGUUUUCGCAUUAUUUGCUAACACCAGAUUUUUAUUUCCUUCUAAACUUAGUCUAGAACCAACUUGAACAUUUUUUCAAUCAAUUCAAACACACUCCAAUCUGGAGCCAUCCGUGUAUCUGAUCCAACAACUUAUAUUUUCUUCUUGUAAACUCUUGCCUCCUCUAGUCCUAAAUGUGCCGCGCACACUAGCUUCGCCUGCUACCACCCGACCUUCCACUGUUAAUAGGGCGUCGACUCUAAUUGUCAUCUCUAGCAGCUUUGUGCCUUUGUUGCCAAUCCCUCUCACCACCCAAAGUUUCUUUGUCAAAACCUAAUGUAAGGAGACAAAUCGAUCGGACGAUGGCCUAAAGGUUUGUGGCUAACAUUUGAUGCGGCAAAUCGUGGCAACAGACUAAUUCAGGCCCUAUGUCUCCCAGCCUUUGUCAUGAAUCAGUACCCUAUGGCGACGAUUUUACUGUGCACACCAUGUCUCGUGGACUGAAUAAAACUCAGAAAAUGAUACUGUCGUAUGUGUCUAUGUGACCACAACUGUUGUUUACAAAUAGUCUCCAUCUCCAACGAUCAGGGCAGAGCGGAUCCAUUUUGGCUGCGCACCAAGUCUGACAAAAGAAUAACGACGUUCCGAUAGGAAAAAAAAAACAUUUGUUGUAUGUGGCCAUCUCCAAUGAUCAGGGCAGAUCAGGACAGCUACCCAGAUCAGUUUUAGGCUUUUAGGGUGUGUUUGGUUGGUUGUAUCAUUUGAUUCAUGUAUGAAAUGAUUCAAAAUAAUAAUGAUCAUUUUAUUUGGUUGGGUGAAUUGUACCAACUUAUCCAGGAUGAGGUCAUCCCACUUAAUAUAUUAUUCUACUAAUUAGAGUGAACCAUACGGUACAAGCAAAUUGGUUGAACCACCCCAUCCAGGAUCAUCCAUGCAUGCAUCAUUUGGUGCAUGCAACCAAACACACUGUUAGCUGCCCAUCAAGUCAAAUUAAUUAGUUAAGUGAAUAAUGUUCCAAUAGAAUAAAAAAAGUUGUCAUAUACUCCUAUGUGUCCAUACCUAUUGCUUAUGAUCAGGGCAGAGCGGGACAGCUAGCUACCCAAAUCCACUCUCGCAUUAACGUGGGGUGUAGUAGACCACAGAGCGUAGCAAUCAGGACCAAAGCCGGAUUUCAUUCUUUUCUUUUCUUUUCUUUUCUUUUCUUUUUGAGAAAAUGAAAAGGUAUAAGGGAAGAUUGAUUGGUGUGUACUGUGUAGGAUCCAAAUUGUAACACCCAAAAAUCCUGAACAUAUCAUUAAGCAUACAUGUGCAUCUAACACAGCCUAUCUAUUUUUUUAGCAUUUUUCGCAUACAUUUGAAUUUAAUUCAAAUUUAAAACUUAAUCUAUACACAUGAUUUUGUGAAGAACUUUGCAUUUUUCCCGAUAGUACGUAUGAGAGGAAUUAAUUUGGUAAGAUACAGCUUUUCAAAACAUGAAUGUAGGUGAUUUUUCGGGAUUUUAGGAGACCUUCUUAAGGCUAAACAUCUUAGCCAAAAGCCCAAAUAUAACAAUUUGAAGAUAAUUUGAUUUUCAAACUGUAGUAGCUACGAUGCCGGAUCCAAAUAAAAUGGGUUGCACAUGGUUUUAUAGCAUCUGCAAAAAAAAAAUGAUACAGCCUUUGGAGCUCUAAAAGACCAUCUUUGAAGGAUAAAGUAAAGAGAGAAGUUUGUGUUCUAAACCUAAAAGUGAUGUAAACUUCCUCGCAAUUUAACCACGAGAACCUCAUGCAUGUUAAGUACGCAGGAACAUAAUGACGGGCAUCGCCCCAGCGGGCUUUUAGGAAAUAUAGUUUCAUUAGGCAUAGUUUGUGAUUUUGGUGAUUGAGUGGCAACAUAGUUAUUGGAACUAAUGAUUUGUCCAGUACGUGCUUAAUUUGUAGCUUUAUAGGUCCUAAAGAUGCAAUCCAAAUUAUGGUAUUAAAGUGACACAUGAUAAAAUGAAGAAUCUUGAAUUAUUCUAUUGUAUCCAAGUCACGGUAUCCAUUUCAUGGUAUCUAAAUAACAGUGCUUAAACGAGAGUCAAGGUCAUGGUAUUGAAGUGAUCCAAAUGACGCGUCUAAAGAAAGAAAAUAUAUAUCACUGAGUUUUGCUUGGGCAUCGGAUGAACCAUUAGAGCUAUUGGUACACAAUGCAGAAUCUCAUGAGCACCGGAAUAUCCGACGAGAUGCUAUAUUUGUGAGCGACGGAGCUUUCUGGACUCGGUGUUUGCAAAACCCUAAACCACCCGAAUAUCCGACGGUGUUAAGAAGUGAGCGUCGGACAAAAUCAUUGGAUAGAUGUUCGGAGGCAAUGUUGGCAAGGAUGGAGCUGAUCAAGUAUCACAUGAAGAGCUGACGGUAAAAAAGAGGCGUCCGACUUUACACCGGACAAAUGUACAGAGACGAUGCAAGAUGAAUUAACCGGUCAUGCAAGGUGCACAUCCCUCAAAACGCACUGAUCCAUCCAAGAACAAGUGCUAGAAAUAACACAUUUCUAAAACCGAUCACGUAGCACCGACUGCAGAAACCGGUCCUGAAAACCAGUGUAGCUUAGCGCAGAGGCCAUUUUAACUGGUCGAAGAACCGGUGCUUAGAAAUGACACAUUUCUAGAACUAUUACGUAUCACCGGCUGUAGAAACCGGCCCUAGAUACAAUUUUUUUACCAGGCCUAGAAACCAUAAUGGUGUACUUUAGCGCAGAGGCCUUUUUAUUGCCCAUGUACUAAGAUAAUUUUUUUUGACAAAUUCCAACUGGUAGCAUGACUUGCCAGGAUACUGACAACAUAUUUCUCUCUUUGGACCAAACAAAAAGACAAAUCACAGAAGCCGCAUCACCUUUUUUCUCUCAAAAUUAUUCGAUGCUUUCAGCAAUAACAUGGAACUCCUCACAAGUCUAAUUAGUGCCCGUCCAUAAUUUUGUUCAGACCAUGCCGUCCUACAAAUUUGCAACGGUUCUACACGUAGUAAAGCCAUAAUACGCAAGGAGAACCAGAUCAGUACGAGUUUCCCAUCGUCUACGUUGUACAUUGUACGUUAUACCUAUACGUGUUGGUUACUUGACACCUGACAGACCCCAGGCCUAGGACCAGCCAAACUUGAAGUCGAGGACGUAGACGAUGAUGAGCGACAACGGAUACAGCAGAUAAGCCACGAAACACGUCCAGAGCGGGAAAUUGGUCCGGAAGCUGGUGAAGAGCCCCAUUAUGGUGCAGACAAGGAAGAUGACGAGGACCUCCGCGGAGAAAUCCCAGGUCAAACCCCGAACGUAAACGAGGGCCAGGAACACGGCCAAGCAGAGCGUGUUGUUCAUGGUCACCCCACCGUAGACCUACAGUUAAGAAAACAUGGCAUAACACGGGGAGUAUCCGAAACUUAAGGUGGAUGCAGAAAGUUAUUUUUUGUACAGCACAAGUAUUGGAUCGAAUCACAACGAUGGUAUUUUGUAUUUUCUAGGCAGUCUAACGAGAUAAGAGGUAUUCAGUAGACAUACCUCAGAGAAUGUAAGUGACAGAGUCCUCUGCUUCUUUCGGCUAGCAAAUAUAAUUGCAGAGACAGCCUCGCUGGAGUUAGUUGCGAAGGGCAUUGCAAUGAAGGAAACGAAGAACGAAGGAAUACUAGUCGCAUUUGAAAAAUUGUGCACAGCGUCCACAAGUGGAUCAGCAAAUGCUGCUGCCAUUGCAGUUCCCAGCAGCAGCAGUGAAAUGGCCUUGAAGCAUGUCCAGGUUGGAUAUUCAAUGGCCUCACCAUCUUCAUCAUCCUUGCCAAGCAGCAGAUUGUGUUCAUCCCUAGUUCUCUGCAAUAUACAGGAUGUUGAUGCAACUUGUUACGCAUGUACGAUAAAAUAGCUUCAUAACUUGUGAACUGAAAAAUAUACCGUAUGAAAAUCUUGCAAAAACUUUUUUGAGUAGGCACCAGAGGAAUCAACAGAACGUUUAGCUUCUUUGAGCCAUCUCAAGAUCCCGUCAACAAACUCGGCCUUUUCAAUGGCAUAAUUCUGUGAUGUAUCAAAGUCUGCCAUGACUUGCUCUGCAGCUAGGCUACUAUCCAAGUCAAUAUCUUCAAACUUAACACCAAUAAUGAAAGCUUGUAGUUCGCCACGUUCUAGUUUACCAUCAUUGUCCUGAUCAAUCUUAUGGAACAACCUGCCAUUUUUUGGCUCUCAGUUAGAAAGACUAGCAUCUGCAAAAACAGCUAAAAGAGGAGGUGAGGUGCAGAGGCAUACUUCUCGAUUACAGGAACAUUCGGUCUUCCAUCUUCAUCAAGAAGGCGGCCAAACACAUGCAUCUGAGCAUGUCUUAGAAGUCCAGACAUUACGUGCUUUAGUCUUGCAUACUCUAAUCUUCUCCUCUGGAUCCAUGGCUGAAAGAUCUGUUUGUGGAAAGAUACAAACGUUGUUUAAUGGGGCAAGAAAGGUAAAAUAUUAUUUAAUCAAGUAAGAGUAAUGCACAAUGGCAUGCAGAUAACAAAGGACACUUCAACCAAGAAAAGUUGGAUUUGGAUGGAACAGAGCCACGUUUCUCCUGGUUCAAAUUGACGAUUUCAAGGUUUCAUCAAGUGUUUUGAUGAGAAAAUAUUCUUAUUUUUUCCAGCAAAGUUCCAUAGGUGAUAGUUCCAUUGGUUUUGUUAUUCUCAAGUGUUUGAAUCCAACCUGAUUUUCAGCCACCAUCCUAGGCCAUUAGAUAACAUCCAACUACUUAUGGUUUGAGGUAGCUGAUGUUGAUCCAAGGGCCUAGUAUAGUGUGAAAAAAUAAGUUGGUUUCAAGCACUUGAAAAAUAUUCAACUUAAUUCUAUAGGGAAAUGUUGAAUUAAAUCAAGUGUCAAGAUGUAGAGUUCAAAUUUUCCUGAGGUCAGUACAAUACCUGAUAUAGGCAAUAAGCAAGCACAAGUAGAACUGCAACAAUAAGUCCAACCAGGACUGUUAAACGAUGACCGGAAUGGAGCUUAAAAAUUUUGGGGAUCUGAACAAUGAUAAAGGGGAGAACAGACAUCGCCAUGAUUCUUGCUGCAUAGCUGGUCUGCACAUCAGUAGAAACACCAGAGCCUGCAAAAAUACAGAGGUUAUUUAGCAAAUAUUAGAACACAAAUUCAAGUAAUGUAAAUUAGAUUAUUCCAAUGAAGCAGCGUCAACAGUUGAAGAAAUCCCAAGUUUCAAGGACAGUCAGAACAGAAUAAAAUGUAGAUUCUCUUUUAGCUUGCAUGAUUCAAGAAAUGCCUCUAAUGCGGGCACUGGAUUGCACAGGAGAAUUGCCAUUUAGUUUAAAUGCCCAAUUUGGCAGGAUGGAAUGAGAAGAAUAAUUCUGUAGCUUCAGAGUUUCAUUACAAAGUUAUAAUAAAGGGCAUCGAUGUAGGUAUAUUGCACUAAACAACAACUCCCAUGCAUGCCCCCAAAAUUCCCAUUUUACCAACCGAAUAAAGGACCUAAAUCCUCAAAUGCUAAAUGUCUGGUAAAAGACAUAAGUGUCAUGAACAAUGUUCUCACAAUUCGUUGAAUUCAGACUGAAUGCCAACAGUAACAAUCUAAACUAAUCUACUGAUGUGGGGCAUCACAUUCAAGAACCCAUUUUGAGAAAAGGACCCUCUCAGAAAGUUAACAAUUUGCAUGGCCUCAAGCUUAAGUUUACUGGUAAAGCGCGUCAAGAUGAACUAAAUUUCAUGUUUUCAGGUUACACCCUGAGUAGCCUCACCUUCUGCCGUUGUCUGAUUAAUAUAUAGUUUCCAUCUUCAGUUAAAAUGGAGAUGUUCCUAAGUAUAGGUCUAUAAUGAAUGAUGCUCCUUUCAAAUAUUAGAACGGAAACGGGAAAGAACACGGUCAGUAUCCAACGACAUACCAAAAAGACUGAAGCGUUUUGUAUCCUGAGAAUCAGUUGCAGUUGAAUUCUCCCACAAAUCACAUUUGCCAACAACAACACAAGAUCCCCAGAGUAGGGUCAAAAGCAUGACUGUUGACCCCGCGAGCAGGCCCAUUCCAAUCAAAACCUGGCUUUGCGCAACCUCUUUAGAGCCAGAGAGCCCGGAAACUGAAGCAUAAAAAGAACAGGUUAAGGAUUUCGCAUGUACAGUCAAACUCAAGUCGGUGCACAAGUGUGACAUAAAAGGGGAGCAAAUGAACUAUCUACAACUAUAAGCACAAAAAUAAGAUGGAGAGCACGAUAAUGGCUAAACUAGUUGCUAGUGGAGUAGCACCUUUGGCACAAAUUUGCGUCUCAUAGCACCUCAAAAUCUCACUAGUGGAUGAUGUUGUUGUCAACAUACACAAGCCAUGGCCAUGUUGAAGUUUCGAAGAAGUGUACUAAUCACUGAUUGAUUGGGACACUAACAAAGCUUGGUCCUGACUGAUUGAUUCUCAACAAUUUUUUGAUGACGCUGAUAGUGUAACUGAAGCACGUGCAAGGUUUCACUGUUACCCCUAGCAAAAGAGUGCGGAUAUGGCCUUUUGGAUUUUCGAAACGGACAAAUGUGACCUUUUUUUUCCAUCUGAGCAGAGUACUGUACCAAUACCAAAUAUGCAGCUACGAAGCGCUUAAUUAACUACUAGUGAGAAACGUUCGCAGUAACCACGAGGGCGGCCGGCGGCGGCGCGGAAGUGGAGAUAUAUGAAGGGUGAAAGAAACGAACCGAGGAUGAGCAUGGCGUCGGGCAGCGCGCCGAGGAUGGGGAGGAAGAGGCCCCCGACGAUGCCGGGGCCGAGGAUCUCGAGCAGCAGCUCGCUGCCGGCGGAGAGGUAGGUGGCGGCCUUGAACAUGAGGAAGCCGUACGCCAGGACGAGGAAGAGGUUCCCGAGCGCCGUGUCGGUGCACGGCAGGAACCCGUACGUCAUCUCGCACCCCUCCGCCGCCGCCUCCGACGGGAGCCGGAGGACCGUCGCGCCGGCGUCCUCCGGGAGGAGGCUCCAGCCGCCGGAGACGGGGCGCCCAUCGGCGAGCACGGCGGCGCCGGCGACCGCGAGGAGGAGUAGGAGGAGGAGAGGGGAUAGGAGGCGCGUCGGCACGGUCAUCAUGGUGCGCGUGGCAGCAGCAGCGAGUGGAGAAGGGAAGGCUGCGGGAUACGAGCGGAUGGAUUAAUUGGCGCAGCGAGCGCAGCAGGAGCGUGGAGCGGAGGGCCCGGGUGCCGCGAUUGAGGGGUGCGCGUGGGGUCGUCGACUCAUCGUCGUCGUCCGCCGGGCGGGCAUCGAGAGAUCUGCCACGUCUCGCGUGGCCUCCGACGCCGCGACACGACGAAAGGAAGAAGGCAGGUCAAAAGCGGCAGGCAUGACGAGCGGUGACGGCACGGCCACGAGCAUGCUAAAGAAAAAGUCCAUGCAAGGCCGGCAGAUUUAGGAGCCGACACGACACACGUAAAGAAGAAGAGAAGGCAGGACAGGUGUCUAACGGUGUGAAAAUGACACGGGUAUCCCGUGUCCGCAUGUGGACGUCACUGCACAGUGCCGGCCAGCGGCCAGCGAAUAUGAAGGCACACGUGUCCCGUCGUCUCUCAUUGACGGUCGUGUUCACUUCCUUCCUACCCGGGCACUCCUCGCUGCCGGCGGCGCUCACACGGCAAGGGCUGCCGCCGACGACUGACACCAUCGUCAACGACGGCGGGUUCACGGAAAAGCCGGUUUCCCCACUUGUGUGCAUCGGAAUUUAGGGUCCAGCCCAUUCCCGAAUUCAUCAUGAUGGGGGAGCCCAUAUGCGUUCACGAGCUACCACACAAAGCCCAGAAAUGGCUCAACAGUGGCCCAUCUCUAGUUCUAGGCCUUCCUCACUUCCGCAAGCCCUUUAUCAUUCAUUUUCUCUGCUCCCCCACCCAUGCGGCCAUGCCCCUAAAAAAGGUAUGUUCUUGUCUACAGUUAUCAUUUAAUUUUUUUGUAGGAUGAUAUGCCAUCGUAUCUUGUAUUUUUUUUAAAAAAAAUCGCUUUAUUUCUUUUAUCUCUUGGUACUACAAACAAUACCCGUGUCAUAAGUUUAGACAGAAUAAUGCAUGUGACUAGUGCACACAAAAAACAGCAUUGUUAAAUAUUUUUAAGUUGUAAGAGGGUAUGUUCUUGUCUACACUCAUCAUGCAGUUUUUUUCUAAGACACAAAAAGCUCACAUCUACAUACACACUCAACCCUAUGAAUAUAGGGACUCAUACCAUAUUCCUAUGAGCACAUCUAAAACACGCCUAUCUUGCAAUUGAUGCACAUAACUAUCUAGGUCAACUUGUAUAAUAUUUUUUAUUUGACCUAGAAAAUUAUUUUCUUGAGCAGAAUAUUCUUUUUCUUGAGGUUGAACAUUCACAAAGCGGAUGGAUAGGCAAAAUAGGAUGUUGAGCAAACCUAAUAAAAUUAACAAAGCGAUUAUGAGCCAAAAAGAAAACAAAGACUAUGUAAAACAAACUGGAUCCAAAGACCGAAACAGGGAAACACACACACAAACAUUUAACCGACUAUACCACGCGGAAAGAAAGAGAGAAAUGCCGCCAUCUCAUCGUCGUCUUUUAGAAAUUUCGUUUCAUUGCACAGAAAAAUGCCUCACCUCAAAAGAAAAAUAAACAUAUUAUUCCUCAGCAAACUGGGAAGACAUCUCAUCGUACCGUGACUUAAAUUCGUGCAAAAUAUAUGUGCGCUCAGAAUAUUUUGGUAGACACCGGAGAUCAUAAUGUUACGUCCCUGUUUCACAUAGGUCCUAUCUUAUCUUACAAUUAAAACCCUAUAUCUGAAGUUUGCAAUGAUGACGUAACAAACAACUGAAGAAACGAAUCACCUUGAAAGAUCUUUACCAACACAAAUGUGAGGCCGUCCAAACAAUACAUUCACAACGAUUCCCCCAUCCCAGCCCAAUUUUUAGCUAGGAUGAGCAAUUACAUCACAUACGAAUUAAGAAGUAACAAACAAAGCCAGCAUAUCGAUCAGACUGCACAAAUUUUUGAACUACUAACAGGUGUGUCUUUCCACACGAUGAACUGCCCCUCCAAAAAAACCCAGCACAAGCUGGCGCGCGUCGCGCCGACCGACGAUCACCUCCGCUAUCGAAUGGCAGCGCCCUCGCACGCGAGCAGCUCUUGCCUCGCCUGCAUCGAGGCGGCAGCGGCGAUGUCGGCGCCGCCGGUUGUGGCCUUGAUCUGCUGCUGGUGGAAUAGUUGGCGUAGCCGCUCGAUCUCCUUCUUCAGUGCCUCUUGAUGAGCUGCAUUACAUCAUAUUAGCUUGAAACUUGUGUGUUGGAGACCAAAUAAAUUCUGUCUAAACUGAACAGAAGGAUCUGCUGAUACCAUCUUUGAAGAUCUUGUCUUGGGCAAGCGCCGCAAUUCUUUGCUUGAGAUGGCUGUUACCGACGGUGAGCAAUGAUCGCUGGUGAUCCAGGAAGGCCACGCGAGGGGACAGUGCUGACACCUCCAUCUGCAGCAACGAUGAAUGAUCAAACAAAUGGAUCUCAAAAUAGCUCAAGCAAAUAGUGAAUACUACUUUAGCUGAAUAGUAACCCAUGGUAGAGUUGAAUUAGCGAAACAGAGAACCACUGAUUUUGGCAAUAUCUGAAUCUAAGCAUCAGAUGGAGUAGUGUUCAAUGUACUAUGUCUGAGAGAGAAGUGGUCACCUGGAGACUGGUGACACUGCGUUCGAGCUCGGAGAUGUACUGCAGCUUCCUAACUCGUGACCUCUGAGCUGACUGCCUGUUUGCCAAUAUCCUGAAACAAAAUCACCCAAGGAACAAAGACUACGUAUUUCAGUAAACAAGACUGACAAAAUGUGUUUGUUCCUUCUUGAAAGAGUUAGUGCCAGAAAUCCAGAAUUUUCUUAAGAAGAUUAAUAUGUGCAAUGUUGUGUAGUUCAGGAAUAAUAUGUCGACUAUGUGGGUAAAAAUGCAAAUUUUAAGUGCCAGAAAUUUUUAUAGUUUCUCUCUUUUUUUCCUCUUUCAUUUGGUGAAAAUCAGAGGUUCAAAGUUGACUUUAAUUAUUACUGCUCAAAAGUAAUUAUCGUUGGUAACUUCUAAAUUCUAAUUCGAAAUUUUAGUCUACGGGAUGAGCAACAAAGUGACAGAGUCACUACUGAGAUCACAAUCUACUGUUUUACCAUGGUAGAUUUGGAAGAUGAAAAGAAGACUCUACUCAAAAUGUACUGACACAAUUUACCAGACUGCAAGUUGCAACUAACCUCUUGACCCUCUUGGGGUCAGCGACGCCGUCGGCGGCCGCCCGCGCGCUGGCCGGCGACGAGGCCGCCGCCAUUCCGUCCUCCGCGUCCCCCAAGUCCAUCAGCUGCGCGUCCCCGGCCCUCUCCGCGCCGCCGCCGCCGUCGGAGACGGCCGGCGCGUCGACGUCGGAGAACAUGGACAUGAGCUGCUCGUCGUCGAGGCGGUCGAAGUCGUCGCCGGCGAUGACGUCGUCCAUGGGCACGGCCUCGAGGAACGCGGCCGGGUCGCUGGCCGAGCGGCGGUGCGCGCCGCGCCUGGCCGCGGCGAACCCGAGGAACUCGCCCGCCGCCGACCAGUGGUCCUGCGCCGCGGCGCUCGGCGCCCUCGGUGGCAGCUGCGCCAUCUCCCCCGAGCUCCUCUUCUUCUUCCUCCUGGCACCGCUUGGCUUUAGCUAGAGAGUGCCUAGUCUCCUCUCUCCUAGACUGUUGCUCAAUGCUUUGCCGUGUUGAGACGUAUAGUGUGUAUGUAUAUGGUUAUCGGUUGCAAGAGUAGGUGGAGGCAUAUAUGCUGUGUAUAUAUCGUGGCGUGUGAGGGCACAUGCAGGGGUGAUGGUGGGGGCACGUCACACUGGAUUUGCAUUUGCAUUAGUGUGUGUGCAUGCUACAAGCCGGUAGCCUUUAGAGUAUAGAUGGUCACGUGGGCUAGCUAGGCCCGCUGGGCGGCCCGUAGCAUGGCCCGUAGUGGAUAGUGCCUGGGCCGGCCCGGCACGAUGCGCCAUGCCGUGCCUAGGCUGCCUCCCCGACAUGCUGGGCCAGCCCGAGCCCGGCACAGUUUUUGGGCCGGCCUGAUACCCCAGCCACCUCCCUCCCCAGUCGUUGGAUCAGCGGAUUAGGUCGUCCCGACCGUUGGGGGAGGGUGUAUAUAAGCCGGCGUCGGCGCCUCCCCGGCCAGAAAUCCUAGCCUGGCUCAUUCCUUUCUCCCGUCGGCCUUCACUCUGGCUCCCUCGACUCUUUCUCGCCCUCUCAUCUCCUCCCUCUACGGCGACGGGAAGCUGACGUCGGCCGCUACCCCGGCUAGAAACCCUAGCCUCCCGGCUCCCUCGCCCACUCCUCUCUCCUGUCGCUGCCUCCCUCGAAUCCUCGUCGCUCUCCACCUCUCUCUCUCUCGUCCUCUCGCACCUCUCUAGAUCUAGACACUCUCCGGCCACUCUCGUCAUCUCCUUACUAGAUCCAUUGUUCGACGACCUCGCUGGUCGCUCUGGUGCUCCGGAACCGUCAGUAAGAGCUCCGACCUCGCUGGUCGCUUUGGUGCUCCGGAACCGCCGCCGGUCGCGAAGCCGUUGAGGGACCAGAGCUCCGGUGAAUCAAUCGCGUCAACCUCACUGGCCGUUCUGAGGCUCUGGAUUCGCUGGUAAGCCAUUGAUCUUGAUAUUGCCGUCUCUUUUCGCCACUCUACUUGAUCUUGCCUUCUCUACUUUUUAUCUAGUUGUCUUCUUCGCUGCUUGUCUAGUUGUUUUCUUCCCCUGCCCACUGCUCUCUCCUGUCGCCACCUCCCUCGACUCCCGUCGCUCGCUCUCCACCUCUUUCUCUCGACUCUCAUCCUCUCGCACCUCUCUAGAUCUAGAUCACUAGAUCCACUCUCCGGCCGCUCUCGUCAUCUCCUUGCUAGAUCCGUUGUUCAUUGACCUCGUUGGUCGCUCUGGUGCUCCGAAUUCGCUAGUAAGCCAUCGAUCUUGAUCUUGCUGUCUCUUUUUGCCGCACUGCUUGAUCUUGCCUUCUCUGCUUCUCUCUUCUCUGCUUCUUGUCUAGUUGUCUUCUUCGCUACUUGACUACGUCUUGUCGUCUCAGUUUGCAGGGCAGUCCGUUGAGGGACCAAAGCACCGGCGAUAGAUGACGAGGAGGAGUUCCAGGGGGCACACCUACAACAAUGAGCUUCAGAUGCUGGGCCAACAUCCAGAUGACGAGAGUGACGUAGAGGCAGAGCGGGAAGAUGUCUUUGGUGGCAGCGCUACCGAACCAAUCGACGUCGCUGAUGGCAGCGAUGACAGUGCUGGAUUAGCAGCAGCAGCAGUUGCUGAUCGAGACAUGGUGAGCAGCGACACCAAGAGGAGUCGUUCCACCACCUCUGAAUGCUGGAAGGACUUCGAAAAGAUAUUCAAGGACAUUGAUGGUAAGGGGGUAAGGGUCUCUGCCAAGUGCAUUCAUUGUGGCACUUUAUACGCUGCUCGAUCUUCUAUUGGCACUGGCCAUCUAAACCGGCAUGUUGAGAAAUGCCCAGCGAGGAAGUCAAAGCUUUGUGUUUUCCAAUAUUUGAUCCAGUUCAAUUUGGACGGAAGUGUCCAUCACUGGGAUUAUAGUUCUAAGGUAGCUCGUACUCAGCUAUGUCGAAUGAUUGCUAGACUUGAUCUUCCUCUUAGCUUUGGUGAAUCUACUGCAUUUGAAGAGUACAUUAAGCUUGCUCAUAAUCCUAGAUUCUCUACUAUCUCUAGGCAAACGACCACUAGAGAUUUCAGCAAGUACUUUAAUGAUUGCCUAAGCUAUUGAAUCAUUAACUAGUGUUUCAUAUGUGCCAAUCUCUUCUGAUAUCUGGUCUGAUAAUGCUAAGGAAGAUUACCUUAGUGUGGUUGCUCAUUACUUUGAUUGGCAAUUAGAGAAGAGGAUAUUUGGUUUUAGGCUCAUUGAUGAAUCUCACAAUGGCUAGAACAUUGCUGAUCAUGUGACUGUUGUGCUUGAGGAGUAUGGUUUGAUUUCAAAUGUGUUUUCUGUUACUUUGGAUAAUGUCUAUGCUAAUACCAAUGCUAAUGAGAAACUGAGUCCUAAAUUGUCUGCUUAUGUUGGUAAAGUGUUCUUGCAUCAGCAUUGUGCUUGUCAUAUCAUUAAUCUUAUGGUUAAAUCCGCCUUGCAUCAGAUUAAGCAAUAUCUUGAAGCAUUUAGAGAUGCAAUUUCUUUCAACAAUUCUUCUAACCAGCGCAUUACUGCAUUUAAGAUAUUCUGCCUUGCUAUGAAUGUUCGUCCUAGAAAGUUUGGUUUGGACAUGGAUGUCAGGUGGAACUCCACAUACCUCAUUCUUAAGCAUCUGAUCCCUUACAGGCAGACAUUUAAUGUUUUUAUUGAGACUAACUAUCCCGGGGUGAAAAAUAUCCUUUACUUUUGACAGAAGAUCACUGGACUGUUGCGGAGAGUAUAUUAUCAUUCCUUGAACUGUUUUAUGAUUCUACUGUUGCACUUUCUGGUGUUUAUUAUCCUACAUCUCCACUUAUGUUGCAUCAGCUUAUUUUGAUUGCUAAGCAUCUGAAAUAUUAUGAAAAUGAUGAAUUGCUUAGGUAUGUGGUUGUUCCUAUGAAAGAUUACUAUCUUAAGUAUUGGAGGGAUAUUUCAAUGCUUUAUUCUGUUGCAUUCAUCUUGGACCCUAGAGCUAAAUUGAAAGGUUUUCAAAAUGUGCUCGGGUUGUUAUCUAGUCUUAUUGGUACUAAUUAUUCUACUUACUUCACUGAUGUAAGAGUUGAACUUUCUACUGCAUUUAAGCUGUAUGAUGACAAGUUUGGUGCAGUUAAAUUACAAAGGUCUCCACUGCCAUCCAGUUCUGAUAAGAAAAAUAAUACUUGUGAUGACAUGUUUUCAAGUGGUGGUGAUGCUGAUGUAUCUGCUUUUGGACUUGGUGAUGUCCCUGGUACUUCUUUCUCCACCCCUCCUCCCGCUUUGCCUCCCACUUUGUCUAGAAAAUCAUUUGCAAGUGCUUUGAGCAAGCACUGGUGCAACUAGUAUGGGUAUUGGCUCUGAACUCUCUAUCUACUUGGAUAGUGACACUAUCACCCAUUUUGAUGAUAGCUUCAACAUCUUGAAUUGGUGGCAUGAGCAUAAACGAACUUAUCCAGUUCUGUCAAUCUUAGCUAAAGAUGUUCUAACUGUGCCUGUCUCUACAGUAUCAUCAGAGUUUGCUUUUAGUACAUCUGGCAGGAUCAUCGAGGAAAGGCGGCGUCGAUUGAGCUCUGAGAUGGUGGAGAUGAUCUCUUUGCAUCAAGGACUGGGAGGCUGCAGAAGCAAGAAUUCAGAACCUGGUGGAGGAUAAGGAACUUGAAGAUAGUUUUACUAAUUUGUAUCUAGAUGUUCCCGGUGAUUCAGAUGUGUAACUCAAACUUGGCCUGUAAUAAUUUUGAACUACUUUAAUGUUUAUUUGAUUGAGCUAGGCUGCACUCUUUUUUCCUAUCUAGGAUUUCUCACGAGGUGUGAGUUUUACCUAGAUAGGUUUUCAAUGAGGCAGCCAUUGCACCAGCUCAAACUUUUGAAAUUGUUUCUCCUAUCUCUGGUUGUGGAUUGGACUGUGGUCUAAAUGUGCGAUGAUGUGAAUUCUGUAAUUUUGAUGAAAAUUUUUGCAUCUCCUUAACUUGGAGUUUUAGUUGAGUGGUGCCUGACCUAUAGUGCCAGCCGUUCACGGGGCGAUGCUGGCCCGACACUAACACAGUAGUACCAACUAUACUAGCAGGUCAGCCCGGCACGAUAAAAAGGCCAUCGUGCCGGACCUGGGCUAGCAGUUCGGCACGCAGUGCCGGUCUGACCUGGCACGGCACGAAAAAGCCAUCGAGCCUAAUAGUGCCGGGCCUAUUCGAGGUCGGGCCAAAUCGGGCUAGUGUCGGCGGCCCAUCUGGCGCUAUGUACUUUAGAGGUGGUUUGUUGCAGCAUCAUGCAUGUGUGUUAGGGCUAUGCAUAUCAAGAUCCAAGGGAUGUGGUAGGUUAGGUGGUUAGGGGCAGUCUACUACCCAGGGCAAUAAUUUCAUCUUCUUGUCAAUGCCAAAAAAAAAGCUAACCUUAUAGCAUUGUUUUGAUUUACAUUACCUUUUAAGCAAGCAAGAAAGUGUAUUAAUGUUGAUGCUACUAUAUAUGUGAGCUGUUGGUGGUUUUGUAGAGAGAGCUUGUGUUAUGGAUGACUUGAUGCAGCCUGUGGUUAGUUAUCCAAAGGUACAGUAAUUAUAUUAGCUAGGUAGGGCAAAGUUAGUUAGGAUCUAUUUGCUUCUUUGAUGGGAGGGGAAAAGGGUGGCAAGUAGCACGAGAGCAAGGAUGGAUGGAGGGAGGCCACAUGAUGGGGGGAAGGAGACAGCUAGCAACAGCUAAGUGAGAGACUGUGGAGGAAGAUGCAUGGCAAUCACACACAUACAUGGGUAGAAUAGAGAGAUAGACUGGUAGCAGCAGCAGUGGAGUACUUUUUAAUUUUUUUUCUCUCCCAUAAGUUUAUUAAUUAAUUAAUCAUGGAGCUGCAGGGACUACUGGCUUCUCUGGUUCUGGGUUUCAGACUUGGGAGCCCGGCCGUCAGCUGGCUGGCAGCUGCAGCUGCCGAGCAGCUCAACCACGUGCUGGAGACCAGAGGUGUGGUCACUUGCUGCUGCUCCUCUGCUCUGCUAUGCAUGCUACGAGCAGUUCAAAAAUUCGGCGUGGAUUUUACAUCCCAGAUCCAGAGAUUCUAGCGCGGAGAUAAGGAUGAAACAUCGCUGUCGAACGAAGGACAAUGCCGAACGACCAUGAUGGUGAGGUUAACAGUUACUCCUACAUGCUAGCAUGUGUUUGAUACGAUGUGCUAAACUUUAACAGUAUCACAUCGGAUGUUCGGAUGCUAAUUAGGAAAAUUAAAUAUAAGUAAUUAUAAAAUUAAUUGCAGAACUUUGGGUUAAUUCGCGAGACGAAUCUAUUAAGCCUAAUUAAUUUAUCAUUAGUAAAUGGUUACUGUGGCAACACAUUGUCAAAUCAUGGACUAAUUAGGCUUAAUAGAUUCGUCUAGCGAAUUACACUCCAUCUGUGCAAUUAGUUUUGUAAUUAGCCUAUGUUUAAUACUUAUAAUUAGCAUCCAAACAUCCGAUGUGACGGGUGUUAAACUUUUAACACCCUAGAGCUAAACAGGUCCUAAGUUGCUUGGGAAUAAUGGAAUAUAUCAUUUGAGACUAUAUAGAGUAUAGUUUAUCUGACUGCAUGCCAUGGAUCGGAGCAGCUCAGCUUGGAGGCUGAUACGGCGGGGCGGCGGGCACGCUGCAUGAUCUUCGAUGGAUGCUUUAUAUUCUUCUCCUCUGUCAUGCGCUGUCUGUUACCAGGACCCAAACACGAAGCAUAUGUAGCAGCCGGGGGCGGCACAUGAGAGCAUUACCCAACGUGGCUGAUCAAAGGACGCACCACCUUGGUGUAGCUUAUAGUUGCCUGCUUGUGGAGUAGUUAGUUAAUUAGCAUUAGGAGAACAUAUACGUUGCAUAUAUAUAAGUUAUUUUGACUCCACCAAAGUCCACCGUCUUCGAUCUCAGCGUUUAGCUUGGAUCUGUUUGGAACCAGUGAAUUGUACCAACUCAUAUUCGAACCGUUUGCCAUGAAAUUCCCGCACUCGUAAGUCAUAACAUCUUCUUAUUAGUUCAUAAGUAAAAAUAAAUAAUUAAACCAUUACCGCGGCGGCGGUUCAUAAAUCAUAAUAAAAAUUAAAAAAAAGGGCAUUACUGGCGGUGGUUAGAGUAGGAGAAGAAAGAGAGGGCGGCAGUAAGGCGUGGGGAGCAAGUUGCGCGGACUCAAAGCGGGGGCACAAAAUAAUGCGGUGCCCCCCAUGGCCAUGUGCCCGCUGGCCGUAGGACAUUCCCACGAACAGGGCCCCGAUCGCUCCACAUGCGCGUCACAUGCGCCGGCCUCCGCUUUGCUUGCUUGCUCUCGCUUGCUUCCUGCCAACGUGUGCUCACCACCAGCUAGCUAGCUAGCUACUCGCAUCCCUGCCCUGCUUUGUGCUUCUCGCAUAUAUGCAUAUGCAUACGGUACGGUGCCUUCCUUGCAUUGCACACACACAUGUAACCAUAUAAAAAAAAUAUUCGUCUACCAUUUCCUAUCUUUCUAUCUCUAUCCCUUCGUGUUCGCCAGCCAAUGCGCGUCGAUCUCCUUGACGCUGUCCUACGGCUGUCCCUGCAGGCUGCAGCCUGCAGAUGCAGGCGGCAGGCCUCUCUCCUUGCUGGGUUUUUCUUUUUCAAUGCAAGUAGAGGGCAGUGGUAACUGGUAAGUAGGACCCGUGAGCUUGUUUCCUUUUGCCAGCCAGCCACAGCCAGCGGCACAUGCACGGCGGCCCCCCCAGCUCGAUCGGUCUCGUCUCUCCUCUCUCGUGAUGUUAAAUCGCCCAUCACCUUGCAGAUUAUGCCGAGCGAGUGAGGGUUAGGGUGGUGAAGAUGGCGUGGACCAGUGCUUUCUUUUAUCUGCCGGUAGCUCCUGUCGUCCCCUUUAUUUUUAUUUAUGGACGACAGUUUUUGUUUUUUGUUUUUUUUUUGCAUCUGGUGCUGUGUCUCUUGAUAUGACAUAAAAAAUUGUAAGGGAUUUUUUUUUGUAGCAUUAGUGCCGGGAUACAUUACGAGAUGGCCAAAGUAAUAUCAUAUUGACACCACACUCCAGGGGUCCAUUUGUGCGGAGUUAUCGACACAGAUCGCAAAAUCGGGUAGCUGCUCAGCUACCGUACGUGGCCCCCCUUAAUCCUACUGGGACCAACCAUUCUGUAAUGAACUGUGACACUGCUUGGGCGAUUCAAACUGACCAAACAUAAAGAAACGCACACGACCAUAUAUUCAGUUGUGAAAUGGCACGUCCGCUGAACUCCUCCUCCUCCUCCUCCUCCUUUUGGUUCGGAAGCGUGUCCAGAAUGCACUUCAAGAGUCAGCAGGCAGCAGUUCAGGCAUACGAAUUCUUUGUCAGGCUUCUUGUACCUGAAGCGCGACUCAUCUGUUGCUCGCAAUAAUAUAUUAUCGUUCAAGGCCGGAGAGAGAAAACCAUAACGUUUUCAUGUGCCAAGACUCUUCAGGUAACAGACCCAUUUGGUCUGGAACAAACUUGCUCGCACAGUCCACAGCACAUGAGAACAUGCAAAAAAAAAAAGAGAGAGAGAGAGAGAGAGAGAGAGAAUAGCUACCUAAUAGAUUCCAGGAAGAACUAUAUUUUAUCUCCAACAACCUUAUUCACAGGUACAAGCAGGCGAACAAUUGGUAUCAUCCACACUACCACACGUUAAGCAUAAUGGACAAGUACGAUGAGUGGUCGUAUUUUACAUGGAAAGAAGAUAGUAUCUUUAUUACUGUAUAGGUAUCACUAUCAUGAUGAGAUUAUUCAUGACUCGUCUAAGAGCAAUGGUAUAUCUGUUUCUUGUAACAGAAAUGGUAUGAGAAGUUCCAGAACAACAGAAACCGAAACCAAGUUGUUACUAUGUUAGAUCCGUCAGAGGUGUAGACCAAAGAAUGAUGGAUCGCACCGCAUAAUAUUUACACUACUAGAAUACAGAAACUUAUUGCCGUGACGACCGACCAAUUGAUAGUAUUCACAUCCCCAUUGUGCAGCCAUAUGAAACUAUCAGUUAAGCUAUCUCCUUUUAGUUUUGCCAACAAUAAAAGGUUGGAUCUCUUGCCGGGAAAAUGCUCUGUUGAAAAGAACCCGAGUUUGGAUGGCAGAGAUAACAGGCAUCCAUGCAAGCACAGCAAUUGGGGAGAAGAGCAGAAAUCCCAUUCCAUAGUCGUAAGCAUGAGCUAUGACCUGAAUAGGCUCCCAUAUCGCAUAGUACUCUAUUUUUGGUCUCAAAACUUGAACAAUCUGUAAGAAAAGGAGGGAGGUUAGUGGACUAGAGGAAAAAGAAAUUAUCUUAACAUCAAUGGUGAGCUGCCAGUUGAUACUUACAAGGAGAAGACCCCAACCAGUUGGUAUGAAUGCGAGGCAACAGAUGAUCAAAUCCAUGAUGGAUAGUUGGCAGAGACAAUAGAGAAGAAUUAAGGAAGUAACGACCGCCAGGAAUAUCAAAAGUUUUAUGACCCUGAAGAUGAGUUGGUGCUUUGAGCUCAGCCGACGGCUAGCACAAUUAACAAGCUGGAGCAGAUUCAAAUAAACAUAAGAAUAUUAUAGUUGGAAAGGGAAAUCAGCAUAAGGAUAAUGAAUCUCAGUUGCAUGAAACGAGAUAUAAUUUUAGAGAUGAAGCUGGUCUGCUGGUACCUUAACUAAACCAAUAACGGCAAUUAUCACAACCCAGGAAAGUAAAUAGACAAGGAAGUUCUUGUUGUCUUGAGAGAUAUUCAGGUGAUAGACAAGUCCGUAUUGAUAUAUAAAGAAGCGUAGCGAGAGCAACACUUCAAGAAUUCUAGAACUCAACACUGAGUGACGUAGAUGUGCAUUCUCAGCAUUCCACCAUGACUCCCAGCUCUUUUCUGGUUGCACUCCUAUGCCCCCUUGAUUCCUCAUCCACCUGUUCCAGUCAGCCCAGUCAUCAACAAUUUUUUGCCAAGCAAAACCAGCUGGGUUAAAAAGGAAAGGAGUAAACAGCCAAGUCACUGCCAUAAACCAUGUUGAAUAUGUGAUCAUUACGUGCACCACACUGCUCACAUAAGACCUCCUAAAGAUGUGGUAGACUAUCAAAAGGAAGACCAACUCAAAUCCUUUGACAAAGUGACUUCUGGAAUACAACUGAUAGUUUUCUGUGAAGCUUGCGUGGAAAACUACAAAUUUACGCCCUGUGGGCCGGUAUUUAGCACCCCCAUGGAGAAUAGUACGGCCAUAGUAGUGUGCUUUUGUUCCAAGAGAGAAUGUGAAGAAAACUGAAGCGAACUGCAAUUGCAUGAGGAUAAAAUCACUCAGAGCUGAACGGAAACCCUUCUCCAAACCAAGCUCCAUCACCAUAGGCAAUCCUGUAAGCAGUCCCAGCUGGAGAAAAGACUGAGAUGCAAGAGCCGUUUCUAAGGACUUUAUAUUCUGAGUCUGAGCAUCAUGUAACAGAGCCCUCUGCAGGCCACUGAGAACCAAGUAUAACUGCCCAUAGAGAAAAACAUAAACCCCAACAACUGAUAUCUGCACAACAUAUGGAUCAAGGGAAACAAUUAGAGUGAUAGGUGGUGCUGAGGUCCAUUAUUAUUGUAACAGGAACUUUGCCCCCUGCCCUGGGCCUUCUAAAAAACAAUCCCAAACAAAGGAAAUAUAAGAAGAGAAAUAGUUUUCGUAGAACCCCUCCAAUCAUGUAUCAAGAAAAAGAAUAAAAUAUAGAAUUAUAUCCAUAACCUUCAGAAUUUGAUUAAAUCAAUAUAGGUUUGAUGAUCUUUCAUGGGUAGUUAAAGGUAAUAUUUUCCAAGGAACUCCAGCUGGACGAAAGCGUAAUAAGAAAUAAAAAAAGUAGGAACUAAAAAUACACGAAAAACACAAAAAUAAUUAAUUAAUCUGAUUUUUCAUGACAGCAUAAAUCUACAAGAACUCACUAGACAUAUUAUGAAUAAAAGGUGAAAGAAUAAUCCUUCCGUCCUCAAUGUGCAGCUCCAUAAAUAUGUUGGUAAAAAUGACGCCAACAACAAAAAGUAGAGAAUGCAUAUCUUCUAUGAUAUUGUGAAAUCCAAAAUAUUUUUGACAUUAUAUAGAUUUUGAACAUAAGAAACUACUCCAGGAAUCCAAAAGGUUUAAGAAAAUUAACAAGGAGUAAUAAUAAAUCGCAUACUAAAAAGAAAUUUAAUUUCUGCCAGACAAUAUUUUAGAUUUUGACGAAUAAGAUAAGCCUGAACAUUUAAAUUCUACCUUAUUAACAUUUUUACAUAAUUGUUUGAGAUUAUUUUUUAUUUUAUAAAGAAAGAAACCCAGAGAGAGAGAGAGAGAGAGAGAGAGAGAGAGAGAGAGAGAGAGAGAGAGAGCAUACUAGGCUAUUGAAGUAAAAUCCCACGGUCGUAAAAUAGCAUGAAAGCAUCCUGAAGAAAUCAAAUCUCCGACCUAGCCGGUGAAUAUCACGACUUAUUGUCUGCUCACUAUUGCCAUUUGCUACUUUAGCUUCAAAUUUUGAUAUCUGAUUAAGACCAACAUCACGGCCUUUACCAACUUGAAUGUACUCAUUGUAAAUUAUAUUCCCACGACGCAAUAUAGAAUUAUACCCUGUAAAAAGAAUUUGAAAGCAGCAAUUAGUUUAGAAAAUUAUAUGAUAAUUUCAAUUUCAACAAAAGGAAAACUAGAACUUACCAGCAAACACAUCCUCACUUAAGUUUAUAGUUUUAGAUGCUUUACUUAUUCCACCUCUUGUUAAAUGGAAUAUCCGAUCAAAAAUGUCUGGAUGGCCAUAGUGAAACCGCACCCUACAGUGAAGGAAAAAAUCCAUAUAAAUAAUAAAAUUGGCUUCAGAAUGGGCUUCUUACAUAUGCAUAUUCUAAGUAGAAAUUUAUGAAUAACUGUGUGUUGUCCUCACUACCCCGCACCCAAUUUUUACAGUGUCUGGACUAUAGCUGGAGCUAAAAAGGUGGGACUCUUGACCUUGGUACUAUCAAUCUAUGAGAAAUCAAAAUAUAUAGCUAUUAACAAAAGGUAAAAGAUUUAAAAUGUCAUCCAUGAACUCUAAAAUGCUGCAAAUGCCAUUUAUAACUAGAAAUGGCACUAUAUCUGAUUAAUUUCUUUUAUGUGACUAUAAAUUGUUCCAACCACCUUCAUCCUCCGUCUUUAUGUAGUGCUUCCUUCUCACAGCCACCGUAGCUUUAGUACUAUACGCCAAUAUGUUUUCAUGCCACACCUGUGUUACUACUGCUGCCUCAUUUGAGACCACUGCUGAACCAUCUAUACAGGAACUUGCAGACACAAGUCACAUCUUGCUACAUUGUGGCCCAAAUCCAUGCAUCAACACCAAAGCAAUAAAAUAAUAGGGGACACAGAAAUCCAAAGAAGAAUUAAUUCCAUCACAAAAGGUUGAAAGGCCUAAAGCCUCACAGGUAGCCCAGGUGCUCACGCACAGAACACACACGUACACAGCAGUCUCUUUUUGGUGCUGCAAUUGCUUGCUGCCUUUUCUGUUUUCUUCUCUACUUAUACACAGCCGAGAGCUACAAUAGGGCCUGUAAAUGAAAGAUAAUAACUACAGCCAUCACUACCUUGAUUGGCUUAUUAUUCUCACUAACUAGCAGCUGGAAAUAUGCUAAGUAAAUAGACUCUGCACCUAGACACUCUGAAUCUGGACAGGUUCUGCACCUAGACAUUUUGAACCUGGACAGCACGCACAGGAUUACUCCUAACAAAGGUGACCAUUAUGAAAAAAUCACCACAACUACCUAAUAUUUAAUACACAAACAAGAAAAAAAGGGGUAGGGAGGGCAUAGCCCUGAUUGGUCUAACUAAUCUCUGCCAGUAAACGCAACCAUAUUCACCAUCCCUCAUCCAAUGCAUUAGCUACAGUCUAUGAAUGAUCCAUCGAAUCACUUGAAAAAGUUAAAAGUCUGGAAGUGUAGAAGUAACAUUCUGAAAGAAAAAACUCAACCACCUAGGAGGAACUAGGUGACAAUGUAAAUAAGAUGCAAGAGACACCCAAAUUCGAGUAUUAGAGGACUCGAACCUGGGUGAGCUAGGCUCAGUUCCAAAAGGUAAAAGUAGCAUUUUGAGAAGAAAUGUUGAAAACAAGGGGCAUGAUCUCAUCAGAAAUUAGACCUUAAAAGAAGAAUUUAGUUUGUGCCAUUGUUGCCCAUAUUAUAAGACAUAAAAUAAGAAGUGUGUUUUCACCUAAGGGGAUCAGCAAGAAAUCUUUGUCCAAUUGUAACAAAGCUUGUCUCUUGAUAUGACAUGAAGCCAGCAAGAGAUGAAACACUGUACAAACAAUAGUAGAAUAAUUAUCCUGCUAGAGACAAAACAAAUUUCAAAGAAAUAUGUUGUAAGAUUACAGACCUUCCAGUGAAGAUAUGCUCUCUAAGCCCAAGGAUGGUUGGAGCUUGGUCCCUAGGAUGCCUUACAAACUCUUGAAGGACAUUCCUCAUUUUGUAAGCUUCUUCCAGAUAGUUGUCCUGAUACCAAGUUACAUACAUGAACAUAAAAACUACAAACAAAGAGAGAACAUGAUUAUAGAAGCAUGUGCAAUUCAUUACUUGAUUCAUAUCAAUUGUUUGUAGAGCUUCUCCACGAGUGAAGAUAAUGGCAUGGUUUUGAUUUUCUGGCUUCCCUUCUCCAAUGAUGGGCGGACCAGGCAGCUUUAUACGGUAAAUCUCCUAUGGACAUAACCAACAAGUCAGCAAAGGCCAAGGGAUUACGGUGACUAAAAAUGAACCAUAUGUUUUUGCAAGCAAGAUUGUUAAUGGGGAUGAUAAUUAUGUUUAAUGAUAAUGAGAGAUAGUCAUGAUGACUAAAUAGGAGAGGUACUUUCAAGAAAUCUUAGGUGUAAUCAAUACAAUACUUCGUACUUUUAGUCUUAAUCUGAGAUCAUUACCUGGUCAAAAUUAUUUUCUGCUUUUAUUAACACAGAGGAAUAAACCUUAUGAGGAGAGCUAUGUAGUAUGACUUCCUUCUCUUCAAUAUAAGCAACCCGCAGAGUAGGGUACCUUUAUUGGGCACAAGUGAAAAAGAUCAGGAUGACUCUAGUGACCAUCAUUUUUCUACAAUUAUAUAUGUUCCAAUGCAUACCUCGUCAUCAGAUCUAUGAUGUCUUGAGCAUGGGGAUCACCUUUGAUUUUCUGUUCCCCAAACUUCUGACAUGAAAUGACAUAUGAAAAUUUCAUAUCUGCAAGUGCUUCUAUUUCAGUGGAUAAUGAUUGGUGGAUGUUUCUUUUAUUUUUUCCUUGCUCAGUAGCCAAAGGUCCUUUAUAUAAUUCUGCAUAAGUUUUUCUGAAUUGAAUUAGUGGAAAUAUAACCGUUUCCAAAGAAACAUAGAGCUGAAUGUUUUUUUCCUUAAACAGGAAACAUAGAGCUGAAUAUUAUGAAAUCACAAGAACUGCUACCAGAACUUUAUACAAGUAUUGUCAUUCUAGUGGUUAUAAAUUUCCAUUCAUGCAGAAAUAGGAAGUCAUUACUGAAUUUCGUUAGGACAAGACUUCCAUACGCACCUUGAUCACUUGUCCUGUCUAGGAAAGCCUGUAGUCUCAAUGCCCUCCUGUAGUACAUCAUUCCCCGCACUAGAUAGUUUAUAAUAAAAAUAGGAGUGAGAUGGGGGAGCCAUGAGCUUAAAUCAUAAUACAGCAAAUGAGAAUGAUACUCUGGAUUACCAGUUCGGCUCAGUGUUUGACCACGGUAGGAAGCCCAGUAUCUAAUUUCUUCAUUUGUAGCCUUUGAACCAAGGCGUUCCAAAAAGUUUUUCCAUUGAUCUAAAAUCACAAGAAUACCUCAGUAAUGUAAAUAUGGAUGUCUCAGCUUGAUAUACCUUAGUGACACAUGGUAAUCCAGUAUGUCUUCGUAUAAAUCAAUGCAAGCAGUUGCAGUAGAAGUCAAAAGAAGGUUUUGCUAUAUAGGUGACCUGGAUAAAUCUUUUGCAUGUAGGAAAGGAUGGAUGCUUCAUCUUGAUUUGAAUGGAGUUCUUCAUCUGAAAACUUCACUUCUUCCAUGAAAUAUGGAGUUACUAUGCUGGAUAAAGUAUGUAAUGUCAGAAUACACUGUAACACAUACUCCCUCUGUUUCAAAUUGUAGGUCGUUUUGGCUUUUCUAGGUUCAUAGAUGUUUGUAUGCAUCUAGACGUACACUAUAUUUAGGUGUAUAGCAAAAACUAUGCACCUAGAAAUGCCAAAACGAUCUACAAUUUGGGACGGAGGGAGUAAAUCACAGUUGCUUUCCAUUGAGAUGGAUGCAGAUAUCAGAAUUAUUGAACAAAGAACUACAAUCAACAUAACAGCUUGCUUCUAUUUAUAGCAACUCUUAUUGGUUAUCAUCUUCUUGAGGAGAUUAGCAGGAAAACGCCCAAGAUCAUAAACUGGUUGCUUAUGGUUGUAUUCGAGGGUUCUUGGUAAUCAAUGUUACUGAAGGUACUCCUAUAGGUUAUAACUGAACCUUGAGAUGGACUUAUUAGGAGACAGUAUGUUACAACAGGUAGCUACUCCAAUAGAUGAAAAGCGAAAGAAUAUAUUCAAUGGAGAUUAUUCAGGGAUAUAGUGUGAAUUAUUUAGACUUUUAGCAUCAUCAGGUAAUCUGGAUUUGGUUAAUCUCUGAGAUAGAUCAUGUGUGCAAAUUAUGCUACUUUUAUUUGGCAGUGCAUUCCAUCAAUAUUCAAAUAAUCCUAUAUUCUUCUGGCAGCAGAUCGACAACGAUCACUUUGUCAGACACAGUCACACAGAUCAGAACAAAAAAUAAAUAAAGCACUCAAUAAAUUUGGAGUUAUUCAAGUAUUACCUAAAUGAUAACAUACUGCGAACUUUUGGAGCUGCAGGCAUAUCCAUAAAUAGAGAUGUGGCAAAGAACGAAAUGCGUCGCCUAGCCUCUGAAUUUGAUGGUAUUUCUACAACCUUUUCUUUUGUAUUAAGCAAAAGGUAAAGGCGUUUAACCUGAAUAUACAAGAGCAUUUCAUCACUCAAAGAGUUAUAAUCUGUUCGAUUGUCCUUAGGUAAUCAAAUGUUAGCUCAGACCUGUUCUUUUUGCUGACCAUCAAGAAAUGGAUACCGGAUGUUUGUAAUUGAGCUGACUGAUGCAAAGAGCUCUGGUUGAUAGUACCCAAAUGCGCCAUCAUCAUCGGAGAUCAGUCUCUCGGAAGAAUUAAUCACAUCCAAUAUACUGUACAAAUAGGAGGUUAUUAUACUGGUACAACAUAAAUAAGAAGUAAAAAAUUUAUUAAUAAAUUCUUACCUUUGAGAAUCCACAAUCAUAUCUUGAAUUAGAAUAUCAACAAUAUCUUGAAGCAGAAUUGUCACCUCAUAUCGAUGUUCUUGUUUGUUUAUAAACUAGGUAACACAUGCAAGAAAAUUUCAUUAUAUUGGUUGGUGCGUGCUGAGGAUUUAAAAGAGAAGGAAAGGCUGUCUGCACUAUCUUAAUAGAGUUCAAGAUAUAAGAAAAGACUGUAUCAGCAGUCCAUCAAUAUAAAGAGCUCAAGAGGAAAUAAUCUAUCCUCGCUUUGAAGUUCUCCAAAUUUGAUGCUGCAUUUCUAAUUACAUCUAGCAAUAAUAAAUACAAGGUGACACUUAAAAAAAACUCUUGCAUGUUUGACCUGUCUAAAUACAGCUUGACACUCCAUUAUAUAUACAUCCUCCAUAAUUCAACUAUAGCUAUCCACUUCCACUUAAACUAAUAAUACAGAACCUUACUUUCUCUGAUGUAAAUCUUUGCCUUAGUCCUGGCCAGUGACUGGCAUGACAUAUGAGAAUACAGAGUAAGCAACAAUCCUACUGUCAUGGUUUGGGUUUCGGAGGGAAGGUGAGCUCCUCGGUGACAAACUGCCCAAUGAUGGGUGCACCUGUAGUACAGGGAGAACGAGGUGGGGUUGAGAGCGGGGUGGGGGUCGGGGAGCAUGGGCAUCGAAGAUGAUUAUCUUCAAGCACUUGAGGAUUUUAUCUUAUCAAGCCCCUCACAACUCAGCUUCUUAGGGCUGGUUGACAUGAGCAGUUUCUGAGGAUGGUUUGGCUGCUUGCCCUCCUACACGGCAUGCUAGGUCACAUGGCCUUCCUUCUUAUAUAAUGGAGCCUCACCUUAACAUGUAACAAUUGCAAAACAAGGAAAGAAGGAUAUGCCUAGGUUGCAGUAAAAAAGGAUACACUGUUGAGCAGGUAGAUUGUCAAAGCAGAGCAUAGAAUUGCUCUACAAAAAUAGAAUCUAGAAUCACCAUGCAUAUGACAAGGACAUAGCAACAAAACAGCGAAGUAGACCACAAGAAAUAGAAGAGGGGUCGUAGAUAGUUCUAGCACAGUGAUUACCAGAAGUUCAGCCAACCGAUCAAAUUUGCUGAACAGUGAAGGCAAAUGAUCCAUCUUAAAAUCAGUCAGAAGGCUUGACUUCAGAAUACUCUUUUCUAUUUCAUCGAAUAUGGCAGCUACCACCCUGAACACAAUCUGUAGACAUCAUAAUAAUAUUCACAGGAACAUAUACUACAAAAACUGCAAGCAUAGUUAUGAUGAGAAAUCAUAACUAGUUAUGGAGGUAAUCUUGGAAUAAAUUGGAGUACCUCUUCUCUGUCUCACCAAUGAUGAGAAAUUUGAAAAUAGUUUUUGUCAAUUGGUAGAAAUCGUUGAUAGAGCAAAACAUGUAGCCAUCCUUCUUAAUUUUCCAGAAUAGUUGAGCACUUUUUCCAGUAAAAUUUGCUACCAUAUCUACUGCUUCUGAAAACUAGAAUGUAAUAGAAACAAAUAUGAGAAUAUAGAUAAAUAUAUGCUGGCAGAGAUAGAAAGGGUACAGACAUAUGCCAGACUGCAGAAGUCACGAAAAAUCCGUUACUGAAGUACAGCUUAAAAGAAUGUCUUGGAAAGGGAGAAGAAAGAAUAACUAUUCUAAUACUAUUCAAGGACUCAAAAAGAAAGUCAGUUUUUGAUGAUUUUUUUUUGUUUCCCCUAACUUGUUCUGUGUUUAUAACUUCAAAUUGUAAAGAUUUGUUUAUGAUCCGUAGACUGUUUCCUUUUUUUUCAUUUUGUGGUGUGUGUGUGUAAAUGACAGUUUGCAAUAGACAUAUCCCCAUAUAAGGUAAAGGAAAACUUUAGUGAUGCUUCUUACAAGCAUGCAGCUAGCGUUACUGAAAACAUGUGUCCUCAUAAAGUAAUGUUUUCUAACUUUAAAAUUAAUAACUUUUUAAGUGAUUAAGGUCUAUCAUCACCAGGCUUUAUUCUGCAUAAUUCCAAAUAAUAUUAUAUUUAAGAAAGCUGCAUUUGCAUAAUAAUGUGCUAGUUGUGAGAGACACAUUAUAUUCUGUCAAAGGUCUGUGGAAACAGGAAAAAUAAUUUAUAAAAAUAAAUAGAUUAUACCAACUUCAGCACUAUGAAGGUGUUGCAAAAUAGAGUACAUUUUAACGAAACCACAAGAUGUCAUGUACCAUAGAAUAGAUCAGCUUACCUUUUUAGCAAGUAGAAACAAUGGCCAACGAAUAGAACCAGGACUAUGCUCUAGUGACAUGGGCAUCGUCAUCAAAUCCAUCUCUCUGGAAAACAUUGUUUUUCUUUACAGGGCUGAUGAAACCUAAGUUGCAGCAGAGCAGAGUAAUCAAAGUGUACCUAUUGCUUAUUAAGUCCUCUGAACGGAAGCUGAGUAUUAUCUGGUUCCAAACCAAAGCAAACUUCGUCGGGUCGAGUCUUUCAGCUUUACCUACUUUCUGAAAACAGGGAAUCAUUUGAAAAAAAAAAAUAGAGUUCGCAUAAGGAGAAAAAGUGAUAUGGCUAGUUGAUUGGCUAAGAACACAAUGGCAGAUUGAUAAACAACCUGCUCGCCUUCCCUAGGAGGCUCUAAGCUUUGAGGUUUAUCUUCUGCUUGAACUAAUCUAUUGCGCCUAUGGCUCUUAUAUAAUGAGCCGGCUUACAAAAUCCCAACUAACUAGGACUCUAUCUCUAAUCUGAACCUAAACUAAUUAGCCUCUCCUGGAGGAGGCGGGCCCUUGUUCCUGCGGUGAAACUUCUUGCCGAAGAAGUUGUCCACAACACUUCCGCCCACCUGACAGAAAAGCUCGUCCUCGAGCUUGAAAUCUGGGUAGCUCUCUUUGAAAGUGUGAAGCGGCUCCCAAGUAGCAUCAGCAGCUCCACGACCUACCCAUUGCACCAGAAGAUCCCAGGAGGUGGCUGUCAGCUUGGCACGCACCACCUUCGCCGGAGUAGGCACUGCGCGACCAUGAACCACAGGCGGCAAGGCGACGAUGUGCUCAGGCACAGGACCCUGGUGCUUCUUCAGAAAGACCACAUGAAAGACAUCAUGGAUCUGAGCCUUUGGGGGUAGGCAAAGACGGUAUGCCACCGACCCAUGCGUUUGACCACUUGAAAAGGCCCAUAGAAGCGGGGAGCAAGCUUGGCGUUGGACUUGUCAGUGAUGGCCAUGGCUGAGUGUUGAUGCAGGCGCAGCCAUGCCCAUUCGCCCACCACAAACUCCAGCGCUCGGUGAGCUUUGUCAUGCGUUGCCUUCAUGUAGUCCUGCGCCUGAAGAAGACGUUUCCGGAUUUCUGCCAGAAACUCAUCCCGCUGCACAAGCUGCCUGUCCAACGCCACCACACGUGCCAGGCUCGGCUGGUAGGACAACAGGGAGGGAGGAUCCCGGCCAAACACCACCCGAAAUGGCGUGCACUACAAGGCGGACUGGUAGGAUGUGUUGUAGCAGUAUUCUGCCCCCAAGGCAACCAGCGCAGCCAGCUGCGAGGACGGUCGCCCACCAAGCAGCGAAGAUACACCCCCAGCACGCGAUUUGUCACCUCUGAUUGACCAUCUGUCUGCGGGCGAAAGGCGGAGCUGAGGCGCCACUUGACGCCCGCGAUGAUCCCUUGCUCCAACAUCGCCUGGCAUUGGGCCUCAAUCUCAUCUUUCAGCAGCUGCGGGUAGCGGUAGGGCCGCACCGCCACUGGAGGAGUCGCCGGCAGGAGGUGUAUGUGGUGGUUGAAAGCCCGCGGCGGGGGAAGGCCCGACGGCGUGGCAAACAAAUCGGCGAAAUCCUGGAGGAGCAGCUCCAGCAGGUUGGUGGACUAAGUGAGGGCCAGCCGUGGAGAAGGUCGAGCGUUGACCCCGAACCACUUGACGCGGUGGUCCUGGUGCCAGAAUGCCAUGGACAACCGAUUGAAGUCCCAAAGGAUGGGUCGCAGGGUGCGUAGCCACUCGCAACCCAGAACGAGCUCGUAGCCGUCGAGUGGGAUGACGAACAGGUUGAUGCAGAACUCCUCCUGGCCGAUGUGGACGACAACGUUCCGGCAGACGCCGGCGGAUGGCACGCGGUCGCCAUUGGCAACACCGACGGUGAGGCCCAGUCGUGCCUCGGGCGUGAGCCCAAGCCGGGCGGCGGUGUCUGCGGCGAUGAACGAAUGGGUGGAUUCUGAAUCCACCAAGGCGGUGAGGCUGACGGCGUGGACGACGGUGGUAAGCUGUAAGGUGGAACUCGUUUGGAUGCUAGUGGUGGCAUUGACAGAUAUUGUCAGCUCGUCCUUGGCCGCGCCAUCAGAGUCGUCGUUGCCCUCUAGUUCCAUCCAGUAGAUGCCCUUCAUGGAACAUUGCUUGGAGUGCUCGCGCGAGAACUUCUCCGGGCAAUUAAAACACAGGCCGGCGAGGCGGCGCUGCACCAUCUCCUCUGGCAUGAGGCGCAUGAAGCGCACACCUGGCGGAGCAGCCGGCUUGACUGGCGCGCCUGGCGUCGUAGACGAAGCACUGUAUGCUGGCGGUGUCAAUGGAGACCGCGCCAGGGUGGCGUGAUGAUGAACGCGUCGAACACACCAAGGAACAACAGCCGUCAUCAACCACCUGGGUGCGGCGCUCGUAGGCCCGGGCGAGUGCCAUGGCGUCCUCUAGGGUCUCGGGCUUAUGCAGCUCCACGUCGAUGCUCAUUGGUUGGAGGAGGCCGGUGGUGAAGAUAUCGAUCUGUUGUUGCUCGGUGACGCCCUCGCAUCGCGCUGGGAGCUUGAGGAAUUGCUCCUGGUAGCUGUCGACGGAGCCCGUGCGACGUAGAUGGGUCAGCUCGCCGAGGGGAUUGCUGCGCACCAGGGGGCCAAACCGCUUGUUAACGCCUUCGACGAAAGCGGGCCAAGUGGGGACACCGCGAUUCUUCUCCAGGCGGUAGUACCAUUGGCCGGCGGCGUCCUCCAAGUAGAAUGUCGCCGUCCAGACCUUCUGGUCCUCCGGCGUGCCCUGCGAGCGAAAGAACUGCUCGCACUUGUGAAGCUAGCCCAGGGGAUCCUCGAUGCCGUCGUACUUGGGGAAGCGAAGCUUGUGGACGGGCUGUGGCGGCAGCCCAUGCUUGCCAUCGCCGGGUGAUGAGGAACCAGAGGCGUCGAAGCGGCCGUGCUUCUCCAGCACUUGUGUCUGGACGUUGCUGAUGGACGAGGAGAGGCAGCCCUGUUCCUGGCGGACGCUGCCAAGCUCCCGAUCCAACUUCUGGCUGAUGUCGUUCAUCUUGGCAAUCAUCUUGGCGAUGGCGUCCUCGAAAACAGACUGGGUGACGAAGGGGUCACCCAUGGUUGCGGUGGAGCGGUGGGUUUGGCGAUAGAAACUUCAGCGGAAGGGUGAUGGCCAGGGAGAACAGGAAACAGGAACGGUGGAAGGCUGAUACCAGAGAUGAUAUGGCUAGUUGAUUGGCUAAGAACACAAGGGCAGAUUGAUAAACAACCUGCUCGCCCUCCCUAGGAGGCUCUGAGCUUUGAGGUUUAUCUUCUGCUUGAACUAAUCUAUUGCGCCUAUGGCUCUUAUAUAAUGAGCCGGGUUACAAAAUCCCAACUAACUAGGACUCUAUCUCUAAUCUGAAUCUAAACUAAUUAGCCUCUCCUGGAGGAGGCGGGCCCUUAUUCCUGCGGUGGAACUUCUUGCCGAAGAAGUUGUCCACAACAAAAAGGCACCUUCAGGUAGUUCAAAAAUGGCAUGAACAUUUCGCACCUUGAAUAUUUUCUUCUCCAAGAAACUAGAAAACACUCCCUUUUUCUCUUUUGGCAUUGCAGGAGGAACAAGAGACAUAUUGAAGGCUUCUGGUAAGGUAGAAAACCGACUUCUCACCAUUCCCAUUGUCCGAAUCUAGAUGAGUAUCAGAGGUAAGAAUCUGCUAGGGUAGACAUCUGAAAUGAGUCCCAUGUUAAGUGAUGCCUGAUCUCACCUCACCAAGAUGAUGGAUAAUACCACACAUACCACCGAAAAUAGUACAGAAUACAGAAUACCAUAUCUGUGUGUCCAUGAAAUAGACCUGUUGAGAAUUAAAAGAAAAGUAUUAGGUAAUCCCAGUUCCAGAGGCAUAUGCACAAUUAAAACUGUAAUUACUGUAAGUAUAUAGAAUCCUCACAAGAAUUAUAGGGGUCCAUACAGCAAGAAUAGCGCCAGCAUUACUCUUGACUGGUGCAAAAUCAGACGUAUGGAAUCAUUAUUUUUGUUUGACUGUAAUUUGACAGUGCAAACCUAAUAUUAAAAAGUAAGGAAAAACACUAAAAGCCAAGAUAGCAUAUGGAGGACCUUGUGGGAAGAACUCAUGCCACUCAUAUUUGUUCACAUUGAUCUUCAUAAUUUCUUUUGUAGGUCCCACAAGAGGCUUAAUCUGUAUAUAUUUUGGUAAAAAAGCGAAGCAUCACGAGGCAGUGUAAGAACAAUAAACAGAACUUUUCCGGUUGUGACUAUGAUCAUGUGCAGUGAAUGUUUGAGAGAGAACCUUACCUCAAAGUAGUAGCUGAAUAAAAAUUUACUUGACAAGAGAAUCAUCCAAAAAGCUGUGUACCUGUGAGGUAUGCAAAGAAUGAUUUAGCUCAUAAUAAAUGAUCCAAACAAAGUAACGCAAUUGUAAACAAAUGCAUUACUUCAGUAAAGGUACUAGUCCUUCUUGCAUUCCCCGUCCAACAUACAAUUGUGGCUGCACAAGUAAUUGUCAUUAGGGCAUAAUAACAAGAUAUGCAAGCCAUGAGGUGAAGUGCGAAGAGGUAGUACGUAUGUUAAAAAAUAGAUUCUUUUAGAACUUUACAUGUGCUGAAGUUAUUUGAUAUAAAAUAUCAUGACGACACAUCUAAUUUAGUUUUAUGACAAUAUAAUUUGUUAUAUUAAAUUACAAACUUAAAAAAUGCAACGAGAAGAACAUACCUGACACCACCAUGACAGCAUACUGCAAAUUCGCCAAGUAGAUGUUUCUAUGUAGUUAGUGACAGCUGGGACAAAAAAUAGUGCCAUCCCAAUCACAUUGCUUGCAAGGUACAAUGCAACAACCACCAUAUAUUUUGACAAGCAGAACAUUCCCAGAAAGGUUUUAGAUUGUUUAGCUGAACAGGCCUUAUAAUUUUGAGAACUUGCAUAAAAUAUAGGAAGAAUGAUCGCCCAUGCCACCGCAAGAGAAAGUUUUAGAGUAAAUCGUAGUAUCUGAUCAAAUCUCAUUGUUCGCUUGGUUCUCCAUGAGAAAGCAAUGUCAAGGAUAACUGCAAGUAGGUACGUCAACCAUGAAUGAAGAUAUAUGGAGAGAGAAAGGAAAUAAAAGUAGGUAUUUCAAUAGAUUCAGCAUUAUUUAGUCAUAAUGUAAUAACUGAUAAUGUAUAUUUACACGAUACAAAGAUUCACGUCAACCUUGAAUAACUCGAAGUACUGCAUUGGUAAUGAAAAUACUCAGAAUAUCCUCAAAAAUGAUUGGAUCAAGUAAUUGAGUAGGGCUCCCUAAUCCAUGCCAUGCCAUUAUUAUCAGAACCUGAAGGUAAUAUAAACAAGAAAUGUGUCAAAAGGUCUGACAGAAUUCUGAAAAUAAUCCCAAAUGCAUCCACUCAAUAAUUAAUGAUAGAAAACUAAACCUGAAGCCCAAGCACAAGAAGUGUCCACAUCCUAUCGAAGCUUCUGAAGAGAUGCCAAAAGGAACGGACCUCAACAAAAUUAGUCUUUCCCAACCACUGUUCAGAACUGGGACUCGUAGUUUGCUAUAUGCGGUACCACCAAAAAAAAUGAAGAGAACUAAGCCACAAAAUCGAACAAAUGUACCCUAACCCAAGCAUCCUCUUAGUCAUGCAUGUACAUGAAAAACCAAGCAUCAUAGAUAUUACAACACAGUAAGUUAUGUCAAAGCACAUAAGAAACAAGUUGCUCAGACUCCUUGAACCUUGAGAGUUCAGAUAAGUGCUGUAUACAGUGUGAUAAUAUGCAAGCAAUGCAGUGGGCAUGUGAAGCAAUCAGCAUCACGGAGUAUUGGUGUAUACAUAACUACUAAGCCCUUUUUUCUCAAUUUCAGUGAAUAAAACUGAUUUGUACAUAAAUAAGUAAUAAGCCUGGUUAUAUUCUUCAAAUAUUACAUUUUUUUUAGGAUGGUCAUUUUUGAAAUAAGAGUUACCUGUUGUCUUUGUUCAGCUGCUUCUGAAUUAAGACAGUUUUCUGUUGAUGAGGACUCAUGAGGCACUUGGGGAUUUUGCUGCUCAGUUUGCUGAGGUUUGUCAACAGACACUAGCGGAACACAGCUAGCACAAUUUUCAAAGCCAUGCGGCACCCUUGAUAAUGUUGACCCACAAAGAAUCUAAACAAUAUAAGAAGUCAGCAACAGCACGGAUAAGAGAAAGAACUCCAUCACUAAGGGAAAUGCUGAAUGUCUCUAAAAUCCAUGCAUUAUUAUAGCUAUACAUCUGAGUUGUAAGUUUCAAUCAGGUUCAUGUUAUAGAUAAUGCCCUAGCAUGCAAGUGUGCUACAACCUGUCCCUGCAACUCAAGCUUUAAAUCGAAGCUUCAUUUGAAAGGGUUAAAUGGAAGUUGCUACUUGGCUCCCUUAGGUUUAUAUACUACUCAGCCUCAACUUAAAUCACAAUAUGGACUACCAGCACAGAUGGCCCACUCGAGCAUCCACAAUAUGAGCCAAGUUUCAAGAAGCCUUUGAGAAAUAUAAUCUAUGCAUUAAUGAUUUUAGCUGAAUAACCAACUAAGGUAAGCAUCAGGUUAUCUGAAAAAUACUUCAGAAUUCCAUUUCCGUUUGACUAUACAUUUGUGGUUCUUCCAUGUGAUCUGGUUAGCUGUGGAUUUUUAUGAGGCCUUGAUUGAAGCUGAAAAAUGUGCUUACAUUUCAGUAGUUGUGGAUCGGUCUUAGGAAGAAAGUAGCUGGAGUAGGAAGGGGAGUAGCAGAAGAUGGGAUCAAAGGAAGAGCAAAGGAGGCUUUGGCAGAGAGAAACAGAGUGAGGCGUGAUUGAGAGCAAUUGAGAUUGCGUGGAUAAUAGAUUGAUUAGGGUAUACAAAGGUAAAAGUAUAUAUAGGCAGCCCUGAGAGAGGUUUAUAGAAUCAGAACCAAUCUCAGGGGUAUCAUGCCUAUCCUAACCAACAGGCCACGGCAGAGAGCCGGCCCUAGCCCUAGCGUCAUAUACGCCUGAGGGCCUACACGCACAUAGCACAAACACAUAUCUAACAGUGAGAUAUCUUUAGUAUUGGGUUUAUUCUUGCUUGAUUCCAAAUGAGCUGAUCUGAAAGCUUUAUUGCCGCCACUGACAAACUUCAUUUCUUAGCGUUUUUUUUUUUCAGAUGGCUUCCGUUUUGAUCAGAAUAUCUAUUUAUCAUUUGAACAAAAUGAAGUAACACUUCAAGAAAGAAAUAGAAGAUACAAACUGGCCAUAAAAGGAUAAAAUAGAAAACAAGAGCAUGCAUGAGGGCACAAAUAAAAUAACUGUUUGUCAAAGGACACCUGAGAGUUAUCAGAUUCACUUGAUAUGAAAAAGAAAUCAUUGUUAGGGCGCAUGGGCCAACCAAGCUUAAAGCAAUCAGUAGACCUGCAACAGAAAAAUAUUAAGUACAGUUUUUAAUCAAAAGUUAUACAACAAGAAGCAUGGUAUCUGACCAGAAGAAUUCAUUGAGGUCAUCAUAGUUUCUCCAUGUUGAGUGAUCAGCUGCUCCAUCCUUGUUCUUUUGUGCUUCCUUCAUUAAAAAGGGAAAGGCAUUCAUUUGUACAUACAAACUUUAAAGCUCUGUGCAUUAAAGGUUCAAAAGAAGAUAAUGUGGACCUUAAAUACAACGUUGUAUAUUGGCCUCACUACAUCGUUAAGAAAUGAUUCAUCAUCUCCUCCAUAUGCAGGUCGAACUUUUUCCCCAGUAAUUAAGCUUACAGCUCCAGAGAGCACUCCAUAUAGCUCAUAUGACAUCUGAAACAAAAAUAGUAUACUCAGAGUGGGUUUUACUUAGGGCCAAAGAAUUUAGCAAAGAAAAAAAUUGCCAUACCCGGAUAUGCUAUUUGGAGAAACAUAUAAACAAGUUAAUCAACUUCAUGUUUUGAUAAUAUCACUUAGAAAUGCAAAACUUAACAAAUAUUCAUAUUUUACUAGGAAAAAUGCAGAAAUCCUGCCCAUCAGCAUCUGCCAGCCUUUGACUUAGAUUUUGAUUGUUAUAGCACAAUCCAUUCCAAUACCGUUCAUAUUUUGUUUUGGACCUUAAAUUUAGCACAAUCCACUGAUGACUUCCGAUAUCUCCUCUGGACCCAUUAUUUUGUCUUGUUUUAGACUUUAUGUCAAAUCACUUCAGAAUAUUUUUAUUCCCUGGUAACUAAAGCAGCUAGCUAUGGGGAGUUAACAUGAAAUGAGAUUAGGGAUAACUUGCAUGUCUGUACUUGUUUCAAAAUGAAGUACAAUAUUAAAGAACCUUCCAUCUCAUUUAUUUCGAACGGGGGCCAAAAAAAAAAGAGGAAAUGCAUAUGGAACAUUGAUUCUAUUGCAGUACCAGAAACAGAGCAAGCACAAACUACAACUUGUUAUAACUAUGCCUUCCUACGUUGGAGUCAAUGCUUCAUAAGAUUUUGAAUAGUUUUUAUAGUAAGGAUUCAAGCAAAAGAAUCAACAUUUUUUGUUGAACUAACAGAAAACCGCUUGUAAUGAAAUACACAAGUUUUAUUCUUGUAAAAAAAUCAAACUAACUAAUGUGAAAGGAUACUGGUAAAAAAGAAGCAAUUCCGCAAUAGAUUAUUCUGGAAGAAGCAUUUAUUGGGUAUCUUCUAUUUCCCGGCAAUGCAAAUUUAUGUGACCAGAAAAACUAUAGUAAAAUAAUAAAUUCCCAAAAUGAUACCAAGAGAAACAGAGAAACAUAAACGGUUUAAAUCCUUAACACAGUAGAACCACAACAAAAGUAUCAGUGGCAUAAAUAUUUUUACUUACAUGAUGAAAAAUGAAGCAUAAGCAUUCUGGCAUCAGUCGUAAGUUUGACGCUUCUCCCCAUAUCAGGAGGUAAAGAGCUAUGUAUAGAAGUUUAUGUUGCUGAAUUUCCUGCUUCACAGAGGGCAACCUGAAGUUGCAACACAAACAGGUGAAGUGCAAGCGAUGGUACUUAUUUUCAAUUAUCUGUAGCCAAGUCUAAGAAGUGCAAGCUAAGGUACUUAUUUACCAUAUGUUGCUUUUUCGCCCCAAAAACUUGCACCAGGUCAGAUAGUUCUCAAAUGUUUUUGCCAACAAUUCAUCUACUGCUCUGUCAUCUAGCUGAAAGGAGAUAUAUGAAAAUGGCAUUCUCAUUAAAGAUACAUAAAGAAAACUAGUCAUGUUUGGGUACCAGUUGAGCAGAGGAUGACUUGGGAUUCAAUCGAGCAUGCAUAUUUGCAAGCAAUAGAAUUAGAUGCUCCCUUUGGUUGGCCACAUUUCCUGUCUAAUCAAAGAAAAAACAAGCCAAAUUAUCUAGCUGUAGUACAAGGGAAAAUACCAGCCAUACUAACCGAAGCAUUCCACAUGAAACUAAAUAAACCAUUACCUGAUUCGCAAAUAAAAAAUAACCCAUUACCUGGAAUCCAAACCAACUUUGCAGCCAUCUAAAAAUAUCUGUAUGAGUUUUGUCAUCUUUGAUGUUGGCUGAUGGAAGACUGCGAACAUUAAACACCGCAGAGACCGCAACUUUGAUCUGUAUAAGAGAAUAUCAUAGCUAACUUUAUGCAAACUGAUUUACAUUAUAUAGUUAAAAAUAUAAGUAUCGCUUGCUAUGCAUAAUGCAAUCUUACUAAUUCACAAACAAAUUAAUGGGAAUUUAUUUUUAAAGGAAGGAUUACUGUUGUAUAUUCCUUUUCUGAAGGAGAACAACAUGAGCUGUUAGAAUUACAGAAAACCCAGUCACCACUAUUAUUGCACAGCAAGGAUAUUAGGCAAAACGUAUUGGUCAUUGCCUUUGCAAAUACCAAUCAGAUCAUGUCCUCCCCACUGUGUAAAAGAAUCACAGUAGAGGUCUCCCCUAUUGUUUUUGCUCAAAAAAAUAUGUAAAAGAAUCCAGAGCCAUGAGCCAUCAUGUCAUACCAAAAAGUGAAGAUGUACAGCCCUAUUAUCAAAAAAUACUAUAGUUGCACUUUCACAUAUAGUAGAGUGCAGGACAAUAUUACUUUUGAGAAUUUUGAGUAGAAAAACUGGCGAACCUCAGGGAGAAGCAUAAUUGGUCUUUGACUGAAUUUAGGAUGGAGUGGAAGAAUAUUAUAUCUUAAUAAGCCUGACUUGUCUGUAAAAUCUUCACCAGCAACAAGGUUCUGCAAUUUUAUGGAAGUGAUAAAUAGGAAACAGUAUAUCAUAAGUAAUAAUCUCAUUUUUCCAAAAAAAAAUCAAAACCUCCAAGCCGGUCCCACUGAGAAGAGCCUUCAGCACUUCUUGCAGGACAGGUAAGAGUUCAUCAAGUGCAUUAGCUUUCCUUUUCCUAUAAAAAAUGCAAAAAACAGAAUGAGAGUUACAUAUUUAGUAUUGGGAAUAGGGUUUGAAAAUGUGAUUGAUAAAGUGGUCUACAGUGAUGGUGUUUAUUUGAGAAAUAAUCUUACCUCUCAUAGAAUAACUUCAUUUCUCGGGCAUCACCUCUUUGUGUCAUCUUCGAUUUGGUGCUUCUCUCAUCCUGUUUUACAAUCACAUCCAAUAUUAGGGGCAUCCUUAUUCAACAAAGCUCUUUGACUAACAGCAUAUAUCAGAGAUUCUGAGUGCACAAGAAAUUUGCCUAGACAAGUUCUCGAAUAUGUUAUAUACAUAUUCUUCUUAAUAUAAUGAUACGCAGUUCUCCUGUGUGUUCGAGAAAAAAAACACAUGUGAUGUUUUCAAAGUACACCAUCCAAAACCUAAGAGAAUGUAAUUAUAUUAUAAAACUGUCAUCCCUCCCUAUAAUGUCUGCACCUGCUCAAGUCUCUGAAGAAGUGCAGUUUUAAAUUGCCGAACACCCCUCCCUGUGGAAAGUCGAUCCAUUGUAUGAGCCUUUUCAAACGCGUGGAACCGACCUGGCAAAAGAAAACCUGCAUUAAAGAUCCAUACAAUUAUGAACGUAACUAUUCUAAGCGACACUCAAGUUGGUUUCCAGUCGACCACUGUGUUUAUGUGUUCCAACAGAGUGAAGAAAGAGGUGACUGGCACUUCAUGAGGUAAGAGUUCCCAGUUAUCUUUUCAAACUCGUUGCACCACCCGAUGGGGAUAAUUGAUCCACUGCAGCACAAAUUGAGGAGUUGUGCCUUGCAUGCUGAUGUAACAAACUCUACUUUCAAGGCCUCCCUCAGACUGCUCUGCUAAGCAAGUGAGAUUUACAUGGAGCAGAGUCCACCAGAGGAAUAUUCUCUGCAGGUGAAACUUCAGUUGAGCCACUGAAGGUAGAUAAUUGGCACAUGAUUCUCUUCAGAGAAUAUCCAGCCUUCCGAAUAUAGCAUCUUAAAUCUAAUUCCCAACCGCAAAAGCACGGAAUAUCCCAGGUGAUGAUGAUGUGCUCUCAAACCUCCAAACACACGCUUCCCCCUAGCAGAAUCUUCAAGGACCAGGGCACUACUUGUGACUGAAACAGCAUCUCUGUCGCCGAAGGCAAGGUGGACCAUCAAGCACAAAGCGGCCGCGGUUGUUGAGUUAAGCAAGGAGAAACUCACGGUGACCAACGAGCAUCUUCCAGCGUCAGAGAAUCCAGUACAAGGCAGAAUAUUCUGAAACGGAGACAGAUAGUAGUAUCGGUAUGGAACCAAAAGGUCCAAAACCACCAGGAAUCUUCUCUGUGAUCCAAUAGUCGAGGCACCAGCUCCGUAUGGAUCAGAAUCAGAAUCAGACAAGCGCGCAUGCAUACAGACGUGCCACCAACGCAAGCAUCCAAACCAUCGCGCAUACACAUGCAGGACCUGGACGUCCACCUCGCGCCAAGGUCAGGGGGUCGGUUGCUAGCUUCCUCGCCGGGCAUUUCCACGAACAGGUGGCGCGCGGCGGCGCGGAAGCUCUCGCCUCCUCCACCCCACGGUAAGAACGGGAGAAGAAAAAGGUACGGUCGGGAAGUAUGCAAGCGGGGCGCGAUUGCGCGCGCGGGCACUCACAUAGGUAGGCGACGCGCGGGUUCUCGGCCUCGACCUGGUUGGCGGCGCGCAGGAAGGGGCGGAUCUCGGAGACGAGCGUCUGCGGGAGCUUCUCGCUGUCGAACUGCUGCGCCACGGGCUCCCCCGCGUCCCCGGCCCCUCCCCCCUGCUGCUGAUGAUGAUGAGGCGGAGGCGGAGGCGGAGGAGGAGGUGGAGGUGGAGGAGGAGGAGCGUGCCACUGCUCCAGCGGGGGCUGGACGUAGCGCAGCGGGCGGCUGGACGGGCCCACCUCGACGAUCUCGAUCUCCAUCCUCCCGCGCCGCGGAAGGUGGAGGUGGAGGUGGAGGAGGAGCGAGGCCACUGCUGCGGCGGCGGCAGAGCCAGUAGCGCCAUCGCGAUCGCGCGGCUUUUAUCGGGAGCUCUCGCUUUGGCUUUGGCCUUCGCCGCUAAGCUUUUCCGCUUUUCCGCGGCGGGCGCAGAUCGAGGCGGGCCGGCGGGCGGCUAGCUUUUGCUUUUUGGCGAUCGAUCGACUUGGCGUUCGAGGGUGCUGGGGAUUGGUGGGGGGAGGAAGCCAGGAAGGGGAGGAGGCGAAGCAAGGCCAAGGCGAGUGCGGGAAAAGGGAAGGGAGGCGGCUUUUUGAACGUUCGGGGGUGGGGGAUUGGCAACGGCCGCUUUGCUUGGUUUACUGUUGUGUGGAGUGGGGUGUGAGUGACUGGCAACUGGCAAGUGAAACAGAGAUUAGGGAUUAGCCUUCCCUUCUCUUUCUCUCUUUAGAUGGCAUGGCCAUCUUUUCUCCUUUUCUUUAUUAUCUUGUGUGCUUGCUUGCUUGGGUGGUGUGAUGAUGCAUGACUGUGUGCUGCGGCUUUAGGUGGGUAGGGUGCUUUAAUUUACUUUAGGAGCACUAAGCAAUGCUGCAUUUGAAUUACUGGCCUACUUUCUCAUCACAGGGGUGGUAAUAAAGCGGGUGAUCAUUGCUUUGGAGGAAUGUAGGUGUAGGGUGACUUCAUUAUUUUGUUUAUUUGUUUUGCUAUAAGAAGCAUUGUUUAGUGUUUGUUAAAACCAAUGUUUUCAAGUCACGAUUAGUCGGACUUAUCAUUCGAUUAGUCCCGAUUAGUCACAAUUAAACGCUCCAUCAGGGACUUAUCGGUGCCACGGCGACUAGGUUCGAUAAUACGAUUUAAUAACAUUGGUUAAAACACAACUGCACUAUUACUAGGUGAUAAAAAGGAAAAUCUGAAUAGCAGCAGCACACAAGAAGCCUAGUUCUUAUAUAUGAGCUGUUCACCUUGACCAAGAUCCACUGCUGGGGAAUGCGCCUUCAGUACCGAGUCCAAACCCCCUUAGUACCGUUUGUGCAACCGGUAUUGCUAUUUCAGUACUAAAGGUUCCCCUUUAGUACCAAGUCAAAUAAUUGGUAAUAAAGGGGUAUUAAAAAAUAAAAAAUAAAAAAAAAUCCACCGACCGGAGCCUCGGCCGCACCCCGCCGCCAUCCGCCCGAGCACCGGAACCCUGGAGAGAGAGAAAGGGAGGGAGGGAGGGAGGCGGCGUACUUACGCUGCUCAGCCACCGCCACCAGUUGCCGCCACCACCGGAUCUGAGGGAGAGGUGGCCGCUACUCCAAGAUCCACACGCUCCUUGCUCCGCCACGCCCUGCCGACGCUCCGCUACCGCGCCCUCCAGCCGAAGCUCCGCCGCUCCUUGCUUCGCCACGCCCUGCCGACGCUCUACCGUCUCGUCACGCCCUCCCUUCUUGCCUCUACCGCUCCUUGCCAUGCUGCCGCUCCUCACCAAGGUGAGGGGAGAGUGGAGGGGGCAGGAGAGGGGUGGCGAUGGGAUCUGUGGGGGGGGGGGAGGGAGGGGAUUCAGCGGGGAGAAGAAGAGAGAGGCACGGGUGAGAGGAUGAGGGGACGAGCGGAUAAGUGUGGGGAGGGGGUGAGCGUGGGGUGAGAGAGAAGGGAGGCUGACGCGUGAGGGGAGGUUGCGAUUUAGUAUCGGGUGACGCCUCCACCCGGUACUAAAGGCUCUCAGGCACAUUAGUACCGGUUGGAGGCUUCAACUGAUACUAAUUUGUGACCUUUAGUAUUGGGUGAAACCUCCACCGCUACUAAAGGGGGCCACGAGGGGCUUCUCGGGAAUUAGUCGUUAGAUCCGGUACUAAUGCUCACAUUAGUAUCGGGCCAAAACGUAACUGGUACUGAGUUUCGGGACGAAUGCUGAGUUUUCCGAUGAUCAUCAGUUGCUUUAAAUUUGUUUCCAAAGGAAAAAGGAGGAGAUCAGCACACACUCCAGCUAACUUAGAUCUGUCAUGGUGUCUAGAGUGCACUGGUCUACUACUACUUCCAUGGGUUUUCACUGCACACCUUGACGAGAUUUUACAGGUAAAAGCGCCAUGGUAAUUCUGCAUAUGAUUGUUGAAUAUACUGCGACGCAUUUACAUGUUUAUUUGUUGUAGAAAGGUCUCGUUGUCGUAGUUGCAUAUAUUGAUUCCUUUUGUGCCCAGGACACAAAUUCGAGAUAAAACAAGGACAAAAUACGACCAAAAGUGCUGGGGGCUAUUUUUCCUCCUUGUCACAGCGUUUUCCUUUCAACUCUUCCGAGGCACUUUUAAACGCGAGCUACUGAGCUAGAUGCAUGGUAACAAUGGGCGGAUGAUUGUGUUAUCACUCCAUGGGCCACAUUUUUUUGUACUUGACGACGAUCGUCGAUCGAGUUACUCGAGUGAGUGGACCACGGUGGAAAAAAAAAAGGCAACGAAAAGGAGCUCGACCUUUGUAAAGCCACUUGCCGUCGCACCAGACAAAUCGUAUCAUUGAGCGAGCAUUACUGUGCAUUGCAGUACGUGGAAAUACUUAGCGCCCAAGUAUUGCGCGCCCAGUCAUAUCCGAGGCCAAGGUCGUCGUCGACCAACCUCCAAACUUGCCUUACAAUUUCCCGAGUCGUGAGCAAAGUGCUACCUGUAGCCUAGAUGAGUGCGUGCAGGUAGCUUUCCAUAACAAUCAGUUCUAAAUAGUUCUAUUUCAAAUUAUAGGUCAUUUUGAUUUUUCUAGAUUCAUUAAUAUUAUUGUGCAUUUAGACCUGCACUGUAUCUAAGUGCUUAGAAAAGUCAGAACGACCUACAAUUUGUAAUGAGGAGAGAGUAAGCAUCACUAUAUCUAAGUGUUUAGAAAAGUCAAAACAACUAAUAAUUUGGAACGAGGGGAGGAAGCAUCAGAAACGCGCUCAAUCAGUUGGGGUUGACACCGCCGGCCAGCACGUCAGAUUUUUAUCGUCAUUUUUUAAGGGGAAAAAAAGGAAGACAUCUCAGUCGCCCAUCCACAUGUAGUUGUUGCACAUUUUGUCUAGCGCAAAAAAUUAAAUGAAGUGUGAAAAGAUUUAUGUCAAUUGAUCUUAUGGCUUUAUUAGGCGCAUUUCCUAAUUAAGCCAACUGAAUUCGCGAGCUCUACUUCAGUCGACAGUCACCUCCAUUGUCUAUUUGUCUUCGCUUUGGCCACCGUAUAGGUGCAGAGUGUGACCGAAAUGUGUAUGCAGGUUUUGCUUUCUAUAAAAGCAGAGAACUUCUCCUUCAAAAAAAAAAAGUGUAUGCAGGGUGAAACAGGUCAGGUGCAAGGCGAAAACGUCACCUCCACGUACAUGCACACCUCACUGCAUCUGCCCAUUGUGUCUGCUCUGCUUUAAGACUGUAUACAGAUCCAUAUCUACGUAUGUACUACUACUAUACAACAAAACGAAACAAUUCGUUGUUUAACAUAUCACCGAAGAAUUAAAUUAAACGACACAAAGCACAGGCUGAUGAUCUGCGUGCGUUGCUUUUAGACCGACCGGGCCGUGUAACUUUCGUCAUCACGUCCGUGCCUACAUGUACGGUCUGAUGAUCCACUAGCGAAAGGCGAAAAAGCUGCCUGGUCAGGAGACGAGCGCCACUUGUGCGCUGCUGCUGCUGCAGUGAGAAGCUUUUCGGAUGGAACCCACUAGAGUUUCUUCCAUAGCUUGGGUGAAAGUUGGGGAUAACUUCAAUUUAGGGUGGAUUCGACGUUGCCCCGACUACAACACCAUAAAGGUUGUGCCUUAGCAACAGGUGCACCGUCUUCGACUGGGAUGUCCUUACCGUGCCAAGAACACCUCUGAACCUUCUAGCAACCGAGAACAAGCAAGAACCUGCUAGCAACCGAGAACAAAUAAGAACAAGAUGAACAAGCAAAUAACUCACGGAUGGAUGAUACAAAGGUGAAUCUGAAUCUCAAGUUGGGGUCUUGAAUCAAGCAAACGGGUGAUCUAAUCGACACACGCACUCACAAGGAAGUAGCAGAAGCUAAACUUACAACAAAACAAAACCCUAGUUCUUCCUGGCGGCUGCUGUUGCCUUUUAUACAUGGAAGAUAGUAGGAGGCGUGGAAAACCCUAGCCAAGACGCUCCCCUAAUGGGCUCAACUGGAAACAAGAACCAAAACGCAGGAUGAAAAUCUGAAUGUCAUUCUGCAAUUUUUGGGCGGCUCUGAAGGAAUCUGGCAGUGUUUCUGAACCCAUAUGAAAAUAGGCAUCAAGAGUUUUCCAACAAGUGCUCAUGGGCCUCAAACAACAUCCGGAGCUAAGAAUUAUGGCCAAAUCAAUUUCGUGUUGCCUGGUUGUCCGAACGCAUCCAAACAGAGUGAUUCGAGGCGUUUACGCUGGAAGGGCUGAACAUCUCCAAACGGGGUGCUUGCAGACGUUCUUGGUUAUUGUGGUUGCUCCUACUCCUAUCUUGUUCAUGUCACACGUUUUUAAGAAUAAGACAAUCAUCACCAUGAUUUAGUAGCACUCAAUUCUGAGAUGAGUUUGUAUGAACAACUAGGAAUGACUUUACUUGAUAAUUAAGUUAUCAUGCUCGAGCUCGAACCUUGUUGUGCCGCAGGUGUGGUUGUAUUCAUGGAGGAGACGUCCUCGUCAUUUUCAGCUGGCAGAGCGCGGUAGCAUGCGGCUUUCAGCUCAGUUCCAUCACUUCUAUGUGCAGCUUCUUGGAAAAUCCUGGUGGUGGUAAAACUGUUGAAAGGACUAGUCAUGCUUGGUUGGUUUGCUUUUUCAAAUACGAAUCUCUCCAUGUAUUUGCUGAAUUAGUAAUAAACAGUUUUUAAACAAACUAAUCAGUAAUAAACGGCGGUAGGUAUUGUGCUGGACGGUAACUAAGACACGCAUUGGUUCGAAAACUGAACUAACGGAAUGUUUAUCUUUUGUUUUCGGGGUUGUAAACUUUAAUCAAGGUAAAAUAGAUAUUUUGGUCCCAGUACUUUACACCAUGGGUCAAGUUCGUUCCUCAACUUUCAGAUAGGUUAAUUUAGUCCAUCAAUUUUUGUUUUUGUCAAACUCAUCCUUAUGUUGAUGUGGUGCUAUAUUUUAGUACGAGACUAAUGGUCAAUUUUACCCUUAGCUCAUGUAGGUCAAACAUGUAUAUGCUCAAACUCCCUUGAUACAUACGCAUAACAAUAUAUUUUUUUUAAAUGAUAUAAAAUAAAAUACAGUUUCUAAAAAAUGUAUGCACUCAUGCUCUUUAAAAUCAUGCAUGUGCUCAUACGAAUUAAAUUUUGAUAUGCAAAAUGUAUAUAUUCGUACUUUUUCAUGAUAUACACAACUUAUUAUAUGUACACAUGCUCUAAAAUUGACAUGUGCUCAUAUACUCGUGGUAUGGUAUACAUGCUCUAUGUAUGUAUUUAUACUCUCGAUAAACAUAUAUAUGCUCAUAACAGCGGAAAUUGAGGAGGGGAAGAAUGAGCCAAGGACAAAAAUAACUUUUCGCAUUAGUUUUAUGCUAAUAUGGAGCCUCCGAUCAGCACAAGGAUAUGUUUGAUCGAAAAUAAAAGUUGAAGGAGUAGAUUGGCCAUUACGAAUUUGACCUUCAGUGCAAAGUUUAUGGACGAUCUUAGACCUUCGGAAAAUCAAAUGGUGCCACGCAUGGUCAGCAAGAUGAUGCAUGAGAUGCGCGGCAAGCCGGCAACAACACUUCGUCUCCGGGCCACGGACGUUACAAUUAUCGGGCUCCCAUGCUGUUUGAAGCCCAAUAAGAAGCAAUCCAGACAGAUCGGGCCCUUGCUGCUUUCCUCGAACAUGAUUUGCUUUGUUUGAGUCAUACUGUGUGUGGGCAGUGUGGCUAUGUAAUAGAUUACCCCUUUUGUUUGUAAUCAAAAGUCAUAUGGAGCAUUGUUUAGUAGCUCAUGAUGCAAGUUAAUCUGUCCUUUGAACUACUAAACAAUACCAAUAGGAUGCUCAUCAUAAGUAAGGCAUUGACAACUAGUCUAAAAAAAUUAUCGAUCGUGGUGGGUGAUGGUUGAGAACUUGCAUAUCGAGAGGUGACUUUUGGCAACAGAUUUGAGUAGACGAUGGCAUUCGAAAAUCGAAACCAAAAUAACACCAGGUUGGAACAAACAGCGCACCCAACCAAACAUGCUGCAAGUGCUUCCUAAGUUAAUUUGUAUUUUUCACCUACCACAUAAAGCCGCCUAGCAUACAAAUCCCACCAAAUUGCAUGCAUGCAUGCAUGGAAUUUUUUGUUGGUUCGAAUCUUUGAAAAAAAAUUUCUCCUAAACCGUAACCCCGAUUGACAAACCAUUUGUUCCAUCUAUCUCAAAAAAAAAUUUUAACAAAACUAGAUCCAAUAUGGAUAUAUUUUUAUCGUUUAAGCGAGUUGCAUAUCUAUGUACUAUCAAUUGCAACUCGGACUACUAGAGAGUUGCAACUAGUUAUAACUCUAUGUAUUGUUUGCAUCUGGUCAUAAUAAUCAUAUCAAGUUGCAAUUCUGAGUUGCAAUCAUACGUUGUUGCAACCAGAAUACCAACCGUGUUGCAACCAAAUAGUAACUAGUUACAAUCAGUAGUAACUGGUUGCAAUUCUAUUCAGUAGGAAGCAUAUCUAGGUGCAAUUAGAGUAGCAAUUGGGUUGCAAUUGAGUAUUAAAUAAUUGCAACUCUAAGUAACAAGUGCUAAAUAGGCUACAAUCAAGUUGCAAUUGGGUUGCAUACGUUCUUGCAACUCAAAGUACAACUUAGUUGCAAUGACAUACUUAAAAAAAAAUUGAUCAAAUAUAGUCUUCAUGGAUCUCGUUGUGUUAAGCAUAUUGAAAAGAUUUCUAGCAUGCAUGCUUCAGGUGGGUGGGUUAAGCUGUGAGGUGGCAUCAUGUGGUUGGUUGUCUCCAUUUAGUUUCACAUGCAGGAGCGUGGGCUUUCCUUGACGCGUGAAUUAGCUAGCACGCGAAACGUAGGGUGGGGGAUCUAUGCAUUUUUUGAAAUGCACCUUGCAUUUUAGUGUGUACGUACGUACGUACAUACAUACCUACAUACACACAAGGAGAGGAAGCAGUUAUUCGCAUUGUGCGAUUUUUUCUUCAUUGCUCCUAGGGUCCAAAAGUCCAAACAGACCGGUCAUCAUGUGAAAUUCAACACUAAAAAUGAUAAUACUCCCUCCAUUUAAAUAUACAAUGCUGUACAUUUUAAAAUGUAGGCAGUAUUGGACAGUCCAGCUUUUUGCACUUGCACAGCUAAAAGCUCAAUCAUCACACGGUCUUCUUUUACCUAAGUCAGCAGAAAACCUCUACUUAUUUUUUAUAAUUUUUUAUUCCAAACCUGUUUUAAUUUGCUCCUACGCGGAGUCGAACCUGUGCCUACUACUCAGGUACUCUAACCACUAUGCCGGAGACCCUUUCACCGCACAGUUUUUCUUCCCUGUUAACUAUCCACUAGUACUUCAUACCAAGAGGAAAAAAUCGACAAACUUAAAUAUUCGAAUAGAUCAAAGUCUCCUUGGAUGUCUGCGUCUCAUCUUUCUCCUACUAAUUUUUUCUAUUUUUCUCCACAAAUUAAAAAAGAAAACUAUUUACAUACAUGAUGAUGUCCUUUCCGAUCAUUCCCACAAGGGGCUAUACACCUGCUCAACAGAGCCCUCCACACAACAAUGGUACUGGUGAUCAAUCGCCUCAUACCCCACAAUACCACCCUCAUACCCAUUAGAGUACACAUACCAACCCUCCGUCUCAUGCCCCAUUAAGGACACCUCAGGCCAAUACCCAAACGAUCCACCUUCAUAGUGAUCAUCAAGGUCCAACAGCAUGUCUUGGAGCCUGCCACAAUCCUCACUCGACUCUCCGGCCACGCUCUCGCCAUCGGCCAUCCUCACCGCCACAUCACCGCCACUACCGAUCUCUGCCUCAAGCGACCGGAUGACGUGGCUCAGCCGGUCCACAUCACCAUCUGCCAUAUCCGAGGGCGGCAGGUCCUCCAUCAGCUCCAUCAAGAGCGCCCCGUCAGCCUCGGCCAGGUCCAUGGCCUGGCCGAGGUCGACGUGGUAGCUCUCUCCCAUUGCAAUGGCACACUCACCAUCCUCCCUCUGGUUCCACACCUGAGCCAUGUGUGUGCAGCUUAGAUGUAGGCCAGACAGAACAAUUGCAAUUGGUGCUUGGAAAGAGGAAUAUGGAGCUGAAUGCCUUGGUGGCCGAAGGGGCAGGGGGUGCGUGCUUAUAUAGUGUCAUGGGGGGAGGGUUUGGUCCACAAUUAACAAAUCAUCAGGCACCAGGUUCCGUCCACAAUUUGCAGCAAUUUGAUUGGGUGAUUACGCUACUAAUCGGAUGCCUGACAGCCUGUGAUUAUCGUUGGUCAUGGGUGGCCAAUGCAAGUGGAUCGGAGGCGGCCGUACCUGAAUUCCAGGCAAGCGAGCACGCAAAACCGGUGGCCGGCCGAACUGCAGGUAGGUUGCUGAGGAUGGCGGGAAAGCGAUGGUGAUUGGCGUGCGUGGUGGGGAUGCAGCGGCCCAGCGGUGGACAAGAUCCGGCAGGGCCGGCAUUAUUGAUAUCUUAUGCUCGCGUCGACGCUGCAGCCACCGUGCGCGCGGUGCCUACCCGAUUAUAUAUCCUAUUCAUGACAAGAUCAGAAAUGGUGGUUGGCUGUUGCAGCUCACUCAAAUCUCAAAUGAUCUUGCAAAAAGAAAAGGACGAUGAACUGGAACACAAUCCUCAUGUGGAACCUUCGCACGCACGCACGCAUCAAGUACAAGGAACACCGAUCAAUCAAUCAAUCGAGUUUGUCGAAACUGCCCUCUUGGAAAGAAAAAAAAAUCCACUUGUCCAAGCUCAUCUGUCACCGAACUGCCUCCCUGUCUCCGCGGCAAGCGGCCGGCCACAAUCACAACUCGACAACGAAAAUCCUGCAGCAGGUGCCCGGCCGACCAAGUUGCGGUGCUAAUUAUGCGUCAUUAACUCUAAGGCUAGUCCCAGUGCACACUUUUAUGGUACAGUUACCAAGAUUGAGAACUUGGUAACUGUGCCAAUUGAGUGUUACGGGGAUGAAACUCUUCUCUCUUCUGAUGAAACUCCCCUUAUAAUAACCUUACCAAGUCAGCAAUUUUACUGAUGUGACAACAAAUUUAAUGCGUAUGAAAUUCAUAUAAAACUCUCAUUAAGCCUGGCCUAAUCAGCCGACGCACUAAUUUGGUCAGAGGAUACGGUAGGUUAGAUAUACCUAGGCGUCUAGGCCAGAGGAUGCUGGGCUCCUAGUCCUCGAGUACAUGUAUAAUAUGUAUGGCCCACUUUCCAACCAAGUACCACUGAUAACAAAUCUUUAAUCCUUUAAUUAACUCGGGAAGCAUCACGAAAUUAGUUCAGGGUCAAAGUGGUUUUGCAAUCCGUGCGGCGAGAGCGGAUCAUUUGGCCACCGUGCGCAUCAUGGAAAGGUGGCAUGUAUGCCAUAUAAAAUGGUUGUGGAUGCCAUUGUGUGAUGUGAGGUAGCAUGUGAGAUGUAUGCGAGGUUAGGGACCAAGUGGGCACGCAAAUGCUCCUCUCGUGGAGAAGAUGGCAGAUCUCCACGUCUUCCGGCUUCGUGUCCACAGUCGAGACCAAAACAGCCGGAAGCCGGCCAUGGAACCCUUUUUUGUUCUUGAGAGGACGGAGCUGCUCCUUUCUCUCACAGUCCGUAGAGAAUGUACAGGGGCCACAAGUCAACAACUACGCUAACUGAAAACUUACCGAUAGGUUACUAGGAUGGAACCCACUUCAGCAAUACAAAUUAAGAGUAGAAACAAUCUUGACCAAUAUCCCUCUUUCGGAAGCAUUCACUUGAGAGUAAGUAAACAUGGCACAAAAUGCAAUGAUACGCCAAUAAAUUCAGCCGAGGAUACCACUACAAGCUUACCCUACACCUUCAAUCUAUUAGCGGACUUUUACAUCACAGCAUCCACAGAAUAACAUACUUGCCUAGAGACCUCAAGAAUGUCUCAAUCUCACAACACAACCAUUUCUUUCUUUCUUUUCAGAGAUGAGAAUACUGGACACCUAAUUCCACACAAAAAACUGGAUGGUAUUGGGAUGGAUUGCAGGAAGGCCUUGGAGUAGUUGCAAUCAACAAGCAGAUGUCUAAGCCUUAGCUUGUACAGCUUGCAUCCUCUGUUGCAACUUGAAUAUCUGCAUAGCGAAGGAGAAUAUAAAUCAAUGAAAGGUCCUAAAGAUAGCUAAUAAUGCUACUCACUUUAACUUAACCAGAUCAACAAUCAACUGUUGUAUGCAAAUGCAUAGACUACUUACCUACUAUUGUGAAUUGAACCUACUACCAAAUAUGCAACCGAAAAGUAUUUUAACUGAAGUAAAUGGCUCCAAAAUACUGAACUUUUAUGGCACACCAGUCAAAAUACAGGUACUUAUAACUAAAGUUCACUUGCAUUGACAUAAAAGAAACCAGUUUAAAGUUUUCGCAGGUCACCGGAGAUGCUAAAUAUCCUUAGUCCCCUACUGGGAGUGUACUUCACUUGUAUUGUUCUGCCACAUGCUCCAAAAGAGCAGCAGUAACAUGGAGGAACCUUGUUGCCCAGGGAAUGGAACAAAGCUCUGCAGUGAAGCAUCAAGCUGGCUAGGUAAUACAAAGCUACGGAGAGACCUAAAAUGAGCUGUAGAUGCUUUUAUAAUCCUAAGUAAAGUUUAUUGAAAGUCCACUCUAGGAACAUCAACUACUAAUCCUAUUUCAACUUUAAUUAUCUAAUCCAUGAACAUUUACCCAUACUAGAGUUAGUCUGUUAAGAACAACUACAUAACAGCGCAAUGCAUAUGCAUAUGGUCUAUUAAUGCAAUGCAUAUGCAUGUAUCAUAUUCUCAAUGGAGUAAUUCAAUUGUUUGCAUUGGUCAUGUAUCAGAAUAUGCCUCAGGACUGCAGCUUGACACCAGUUCAUUGUCUAGCUGGAUCCAACCCCCUCAAUCGCCAAUAGCGUGCUGCUAUAGCGACUGCUAACCUACCAUUGCUUUUGAUAGUGGUUUCUCACUGCUGGUAGUGUUCUCCAGACCCAGAGUAUCUGCUCACAAGUCAGGGCAAUAGAUCUGGCCAUAGUGCUCAGUGGUACUUCAAGCUGCACUAUGAAUUGAAGCCAUUACAUGUUUUGUCUACUCAAGGCACUGCCGCUUCCUCCUCUUGCCAAGAACACUUAGAUCAGGAGACAGAGGAAAGUCCAGAUUCUAUCUUCUGUCUAGUUAGUUUUUAAACAAUAUUUUAUCUCAGUCCAAUUCGUGGUUGCGCGGAUUUCAGGUUAAGAAAAAUAUUAGUCUCCAUGUGAAUAAAGUAAAGAAUAAGAACUAAAUCAUCCCUCCCUUUCACACUACUAGACUGUACACUUCUACUCCGUGUCUGUCUCCUCUUCAUCUCCGUGUUCUCAUCCAGAUACAGACACAAUUAUCUCUUGAGAAAAAGACUGGCCACAACAAAAUAUACUAGAUACAAACUAGAGUCCAAAGAAAGUUAGAGAUAAGGUAGGUUUAACCAAAUGAAUAAGUAGCUACCAUGCCCGUUUCAAAAAAAAAAAGCUACCACGCAACUAUAAGUGGACAUAAGGCUGAUCCCCUUGUGCCACCGCGCAGGCCCUGCCUAUGACUAUGAGUGGGACUUGUCAUUUUCUUCUGAUAGAACUUUUAAGUUCCAUUAUGCACAUGGUGAAGCUAAAUCGACAACAUAAGGACUCAAUACAAAGUCCGGAGCAAUAUCAAUCCAUUGAUGGGUUUCUUGCCCAACCUGGUGCCAUGUCUAGCUAGAGGAUGCGCAACAUUAUUCCAUUCUCUAAACAAAACGAUAAUCGGACAUUAUCCAACACAAGAUUCAUUUCUCACCUCCCUUACUUGGCAGCCAAAUCAAACUCAUUGGGGUUACCAGUUUUGUGUUGCAAAGGGGGAUUCAAUAAAUCUUAGUGCACUUUAUGAUACCACUGCAAUAGCACUAUCUUCAGUUAUCCACAUUCUACCACAUUAGCUAUUCUUUGCUAGAAUUUUUGUGAGUACAUAAUCAAAUAUGUCACAAUUAUCACACCUCUAAUUAAAUAUGCUUUAAUUUUUCCACACAGGAAGUUAACAGGAAUGGUAUUGAUAGUUAUCAUUCUAACAGUGUACACACCUGGAAUGCUCUGAACAAACAGUUUUUUUUUUCAAACUAAAUUUCUUGGCUACGAGAGAUAAGAUGGAAAGUUUCAACAAUAAUGAAUGCAAUUUUGCUAAAGGCAGCAAAAGAUUUGGCAUGCGUAUAGGUAGUUCUAGAUUAGUUCCGCAUAUGACCUACUAGUUCAUGUGAUUUUACUACGAAUCACAGAGGUUUAGCUAAUUCCAGUGAGGAUAAGGGCAACAAGGGGAUGAAAGGUACAGCUAAUGUUCACAGAAUUCAUAGCAUAGCUAUAAAGUUCAAAAUCAUCUACAUAAUACUCGAAUAGUUAGCUAUCCUGAUCACAAUAUAACAAAGAUGGCAUAUUAUAUCAUGCUUCUCUACUUCUCGACUCCAUCCAAAUUCAAAAGAAAUGCAUAUAGAAAAGUUACCGUAGAUAAGUUUGGGAAAAUCAUCUGCUGAUCACAAUAAUAAAGAUAAGAAGCAAUACAACAUACCGAUUCCUUCUUGCUGUUCUGCUUGUCCUCCAAAUCCUUCAGUGCCCGAUCCAUCCGCUUCCUGAAAAAUAGCCAAUCCCAUACAAUCAACACAAUAACGCUAAGACACCACGCGCUGAUCAAAUCGCAAACCAGACCAGAUCAAAGCCACUCACAGCUCUGCCGAGAUGUACUCAAUGCGCUUCUUGACGUUGGCCUUGGCCUCCGCAAGGUCCUGCUUGACCAGCACCGGUCCGAUGAGCUUGUACACGUUCGCCCCAUCGUUCAGUAGCUCCAACUCCUGCCAAACCAAAUCAAAUCAGACACUCAGAGUCACAAUCAACAACCGUUUCGGAGCCGAAGCGAGCUAGAAAGUCAGGAAUCGCGGGUCGAGUGCGUGCCUUGAGGACGAGCUCGUUCUCGCCAACCUGGAUGGUGUACUGCUUGCGGACCUGGUGGUUCUUCGAGAUGUCUGCGAGGGGGGAGGAGAGGAGCAGCGGAAGUUAGAAGUGAGCUAGGGUUUGGAGGCGGAGGCGAGGGAGGGGAUCCGGGGGAGUAGGGAGAGCGCCUGCCUUUCUGGAUCUUGCUGAGUGCGUUAGCCUGGACCUCGAGAUCCUUCUGCAUCUCACGGACGGCCGCCGGGGUCGACGACGACGCCAUGGCCUGCCCGCUGCUGCUGCUGCCGCUUCCUCCGCCGCCGGCUUCGGGAAGGAGUGGCUGAGUGGGACGUGGGUUGGGCUUUCCUUCGUCGUCCGCCAAAUGCAGGACUAAUUGACUUUUCUAACUAGUGGGUCGGGCUGCAAAUAGGCAGGAAUUAUAGGCUUUUUUUUUCAGUAUCCUUUGACAUGGGCCCGUGUGUAUUUGCAUUUCUCAGCCCACGAUCUUUCGCGUUUGCUACAUAUAGCAGAAAAAGGGGCUUCAAUGGGUUGUUUUAUGCGCUCUCUCACUCUCCCUACAAGAUGGGCCCCUAUGCAUGGCAUUUCUCGGCCCACGACCCCUUUUGCAGUUGUUUUUUUCUGGAAAGACCUUUUGCUGUUUUGAGGAAAAACAAACGGAGAGAAGAAAAAUCUGCAACGGAUUAUGCCAGGCCAAAGUACGAAAGAUCCAAUUUGCAACUUGCAGGGCUCAUCCUCCUCCGCCCAUGAUAUGCAAAGAUCAUGAUGACUUGAUGAGUGGAGAAGCUGCUUGCUAAACUUUUGGCGAAUGAUUGGGCUGGCUCGGCCAUGAAGAUGCAACCAAAAGGGCACCUUCUUUUCCCUCCCCUCCCCCACACAUCCUCAUCGCCAGCCAUGUCUUUCACGAAUCCCCUUCCCCGCCUUCAUCUCCCUUUCAAGAAAUCCCCCCCGGCAUUUAUUCAUUUCUUACAAAAACAAACAAGAGGACGAAUAUAAUAAUCCCCCAAUGCAAGUGAGAUGUGCUGGCCCACCCAUGGAAUUGGAAACCUUUCGGGGAACCCAUGCCAUAUGUGUGUGUGUGUGUGUGUGUGUGUGUGUGUGUGUGUGUGUGUGAGCACGCUUCCCCCGGCGCCCAAGAAUCCGUCGGAUUCCAUGGCUCCAUGGCGGCCUCUCCACCAAUCCCGAUCGCCGGCAUGGUUGAUGGUACUGUUUGCAUGGCCACCGCUAAUUUUGGAGAAUCCAGAUCGAAACCCCAUCCAAAAGGCAGGGCGCGGCGCAUCUGCGUAUUCUUUCUCUCUUCCUUUCCACUCGUAAUGCGGCUGGGCAUAUGGCCGUAGCUUCGUUCUCAGCCGGACGUACCCGGCGGGCCGGGUGUCAAACGCAAGGUAUACACUCAACUGAACCCGCCUUUUUCGAGACGUUUCUUAGAAAGCUAACUGCACCUGCAUCCACCAUCAGGGUCAACCAGGCAGGGAAAAAAGCACCCCCCCCCCCCCCCCCCCCCCCCGAACUGACCCUUGGCGUCGAUACAAGUUCCAUCUGGCGGAGCCGUAUUUGGGGGACCAAAUGCUUCCAAACCACGCCAUGUGUGGUCGAUGUCUGGCGUGUACUUUCAGGAACAGGGCGCGCCCUUGAAACAUAGGAGCGAAGGGAGAAUAGCAAUGUUGCACCACAGAGCACACCACCAGCGGCGAUUUCCGAAAUUCCUCAAGGUUUUCCGUAGCAUUCAUCCGCUCCCACCGAUGCAUUAUUUGGGCGGUUAGUGGAGGUUUGAUGUCAAUAAUGGACGUUGGUGUCCGUUGAAAACGAGCAUGUGUCGCCGUCACUAAAUACGAGUAGGAUAUGUCAUAAUUCUAGCAUUAGACUGGCAUGGCACACAAUCCGUACGCCCACUGUGCAAAUUUUACACAAUUUCAUUCGUAGAAACCACUUGCUAAUGACUACGAUUGUAUAACCGUUGAAUUCUGUAAUAUGGUGUCAGUCAAAGCCUCAAAGGUCGGUUUCGUGCAAUCAAGUUGGAGCAUGCAUAUAAAGUUGAACGGAGCAAUGCAAGUUAUUCGGUACGGUCGAGCCAAACCCUCUUACGAUGGAUGCCUUCGCAUCAAUGGAUGUGCUUAGCUAGUUUUGUAUGAAAUGUUAUGUGCAUUCAACUUUAUUAUACUAGAAGAUUGAACAUGGAAAUAACCAGUCAACGGAAAUUGAACAUUACGCAUAAACAAAAAAAUAUAUGAAGAUACGAAAUGGAGAUAUCUUAUGGGAGUAUAGUCUAUGGAUUUAGCAGUAAGAUUGAUGCGGUUCAUAUGUCAUUUUGCUGUUCGUAAUCCAAAGUACAUGAUCUGCCUGCCUAUGCUAGCUUGUCCAACCUCCGAGAAGCACACGUGCAAGCAUUUCUGAAUUGAAAAAGAAAAGUUAUCCAUUUGAAGCUCCACGUUCCUUCUCUGGACAGAGCAAGAAGGCACUGGAUUAGUCUUUGUAACAACAAACAAAGCCCACGGCACGCACAAUUCUCCAACAUUAUCGAGCGUGUCGCCCCUCUAAUCCCUGAGCUCUCCAAACACGGCACAAACACUAAACAAUUCGCUAACAAGGCUCCGAAAAUGACAACUAAUCAUUGAGGUUAUGGACUGGCAGCACAGUAAGCCGGCGCCAUAGUUCCGUGCCGAACCCGCACUUUGUGAUGCUCGUGCGUGCUUCGGUCGGGAGGGAGGGAGUUCAGCGCGGAGGCGCCACCUAAAGAAAAGGCGCCGUGGACGGCCAGCGCGAUCCCCAUUUGUUUAUUUCCUUUAGGCGAAUCCCGAUCAAGAGGAGGAGCCGAGCCCGCAUGGGCGCAUCGGCAUCGGCACCUGCACCUGCAACGCGAUAAUGGCCGGUAGCCAGGCCCCACCGGGGUCGGUUUCAGGGGGGGCCUCACCGGCGGAUAUGGCCUGAUCCGCCGUCGUAGGCUGUGAGUGAAACCGUGUCGCUCACCUGACCCGCACACGCGCUCGGGAAACCAUGGACAGCCGACUGUUUCUCGUUGGUUACGGGUGAUGAACUGUCAAGAUUUCAACCCGCAGAUCAUCGUUCUCCAGCACAAUGCAGUGAAUCACAUCUAGCACCUACUCCCCAACUCCACCACGUCUUGAACGGAAGCUGAAAUUGAAUCAUCAUCAAUGGCCAAAUGGACAGGUCUAACAUGGCUUUGUUAAAAUCCUGUGCGGCUGUGCCGACAUCUAGAUGCAAGAACUCAAUUUUCAGUGUGCAGUAAAGUGAGGUACAUCAGCUAACGGUCUUCGAGUUCGAGGUGGACGUGCCGACGUGGUAGCAAAGUCCACUACAGGCUCUAACUUCCAACGGGGGGCCCUGUGGGCCUACAUGUGACACCUAAGCGAUGGGAGGACCGAGACAGUAACAUGUUUGAAAUGCCAUGCGCACAAUGUGGUGAUUUCUAAACCACAGAAAAAAGCUAUUAACAACGUCGUGUUCCUGGCCACAGAAAAAAGAGCGAAGGAAUCCACGUACCGGGGGGAGGCUUAUCGCCGGGAUUAAGCCCUCCAUUUCACCUCAUCAUCAUGCUGACCAGCAAGCAAAUAUUCAUCCAUAUCAUUUCGUUUUCCGCGGCGCCAUCACCUUUGCGAAUUCCACCUCGUCUACUUGAAGGAACUUGUACUCCGAAUGGGACCUGUCGCGCAAGGUACAGCAGUAACUACUAAUAGACCGACCGUCAUGGGCAUGUUCAUCGGGUUAUAUUCAUGAAUUGACGUGCGGAAAUCUGCGUUUUGACCAAGACAAGAUCUGUGAUCUUGUUUACUUCCUAAAUUGGGAGUGGCAAAGUUUACAUUUUACCAUAAAUGCGCAACUGUAGCAUUUCGUUUGUAUUUAUGAAUUAUUGUCCAAACAUUGACUAAUUAGGCUCAAAAGAUUCAUCUCGCAAAGUACAACAAAACUGUGCAUUUCGUUUUUGAUUUUGUCUACAUUUAGUACUCCAUGCAUGUACCGCAAAUUUGAUAUGAUGGAGAAUCUUCUUUCUGCAUAGUGUUAAAGUUGGGAAAAAGAGGGAAACUAAACAAGUCCUGUGUAACUCGCAGGUAGUACCCAGAAAUCUCUGCUUUUUGGGGUCUGCAAAUAUCUGCUGCUGAACCAUGAAAAUGAGCAAAUUAGAGACCAACUGUUGUCAGACGAAAUAGCAGAAGGUAGAAUUACGAGAAGCAACUGCGAAUGCUCAGAUUUAAAAUGUACAUCAACUAUAUUAGUUUUCAAAUAGAAUCAUGAUACCAAAAAGGGAACAUGAAAUGUAUGCCCUUAUGGGCAAACAAUGAUUCCAAAAUGCUGAUAAUGGGGCAACAGUGUUCAAAGAGCAGAUCAUAUAAGCUACUAAUAAAAAACAAGCAACAGAAUUAGAUAAGGCCAAGCAAAGUACAGAAUCUAAAGAGAAAGAAGAGCUCACUGAAAAUGACUAGGCAGAACGGAACUGAUGCACUCAUGAUUUGAACAUAGAAACCGACCAAUCCACAGGAAUUUAACCCUCAACAUCUUACAUUUAUCAUAGCAACGGUUAAACGCAAAAGAGGUAAUUCACCAACUAACAAGUUGAAUCUAAACUACAGUCAGCUCCCAUUGAGAUGUAAUCAGCAUUUCCUAUGUCGUAAUGAUACUAGCACGUGAGACCGAUCCCGGUGAUGUUUGAGCACAAUUGCAAUAACCUUGCCACUAACUCAUUAUGAGGGUGACCUCUCUCUCAAAGGUCUCCAACAAGAAGAAAGAAUCAAGAUACAUCAUACCUAUUUGAAAGACACAGCGAGAAAGGAGGAAAUCCACACAUGCAUGCACAUGCUUGCAAGGACCGCCACUUCAUCGCUCCCCACCAUCACAUGGUCACCUGUGAUAAUGCACGGUACAUUCAAACAGAAGAUCCGGGCUCAAGGAUACGGCUAAGUUUUGGUCCUGCGUAGCUUCAAUUAUUCAGAAAAGCGUCCAGUUUGGGAUACCACAAGCACUGAAAAAGUGUAGUACCAUCUGUGCAAAAUUUAUUAAGACAAGAGUGUGUACAAAACAGCCUAUGCAAAGGCCCGUCUGUGGCCUGAUUAUAGACUACUUGUUUAUAGAAGGGUUCCCAAAAAAACAGUGCUGAGCAAGUCCAUGCAAAAUGCAGCUGAGCUUUCUUGACACGAAAUUAUCAAAAAAUAAUCACAAUGAAUAUGACAAUACAUAGAGCAGACUCAAACAAGUUUGUAAACAUAGAGAUUAAAGAAGGUGGGAUACAAAAGAAUCAACUGAAAAUAGUUCACAAACUAGAAAAAAAAAGAGAAGCAAGGGAAUGUUGACAUCCCAGGUAGAGGAUGGACCAAUAACGACCUAUAUAGAAUCCGACCCAUUUCAAUAUAUGGAGAACUAACCAGACAGAGACUUGUAUGGUUAGCCUAUCACGAGGUCCAUGAAUGAAAAGUAAUAAGAAAAUAGCUAACAAAUGUCUAAUGCCCAUCUCUUUCAAAGAAACACAUGCAGUUUCCUAAUGAUGGACAGGUGGCAAAUUCAGAUAAAUAAUGAGAUUAUAUUUAUAUAAUUUUAGCAGCUAAUAUUACCUAAUUCUUGACAAGUUCAGAACAAAUUUUAUUUUCUGGAGUUAAGAAGGUUUUUGCAUAUAUAAUCUGGCUUAAGACUUCAGAUAAAAGAUUUGAAUAGAAUAUAAUCUAGAGUUCUAGACGAACAUACGCCUUAUUUUUUGUCAAAACUCAAAAUCUUAUGAGAAAAGUACAGCAAGUGCAAUAACAUUGAAGUUUCAGACCACAGAAUUGACAAGGCAGUAGAUAAAUCUGAGUAAUCAGUUCAAGAAGAAUGAUCAAUCUGCAGAACAUACACAAAAUGCGAUGCAUUAUAUCAGUUCCAGAUUAGCAGCAUAUCCUAUCACCAAUAUAGGCAUCCCUUACUCAUGUCACACACUUAAAUACUCUGUCUGCAGCAAGUAUAAUGACCUGCAUGACAUGUGAGUAUCUUUCUUAAAAGUAAGCACUACCAAGCAGCAAAAUCAUAACAAAAGUGAAUCAUACAUUAAUUAUUUAGUUAGCACAUGGAAUGAUGGAAAUGAACAUCAAUAAGUGUACCGAUAAGAAGGUUUGUUUCCUGUGUCUGGAAUCUUGAUCUGGGCCCACCUUCAUAAGAUAUCAAGUGGGUACUGUCUGAACAAGGACUUGCUGAUUCAAUAGGAAAGGAAAACAGAACAGAACUUCAAAUAAGAUUGUCUACAGCUAAAACUUCUGGCAGAAAUCACAAUAAUGGAGCCACAGUCUGUUCAGUCCUCUAUGGUCCCAAGAAGACAGGCAGUGGCAGUCCAAUCAGUGCACCGGCUAAAGUCUGGUGGCAGUAAAUGGUAGGCAUCAGAACAUGGAGGCAAGGAUUAGGCUUGACAUGAUAUCUUCAAGAAGCCUUUAAACCAUUUAUCUGCACUAAUUAGCUGAGAUGACCAAGCUACUGGGUCCUGCACAUGCCACUACAACAAAGCUCACUUGAACUCAACAACCAAAAGAGACCCAAAGAUGAUAAGCACAUCCGAAAUUACCUCCCGAAAUGACAUUGAUGGUUCCAGCUAUGGUGUUAACAUUUACACAAAGAUGUGGAAGGCAGUUCCCAAGUACAUUUGACAGUUAAACUAGCUUACAGGACUAUUACUUCCUGAUAACACAAACAUUUCAAAAUAAGGACAGAAUUCACAACACACCACAGAUUGUUCUUGGGUCAAGUGGAUAAUAACAGUUCAUAGGAAGGGCCUGUACUGCAUCAGGGUAAAUGGGUUGAGAAGAGCCUGGGGAUGCUUGCUCCAUUCAAAAAGUCUCAACAUUAAAGAUUAUCUGGAAAAUUUCUUCACCGGUUCAGCUGUAGCUGAUCACCAACUAGCCAAAAGCACUUCCAGAACUUUGUGCGAUAUACUUUGCUGACUGGGCUCAGCAAACAGCGUCCCACACACCAUAAGAAACACACACACCCUGUUGUUUUCCUCGUAAGGCACAAAUACGAGCAGCUUCUUGUUUGCUUCCAAGAUCCGUUCACUUUGACCCACACCCCUGCAUGUUCAUCACCUGCAGCAUAUAUAUAGACAGCCUCCACACACCUUCUGCAUACAGAGUUGAGUGGCCAAGCAAGAACAGAAAAGUAAGCAUGACUCAAGCUCAUUCCAGGUCAUGCUUCCAACAAUUCUGGGAUGGUGUUCAAGUUAAGAGGAGCAGUGACAACUUCACCAUUGAGCUCCUGCCAUCUCUUGGUGCAACAAUAAAUCACUCUAACAAGUUGCAGAAGUUCAUCAUAUCUCCCUAUGAUCCCCGUUAUAGGUAAGGUUCUCCCUGCAUCAGUAUGUACCUUAUCUUGUUGAAAUAUAACCAAACAACAUCAGCUGACAUGAUUUCCUUUGCUUUGUCUGUGUUUCUCUCAGAUACUGGGAGCUGUUCCUUAUAGUCCUAGUUAUUUACUCCGCCUGGAUAUGCCCGUUUGAACUAGCAUUCUUGAGGGACUUGCCCCCUAAGCUUCUGCACGUUGAGAACAUUGUCAAUAGCUUCUUUGCGGUUGAUAUUGUUUUGACAUUCUUUGUAGCUUAUGUCGACAGCAAAACACAUCUUCUUGUGGAUGAUCGAAAGAGAAUUGCAGUAAGGUUUGUACCUAGUUCAUAACUGCUUUCUUUCUCCAAAACUCCGCAUUGAAUUUAAUAUAAAACCAUGCGAUUCUGUUAUAGAACUAACAAGUUAUGAUCCCCCACAGGUACCUAUCAACCUGGUUCAUCUUUGAUGUAUGUUCCACAGCUCCAUUCCAACCAAUCAGCCUUCUGUUUAGACACAAGGGAAAUGCCCUUGCUUUUAAGAUACUCAAUAUGUUGAGGCUGUGGCGUCUUCACCGAGUCAGCUCACUGUUUGCCAGGUACAAAUCCAGUCCAGCUUCUUCCACAUUUUGAUGACAAAUAAUAAAUGACAGCAAUUUAAUCACCUUUCUUUUACCAGGCUGGAGAAGGAUAUAAGAUUCAACUAUUUCUGGACUAGGUGUUCAAAACUUAUUUCUGUAAGUCUUUCAGAAAUUCAGGAACAGAAAAUAGGCCAUGUUCUCCAUAAACAUUGUCGAGCUUGCAAAGUGUUUACCUUUGCCCAUUGGAAGAAACCUAUUGAUAAUAAUGUGAAAAUUCUGUGAUAACAAAACGCAGGUUACUCUGUUUGCGGUGCAUUGUGCUGGAUGCUUCAACUAUAUGAUUGCCGACAGAUAUCCUGAUCCAGAGAAAACAUGGAUAGGUGCUGUUAUGCCUACUUUCAGAUCAGAGAGCUUAUGGACUAGAUAUGUUACUGCCCUUUACUGGUCGAUUACAACACUGACAACAACGGGUUAUGGGGAUCUACAUGCUGAGAACCCAAGAGAGAUGCUGUUUGGUAUCUGCUAUAUGAUGUUUAAUCUGGGACUGACAGCUUAUCUUAUUGGUAAUAUGACCAACCUGGUUGUUCAUGGGACCAGCCGAACCCGGAACUUUGUAUGUUUCUCAACUUAUUGGCAAAAUCCAUUAAUACCACUCAAACAUAAUUCUUCUGCCUCAACAAUAAUAGAUCAGGGAUGUAGAUUUUGAAUAUGAAGUACAUGCAUUAAGGGACAACAGCUUAAGUGAGACAAGAAAAAAAAUGGAAUAUAGAAUGUAUUAUACACCUUGCUUUUGUUGUUAUAGGUGACUCGGUGGGAAAAUUAAUGUAAAACUUUAUACAAAUAGUGCUUAUUCAAAGUGUGUUUAUGCAGUUAUUCAUAUGCAUCUCUGCCUUCUACAUGCCAUUGAUUAAAAUAAAUUCAAGGGGUCAAAACUCUACACACUAUAACACCUGACCUGCUAAACUGAGAGGAAAUCAGAGACAUUGUUUAGCUUAAGUGGUCCUACACUGAAAAGGUCAGAUAGUUCCAACUGGACCAUCCUAAUAAGUUCUUACACAAAGGUUCCCAACCAAAUAAUCAGGCAGGGGAAUAAAUGAAUGAAACCUGAUUCAUGGUAGUCAUUACACGUAUGUGUUGUCAGCCCCGAGUUUUCUAUCACUUAGUUGUUCAAACAUUCUUUGUAACAACACCAACAAAGAAGAAUAAAAUUCAAGGCCAACAAUAUAUGGAAAAAGUCAAAGAAAAUGCAACCAGAAUGAAUAAACCCUUUACACAAACAGUUAGCUUGCUUGUACCAUAUUGUAACUUUGCGAAUGGUGCAGAGGGACUCAAUCCAAGCGGCUUCGGAAUUUGCGGCACGAAAUCAGUUGCCUGAGAAGAUAAAGCAGCAGAUGUUAUCUCACUUCUGCCUACAGUUCAAGACAGAGGGGCUCAACCAGCAAGCCAUGCUAAAUGGUCUCCCGAAAGGAAUUCGAUCAAGCAUAGCAUACAACUUAUUCUUUCCCAUCAUACGACAAGCCUACCUCUUUCAUGGAGUAUCCAAUAAUUUCAUAGCAGAACUGGUAAUAUGAUCAAUAUUUUGGCUACCAUUUAAAAUUAUUAUUUUAACUGAUUAAACUUCUUUGGCAUUAGGUAAUGGAAGUGCAGGCUGAGUAUUUCCCACCACAGGAAGACAUAAUGUUGCAAAAUGAAGGGGUAGCAGAUAUUUACAUAAUAGUUUCAGGAGCAGUGGUUAGCUUUUUAUCUCUGAUUAGGUUCUCAAACAAAAUUUGAACAAGUUUGUUCAGCAAGCUAAUUACACGUUUCAUGUUGCCUUAUCUACAGAACUUGAUAACAACAGUAAAUGGGAAUGAACAGGUAAAGGCUUCUUCAUCUAAAAUUGCAGGGAUAUCAGAUAUCACAAAGGUUUCCACAGAUUGCUAACAAUGAUUUCGUCAUCUGAAAGCAGGUGUACAGAAAAGUUGAAGACGGAGACAUGUUUGGGGAAGUUGGUGCUCUGUGUGGCAUACCCCAGCCAUUUACCUGCCGCACCGCUACCCUGUCACAGCUCUUGAGAAUAAGCAAGAUAAGACUAACAGAGAUCAUUCAAGAACACAGGGAAGACAGCAAUAUUCUAAUGAACAAUCUAUUCCAGGUACAGUUUCAUUUCUUUAAGGAAGCUAAAUAUAUGGCAGCUAAUUUCAACUAAACUGAAGUUUAUAACUCUUUAUGUCAAUGCACAGAAGCUGAAGCUGCAGCAAAAUUCACCUGAAUUGAAUCAACUAGACCGAAUAUUCAUGCAUAAGUAUGAGCCAUUUCAUGUUUCUCAAGAAGCAUGGUUGUUGCCUCAGCCAUACUUACAAUACACAGAGCACAAAUGUGAAGACAUUAGUAAGAAGGUCCCAACCUUCAUUGGUGAUAAUGGUUCAACAAAAAUAGUGGCAGAAACAAACCAAUUGAGGAAGCCACAGCACGAAAACAGUCAUGACCAAUCAAACUGCAAUCACGGGGCGACAGGUGGGAUGGCAGGCAAAGAAGAGGAUCAUGAUGAGGUUCACAUAAACUGUGAGACCAAAAAAGGAACUGAAGAGUUCUGCAUUCAGAUAAAAUCUGAAGAUUGCGAUGCAGCAAGCAGUCGGCAAACAAGCCAUGAAACGGUGAAGCUGAGGUCUUCUCACAAUAUAUCGGAGGGCACAACAAGGAGAAGAAAUCAAGAUAGUAGUUACAUAAAAGCAUCCAACAAAAGAGUUACAGUUCAUGCAUAUCCUCAUAAUGGGACAGGUUCUUUAGUACAGAAUGGGAAGCUUAUCAAUCUGCCUGGUUCACUGGAGGAACUUUUUGAAAUCGGAAGUAAGUAAAAGUUUCAAGAUUUUAAUUACAAAUUGGGUUAGUGUGCAGAUAGCAGAUGUACAUAGAAAUUUACAAUAGGUUUUUUAACAUUUCAGGUCAGAAGUUUCCAGGUUUCCAUCCUACAAAACUGGUCACUAGAGACUAUGCUGAAAUAGAUGACAUCAGUGUUAUUCGAGAUGGUGACCACCUAUUCCUUCUUCAGAUGUAGAACCAGAAUAGAAUUAACCUAAUUUAACCUAACAAUAAAGAAGGCUUCAAGUUCUCCAAUCUGGCAAAAGCAGAAAAGGCAAGUUGUUGGAGAUAUGAAGAGGAAGAAUUUUGACCCUUUUUCCUCAUUUCUGACAUCAUGUAAAAUGUGUAUUUAAUAAUAAGCAUCUGAUACAUAAUUGAAUUUCCUUAAAAUGCUCAUUAUAAAGGUGAGACUGUAAAAAACACCAGUAAUGGGAAUUAAUAACUAAUGCAUUAUAAUGGAAUAAAAACUGAAAAAUCUGAAAGCUUGGGUUUUGGAACUAUGAGAGCCCUGAGACAAAACAUCUAGAAAGAGUUGUUUUUCCGCAGCCUGCCGGGGUUUGAUUCUCACCAAAAUCUUGCUCUAGUCUCAUUCCAAGUUGUUAUUCAACAGAAUGGCAAUAUUCCUAUAUUAACCAUGAAGCGGGAAAAGAUAUGGCUCAAGCAGAAAUGAGGGGGAAAAGGAAUUAGAACAUUAGUAUGUAGACACCAGUACACCACUACAGAUCAUUUUAUUGGGUCAAUGUAAAUCAGUAUGAAGUAUCCAACAAUAACACCAUGCAUUUAGAGAUGAGCACAUGAAUGCAGUACACUCAAGAAAGUAAAUAUGUAUGGGACCAUAGACAGAGUUCACACAAAAAAACACUUCAGUCAUCAUUUCAGCUUCCAAACUCCUUUUUUAGCAUAUUUUCUAGAUGUUUCAGGAAAAAGAAUAAGUCACUGGACACUUCCCGCAUGCAGGAAGAGAGAGAGGAUAAAGCAUAUGCAAUAGACUCAGGCACCAAAAUUGAAUUAAAAAUGUAAUAUAACCAAUGCCUCUCUCACCCAAGCAUUUGCGCACUGGGAUGGUCCUUGCCUCAAAAUCUGGAAGAUGGCCGAGUGGGCAUUUGCAAGAAAACAGCAUAUGAGCAGAAUCUCAAACUCCACGUGGCUAUGAAGUGUUCUUGGCAAUUUCCCCUACAAAAGUAGCCCAAUCAUUUUGCACGAGGCCACCAGAGACAAAGACCCAAGCAUUCCCGUGCACAUAGGUGGGCUCGGGCGCUAGGCUGUGCCUGUGCUACAAUCAGCCCAAGCCUUUGGAUUUCGAUUCAAUCAUAGAGGCCUCGUUUAAAAUACGAAAAAUCCCUCGAUUCCACAUGAACUGAACUGUUGGCAGCCUUAAAAUCGCUGUGCGUAACGGGACCAAAAGGACACGGCAGAUUAAGCCGGACCUUGCACGACAAACCAGGGCCGAAAUGCCAAAGCCUGGUCAGGACCAUAAGCAGUGACCAGACAAAACUUUCCUGAGAAAGCCAACAUGGAAAUGUACGUUCCCUACCCCCACUUGGACUUGCUUCGCCCGGAAUAGAACGCGAAACAUGUGCGAAUCGGAGAAUGAUCCCCCUAAGUUUAACAGACAGAUCACAGCAAUUAGUAACAAAAACGUUAGUGUUGCACUCAGCAAUUCGGCGAUUCGGACAGCAGAUUCGAGUCCGCACGCGGGAUGGGAAGAGCCACGCGUGGUGGUAGGUCAGGUCACCUGGACGGAUGGAAGGGACGACGAGGCCGGUCGGAGGGAGCAGCGGCGUGUGGGGUUCCGGUUUCGAAACCGACGGCGGAGGAAUCUCGAGUGUGGCGGUAGGCCAGGCCGCCACCCUCGGCAGUCGGUCUGCAGCGCCGCCCCUCGAGAAUGCGGACGAGCGCGCGGCAAAGGAGAGCGGCCGCCCGCAUUGUUGGUUGCUCGAUCGCCGCCGCGCCGCGACGACGGAUAAGGAGAGCGGUCGCCGGUCAGGGCGCGUGGAGUGGGGCCGUGGGGGCCAUCACGGAAAGGAUAGAAGGCAGGGAUGGGUGGAAGCGGAUCGUUCGUUGCUGCUCCGGUUUCGUUUCGGCCCUCGUGUCUCCGUCAAAAUUCGCUUCUGCGUUGUAAAAAUGCACGCGCGCGCGCGCCACACUUUUAUACUGUACGAACAGAAAACGAUUUCUACUGAAACUCUGAAAUGCACUCAAAAGGAACGUUAAGUCCUAGUUUAUCAGCCACCAAACAGUAUUUUUAUCUCACAAAUCAGCCGUUUCAACUUUUCAACCGGCUUUUCAACCGGCUUAUAAGUUCAGCCGAACAAGCCGAAAUUAUUGUUUGGAUGUUUGAGCUUCAAUCCAUUCGAAUAGGAAAGUUAACCAUUCCACGUUCCAACCACCUGACGCAUAGUCAGGCCCAGUUUGUAGUUUCGGCUCGUGCAUAGGUCAAGCCCAAAAGGCCGAAACUCGACCGUGCCUGUUGAGCUGGGCCUAAAUCAGGCCGGUGGGCCUACAUUCGUUAUAGUCACCAGCUUCUCUGAAUCUCUCUGAUGAGGAUACAACAAAUGAGCGACAGCUGAGAUCUCACUCGCGUUUGUAUUCAAGACGCAUGCAUUUGGAUGCUUAACUCCUAGGAGUUUGUAAACAUUGUCCACCCAUUCGGUAGCAAGCCUACCGCUAGCCUAACCAUAGCCAUAUGCAGUAGCUGUGGACCCCCUGGGUGAUGGCUGUUGGCUGGACCCGCGGCAGCAGCAGCAGCCAGCAGCCAGCAGCAGUGUUCUCUGCAAUUCUGCAUGCUUGCUGGGUUGCUUUGUUGGUGAGACAGGGAGCAGUUGGCAUCAGUCCCGACUUGGUAGCGCGCAUCAGCGCGCGCAUGGGUCUUGCUCUUGCAUGCAUAGCCUAGACCGGGCCGGCCUCUGCUGGGGACCACCGGCCACCGCACUCGAGCCGCCGUGGAUUGGAUAAUGGACAGUACCGGCCGGUGCUCUUCGUAGAUGCCGCAAAGAUGCCCGUGAUGUCCGGGCUUAAGCUUGGGUUAGUUUUGUUUUGUUUGAGCUGAUGAGCUCCGUGCUCGAUGUGCGAGGAGCUAUGAGCCUGCAUGGACUCUUUAAAAAAAAACUUAUUAACCUGCAGAGAUGGGACAACGAGAACGAGGUGCUAUCUUCUUUAUCUGCUCGGGUCGUCUGCUCCUCCAUCUCAUUCUAAUUUUUUAUGGAAGUUAAUUAUUUGAGAAAAAUAAUUUUGUGGCUGAAAUUGAUUCUUGUAAACUUUUAAAAUCAAGAUGGAAAAUCACUCAGAAGUUACUUUUUUCAACUCCCAGCCUCUUACUUCAUUUCAGAUAAUCACUUUAUAAAAUCAGUAGGGAAUCACUUCUCUCUAAAAAAUUAUUUAAAAUCAAGAUGGAAAAUCACUUCACAUAAUCAGAAGUUACUUUUUUCAGCUCCCAGCCUCUUACUUCAUUUCAGAUAAUCAUUUUAUAAAAUUAGUAGGGAAUCACUUCUCUCUGAAAAAUUAUUUGGCAGAAUUUUUACUGGAAUCAGCAGAGAAUCAGAGAGCUCAGUCAAACGCACCAUAGUUUGUACUUAGCCGAUCCUUCGUGGGCGUCCUUUCGCUGUUUACCGUGCACUUUCUGUUGUACGUUGCCGGGUGAGAAACCCAAGGGCUGGAUCGAAAAAUAUUGUUACGGCCUAUGCAACUUGCCUACUAAUACACAUGAAUGGAUCAAUGAUAUGUACAAAUUAUUCAAUUCUGUAAGGUUUAGGUCAUGUUUGGCAGAGCUCCCAAAGCUGAUUCACUGUUGAAUCUAGCAGGAGCCUUGCCAAAAAGUUUUCCAGAGAGAAUUGAUUCUUUACUGAUUCUGUGAAGUGAUUCUCUAAAAUGAACUAAGAGAUUAGGAAUUCAAAAAAGUAGCUUCUCCUAGUUCUGUGAAGUGAUUCUCCAUCCUAAAUUUAAGAAUUUAUGCUAGAGAAUCAAAGAAAAUCACUUUUAGUCACAUAAUCAUUUCUCAAAGAAACAACUUCCAUAAAGAAUUAGAAUCAGAUGAAGCGCUACCACACAGACCCUUAAUAAUCUGCUUCCUCGCAAAAGAAUAGUAAUCUACAAGCACAACUCGAGUGUGCUUGAAUGGUUCGUGGAAAGGUAGAGAUUCAUUGUACUAAAAAAAUAUGAGAUUUAAGCUAAUAUUUGUUUGCUUGUGGGACUUGUGCGUGGGAAAGCAAUUCAUGGGAAUUUUUACUACUCCAUUUCUUUCUUUUAAUGUCCACAAGGACCUUAAUACAUAUAUAUAUAAAAUACUUUUCUGCAUUUAAAUUAUUAAAGAUCGAAUAAAAACCUAAACAUCUAAUCUUGGAGCUUGGGGGUUCUUCUUUCUUUCCUUUUUCUUUCUCUUCCUUUCCCUUCCAUUCUUCUUCCUUUUUUCUUAAAAAAUGGAGGGGGUCAAAGGGAUAUCCCCUUGUUGAGUGUCCACGGUCUUGACCCCGUUUUGACCUUUCUUUAGUGGUCGUUUGGAUAAUAAUCUUUUGCAAAACAUGUUUUAAAAGGAUAUUUAGACUUAGGUUGUUAUUAUGUUUCGGAAUUGAUUUUUAUGUAUCACAUUGUUUGGAUGGAAUAAACUAAAAAUAACUGAAAUAACAUCGUACCAAGAAUUUCGCACCGGGUAACCCACUGUUAAAACAUGUAAAAAUAAUGAAAUAAAUACUCGGAUCGAGCUCGUCUAAUUUUUUCGGACCAACAAAACCAGCGCCACGCUCGGCCCUAUUAAGAGCCGCGACUGGACCUCAUUUGCUUAGAUCUACGUGUACGUGAGUUAGUUGGGAAUCAAACAAAACUUUUAUAAGGUUAUUGCGAUAAAAACUAUAAAAUAGUUUCACCUUACCUUACGAGGUGGCCUGCGAGUCAAGGUGUUGUGUGUUUGGUUUGGAACCUCGCGGACUCUUUGAGUGUUUUCCUUUUGUGUUUUUCCCCUCUCUUUUUAUAUUUUUAUUUUUAUAAAGCUCUUGUCAUCACUUUGGGGAUUUUUUGAACGGUACGAUUGAAUAUUUUGUAUUACUGAUUUGUCCGCUGUAUAAAGCUAUAAAGCUAUACGUACUCUCUCCAUUCCAAAUUGUAGGUCCUUUUAACUUUUUUAGAUUCAUAGAUAUUAUUAUAUAUUUAGACAUACACUAUAAUAGUAAUAUCUAUGAAAAAAAAAGUUAAUGAUCUACUCCCUCCUAGUAGGUUAUUUUAACUUUUUAGGUACAUAAUUUUUAUUAUGCACUUUGAUAUAGUAUAUGUCUAAAUGCAUAAUAAUAUUUAUGAACCUAAAAAGCUAAAACGACCUAGCACAUAAUACAUGAUGAACGUUGUUAAGCCCAAAUCCCAAAGAAGCUUGCUGGUGUGCUCAUGAUCUAGUACUAGACUGGUUUCUGAUCCUGAACGUCCGUUCCUGUCCGGACGGUCACACCGCGAACUUUUCCCGCCCAAUCAAUUCCAAACCCCCACCGCCCACGACCGCCGCCGCCGCCGCGAUGGAGCUCUCCGCAGCCUUCGAGGAGCGCGUCCGGCAGAUGGAGGACGCCCGCAACCACCGCCUCGCCCUCCUCCACGUCUCUCCCGCCGCUCCCCCUCCUCAUCGACCCUUCCUCUCCGAAACCAUCCAAACCCUAACUCCCCGGCCUCACCGGCGGCGCCUCCUUCCUCCCGUUGCCUUGUUGCGCAGGCAGAGAAGGAGAUCCAGGCCGCCAAGUCCCGCAUCCUCGCCGCCAAGCUCGCAGCCGCGCGCCGACUCGAGCACCGACGCCUUUUCCUCGAGCGCCGCGCCGCCGACCUCGCCUCCCGGGCACUCGCCGCCCGCGCCGACAUCGACGCCGCGCGCUUGCGCCGCCUCGCCGUCGCCCGCGACCUCAGGUAGGCAAGCCACCAGUGAUCCGCCCGUAUCACUAUACCUUCCUCCACCCGAAACUCGGGGCAUUUCGCUUUUAGUUAAAAGAUUCCACAUCUGCAUUAAUUCUCGAAUUGGACUCGCAGCUCGGUGAGGGACGAGAUCGAGGAGGCGGAACGGAGGGAGGAGGACUGGGACCGCUUCUACGAGGCCAAGAGGAAGGAGAUGGAGGAGUUCCAGGCAGUGUCGCGGCGGUUCGAGGCGGAGACUUGCGAGGAAGUGCAGAGGCUGAGGGAUUUGGUAUCUCAAGUACGGUCCCAAUCCUAUGCAUCCAUAAACUAUGUGCUCAUUACAGUUCCUAUCUUGUUUAGUCUAACUGCAACUUGGUAACAUUAGCAUCUGGGGGAAGCUGGUAAAUUGUUAAUUCUGUUCACUUCGGCAUGUUCAAAUCAAAUGGCAACAGGGCAGGGGGCAGGGGCGUUUAAUAGGUUUUGGUCUCUAGCCAUUAGCUUGUCUUAUGAGUUAAAAACUAGCCAGUAGUAGCUUGUAGUUUAUUGGUGGAUCUUUGUUGGCCUGCCCAAUGGAAUGGACCACAAGGCAAGCUGGAAGCUACCUCUUGGCAAGAAAUGCUCAGGUCCACCUCUUGACAUCUAGUCAAUAUGUUGCCUUGCCGUUUCAUUGCAAUUCAGAUGGACCGGAUCAAUGCAGGUGAUAAAUUCUUGGGCCAUGGCUGUUGCCUCCUGAGACAGGUUUUGAAUUUUCAAGCCUCUGUUGGUCUGCACCAACAUUUGUGGUUUCAUUAUUCAAACAGCGAAAAAAGUGCAUGGUUAUGAGCUAUGACUUCUGUGAAGAUCAGGAAAGGCUAAUUUGUGUUUGAUUGUGCCUGUCGCUGAAUGCGUUAUGGUGUCAAAUGGUCUGCUGAUAUUUUAUAAUGUGUCACUUACAAGUGAUGGCAGCAUCGAGAAGGAUAGGAUACUAUUUAUGGUUGUACUUGAAUCAUAAGAAAUUAUCAAUGCUAGAUCCGUAAAGAGAAUCAUUGCUGGAUAAUUUUGUUCUAUUAGGCCAAGGUAGCAAGAAAUAGCUGUUCGUGCAAGCUGUGUGAAUAAUUUAUCUUUUGCAUCUUGGUGGAUUCUCUAUGAGUCCAUCUUAUCAGGUAGCUAUUAUUUUACUUGCCCAAUGCAACAAAACAAUUCAUGAGUCAUGGACCAUGGUCUGCACAUAACCAUUAACUUCGCAAGCAUCCAAAUAAAAUUAAUAUGAAUUUAAAAGACAACCUGUUUUGUAUAUAAGAAUCCCCCCUCCUAAGAAAUUGUUGAUUGGUCCAUUUUGUUAGGUUUGCAUUGCAAUGAUAUAACUGCAGUAGCAGUGAACUAUAAAAAAUAACAUACAGUUCAAGAUCUACUGACCUGAACCAAUGAAUAGAGAGCCACUGCUCGAGAUCCCAUCAGGCACUUUGAGCUACAUUAUUUUUUGCUGUUGUGUUUGUGAUCGUGUCCUCACAAAUUGCCAAAUUAUUGUUCUGCUGAUGGUGUGAUUUUGUAUCUGCAUCUGAUUAAUAGAUUUCUACUGUGAUUACAGCUGAAAUCUACACUGCAAGAGCUGCAGAGCAGCGAGAUGUACUCAAACAACGCCGAUAUUGCUGCUGCGGAAGCCAGGAAGUCUGAUCUGACUGCCAAGAAGGCAAAACUGGACGAGAGCCUGGCUUCGGCCCGCCAGUUCAGAGCGCUGCUUCAGCAGCAGCUCCAGAAAGCUUUCCAGUCACAGGUUGGGGAUCAAAAGACAGCCCAAGCUACCAUUUGAACUUCAGGUCCAAUGCUGCAUAAGGAAAGCACGAGGACACCUGCGUCGGUACGCCCAGCGAUUUUCUUCAUGCUUGAUGCAUGCAUCGGGCUGUACAGGUGAAAGAAAUUUCAAAGGUACCAAGAAAUACAAAAUGUUUCAUUUCGGUUGUUCACCGAAUAACAUUUUGCCUAUGCCAGUAUCGUACUUUUUUCACGGCAAUGGAAGCCUGUUACUCAAUUGUUACUUGAUUGCAACGCUUGAUCUGAAUUCAGGAGGCUUGUGCCUUUACCAUGCAGCAAGCAUGCAGCCUGCUACUCGCCACAUUUGCUGCAGGAUCUUUGGCAAAGCGUGAGCCUUUUUUUUUCACCCCCAGUGUCUUACUUGGAUUGGUACUGACGGCGCUGCAAAGUGUGCAGCGUACUCCUCUCAUCAAUGUGUAGGGCUAGUCGCCCCCAUUUGCAUAUUUGCAUGCAGCCCAGAGGCAAAGUGGACGCUUUAGGGUUGGUGCCCCCUCUCCAACUACUCACGCACUUGUACCAUCUCGUUAAAUGCUGCUGCUGCACAUGAGGAAGCUUUUCUUGCCAAUGUCAGGUACGAGUUGUCCGUGCAUUGUAGCGCACAACGAAAUGCGGCUGUAAUUCAUUGAAUUAUGGCAAGAUAAAUGUCGUGUCAGGGGCUAGAGACAGAAAGAUACAAAGCAAAGUUACUCCCUUCGUUCUAAAUUAUAGGUCGUUCUAGUACAUUAGACAUAGAGUGUAUCUAAGUGUAUAAUAAAGUCUAUAAAUCUAAUAAAAGCAAAAUAACUUAUAAUUUGGAACGGAAGGAGUAAUAGUCACGGUCAUAUACACCUCUGUGUUUAUGGUGAGUAAUAAAGUUUUGGAGUUCGUCUUCAAUGCACAAAAUUAGGCAUUUUACAUGACAAAGAGAAAGGUAAUAAUUGUCCCUUAUUUCAUAGGAAACAUUCUACAAAAGAAAAAAUAAACUCUCCACGUUUAACAUCCUUUGAGGAAAAAAUCGGCACAAUGAUGGUCAUAUGUAUGGAAAGCAUAGUUGUAAGGCUAAUCUCAAUGAAAGAUUUCAUUUUGUUGUUUUGAAGAAUGCCACAUUAACAAAAUGAAAAAUGAAAUCAUGGAUGAACCCCUACAAUGCCUCGUUUCAUCUUUGCUAUUUCAUAUAUUCUCAUCACAUUUAAUUCUAUGACUCGUUAAGAGUUGGAAACCGUGUACAUGUAGUUUCAUGGGAUAAAAUUGAUUUCAUCUCUCUCUUCUUUACUGUUUUGCCACAUCAUCAAAAAUCCUAAGUGGCUUGUGAUUUAAUGAGAACAACAAUAAUGCCAUGCUCAUGCAUAUUCAUUUUGGCAUUAAACAACCUAUAACAUAUUUAGAAGAGGAGGAUACAAUAUUCAUUUUGGCAUGCACAGAAGAAGCGCAACUAUACUCACGCAUAUUGAGCGCACUCUCUCUCUCUCAUCACCUAUACACACAUACACCACUCUCUGGACAGCUAACACGCUCUAUAUUUUCUUAGUGCUUCAAAAUAAAACUAUGUGAGGUUGUACUCACACAUUUGAAUCCCCAUUCUAUCAGCAACACGCACACAUGUCCAUUCUUUGGAUAGAUACACACACCGUCCUUCAUGCCAUCGCUAGGAAAAAGUUAGUAUGGAUGCAGAAUGAUAAAUAAAACAUCCACGCGGCCAAUUAAAAGCAUGUUUGGAAGAAAAGGAUACCAUCCUCCUUUUCCAAGAUAAACCCACUCACAGUAGAAAACUCACCUUUAGUCCCAGUCGGUAAGGAGCAAAUCUUCCGAAAAUCCAUCUGGGAUAAACCAAUCGAGAUAAAAAGGUGAUCUUUUAUCCUGGGUCACUCAACCGCGACUAAAGACCCUCUUUUAUCCCGGUUGGUAAUACUAACCGGGAUAAAAAUAGUCGCCACACCAGGCACAACCCAAAAAAAAAAGAAAUCCCAGGGGAUCCCCGGAAGCCCCCCCCCCCCCAACCCCCACGUUGCAAGUCACAAGUCACCGAAAUAUGCGCGUGCGCGGUGCGUGGGAUUCCUCACAACCUCAAGCCUCGUGCGUAGCUUCCUUGCCAUCCCACCUACACAGCACAUCUUACUAUAUAGGGGAUGCGAUCCUUUUGUAUUAACUCGUGGGGACCCUUUUAUCCUGGUUGGAAACACCAACCGGGAUAAAAGGGUUCGAGGGAUUUAGUCCUUUUUUUAGCCAUCUGUGGGGAUCCUUUUAUCCCGGUUGGAAACACCAACCGGGAUAAAACACCCCAUUUAUCCCGGUUUGUAAUACCAAGCGGGAUAAAAGGGGGAGGUCUUUUAUCCCAGUUGGUGUUUCAAACCGGGAUAAAAGGCCUCUCAUAGCCUUUUUUUUCCACUAGCCUUUGCAACCGGGAUAAAAGAUCCCGGUUGGUGAGGCCCCCGCCAGUGACCGAGCUUUAGUUCCGGUUCGUGAACUUUUUGUCCCGAGCCAACUUUAAACCGGGACAAAAUGGGGCGCAUGGAAAGUGAGUUCCCUACUAAUGACUUCUGCACACGAUAACAAUAUCAAAAUGGUUAGUGACCUAGGGGGGCGCAUCUCAACCCCCUUUCUAUCAAUAACACCCACAUACAUCUAUUAUUUAGAUAGACAAACCAUUCUCAACAAUCCAACAAAGAAAUGCAAGUGAUGUGUAUAUAUGAUAAUUGGCAAAACAUCUAUUACAUGCGGUUGUAUUGUUGCAUUUUUUCUACAUAGUUUUACUUCACGGAAAAGAAAUGAGGCUACACACAUUUCACUCUGCCUUUCAUUCAACAACACAAACAUACCUCUAGCUAUUAAGAUAAGCCAUCUGUCACGCCACCGUUAAGGAGAGAUAUAUACUGACACAAUUUGACAAAACAUUCAUGCUCCAUUAAUCACGAUAUCUCUCUGAUAAAUUGACCAGUGGUGUAUACCACACCAUUUAAAGUUUGUUUGGAGCAAAUACCAUCCUCCCUUUUCUAACCGAUCCAAGCAUUUUCCUCAAUUCACUCCCACAUACUAUCACAAAUAUCAAAUGGUUAGCAGCCCCGAAACCGGCCAUCUAACUUCACUCCUGCUUCUGGAUCCCUCUUUCUAUCACUAAUACGCGCAAACGUCCAUUCUUUAGAUCGAUAAGCUAUCCGUCACACUGCUUCUAAGGAAAGCUUGUGAAAUUAAAGGAGAACUUACCAUCUUUUUUUUCCGAGCUUACCUAAGACUUUGCAUAAUUCAACCCUGCAUGCCAUCACAAACAUCAAAUGGCUAGUGGGCCCCAGCCACCUAAACUUCACUCCUGGUUCUCGACCCCUCUUUCAAUUACUAAAGCGCACGUACUUCCAUUCUUCAGAUAGAUGAGUUACCGUCACACCACCACUAAGAAAAGUUGCUUUAAAAGGAAAAUGUCAUCAUCUUUUUUCUACAUACCAUCACAAAUAUGAACCGCCAGCGGUCCGCCUAAACUUCACUUCUCAGGGUGUGGUUGAUUCUCAAUCCUUCUUUCUAUCAUUAACACACAGAUACAUCCAUUCUUUAGAUAGACGAGCCAUCGUCAUGCCACCGCUAAGAAAAACUGCUUUAAAAGGAGAAUGCUACCAUCUUUUUUCUACACACCAUCACAAAUAUCAAACGGUUAGCAACCCUACUCCUCAGGGUGUGGUUCCUUAUCGAUCCUUCUUUUUGUCACUAACACGCAUAUACAUCCAUUUUUUGGAGAGAUGAGUCGUCAUCACACCACCGCUAAGAAAAGUUGCUUUAAAGGAGAACGUUACUAUAUUUUUUUUCUAUGCACAUCAUAAAUAUCAAACGGUUAGCAGCCCCGGGCUGCCUGCCUAAAUUCACUCCUCAGGGUGUGAUUGCUUGUCGAUUGUUCUUUCUAUCACUAACAUGCACAUACACCUAUUUUUUGGAUAGAUGAGCCGUCAUCACGUCACCGUUACGAAAAGCGGCUUUAAAAGAGUUCCGAACUUACCUUAUAUUUUUCGUAAUUCACUGCUGCACAUCCCGCUAAGAGAAGCCACUCUAAAGUUCUGAGUUAUGUAUAAUGCAAGCUAACAAAAACAUCCACACAUUCUAGACUUUAUCUUAUCGCGAUAUCUCUCUAGGCGAUAGAAUGUACAUUAAUUAAACUAUUUAAAAUAGAUUUGGAGGAGAAGGAUACAUCCUCUCUCAUUUUUUUUCUAGAUGGAUCACGUGCCUUUUCUAUAACUCACUCCUACAGAUGCUAACAAUAUCAUACGGUUAGCGACCUCGGGAUGAGCACCGCGAUUGCUUCACAACCUCUCUUUGUAUCACUAACCCGCACAUACGUCCAUUCUACAUAUAGAUACGCCGCACCACCGCUAAGAAAAGUUUCUUAAAAAACAUUAUCGAUUUUAUUUUACCUUACCUAAUCAAUUCAGUUCCGCAUGCUAUCACAAGUAUCAAACGGCUAGCGGCCACGACCCAGCCGCCCUAAACUUCACUCCUCACACCCAGAGUCACCAGACCCAGUCGACACUCCACAGUUGUCCGUUGCAAGCCGCGGCCCUGCGGGAGGGGGGGAGGUCCGCCCGCCCGGUCCCCGUUUUAUUAUAGUAACCACAGCAGCAGGUUUACAGGCGGAGAGAGAGGAGAGAGGAGAGAGAAGAGAGGAGAGAGAAGAGAAGAGGCUAGGGGAAAGCCGCGCCGCAGUCUCUCUCGCAGCGGCAGUGCAGGGCAGAAGCUGCUGCCCCUGCUGCGUCCGUCGCGUGCAGCGUGCGUGCCCCGCCGCCCCCGGCCUGCCCCCGCUUCCUUUCCUCCCCCACCCGCCCCCCGAGGAAAAAAACUUUUUUAAAAAUCACUCCCCACCUCGCCUCGUCCGCUGCGACAGCGCAUACGCCCCCCCCCCCCCCCUUCCCGUUGCGUACACCGUAUGUAUCUACGGUGACGCGGGGGGCGCAGUGCGGGUGGCGAGCGAGCGGGCGGGCGGGCGCCAGGGUUUCGUCUCCGGCGGCAGCGGCGGCGGCGGCGGCGGCGGGGGCGGGGGCCGGGGCGGCGGAUCUGGGAGGGAUGGGGAACCGGAUAGGCGGGAGGCGGAAGGCGGGGGUGGAGGAGCGGUUCACGCGCCCGCAGGGGCUCUACGAGCACAGGGACAUCGACCAGAAGAAGCUGCGCAAGCUGAUCCUUGAGGCCAAGCUCGCGCCCUGCUACCCGGGCGCCGACGACGCCGCGGCCGGCGGAGGGGACCUCGAGGAGUGCCCCAUCUGCUUCCUGGUAAGCGCGCGUUGGGAGAUCUCCCUCCCUCACUUCACCUUCUCUCUCUCCCCCUCCCGCUCCCCCCUCCUGCGAAUUCCGGCGGUCGCGUUUGCCGUGGCUCCAGUGUCCGCGCGCGGGUGACCUGGACGGAGGGGAAGCUCUGGCGGGCGGGUGGGUGUUUAUUUGGCCGAUUAGCGGUUGAUUCUGUUGGAUUUCCGAGUGCCGUUGCCGCGAUUCUGUUGCCGCGGGGGUCGAUGAAGCGGGCACGUGGUUCCAGAUGGUGUUUCUGGAAGCUCCUAGGACCAGGGUUUUCAGUACGCUUAGGCACGUUUUCUUGGCUAAUAGCACAAUUUGUCCACUAGUCCUGCAAAGUGCAGUUACAGUGGCGUCGUAUUCUUGUUGGUAUCUGCGGCUCUGCUUCUGUACGUACAUUGUGGCAAAUCCGUUGGGGGAUAUUCUGGGUUGUGUUUCUGGAAGCUCUUAGGACCAGCAGAGGUUUAGUACAGUUGCAUGGUUUCGUGACUUGACUGCUUUUGCCUGAUUCCAUGAAUCGCCAACAAGUAUUGCAAUGUGCAGUAAUGGUGGAGAUGUUCUGUAUGCCUGUGCUGGUAUCGGCUGCUCUGCUAGGACAUCAGCAUAUGUACAUUGGGCAAAAUGUGCUGCUAUGUAGUCGUAAGAUUGUUAUUAUACCUUGUAUGAUGCUUUGAUCAUAUUGGUUGGAGAAUCUUCUCAAUUUCUUUUGGAUGCCUAACUGUUGUGCUAUACGAGGUUUUGAGUGCCAAUGUGCCAUUGAGGUCAAUUCCUAGAGCAAUUUGGCUUAAGUUCAUUCUAUUGUUCUAUAUUCCUAUGUGAUGGUAAUGUUGUAACAGGCCUUCAUGUUGCUUGAAAUGGGUAGUAUUUUAGAUGCUCCUGGGAUGGGUGUAUUACAAGCUUUGCAAGAAACUGACCUGAUUCCAAACCAAAUAGUUAGCGCUGUACCAAGGCAUUGGACACUUUCGACUUGAAAACUAAAACUCCUGUUGCAUAAUGUUAGCAUGUGUCUAUACUCAAUUUGAUUUUUUUUUUUGAGGAUAUCCUCAAUGUUAUUGUGGUUCCGCACUUCCGCUCUUGCAAACUGGAAUCAUUAAUCUUAUUACCAUCGAUUUGGUUAUCUAAAGGGUUACGCCUGAUUCCACUGGAUGAAGUAUUCAUGAGUAUUUUGGGUAGCUCUUUCCAUUCUCAUAAGAAAUCUGGAAACGAUUUUAGCAUUUGGGCUAUUUGGUUUUAAUUACUAGAUAGAUAACUCAGUUUGUUUGUGCAACCACUCUUUGAUGCCUCCUUGAAUCCUGUCCUGAAAAGAUUAUUUCGUGUAUUGCAGUACUACCCAAGCCUCAACCGUUCAAAAUGUUGCUCGAAAGGGAUAUGUACAGGUAAUACAUCUUCCUACAAUUGAUCCAGCCAGCCAUCACCUGAUAAUAUCCUUUACACAUCUUGUUGACAUUUUUCUAGAGUGCUUUCUUCAAAUGAAACCGACUCAUACUGCUCGGCCUACACAGUGAGUAUCCUUUAUUCCAUCCCUUGUCUUCCGUUUCUUUUUCUGGGUAAUCCUACAUGCCUUCUCAAUCUCAUGAAAAAUACUUAACUGUUGAAGAUGCCCAUUCUGCAAAACACCCAAUUAUGCUGUGGAGUAUCGUGGUGUGAAAACGAAGGAGGAAAGGAGCAUAGAGCAGUUUGUAAGUCUUAUCUCUUAAUGCCAUCAUCUUCCAUUUAUAAGUUGCCAUUUUCUAUUAGUAUUAAGACUGCAGUACGCAUUUUCUUUAGCUUAUGUAUAACAUAUUGCAGGAAGAGCAGAAAGUCAUAGAAGCACAGUUGAGGAUACGCCAGAAAGAAAUUCAAGAUGAAGAGGCUAAGCUGAAAAGAAAACAGAGCAGGUGUUCUUCUAGCCGGACAGUAACCCCAACGAAAGAAGUGGAGUAUCGAGAUAUUUGCAGCACAUCCUUUUCAGGUUAGCUAUGGCCAAUGGAUGUGAUUAACAUGCUCUGUAGUAAUGCUAUCUUUCUGCAACUUAAACUCAUAACCUACACUGCCAUAUUGUAAUGUCUUUUGCAGUGCCAUCGUAUCAAUGUGCUGAGCAAGGAACUGAAUGCUGUUCAUCUGAACCUUCAUGCUCUAGCCAGGCUAGCAUGCGGCCUUUCCAUUCUAGGCAUAACCGGUAUGUUUAUGUUAUCUCUUUGAUGUCUCAUAUGAAAACAUCCAAGCUUUGUUUGUUGCAGCUUGGAAUUUGCAAGUUUAGAUAUUACUGGGACUUAGUCUUUUAUUUUGACAAGAAAGUAUGCAACUGCUGAGAUCAAAUUGGUAUCUAACAACCAUGCCACCUGUUUCUUUUUCUGACAGUGAUGAUAACGUUGAUAUGAAUCUGGAGGAUAUGAUGGUUAUGGAAGCGAUUUGGCGUUCCAUUCAGGUUAGUGGGUAGGAACUAUUUUACACUAAUAUAUGCAGUGCAUGACUUGAAUAAUAAUAUGAAUGCUAAUUUGUUGGGUCAAUUAUUAUGUAGCAGUAGCAUUGUAGUUAAAGAAAGCAUGGUGAGAGUGGGGUGCUUUUUAAAUAGUUAUAUGACACUUUUAAAAAUAAGUAUGAUUGUGUUUAUGUUACAUGUAUUGGUGAAGUUAUGACCUGUCAUGCAAACCUUGCAUUUGUCUGUUGCAAUGCUAACAUGAACUAUUUGUAACGGUUCAUUGUGAAUCCAGAGUUUGGUUGUUCAUGUUUUCUUUUGCUAUGGAAUCUCAGCUCUCUAUGUUCUGAAUAUCAAGUUGAACUGACUGUAUUGUUACUAUGAUAGCAUGAGCAAACUUCACAACUCCAGAUUUUUAGCCAAUCGUUUACGUUUCAAACAUGGAAUGGACAGUGUAGUUUUGUUACAUGAAUGGAUAGGACUGUUUGUGAACAGUUCAUAUUGAUCAAAUUGUCUUGUCUGCAACCACUCUUGGCCAAAAAGAGGACUAUAAAAAACUUAGCAUGUCUACCUUUGUUCUGGUGCCAGUUGGGUCAAGAGCAGCUUGGUUGCGUAGCCAGAAUGCUGGCUAAGACAAAGCAUUCUGCAGUAGUUAGUUUUGAACCAGUACCAUAAUGGAACUGUGGAACUAAAUCUGAUGUGCAUUAUUUGACCCUGUGGCGUGAGAAUUUGCUUCUGGCACUUAGAAGUGCCAGAUUUAGUUUGUGCAGACAUUUUGGAUGAUGAAUUGACAGUUAUCGUUUUCUUCAUACUAAUUGUUGUUUCCUGCUUACUGCUAUUCUGUGUUUGCCCUUAAUCUAAGGUAACUCAAGAAUAUUUUUGUAGUUAAUGUUUUGCAAAUAACUGCAGUCCAUAUAGUUAUGGGUCUGUCCAGAGGGUUAUGAUGCUUUUGCAUUCUGCUUUCUUCUUUCAUUUCAUUUGAAUAGCCUUUUCUGGGCAUAUGAAAGUAGAGUGACUAAACUAAAAUUAUUGUGGACGUGCUUUGUUUGUUUAGUGAGUUUUGUGUACAGUUGUCUUGUUAUAAAGCUGGCAAUUCCCUUCGAAACUUGCAUGAAGUUCCCUGCUGUGUGCCUAUUAUUCCUUAUUGCUUUGAACUUGCAAGCGACAACCAGCAAUUGGCGUUCAAGUAACAUAGAACACAUGGGGACUGUGGUCAAGAGUACAUACAUAGUAUUAACUGGGAAGAUUUCAAGAACUAGUUGCUUAUCAGGGCAUUAUCUUUGAUAAAUGACAACAUUUACAUUACUCCUAGUCUGUUUGUCAUGUCAGUAUUUUGGAUUUCUUUGCAUAAAGAUAUUUUAAUUGACAAGAUCCUUCUAAAAUUCCUUUUGAGAUUGGUUUUUUGUUAACCGUAUUAAAUCGAAACCAUAGUCUUGUCUUUUAAAUUUAUGUAUUUGCUAUGUCAAAGCAAAGUUUAUAUCUGUUUCUUUUUUGUUAUUAUUACUUUAGCAGGAACAAGGACAUCUAGUAAAUCCUGUUUGUGGCAGCUACUUCCCUGUAAUCGAGCCACAGACACGUGAAAGGCAGGCAUUCCUUCCAGCCGCUCCUAUGGAAAUGCCUCAUCCUGGUGGAUAUUCCUGUGCAGUUGCGGCUUUGGCUGAGCACCAGCCACCCAGCAUGGAUUUCUCUUAUAUGGCUGGCAGUAGCACAUUCCCAGUCUAUGACAUGAUCCGCCGACCAUGCAACAUCUCCGGUGGAAGCAUGUGCACUGUAGAGAACAGUUCACUAGACACCUGGAGUGGGAUCGCACCAAGCUGCAGCAGAGAAGUGGUACGAGAGGAGGGCGAGUGCUCAACCGACCACUGGUCGGAGGGUGCGGAGGCGGGAACUAGCUAUGCCGGAUCGGACAUCAUGGCGGAUGCAGGGUCCAUGCAACCAUUGCCUUUCGCCGAGAACUUCGCCAUGGCUCCAAGCCACUUUCGUCCGGAUAGCAUCGAGGAGCAGAUGAUGUUCUCCAUGGCCGUGUCACUAACGGAUGCUCACCAUGGUAGGGCGCACGCGCAAGGGAUGGCAUGGUUGUAAGUUGUAACUCUAAUUUUGACGCUUGGCUCUGCCUGCCCCUUUCUGUUGCGCUGCCGUCCGGCCUCUGCCCCCCUCCAGCCUCUGCUUCUUUUUGCCACCUCUUUUGGCAUCUUGUUCUUUUGUUUUUUCUUUCUUUCUUUUUGCAUGUGUUCCUUGAUGGCAUGAUAUAGAUCUUGCUAUAGUCGUCCAUUGUCAUUGCUUAUAUGUAUGUAAAAUGGAAUAUGUGGAAAUAGAAAAGAAAAUGGAUCAAAAGUUUUGCCGGUAGGAUGCAGUGUGUUUCGCAAUUGCGAGGCAUUCUAGAUGUUGCAGCCCUGCAGGUACACUGGGAAAUGGAAGUGCGCUUCAGCUUCUAACUGUUCUCGUCCAACUGACAUGUUCCUGAAUCUUGUGUAAGUAGGCUACAGGAGCGGAUGUAAAGAUACUUUGUUUGUAUCGAAAAAUUCAUCUAGACUCUGAACUGAUGGAAGAGUAGUCUAACUUUCAGCCUUUCAGGCUUCGAUCUGCUUAUGAUCCUUCAUAUGUUAUGCUUCUGGUAUCUAAUCGAUGCAAAACUCAUCUGAUUUGUAGAAACAGUUCCAGCUGAAGAAUGGCUUGGCAAGCUGGCCAACAACGGCCAAUGUUGUCCAGCCAACCGUACCAUAGGCACAGUUUUUUUCAGCAUUGAGCAUGUUGGAAGGGGUGGACAGUGGACAUGGACCGUGAGGAUGACAAAAAGAGGCAGGUUGCCUCCUUGGAGAGGAAGCAUCCUGUUUGGGUGGCUUGCUGCAGCAGCAGGUGUCAGGUGAGAACCUCGGAUGCCGACGCCAGCGUGCAAAGCUGGCCGGACUGGGACGUGGGAGUUGGGUAAGAAUUUUGUACGCUUUCGACCGAUUUUCCACAGAACCCAUGCGAAAAUGUGUCCCUUCUCUUAACGUGAGCCAAAGGCUGCUCGGUACAAAAAGGUGGGGGGGAUGGAUGGGGCUUCUUGGCUUGAAAUGCGGCCCAUGAACACCCGGGAGGGCAAAAGGGUUCGCAAACCGGACAAGAACUAGCCGGUGCACCGUGCACACGUGAGAUACACGUUAACUAACUUUUAACUGAGCCUGGACUACUAGCAGAGCAGAUUAGAAAACAAAAGUUAUUUGGAAAAACGUGAUGCGUGCAUCAGAUGAAGAUCGUUCAGCAAGAACUAUAUAAAUUUCGUUAAUCUUCUCUUUCUGUUACCUAUAAGCCUUUAUAUUUGCCGAACUCGCGCAAUUUUUUGCGCUGUACAAUUUCAAAACGUACUCAAUGCCGUUGAAUUAGGCCCGCACUGAGCCAUGUUCUUCGCAAAAUCCCUUAAUAAAGUAGCUAAGGUCUUGUUUAGUUGCCUGAUUUUGUUGUCCAAAAUCACUGUGCUAGCACUGUAGCACACUGUAGCGUUUCGUUUGUAUUUGUGAAUUAUUGUUCAAAUAUUGACUAAUUAGGCUCAAAAGAUUCGUCUCGCAAAGUACAACCAAACUGUGCAAUUAAUUUUUAAUUUUGUCUACAUUUAGUACUCCAUGUAUCUACCGCAAGUUUGAUAUGAUGGAGAAUUUUCUUUUUGCAUAGUGUCAAAGUUAGGAUUUUGAGGAACACCCUAAAUGGAGACGACGAAGGGCGGACCCGACCCACAUGUUCGCGACGCACCAAUAAUCCGUGCCCGUUCUCUCCAUCUUUCCCUCCUCGUAUCACCAUCAUCAUCACAUUACCUUACCAAGUUCGUCGCCCGAAAGCAUUGGUAGUAGCACGGCAUUUCUUAUCUACCGGUGCCGCGUCCAAAAUCAUGACGUCUUGUCCUGCCCGUGCACCAAAGCGAAAAGCGUCGCCAAACCCCAUCACCAUCGUCGAUAUCGCGAGAACGGAAAUUCUCCCGGGCAAUAAUCAAGCCAACCGCCCCUUUCUGUCUCGCAUCUUUCCCGGAUGGAGCAACGGCCACAGCAGUGAGGACAAGGAGAAGGCAGGCCCCCCGGCAGGAGUAGGCACGCCCUACCUGUCGUCGAUCGUAUUCUCAUCCAGGAAGCAACAAGGAUGAGAUGGAACGAAAGCGCUGCCGGCCAGAGCGUGUUCGAAUGCGUAGAGUGUACCGGGGAUGUCAGGAUCGUCGCCGGUGGCUAGUGAUUACUACCAGUAACUCGUCAUACCAUCAAAGGCCAUGUAGCGAUGUAGAACUCGCUUGUGAUCGAUCGUUUUUGCGUGCAAGUAGAAGUCGUGCCAAAUUGGGGUAGCAUGUACUCCUUCCAUCCCAAACUGUAGAUCGUUUUAGUAUCGUUAGAUUCACCGUUUUAAACUAUAUAUUUAAAUAUAAUGUAUAUCUAAAUGAAUAGUAAAAUGUAUGAAUUUAGAAAUGCUAAAACGACCUACAAUUUGAGAUGGAUGGAGCAUGUGAAAAGAAGCAUACGCAUUUUUUUUCUAUAAAGUAAUCCUUACGUCUAAAACAGAGCUACUCCCUCCACUCAAAUAUACGUGACGUCUCAAACAUCAAGAUCGAACUACAGUUAGUAGUAUUUUGUUGUCUAAAAACGUCAUGUAAAGGUGACCAGAGGUAGUAUAUGUUUAAGUCAGCUCUGAAUUGGCUGUUAACACAUCCGAAACGUUCCAAAAAGACAUAGAAAAAGGUAAUCAUGUGCAGUAGCUGUUUUGUUGUGACCACGUUGCCCUUGACGCAAAAGCUCAGCAAAUCCCCGGCUGGUGGCUUCCGCGGAAGGCCAUUGGGCGAGGCCACCAUGUGGGGAGGAGAAUUGAGAAGUGUCUUUUCGCGUAAACAGCACGGGUCAACGGCACAGGUCUGCCCCACUCUUAUCAUUUGCCGCUUAAUUUGGUUGCCUAAUCAGGAGCGCAUAAUGCAGGGAAUCUUUUUCCAGGUUAUGCCCCGCCAUGUUGACCCCAUCCACGUCAUCCGUGGACCAGAAAGAGUUUAAUACGGUUGAUUCCGUCCCAACGAGUCCGCAGGACAAUCCAGCGCCAGGAGAGAAUUGCUACGGGCACACACGCUGCGCCCCCUCUUGCCCAUGCAUGAGCAUGCCUUGCCUUUCGAUUUUUUUUAAUAAAAAAAGAACACUCUAAACUGAAACACAAUACAGAAGCAUGCACGCACGCUCACAUACAUACACGCACGCUCACCCCUUCGAGAGCAUAUCCACAACAUGAGGCUCGUUAUCAACACUCACAAGUACGCACGCACACUCGCUCAUCCGAGCAAUUUGUAAAGAGUAUCAUAGAUUCAUUCCUGGAAUAAAUUAAAAAAAUAUAAGCACCAGUGGAACAAACUCAUUGUGCAACGUAACAAAACAAGGUUCCUACGAUCUGCACUGUGAACAACCUUGAAUGCAUGUGGAAGAUGGGAUGGAAAUUCAACGGUCAUGGCUGGACCAUCCCUCUCUCACCUACACGAGCAUUUAAUAGCCCCUUGCAAGGUUGCUGCCUGGUGUGCCCCUGCAGUGUCACUGGCGAUUUUUCCUUGAAAAAGCGGGCAGGGCUUCGUAGGCGAGCGCCUGCACGGUGAGCAGGGGGAAACAUCAUGGGGAUGGGCGCAGUACAAAAAUCGGCCCAUGGCUGCACCGGUGGCGCCUAGUACUCCCUUGUUUGCAUCUUUUUGUUCUUUUGAGGAAGCAAGACAUGUGGUACGCUACGCCCCCCAGCCCCGGUACAGAAUCAUCACCACUAGGUCCAGGUACGGCACCAUUAAUUUUCCUUCAGGGAAGCCGCUCUUCGAUCAAUGCCAGAUGGGUGUGUAGCAAAUCCAUUUUUCUUUGCCUCCUUUUUUUUGUUAUUACUGCAUAUAGCUUUUAAGGAAAUCAUCGUGCACUUUUUGGCACCCAUUGUUCAACUGAUCUUUUAGUUUAGGAAUAGGUCAUCUGCUGCCACUCUUGACAUUCGCAUGGAUUCCUACCGGUUUGUGGCUUGCUUUAUGUAACAUCCUUUUAAGGAUUGGACAAUAGGAACACGACACUCCACCUGAUUUUGUACGCUAUGCCAAAAAAGAGUGCUAGCUCUACGUAUAUUCAAAGCGAGUGCUAGCUUGGCCCAAAUAAUCUAUGGAAAAGGGUGAGAAUACCAAAAUUUCCAUUCUUUUUCCGUCAAAUGUUUGAAUUCAAAGCGAGGUCAUUAACUUAAUGUUCAAAGCCUGGUCCUCUUUUUCUCCCGUAGACAAGAUGAAAAGUCACAAAGAAUUAACAACCAGGAAAUUACGCCAUAAAUAAUGCUCUCUCUAGUCGCAAAGAACUGACGUUGACAUUGACACGACCAGAAAAAGCAAAACUUUAACUAAUAUUAAUUUUGUUAAAAUAUAUCUAUAAAAUAUAGUAAAAGCAUACUUUUACAAAACUUCAUUUUAAGACGAAAUUGGCACCUGUCGUGUACGUUUUCAAUAAGACACUAAAUUUACAUACUUUUGUAAUCAAAAUGUGAUUGACCAGCUGGAUACAAUCUCAAACACAUCAUAUCUGUGACCAUAGGAAAUAUACACAAACAAAACCCACACUGUAGAGGAAGAAAAAAAAAGAGACCGAGGAGACAAUAAAAAAGUUCAACCACACGUUAUCUUUGAAAUAUCAGACAAACAGAUUUUAGCUGCCUUGCUAGUUGGACUAGCCAUGCUUAUCUUCGCCCUAAUUCUUUCUAUUUGAGGCAAUCCAAUCCAACCUAGCUCACCUCUUUUCGAGGGGAAUGGAAUGGUAGAUGUGCUCAGACAUGCCCUUUGACCCCUUGCACAACAGCUCCAGAUGAAUAGAAUAAACUAAAAUAAAAUUGAAGACCCCAUUAUUUCCACCGUCGACCGCCGCAUCGGACGGCCAUGAAAAAUCGCACGUCCCCUGGUGAUCUGCCGUUUUUUUUUCCCCUUUGGAAGCCAAGCAGGUGCGCUGAGCGUAGCAAAUUCACCACGCCCCCCAUCGAGAGCAGAGCAGCAGCAGCCGGCAGCACAGAGCACAGUAGCCAAGCGACUGAGAGCAUCCGAGCCCCCAGUGCUAGCAUCACCACUCCCGAUUCCCAACCCCCCACUCCUCGGCUUCCGCCUCCGGCCUCCCUCACCCGGCCGCCUCCACCGUCGGAGGGGCGCCGCUCCGUCUCCCGGCCUCGAUCUCCCCCGGAACCGUCGGCUGUGGCCCUGCCCCUCCUGCUCCUGCUUUUACCCGGCAGGAGAUCCGCCCGGAGUGGCAUUCCUGCUCUCGGUAAACCCUAGACGCGGUUGCUCUCGGUCCCCCCUUGUUUUUGCUGCGAAAAAUCGAAUUUUUAGGCCGGGGACGAGGCCACUCCUUGCGCGCGGCCGAUGCUGGGAAUCGAUGGAAUCCGUCCGUUUUUUUUCUGCGGAUGCUCGUGUCGGUGGGGUCGAGUGGGGAAUUUUUAGUGGGCGCUGUUGGCAUGUGGUUCCGUGCUGGGGAUCUGGGAGCUUCUAGGGUUCUCAUUUGAGAUUUUAGGGAUGGGCAAUCUGUCAGAAAUUCCUCAUUUUGAGCUUUUGCUCUUGUGAGUGUGCUGCUGUGCGCAUGCUAGUAUGCUAGGUGUUUGUUCCUCUGUUGAUUCUUAAGGUGUAGGUUCACAGGUGUUUGUGUUGAUCUCAUGCUCUGGUGCUGCCGCGGGAGAGAUUACAUCUGAACACUAGGGCAACUUUUUGGAAUCUGGAUGUAGUUUGCUGGAUAAGAACCCGGACACAUUUUAGGAGCUGUUUCGGUUAGUUGGCCCAACCACAUUGCACAUGCUCUGGAUGCUGUUUCAGGUAUGCAAUUGCUUGAUUCAUAGGAGGACAUUGGGGUAUUACAGUGGUGAUGCAGACCAUUCAGUGAGUUUGGUUCGUUUUUCUGGGCAUUGUAUUUUUAGGUAAUUAACCAAUUAGUGUGUGCUGUACCUGCAUGGAGUUUAUAGUUUUGAUUUUUUUCUUGGGGGUCUAGAUUAGGAUCUCAAUGUAAGGAGUCAAGGGCCUAUUUAGACCUAGCUUCAGCCUGUGGGCUUGCGAGCUGAAGCCAUGGUCGAACAGGUGCGAGCUUCUUGAGAUCAUCAUAUAUGGUUCAGCCAAUUUUAGACUAGAAGCCUCCAAAUGAUCUGAAUCCAGCAAGAGCAAGCCCCAGUCAGUUUCUUUAUUCAAGAAGCUAUUUUACUGAGCCUGACCUAACCUUUGGAGGCUCAAGAUUUUUCUUGUAUUUCGUCCAUUUUUAUAACAGCAGAAAAUGUAGGCUUACUUUGCCCCCCUUGUAUGCUCUUUGCUGUAGGUCAAUAAUUAUUCUGGAAUGUUUUUCCGAGCUGAAGUAGAGAACUUCUGGCGCUGGAUAUCAGUAUUCUGUUAGGGACAUGCUCCAACCAAGGGAAGCUGAUGUGCCUGUGCUCUUUCUUGUCUUCAUUGUGCUUCCUGUGGUAGCUUAUUUUCUUCUUGGAAGAUGGCAUGAAGCUGCAAGUAAGAAGGCAAGGGUAAGUGUGCUUGCGCAGCGAGCCGCAGAAGAAGCCUUUAGAGUGGAAACAAUGGCGUGCCCGGACGUUAUGCCUCCAGGGCCUUCUUUGAGAACUAUGCCCUAUUUCAGACCUGCACCUUCAUUAAGACAAGAAUUCCAUGAAUGCGCAACUUGCCAUGCCCCUGCAAAGACUCGGUGCUCCAGAUGCAAGUCUGUUAGAUACUGGUGAGUUUCUUUCCUUUUGUACUUCCUUAAGAAAGCACUUCAGCUAGGUCUUUGAAUCUUAUUUAUCAUGUACUGUUUGUUGAUUAUAAUCAAUUUGUCCACUGAAAGACACGGUGCCUGAUCAGGCUUCUUUGAAUUCAAAGAUCUGGUUCACUUCUUAUCCUUUUCCAUUUUAUCUAACCUGUUCCACAUAGCAAUAUAAACCAUUCUACUAAAAUGAUGGGAGUACAAUCCUGAUGCGCGUAAUAGCAAGUAUUUGAAUUAUAUGAGACGGAAUAGAAAAUUUGAACCACUUUCACUCUUAUAUUUGUCGACAGUUCUUUUGUCAUGAUCCGUCUUUGCUAUUUACAGGAAACUCCUCAAACUCUGUAGCUCUCUUAUUUGUCAUUUUGUUUUGAUUUUUUUUUUUGCUCUGAGAUAUGAGCAUAUGACAUUUGUCAUUUUGUUUUGAUUUUUUUUUGCUCCGAGGUAUGAGCAUAUGACAUAACGGGAUUGAAGAACAUCACAUAUUAUGAUAGAUGGCAAACUAAUUUCAUAUAAACAAGCAACAUUUUAUAAUGCUUGGGUGCAUCAGUUAAAGCCAUUUGAGGCCAACCCCAAAUGGGUUAUCUCAGGCUCCGUAUCUAGCUGAUAUGAAACUGUCCUUCUGUUUUAAGGUGCAAGCUGUAUUGAACUGAGCUCGGUCAGAUUGUGAAGAUGCACUGAAUAUCCCUUAACCGGUCGUAGCUUGGCUUGAAGCUAAACCCCUAAUUGUAGGCUGCUUUUGGUGGUAUUGGCAUCAACGGCAGCAAGCAUUUCACCAUAUCCGGGGUGUCCCCAUCUAACUCUCCACGACAAACAGGAAAUUCUGAUUUAUGUAAUGAAGGAGACAUUUUCCCCCAUUCAUUAAACAUUCAUGUUAUAAGUUGUUAAACAUGUCGAUAACUUAAAGGUCUAAGCUUAUGAUUCUGACCCGCUUUUUGAUCAAAAUAUGAGAACUCUUGAUUUUCAUUAGCGUGGCAUAGGUUCUUAAUUAAGGUCCAAGCAGUUUUAGAUGCUAGCUUUGUUGAUAAAUAAUGAAAAAAGAAUCCAUUAAUUCUUUGUUCUCUACUAUGCUACACCUUAAUAAUGACCUUUUUGGAUUAAAAUUUAUUUUUUUAUCCUUAGUUAUUUAUCCAUCCAAAUUGUUUGUACCUUGCUGUGUAAAAGGGCCAUGCUUAUUAUGCCAUAAUUUGUACAACCCAGUUGAGUUGCCAUAGGGUGACCAUGUACUUUGGAUUUGAGCAACUAGUCAAUAAACUGGUCUACAAAUAACCACACAUUGCAGCACACUAUUUGCUAUUUUGUUUGAGAUGACAUUGGUGACAGGACUUAUAAUCCUCUUCUUAUUUUCACCUAGUUCAUCUGAUAGUACAUAGGUUGCCUGAUUUAAUGGCCUACUUCCUUAUUGAAGUAUCAUGCAGAACAUCAUGUUGUUUGGAUAACCAUGGCUGAGUUGAAGUUUAAGUGACCGACCCGUUUCUGUGGAGCUCAGGUUGAUAUUUAGCAGUAGGGCCUAGGAAAUACUUUUGUCGUUUACUACUUUAGCCUUCCUCAGCAUAGCAUUAAUCCUUCAUGGCUGUAAUUUGUAUUAGACUACUAAGUAGGCUUGAUCCUACUGAUUGAUUAUAUUGAAUUCACCUGAAUGGCUAAGUGGUCAAGUUGUUAAAUGUGCUUACUACCUCAUCAUCACAGUAGAUCUAGCAUACGAUUAGAAGUACCUGUGCAAAUAUAGGCUCCUUUGACAUAAUAUGAUGAUGUUCUUUGUGAUUGAUUGAUUUGAUUUUUUAUGCACCGUGCAUUCUUUUUCUUACCAUGUUAACCAUCUUCAUUAUGUCAUAAACUGUAUACAUUAUCUUGCCCCGAUUGCCAAGGACACCUUGUAAUGCUGUUUUGAAUGUUCCGCAGCUCUGGUAAGUGUCAAAUAAUACACUGGAGGCAAGGACAUAAGGAAUCAUGCCAAAAAUGGAUUGGUAGUGGGUCUAGCAGCUUUGGUGGAUCUGGCACUGAGGCUUCUGAACAGAUGCCCUACUUGACUAACUUAAAUUCACCUCUUCCGGGCGGUGACAUUCACUUGCGCGACAUGAAUUUUGAUACUUUAUCAGAGCCAUCCUUUCCCACAACUGAUGGCUUCAAUCUUGAUACUGAUCCAUUUCUGGCAGACAAAAGCAACAUGAAUAAAUCAAAUCAAGGUCUUCAUAUGAGUGAGAAUGGUGCUGUUGGUAUGUCUUAUGAAAAGAACAAUCACAAUGCUGAUGAUGAAACCCGCUCUUCCGAGAUUUUAUCAGGAAACAAGGUAUUUUAGAAAAACUCUUACAAUUCACUUGCCAUUCUUCUGCCUACGCGUUUGUCUUAGAUAAUUCAAUCAUUUUCUUUAUGGCUGCAGGUGUCAAACAACUAUUUUGGUUGUGCAGAUGUGAUGAGUGGUAAUGGUGAUGGAACUUAUCCUGUCAAAAGUAACGCACAGCAACCUAGCAGUAGUGCUCCUGAAAUAAGGAAACGGACAAAAGCAAGCAUCACAAUUUAUGAGCCUGACAUGGGUGUCUAUUUAACUUCUGAUAUGGUCAGUUCUUGUGAGGGGCCAUAUGCUUCUGCUAGUGAGCCACUGCAAAGGAGUUUAUCAUCUGGAAGAACUAUUGGGAAAGCAAAUGUGGUGAAUAAGAGGCUUCCAUGCCCAUCGGGUAAGGUGGCUUCAUUACAGAAGUCACAGGAGAGGGUGUCUACAUCAUAUCAAAAUGAUGGCCACGAGAAGAACCCUUGCAACAAAAAUGACCAAAGUUAGUAAAGAGAGUUCUUUGAUAAAAUGAGCUAGUUUUAUCUCACAGUGCUCUCAUUUAUCUCAUAUAGUUACCGCAUUGUCCAGGAUCUGCGCAAGCAACUGAACCAGCAAGCAGCAACCUACAAGGAUGCAAUGGAAUCUCAAAGUUUGGAGCAUCCAAGGUUGAAGUUUUAAAGAAACCCUCAAAAUUUCUCAAAACCAGCCUUGUAGGAUUGAUCAAUGAUAAUAAGCGGAAUAAGGUUCGGAAUAAUCUAUAAUCAAUCUUUCCUGUUACUUCUUUCCGGUUUGUUUACGAAAUGAAUGUUUUCUUUAUAUAUGUCAUUUCAGGUAUUGUUUCCAUAUGAAGAUCUUGUCAAGUUUUUUCAGUAUGAAGCACGGGGUAUUUCUCCUAGAGGUCUUUUCAAUUGUGGAAACAGGUAAUGAACAUUUUGUUUAUGGGGAUAGGUCACAGUUCCCUAAUUAUUUAUAUUGUGUACUUUUGUCAAGAUGAAAAACAUUGUUUUCGUAAAGUGUAAAUACAUCUAGAGGUAUGAGUGCAGGUCAGUAAAUAUGAAAAAUUCGAGGACCUUUUAAAUGAUUCUGGUGCCUUUUGGUACUUCCAAAAUAAUACCUUUUGGUGGUGGCUGCAAAAUAGGACCUUCUGGCGUUGCAAAAUAAGAAAAUUCCAAAUGAGUUUGUGGUGGCUGCAGAAGGAAUAGGGGAACUUAAAAGUAGAGUGGCCGAAGGGUCCUUCUAGUCGCCUGGGAACAAGAGUUUACUUCGCAGUGGCUAUAUUAGAUUUGUGGAAUGAUUAUCACUCAUUAGUCUACAUAUGGGAUAAUAAGGGCCUAGCAUAGGUGCACCUGAUAUAUAUAACAGGAAUACAUUCUUUUAAUAUUUAUAUCUGCAUGAAUAUAUGAAUCCUAGUAUAUAUUUAGUUACCAAAAGGUAUGGCAGUCAAUUAAUCGGAGGAUAACAUCGACCGCACAAUUGGCAAAGAAGAGCAGAGCCUAAGAAUGUUAACAUAUGAAAUGAAAAAUAUGGCACAGUUUCUUGAUAAAAUGGAUUUGCAAAUUUGAACAUAAAAUGCUUCAAGCUGAACCAAAAUCCUUAUAUGUUUGAUAUACGACUGAUUAAUAUCUAGCAAUCUUACUGCAACUAGAGGAACAUCAGAAGUAUUGAUUUGAGUUACUGUCUUAAUUUAUCCAAGUAAAUUUGUAAUAAAUGUUUUGUCCUUUCUUCCCCUUUUUGCAACUUGUCAUUAUUUUAUAUUUACUUGUUUAAUCAGCCGCUUAUCUUGAUUAUCCUUCCUUCAUUUUGCAGCUGCUAUGCUAAUGCUGUUCUUCAGUGUCUGAUGUGCACAAAGCCACUGAUGAUCUACCUGCUCCUGAGAUUGCAUUCAAAAGACUGUAAUACUAAAAUCUCAAAUAGCUAUUUCCCCCUCAACUGCUUUGUACAUGUUUUUUUCUUCUCUGACUUCAGUUACUAUCUUCUUUUAGGUUGCUCAAAAAAUUGGUGUCUUAUGUGUGAACUUGAGCAAUAUGCUUCAACUUUACGUGAAAGUGGUGGACCCUUAUCUCCAAGUAGAAUUCUUUCCAAUCUUAGGAAUAUUGGAUGUCGCUUGGGUGGUGGAACUCAGGAAGAUGCUCAUGAGUUUUUAAGGUAUGGUAACUGUUACAUGCUUGUUUUUUAUCCUGCCACCUUUUGAUCUAUUGCUAAUGUUUUACUUACCGCAGUCAAAAAAUUUCUACGCUUUCCUCUUACUGUAGUAUGUUAGAAGAAAAAAUGUUUUAAUAGAAGUUCAAAAUUUGACAAAACUAUGCUUUCCUCUUGAACAAUAUGUUAGUAGUUUAAACUAGUUUUGUAUUUAUGCUUCUUUAAUGAAAUGAUGCGCAGCUCUCUUGCGUAUUCGAGAAAAAAAAACGUUGACCAUAUGCUUUAAUUUGAACACCACCAGGCAUCUUGUGAUGUCUAUGCAAGCAGCGUGCUUGGAUGGGCUGGGUGGUGAGAAGCAUGUUGAACCAAGUUUGCAGGAAACAACACUGAUACAACAGAUGUUUGGUGGCCGUCUUAAAUCCAAGGUAACUUGAAAAAUCUCAGAUUUCUGGUUGAGUUUGCAUUUUUUUUACAUUUAGAUGGUAGUUUCUUUAGUCAUGUACCGCACUCGUAACUAUGCAUUUUCGUAGUAAAUACGUUUUCCUCCAUUUGUAAUGAAAGCAAAUAUUCUCACUUGAGCACUUCCUCUUCAAUUCACACCAACCCUCUAGUUGUUUUUUUUAUCAUACUCAGUCCAUAGCAUUAUGAUAUACUAAUUAAGUUUUGUUUAUGAAACAAGGUUAAGUGCCUCAGAUGCUAUCAUGAGUCUGAAAGAUAUGAGAAUAUAAUGGACCUUACUUUGGAGAUUCAUGGCUGGGUGGAGUCAUUGCAAGAUGCUUUGACGCAAUUCACAGCUCCUGAAGAUUUAGAUGGAGAGAAUAUGUAUAAAUGUGGAAGGUAGUGUUGCAACAGGCAACUAUGAUCUUGUUACCCGUCAUUUCAGUUGGACCACAACAAAUUAAAGUCUAUUGAAAUUUUGAAUUUUUUAAUGCAGGUGUUCUGCUUAUGUCAAAGCUAGGAAGCAAUUGAGUGUGCAUGAGGUGCCAAACAUAUUAACAGUUGUUCUUAAAAGAUUUAAGGUGAUUGAUUGCUUAUUGAAUUUCACGCAAUACUGUUUUUUCCUGAGAAGUAUUUGUACUGGUUGUAAUAUUCAGCUGAUUUUUUUAGGCAUGUAUUUGCAUUUUCUUUUGCAGUUCUUUUUAGAUGCACAUUUGUUGGUAUUGGGUAAUGUUCACUUGAAAUGACUACUUUAUAAAAGAACUUGAUGACGUUAUGAUCUGCACCUUACUCCAAGUUGUAACUAAGCGCCUGUAAAUAAAUUUAUUCCUACAUUUAUGUUUUAGAAUGUUUAUGGUUAAAUUUUCAAAACUUUGAUUGAUACUACAUACAAAACUGUUUGAAUUCGUGCAUAGAAAUCAUAGAAUAUUUGUCACAAAAUCAUACUUCUAUAUAUGCCUUUUCAAUUUUUUACAAUUAUGUACUAGUUAGGGGAAAAAUGUUCAAAACUGCAAGUGUAUAUUUUAGAUUAUCAAUGUCUGACACUGGUGCUGAAGCACCUUUGGGGCAGUUUUCAUAUAAUCUCCUUGGUUGGCUUGGAUCAGUUAUCAGUACACAUGACUCAUGCUCUAUGCUUGAGCUGACAAUUGCCAGCUGUUUGAAUGUUUCUGGACGGAAGAACUAAAUGAACUUUGUUUUAUUACUUCAGACAGGAAAAUAUGGAAAGAUCAACAAAUGUGUCACUUUUCCUGAUAUGUUGGACAUGGUUCCUUUCGUGACUGGUUCUGGUGAUAACCCCCCUCUUUAUUUCUUGUAUGCCGUGGUUGUACAUGUGGAUACAGAAAACGCAUCAUUCUCUGGGCACUACAUAUCAUAUGUCAAAGAUAUGCAGGGUACAUGGUUGAGAAUUGAUGACUCAGAGGUAUGUUUUUACAAUAAACUCUAUCCUGUGAAGUAGGCUAGAAUAUGUUAUAUAUAAAUUGCGAGAAGUUACUAUGGAAGUAUGGACUUGUGAAAUUGCGUUUAUAGAUUAUGAGUGUAUUAUAAGGGCACUGAACAUACCGUGAGCAGUGUAAAUUAUAAAUGCUCUGUCUCCUUGAUGCAAUUUUGGUGUUAAUUUCUUCGGUGCACAUAAAUACAUAAUCGUUCAUUAUGCAUUUCACUCUGUUGGCGUUGGAGUGUUUUGUGCUGAUAACUGAUUUCACAUGUACUAGUAUGGCCUUUUCCUUUGUACUCCCUCCAUCCCAAAUUAUUAUUCGUUUUGGCUUUUCUAGAUACAUAGAUUUUGCUACGUAUCUAGACAUACAUACAUCUAGAUCUAUAUCAAAAGUUUUGUAUCUAGAAAAGCCAAAAUGAAUAGUAAUUUGGGAUGGAGGGAGUAGGUUUUUAUAGGCUCAUUGAAAUGACGAAAAGGAAAAAAAAUGAGAGUUAGAGCUUAUGAUGUUAUGUGGUAACUUUUUUGUUCCAUAUGUAGGUUCAGGUUGUAUCAGUGAAUCAAGUUAUGUCAGAAGGUGCAUAUAUGCUUUUCUACUUGAGGUAAAUAUAGCCAGCCUGUGAUAUGUGUUGAACCUAAAUUACAAUUUGCAGUAUCUCUCUCUGCACUAUGCAGCAGUCUCAUUUUUUGUAAAACAUUGCUCAGGUCUUUUCCCCGACCACCAAGAAUAUACAUUGAGAAGGGGCUCUUGCCUGUUCCAACAUCUGGAAAGCGUCACACAUCAAAAUCCUCCAAGGGCUCUAAACAUGAGCGCAAGCAGACGGAGUUACUCUUUUCUGCAAAUGAUCAAACAUAUGGUAUUUAUGAUUUUAGACCUGAUGGAGAAGGCUACAUGCAAGAUCAGCAUGCAGAGUUGAGAUCCAGAGAUUUCCAUCAUGCGGAUGAUACCUUUGCAGACUCAGUCAGCACAGACUUCUCGGAAGCUACAUCAAGUGAAUGGUCUCUGUUUACCAGCUCUGAUGAGUCCUCGUUUACCACUGAAAGCACUAGAGAUUCAUUCAGUGUUGUGGACUAUGGAGACAAUGCUGGCCUUGAUCCGAUUUCCUCUAUAUUUGGGCCAUGUUAUGCUCCAGAACAUCCUCCUGGGAAUUUCGUCUCAUGUAUCAGGUUCUCGCCUUCCAAUCCUCAAACAAGGUACUUUUCAGAGAGCACAGACUUUGUCUCGGACUCUUCCAUGCCGACCCACCCUCACGGCAAUGUACAUAGAGGAAGGUACCCGGAUAGGGCAUGCGCCUCUUCAGCCGAACCUCUUGUUUCAGCACAUCAGCGGAGCGGGUAUGGUCGGUAUCCCCUUAGUAGAGAUGGUUUUGUUCAAACAUCUGGAUUUUGCCAAAUGUAAUCGGCCAACAUUUCAUAGUUGUAGCUGGUGCUCGGCAGCUGCAGUUAGCACUGCCGUUAAUGCUGCCUCAUGUUCUUUUAUUUCAGAUGAGGCAUAUUUAAUUUUAGCUGCAUAUCCUAGGGGUAGUUCAAUUCAGUGUAGCGCAGAAAUUAGAUUAUGUCCAUAUGCUUAGCAUGGCAAGUGGAAUUUUAGAGCACAGUGACAGGCUUUGUGCCAGCCAUUGUUCAACUGAAGCCGGUCUAGCACUGCUUAAAAUUGUAUGGGAGAAAGUUCUGUUCGCUUUUAGUUUUGACUUUCUAUCCUUACCCAAAAAAUGGGGAUAGCUCAGCAUUUAAUUUUUUUUCUUAAAAAAAAAGAUUCAGAUGCUUUCAAAUUGCCACAUUUCAAAGCCAUGUAUAGGACAUUAUAUCCGAGAUCACACUCUUUUCUGUUUUCAUGGGGGCUUGGUUGAUUGUGCUACCUGAAAGCGAUAUUCUUAGCCGGGCCGGGCCGGGGUCGCCUCCGCAGCUGUUUAAGUGCCUCUGAAUUCUGAACUAAAUUAAGACUGCCUUUAAUUCUUCUGAACCAAAUAAAGACUACUUUAGUUCAUCUGGACAAAAUAAAUUACCUUGAAUUCUGACAGUUGAAUGGCCUGUGACAUGAGUCUGGUGCCCUGGAUUCCGCGGUUCCCUGAUGUUGCAGUUGUGCUGCUCAGCUCAGUUGAUGCUAUGCAAUUCUGCAGAUUGAUUGAUUAACCUGCAGUGCCCUGGACACAGGCAUGAGCUGUGCAUUGCCUGUGUGGCAUUCAUAGAGUCUUGUGGUGAUUGAAUGAGGGGGAUUGCUCCAAGUUUUUUCCUUCUCUGAUUGAAUGUAUGAAUUUCGAAUUGGUUCGAUCCCCGUUCAAACAUGACGCACACUCUCAAAUCAGCAGUUGCCAUCGGGAAAACACCGACAAGAGUACCUGAUGCCAAUAGCGAUGUAAAAGUCUGGUGAGAUAAUCCCUUUCUAGAUCGUUCUCACCCUAAGUAAUCUCUUGCAUAUCCUGAUUACUAUGAUAACCCCCUAAGCCCGGUCUUUGGUUCAUGUACGUUCCAAGUCCCAGAACCUCGGUUCAUGGCUGAAUAACUUGAGUUGGCUAGCUAGUGUCUGAAGAUUGUUGAACGGAGAUGCAUUCAGCUGUCCAAACUCCAAGGAUCAGGCAGUAUGUAGCUGAAGCAACUUCGCUUCAGGAUGGAAUUUUUGAAUGAAUUAGUGCUUGAUCACCAGAAUUGUUUACUAUUCUAUGAGACAGUGAUGAAACGACUAAAACCAUUUUGUUCUGCAAGGCACCAGUGCUUCUUAGAGGGUUUGUGAAGACACUGGCUGCUCGUAUGCUGCAACCAGGCCUUACAUCUGGCCCAAGCUGGCCGAACCUGCCUGAACAGAAAGAAAGGCCUCGCUACAUCAACAGCAAUUUCAUUUCAGCCCGUGGGCUUACAGUCAGUGCUGAGGGCCUGAGACGAACACCAUGUGAAUUAAAAUUGCAAGGGCACGAGGAGAUUGCAGCAGCUGAGCUGAUUGCUGCACGACAUAGCGAAGGACAAGAAGUCAAGAACUGCACGUGAGAAGAUCGACUGAUCGAGCGUGGCAGGCUCCAUCUCCAUCCAUGUCGCCACCUACUUUUUUUAGCCUGCUCAUGCACAGCACCUGCUCGAUUUUUUUAGCCUGCUCAUGCACAGCACCUGCUCGUACUUUACAUUUUUAAUAUCUGUCUUUGUUUUAGACUUUUAGUAUAAAUUACAGACGUGCACUCUCAUGAGCCAUGCCGUGGCCACCUCUCAUGCGAGCACAGUUCUGUAACCGGGAACUUGUUUCUUGGAGGGGUUGUGGCUUCGGCAGCUUUUCUGCUUGAUUCGUCUAAAAAAAUGUUUGGUGCUUACCGUCUGAUCUAGUCGCAACUGUUUUUUCCCUUCAUUCAUAGGCAUAUAUGGAGGAAACCAACAAGCAGGCAGGUGACGAACUGCAUAAUAAUGUAAAUGAUCUUCUUGGAAGAUGGCAUGAAUUUUGGUCUUGUUAACCAUAGAUGUAUUUCCCCAAGAUCCAAAGUUCUCAGAAAGUUCAGGCAUUUUCCGUUGGGCAUGUACUUUAGACUUUCCCAUUGAAAAAAGGACUGGCGACUGAAGAAAGCUUGACAAAAAACUAGAUUCAAUAAUGGUACGAACACGACCGUUUAGCGAGUCAAUUAAUACGCUUGACCAAAUGUUGCAGCCCUAGAAACAUUUCGUGUUCAUUCAUACAUGAGGAGGAGAAAAGAAGCAAACAAUUCCAAGAAAAUUAAAGAGGUGUUGGUACUUGGACGGUGCUGGCACCUUACUUAACAAGAAAAAAAAUAAGAAGUAAUAUUGUGGUUGAGAAUUGCCCGGUCAGGCAUCACCUGGAACUUGGACUGGCAACAAAAUCUCUUGCAGGAAUAUUUCCAGUGCCUGCGUAAUGACCUCUUGGAAGCACGUCAAAAAAAAAAAGAACAAACAAAAAACUAGGAAGUGAACAGUGAUGUAAUGAAACUUCUUUCUGCGCAUGCAACUCAAAAAGCUUUAUGACGAAAAUCCCCGUGACAUCAGUGAUGGCGUCACGCUGAUUUUGAUUCCUUAUGUUUCAGUCUCAGCUUUAUGCAGUAUGGAGGUGCCAAGUGCACGGUGACGUGGCCACACAGGCCGUGGAGCCAACAUUUUACAUGUUCUUUCCAUGCAUAUUCCGCUCACUGUCAAACAUUCAACCUCGGAAAAAACCGGUACAAUCUAUCUGUGCUUUAAUGUACAUAAGAAAGCGACAGGAACUCUCUGCUAAUCAAUUUACUUAUAGGCGUUAGUCGGGCGUAGCCAACACGGGUUCCCCAUUAUAGAAGAACAUACGACGACAUGAUCAGAGGACGGCCAUUUUGCAAAUGCAAAAUGCUGAAUUUUGAGGUGAUUCUUCACGUGCAAGUGAAAAAUUGCUCAAACCUUUAUUUGCGGUCGUCCUCCGUAUGUCUAACUUGUCUUUAGUUCACCAUAACCGCACUUAUCAGAUUCGAGGAGACUAUUGAUGUACACCAUUUCCCCCUUUAUAACAUUUAAGCAAUAUAAUUCUUGUCCCGUUUUUGUCUUUUUACAUAAAUGGGAGAAUGCUGGAAAACACAAGACCAAAUGGGAGAAUCCUUUAUUUGCUUUUGGAGCUCUGGUAGCCUGGUCGUGGUUGCUGUUGCAGUUGGUAGUGUAAGAUACUUAGAAUUAGAAAGCAGUUAGUUGUCACUUAUAUAUCUUGUAUUGGUUGUAGAUUAGAUUUUCUCGAAUAUGCAGGAGAGCUAUUGGUUGUAGAUUAGAGUUUCUUCUUUUUGUGUAUUGCCAUGGUGCUCAACAAUCGGCAUGGUUAUAUUACUAUUUGUAACAAUUAGGUAAUGCUACAAUAGCCAUGCUUCCUAGCGCUGUUCCUAAGUGCCCAAUUUCAUGCUGCCAAGUGCCAACCACUACAAGGAGAUGCCAUACGGUUUGGUAAAGCUAGACGAACUUUGGAAGAAUUCUAUAGAGUAAUCAACGUUAAAGUAGGCUUAACUUAUUGGCUUAACUUCUAUAGACAUACCUACCAAAGAUUAGGCUUAACUUAUUGGCCAUAAGUUAGGACGGCUGAUUUAGCCUAAAGUAUAAAUGAACUUCAUUGUUAAUGAUUUGGUGACUUUGCCAAUUUUAGAAAGAAAAACCACUUUGGAUAACUAUUUGCCAAGAUCGAGAAGGUUAUUUGAAGAGAGGUGAUGACCAUUUUUUAAAAAAGGAAAGAUAUAAAUGCAGAAACUUGAUAAGUGAAAGAAGAAAGAUGGCGCACCAAAUCUGCAGUCGGUAGGGGGCCUUGGUAUUGGUCUUUCACUGGCAGCCCAACUCAUCUGUCCCAAAGGUAGGAGAGCUUGGCCUUGGAAAAACCUUUUUUUUUUUUGCCGGGGACUUGAAAAAUAUCUUAGGUCACUGAGAUCAUGGACCAAUAACCAGCCAAAAGUUAUUUUUGUGAGAUGAGCUAUAUUUAUUUUUAAAAUUUUUUAAUUAGGGAUAAAGUGUAGGUGAAAAUAGUAUAUUGUUCAGAAAAAAUUAUGGUCCAACCAAUUUAGAAUUAAAAUUACCUAUCAUCGCUUUACAAUAAAUGUAAUUAGAGGUCCGAGAAAUUUGCAAACAUAUGGUUAACAAUGAAAAUUUCUCCCUCAUAGCACAUGGAUCACACCGCCCGCAAAUUAACCAUCGGUAGGCAUCAUCCAACGCGGACCAGUCUACUUAUGCAUUAUUCGUCGCUUGCCUUUACAUACUUGGUAUUUUGUUCAAUUUCAUCAGCUCAAGCAGCCUCAAGGGACCACCCUUCAGUGGCAUAUGGUGAACCAAUACUUUUGACACAUGCCUAGUCCCUCCAUUUCGAUGCCCAUACAGCAUCAACUUGCAUUGGAGCCAAUGUGGGGUUGCCGGUCAAGUACCACCACCCUACCCCUGGAGUGAUUUUCCGGGCUCACAAAGAUGCCUUUGCUGUGGUAGGUCUCUCUGGAUGGACAAUUCAGAGGAGCAUCUGCAUGAUAUAGUUGAAGUUUCUAGCUAGUGUGUAUGGAAGCUAGCAUUAAAGGUGGCAUGGAAAUGCAAGUGAUUCCGGAAUAUAUGCUCUGCAGUGAGAUGGACGGCUGGAGCAAAAUGCAGUUUGCUUUCUGCUCUUUUUCCGUCCCUCUUUUAGUAAUCCGUUAUGGUCAUAAAGUCCUUGCUUUUUUGUAAAUUAUUUAUUGCUAUUACCAGAUUUGUAUAUAUAUGGGUCGGUUCAGAGCAUCUUUAUCGGAGCUGUGAGGCUACAAGUGACAAUUUUACCGGAAUAGGUAAAUGCCUCAAGUGAAUCAUAUUCUGCCGUGCAAUGUAAACAACAGGUUAACCUAGCUACAACACCUGGACCAGGACCUCCACUUGGAUGAUUCUCAAGGUCUUCAUUAAUUAUUUAGACAUUAGUGAAUAAUCUAUCAUCCAUGCAACAUUGGACAAUUCAGCUCGCAUGAAAUUGCCUAUUGCAAUUGUGAUGCCAACUUUAGCAGAUUCCGGUCCUUACUCAUCGUGCCACUAUCUGUAUCCUCUUUAUCACAGAACAACAAUUAUUAGAACUCAUUAGUGCAUUUGCACAUGACAUUAUUCUCUACUUUUCUUAAACUUCCCAAGAAAAAAAGGGAUGAAAAAAGACAUUUAUGCGUAAAAGAUGUUGAAGGCUCAAAACUCUUCUUGGACGUGUCGGCGUCACAUUUUUCAUGCGUUCAACACCGUCCUCCCAACUGUCAUUUCUUUUAUGGAAAUUCUCCCUUUGUGGGUACGCAAUCUAGGUCGAUUUUUACUCGUGCAAUUUGCAUGGAUCAUCAGGAGCCAGAGCGGUUUUUAGUUUGUCGUGGCCAGUCUCUUUCCAGCAGCCAACAAGAUAGACAAGGAUAUCUAGCUCCUGUGACAUUGUGUGGCUGCCCCAUUUUUGUUCUUAAUCAGCAACUCGCGAUUAGCCACGUCCCUCACUUAUUGGCUUGUCCAUUUGUCCCCAGUCGCUGCCCUGCGUCGUGUGACAUGUUUGCUUGUCUUGGCAUGCAUUCUGCAUAGCUCACUUGUGUGUUUAUGUCAGCCAUUGCCUAAAAUCAUACUUUGUUUUAAACUAAUCAGCGCGUAUUUUUUCCACUAAGGGUAUUGCCCGAAUUUCAUUACUGGAAGCAACGAAAUUAUAGAGUUUUAGAGUCAGAGUUUACAUCCAAGUUCUGAGCCGAAUGAAGAUGUAGAACUUUAGCCAAAAGGCACAAAGGGCCUCCGGAUGAAGGACGAAAUGAACGCGUCUAGCCAAGAACUGACGACACACACGGACUCCAGCUUUUAACUUUAACAACUCAAAAAAGAUUUCCAGAGCUGCUCGUCACUGCAACAGCACUACUCCCGCUCCUGCUUCCUCCGUCGCUUCUCCCUGUGGAUGGAAGUGAAGCGCCACCUCCUUCAUUGCUUCUGCUCCUUUCUCCAGGUUCAUCUUUGCUUCCUGCUUCUGGAGCCCUGCCCAAUAUGUUAUGAAAGAAGAUGCUAAGCAAACAAUCUCAGAAGGAGAUUUAACUUGUUUUCUGUCAAAGCACACCAAAUUUCUCGCUCUCCACAGAGCUCAACAGACUACUGAUAAACCAAUAAUGUGAGCACAUUUUACUCGGGGUAGAUAACAAUCACACCACACCUAAAACUGGUCCACAGUAGUUGGUCUUCAGGGAGACCCAAUAUUAAUAGCUAUCAGGCUCCAGACAUAUCUUGCUAGGGGGCAAUCGAAAAAGAGAUGUUCUACAGAUUCAUCCAUAUUGCAAAAACAACAUCUCUUGGCUCCCUGCCAAUUACGUUUUAGGAGAUUAUCUUUGGUUAGAAUGUCAUUUUGUUGAGCUAGCCACAUGAAAACUUUUAUCUUCAUGGGGAUUUUAGCUUUUUAAAUCUUUUUGUUUGGUAUCUCAAUGUCUUCACAGCACAGGUGCUUGUACAUGGAUUUAACAGAAAAGCUUCUAUUCUUUUCCCAACUCCAUUGGGGUUUAUCCCUAUCAUCAGACAAGGCACAAGUAGUUAGAAUAUCUCUCAUCUGUCUUAGUUGGGUUUGAGCUCUCUCGUCCAACCACGUUCUAAAUGUUAAUCUCCAUCCUCUUGUAGCCAUAUUUGCCACACAUUCUGUUUGCUCAUAACAGAUAGCAAACAUGUCCUGAAACUUAUCUUUAAGAGGGAUAGAGCCGCACCAAGGAUCUCCCCAAUAUCUGUGUUUAAACCAUUACCAAUUUUGAUGAAUCUACCUUUUAGGUAUAACUCUUUGACUUUUAACAGAUCAUUCCACACAGGGGAAUUAGUUGGUUUCAUUUUUAAAUGUGAUAUUCCUCCUACAAUUUUACACUUUUUCCUCAUGAUUUCCUAACAUAUAUAUCAGACAAUUUUAUACUUUUUCCACGACAGGGGAAUCAGCGCGUAUUAGACGUCGUAUAUCUAGCAACGUAUAGAGUACCAUACACACACAUACACACACAUACACACACUCCCUAACAUAUGGUUUCACAUUAUUACGUAUUAAUCUUUCUUUCGACACUACUUCAUCCUGAAAGCUUCACAGAAUAAUAAUACCAUUUUCCCAUCUAAACCUAUCAUCCAAUAUUUUUUUUUCUAAAUGGUCAUUUGACAAAGUUACUCAAAGAAAAGAAUUGCAAAUUUACACUGCAAGGUAUGUACACGCAGGCAACGGAUACGAACCUACGGAUCGUUUUCAUGGAACCAUCGAGUUGAAUAAAUAAAGCUGCAAGGUGUUUGGAGCUUGGAAGAAUAUAAUCUAUUCCCAGGUCAUCCAAAUGCUAUCCUCUUUUCCGUUGUUUUAUUUUAUGCUACUCCAGCGCAUCUAGACCACUGUGACUGUGCCCAAGAUUCUCGACUUGCGCCUGUGGCUGGUGCUGGGUAAGCUGUAUACCUUAGCGUGGUUGAGUCAGCUGGGAUAAGCUGAUAACAACAAUGGUAUUUGAUGCCUCCUCCCCAACAUAACUUGAUCACAUAAGGAUUAACGGGCAUGCCAAAAAGGUUGCUUCAUGGGUGUGUUUGGUUGGGAGUCAAGUUGGAACCGGACGGGGUCCUCUCUCAUUGUAGGGAUGAACUGAUCCCAUUUGAUGUUUGGUUGGACGAUGGACGCGGACGUUCCAGUUUCGUUGUUUGGUUGGAGGGAGGGAUGAGGGAUGAGAUGGAUGGUGUUUUCGCGCAGUUAACUAUGGGUCUCGAUUGUCAUCCACUCGGAAAAUUAUGGGACCCAUUGUUAGCUGCUCAAAAUAGAGAUGACAGGCUUCCUCUGUGCUACCCUUUCAACGCUCGUCCCGGCCUGCUCUGCUACUCUAGCGCCCGUCUCGGCCACCUAUCGCCGGAUCCAGCGCAGGAAAAGCCGGAGGGUCUGAGCAUUGCCGCUGCCUUGCCCAAGCAAAGGGAGCUCGAGCAGCGCCGCGUGGGCUGCUCCGCCGACGCCUUGACCUUGCGCCGCCAGCACUCCGGCCGUGCGGGCUGCCCCACCGGCAGCCCCUUUGGCCACGCGAGCUCCCUCGGCAGCCACUCUUCCGGCCACCGCAUGUCGAUUUGGCCCGUGUCGUUGCGUCGAUUUGGCUCGCGUCGGCCGUGUCGACAUUUAGUAGCGUCAACUAGUGAAGAUUUGCCAUGUGAAUCCUCGGAUGUGUUAGCUUGCAAGAUAUGGGAUACUUAUACUAGUUCAGGCAAUUUGCCCUACGUCCAAUUCGUGAUGCGAGUUUUUUUAUUGCCGGGCUCGAGAGCUCAAGUUUGCUUGCAGUAGGGGUUUACAAAUGGUGUGUGCGUAUGUGAGUGUGUUCUACUGGGGGUCGAAUCCCUUCUCUUGUCCCCCCAUGUCCUUAUAUACACGGCUCAUGAAGUGGGUUAUACUGUAGAUCAUCGUGGGAAACACGUUCAGUCGGGGCGUUCUCCUCCAAUUGGUAGUCAUAGGGCCCGUCCUCCAGUCGGGGCCUCUUUCUGCUUGAUUCCCUCCGAGAUCUUCGUCAGGGCCCGCUCUUCCAAUUGCCUUGGUUGUUGAACCUGGCCCUUAACUUGAUACCAUCAUGAUGGUGAAUCAGGCGUGCUUGACCGAUAACAAUCCGCAACAGCGCCACAACACCGUUCCCGACUGGAGAUCUUUGUCUUGGGGCGGCUGUCCUAUCCUCUGGGGCACGGACAACGAUGCACCCAACUGAUCGGUCAGCCCGCGUUUCCCUCGCUUCGACCCACGUGGGCUUGGCUGCGGCCAUCACAGCAGGCAGGCCUAGCUAUAUGGUAGGCCUAGCCCAUCAUUACGCCUCGGCCCUCACGUGAUGCCUUGGGCCCGUCUGAUGGCCUGUUUUCCUCAAUUCCUAGGCCUUGCCCUCGAAUACAAUCAGCUAGUCGGGUGGUGAUGGCGGUGGCCUUCCAUUUGUCCCAAUUAGCUUCGUUUUCUAAUCCCUUCUUUGUUUGGGCUUAACGAUGGUUUAGGUAUCUCUAAUCUAGAUACUCGUUAGUAGCCCCCUGAGUCCUUUCUCGGCUGGAAGUCGGGGAGGACUGUACCCCGACGAUAGUCUUCUGAUCGCCUCUUCCAUUGGUCUAUUGCAUUUCGUCUCCGGACCAGCAUACGUUAUUAUUUUAUUGAUGUUGGGUCGCGAUGGGAUAAUUUUCUACCCUACGUCGCAUCAAAGCGACUUGUCUUCAUCGCGCCCUAUCGCCCCUCCCACCUGGAAGGUUUGAAGGGUCCACUUUCUUCACAUGUGCCUCGGGGUUCGUGUCCAUGAGGGGGUCUCUUCGGAGUGUGAUGGCGGCCAAUUUAUAAAUAGGGGGAGCAACAUCCUCCUUUCUCUCAUCCAUCCACGACAUCCUGAAGAAGAUGGCACCCUGCUUCCCUUCCUGCGGAGGGAGGCCUCCUGAUGAAGUCUCCAUUUGUGUGUGAGUGAAGGGGCGUGACGAAGGCAUGUGGAGGUAGCGGAGCGGCCGGUGUCAGGAAUAAUUUAUAAUUUUUUAACCGGAAUGAGUAGAAAAAGCUCCAACCUAAUUAUAUAUAUAUAUAUAUAUAUUUUAUUCCAAACAUGUUUAAUUCAUAGGGAGUCGAAUACAAACCUACCGGAUGCUACUUAUGUGAUUUAACCACUUGUUACUUUCACAACUUAAUUGUUUAUUGGUUCGUUCCGGAAGUUCCCAGCAAAUUUCUUUUUUUUUUUGAAACAGAAAAGAAUAACGACCUAAACACCAUACUACUUAAUGGAAAUUGCACAUUUACACGGCAGCUGUUCCAGCAAUGGUGAACAUGUUUCUUAGGUCGCUGACCACCACAUAUAUUCUGUAAUAGAAUUAAGCGGAUGCAUAAAGGACGACUUGUCGAUUUGCGCCAGGGAUAUUGUUAAAUGGCUGAUGGCUAGCGUCGGGUUUCCAGUAUGUUCCAAUCCUGUUCACGUUUUCGUGUCCCGGCCCCCAGUCUGAAAAAGAAGGCCCAGUCCUUUUCCUCCUCCAGGAAAAUGACAGAAAAGACCCUUGUGGUCUCCCCGCUGUUGCUUUUUUCCUCACGUGCUCCAAUUUGGCAACCACAGAUUGCUUGCAACCAUAGACUUUGUGACAUCGCAUGGAGGGCUAGAAACGUGAAACAAUGCAUACUUUUUCAAAAAAGUGAUGACAUGUUUAGUCUCCUACAAUAUAUAGUCAACUAUUUCCAAAUCGAUGACGUACUGUAACUAGUUUAAACAAGCAAGCCACAUAUAUAAUUAAAAAGUGAAUAAACCGAACGAUUUCCCUUUAAUUUAUUCAGGUACACGGAUACUCACACCAAUUUUUUUAUUCGCUAUUGUAUCCGUACAAGAGAAUUAAAUAAUUUUCAAUUAACUGCAAACUUUUAUACUCAUACAGCUACGACCCUAAAUGUUUUUUAAAAGUGAUGCGUCCAUUUACCCUUAUAUCAAUUGCACACCCUUAAGUUUAUGUUCGGCUCAUGCACAAUAUGUAGGUGUUUGACACGAAAUAGGAUCGCGAGAACGUGUGGAAUAAAAUAAAUCGCGAGCGUGCCAGUGUACUAAGUACAUAAAUAAAGAUAAGGUAGGGAAACAAGUAUUUCAUUAAUUCUUUGAUAAACAAAAUUACAAGUUUCCUUCGUAUAGUACCCGCUAUAGCCUCAUGUGAGGGCCGUCUGGCUCAAGCGAUGCGGUCUCCUGGUUCCCGGGCUUUAGAAAGCUCCCAGAUAAUUACUCCCGCGAAUCAAAUCCAUGGCACACCUUCGAUUAAGCUGCGCGUGGUCGUCGUCUUCAUAUUCGCUUCACUACUUCUUCCAUGCAGAUGAAUGAUGGUGUAGGUGUAGGCGUAAGCUAGCGUAGGCAUGAUCCACGGCCUCGUCGGUCCGUAGUGCCAAUGAUAGCGCGGCCAUUGCUCAGGCUGCGACCGCCUUGUCGUCCGGCCUCGUCGGUCACGGACGACACGUAGAGCGUCGUUUUGGUUGAUGGCAUAUGCAUGGAGAAGGGGAGCGUGGCAUCGGCGACGUCGUAUCGCAGCUUCGCGGUACGUGGAGGACACGGACACACGUAUCCUUUCUACCUGCAACCCAGAGAAAGGAGAGAAGACUCUCAUCUGCUGCUCACGCUGGUGCACGUCCACGCGCAGGAGGAAGGCCAGGGGGCAGGAAGCUGUUGCCGGGUGGAGGAGAUGGCCAUGGCCGGCACAGGUGGUUAUAUACAUUAAUCCUUUUCUCCCUUCUCCGUUUCAUGCAUGGACAGGGAAACGUAGGCAUCGACGAGGUUGGUCCGUCCGUAUGGCUUGCAUCACUUAUACAUACAAUGUAUGUGAUUAACCACGCAACGUCACCUUUUUUAUUGUCCGGUGGAUCACUGUACGUAUUUUGGCUUGAGCUAGUAAUAAAGAGACGAUGUCUCACACAUAUACACUGGCCAUGAAUACGUACUCCUGUUAGUCACGUGUGUGCCAGCUGCUAGCAACCAACCUUAUCUUAGCAAUUUAAAACACCGGGGUCUGGACGUGUAUAAAUUGCAUGGAUACAACCUGCCUGCAUGUGGGUACGUAUCAUUUUGCAUGCUAGCCCCUUGUUAUCGUGCUAACCAUUGUACAUACAGGUGACGUACAAAAACCCAUUAAACAGUAGGGAACAAGAUGCGUUGAUUCGAUCUUAUAUUCGAACUAAAUAAGCAUAAUUGAUACAUGUAAUAUACCGUGUCCAAAUAUAGAAAUUUUCGAAAAAGAACUUUUCAAAUCUUUUAGGAUUAAAUAAAAUCAAUCCAUUUUCUUAAAUUGAUGUGUUACAAUUUACAACUAAAAUUUCUACACAUCAUACGAUUAAAUUCAUUGUAAUCUCUCCUCUUAAGACUCCCCCGACCAUCAUAAAGAUACCACGCAACAGUGAAUCUAACACAACAUCACGAUCCCCCUCUUCCGAGAGAAAAAAAAUCAUGAUCCUCCUCUACCGAGACGAAAACCACCAUUCUCGCAUCCGCCGCGAAACAAGAGACCAAACAGAACGCGCGGCGGCCUUUCCUCGUCCAAGCGAUCUACGAGGGUCGGUCAGUCCACCACCCUCUUGAACCCCGGAAUUCCAGCUGCCGUUCCAUUCCAAAGGAAGAUGCACGGGCAUGCGCAUGCAGCAGCCACCAACCAGUCAAAGACACGCUGCCGCGGCAGCGCAGCCGCGAUCAGAUGAGAGAUCGCCUAAAUUUGGCCGCAGGGGAUCCGGGCGGAGGCGUGGACUGCGCCUGCGCGGCGCAUGCUGGCCCUUGCCCGCCGGUGGGCCCUGCAGGCAGGUGACGUGCCUCCCUCCCACGCCUCUGACCCGGCUCGCGCCUCCCGAAUCUCCCUCUCCCAACUACCCUUCACACCGCUUCACUCUCUCUCUCUCUCUCUCAUUUUUCUUUAUAUAUACACACACAAACACAUAUAUAUAAUAUUAGUCAUUAUCCAAUAUAGAAAAGGAUAAAAAAUCUGAGUGUCCCCCAUCCGUUUUUCUCGUGCUGGUUUUGAAGACUUCGUCCGCGACAAAAAAGAAAAGCCCAGAAAAAAAACAAGAGGGGAAAGAAAAUGGUAUUUUGCGUUGUAUUUAUAAGCAACACUGGCGAAAGCGAUGCCUACUUCCAUUUGGACCUCCGCCUUCCUCCUCUCUUCGCAUCACCAACAAGAAGGCUAACACACACCAACCGAAGAACAAGGAGUAGGAGGGGAAGGAAAAAAAAGGAAUUUUGGUUGCGCAGAGUGUGUAGUAGAUAGAAUAGUGCUUUGAUCUCUCCUUGUUCGAGGUCGGUGCGCGAGGCAAUAAUGGUGGCCGUGGAGGCUGCGGCGGCGGCGGCGGCGGCGGUGGAGGGCCCGAUCCGGGCCGAGGCCAAGGUGGCGGUGGCGCCGGCGCCGGAGGGGGAGGCUAAGGUGGAGGUGGAGGGCGAUGCCCCUGCGGCGGGGGAGGCCGAGGAGGAGGAGGAGAGGGAGUACAAGAGCGACAUGAGGAAGCUGGAGGAGCUCAUGUCCAAGCUCAACCCCUGCGCGGAGGAGUUCGUGCCGUCGUCGCGCCGCGUCCCGGCGCCGGCACCGAAGCCGGUGGGGGUGCUCUCCGCCGACGCGCCGGUGUUCGUCUCCGCCGCCGAGUACUACGGCGCUGCCGGCGGCGGGAGCAGGGACUCCAGCAGCGACGGAUCCAGUAACGGCAGCGGCAACCCUCUGAAUCGCCGGGUCGGUGAGCUGUGAAUUUUGUGUUCUUUAUAUGCGCGUCUUGAUUUGACAGGUUUGGUCUUUGUUUGACUUUUUCACUACUGUGAUCGCUGUAUGAUUUGGGUAUUUGCGUACUGCGAUCCUCUGAACUGAUGGGUUUUAGGCGGUGGCAAUCACGUUCUUCUUCGUGAGAUUUCAUUUUGUCCCGUUCUCCUUGUUUUAUCUUGUGGGAAAUGAAAUCUUGAGCAGCGUUCUGUUUCUGAAUCAUUUGCAGCUGCAGAAUCAUCGUAAAUUGUGAUAUGAAUAACCUUUUCCCCUUGAGAUGACAAUUUGAUCUUGUUAGUUUAUUAAGAAAUGGUUGAUCGGUGGGUGCUAACUGGAGAUUGUUGAAUGAUCCGUGCUAAUGGUACUGCAAUUGCCAAGAAUCUGAUACGUGAAUCGAUGUGAGGUUAAUGGGCUACUGUGCUUGAUGUCAACAAUUCAUUUUGUGGACCUCUAUCAAGCUUUUAGAAUUUUAGAAUUAAAACGUUGUGCUAGCGGCAGUUGUGUGUCCAUUUAUUGGUUCUGGUGGUACGGUGCCAAAUUGACAUUGCCUUUCUGAUAUCAGAGGAGGAAUAGCUUCAACCAAGGGAGGCGGAGGUUGGGGGGCCGACCCCGACGGGCUGAUAGGGAGGAUAGUGUGCGGCGAACCGUCUAUGUCUCUGACAUUGAUCAGCAUGUGAGUACACUGAAAGACAGUGGCCUUUGGAAUUGACGUUUCUGUGUCAAUGUUGUUUCAUUUCUUCUUGUUGCUCUGCAGGUGACUGAGCAGAAGCUUGCUGAAGUGUUUUCUAACUGUGGGCAAGUAAGUUCUAUGAUUAUUUUGUGGAAAACAUGGUGUUAGAUUUUUUUUGCCCCUCCAUAAUGUGAUAGCUAAUGACAAUAUCUGGGUGACCUGUAGGUGGUAGAUUGCCGUAUCUGUGGUGACCCUCAUUCUGUCCUGCGUUUUGCGUUCAUCGAGUUUGCUGAUGAUGGUAGUGUUCUCGACACAUUAUCUUUUCAUUUGCAGUAUCGGUAUGGUAAAACAGUGACAGUGAAGCUUUCCUUUAUCUUCAGCUGGUGCAAGAGCCGCACUAACACUUGGGGGAACCAUGCUGGGUUAUUAUCCUGUUAGAGUUUUACCUUCUAAAACCGCGAUUCUACCUGUGAACCCUAAGUUUCUUCCUCGAGUAAGUGCAUGAUGAUGACACAUGUCUUGUUUAGAUCACACCAUAUUCCCCAAAUUGUUUUUGCCGUGCCAAAAAAUUCUGCUAAUAUUAGUUGUAUUUUGCAGACUGAAGACGAGAAAGAAAUGGUCUCAAGGACUGUAUAUUGUACUAACAUAGAUAAGAAGGUAUGGAAGCCCAUAUUCCUGUCGGUGCAUGUGGCUGCAAACUUGUGAUUCUUAAUUACAAAUAAGAUGCUUUUGUAGUGCUUCUAUGAUUUCCUAAAACUCAAUUGCACAGCUUCUAGCUGUUUUGAUCAGAGCACAUAAUAUUGUAUUGAUAUAGUAUUAUCAGAACACAAUCACUUCCCCAAGAUAUGUAUGAUACCCCUUUUUCUUUCUUUGUUGGACAAAAAGAAAAAGAAUAUUCUGGGAGUUUCUUCUCAUGUUUGUUGCCACUGCACUACCCAAAUCUAGUGCUAUUCUUCCAGCAUGAAUGGUGAAUGCUGAACUUUGUGGUUUUUAUUUGUGUGGUAGUUGGUGAAUGCUGAAAUGUGAUACAUAAGUGAUUAUUGGUGAAGGAAAAAAUGGUUUGAAAGGUUAUGUAUUAAUGUUGUUUGCACUUCUUGUUUGUUUAGGUUACUGAGGAGGAUGUAAAGGUUUUCUUUCAGGGUACAUGUGGGAAGGUAUGACAUAAAACUGCUGGUAGUGGUUGCCUUUUGCAGCCUAUUUAUAUUCUUUAUGAAAUGAUUGACAUCUUAACAUUUUAUUUAGGUUUCUCGGCUGAGGCUCCUUGGUGAUUAUGUACACUCCACAUGCAUUGCUUUUGUUGAGUUUGCUCAGGUAAACAAGUUUUUUUCACUUUUAUAUUUUGAUGUAGUGAAGAUGUUAGUUAAAGUGCUACUGCUACUUAAUGACUUUCAGGGUCUAGGAGUGAGAGCUGAGUGAAUCCGUUUUGAUUGUAAUGUGUGAAUAUUUUUCACAAAUAUUACCAAUUUAAAAGACAACCUCAUAAAAGAGAUAUCUUAAUGAAAUAUUUAAUUAUACUGAAGCUGAACAGUUGCUAUAGGUGUUAUUCAAAACUCUGUUAUCUUGUCCUACUCCAGAUUUGAUGAUCUUUUAGCUAUCUUUCAUUAUACUUCUCAUAUGUUGACUAGAAAAAAAAAUCCAUUUAGUAGGUUGGGAACUUUAAAUAAUUCCACAUAUUAUAAUGCACACUAAUAAUAUGUAACCAGCCGAAUCGGGAUGAUACUGGAACAUACUUUUAGUGAAAGAAACAUAUUUGUUUUUAGGUUACUAUCCUCGAAGCAUUUGGGUAAUGACAUGAUUAAAGGUUUCAUAUCCAUUCUUUUAUGCUCUAUUUUUCUUAAAUUGGUAUUGCCAAGCAGUCUUACAGAUAUAUAAGCCUUUCGCAGCCAUGAUUGUUCAACUUAUGCAGUGCUUUUACUUUGUUUGGCAUGUUCAAUGCAGGCAGAAAGUGCAAUUAUGGCCCUGAACUUCAGUGGCAUGGUCCUUGGCUCCCUUCCUAUUAGGUAAACACUCGGUCAAGAACAUAUCUAUAUUCCUUAAUUCCCAUAAAAGCAUAAUGAAUGAUCAACUCCCCUAUAAUUGUUAGUUUAGGGCAUCAUGAAUCAUCACGUUUUUAAUCUUCUUGUCCUCUAAAUGCGCAGGGUGAGCCCUUCCAAGACACCAGUCCGUCCGCGGUCUCCUCGCGUGAUGUCCAACUGAGCCCAUGUCCUGCUCCAAGCCGCCGUCACCCUUGAGGCUGCCACCAGUGGCAGAUCAUCCCCAGGCUGAGCUUCCUCUAGUCGUGAUCGUGCUAGAGCUGUCGCAUUGCGAAUCAGUAACCGUGGCGCUGUCCUAGUACCUAGUCAUCAUAGGAAAGUCAACUUGCUGCUAAUGUUCUUCUCUCGGAGGCCCAUGCAUCUCUUGUUGUUGGAGGCACCAUUUGCGUUUGUUUUGCUCGCUGUCAUGUUAAUUAUGGAUGAAUUCUUAUAUAACAGCCUUUUCAGGCACGAGAAGAAUAAUGUCUAGCAUCUUCUCAAUUUUUGUGGCCGAUUGUUUAUUCUCGCUGGUUUUAGCGGCGGUAGGUUGUUAUGUAUGCCGUCAUGCGCUGCUGAUAUUGAACGGGCCGACUUUGAGAAAUGCAUGGAACAUGUGUGUUCCGUGGCUGAGAUCUUGUUGAGAUCCAUGCGGAGCUGCAGACGCAAAUGUUGCAGCAUACAAAUUGUGCCAAAUGGCAAGGAAUCAGACAUUCCGUUAGCAUCGCUUGCUGGCCACGGCAAUGAGUGGUCGCAAGGCAGUGAUGGGCAAGGCUGACGGUUUGGGGCAGCACCAAAUAUUCCGAAUUACUAUUUGCUAGUGCUUCUAGUGCUUAAAUAUAAGCUGGAUCAUUAGCUACCGUGCUGUAGCCUAGCUACUUUAAUGGGGGAAUAUUAGGUGGAAACUACCUCUUUGGUGGAAUCGUGAAAACCCCUCUACAAACCAUACUUACAAGUCUCCAAACAAUUUGAAAUGACGCACAUCUACAAUCCAUUCAUAAAUGUACUUUGUUGCAAAAGUUGAGAUCCAAACUCGUUUUGUAAAAAUUCAGAUGAAAAUGACAAAAUUCAAGUGCAUGUGCACUAAAAUAUACAUGUUCCUUGUUCCAGAACUUUUGUCUUCUAGUGCACAUGUACUCGAAAUUUGUCAUUUUUGUAGAAUUUUUCUAUAUUGAGUUUGCAUCUCAAAAUUUGCAACAAAGUGAAUCCGUAGAUACACAAUGGAUAUGCAUCAUUCCAAUUUUUUUGGAAACUUGUAAGUAUGGCUUUCAAAAGGGUUUUCAUGUUUCCACCAAGGAGGUGAUUUGCACGGAAUAUUUUCCCACUUUAAUGAGAGGCAUGAAAGAUUUAUCACCCCUGUUUAAUUUGUUCCAAACCCUUAGAAGUCAUUGUAUUUAAGAAUGGUGAGAGCCGAAGGAGGACGAAGAAGGCAGCAGGUGAAGACUGAAAACGAAGAAGCAGGAGGACGAAGAAGGCAGCAGCUACCGGAUUUCACCAGUUUGCGUGGUAGCUGCCGCAUUUCCAUCUGAUUCGGUUAUCUAAGCAAAUGGAACUGAUAAAAUGCCUUUAGCUCUAUAAUGAUUAAUGACACACUCAUAGAAUUAGAUACAAGCUUAUUAUUCGAUUAACAAAAUUCAUUGUUCCAUAAUUUAUUUCGCAUGAGGCUUUAACAGCCAAUAAGCUCCCCUUGACAUUUACAUCAAGCAAAACCAAAAGGCUCCGAAAUAAAAACUCCUGCAGAAGAGAACACACUAGCGCCGGCGAACUAUCUGCCUACACAGGCUUAACACGUAUCAUCCACCACCUCAUCUGAGAUGGGUUAUUUGUACACCGAGGGUCUGGCCUAGCCGGUGUUCUGCAUCCCGGCGGCGAUACCCUUCAUGGUCAGGAUCAGCGUGUCCUCCAGGCCCGGCGCGUACUCGCUCUCGGGGUUCAGCUGCACCAGCUGCGCCGGCUGGCUCUCGUCGGUGAACUCCUUGGACAGAGCCGGCUGGGGGCUCACCUGGAAGCCAGGGUCACGAAUCCGCUUCAGGGUGUAGGCCUGGCAGACGUUCAGGGUGGUGAUGUACGACUCACGCAGCCGCAGACGCUGCUUCAGGUAAGGAUCACCUUCGAGGACGUCCUUGUGACCGGCGACCUGCGGAAAAUUGGCAAUUGUUGGAAUCAUAUGCAAUAGGACUUAUCUGCCUAUGGCUAUAUUAGUACAAAAACACCUGAAAUGCAAGCAAAACGAAAUCUUUUAGCGUGAGCUAUUAGAGCACUUUACCUGAAGGAGCAGCUCUUUUGUCUCCUCAUAGUUCUUCCUUAGCUGCUCUCCAAAGGACUGCAGAUCUUCAGCCACCAGCAAUUUAUCAUACACAGCUGCGAUUCCUGGGUCUCCCUUGGCGAAAACCAUCUCAAGCAAGUCAAGGGUAACCCUGAAGAAUGGCCACUCAUUGUACAUUUCUUUAAGAGUAUGGAUGUUCCUGAUGUCCUUCUGCAUGAGAUGCUUGAAUGCUGCGCCAAAUCCAAGCCAAACAGGGAGAUGGAACCUUGUUUGCGUCCAAGCAAAGAUCCAUGGAAUUGCACGGAGCGAUUCUAUUCCCCCACUAGGCUUCCUCUUUGAUGGACGGCUGCCAAUAUUCAUCCUACCAUAUUCAGUCUCAGGUGUAGCCUGGAAAAAUAAUUAAGAUCGAGCUUAGUGUUACAACUUAUACUCAUCAUAUCACAAGUUCACAUACUUGUCCACCAACUUUUAGAACCAGCGUAACAGAAGGCACACCAGAUCACCAUGCAGUGAGACAUACACGUUCAAUAAGAGAAAUAUUCCUUUCAGAUAGCAGUUCUCAAUAGGAUAAACGAAUACAACUCAGCUAACUUAAUUAGAAGGAUAGCGUUUGUUUGAACUUUUUCAAAUUAGUGCCUGUACAGAAUUUCAGUUAAAUAAGAUCUGCAUUAAACAUCAGAGAUUUUACAUUUUUGAAGAAAAGAAAUCAUAAAUUGACCAACACAAAACCUAAUUUCAUGUGCAUAUUUUGGCUUGGGGUUUCUUUAGCAGCUUUGAAACAAAGUAUAAACAUCUUGUGCAAGUGUAAAGUGUAUACUUGUUCAAAUACAGGAUAGAGGAUACAGGUGAACCUACCGAUCUGAAGUAUUCAACAAAGCGUGGUUCUUGGAAGACAAUUGAUCGAUAUUCUUUGGUUGCCACAAUAGCCAUUUCAUCCAUCAGAGCACGCCAUUCCGGCUUUGGGGAAAUUGGAGGAUGCAUGCCAUGCUCAAGGGUAGCUGCAGUGUAGCGUUGCAAAGUUCUAAAGCACAGGUGCUCCUCUCCAAAGGAGUGCUCAAUGACCUCACCUUGCACUGUUACACGAAGUGAUCCAUGUAUCGUGUCUGGUGGCUGAGAUAAUAUGGCCAAAUGAGUGGGACCACCUCCUCUGCCAACUGUUCCACCCCUUCCAUGAAACAUGGUCAACUUCACUCCAUACUGCUUUGCCACCUUGAUGAGCUCCUCUUGUGCUUUAUACAUUUGCCAUGCUGCAGAGAGACGUCCAGCGUCUUUACCAGAGUCUGAGUAUCCAAUCAUCACCUCCUGCUUGCCAUUAAUCCUAUUCAUGUACCAGUCAAUUGAAAAGAGUCGUGCUACAGCUGCUGGAGCUGCUUCAAGAUCUGCAAGUUUCUCAAAGAGUGGAACAACUCUCAGUGGAUGUUUUACAUGGCACUCACGCUGUAAAAGCUCGACAGCAAGCACAUCGGAUGGGGCAGUUGCCAUCGAGAUGAUAUACGCGCCAAAGCAAUCUGCUGGGAGCUCUGCUAGGACAUGAAAUGCGCCUAAAACAUCGGCGGUCUCUUCAGUCAGAGGAAGAUCAGAACCAAACAAUGGACGCUUGCCCCUCAGUUCAGACAACAGCCAAUCCUGGCGUUUCUCCUCAGACCAUUCAGCAUAGGAUCCAAUUCCAAGAUGUGUAGUUAUUGAAUCAAGGACAUCAGUGUGCCGAUCAGAUUCCUGCCUGAUGUCAAGUUUCACAAGAGCAAGCCCGAAAGUGGAUACUUGACGCAAGAAAUCAAGGAGACUUCCGUCGGCUAUAGGUUUGUCACCACAGGCACAUAAUGAUCUAUAACAGAGCUCAAGAGGUUCUAGAAACUGCAAUGUAGAAAAUGGUAACUAGAUUAUUAUAAGUACGACAUAAACAAUCACAAAUAUGCAUAUCACAGAAAAAGAUAGAACCUGUUCAACAUUAGUAAAAGUUGCCUCCUCAGGAAUCUCAGAAAUUCCAGUUGUCAAUAAAUGACGAGAACGUUCACGCGUAUAGUACAGUUUAUCCCUGACAUCACCAAGGAUGACACGAUAAGGUUCGUUUGGAGGAACUUGCUUCCAGAAUUCUGCAUGAACAACGUUCAAUUAGUAAUAUAUACAUUUUAGAAAAUGUAGUAAGAGAACAUUCUCCACAGGGGAAAAGGUUACGAUCAUUCACACUACAUCAGAGUGUAUGGUCUUGCAUCCAAGUUGCUGGCUAGAGCUCUGUUUGGUAUUGCGGUAGUGGUUACUAAAAAACACUUGUUUAUUUCUAAUUUUGGGUACUGUUAUCCUAUGAUGCACCACUGACAAAACAAGAAUGAGAAGCAAAAAGGGCAUACUUUAUAGGUCACAGUAAUGACAUCCUUUAAAGGGCAUAACUUCAUAUGUCAAAAGCAAAGCAAGCUAGAUAGUCUGGUAUUCUUUUAAAAUAAUAAGCUAAUUAAUUGAUAUGCAGAUUAACCCAAAUUUCCUUGUUACCAUAAAUUACAGUUCUGUUUACCUAUAUAGUGCUUUGCAGCUCUUUUUGAUGACCGAUGUAAUUCAUCUGCACGGAUCCGAAGUUCAUCACUGCAGCGCCACAUAGAGAGCUAGAAUAGAAUAUUAUGCUGUUAGCACCAGGGUGUUGAAGCUCCUUACAUGUAAGGGGAGGAUGUUUUAUAUUGCAAUACCUCAAACAUUAGAUCUUCUAUCUGAGAGAAGUACAAGUUAGCAGCCAUCAUUCUUGCCAAUAAGCAUACAUCCCGUGUAACCUCUGGUGUAACUCUUGGAUUUCCUAAAAAACAAUACAUUAUUGAAAUUUAAGCUUUUUGUUUCUACACAAUUGGCAAAAAUAAGGAACAAAAAGGAAAAUUAGUUUCGUUAAAAGAUGGAGAAUAAGUAGUCAAUUUCUAGAAGAAAUGAAGAACUGAUGUCACAAUGUCACAAUGACAUGAAGGCCCUAUCAGCAAUUUUCUGUUUCACAUGCCAGUAUGCAACUGAUGUCACAACGAUAGGAAGGCCCUAUCAACAAUUUUCUGUUACACAAGCGAUUAGGGUCUGGAAAUUUUUAUAAUUAUUCAAACUUUUUUCUAUAAAAACUCUUCAAAAAGUGUUAUUCUUUAAGCCAAAAACUAAUUUAUAAAUUGGCAUAUGAAAACGAGAAGUUACCAUCACGGUCACCACCCAUCCAGGAAGAGAACUGAAUGAGAGGAGCAUUGUAAGGGAGACGCUCAUUGAUCCCAAUAUUUUUCAGAGCAGUGUCAAUACGGCGCAAGAAUUUUGGUACGCCCUUCCAUAUAGUUUCAUGGAAGUAACUCAUUCCAGCACGCAUUUCAUCUUGAGGAGUGGGAGGGGUUCUGCGGAUUUCAUCAGUUCUAAAAGCAGCUUGAAUCUGUGAAGUAAACAACAAAUCAGAAAAAGCAAGUUGAGAAUGUAGGGAAAAGAACAUAUUAUUUCCACAUGGCGAGUGUACAUGCUACAUGUACAAUUUGGACUUUCAUAGCAACUGACUGAAAAUGAUGCAUGACCAUAACUCAAUUUUUUAUGUAGAUCAUAUAACCCAAGUGCUCUUAUUUUGCAUUUAUCAUACUAAUAGAUAUCAGGUGGUGUUAACAGUAAAAGGUGGUGCCAUUAUACUAGGAAAUGGGCAGUUCUAGAGCAUAGACCUGACUAAUGACUAAUACACAUGUGACUAAGUUAUUAACUCGAAGAACACAAUAGCUAAUAGCUCCCCCCAUAUAUGACUAGUGACUAAUACACAGAUGCAAUUGAUUAACAUAUGAUCUUUAUGAACAGAAUAACAAACAGCAUCUCAGGAUACAGUAAACUGAAAAUCUUUUGGGCUGAUGAGCUCUGACAAUGAUAUAUGAAGUCUACUUCUCUUUUCAAAGCAUUCUAUUCAGCUUUUCCAUAUAGAAAGUUUGCAGAUCGGAUAAUCAAACCAAACUGCAAUACCGUAUAAAAAAGAUAUGAAGUAAUAUAGAAUCAACUGCAGCAUUGUAACUACCUCUGUUGUACAUAUUUGACCUGUCCUCUCACCUUGUCAUGUGCAGACAUAGAAGAGUUCAACAAAAUAGCUUUUAUUUAGGAAAAUAUAUUUUGAUACAACCAAGGUGGAAUUUUGUCGGAAACAUUCGAUGGGAUCUCAGAAUAGAGCAAUGGUAACCUCACAAUUAAGUUAGAGAAAGAAAUAAUGCACUCUCCAACAAAAUUGAUUUCACAGGUUUGACGGGUAUUUCUAAUACAAUAACCUGCCAACCUGGAGAUAAAAGUCUGUACGACAAACAAUCAUCACCAUAAUUCCACACGCAAAAAUCUUUGUAGUAGCACAGCACACCCAGAGAACCUUCCAGGUUUUACAAAUACAAGCCCUCUGUCGGUGGUACUAUCAACUCAUCUUGAUUGGGCAUAUCUUCUUGGUUUUUGUCAAGGGAAUAAACUAAACCUCUGUCGUACAUAUUUGACUGCUUUCUUGCGUAUAAAGCAUCUUGUUCAAGGUAUUACGUGUCCAAUAAACUACUACUAAAAUAUGUUCUAGCCAAACGAUUUGGCAGGAUCUUGGAAUCUGACAGGCAACACUCACAUAAAGAGGCAAACAAAAAACCCCAACAUAAGCUAAUUUGGCUUUCAGGAGUGGGGCCAAAUUCUAACAACAGUAAUGUGGCCCUAUGCUCUGCCGUGAGAAUAAUAGCAGGAUCCCAUCGUUAAACCCAGAGCCUCCAUCCCGCCACAUCAUCAGGGGGGAAAAUCCAAGAGAUGAUUAUCAGUUAAAUAAUGACUAUGUAGUUUACAAUUAAAAAGCUAGGCCAUCAAAAGGUUGUGGUCACGCUCGAUCUACACUGAAACCUCACGACUGACAUUAUAUUAUAAUAUUCUCAUCUCAAGUGGAGAAAUCGAGAUAUUUUACCUCCCUCUGAAGAGCCUCAUCAAGCUCCUGCUUGUCAUCAGCAGUGAUGUCCUUGGCAUACAGUUGCCUCAGGCAAUUCCGGAUCCUGAACAACAGAAAUAAAUUAACACCAUAGAGAAUUGCAUUUUCCUUCGAUGCGCAUGAUGCAAAGGCAAACAAGGUGCCUCAAUCGAAGCAACGGCAACUCAACGAUCGACCGCACCUGCCAUGCUUCUGGAGCAGGGACCUCCUGACGGACUGCGUGGGGUGCGCCGUGAAGACGAGAUCGACGGUCUGGUUCUUGAGCGCGUCGAAGACCUCCUCGCGCGACUUGCCGAGCUGCGAGACGAGGCGCUUGAGCGUCUCCUCGAUGUCGGACUCGGUGGGCGCCGAGGCCUCGUCGGCAAAGUCCCCACGCUUGAGCUUGAUCCGGCGGCGGUGCGCGAUCUGCACCUCCUCGGCGAGGUUGGCGAGGUUGAGCAUGUGCGAGAAGGAGCUGGCGACGACGAUGGAGUCCCCGGGGGGCAGGCUGGUGAGCUUGCUCCCGAGCUCGCCGAGCCGCGCCUCGUCGCGGUCGUUCUCGUACUCCGCCGAGAGCUCGUAGCACUCCUGCACCUGCGCACGCGAAGAGGCACCAACGGAGUCAGCACGGCGCCGUCGGGACGCGCGGAUCUGGGGUGGCGGCGGGCGAGAGGAGGGGAUCGAUCAGGGCGUACGAAUUCGCGGAGGUGCGGGCCGUGCAGGUCCUGGAGGAUGUCGAGGAAGCGAUCGACGAGGAGGGCGUCGUACUCGACGAGCUUGUCGUCCUCGGAGACCUUGCCUGGCGCCAGCAGCCGCAGCUGCGCGUCGAUCGACUGGUGCCGCUCCAUCGGCGCCUUCCCCGUCAUCGCGGUCGCAGCGGAAUCCGACCGAAUCGAAUUCCCGCCGGACGGCGCAGAGAGUCCUCCCCUCCCGCGCGCCCGCGGCGGGUGCGCGAGUGGAGUGUGGCGGCGGUGGCGGCUAGCGGGAGCGCGGCGGCGGGGGAAGAGGAGGUGGGGGAGAUGGACGCGGCGGGGCAGGAGGAGAUGGGUGGGGAGGUCGAAGUGCUCGUGUGCCUAUUUGUAAGAGAGGAAGGUGGUGAUCUGGUGGUGGGGCCCAUUUGGAGAAUUUUAUGUUUUUUUAUGAGUCUCAUACUCUCAGGGGAAGUAGUUUUGCAGGUUGAUACCUGUGGAACUUGGAAUUAUCCGCAACGUUUGUUUUCUCACGAAUUUGCAGAUUCAUCCUCGGAAUACGAAUGUGAGAGAUGAAAUCCUUCAUUCUAAAUGCCACAUAUUGCAAAUUUUCCUAUAAGAAUCUUUAAAUAUAUGAAUCCCUCUAUAUUUUUUUGCACAGGUGCGAGAGCAUACCAAGCAGAGGUACUGGGUCUGUUCGUUUCAGCUUAUUCAGACAGCUUAUCAGCCACCAAACAGUAUUUUUCUCUCACAACAAAUCAGCCGUUUCAACUUUUCAGCCGGCUUAUAAGCUGAAGCGAACAGGCCUACUCUAUUUUUUCAUAUGACAUUGUAUUAGAGAAACUGGAACAAACGAGGCAAGUUGGGAAAUCAGAGUGCCUCUUUGAGAUGCUGAAUGUAUAUGCUGCAUGAUGUUGCAUGCAGGGUACACCUACAAAUAGUCAGCAUUGUGAUGUAAUGUACUUUCUUUGAUCAUAAAAAAUUGUUCAACAGGUGAUUGAUGGGUCUCCAAUACCAUACUUUAACUUGCAAAGUUGCAAUAUAGUAAAAUAUAUCAUUCAUCAACAACAAUCCUGAUGAAUUUUGUAUUUAUGAUUAGAUUAAGUUUUGCAUUUCUCUACGAUCUCUUGACUUGUUGGUUUUGUAAAUGACAUCAUGAUAAAGGAUAAAGUCAUGCAAAAGGCGCACGGUACUGAAAAAAUAAUCAAAAUGGCUAUGGUGAUGUUCUGUCAUCUUUUUCUUCUUGUCCUCUGGUUUUGUUGACUUUCAAAAACAAGAAAAGUCAUACAGAAGUCUGACCAUGCUGAUAUAGGAUAGAAUGACCACAUGAUACGCUCAAUCACUUUCUCUUCCCAUUUCUUUAUUAAUUUAAUAUGCAUAACAACGUGAGGAGAGGAUGGGUCGUUCUGAGUUGUGUCAUAAUUAUGUACUAAACUUUUGUUUUAAAAGAAUGUACAAAUGGAAAUCUCUCAUGUCAAUUUGUUACAUCACUCCAUGGGAAUAAGAAUUUUGAUUAGAGGAUGGUUUGGCGUAUAUAAUUUUUAACAUCUAUAACAAAAUUGCAGUAUGAGGUGUUGAGAUAAAAAAAGUUAGUAAUAAGUAACCACGCUAUUACUGCUAGUAUUUCUGAAGGAGUAAUGAUGGCCGCCAUAGCAAACUAGACAAGGUGGUGGAGCACGCACACGGUGGACUACUCUUUGCUCUCGUUGCAUUUGUGCCCUUGCAUUAUUCCUACGUUAUUAGUCAUCCUGUUGGACUAGACCUUCACCUAAAAAGAUUGAUGAAAUAGCUAUAGUUUGAAAUGGAGUCUUGUGUAGGACGAAUUUGAAUUUUCUUCCUCCUUGAAUUUCUUUCUGCACGGCCUCUUAUUGCCGCCUCCCGUGGACCAUACAGUACAGUCAGAACUCCUUUGGGAAUCCAAAAUCUUGCAGGGAUCCCCGUGUUUUCCUCAGAUAGGCCCCCCACGCGGGUUUCGGACUCGGGCCAAAUCUUCCUGUCGUUUGGCAGCCCACGACCACGGGUCCGUCGCCCCCUAUCCUCAGCUUUUUCUUGGGCCAGCGCUCCCCACCUCUCGGGUUCGGACACCGCAACCCCGUCUGCUCCACCACGCCACGACUCGCGCGCGAGGGAAGCGAUGCGAUGGAGCCAGCAGGCAGCGCCGCCUCCUCGUCCGCUCCACCACGCCGCCUUUCCGACCAAGCGUUGUCGCUUCUCUGCGUCCUCGUCCUCAUCCCCAUCCAGGCGCUGCUACCCCUUGUCACCUCCCCGUCGCCUUCCCGUCCUCUCUGUCGCCUCCCCGUCGUCAGCUCGAUCUCCACCACUGCUCUGUGACUGCCCUGCCUUGCCUCGUCCCAAGAUCCGGUGAACCCUUCCUCUCUCCUCAUCCUCCCCAGAUUGAGCUCUGAGCUCGGUGAACCCUUCCUCUCUCCUCAUCCUCCCCAGAUUGAGCUCUGAGCUCCCGCUACUUGGAUCUGUGUUAGAUUUGUGACUGCUACUUGCUUUUUUACAGAUAGAUGUGUUAGAUGUUUUUAAGUAAUGAUUGAUGAAUUGGUGCAUAUGAAUUGGUGCGAUUGAGUUAUCCUGAACAGAUCGAUUUGAUCUGUUAUGCUUCAAAUUAGUUAUCUAAUUUCUUCAUAAUACAUUUGAUUUAUGAUGUCUGAACUCUCCUAAAACCUUGUCCCAAGCUCGUACCUCUUCUGGUGGGCGUAGUUUAUGUAUGGUGUAACACCACAAAAUCAACCUUGCAAUCAGAGCCACCCAUCAUGUUGUCAAACCAGAGGCUGCGCCACACUGUGCUUGGGUGGUGCACUGGCAACAUGGUACCAUAAAGAUUUAAUUACCCUUUUGACUUCACAUUAUUCGUUUCCUUUAAAUCAAUCAAAGUAUGUACUCGUAGUGAACAGCUAUUAGUUGUAUCUCCAACCGAGAUGUAAAUGUUAUGACAAAUAUGUAUCAUGCUUACAUCUGUACAUAUCUCAAAGCAUAUCUCAUGCAUGUAUAGAAAGGCAGCAAAAUGCAAAAGCAAAGCGUGCUCUGUUUGGGUAGAUGAUAAACUAAAUUUGUGACCUUAACAGAGCGUACUCUGCUUGUUUCUUUUCCUUUCUUUUUGUGUUUUUAGAUGAAGCCUACAUGUUUCUUAUUUUCUCUUACCUUUUGAUGAUGCAGUGCAGUGAACACAUCCUCCUCUUACAUUUUCUUUGUUAGUCAGCUAAUUGUUUUGCCAUUACAUUUUGGGUUCACAUUCUUAUAUUGUUACUGGUCAAACAGGUGAACCAUCCUAACUCUUACUGCUAGCAUUAUAUUAUGUAUUGGAGCUUACUGUUGCUGCCCCGUCACAAUAUGAAAUGCUUACUUUUUUAAACCUAGCAAUUAUACUUCUGAAGUUAUAGCUAGCUAGCUAGAUGAUUCUUUUGGAAAAGGAAUUCAUGCUUUUUCAAUGUUUAAAAGCACAGUAUAAUUCUCUCAUAACCUGUGAGCUUUUCCUUUUUUCUAGACUAUAUACAUUUAAGUGACAUAGUUUACUUGCCUUACCAUAUACAUACAUAUAUAUAAUGGAAUCUUGGGAGGAUGAAGUUAGGAGAUUCAUGCUAGAGGAGGAAGAAGAGGAUGACGAGCUAUUCCUAGUUAUGGUCCCCGCGCUUCAGCAGUGUCUAUAUGAGGAGAAAAGGCCGGAGCACACCUCAACUCUGCCUGGUGCUGAAAAGGUCAGACAAAUCUUGAAAGGCCAUGAAAAUUGGUGCAAAGCUGAGAUAUUUAGAGUUAUAGAAAAUUAUCUUAGAGUGGAGAACUUGUUACGUGACACCCAUAGUGUUAGAGUUGAGGAGCAGCUAGGAAUGUUUAUGUUCAUGCUCUCUCAUAAUGCAAGCACCGAUAGGCUAAAAAAAAAUUCCAACACCGUGGUGAGAUAAUUCAUAAGAAAAUAACAGAGUUCUUCGAUAUAAUUCCAACACUGACUCAUAGAUUCUGAAGCUCCCAAAUGUGAAUCAUACACAUGUGAAGAUUGCAUUAGACCCUCGCUUUAUGUCUUUCUUCCAGAACUGCAUUGGGGCCAUUGAUGGCACUCAUAUCCCUAUCACCAUUGCACAAGAAAGAGCCGCUCCUUACAGAAAUAGGAAAGGAACAUUGUCACAGAACGUGAUGUGUGCAUGUGACUUUGAUUUAAAUUUCACUUUCAUCUCAUGUGGUUGGGAAGGAUCAGCAUCUGAUGCAGGGGUCCUACGGUCUUCACGUGCGAAGGGUUUUCAUGUGUCUGUGGGGAAGUUCUACCUUGUAGGUGGUGGAUACGCAAAUACAUCCUCAUUCAUUGCUCCAUACUGAGGAGUUAGGUAUCACCUUAGUGAGUUAAGGAGACAUGGAAAUCAGUAUGCAAAUUACAAAGAAUUAUUCAACCAUCGACAUGCGCAGCUACGCAAUCAUAUUAAUUGGGAUCCUAGUCUGUUUAGUAUUUGAGUUGCCCCACAAUCUGGAUGCUUGUUAACUGGGAUACUACAUGCUUAGGAAUAUAGUUCUGUUACAUGAUAGCUUAGGGCACAGAUUAACUUCAUUCAUGAGGCUGCAGUGCCCACUGACUUGGUAAAUUGGACCGGGCCUUCGGCUUCUUUUACUGUUGCCUCUGGAUGGUGUAUAAGCAUAAUCUCCUGUGACAUUAUUGGGUAUAGCAUGUUUCCAUGUUGAAAAGAGUCUGCAUAUUUGGUUUUCAUGUUUUGCUCUCCUAGGUAGUAAAUUAACAAAUUGAGUUGGGGAGCUGGCUGCAUUUUGUUACUGCCUCUAGAUGAUGCAUUCUAACACCCGUAAAAAUCUACCAAAGUAAAUCGCUCGUUAAAAAUGCAUUCCAAAAUUUUUUCCGACCGCUGAGCUUCGUCAAAUCUUUUUCCUUCCGUCGGACCCGUCGUUCUGGCCCCGACUCGUCAACCCUCUUUUUCCGUCCCCGUGAUUUUCGCCACGUGCCCGUCAAGUCCAUCACGCGUGCCGUCAAAUCCCGCAAUCCCCGCCAUCUUUUCCCCUCCCUUUUCUCCCUUCUCUUUCCUUCUUUCUUUUCCCUCCUCUUUCUUUCCCUUUUCCUUUUCCUUCUCUUCCUUCCUCCUCCUUCUCUCUCCCCUUUCUCUUCCCUGCCGCCCCCUUUUUUCUCUGGCGCCUGGAGCCCCCCCUGCCUGGCACGCGCGCCGAGGCGCUCUGGGCGCGCACGCGCGCUGGGCCGCGCUGCGUCGGGCCGCGCGCCCGCGCCCGCCGCGCUGCCCCGCCGCGCCACCUGCCGCACCACCUGCCGCACCGCGCCGCGCUGCCCGCCGCGUCUGCCCGCGCGCCGCGCCGCGCCGUCCCGCGCCCGCCACGUCUGACCGCGCGCCGCGCCCGCCACCGCGCCCGCCGCCCACGCCGCCCGCCGUGCCGCGCAACGCCGCCCGUGCCGCGCCCGCUCGCGCCUUGGCGUCUAGUGCUUGGCUGGGUGCGUCGCGUCGUGUCGCCGGUCGCCGCUCCUGUGCCCUCGUCGACCACGCCGCCACGCCGUCCACGAGCUUCACCACCCCGGCACGCCACCGGCCAAAGGUCCGGCCGCCAUCAUUGCCUCGGCCUUCGUCCGCCCGUGCGCCGCCUAUAAAAGAGGGGAGCCGAGCCCUGCACCUCCACACCAUCACCACGAGCACCUUGCCUACCUCCACCACCGCCACCAGAACGCCGCCGGCACCCCUUCCUUCCCACCCGCGACCGGCCAAGGUGAGGGCCAAAAUGGGCCCCCCACACCCUCCUCUUCCUCCCCUGCCGCUCAGCCUCGCCGCCGGCGAGCUCGGUCGGCCGGCCCCACGCCCAGCCAUCCCUUCCUCCACCUCCUGUUGUCUCCAGGAAGAAGAAAGGGAUAAAUCCCUCUCCUCGCGAUCUAACCCACCAGUUUCCCUUAUUCGCGAACAAGUCCUCCCACCAUUCCAAAAAUAAUUACAGAUAGGCCCCUGCUCUCGCGGUUCAGUCCUAAACCUCAUUUUAAAGCCCCUAAUACUCCUUUAACCCAUCAUUUCAUGCGCCAAACUUCCUCCAAUCGAUCCCAAAUUCGACCACGACCUCCUCUCAUAUGUUUCCACCGAGGCAUAUCCAAAGUUCAUGAAAAUACCCUUCCUAUCUAUUUUCCGUUCACAUUUCCUGUUCGGAGCUCAACGGGUAAAAUCUUUUUCCUUUUAUUUAUUGUGUGCUCGUUUGUGUGUGCCGUAGAUCGCGGAGUACCCGAGGAGGAGCGCGAGGAGGAGUUCGACCGCGAGCCUGAGCCCGAGGACCAAUACCGCGAGUAGGAGCUCCCGGAAGGCUUUGAGAACGGCAAGUCCAAUCCCACCCUUUGAUGCAUAUUUAAUACCCAGUUUUUCAGACACAACCUAUUGGCCUGUUUUAUAAAAUGCAUAUUGUUUUAUCGCAAGACAUGGUUGGAUAGCCACCCCUUGAUUGUUAUGAUUAUUCCUUGUUGUCCCAUAUUUAUCUCUAAAUAUGAGUUGCUCUGUUUAGAUGAUAAAUACUGCUAGAAUGCUUAGGAACUCAUUAUCCAAAUUCAAUCAUGAUUACAUUUGUUUAUUCGAAAAAUAAAUGUGUGAGUAUGUUCAACUGAGGAGUUGGGUUUUCGGGUGUAAAGAGAGGUGGUGGAUGAGAUGGAUGGGCGUUUCUUGUGUGGAAUGCCGGAUUGUUGGGCUCGUACCUUAGUGGUUGAGCAGAGUUGGAAGAUAUCCAUCUUGUCAUGGCUAAGGACCGAGUUGGUGUGUCAUCCUGCCUAAUUCCAUCAUCGUGCAACCACUCGACCGUUGUAUGGGCAACGGCUUAGCAUAAACCCCACUAGCCAAACUGCUAGGCUUCACGUGUGCUGGUGAGCAACGGGAGCCCUUGGAAAAGGACUAAGCUCUUGGUGACUUAGGUCCCGGUUUCGGCCCCGUGGAUGGGUUGCUAACCCCUUGGGUGCUUCCGUGUUGACUAGUCAGUGUUGGCUAAGGUGGGUAAUGGCUUUGUUAGGAUCCGUACUGUCACUAAGGUGAUCGUGAUACGGUACCCUACUUGUUGGAAAAGUGUACAACCUCUGCAGAGUUAAAACCUAUCCGGGUAGCCGUGUCCACGGCAUUGGACGAGUUACGGCUCGGUCACACAACUAGCAUUUGGGGGAUGACGGGUAUUUACGGUGUGUGUGUGUGUGUGUGUGUGUGUGUGUGGGAUUUUGGAAGUGUCCGGUAGAUGUGCCGUGCGCUACGGCGGAUGGGGAGUCCGGUAGCGAUAAAACUUGGAUCCUUUGUGUAGGAUCAACCCCACUUGAUAUAUCGUUUAUUAAGGAAAGGUUUUAUGAAAAUUCUAUAAAAUGAAACCCUGCAUGUGUCAAAAAUCUAGCUUUAUUGCAAAUAGACCUUGACCAUAUCCUUGUUGAAUCAUAUGCAUAUUCUUGUUGUAUCCCCCUCCGUGGAUGGGGUUGGACUUGCUGAGUACUUUUGUACUCACCCUUGUGUUGUUGCUUCAGAGGAGGAUCCGGACUUCGUCGCCGAGGACUUCGAGUAGGAGGUUGCGUCUGCACCCAACGCUGCCUGCGGUGUUGGCCCUUUUGCAGGAUGCUUCCGCUGACGCAUAGUUCCGAUUGCAGCCCGAAGUCCGACUGGACUGCAACUUGGAUUUGUAUUGUUAUCGCUUUAGUCUUGCUUUGGGUGUGGCUUGCCCGCCCGCUCCUUCGGGAGUUGUACGGUUUCUGAACUAUCUGUUGAAUAAAUGUGUUAUCAGCCUCCUGGGACUGAUAAUUGGAUCGCAUUUAGUCUCUACUUAUGUGGGGACGCUUCAUGCAUGCUCAUUGCCUCUGUUCUUGUGAUAUCAACUGAUGGGAGUUGUUACUUUUAGGAUUUUUUGAUCAGUUGCUGCCUGUUCUUAUUUCUUUCUAUGUUGAAGGUUUUGUGCUGUGGGUCUUCAUGUUUUAGUCUUCUUAGACAAUUUCCAGUGUGUGGGUGAAGUUUAGCCUCUAAACCUGGGCCCAGGACCUGCUGGGUUGAUACACCUAACAUAAUUUUCUCCAAUUGCACAGGCUAUUUCAUUUAGUACAUGGUAGAAGGUCUUAUCAGCUUCAUUUUCUUGUAGCUUCUACAUUUUCCUAUUAGGUGAAGGGUACCCGGUGUACAUUUGUUCCGUUGUACAAUAAAACCCUCUAGCAUUUCUAAAUACUGUGCUUGCUUUGCUUAAGUUUAUAUAGCAUUGUGCAUAUUCGGCUCCUUUAAUUAAUUAUUCACUUGUUCACCCAUUCAAUUUUUUUAAUAGAAAGUGUAGUCACAGUAGAUUUAAAUUUUACAUCAAUUGAGCCUCCACCACAAAGAACUGAGUUGCGAGCUGAACCUUACUCCCCAAAGAAGUGAGCUGCGAACUGAACCCACUCCCCAAAGAAGUAUCUCAAAGCAAAACAAUCAUAGCAUGGCUUCUAUUGAUAGAAACCCACUCAGUUUUGGUCUUGGUGGUGUAGAAAGCACAGAAGUUCAAUCUGCUCCAGCUAGUCGUAAUUCAGAGGACCAAGAUGUUACCGGUGGAAAGAAACGCAAACAAAGUCAGAUGGCAGCAAAACUUGAGGAUUACAUUGACUAUAGAAAGGAUCAGAUUGAAAAAACUCUAGAAAAGUUAGAAGAGAAGAAGAGAUGUGAAGAAGCUACUCAAUCGAGAAAUGUAUUGACAUGGUGGAUGCCAUGGAAGGGCUAUCGGAUGAACAAAAAGCUGAUGCAAAUGAAGUUUUCCAAAACGAAACGUACAGAAAAAUAUUGGUGGGCACCAAAAAUCCAAGUGUCCGGCUGAUUUUGUUGAAGAAAAAGAUUGCUCAGUUUUGUACCCUUGCUCAAGUGUUGGUUGAAUCCUCCAUUUGCAUAUAUAAAACAUAAAAUUUUGUCCCCUGCUAAUGUCACUGAUUUUAUUUUUUUUGUGCUGCAGCUUUCUAACUACGGUGUUUAUUUGCCAAAAUUUGUGAGUGUUGAAGAGAACCAAGAGGCACAAAGAGAAUGGUUGGGGGAAGAUCCUUGGCUUCGUUUAUAAAAUUUUUUUUUGCAUUGCAUCAACGUGUAAGUUAAAGAGCGAAGUUUAGUAACAGAUAACUUGUGAUAGAUUUUGCUUGUUGAUCGAUGUCAUAAGCAAAAUACAUGUCGUUACUAGAAGAGAAAUUAAGCUGUUAACUUAGGAUCACUACUUGACCUCCUGUGCUGCUUCCGUGUGUAUGGUUCACAUGGCGAUAUUUCUUGGGCUAAUCUUCCAUGUGUAUGUGCUGCUUCCGUGUGUAUGUGCUGGUUCUUCGAUAUUCCCUCCUGCGUUGCUUGCCCUACCUAAGAACUUCCAAAUAGUGAUGGGGAGAGGGCUAGAAAAACCCUCUGGUGGAAGGGAUUUAAAAAUAAAAAAAUUCCCGUAGAGACAUUUCUUUCCUGAGCUAAUCAACGCUAUGCUUCCAAAGGAGCUCUCAGGGUGACGCCAAUCCUCACGCUCAUCCAUUAAUCUAGGAGACAUAUAUAAGAAAUCCCUUUCCUGCCAAAUGCGCUUGAAAGGCAAAAUUCUCUGUCCCAACCAACUCGUAUAUUUUUAUCACUCAGCUGCUCAAAGUUGCCAUUGCCACCGUCCCAGGAAUUUUGUAGUCCACAAGUGGUUGUUGCCAUGUCCAAAGCAAGGUACCUCAAUCAUUCAAGGUAAACAACACACAGAACUGGUGCCACUCUUCGUUCAUCACGGGGGAGUCUGGAACGGAACUUGGCGUGCAAAGCCACGGCGAAUUCAUGAAUCUUUAAGAAUUUGGGCCAAAAGAAAAAAAAAUCUCUCGAGUCCAGAAAGCCUGGGAUGGGGGCUUAAACGGCUCGUGAAAAUUUAUGGAUCUGAUGAGGGCUCGAUUGCAAAAUGUGGCGCUUAAUCCAUCGGGAGCCUGGAGUUUGCAGAGUUCCAGUGGGCGGCCGUCGUGGGCGGGAUCCGGCGGGAAUCUCGAUCGCAUCGACCAGUCUACCACCCACUUGAUGCAAAAUUAAUUGCAGGCCCACAUGAGGAAACUAUGCAAUGGGUGCAGUAAUUUCCAGGGAUAGAGUCUUGUGAGGUGGUAGCAAUGAAAACUGUACGGUGGUUUUGGAGUUGGAACUGCCAUAAAGAAACCUCCUAUUAAAAUAAACAAAUGGCAGCAAAAUCAUGGUUUUCCAAUUUGGCCAAGUUUUGACUUGGAAACAACAACAACAAAAAAACUUACGUUGUGGUACCUUUGGAGUUUGGUCAGAGUUUGCAUGUUUUUAAACCAAACGAGCUCUUGCGCGCGGAUCAAACGCCUAAUCCGUGCCUGGGUGAAUCCGUGGAGCAGUUGGCUCGAACGUGCCUCCUUGCGUUAGCAUGACGCGCUCUCUUCCGGCGCGCACCAAUAAUUCGGCAUCACGGGGGCACAUUAUCGUGACACUCUUGUCCGCUACUACUACUACGACGAGUAUUCCAUUAGCCUAAUCACGCAGGAGAUGGCAACGUUGACCAACUUCCAUCGGUGUCAGCAAUCGCGAAACACUAAACUAAUAAUAUAAUAAUAAAUCGGGGUGAGGAAGAAGAAAGAUCCCUCUUCGCUUUCGUACGUGCUACAGCGACGCUUCGCUGCUGCUGCUUCUUCUUCUAAUCUUCUUCCGCCGUCCCACGCCACGGCCUUGACCUCGCGAUCUCGGCGGUCCCGUUCGUUCGGAGCCUCGGGUUUCUCCUCCCCACGUUCAAAGCACACUGGGCCGGCUGCGUUGAAGUGCCCCCGUUUUUGCUUCGGUUUCAGCGAAAAAUUGGCAGACGAACAGAGAAAUUCCAUCACUCUCCCGGCUGCUCGGAUCGGACGUGCGUGCGAGGGAGAAAGAGACGGGGGGGCUUCGUGUCUUUUUUCUCCGGUCCGCGGAUAAAAAGAAGUUGUUGCAGAGGAAAGAAAAAUGGGGAGGUGAGGUGGAGUUCCGGUCGUCAGCUUGCGAGGAGGCGUGCGCCGACGCGUCACGACCUUUCCUUUCCCUGUCAUCUCGGCACAGGAAAGUUGCCCCACCAAGUGGUGAGGUGGACGAAGGACGGUGAUGGAUAUUCGCUUUCCUAGAUCUCCAUGGCUCUUUUGCUUAAAAAAAAAAGCUCUCAUGGUUGGCUCUCCCCCCGUCGAAAGCUUUCCAGGUGCAGUGUACUUGGGCAAAAAUAAUCCCCUUGCCAUCACCAUCAGAAAAAGGAAUAGUGUUCCUCUCAUCAUUAGCUUAGCUCCCUGCCAUUUUCAUGAAUUGUGUUGCCCUAGUGGUUACUACUAGUAUUAGUAUAAACUCGACUAGCCUAAUUUAAGUAUGAAAGCAACUGUCCCCCCUCAAAAAUUAUACACCAUUAUUGGUAGGUUAGAGCUCUGUCCAGGCCAGUUGGCCAUACCCACAAAUACUCAGGGGAAAGUGCCGUCCGUAAACGAAUGGACGGCCGGUACAUACGGUCCUCGGGAAAAAAAAAACAAUGGCAUUUCGUUCAGCACUUCGUACCGGUUGCAAUUAGACUUGGUACUAAUGUGAACAUUAGUAUCGGACCUCACGGAUAGUUCCCGAGAUGCUCCCGUGACCUCUUUUAGUACCGGGGCGAACUCCACCCCGUACUAAAGGUUACCCAUUACUAAAGAGCUCCCAUCGAUCCAUCCCCCGCUACGCUGCCAGGCGCUCCUCUUAUCCAUUCGUCCCACCCUCCUGUCUCUCUCUGAUCCUCUCUCUCAGGUUCCUCUCCUCCUCUGCCUCCCCUCCUCUCCCUCCUCCGCUCGCCCCUCACCGGCAGUGAGGAGUAGCGGCGGGGUGAGGUGAGGCGGCGGUGGCGAUGGCGGGCGGUGGGGAACUAACAAUACUGGUUACGAAAUCGGUACUGAAGGUCAUGGUCCUUUGUCUAUAAACGAAAGACGAAAGAAAUGAAAGAAAAGAACUAGUGUCGGGUUAGUGUCGGGUUCUCUACGUACACAUUAUUGUAAACAAAAAGCUAGCCUGCCUCACGAAUGAAAGCGCAACGUAACGUACCGAACAAAGGUGUGGGCAUCGCAUGGGGAUCGGAUUCAGCGAUUCUCGCUUGCUCCUGGGUCCUGGCACACCUGAUUGGGCCAUGCCACGGAGAUCACGAUGCGCUUUCGACGCGAAAGCAUGAGAAAAAGAACCGAACAAAGUUGGCCAACAACGCGGCGAAAGAAGUGGCUGGCGCAUAAGAAUGAAGGUCGGUCCGCGCAGGCCGUGGCGGCAACAUCUUCUCUGCUUUUACGUGCACGUACUGGCAGCUGCCAAUCUGCAGAAAUACGAGGGACCGUGUGUUUUGGUACCUGAACACGGUGUUGUUAACAGAAGAUCGAAAAAGAAAUACCCGCACCGAAAAGAAAACACUUGUUUAUCCUUUUUCCUAAAAAAAAUGGAGAUAGUGAUAAGUAGUAAGAUGGAGAGCAUGGCUAUGGGUUGUUUUAUUUGCCAUGAUUCGGUACUCUCCCGGUCCCAAAAUAUUAUUCAUUUUGACUUUUUUUAUAUAUAAUUUUUACUAUGUAUCUACACAUAAAAUAUAUUAGCAAAUGUGCCCGUGCGUUGCGAUGGGAGAAAAAAAAUCCUCGCACGUCCGUUAGCCAGUAUACAUGGCAAAAACUCGGCUGAUUCCGCCAUCAUGAAAGUUGUGCCGCUAAUCACUAAGAUCCCGUUUGCUUCCGCUGACUUAUUUUUAGCACCCAUCACAUCGAAUGUUUAGAUACUAAUUAGGAGUAUUAAACGUAGACUAUUUACAAAACCCAUUACAUAAGUCGAGGCUAAACGGCGAGACGAAUCUAUUAAGCCUAAUUAGUCCAUGAUUUGACAAUGUGUUGCUACAGUAAACAUUUGCUAAUGAUGGAUUAAUUAGGCUUAAUUAGACUUAAUAGAUUCGUCUCGCCGUUUAACCUCCACUUAUGUAAUGAGUUUUGUAAAUAAUCUACGUUUAAUACUCCUAAUUAGUAUCUAAACAUUCGAUGUGACACGUGCUAAAAAUAAGUCACCGGAAGCAAACGCCCCCUAAGAUUCAUUGGUGCUACCGGACUCAUAAGACGAGCAUCAUCAUUCCCAAUCACCAGCUUUGCCUGUUCCCCCUCCCCUCAUGGUCUGUCGGCUGUCGCCUGCAGCCUGCUCAUCAAGUCUGCCUAGAGUUUACUGCGCUCUUGGAGUCCCGCGAGCUCAGGCAUAUACUACCCCACCACAUUAAUCUACCGUUGCCCGACUCCACAUCUUAUUCUUCAAGUGCCUCCCUCGUGAUGUGCUUCACGGUGUCAUCUUUGAGCAGACGCACCCCGUCAAAUUCAUCGUCUAGACCGACUCUACAACUCUAGAUCCCUAGACGCAGGCCAACCCGAACCAAUGGGUCGACAUUGUCCAGCUCGACAGCAUGUACCCUGCCGCCGCACCUUCCUCUAUCUCAAGGCUCUCGAUUGUUCUUGUUGUCUCGCUCGUCACGACGACCGCAUCCUAGUGUAGCAGUACAUGAUGGUUGUGCGUGCAGGCUAAACACGUUGUUGUCAUAGAGGCCAAAAGAAAUUUAUUAUGUUAUAGCUGAAGAUAUGACAACAUCAUGCUAAUGUCACGCCAUAUGAACAUCAAUUUUUUCGUUAGAUUAAAUUGCAGGUGACGUGUAUUUGCUGAUGUUGCCUAUUGUGUCUCCAAGCGUGAUCCAUUUAUCCGCAGCCUGGCUCAGGGGGGCUAGCUAGCUGGCCCAGCCGGUGUAAUCCGGCCCAGCUAGCCGCUGCGCCUAGCCCACACACGCACGGGUGGGAGUCAACACAGAGAUCGUGGGUUGAUUAAAUAAAAAAUGAGGAAGUUUUUUACAAAAUAACCACAACGGUCGGAAGAAACUAUCACGCUUUAAUAUUAUAUAUAUAUAUAUAUAUAUAUAUAUAUAUAUAUAUAUACUAGCAGAAAUACUCAUGCGUUGCUACGAGUCCUUACUUUCUCUCACGUUAUUAUUCGCUUAUUCCUAAUAUGUUGGUUUCGCUUCACAAUAUGUUGGUGCGUUGUCCUAGUAUAGUAGAAAAUAUUUGUGGGUAGUUUGAUGCCAUCUGUUUAUUACGUGGGACCCACACAUGGAAAUAAAAAAAUUAUCGCUUAACCUCCGCUCUAUCCAUUCAUUCGAUUUCCCCUGUACUCAUUGUUAUCCAGCCAGUCGCCGCCUCUUCGUCCAUCAGCACCACCCGCAUCUUGCCCCAUCCUCGCCGUCACCGAGGCGCUACGCAUCUUGCCGUCCUCGACGUCACCCAGGCAAGCGUUCGUCCUCCCCGUGCCUAGCCUCAUCCCCGCUUCAAGCGCUAGGCCACAGCGCCUCUGGCCGCCAUGAGAAGGAGUGCGUUCUCCUCUUCUUCUUGUUUCCAUCCAAUUACUAGAUGUGGAGGUCUUAGUUCUGGAUCCAAAGGGGAUGGACGUCAUUGAAAGGGGGUGUGAUGUCCCGACCUCUGCCCCUAUUUGCGUUGCCUGCCGACUGCCGCUGUGCCCCCCUCCCCUGACACCAUGCCCUCGCUAGCACAUGGCUCUACUUGUUGACUACAAGAAGGCACUCGGCUCCUUAUUUCCUUUCCCCUUCCUCCUUUCUCCUUCACCCCUUAGGUCCAAGUGGUGGGUAGGACGUGCAGCCCGAGUGAGCAGCUGCCCACCAGAGCGAGCAACAGUAGAUCAACACUCUAGCUAGUCGUUUCAUAUGGAUAUAGGGCGUGGUCAAAUCCCAAAAGCCAAUGUAAAAUCGUAUGAAAGCGAUGGAUGGCUGGUGAUUGAUGACAGGUCAGAGGGUAGCUGACCACCAUUAUUUGCUAAGCAAUGAAAGUGAAAAUAAGAGGGGAAUGUGUCGAUCAUGGUAUGGACGACUAGAAGCUACCGUCAUCCAUCAUCAUGAUCUCAUUCAGCCCGUCCCAGAUGUCCUGCUCCUUCAGCAUCGGCCUCGCGCUGUGCUGCUUGGCCGCCGCCGCCGCCACGUGCAUCGGCAAGGACGCGUUCGACCCGCAGGUCUCGUGCAGGCUCUUGAGCAACAGCUGCGGCAGAUGGUGGCGGCAGCGGUACGUCGAGGUCAGCACCCAGGAAGGUGCGGGCGCGGGGCCCCCGGAGCUCGAUGGCGGUGAUGUCGUAGGCACACGCGGCGUCCUCGGCGGUGUCGAAGGUGCCGAGCCACUUGCGCAUGGCACGGUGCGGGUCGCGGAUCUCCACCGCCUACUUGCUCACCCUCUCCCUCCGCUGCCGCCGCACGCCAUGGUACUUGCUCACCCUCCCCCUCCGUCGCCGCCGCCAUAGCUUGCCCACACCCCCGGCGACGGCGGCACGGCUUGCGGACGCGAGCUACUCUCCUCUGUCGUCAUUGUCGCUGCUCGACCUGUUUGCGCCGCACGUGGUGCAAGCACACGCCGUGGGAGCUUCAACGACCAAUUGCAGUAAAGUUUGGGGACCUUUUUGCUGAAUCGUCAAGACAUAUUCUAAGGAUUGCGGCUUGAUUAUGAAAAAGUUGAGGGACUAUUUUGGAAAACAACCACGACAGUUGGAAGAAACAACCGCAUUUAAUAUUAGGUAUAGAUAUAUAGCAAAACAGCCAGUGUUGUUGCUACAAAUAAAAGCAAUGUAUAUAAUUUAUAGUAAUGAUGAUUAAUUUUUUAAAUAUGUGACAUAUAUGCAUUUUAUGUAUCUUUCUAUGCAUUUUUUAACAAAGAAAUAUUUUCUAUAAUAAUUUGAUCACAUUAACAAUAAAUAUAAUCUUCUAUAAUAUACUCUGUUGUGGACGUCUCUCCGUGCGCCUAGGCCACCGUUGGCUCCGGCGGUGUCAAGGUACGGCUUCCUAAAACCUUGGUCGCGUCUUUCUCCACGGGCAAGAGGGCGAGCUCCUGCAGCGUACCGCCUUCCGUGGUGCUCUUGUCCUUGGUGAACGGGGAACACGCCGCCGUUCAUGUGGCUACCAGGCUACCAGCUCCUCUCCCACGACGAUGCCAAGGACACGAAGAGUAGCGAUGGUGCUCGAGUAUGGCUAGAGUUAUGGCGCGGGAGCUGCAGGAACAACGAUUGCCCGCGCGCGGCGUUGGGUCUGCACCUUUUGCUACCUCAGCCUCCAUGGAUGCUCCGGGACGACACGGCGGAUGAGGAGGACUAGGGGGGAAAGAGAGAGGGAGGCAGGCACAAGCGGCAGCAUGGAAAAGGGUGGUGAUACGGACGAGAAAGAAAGAACUGACACACCGCGAUGAACACCUUGAUACAAGACUAUGGACACCUUGAUUCAAGACUAUGGGUUGACUACGAAAGAUAGAAGAAACAAUGGUACUUUGUAUUGUAAUAAUAUGUAUCAGUAGCAGCAGCAUAGAACAUUAAUCAAUUAAGAGCCUGUUUGGAUCCGGUGUCCUGAACUUUUGAACAGGUCACAUCGGAUAUUUAGAUACUAAUUAGAAAUAUUAAAUAUAAUCUAAUUACAAAACUAAUUGUACAGAUGGAGUCUAAUUCGCGAGACGAAUCUAUUAGCACCAUAUUGUCAAAUCAUGGACUAAUUAGGCUUAAUAGAUUCGUCUCACGAAUUAGUAUAGGAGUUCUGCAGUUAGUUUUAUAAUUAGCUCAUGUUAGUCCUCCUACCCUCCUAAAAUUUAGUACCUUGUAUCCAAACACCCCUUGGAUACGAGGUGCUAAACUUUAGCAGGGUCACAUCGGAUAUUCGGAUGCUAAUUAGGAGGACUAAACAUGAGCUAAUUACAAAACUAAUUGCACGUAUAAAGUCUAAUUCGCGAGACGAAUCUAUUAAGACUAAUUAAUCCAUCAUUAGCAAAUGGUUACUGUAGCACCACAUUGUCAAAUCAUGAACUAAUUAGGAUUAAUAGAUUCGUCUCGCGAAUUAGACUCCAUCUGUGCAAUUAGUUUUGUAAUUAGACUAUAUUUAAUACUCCUAAUUAGUAUCAAACACCCCCAAUUCAGACCGAGAAAAAUAGAAGUUCAAACAAAAUACUCUGUCUAGCUCAAUUGACAUUUACAAGUUAUAGAAACAAGAAUCCAAUCAGGCAAUCAUCUGGAUAUCAAAUUCACAAUACAAGCUUUGGAACGAACCCAUGGUGCAGAAUCUCAAGGGACCAACACAAAUCGACAAUGUAGAGUAUGGUUCUGACCAAUCGAAAGAUCGAUCUGUGACAGAGAGGAAAAGGGGACGGGGACUGUAUGCAGUCCCAUGAAAGAUCGAUCUGUGACAGAGAGGAAAAGGGGACGGGGACUGAACAGUUCAGCAAUCUCACCAGCAGCCAAUGAAAAGCCGCACGAUGAUGAGGAGAUCGUAGCAGGGAGCUAACGGAUCCACGCGAAAUCUACCCGGGGACCGGCGUGAGGGAGCUCCGCUGUGGACAUGUGGGGCCUCCAGCCUGACGAGCUUCGGACGGAGGGGGCUGUGGGCGGCACAGACAUCGGAGGCGAGCUUGGGGCUUGGGGCUGAGAUGGGCUUGAGCGGGGGAGUAGCUGACGCAGCGGCAGCCACGCUCGAGCGGGGGAGGACUUCGUCUGAAGGACGACGAAUCGGCGGCGGAAAGGCUCGAAUUGGCCGGCAGCACUUGGGCUCAAGCAACGAACGGUGGGCGGUGUUCGAGCUCCCUUAUACAGCCAGUGUCCGCCGUGAAUCGGCCGCGGGGCACCAUCAGCUUCGGUUUCUGCCUCAUCUGCUCCCCAGUCCAACUCAUCAUCAUUAGUCAUGCCCUUUGAGGCCUCACCAUGGGCUUCGCAGCUUCACCUUGGAGAUCUCGUAGGACAGCGAGACCCUGGUGGGCUUGGGCUGCAGCGCCUAGGCAUCGGAAGCCAUCCCGCCUGACCUCUGCUCUGCGGUGAGGUGGUCGGCGACCGGUGGUGCAGGCGAUCGGAGGAUGGCGAGGGGGCCGGCGGCGGCGGACGGCGAGGUCAGGGAAAGGGACUGGAGGAGGAGGGCACCGCGACGGGCGGUGGCGCGAGCAGCCGGAGGAUGGCGAGGGGGCCGGCGGCGGACUGGAAGAGGAUGUUACGGAAGCGGACUGGAAGAGGAGGUCACGGGAGGAUGGGACACGGACGGGUGGAUGGCACUGUUACCUUUUAGCAAAAAUGGUCUAAUUCCAAGGACUGAGGUUUGAUUACGAAAAAGUUGAGGAAUUUUUGUACAAAACAACCACGAUAGGAAGAAACAAUUGGUCCUGUUCGCUUCAGCUUAUUCAGUUGGCUUAUCAGCCACCAAAUAGUGUUUUUCUCUCACAACAAAUCAACCGUUUCAGCUUUUCAGCCGGCUUAUAAGCUGAAGCGAAUAGGUCUAUAUUGGGUAUAGAUAUAGACAUAGAUAUAGGUGUAUUUUAAAAGUUAUAUAUUUAUAAAAGUCUAAAUGAAUGGUAAUUUAGGAGGAGGGAGUAAUAGGCUAUGCGUUUGAUAAUGUCUCUCAUCAAGACUCUUACGAUGUUUUUAUAUCUGUUUACCUCCAGCUCCAUCGGGGCUUGACGUUCUCCGUCGGGCCGUCUAUGCACUGAACAUGAUGUAAUAAAUAAAGACGAGAAUUUUUUUUUCAUCAUUGAAAAAAAUAUAAAAAGAGUUUAUAUGCUUCGAAGGAAAAACUUGUAAACAAUUCGGGGAUCAAGUAGAUGAAACCAGGUGGAAGGAGGACAUCUUCUGACAGGCCCAUGUAAAAAGUCAGAAGAAAGCAGCCCAUAUAUGUACCGGGCUCAUCCUAAAAAAAAAUAGAAAAAAAAUGAUUCAUAGGGAUUAUCAAAGAAUUUCGAGCCAGCCAACAAGCGGGAGCACAGCAGUGAUUGUGAUCCAGCAGGCCUUACCGACUACUGAUAGUAUGUCAUGCUUGCUGUUCAGAUAAUACAGGAAACCUGGCAGUAAUUUCUAAGCGAACAAUCCAGUAUUCCAGUUCACCCAACAAAUACGCAUUCCACUUGGAGCCUUACUUCUUCUGAGUCUAGAUUGAUUCGAUUAUUAGUUAAGCCUCUCUUUGUUUGCUGGGUCUCCAUGUUGAAUCCAAUCUGUUACAUACUUACAUACCAUCACAACGAAUUUUCUCCUCAAGGCUGUGGUCGCAGUCUUUCCCUUGCUAUAUAUCAUUCCUCGUAUCCUUCAAACCAUGCCGUCUGAUAUUCUGAUCCUCUUCUAUACAUUAUUUACCCUGUUCCCUGUUAUGGACUGCUCCCUCCAUCCCAAAUUACUAUUACUAUUUGUUUUGACUUUUCUACAUAUAUAAGUUUAACUAUGUAUCUACUAUCUAGAUAUAGUAUAUAUCUAGGUGCAUAUCAAAAUGUAUUUGUAUGAAUUAAGAAAAUCCAAAACGAAUAGUAAUUUGGGACGGAGGGAGUAGAAUAUUGCAUUUUGGCAACCUCAGCUAUGAUAUGUCCCACAGAGUCAAAUAACUAAACAAGCUCAAACUUGUAAGCCCAUGAGGCCAUGAAUAUUCACUGAGAAUUAGCACAGAUCACUAGUUGAACUGCAGUCUGCUCUGGAAUGAACCUGACCGGCCAUGGAAAGUUAUAUAACCCCUUGCCAAACUAACUACAUUUGCAUCUGCAAAAGAUCAGCUAGGAGUCUAGAGCAUGGCAGCAAGUCAAUUCCUUAUUUCUUGGGAGAAUAGAUCGCUAAGCAGCAAAAAAGCCAUUGAUCUACAGUUUAGCAAAUACAGAAUGAAUGCCAUUGAAUAAAACAGUUCAGGAUAUCAGCUGGGCACAAAACCAUUCGACACAGCAAACAAGUUAGAUGAGUUAAACCUUCUAUGGACCCUGGAGCCUGGACAUACCAGGCCUCAAUUCAUGGGAUCGUUGCCAAUGGGGAACAGUCCUGUAUAACAGUUCACAGUAUCCAAUUUGCCGAAACUGACAAUGAGCUCAAGACAAAAAUGUUCUGCAUGACCAACAGUAAAGAGAGAACCUUUUAACUUGCUUGCUGUUUCAUAACAAAAUCUUAACAGCUGACAACCUUCAAACGAGGGUAUGGUAAUGGACACAUUCUGGCAGCUUUUCGAGAUUGCCUAGAAACCCCUUUAGAGCAUGGCAAAGAUUGCAGCUAAACUUAGUGCGGUUGAACUGGAAAUCAAGGAAUGACUGCCAGCAACUGUUGGAUCUAUCCAAGCAUAGCACCCUUUAUGACUGACUUUCCGAGGUUUCCAAGCAAAUCGAAAAGAGUAACAGAAAAUAUCCCUGGAGAACAAUUAUCAAUACUAGGUGGCAUAUUUGGAAGGAAUACAGCAGUGUAUUUCCCAAUUGACCACCUCACCCCCACUCCAGGCUACUCUGGUUUCCUUAGUUCCACCAGUUUAUACCCUGUGGUUAUUUGUUAUGUUGUUUCGCCAUAGAACAAGUUGUGGUGACCCAUGUUUACGGCAGAUAUUGAUCAUUGUGUAAACUGUAGUUACUUCCUACUAGUAAGCAAAGGUGUGCUCUUUCCGAAGUUAAUUUGCACACCUAAUUUGAGGAGGAAAAAUGGUAAAUGGAGUAAGAAACUAGUUGAACUUGACAACAUUUAUUGACAUUAUUCCAGCCUCCUCAGCUCAUUUGAGGAGAUGAUUCACAAUUCACAUGUAGUUUGUAUUACUAUGACCACCACCCAAUGCAAAGCUGAUAAAGAGAAAACAAAUGUUACAAAUCACCUGGUCUAUCGAAUUGGAUUUGCUCUGCUACAUGGCUCUGGGAUCGGUCCCGAACGGCCAGAUGUAGACCAUCUCGUCCCAGCCGGUGCUGGCAAGCAGCCCGUCGACAAGGACGCUCAUGUCGAUUCCGGCGACGAACUCGGUGUGGUGGUUGUACCUGGCGAGCAGCGCGUCCUCGGCGCGGUAGUCCCACAUGCAGACGGUCAUGUCGUAGGAGCAGGACAUGAGCAUGCCCUGGCGGUGCGGCGAGAAGCGGACGCGCUUGACAGCGUAGCCGUGUCCGGCGAGCUGCGUGAUGGGCGCCCGCGGCGCGCGCACGUCCCAGACGCGGAUGGAUUUGUCGACGGAGGCGGUGGCGAGGAUGGACGGGUCGUACUUGUCCCAGUCGAGCGAGAGCACCUCGUGGUCGUGCGCGGGCAGGAUGAGCGUGGGCGCCGGAUCGCGAACGUCCCAGACCCGCGCGGUGCGGUCGCCGGAGGCGGAGGCGAAGACGUCCGGGUGGCGCGCGGACCAGGCGGCGGCGUAGACGCAGUACUCGUGGCCGCGGAAGGUGCGGACGGAGGCCUGGCGGUCGGGGGACCAGAGCUUGAGCGUGUCGUCCCAGGACGCGGAGAUGAAGGCGUCCCGGCGGACGGGGUUCCAGUCGAGGCCGUGGACCUCGCGCGCGUGCUCCCGGAGGAGGCGCACGGGGUUCUGCGCCGGCGGGAGCGCGGCGUCGAAGAGGCGCACGGAGCCGUCCCCGGACGCGGCGGCGCAGAGGGACUCGUGGGACUCGGACCAGGCGCAGUCGAAGAGCGCGUCGGAGGUCGGGAAGGAGAAGACGGGGGCCGGGGCGGCGCCGGGACCCGGGCCGGCGGCGGCGAGGUCGAGGACGAUGAGGUGGCCGUUGCCGACGAGGCCAAAGUGCUGCGACGCCGCGACGAGGAGGCGGUUCUCGUGGAACGGGCUGAAGCGGACGGAGAAGCCCGGCGCCGGGGCCUUGAACGCCGGCAUGGCGGCGGUGGGUGGGUGGAUCGGCCGGCGGAUCGGGAAAGGGGGACUCGGGUAAGACUUGGAUUUUAUUUUUUUUCCUUUUUUCUUUUUUGUUAAAUCGUUGUGCCUGUGCGGUGUUCUCCUCUGGCACACAAAUCCGGACGGGGAGUGGUGUCUAGAACUGCAAAUGGAUGCUGGCGUACUGGGCUUGUAUUUGAGUGGUAUCGUACAAAUGGGCUUUCUGUAUUAGCUUUGUUGUCCUGGCCGAGAAAAAAGAACCAAAUACAGGCCCAGUCGAUGCUGCACGCUGCAGGGCCCUUCCUCGUGUGAUACUUGCCCAAGUCCCGUAUGCCACGUGCCGCUAGGCUGCCAGCCUUCACCGUCACCGGCCGACCUCGCGCUAGCCGCUAGGCAGGUGUACAUCCCGCCGCCACCCAUCCACCCCUGUCGUCGUUGAACCAAAUACAGCACGAGGUCGCGCUGCUCCCAUCGAAAGAUCAAGCAAGGGAGAAUGGCGCACGAGAACGACUCCCCGCAACGAUCGAUGAUGGAGUCGUCGACAACCAGCGCAGGCGCGCGGGCGCGCGUCGUGCUGGUCGCCAGCCCCGGCGCGGGCCACCUAAUCCCGAUGGCCGAGCUGGCAAGGCGCCUCGUCGCGCACCCCGGCCUCGCCGCAACGCUCGUCACCUUCGCCGGCCCGGACGGCGACGCGCUCUCCGCGGUGCUCUCCUCCCUACGCGACGCCGGCGUCGACACCUCCGUGCUCCCCGCCGUGCCGCUUGACGACCUUCCAGCCGACGCCCGCGUCGAGACCGUGGUCUCCGACCUGACCAGCCGAUCCGUCCUGCACCUCCGCGCCCUGCUCCGCGACGUUGCCACCACCGCCCCACUCUCCGCGCUAUUGCCGGACUUGUUCGCCGCAUCGGUGCUGCCCCUCGCUGCCGAGCUCGGCGUACCGGGAUACCUCUUCUUCCCCGGCAGUCUGAGCGCGCUCUACGUCCUGCGACGCGCCGUGGAGCUCAACGACGGCGGCGCCGCCGCUGGCGAGUAUCGCGAUCUCCCGGACCCUCUCCAGCUUCCUGGCGGCGUGUCGCUGCUCCGGGCAGACAUGCCGGACGGGUUCCGGCACAGCAAGGAGCCGGCGUACGGGCUCCUCGUCGAGGACUACCGCCGCCAGUAUCGCUCCGUCGCCGGCUUCUUGGUGAACACUUUCUACGAGAUGGAUCCCGCGGCCGUGGAGGAGUUCAAGCAGGCGGCGGAGCAGGGCACGUUCCCGCCGGCGUACCCGGUGGUCCCGCUGGUGCGAUCGAGCUCCGACGAAGAAGCCGCAUCGCCGUGCAUGGAGUGGCUGGAUCGGCAGCCGACGGGGUCCGUGGUGCACGUCUCCUUCGGAAGCGCCGGCGCUCUUUCUGUGGAGCAGACGGCCGAGCUCGCCGCUGGGCUCGAGGACAGCGGCCACAGGUUCCUCUGGGUCGUGUGCAUGCCAAGCCUGGACGGAGAAAACUCCGACUCGGGGAAAAGCCGCCGCAGUCGCGGCGAGGACGAUGAUCCCUUGGCGUGGCUUCCCGAGGGGUUCUUGGAGAGGACGAGCGGCCGUGGCCUCGCCGUGGCGCAUGUCCGCCGCAGUCGCGCGUGCUGUCCCACCCGGCGACGGCCGUGUUCGUGUCCCACUGCGGCUGGAACUCGGCGCUGGAGAGCGUCGCGUCCGGCGUGCCGAUGGUCUCGUGGCCGCUGGAUGAGGAGCAGAGGAUGAACGCCGCGGUCCUGUCGGAGAGCGCGGGCGUGGCGCUGCGCCCCGCGCGCCGGCCGCGCGGACGACGGGCUGGUCGGGCGCGAGGAGAUCGCGGCGGCGGUGCGGGAGCUGAUGGAGCGGGAGAAGGGCGCGCCGUGCUGUGGCGUACGGGGGACCUGCGGCAGGCGGCGGACAAGGCGUGGGCGCCCGAGGGCUCGUCGCGCCGGGCGCUGGAGGAGGUCGCCGGCAGGUGGAAGUGGAAGGCGGUGGCGCUUGGCAUGGAGAAGGAGCGGCAGUAGCAGAAGUGUACGGUGUACAUGCCCAUGAUGUCACGUGAUGAGAUGGCCCUUUGUGACCGUCAUCCUACUUGUGUCUUCUUCUUGUUUUUUUUUGGUAAAACCGGCAUUCUACUUGUUGGUGCGUGGUUGAAGUUUGUGAAUGGUAAAGGCUUGUUUUGGUGAGGCGGUCUGCUCUGUUCGUUGCUAGAGGAGCAGCAGGCGAGGACGGCGCCUGCUGCUGCUUCAGAUCGUAGCAGUGUUCAUCUGCCUUCCGGUCUAUAGAAAAAAAAACCGCGGGCAACGUGUGUAUCCUACUACCCUAGGGAUCAAUCAAAUUCUAGAAUUGAAGAACACUGCACUGGAUAUGAUAUGCAGCCGUGUGCCUGGUGGUGGCAAACGACAGCAUCCGGAGGCUUUCGCCUAGUGAGAAUCUAUCGGGGCCUUUUUCUUCGAUUCUGUACAGUUUUUAAACUCCUCUAUAUCAAUACAUGCCGGGUAGUAAUGCCGGCCGCUUCAAAAAAAAAAAUUUCUAUCGGAGCCUCGGCAGACAUCUCCCGCCGCCGGCAGAGAGCCGGAGAUCAGCGUACCUCAACGGCGGUAUCGGAGGUGGCUGACCAUUCUUAGCAGUGGAAGUUCGUCAAGAGUUUCUUUACAAGUUCCCUCGCAGGAUUGUUUUGCCCGAGCUAGUAGGGAGGCUAGGAGCAGCAGAUAAAAUGGGCGUGAGAAAAAUGAAAUAUCAUUGACCUUGAUGGGCCACCUGAUUAGCCUACUUUGUACGGCCCGAAUUACGGGACGCUAUCUGGCCUGCUUCGCAGCUUCGGCCCAAGAGAGAUGCGAUCCGUUAAAAUUGUGCUUCCUUGGAAUUCUUUUUCAUUUUUAUAUUUAAUAAUAUCUGUUUUUUUUUCGAAAACAAUCAUCUAGAAGAAAACUUUGCAAAUCUAUACCUAUAUAGCCAGGUUUCAGGUUGACGUGGCAAUCAUGCUAAAAACAUAUCACCGUUUCAAAUGGUUAUAGCCAAAUAAAACGGCUAUAUAUUUCUGGCAUCGUUGCCACAUCACCUUGCCGCCGUUUCAAAUGGAUUAGGUUUGAAAUCCUGGAAGAAUUUUAACGGAGAAUAUACUGGAAUACUCUUAAAGCUAAGGAAACAAAUAAAGAAAGAGAUAAAAAGGAUUCAAAACCCUAGGUACUAGAAUUUCUAAGUUGGUGAAACCCUGAAGGCUAUUGGAAGAAGAAGCCCAAUGGACCACUCCACCCACCUCUUGAUGGGAAGUAAUCAAUCUAGAGUCUAAUCGUCGAGACACGCAAACUUCUCGAUAAAAAGGAGUAACCCAACCACAAUCAUCAAGGACAAAACCACCCAAGUUCACCUUGAUUGUCAAAGAGAUAUCAUAGCCAAAAGAAUCAUGAGCACCGCUAAAUGUUGGAAAGAGCACUUAUCACACAGAUGCUCAGAAAAAUCAUCAUACCAAGUUUAUGAUGAGAAGUGGUCACCCAAGUUUACAACCUUAGAUAAUAUACCUCCGAUUCCAAAUCCAAAGGAGAAGUAUUAGGCAAUAGAAACCUAUUGGAAGACCAAGGUAGACAACCCAAAGGAUAGAAAAUAUAGCGAUGACUGAACAAAAGUCAUCAUGUAUGAUCGAAGAAUCACCAUACCAAAUUUAGAAAGUCGGAAGCAUAUAUAGCAAGGGUUUAUAAGGAAUAAAUGGUCCAUUAUUCAACAUGGACAUAACCCUGACUAUAUCCAAAGAAAACAGAAGCCCAUCAAGUUACCUCACCAUGAGUGGGGUAGGUACCAUAAGAAAAUGGUAACACAGGAUCGGUAUGUUACCCAUGGAUGCCAACCCAUGAUAUAACACAGGGAUGGUUGUUGACGCUCAUUAUUUACAAACUUUUAAUGUUAUUUAACUAGUAUUUUCAUUCAUAGUAAAGGGGGUUGAAAUAACCCGCCACUUGGCACUUGAAAUAACCCCAUUAUUGCAUAUGUGUUAUAUUUUGGAGCAUAUUGUAUUUUAGCAAGAAAUACAACAUAAUAAAGGGGGUUUGCAUAAAGAGCUUAAUGGAAAUUUGGACAUGGGUUGUCGAGGGAAGCCAUCAUGAGGAAGGAAAGGACCAGGAGGGCCAGAUAGGCCCAGGACGAUCGGCCUGAGACCCUCUGAGCCAAUUGGCCGAGCCCAUUCUAGGGCCUGGUCGACCUCCCAUUUCUUUAGUGUGAAGUCUAUGACAUUGUCUAGGGUUUUUUCACCGACAUCGACCCAGAGUCACCACCUACGAAGGACUAUAAAUAUCCCCUCAUGAACAUCAAGGAGGAGGAAAUUGGAGAAGAGAGGCAACACCACGAGAACACCAUCGACCACCGCCACAAGAAGAAAAAAUGAAGAGAAGAUUGGAUUUUUAGGAGGCCACACGAAGAGGAGCACCAAGGGAGGCAAAAACCCCCAAGCCGAUUAGCUUGGAGGUGCCCAGGCCGAUCAGCCUGGGGCUUUCCUACCCCUGUUCGUCGACGUCUUUGGUCCAGUUGAUCUAUAGGGCGUCCUUUACCCACUUUUACGUCAACAUGUGUAAGAUCAUGGGGUAAUACCUCUGUUUAUCCUUGGGGUUGUAUGGAGAUGUUGAUUUGUAAUUGCCGAACCUUUGUUUAAGAUAUGUUUUGCUAUCAUUCAUAUCUUGAUGAUGCUCUUUCAUGAAAAGGCUGGCUAGCGCUACUUUGGGUUGCUUUAUUGCUUACCAAUCAUCAUGCCGUGUUCUUGUCCCAAUAGUUGAGUACCCCUGCAUAGUGACAGUAUUGCAGGAGGGAAAGUGUUGGGCAUGGUUCAUAUCUACUCACGAUAACACUUAGCUCUAGUUAUUUCAUGCAUGGCAGUUGCAUCUACAAGUGAUCCUAGAUCCCUAGGACAAGUGUUUAAUCUAUCUUGUCUGCACCCUCUACUCUCUAUCUGCUUGAUAUCAACUGCUUAGUUCUUUUGUUAGCACAAUCAUGUCUUAUACAAAGAGCUUUCGAUUACACUGAUUAGUGCUUAGUUAAGCGUGCAAAUCCCUUAUUUCAUGGAUUGGUAAACCUUGGGGGAAUCUCUAAGGAAAAAGCUACAACUGAUCCAUGCGCUUGCGGUUCACAAAUUGGCAUGCUAACUGCCAUCAACAAUGGUACUUGUAAAUAUUAACUCAAGAAUAGCAUAUCCUAGUGAUGGUACAUUUGGUACAUCUCACGGGAAGAUAUGUAACCAUCCAGGUAAGAGGAAAACCUGGAAGAGUAUAGUAAUUCCUGGAUGACAAGAUAUAGAAAAGAUAUAGAAGUAUCUAAGAGAAAUCAUAUAUUAGAUUAAAUGGAAUCCUAAUUUGAGUCUCCUUAAGUGGGGUAGUAACCUAGAUGGAAAAGGAUAUCAAGAUUUAGGAACUUGAGGGUCAAAACAAAACAAGAAAAAAAUAUCCACCAUGCAACACAAGGUGGUUAAAAUGUUGGGUGAAUUAGGGAACAAUGGAAAAUGAGUAAGAAAAAUAAGACUUCCCACCCCAUGGAUAUAAAAGACAAAUUCCCUGAAAGUUUCAAGAGUAUCCAAGUUGACACCCCUACGCUCAGAAGAUUGAUAAGGAAAAGGAAACAUUGGAUACAAGAAAAUGGCACGAGAAUGGUAUAAGAAACUCCCGAAGAACACCAUGGUACAAGUAAUAUGGUACAAUGACAGUGAAGAAAUCAAGACCCCAUUAAAACCUUUCUUCCUAACCUCUCAAUCUUGAGGACGAGAUUCCCUUAAGUGGGGUAGACCGUAAUCCCUGCUAAUUAAAAUAUUUAAAAAUACAAACUUUUAUUUAAUUUUUUCUUUAAAUUAAAAAUAUUUUCCUUUUCCUAAAUAUUCAAAACCUUUUUAUAGAUAAAUCUUGCAUAAAAUAAUAACAUAUGUGUUGCAUUUGGUUGCUCUAGGAAUAUUUCCUUGAUGAUUCUCUUCAUGUAAUAAUAUUUGACAUUUUCUUCAAAUAUUAGUUCCAUCAAAAACCCUAUGCCAAAAUUCCUUUAGAAAAUCAUUCAAAUUUAAAGUCUAAACCUCAAAACCCUAGGAAAAAUAUUUGAAUUUUAUUCAAAUAUUAACUUCAUCAAGGACUCUACCUAAAAUUCCCCUUGAAUAUUACUCCGAUUCAAUACUUAAACCCUUGACUCUAUUUAUACUAAAUCCUUCCUUUAUCAACUCCUUUAAACCUUCAUCUCCAAAAUUAAUUUCCAAACUCUAUAAGAAAUGAUCCUAGCAUCUUUUCAAAAAAAAGCCCCAAUUCUAUAUCCAAUCAAAGCCCCCACUUCAAACUCCAUUCAAAUUUGAAAUCUACUUCAAGUUUGAACUCCAAAACCCUUUUAAAUAAAAGAAAACCCUUUUUAAACUCUAACCGGCCGCCAACCCAUUUCCAACACGUUUUCGUAUCCAGCCCGACGCAUCCCGCCAUUUACCGCGCACGCCGGCCCAAUCCACCUAUGGCAGGUUCGCCCCAGCCCAGCUGGCUAACCUGCGCCCCUCGCUAGCCCGAUUCCCCGUUGCGGCCAUCUACAGUGUCGCCGCCGCCGUCACUCUCCACCGUGCCGUUGCACCGAUGCACUCCCUCUUGCCCGCAAGCAAGGUCAUUCACCCCCUUCAUCCCCUAUCCUCUUCCGCCGGUGCAUCGCCCAACCUUCCUUUCGUCGUCCUCAUUCCCUAGCUGUCGUGCAUGAAGCCCACUAUUCUCAACCCCGCCGGCCCCACCCUUAUCCCUCCACGCGAUGUGGCCACCAUGCAAGCUCCCCACUUCGCCUAUAAAUAGCUCUCUCCGAGCCCUCCCUGUAGCACACCACCACCACUACCACGGCCAUGCUUCUGCCACUUCGCGGCUGCGCUACCUCCCCUCCUCCAUCCCUCUCCGAACCCCUCGAGUGACCUCGCCUCACUCUCCUCUCUCUCUUGGCGCAAGCCGCAUAGCUGGCAGUGACCAAGAAUGCCUUCCUGGUGUGUCUCCAGCGAGUCCCAUAGCCGUUCCCGCUCUCUCUCUUAAUCUCACGCGCGGGCCUGGGCGCUAACGCCGUCGCCCCACAAUGUCAGCUCCCUUGCCAUACCGCCUGUGGACGCGGUGUAGUGGACCGCAUGCGCAGGCUGUGUAGUCCACCAGCCCCAUGGGCGCGGUGCACAACACAGUGCGCUGGGCAACCCUCGCGUGUCAGCCUGUUCGAAAUUGCUAGCUGCACCCGAUUGUGUACACAAAUCUUUACUUAGAGCCCUUUCACUAUUCCAAAAAUUCACCAAAAUUCACCAAAAUACUUGGAAAUAUUCUAAACCUGUCCAUGCCUUCCUUAUCCAUUGUUCAUCAUGUUCAAGCCUUUUUCCAAAAUACCUAGCUCUUACAUAAUAGAAAAACCCUAUUAUGUGUACACCAAAAAUUGCUUUUCCAUCCAAUUCAAUUCUAAAAAUCCUAGGAAAAUUUCUUUAAAUAUCUUAGGGUCAUCUAAACCUAUUCCAACACUUACUUUUGCAUUUGCACCUCAUAUGAUCCCUUGGCUAGCUUGUCAUCGAUGUUACCUUUCCUACAAUAGGCAUCCCCCGCCCUGGAAAGGUCUACAUCACGGCUACAGACUAGUUAAGCUAUCCUUUUAACCAGGUUACAUCCAAGUCACUAUCAAUCAUCUCUUGCCGUAGGCGCAAGCUUGGGAGAUGAGCUUGAGAAGACAAAGAUGUAAUCUAAGCCCUCCUCAACACCUAAUCUUGCCCAGCUCUGCCUGUCGCCCUGCGACUUACUCAUAGCAUCAGGUCAGGUCAAAGAGAGUCCGUCGUGCAAGCUCUCUAGUUUUCAUCCCACUUGAUCUUGCUCGACCCCACCUGUUGCCAUGUGACUAUCUGCUAGCACCAGGGUUAGGUCGAAGUGGUGUCCGUCGCGCAAGCUCUCAAGCCCUAAAACCUAGUGCCGUAGCGGCACCCAGCCCGUCGCUCUGUGCAAACCCGUUUCCAAGGAAACUUGCCCAGCUUCACCCAUCGUAGGGCUGAGCCCCGAGUUGAAGCCGAGACUGUUGUGCAAGUUUCCUAGCCUUGAAUCUAAUGCUCGCCGGUCAGCACCCAAAUCCUCUAUAGGAUCUAUCCAAAACCCUAGUCUACCCCAAAAUCCAAUCGUUAUGCUGUGCAACCAAAACCAUAUAGAUAAAACCCUAGCCGUUAUGCUGCUCGUCCAAUACUCUAGAAAUUCCAUUCUUAAUUUCUUAGAAUUCUCUUGGAUAUCCAACUAUCCUAUCCACUGGUUUUUUAGAAAUAUUUCUAAAUAAUUAAUGAAUUGUUCAUCAACGAUCUAGGAAUUAUCCUUUAGAAACCAUAUAAUUCCCAAAAUGCCAAUCAUCCAUUUCCCUUCAAUUUCCUUAGUUAUUGAUUGCUAGAAUUGAUUGUAUGUUUGUAUGCUUAUUCGAACCAAGGAUACGACCAAGAUCCAUCCAGAAGCCAAGGAUCCAGAAGGAACAAAGGCGAAGGUCCGACCGUCUAGAAGACCUAGGUCACAUUAGCCUUACUAGGCUCCGACAAGAAGCUAAAGAUCCAGAAGGUGAGAAACCAAGGUCCUAGUCAACCUAGGAAGCGUAUAAGGAUCAUCAAUGAAGGCAAGUCCUAGCACCAACCUCCUUGAUCAUAUUUUUAUCCUGUUUUUCUAAAUAUAAAAAUAAACCAAGAAUAUAACUUGACCUGCAUGUUUUUCGAAAACCCUAAGGGCAACCCACCUCUAUUUCUUCUUCUUACCUUGACUUGAAGCCAUUUCUAACCAUAAAUCCUAACAAUGACCCCGGUCAUGACUAGAUCGAUGAUCGAGAGUCAUUGAGAAAUAGAAUUCUUAGGAACAUUACAAAUAUAAUGGUUUUUUAUGGAAAACCUAAAAAGGUGUGAGUUUUUGUGUUAAGGCUAAAAUGAACAAACUAUUGACACAAAAUCUGGUCUUCAGAUUCUUCCGUCAGCUACACGUGAGAACUUGGGAGAUCUACUUAACUCCAGUGUAGGCUCCAAUCGGCUCGCGAAGGUGCGUGGCGUGCCAGUCAAUUUGACCUGCAAUUCACAAGGGGAAGUUUGGUAAACGUUAAAUUCUUGAGCCCAUCAGCUGUGAAGCCUAUGGACUCACGGAUGGCAUUAAUUUGAAUAAACACCAUUGUAAAACAUGCAUUGGAUAUAAUCAUAAGGUGCAUGUAAUAAAUAGGACAAUUAAUGGCAAGUGCCAUCAGCUACAUGAGUCGAUAGGCUAUGAUAAAAUCAACAUUAAAACAACAUCCAUUAACAGAUGACUUGUUCAUCAUGCCUUCAUCAAUUAAACUACAGGUUAUAUUAGUGUCAUGAGCUGAUAGAUCGAACCUAAUCGAGACAGUAUGGCAAGGCAAUAACUUAAUCUAGUAGUUUGAGAGACUAGAACAUGAUAACAAGGCCUCGCACACGUAGCUAUCGACUCGAUGACGUCAGCCUACUACUAAGAGGGAUGGAUUGGACGGACUGAGAUAUCAUCGGUUGAUCAACAACAGUAGUCUAACGCUAAGGAUCCGAGGGCUAGCAAUACGUGGGGCAAGGAUAAAGACCUAUAGGAUCUAAUAAAUAUAAAGCAAUUAAAGCAUGCAAGAUCAAACUAGCUGAUAUGAUUAGAUAAUUGGUGAGCGCUCAAAACAACCAAGGGAUUGAUGCAAUUCGACUUAAUUAAAACAAGCAAACUCGAUAACUAGCCUUACGAUAAGAGGAUCAAAAUAUCGAACCUAAUCGAGAAAGUUUUGAUACAGAUAACAUAAUGACUGAUAAUCACAGUACUUACAAGCUCGUCGGAGAUCGAAACCGAUGCAGUCCUGCUUACUAGAAGGAACUCGUCGAGAAAAUUACUCUAUUCCUACUCCUACUCCUAGGGUUUGGUGGCGUGAAGCCGAAAAACAUUGGAUUGAUGAAUUUGCAUUGUGCGCACUUUCCCAGUAUGAUAUCCACGUGGCGGACGAUAGUAUCCCUUGCUUAGACCCCAGUAUAUCGGUGGAUGGACCUAGGGAAUGCUGUCUAGAGAUAGAUGCGGGCAAGUAUGGAUCUCAUAGGUCAGUACCACCUAAGUCUAAGGUAUGGGCUGAUCGAACGUAUGGGUAAAGUGUACAAACUCUACAGAGUCAUUAAUCUGUCUGGAUAGCCGAGGCUCACGGUCACAAGCAACAUAGUUAAAACUCCCAUCGAUUAGCAAUCAUGUGUUUUCAUAACUUGGGUGUUGGUGAGGAAGGGCUGAGGCCCUAAGAGAAUUAUUUCAGAACGAGGUGUAAGCUGGUUUAGGAGGACCCUGACGGUCUCUAAUGCUCUUUAAAAUAUGGGAACAUAGAGGUGGAAUUUCCCCUCCAAGGCCAACAACUUCAUAAAAGUACUUUCUUUCAUUUCCUUAUCCAAAACUCACCUCAACUUGCAUAAAAUGAGUUUCUUGAUAAAACCAAACCUCAUUUCCUUUUCCUUGAUAUCCCUGCAUUUUAUAUAAUUCCAACGCUAGGAUUUGCUACUCAAAUUUGCUUUCAUUGUACAGGUUAUAAGUCUCGGUUCUAAAUUUAUUCUGCCUAUUGGAGUGGACGACUGCGCUACACCCCGCUAAGCAGAGGUGAAAAACUAGUUUUCCAUAAUUUUAUGCAUGUUUUAUUGUUUUGAUGCUACUCUGUGAUGAUGACUCUAUCAGCAACUAAUCUAGGGACUGAUACAGGUAAUGAGCGAGAUUUUCGAAGGGAGGCACACAUAACAUGUUUGAAAAGUUUAGAUCAUUAAGUUAUUUGGACACUAAAAUAAAUAUAGCAGUCCUGAUAGCUAACUACUUAAAUGUAAAACAAGAGUAGCACAUAUAACAAUUUUUUUUUCAAAUUGCAGUCAAAUUACAAAUAUAACUUAUACCAUUUUUAUUUUCUAAGUCUAUAAAAAAAUUACCAUUUCAGUUGGCGGAUUGAAAAAAAGAAAAAGUAAAAACCUUAUAGCCAUUUCAUUUUAGCUAUAGUCAUUUGAAACGGCGGUAAGCUGACGUGGCAUUAUCCCAGAAACAUGUAGCCGUUUCAUUUGGCUAUAAGCUGAUGUGACAACUAAGCUAGAAACAUAUAGCUGUUUGGAGCCAAAUGAAACGGCUAUAUUUUUUUAGCGUACCGCCAUUUCAACGACUGUAACCAUUUGAAAUGGCUAUAUAGGUAUAGAUUUGCAAAUUUUUCUUCUAGGUGAUUAUUUUUGGAAAAACAGAAAUUAUUAAAUAUAAAAAUGAAAAAAUUUCUUUCUUGCAUUGCUUCAUAUAGGAUAUUCUAAACACACUUCUUUACAUUUCUCUACCGAUCCAAUAAAUUUGAACUUAGAAGUAAAAUUGUGCGUUGGAGAAACAAGAAGGGGAAAUCCCAUUAGUUGCUAGAUUGGACCAAUGAAAUAAUUUAUGAAGUAAUCUAUUAUUUCUGUUUUGCUUCUCAUUUUAUUAUAUUAAUUCCAUACCAUAGUUCAAAUGGAUUUGACAACGAACUUAUUGUUUCAUAAAAAACAAUAUUAAAAUAAAGCAAAAUCUUCCACCCACCCAUCCCAUCAUCUGAUCAAAUCUCCUCUCAUCUUGCACAUUAUUCCUAUUCUGACAAAGGGAUCAAUGAAAUACCCACUCAAAGCAACGGAUGGAUGGCGUUUCGAUCAAGAGCAUUAGCUGAUUAGCCAGCCCGCAGGCAACUUGCAGCGUAACUUUAAGAUUUCCUGAGUGAAUUUCUUUAAUGCCAUUGAAAUUUCGAUCCCUCGGUGCCAUCGAAAUUUUACUCUUCCCUUCACUGUCACUAUUUUAAAUUUGCAUUUCCCAUUCUGUCUACAAUCUGUUAAGUUUCACUCACUGAUAGCUUGGCCCACAACACUCCCUUCUGUUAUCCUCUGCCAGCCAUGUCGUUCGGGUGGCUCGGCUGUCGGCAGCUCAAACUGGGCGAGCGCGCGGAGGGCGCAGGGGAACCGUACGUCCGUGCACACGCGCCUGGAGACGUGCGCCGCCUGAGCCCGCCAGUCUUGCGCGUGUUCUUCUUCCACCUCUACCUCGUGUUCUCCGCCUAGUCCAGCCAAACCAACGUGUGCACGGUGCACCACCGCACGCCUGGUCACUGUGGAGCUCAACAACAUCUAGCUGGCCCUCUGCGUGUGCCGGUGUGCGCUUGUGUAAUGUGCCGGGGAGUCCAGUGUAGCUGCUGCUGGCCUUCGGCCUUCACAGGAUUUUUUUCUCCGAUCAUGCUGUCUCCAGCUCCUCCAUUUCUGCAACAUUUCCGCUAGCUCCAUGAUUUUUUUCUCCUUCCAAUUUGUUGAUGCAGUGCUCUCUUAACCCUUUUAAUUCUUCUAAAUAAAUGGAAUGCAUGUGCUCCAUUGACGAAUAUGGCUGGAUUUCUGUCAGAAAUUUGGAUUACCAUUUUCAUUAAAAAAAUUGGAUUACCAUUGCAUCAUAAUAUCUCUAUGUAUUACCUGAUGAGCUUAAAUUGAAGUUGUGUGGACUAUAACAACAUGGGGGAAUGCAAAGGCAGUUGUGUGGACUAUAACAACAUGGGGGCAUGCAAAGGCAACAUCGGCGGAUAGCAAGCCAAUAUCUUUCUCGUCGAGCAUUGUUCAAAUUUGAUUUAUUUUUGCCUAACUUUAAAUCGAGACUAGCAGGACUGAAAUUUGAACAGAGCGUCGCCCCGCUCGUGCGACUCGGGAGGCGACCGCCCACCCCCGCCGCUGCCGCCGCCGCCACCCCCUCCCUCCUCUUCCCUCCCCUCGCCGGCUGGAAGCCCGCGCCGGCCUCCAGGACGGCGGCGGCGGGGUCUCACUGCCUAGGUCCGACCACGGGGUGAGGAAACGAGCGGUUAUGGUGGAUCCACCAGCCAUGGAGACGACGGUUCGGGAAGGCGGAUCCGGCGCCGUGGAGCCAAAUCCGGCGACGAUGGAUUCACGCGGAGACAGGACAGCGGCGGUCUCGGGCGAGCAGACGAGGCAGAUGCGGCCACCGAGGAAAGCGCCGGACUGCGAACAACUGUCGAGGCCGAGGUUGUUCCUAGCGAAGAAGUCGUGCUCAAUGGUCGUGAACCUGGCCACCACGAAGUUGACGCCGACGCCGUCCGCCGCUGCCGAGGCGUUGGAGAGGGAGAGGCACGGUGGGAGGAAGGAGGGGAAGUUGAGCACCUCGGUAAGGAAGUCGAUGACGAGGCGGCCGUCGGAGCAGUGGUUGGUGGAGGACAAGCCCCGACCCAUCCCGGCUAGCGAUGGUGGCGGCGGUCUGGGUGGAGGACGGCGACGGUCUGGGUGUGACAGCGGGCGCGGCGGCGGCCCCGGCGUAAGGCAAAGAAGGCGCGCGGCAGGAGGGGUCGCCAGGAGGAGGAGACGCGGAGGAGGUGUGGUGGCCGCCGCCGGCCUAUGGAGAAGAGUGGCGUGGAGAGGGCGCCGGCGCGGAGGAUGUCGGCGUAGAGAUGGCGCAGGGUGUGGCGCGGAGGUGGCGCCAGCGUGGAGGACAACGGCGCGAAGGAGGCGCUAGGCGCAGGCUGCGCGUGGGACGGCGCAUGGCGCGACGCGAGGAGGAUGACUGCCGGCGAGCGAGCGGAGGUGGAGGUACGGCGGCGUGGUGCGAGGAGGCGCAGCAGCGACGCUGCCCUGGAUGUGCUACCGUAACUUUGGCCGGGAGUGCCGAGCCGUGAGCGUGCAGGGGUUGGGAUGCUCCAGGUGAAAGCCCCCGCCGGCGUUCUUGCUGGUGGAGAUGACGGCGGUGCCCUAGGGCAUCGUUCUCCCUAUUGGGGGUGUCAUUUCUGAGCUACAAUCCAGCUGCACGGGGUCCUCUGGGUGAAAACUCUGUCCAGAUUCUGGACGAGCGACGACGACGCCAUUGGCAUCGUGCCCUCCUUGGAGGCGUCAUCUCUAGAGACCCAUCUCGGUUUGUAACUUCCUGGUCCAUUAGCCAUGGACGGCCGCAACCGGUGGCAAGAAUUCCGCUACAUGGCAAGCUAGACGGGUGUUGCCGAGGUCACGUGGAGGCGAUCGCAGUUUUGGUGGCGGCCAGGGGUUGUUGCGUGGUUAUCAGUCUUGGCCGCUGCAGCGGACCACGGCGGCUGGCAUUGCUUGGCAACGGUUGGUGCGGCGUGGGACUGCGUCGGAAGACGGCGCUUGUGGCAACGGUAUUGUGGGACAACUAGGCUUACAGCGGACCGCGGCAAGUUGCUCAGCGUGGCUAGGCUACCUGGUGCGGUACAUUGUCAGAAGACGACGCAAGCGACUUCUCUGGCUUCCUGACAUGGCGGCGGACACUAUUGUGCGGGUGAAGCAACGAGGUGAAGUCGACCUGUGGCGCCGGCUUGGCUUAAUCGAUGGAGAUCCUGUGGAGUGGGGCAACAUUGCUCACCACUCUGACAGCGACAAAAGAAACAGAUCCGUGACGUGGAGUGCUAUGGUGGGCGUGACGAGGCCCCAUGUGUGGUGUUUCUUCGAGGCGACGAGAGUGAGGUGGAGUCCAACGGCGGAUGUGAUGAGGCCCCCAUGCGUUGUGUUAUUGCGGUGGCAACUGCGAGGCAGCCUACGAGAGGUCCAGAUUCGGUGGUAUCACUCUGUCAGGUGGAGUGUGGUGUUGUAGUGGCACUACAGCGUAGGGUUCCGUAUGGUGGUGGCCUUUUCGGUGCGGUGCAGUCUAUUUCUAUUGGUUCCCUAUCGAUGCUGGGCCACACCUGGAGGUUUCGGCGAAUUAUGAGCGUGGAUGUUGGUGGAUGCCGCCGUGACGUGUGGAGUGGUGAGGCCGCAUUGAUAUCCCAAUCCAAAUGAUAGGGUGUGGUAGUUUCUGAGUUGUGUGGCUACCCGCGUUGAUAUCCCAAUCCAACCGCUCAAUCCAACUGGGUCAGUUUGGUUUGUUUUUCUUUUCUUCUCCUUUUCAUGUUUCUUCUUUCCAGUCUGAAACUCUUUUUUUUAUAUAAUCGGUAGCUCUCCUGUUCGUUAAAAAAAAAUCUGAGACUAGCGAGUUGAGAGUAAGCCGGAGUGAAAUCAAGUUUCAUUCGAAAUCAUUCAUUUUGACUAUGAAAUAAAAAAAAGAGUGUAAUCAAAGCAAUUUUUGGAACGACCCGCUUAAGAGUUUUUUCCCCGACAUUAAUAUAACUUUCGAAAUUUUCUUUUGUCUAAAUUUUUUUAUCCAUUUCUUGUUUCUAAAUAAAUAUAUAUACUCGUUCUUUUUCGCAUAACAGGGCGAUACAAUGUUGAAGUUGUGCACGCUCUAGCUUCGCCCCUGCCAGUUAUAGGUUCUAUUAAAACUUUUUCACGAGUUCAUGUUUGAAUUUGGUUAAAAAAUGAUCAAACAAUUCGAUGGUUUGACAGAAUCUUUGUGCAUCAUUGCAGCUGCUUGCCUACUCGCCGCCGCCACACAGCUGCCUGCCUGCUUCACGCUCCGCCGCCGCUGCUCAAGACACGUCGCUAGCCAUGCCUUGCCAUGCAGCUGCUUGCGCGAAGACCCAAACUCGCAAAACUUCGAUCAAAAGCGCCGGGCGCGGUUGUGCUCAUUCACUCGGCCGCAGCGCUGCCAGCGCACGAACACGAGCCGAAACCUCAGUCCCGCUGCUCUCCUCGGCGCCCGGGGCGCGGUCGGCCGUGCCGGGCGCCGACCCCACCAUCCUCUCCGGCGCCUCCGCGCACCCGCUCCCGCGCUCCCCCGCGGCAGCCCGCCUCGCCACGCUCGCGCUCCGCCAGUGCUCGGGCACGCCCCUCUCCGCCGCGCUCUCCGCGCUGCCCUCUGCGUCCGACACCGCGCUGCUCCACCUCGUGGCCCCCUCUCUCCCAGCUAUAGUUCGUCCCCUCCGGCGACCUCUCCUCCGUUGCUAUUAGGACGGGAAAUCUAACAGAAUGGCAAGUGAGGGAAGGAAAAAUUAAAAUAGUGGCAAUAAAGGGAAGAGAAGAAUUUUAGUGGCAGUGAGGAAUUCUUAGAAAUUUCAAUGGCAUUGAGGAAUUCCCUCUAACUUUAAUGGUGUGCGAUGCCAUGUAAGAUUAUUUGCAUGAUUUCUCAAGAGCAUCAGGCAUCAGCUGAUCAGCCGGCCUUCUUAGGUACUUGUACGCUCUUUCUAAAGAUUAUAUAUUUUCAUGAUUUUUUUAUGUAGGUUAUGAAAGUAUGCGUUUGCUUUGUUUACUAGAACGUCCAGUUCUUCAUCCCUGCAUCAUGGUUCAGUGAUUCAAUUUCACCAUAUUCAUCCCACAUUAGGGCAUGGUAAAAUGGUUCUAAGCGGAGCCGUAUGAGCUGAUCAACGCAUCGAGGCCGCCAGGUCUCCCAUCAAUAUUUUCUUUAAGGUUAGAGAGGCUAAGGUUUUGACCUUAAUGGAGAUGGAAAAACAAACUAAAUUUUGUAACACCAACUCAUUAUUUUCACCGUCAGGUUGUACAAACCGAGGUACACUGAGUCGAUGACGCAUGCACAUCGACGAUCACCACCUGUCUCUUCGCUCGCAUGUCUUCUACUGCUUCUGCCUGCCCAGCGCUGCCGCCUUCCACUUGCCGGCGACUUCCUCCAGCAUCUGCCAGGACGACCCCCCGGGCGCUCCCGCCCGCGCCGCCGCCUCCUGCAAAUCCUCGGCCCGGCGGCGCACGGCACGCCCCUUCUCCUCCCCAUCCAUCAGUUCCCGCACGGCCGCCGUGAUCUCCUUCCGUGUGAUCAGACCGUCCGCCCGCGUCGCGCGCGGCCGCAGCGCCACGCCCACGUUCUGCGACAGGACGACGGCGUUCACCCUCUGCUCCGCGUACAGCGGCCACGCGACCAUCGGCACGCCGGCCGCCACGCUCUCCAGUGUCGAGUUCCAGCCGCAGUGGGACACGAACGCCGCCGUCGCGGGGUGGGAGAGCACGCGCACCUGCGGCACCCAUGCCGCCACGGCAAGUCCAUGGCCGCUCGUCCUCUCCAAGAACCCCUCGGGAAGCCACGCCAAGGGAUCGUCCUCGGCGCGACGGUGGCUUUUUCCCCAGUCGGAGUUUUCUCCGUCCAGGCUUGGCAUGCGCACGACCCAGAGGAACCUGUGGCCGCUGUCCUCCAGCCCGGCGGCGAGCUCGGCCGUAUGCUCCACAGACAACGAGCCCGCGCUCCCGAAGGAGACGUACACCACGGAUCCCGCCGGCUGCCGAUCCAGCCAGUCCAAGCAAGCCAACGCGCCGUCUUCGUCGGAGCUUGGCCGGACGCAUGGCCCCACAGGGUAAGCAGGCGGGAACGUGCCUUGGUCCGCCGCCUGCUUCGUCAACUUCUCCACGUAGCUGGGCUCGAUCUCGUCGAAGGUGUUCACCAAGAAGCCGGCGGCGGCGCGGUACCGGCGGCCCUCCUCGAUGAUGUGCGCGUAGACCGGCUCCUUGCUGUUCCGGAACCCAUCCGCGUAGUCCUCGCGGCUCAGCGACACGCCCCCGGGAAGCUGGAGAGUGUUGGGGAGGUCACGGUACUCGCCGGAAGCAGCGCCGUCGUUGACCUCCACGGCGCUGCGCAUGAGGGAUAUCGAGGUGAGGUUGAUGGGGAAGAAUAGGUAGGCCGGGACGCCGAGCUCGGCCGCGAGAGGCAGCACCAUGGAGCCGAAGAAGUCCGGCACCAGCGCGGCGAGCGGGGCGGCGGAGCUGAUGUCGCGGAGCAGGGCUCGGAGGUGCGGGAUGGAGCGGCCGAUCAACUCCAGCAGCAAGGUUUCGAUGUGGGCGUCGGCGGGGAGGUCGUCGAGCGGGACGGCGGGGAGCGCGGCGGUGUCAACGCCAUCGUCGCGGAGGGACGAAAGGACGGCGGAGUGGGCGUCCGGGGCGGAGAGAUCUGUGAAGGUGACGACCGUGGCCGCGACGCCGUGGUGCGCGACGAGGCGCCGCGCCAGCUCGGCCAUAGGGAUGAGGUGGCCGGCGCCGGGGCUGGCGACCAGCACGACGUGCGGCCGCGGCGGCGCCGUCCGCUCCGCGGUGCCUGGGCCGGCCAACGAGUCCAUUGGUCGCGUGCUUCGGGCAGCCGGUAUGAGACGUAUUGGGAAGCCCGCGCGAUUGGUUCUGAGAAGGCAGCCAGGCAGGGAGAGUGUGGACUUUUGAACCAGCGGAUUUCGGAUAUGGUUAAGAAUAGCGGCAUGUUGAUGAUAUAAGGAAAAAAUGUUGAAUAUUUGGACCUUGCGCUUUGCGUGGGAGGACUUUCUUGUCGACACUAGGUUGGCUUAAACAAACAAAACAAAAAACACUCCCAAAUUUUUGAUCUAUUCUUUCUUCAUACUAGAGUGGUUCAAUUAACUCUUUCCUUUUAUACUUUGUAGUUUACCUAUGUGUACAUAUACGUACGUUUGCACAGUUACUCCCUAUGAAAUAUGAAUGCUUGAACCCCAAACAAGCAUAUCUAAGAAAUGGAUCAAGGCGGAAUUCCUUGAAGUUUAACGUAGUCACUAGGGCUGUCAACAAGCCGAGCUCGAGCGAGCCUGCUGCCUCAAGUUUGAGCUUGACAGAGUUUCAAGCCGAGCCUGAAAUCCAGCCGAGCUUACAAUUAGGCUCAAGCUCGGCUCGGCCAAAGCUCGAGUGAGCUCGAUAUGGUGAAGCACUGGAGCUUCGCUUGCUCCAGCACAAGCAAAGCGUGCAUGAAGAUUAAAAAAUGUGGUCUUUCCCUACCGAGAAAGGGCAGUUGUGCUUUGAUAAGUGCUACUCCUGCUAGCAUGUGAAAUUGUCAGAAGGUAGAAUAAACAAUACGUGCGGCCUGCAGCUACUUUUAGGGAACGAAGAGAAGCGUUACGGAACAGCCGAGAAGGGUGCUAACGUGCCUUAGUGAGCUGUUUGAGAUCAGCUCGGUUGGGCUCGCGAGCUUGGGAUUGGGCUCGAGCUCGGCUCAGCUCGUGCCGAGCUUUUAGCGAGUCGAGUUCUAGCGAUUUGCGCUCCUCGACCUGUUUUGACAGCCCUAGUUCCUCGACCUGUUUUGACAGCCCUAGUAGUCACACACUGUCUUGCCAUCGAAGGUUCAAAACGUGGGUGGGCAGGGUUCACCAUGUAAUACUCUUUGAUUUGAUUGCAUCACUUUCAACUACUUAUUAUACAUUAAAAUACAAUCAACUUUAUUUUAGAAAAUAUUAAUAGUCAAAUCCACUGCUAGGGAAUGUGCCUUCAGUACCGGGUCCAAACUUCCUUUUAGUACCGGUUGUGCAACUGUAUUGCUAUUUCCAUGCUAAAGGGAUCUUUAGUUAACUGGUACUAAAGGGGUAGUAAAAAAUAAUCAUAAAAAAAUCCGCCGACCGAAGCGCCGGCCGCACGAUUCUAAAAGAAAUGAGAAAAACUUAUUCUAAAAGCGGUCUAACUGUAUAAGGACGGACGAUCCGGCCCUAGGUGGCAGACAGUCAGCUAAACCUAGACAGAAACAGAUUUUCGAGCCGAGAAAUAUUUUCUCAAAGGCGGGCGGUCCGCGGUUGUUUUCUGUGGACAGUCCACAUGGGGCGGAUGGUCUGGCCCUAGAAGGGCGGAUGGUCCGCCACCUCUGUAACGGUCCGCUCUAACACGCAUUAAAUGCUGCAGUAGCCGUUGGGGCUUGAACUGCGGACGGUCCGCCCCUUGUGAGGCGGACGAUCCGUCCCCUGUGAGGCGGACGGUCCGCCAAUCCCGUGUUUUUCGUGAAUAUAACUGUAACGGCUAGUUUUGGAAGGGAGGCUUAUAAAUACCCCACCCCCAGGCAUGGGUGAGCUCUCUUGGCACCUUGGACAACAUUUGUGACAUUCUAAAGCCUUCUUUCACCUCUCACUCACUCACAUUGUUUAGAGAAUGCAUUUUAGUGAGAUUGAGAGCAUCCUAGUGCAUUGCAUCAAGAGUUUGAGCUUUGUGGCACUAGAGAGUCUUCAAGCAAGUGUUAUUGGCUUAUUACUCUUGAGGUUGCCGCCUCCUAGACAGCUUGGAGAUUGUGGAAGUCGUUGAGCCCUUCAAGAAGAUUGUGAAGGAGCCUCGGCUAUUCUUGUGAGGGGGUCUUGUGCUCACUUCGCCGGAGCGGUGAAGAGCAACUCUAGUGGAAUCGAGGUUUCGAGAGGUUUUUUGAUUCAAGCCGGCUCAAACAUCAAGCGGUGCCUUGAUAGAGGAGCGGUUGAAACAUUGAAUCCACCUCAACGUAGAUUAGGGGUGACCGGCAAGUCAUCAACACCACAGGAUAAAUUCAUCACUCGUGUUUGGUUCUAACUUUGCUCAAUUUCAUUAUUGCAUUUUAUUUUGAGCAAAUUACUUUACUAGAGAUUGAAUAAUAUCUUGUCACCCUAGGUGACAAACUUUCACCUAGUUGUAGAGUAACUAGAAAUAGUUUUUCCCCUUGUGUUACAAAUCAAAUUUUUUUAAGUGUUGUGAUUUUAGUUGAAACCGCCUACUCACCCCCCUCUAGUCGGUAUCAUAGAUCCUACAACACAGUUCAUCGAAUCGCAUGGAGGAGCUUCGUGUGGUCAUCCCACCAAGCAACGUACGAUCGCUGCGUGGUGGUGCCGCGUCGAUGUCCAUGCCUCGCGGUGACUCGGAGAUCGAGUGCCGCCGCGAAGCACUCGAUGUAGAUGAUGCUUCGGCCGACGAGCGUGACUUCUUCGUCCUCCCAAAAAACCUUCCAAUACUCCUCAUUUCUGCACACUUCAAGGAAAAUACUCCACCGGGGUUUCUUGCCGACGAGAAAAUGCACAAGAGCAAGAACUAGCAAGAGGUGCUUGCUGAAAUUUUUAUUUGCUGGAACUUUUAUGUAUGAGUGGAGUUUUGAAAUUUUCAGAGGCUAUGUAGAGGUGCUCUUGGUGUGUUGGAUGAAAAAUAUGAUGCACAAGGAGGUACCUGGCAAAGGGCACCACGGGGGCUUAAAAAGACCCCAGGCCGAUCGCCCUGAAGCACACCAGGCCGAUCGGCCUGGCGUGUUCUCGCCUUCCUAGGUCUCCAUCUUCCUUCACAUGGCCACUUGAUCAUCAUUGUACUAAAAAAUUCAGCAUUUGCAUGAAGGGUAGCUCCAAAUCAAUCUCCUCCACUCCUUUGUGUUAGAUCUUUUUUGAAAAUCAUGCACAUAUGUGCCAUAGCCUUUUUGUUUUCUCAAUUUCACUCAAUGCCUUGUCCUUUGAGCUGCAACAAAUAAGUAUGGCAAGCCACUUUUUGUUUCUUUAUGCAUGUGUGGUAGGUGAGAGUGCCUCCAUGAUUGUUCCCGUGAUCACAAAAUUAACCAUUAGUGUAAAUAAAGCUCAUAGACCCUCCAAAUCAUGUUUAUAUGCUUAAUCCUCCUCUAAUUUCAAAAAUUAAAAAUUAACUCAGAGCUAGCAAUGAGUUCAAAAAUAUUUUAGAGGAGUUUUGAAGCAUCAGAAACAUUUGUAAGUCGAAAGGAUUUCCGACUACAUGAAUUUUGGUUGCACCGGUAUCGUUCAUUCUCAUGAAUUGAGAUGAAGCAAUUUCGAUUUCAAUUGGGGGGUAACGGGUUUAGGUUGUAAUUUUGACCAAAAGUGAGAGGGGAAUUUUGAAUGAAAUAAAUAAAUAUGGCUUAGAAAAAUUCUAAUUCUAAGAAAACUGAUGAGUUUUUCAUGUUUAAGAAAACCAAAAUCCUAUGGUCACGUGAGUUCUAGCAUGCAUCAAAAAAUUUACAAAGUAAGAAUAAUGCGGGCUUUACUCGUUUAUUUAUCAUGAAAGCAAAUUAGGCUAAACAUCAUGGUCAAGAUGAAAGGUCUGAUAGGAUAGGGAUAUAUGGUUCUGGUUUUCUAAGAAAAUAAAAUAAAAAAUUGGGAUGGUCCAAGUCAUUGGUUUAUGAAAAAGAGAGGAAUAGAAAAUGACUGAGCGAAUAAAACUCCAAAUAUUGUUCUGACCGAAGGUUCAACUUAUUAUAUGUCCACCAGGUAUGACGUAUGUGACUCACUUACUUGACUAUUCAAAUGACUCCAGGGUUGUCCUCUCAGUAGCUUAUUCUUAACUCGAUGAUCAGGUUGCCUCCCGCAAAGCGCUUCGUUUAUAGUCUAUAGCUGGACUCUUGAAUUCUUCAGUUCGGACCAGCGCUCAGUGUCAGCACUGUAGUCUUUGGCACCCACUUCUUCACCAUCUUUGGCUUUGAUGCAAACACAGGCUUGGCUAUCUUUUUGGUCUUCACAGGCUGACGUUCUUCCUUCUUCUGGAUGAUAGCAACUUUUUCUGCUGGCUUCUUUUCUUCUGCCUUCUUGUUUUUCUCCUCUUGCUUGACAUGACGAUGUGGCGGUAUAUACUUGCUAGAAAUCAUGUUGCAUACCUCAAAGCGUGGGUGAAACUUGAACGCGCUCAUAGUGCCAUUGAUGUCAAACUUGAUCUCACCCUUCCCAACAUCUAUGUUUGCUCUUGUGGUCUUCAGGAAAGGCCUUCCUAGGAUGAGUGGGGAUUUUAACUCCUUCUCCCAUCUCGAGUAUCAUGAAGUCAAUAGGGACAAAGUGAUUCCCAAUCUUCAUAGGUACAUCUUCAGCAAUGCCUUCAGGAUAACGAACGGUGUUGUCCGCCAACUCCAGGCACAUAGCAGUUGGUUCUGGUUUCGGUGGGCGUAGCUUCUCGAACACAGCUUCAGGCAAUACGCUCACACUUGCGCCAAAAUCACAUAAUUCCCUUUGGAACAUCAGCGCUCCAAUUGAACACGGGACGGUUGGACAUCCAAGAUCUCUUUUCUUCUCGAGGGCUUGAUUAACGAUUGCAGCACUGCACUCUUCUAUCAUCUUGAUGUGAUCUAUAGUGAACUGCAGAAUCUCUCACUUGUUCAUUAGGAUAUCUUUGAAGUAGUGAGCAUAGGUUGGAACUUGUAGAGCGUCCAGCAGUGGCAUAUUGAUGUUCAACCUGCGUACAACUUCAACAAACUUCUCAAACUGUUUGUCAAUUUUACCUGGACGAUGGCAUGGUUUCUCUGGUAGAAUCUUUGUGUCAUUUUGAUUGACCAUCUCAAACUCUUGCUCUUCCAUUUCAAUCUCUCAAGCUGGGGUAUGUGUCUUCUCCUUUGAAGUCAUCUCUGCUUUAGCAGCUGGUUUAGGCUUCCUAGCUACCGCUGGAUGUUCUGGAUCUUCUGUUUCCUUGCCUGAGCGAGUUUGAAUAGAUUUAGCUAACUCUGGAUUCAUCAGUUGUCCUGGCAACUUCCCUUGAUUGCUUGUAAAAUGCCCAGCUAACUGUGUAACUUGAGUCUCUAGCAUCUUCAUUAUGUUCAUUACCUGGUGAUUCGAAUUUCCGACCUCUGUCACUUUGCUGUCAAUAUUUUUCAGAAUCUUAUCCAUAGCCUUGAACUUAGUGAUAGUGUCUUUAUUGAUCUUGCCUUGCUCCUUCAUGAACUCCUUUAGCUGAAUGCGUAGAGGCACUGUGUUCUGAAUAGAUGAGCUUGCAUUGAAUUGAGGUCUAUUCUGUCUAUACCAAUAGUUGGAUGGUGGAAACCAAUCUCCCUUCUUCAUGUAGUCUAGCAACUUUGCUUCCUCUGGAUAGUUCUUCCCGACAUGGCUGUAGUCGCCACACUCUUCACAUGUUGAUCUUGCUUCUACUGCUUUCAGGUCUAUAGCUUGAGCUUCCUUUAUCUCCAUCUUCUCCAGUCUCCUCAUCAGUGAAUCAAUCUUUCCUUCGAGUAAUUGAUCACGCUCCACCUGCAACACUCCUUGUGUAUUUCCAGUAGGUUGAGCUGGGAAUAGGUGCCCAGAUGAUGCUCAUGCAUCAUUGUCUGCAACCUUCUUGAAUAACUUGAAAGCUUGAGUUGGGGUGAGGUCUAUAAUUGAUUCUCCAGUCGAUGUAUCGAUAAUUGCCCUUGAUGCUAGUGUCAGCCCUUGAUAGAACUUCUAGACUAGGUUCUCCUUCGGGUACUUAUGGUAUGGAACUGCACAGAUGUAAUCAUUAAAGCGCUCAUGAGCUUCAGCAACUAUUUCAAAAGCAUAUUGAGCAAAAGUAGCUAUCCUGCUUCUGAGAUUCUAAGUCUUGACUGGCGAAUAAUGUUUAGUUAAGAAAGCCUUCAUCAACUCAUCCCAAUUCUGAAUUGUUGCCACUGGUAGAGAGUAAAAUCAUUAAAGCGCUCUUCCAAGUAGAGAGUAAGGGAACAACCUUGCGCUUAGUUGAUUCUGAGUAACUCCAUCCACGUCGAAGGUGUUGCAUAGCUGCAUAAACGCUUGUAAAUGAAGAUUAGCAUCUUCCGUGCUAGUGAAGGGUGAACUCUGAAAGAUCCUCAGUCUUGAAGUAUCGAUCCCAAACGGUCGGCUGAUGCGGCCCAAUUCAUGGAUAGGUAAGUCAUUGAUGUUCAGGAUGCAAAGUUUCCUGAUAGUAGGAUCUCGCUCCGGUUGUUGAUCUCCCAUUGCAGGUGCUUGCGGUACUUCUGGAGCUACUGCUGCUCCUCUUGGACUUGCUCGUGGUGUGGACUUUGGAGUAGAUGAUGAUGAUGAUGAUGUUUCCGACACUUCAAAUUUUUCCUUAACAACUGAAGCUUCGAUCUCUAGCUUUCUUGCUUGUGCUAAACGUUUUCCUUGCCUGUAAAGUUUUUCUAGAUCAUUCACAAAAUUUUUCGGUUUGUUGGAGAUGUAGCUGUCCAUCUCCUGUUAGCGUUAGUGAAAGCAAACAUAUAUAUAGAACUAGAUCUGAAAUUUUGAUUGAGAUUACACAAAACAAAAGGACUAAAAAGAAAAGAUUGAAAAAUCAUGAACAAAAAGUUAUAUCUGCAGAUGCAUAGUUAAACUAGAACUUGACUAUUAGUUCCCGGUCAAUGGCACUAGAAAACCUUGCUGACGGCUGUUAGAAUACCAAUUUGUGAACCCCAAGCGUUCGGAUCAAUUGUAGCUCUUCCCUUAUAGUAUUCCCCUAAGGUUUAUCAAUACGUGAAACUUAUAGCACAAGAUCUAUUUCAACUAGCACUGUUAGUAUUAACUCGGUGUUUAUGAGAGAUUCAGAUCCAAUCUACUAAGCAUGUACAGACAGAUAACAGAUAGAGCAAAGGUAACCAAUCUAGAGUAACCUAGACUAUGCAUAUGUUGUAAUUCUAACAUAGAUAGCAAAGCAACACAGAUAUGAUCUUAGUAAAAAAUAUCUUUAAAUCUACACUUCCGGUCCGAAUCUCGAAAUCCCCCACGUUACACAAGAAAGAUCCUGUCACGAUCACCUCUAUUAGCGCAAGCAGGUUAAAGGCAUGAUCAUAAGAACAUGUCAUACUCAUCCGUAAAUCAGGCAUGCAAAUAUGGUCACCACGACCACAAAAACACCCUAGGCAAUCUAUCAUCAAUUCAUAGAUUAAAAAGUAAGUAAAUAUGAUAAAGCGUAAAACCAUCAAAGGAGAUACUUAGAUCGCUAAGAACAUGAACACAUCUAUUACUUCAACAUGAAUGAUUGUACAUCACAAGAUCACGACCGGGAUUGUACCUUGAUCUUGAUGACUUCUAGCUCCAGAACUCCAACGUGAUCUUCCUCACAGGGUGAUCACACCGACAGAGGUUCGCCUACGCUAGCCUCCAACAACUGCACAGCCCUCAGCUCUCCAGAGAGGUGUCCCUAAAGCUCCUUCUGCUUCUCUGCUGCUUCACGUCGAGUACAUCGUCUUGGAUCUGGGGCUCGGUGGAUUUUUCGGGGUAUUUAUAGUCCAGAGAGCGUGUGAUAAAAAUUGGAAGGCGAGGGAGGAAAGGAAACCCCCCGAGGCGAUCAGCCUGGGAUGGUCCAAGCCGAUCGGCCUGGGCCUUUCUUUUGGCCCCUCGCGUCCUGCUUCAUCUCCAAGUCUCCCUUGGUGCUUUGAAGUCCUAUUUUCACUUGCAUGUGGGCCUGACACGUCGGUUGCUUCGGGAUGAGAUUGAUCUUCAAUGACUUUCCAAAUAUCCGCUUGAUCUUCUUUGAUUCCUCUUUGAUCCCAAAGUGAUCCUUGCCAUAUCUUCACAAACUUAGCCCUUAAGUCAUCUCGGAGGAUUGCUUGCCAAAGAUGGACGUCGGAAGGCUCCAGAAGACCCUAGGCCGAUCGACCUGGGCUCCUCUAGGCCCAUCGGCCUAGGCCCUUCCUGGGCCCGUUGGCCUCCAUCUUCAUCUGGUUCAAUGUUCGUUCAGUGCUUUAUCCAAAAAUAUACUUUUAGGUUCAAUUCCCUGCAAAAACAGAACAUCCUCCAAAAUUUGUUGCAUAUGUGAAAAUGACCGGUUUAUUAGGUAUAAUUAAUAUCUUGGGUAUUAAAUUCAUGUCAUUAUUGAAGAUAAACAUGGAUAAAAGUGUGUCAAUAGUGAGCAUCAACAGCCCACGCCCGGACAUCCUUCAUCACCUGCUCCUCCGCGUCGCUCUGCCGUGCUGCCCCUUUCCGUCACUGCCUCACGGGCUAGCCUCACCGCCACCUCGCACCGACCGCCUGGCCGCCUGCCCACACUCGGACCCCUGCCGUCACCUGCUCCUCCGCGUCACUCCGCCGUGCGGUCCCCUCUUUGGCGCCACCGCACGGGCUAGCCUUGCCACCACCGCGCAUUGGCCGCGUGGUCGCCUCUCUACGCCACCACAUGGGCUGCCCAUGCUGCCCCCGCUUAGCUCCACCACAACGCCCAGCCGCGCGGUGCCUGCUCCGCCCCACCGUGCAGGUCGCCCGCGUGGCCUCCUCUCCGCAGCGCCACCGAGAUCUGCUAGGGGAGCUUGAACCCCAUGGGGACUCACCACGUGGGAGCAGGCAUGGGUGAGGGAGCACUGCCGUCUGUGCUUGGGAGAGAGAUAGAAAGGGUCAGGGGGAGAGGAGUGUUGGGAUCACUGCGCGAAUAAGAAGGUGGGAGGUGGAGUUGGAGCUUGGCACCCAGUGCCGUGGGAGGCGGCGAUGGAGGGAAGGGGGCAGACAGGCCGGGGAAGGAGAGGAGAGGCGGAAGAUAGGAUAAGGAGAGAUAAAAGAAAAAAAUAGUCAUUGACAUGUGGGCUCCACGUGUCAGAGGUAAGUAGGGGCCCAAAAGUAGAGAUCCUUGUUGGAGUUGAGCUAAAAAUAUCAAGACCCGUAAAAUUAGGAUAGCCCCUACUCAAUAAAUUAGGGGCCAAGAGUAGAGUUACUCUAAGAGCAACUCCAGCAAGGCCCCUACUUGAUCCUCUACUCAAAAAGUAGGGACUGAGAGCCAAAAAUCCAACUCCAACAGAGCCUCUACUUGGAUCCCUACCCUAGGGAGGUUCCUACUUUUCCCUUCCAAGCCCCUUCUCCUGCGGGUGUGUAGGGAGGCCCCUACUCGGCCAGUUCUUCUGUUUCACCUCCCGCGAACGUCUGUCCAUUCUGCGCGCGCCAUUCUCGUGCGUCGCCACGACCCCUUCGGUGGCGGCAUCGCUCCUCCGCCUCAACUCCUACACACGUAGCAGCACCCCUCCGCCACACCAUGCCAGGCAACGGCAAUCGAGCCCGAGCUCGAUUUGUUUCCGACAAAUCGAGCGGCAAAUCCGGUCCGACGUAAAUUGAAUUGAGGAGCGAGGAGAAGGCAUACCAUGCAGAUGACGUUGGGACUCGCACGGUGGCCGCCGAGGUCGCAGGGCUAGAGCUCCAUUUGACAUCGCUCAAGCAUCGAUUUUGAUGAGUCUACGCUGCUUGAAGCCUAUGCAAGGCCGACGCUACUUGGAUCUGCUGCCUUCUGCUGUCCCGAGUAGCAGGGAUGGUUAGGCUUGAGCUCCUCUGCUGAGUCUGUACUUUGCGGGGCCAUGCGAGGCUAGAGGUCUUCCACGAGAGUGAGUUCUUCCGUCGGAUAUGAACGAAUCCACCAAGCGAGAUGCAAACACAAGGAGCAAGAACAUAUGGGUAGGAAAGAGAUAAGGAUAAGAAAAAAUAAUAAAAGGAAAAGAAAUGUAGAAACCGAUAGGUGAGGCACAUCUAUCAUAAUAAAAGUAGGGACUUCGAUUAGGGUUAUUGGAAUCGAGCCUAAAAAUUAUGCCCUAGAAAGUAGGAGGAGCCCCUAGUUAGGACCCGUUUUGUUCUUUAGUCCCUCCUAAAACUCCUGUCACAUCGAAUGUUUAGAUACUACACUAAUUACAAAAUCAAUUGCACAGAUGGAUGCUAAUUUGCGAGACGAAUCUAUUAAGCCUAAUUAGUCCAUGAUUUGAUAAUGUGAUGCUACAAUAAACAUGUGCUAAUGAUGGAUUAAUUAGGUUUAGUAGAUUCGUCUCGUUGGCUAUUUGUGUUUAUGUACAACUUAGCCGCUAUAGCCCGCUACAGUCUCGUUUAACUCCGCUAUAGCUAUUUUAGUUAGCUGGAGAUUUAAAACCUUGCUAGGGGGACGGUUUCCAGAGCAGCAAAGAGCCGGUCUACGCGCACCUGAUCGAGGAGGGCCGCCGUUACCGCGCCGCCGACGGCUUCUUGGUGAACACCUUCAGCGAGAUCGAGCCCGGAUACGUGGAGGGGUUGACGAAGAAGGCGGCGGAGCAAGGCACGUUCCCGCCUCUUUACCCUGUGGGGCCGUUCGUCCGGCCAAGCCCCGAUGAAGACGCCGCGUCGGCGUGCUUGGACUGGCUGGAUCGGCAGCCAGCGGAAUCCGUGGUGUACGUCUCCUUCGGGAGCGCCGGCUCGUUGUCUGUGGAGCAGACGGCCGAGCUCGCCGCUGGGCUCGAGGAUAGCAGCCACAGGUUCCUAUGGGUCGUGCGCAUGCCAAGCCUGGACGGAGAAAACUCAAACUGGGUGAAAGGCCACCGUCGCGCCGAGGACGACCCACUGGCGUGGCUUCCAGAGGGGUUCUUGGAGAGGACGAGCGGCCGUGGUCUCGCGGUGGCGUCAUGGACGCCGCAGGUGUGCGUGCUCUCCCACCCGGCGAAGGCGGCGUUCGUGUCGCACGGCGGCUGGAACUCGACGAUGGAGAGCGUGGCGGCCGGCGUGUCGAUGGUCGUGUGGCCGCUCUACGCGGAGCAGAGGGUGAACGCCGCGGUGCUGUCGGAGAACGUGGGCGUGGCGCUGCGGCCGCGCGCGACGCAGGCGGACGGUCUGGUCCGAUCCCGCGGGAGGAGAUCGCGGCGGCCGUGCGGGAGCUGAUGGGUGGGGAGAAGGGGCGCGCCGUGCGCCGCCGGGCCGGGGACCUGCAGCGGGCGGUGGUGCAGGCGUGCGCGCCCGGGGGUUCGUCCUGGCAGAUGCUGGAGGAAAUCGCCGGCAAGUGGAAGGCGCCGGCGCCGGCGCUUGGCAGGCAGAAGCAGUACAAGACUUGCAAGCGCAAUGGCAUGUGAUGGUCGUCGAUGUGCAUGCUUAUCGAAUCAGUGUACCUCGAUUUUGUACAACCUAAGGAUGAAAAUAACGAUGUGUGUUACAAAAUUUAGGGGUGUUUGGCUCCCACGUGCUAAAGUUUAGCACCUAUCACAUCGGAUGUUUGAUACUAAUUAGAAGUAUUAAACAUAGGCUAAUUAUAAAACUAAUUGCACAGAUGAAGUCUAAUUCGCGAGACGAAUCUAUUAAGCCUAAUUAGUCCAUGAUUUGAUAAUAUGGUGCUACAGUAACCAUUUGCUAAUGAUGGAUUAAUUAGCCUUAAUAGAUUCGUCUCGCGAAUUAGCCUAGGGGUUCUGCAAUUAAUUUUAUAAUUAGCUCAUGUUUAGUCCUCCUAAUUAGCAUCCGAAUAUCCAAUAUGACAUGUACUAAAGUUUAGCACCUAGUAUUUAAACAAUGUUUUUCCAUCUCCUUUACCAUCGUUUUUCCAUCUCCUUUACCAUCGUUUGAUCUUUGCCCUCUUGGGCCUAAAACAAGAUUGAUGGGAAAUAUGGCGGCCUCCAUAGUCGUUGAGCAGCUCACACGGCUCCGCUUAGAGCCAUUUUACCAUGCUCAAAACCAGACUAGAUCCAAAGUUGCCCUAAUACAUAUGGUGAAAUUGAACAGCUGAACCAUGACGCAGGGAUGAAGAACUGGCGUUCUAGUAAUAAACAAAAAGCAAACGCAUAUACUUGCAUAACCUACAAAAAAAUCAUGCAAAUGAUCUUUAGAAAAACCAUACAACACUACUGGAUGAUCGACCUCUAGUACCGUUCAGUAACCCCUUUAGUACCGGGCACCUAACCAGUACCGCUUGUUUGGUACUAAAUGUCACGCCAUUUAGUACCGGCUAAAAUGCCCGGUACUAAAUGGGCUAUUUAGUACCGGUUGGUAUCGACCGGUACUAAACUACGAGCAACGUCACGCUAUUACGAACAGUAGCUAAAUGGUUAUUCUUUUUUUAUUUUCCUUUCAUUUUAAUUCUGGGUUAGUUAGUAUUUGUAUUAGCGUACAAUAUGCGUUUGCGUAUAGUAGUAAUAUUACACUAUAUAUAUUGAUCUAGCAUAUAGUAAAGGUUACAUAUAUUAUAUUUAGACAAUUUAUAUACACUUCACAAAUAUUAUAAGUAUUCCGAAUAUGCACUACGUGUCGUCAUUCGAGUCCCUGAUUGGAUGAAGUUGCCCCACACUUGUUCCAUCGUAAUAGAAUUCUCCCUUUGGAUUUACGACCUCCUCCAAAAGGAAUCCACAUAGUUGUUCUUGAAUUGCCCUGAGUCGUUCUAGGGCGAUGAGAUCUUUUCUCAUUUCAAAAAUCUAUCACGUGUAAAUUAACAUCAUCAUUUUAAUCCAAUAUAUGUGAAGAGUGAAAAAUAUUGAAUUGUUAUGAAUUGUGUUUACGUACUUGGUAUUCACGGUCCGUUAUUUUCUUAAGACCUACAAAACCAUGUAUGAACUCAUAACAAUAGUAUUCACAUAAGUUGUUUCCAUCCUCAUGCCUCAAACACUAAAUAUGGAAGAAAAAAAGUUAUGAAAUAUUGAAGCAGUCGUGGUUUUUAAAGAAAUGACAUGCCCUAGAUGUCCAAAUUGAAUUCAUACCGGAAAGUUAUCCAUGAUACGAAGUUGUUCUUUGAACGGUCCUAGGUGUUUUUUUAAAGCGAGCCCAUAUCUUGUUAAGUGCGUCUAUGAGGCUAUGGUACUAUGAUUUUGUUUUUCUCUUCGGAUCCAGCACUGUGACGUGGCUUCGAUCAAUCUCGAUUAUAAGCAGUACACAGUGGUACCUGUUCAUAUAUGUAUACACAUGCAAUGUUAGAUAUACUUAUUAUUAACUUGAACGGAUGAAAAAAAGGGAUGAAUGACUCAGCGAAAGUUGUACGGCAAAGUAUGUAUUGCAUGUGAUGCUGUUUAUCCAGGAAGUUGAAAAUAGUCUUCUUGGUUCGAAAGUUCCACUACAGUGGCCCUAUAUGCAAUCAGGGUACAACAACUUUUUGUGAUCCUCCAAUAUCUUCUCAAACUUCUUUGUCUCCUUCGCAUUUUCGGAGUCUUUCUUUGCAUUUAGCAACACUUGACCUAGUUUGUCAGCUAGUUCAUCUUGUGCAAAAUCUUCUUCAGCCUCGUCCAUUUCAAAAUCUGCAAAGGCACCACCUUCAGCCCAGUCGGCUGGAAUGUUGUUAUCAUCAUCAUGUUCUUCACUAUCUACUCCUCUUUCGCCAUGCUUGGUCCAAAGAAUAUAGUUUUUCAUGAAACCCCAACGAAAUAUAUGACCAUGUAGAGUUUUUUUUUGAGUAAUCCUUGUUAUUUUUUUCACAUUCUGCAUGGACAGCACAUGAAACCCUUCGGCGACUUGUUGGCUUCUGCCGCUUCGAGAAAAGUCUUUAGACCAUUAAUGAAAGGAAUGGAACACCGGUCGCCGUACAUCCAUUGCCGGUCCAUUUGCAAAAAAUUUUAAUUUACUUCUCCAUUUGUAAAGCAAAAAAUGUAAAAAAAAUCCUUCUAAAAAAUAUUGCAGACCUUUUAUGGACUACUUUCGAUGAGCAAAUUAGAUCCCUACAAAUUUAUGGGGAAUUUUGGCAGCAACUCCCUUUAUCCCGAAUCAUCGUCAGCUUGAACUCAACUGUGUUAUUUAUGUAAAGCAACAAAAUUAGUUGAUUAUUUUUAUUUUAACAUGGUACUAAAGGUAAUUAACACAACACAUAUUUGUCAAUAUCUAAUACGAUUUUCUCAAUAUCGAACAGACUUUCAUAACUAAAAAUCUACAUUGUCCAUGCAUGUAUAAAUGAAAAAAACUCUUCAUUCAUCCUCACUCUAAAAAAGCAUAAAUUUCUCUAGCUACAAAGCAUAAAACAUAGAAUGCUAAUCAUGAGAGGAGGGAGGAUGAAGUUGCUAACCUUUAGAACAAUUGGAAGAGUGAAAUCCCCACAAAUCGUGGAAAAAAAUAGGCAGCACCUCCCCUAGGUCUCUCAUGGAGUGAAGAAGCCUGAGCUCUUGGUCAAAUGGUUGAGCUCGAGCUCAAGAGGAAGAAGGAGCUUAUUUUAUAGGGUGUACGUUAGUACCGGCUAAUGGCUCUAGCCGGUACUAAAUUGUGACAUUUAGUACCGGUUGAAGCUACCAGCCAGUACACAUGUGCGUGAACACCAUUUAGUACCGGUUGAAACUACCAACCGGUACUAAAUGGUUUCCAAGGGAAUAUAGCUAUUGGCCAUCCGGUCUCCAUGCCGCCAUUUAGUACCGGCUGAGACUCCAAACCAGUACUAUAGGGGCUCCGGUGACACUAUGUGUGACGACUGGUACUAACGCCGCGCAUAACGCGUUGGACGAAUGCUCAGUUUUCAGUAGUGCAACUACCAGACAUGUCAUAAACAAAAAGGUACCCAGGGCCUAUGGUCAUGGCAUCACAUACCAUUAUGCUGCAAGUUGCGGCCGGCUGAUCAGCUGAUGCUCUUGAAACUCCAUCCAUCCGUUGCUUUGAGUGGGCCUUACAUUAAUCCCUUUAUAUGUUCUUGAUACCUUGUUGCUUAAUUAGUUAGCUUUGACUCAAUAUAGGCCUUACAAGUCUUUUAUAUAUUUUUAGUAAAAAUAAUAAUAUUGAAGUGUUUAAGUAAUGGAAUCGAAAGUGACCCAAUCAUAAUAAAAAGCACAUGGUGGAACAUGCCCAUCCAGAUUUUGUGUCUCCGCUGAUUUACUGUGCGGUGAUUUUGUUAUCUCAAAAUAUGCCAGCACAAUCUCUCAUAGGUGGGAACACAGCUUAUGUUGCCAUGGGUUAGGGUGUUACUUUCAUACUUUGUUACUAAACACGGCAACACCUAAACCAGUAUAUAAGAAACUCCAUCCAAAACAUGGAUGGAUAGAGCAUGAAAAAAGUACAGAGAUAAUGUAAGAUAAAAAAGGGAAAUCAACAUACGAAUAUGAGCGAACUGUGUAUAACAACAUGUACACUAGCAAUUAUACUUUCAGCUUGCACAAGUUUUUGGUCAAGCUCAAAUCUUGUAUGUAUAUAGAUUAUCGUAGCCUCUAGUACCAUCUAUAUUUUCUUUGAAUAUUUCAUGCAAAGUUGCCUGCGGGCUGGCUGAUCAGCUGAUGCUCUUGAAACUUCAUCCAUCCGUUGCUUGUUUUGAGUGGGUAUAUGAUUAAUCCCUUUGUCAGGAUAAGAAUAAUUUAUGUGCAAGAUGUGAGGAGAUAUGUUCUCCUUGAUACCCUGUUGCUUAUUUAGUACUUUGGCUCAAUAUAUCCUAAAGUGACCCAAUCAUAAUAAAGAGCACAUAAUAAAGUAUAUAUGGUGGAACCUGCCCAUCCAGAUUCUGAGUAAGGCGUAUGUGCUAACUUUGGCAAUAUAAAAAUAUAUCGGUCGGAUAUGGGAACCCAUUUGUUAUAGCGGUUAGCCGGUUAGGGUGUUAUAGUGUUACCAAACAUAGUAGUGCCUAAACUGGUAAAAGGAACUCCAACAAAAAUAUGGAUGGAUAACCAUGAAAUCAUCUAGGUGCAUGCAAAUUUUGAGCUUGAAAAAAAACUUAGGUAAACAUAAUAGAAAAAGAAAAUCAGUACAUGAUAGGAGCAAGUUGCAUAUAAGAGAUAAACAGUUGUACCCACAAUUACACUAGUGCUGAUUUCACUUUCUUGUUUCACCUUGCAUAAGUUUUUAUUCAAACUCAAAUUUUACAUCCAUAGAUAAUACAUGCACGCUUGUCUUAUCUAUAUAUAUUUUAGUUUGAAUUUUUCAUGCAUCAAUUUAGGUGCUAUCGCGACACAGGUGGACAGGCUGAUCCCGUGGGUGGAAAUCGCAGCGGCGGUGUGGGAGCUAAUGGAUGGAAGGAGAAGGGGCCGGGCGGCGGCUGCCCGGUGGGAUUGCUUAGCAUUUCUUUGCGCGGUUAUCAUUUAACGGCUGAACCUAUAUGCUUCUGAGUUGUUGACAGUUCUAGCCCAGAUACGUAAUUCAGUGGUUCAGAAUUCAGUCCAUCACUCCGCUUUACUAUACAACUUUGAACCGCACGUAUAAAAUUUUACUGAAAAUUUCCGCCAUAACCCAGCCUCCUACUCAACUAUGCACAACGCAAGUGUGGCAGGUUUGACUGAAAAUGGCUCCUUUUCAUUGUUGUCGACUCUUGUACUCCUCUCCUUCCAAAGAUCUCAUCAACCAUGGGCAAUGACUCGGUUAAACAAUUGUCCACGUUUUCCUUUCGCAUAGCUUUAUCCACCUAGUCACAAUUUGCAUGAUUUUGUCUGAACCUCGGGUCACUACUCUCUUAGUCAAAUCGUCUCGCGCCAGCCGAAUGCGACGGAAAUUACUUUCUUAAUCUGGAUUCUUAUGUCGUGCAGUAGUUACUUUGCAAUGUUUUUACUUGUAAUGGUGUAAAAAUUAAAAUCGAGGCUUAUCCCUUCAGUUUGUCUCUUUGACAACGCUUUCGCCGCCCCAUCCUCUAGACCAAGCUCUAUCGUCUCCGUAUCUAUAGCUGAAAUCUUCAGCCGCCACCCUAAACCAAGCUCUCUUCAGGAUGGUUCAGCCUAGCGCUCUCUUUAGAGAGUACAGUACAAUGCAACUUCCAUACUCUGCACUAAUAAGAUGAUGAUACACGCAGAGAAUUUUUCAUGCUAGUGGAAUUCAAAAUCUUCCGUACAAACUUGAUCUGUUAUUGGUAACAACUGAAUUAAACUGCACGAACUAUUUGCUUUGCCGUGAUGCCCGUGCACCUGUUCUUAAAAGAUCGAAUAUGACAUGAUUUGACCUUUUUUUUGUUUUUUAUGCUCGCAUAGUACUUUUUUUUUCUAUACGUUUCCGUACUUGAGGUGCUGUAAACAUUAAGAGCGAACCUGAUUCCAUCAGUCUGUCCCAGCGUUGGAUCCAGCUUAUCUUAUGCUUCCACUAGUAAAUAGUUAGAGAACCUUUCGACAUGUUUGGCUAGGUAUAAUUUGGAUCUGCAUUUGUUUUUUAGUGGAAGAAUAUACAAUGUUUUGUUCAAACAUAAACGAAAACCUAAUAUUUCAACUUCCAAGUACAACCCUGUAUUUCUUGACAUUCAGAGUUUUCAGGAAUUCAGAUAUGUAGUUCCAAGCAGAAAAAAAGUUCACAGAUUUUCCCGGGCCAAAGGAGAGCAACUAAAAGCACUCAUUGAAAACAAGUUUUAUCGAUGAGUCCAAAAAGGAUUUGUAAGGUAUGCCAAAUAUCUUUGUUUUCAGUUUAAGAAUGAAAAAUAUUUUUAUUUUCGUAUUUAAACAUAUAUGAUUUAUUUCAAGAAGAAAUUUCGAAAUAGUUGUUUCUUCAGAUUCCCCCUUAGGUGAUCCGUGAUCAUCAUGGGAAACAUUAUGCCUAACUUGAUCCGAGAUUGAAGGCUCCAUUGUACCGUGGCUAUUCGCCAUUUGACAAGACACAAAACUACCACGAAGUGAGGCGCCACCAAAGGCACCGACCCUACGUGCGCUAGGCGGGGUGACACUUCACCAUGGCCGCGGCGACCACCGGUGCAAGUGACACGUCACCGUCGACGACGGAGCUGCCACUGCCGGCGUGCACAGAGGAGCUGCCGCCGUCGCCGCAGCAUCAGGUCGUGCUGUUCGCGAGUCCCGGCGCGGGCCACCUCAUCCCGCUGGUGGAGCUCGCGCGGCGGCUCGUCGUGGACCACGGCCUCGCGGUCACCGUGGUCACGCUCACCGGCAUGUCCAACCCGGCAACCGACGCCGCCGUGCUGUCCUCGCUGCCGGCCUCCGCCGCGACCGCGGUGCUCCCUGCCGUUUCCCUCGACGACCUCCCGCCGGACAUCGGCUUCGGCACUCUCAUGUUCGAGCUUGUCCGCCGCUCGCUCCACCACCUCCGCGCGCUCAUGGAGGGCCUCAGCGGCAGCCCGGUGACCGCGCUCGUAUGCGACUUCUUCGGAACCGCGGCUCUGCCGGUCGCCGCCGAGCUUGGCGUGCAGGGGUACGUCUUCUUCCCCAACAGCUUCGCACUGAUCUCCAUCAUGCGCCACAUCGUGGAGCUCCACGGCGACGCCGCCGCCGGCGAGUACCGCGACCUCCCGGACCCGCUCCCGCUCCCCGGCGGCCCGGCUCUGCGCCACGCCGACCUCCCCGACGGGUUCCGGGACCGGACGGACCCGGUCUAUGCCUACCUCGUCGAGGAGGCGCGGAGAUACGGCCGCGCCGAUGGCUUCCUUGUGAACAGCUUCGAGGAGCUGGAGAUCGCCAUGGCGGAGACGUUCAAGCGGGACGCCGAGGACGGCGCGUUCCCGCCGGUGUACCCUGUGGGGCCGUUCGUCCGGUCGAGCACCGGCGAAAAGGCCGAUGAGUCGGCGUUCUUGGAGUGGUUGGAUCACCAACCGAAGGACUCGGUGGUGUACGUCUCCUUCGGCACCGGGGGCGCGCUGUCCGUGGAGCAGACGGCCGAGCUCGCCGCCGGGCUGGAGGCGAGUGGCCACAGAUUUCUUUGGAUCGUGCGCAUGCCCAGCCUCGACGGCAACCCCUGCGCGUUGGGGACGGUCCCCGGCGACAAGGACGACCCGCUGGCGUGGCUCCCCGAGGGGUUCUUGGAGAGGACGAGCGGCCGGGGCCUCGCCGUCGCGGCGUGGGCGCCGCAGGUGCGCGUGCUCUCCCACCCGGCGACGGCGGCGUUCGUGUCGCACUGCGGGUGGAACUCGACGCUGGAGAGCGUGGCGGCCGGCGUGCCGAUGGUCGCGUGGCCGCUGUACGCGGAGCAGAAGACGAACGCCACCAUCCUGACGGAGGUGAUCGGCGUGGCGCUGCGGCCGGCGGCGGCGCGCGAGGAGAUCGCCGCGGCGGUGAGGGAGCUUGUGGUGGGGGAGAAGGGAAGCGCCGUGCGCCGCCGGGCAAGAGAGCUACGUGAGGCUGCGGCGCGGGCGUGGUCGCCGGAAGGGUCGUCGCGGCGGGCGCUGGGGGAAGUCGCCGGCAAGUGGAAGGUGGCGCUUGUCAGUGGGAAUGGAAGGAUUGCAUGAUUCGUGUUCUUUCUCCAUGAUCAAGGUCAUGUGUCUGGAUGGAUUAAGCCUAUUACUUCCGUGAAUUUAGAUGAGAUAAAACUAAGUUUUCUGUCAAUUCAAGGAGAUUGGCUUGAACCUCUUGCUAUAUAAACACUCUUUUCUAGCUCUGCUUCUAAAAAUUUCUAGCAAUUUUUAUUUUCGUUAAUAGCAUUCAAUGCCUCAAUGGGUGUUCAGCAAUUAUGGUUUACUGGAAUAUAUGAGAAUUUCUUGCUUGCAUCAUUUUAAUUUUUUGAAAAGAAAUCUCACAGCUCAUUUGAUGUUUUAAUUUGGCUCUAUUGAAGGAGUACGGAAAAAAGAGGUAAACUCGAGUGAUUUGUGACAAUCUCUCACUCGAUUUUUUUUCCCUCCCAAUCUGCAUGACUACACGUGAUUUCCUGUUUUUUCUUCAGCUCCGAUCAAACUUCGGCGAGAUUAGGGGUUCCAGGGUUAGGGAGUUGAGGUUUCCGGGGUGAGCUCACCAGUGGCCCUAGAGGGAAGGCGACAGGCUGGCCUGUCGGUGAGGCGCGGCGGCGAUGGUACUGCUGGCUGGGCAGUGGAGGAGGCUGGUUGGGCAGGGUCGUGGCGGGGUGACGAUGGCGGCAAUGGGAGGGGCAGGAAAUCGGCUGCCGCGAGCAGGCUAGAGUCUCGCGGAGCUCCACGCUGGUAGUCGACGUGGAGCUCCAACAAGACCCUAGCCCGCCCGCGGCAGGUGGAGGCACGUGGGGCGGGGGCGGGGCAGGGGCAGGGAAGCUCGGGGAGAAGGAAAGGGCGUCAACACUGGGAGGUAGAAGAUGGAGAGAUGUAGGAUGUCCUUCUGACGGCUAAAAAAUUCGAGUGAAGAAGGCUCCUAUUUCACUUAGGUGAUGCAUAGACCUCUGAAUAAAACCUUAUGGCCACUUUUUCCUGCUAUAAAGUUUUCGUCGCAUCUAUUUGUUAACUUAACUUAUUGGAUAAUAUAACCUGGGCCAACUAUAAUAAAAAGUCAUUUCACUAUAAACUAUCCCAGAGUAGAAAAAUUCGUUGCAGCUAGCGAACUUCUAUGUGAUCCGGAUUCAGGAAGAUGGCGAUGUAUCCGGUGGAGAUUUUGUUGCGGUGGAGAGGAAACAGGAAAACUCAAGAGGCUUCCAGGCAGCGACGAAGGCACAUAUCCUAGGACCUUGAGAGGUGGCAGCUCGGACAGCGGGCACGUGUCGAGGGCGGGCGGCGGCGGGGGAGGAUCUUCGUAAAAUGCCAAGCGGGCGUCUUUCUGCAAAAUCAGCAUGAUUUUCAAAUUUUCUCUCCUUGUGUAGAAAUAUUUUGGAACACCCACAGGGUGCAGGGGUGCUGCGUAAGAAAAACGAACGCGUUUACUGUAUACGUAUACGGAGGGCCUUCCCUGGACCCGAAAUCGAUUAGCGGAAAACCUAAGGAGCUUUUCGCAAAACUGCGCGUGCCGUUGGCAGCCUUCGGACCACAGAUCGACCGCAAAUAAAGGGGGAUGUGACCCGCACGGUUAGCCCUGCAGCACCCCCGGAAUAAGUGGUGUUGAUUACUGAAGCCAAGAAGAGGAGUGAUGGCUCCGUUCUAAACAGCAAUCUUCCUGUCCACGUGGAUUACUGAAGUCCGGAUUCAGGAAGAUUACUAAGACAGUCCUCUUCUCACAUCAUUCGUGUGCCUGUUCAAGCAGAUAUCACGAACCACGAAUUACAAGAAAAAUAUACACGAGAAGGGAAGAUAUUCUACGGACACAUAAAAAUGAUUUUAAUAUAAUAUAUGAGGCGUGAUCAUUCCAUAAGAAUCUGAGGUGUUUCUUCUUUCAUGGUCCUCCCUACCUUACGAAGAUGCCUCGUGAGUCCCCUCACUCUCACAAUGUCCCCCACCCCAUCAUGCUAACAUGACAUUGCUAGGCUUUUUUUUUUCAUGUUCCCACUUGCCAGUACUGGCACCACCUAAAACUAGUGCCACCACCCCGGUCAUUGAGGGCUAAGAUGUUAUGAAUUAUUAUUUGUCAUACAUGUAACUAGAAGUCAUCUUGUCACACCUUUCUCAAUAAUAUGUUCUUUCUAUUGUUGGGAUAUCUUUCAAUUUCUAGAAUAUUUUUUCCUACUUCUGGAAUAUAUUCACUUACCGAUUCAAUACAAAUUGUUCCAUUAGUAGGAAAAACAUGUUUUACAAAAGAGAAAAAAUGUUUCAAUAGUAAAAAAAAAAUUCUCGGUGUGCGACACGGUAACUUCUAGUUGCAUAUGCGACAUAAAAUACCCCUCUCCGACCAUAACCCUAAACCCUACCUUCCCCUUCCCCUCACUGGUAGAGAAACGAGCGGUAGUCCCGGUUGGAAAACCUCAUAUAUCUCGGUUUGCUCAAUCGGACGGGUCUUCCUCCACCCGGGACUAAAGGUUUCGGGACUAAAGGGUUUUUGCGCCAAAAAAUUAUUAGUAAUUCCCGGGACGCAAGACAUGCGCAACUCACAAGUUACGAGUCACGCGAUUUUUCACGCGAAUUAUGCGCGUGCGUGGGAUUCAAAACCACAACCUCAAGCCUCGCACGUAGCUUCCUUACCAUCUCACCUACACAACACAUAUUACUAAGUAGGGGAUGCAAUCUUUUUGUAGUAACUCGUGGGGGGCCCUUAACCGGGACUAAAGGAGGCUUUAGUCCGAGUUUGUAACUGGGACUAAAGGUGUCUCCACGGACUACAAAAUUUAGACCUAGGAUUUUAGACCCAGGAUUAAAGCUUCUUUAGUCCCGGGUCAAAAAUAAUCGAGAUUUUUGUUGAUGAUGAAAUAUCGUUUUUCCACAAGUGCCUCCUCCCUGAACCCUAAAUAAUGGCAGUCAAAGAUGCAGACGAAUUUGUAUCUAAUAGAAUGAAUGCACGUUCAUCCUUCUACACGGAGUGCGAAAAGAAGUUCCAUUAGGUGGAUGGCAAUGUUCAUUCCUUACACGACUAAAGACCAAAAAAAAAACACUGGGAGACCAACAUCUCAUUUGAUACCUUAUAUAAGCAAUAGACUAUAUUUCGGUCUUCAGUCAUUGCGUUCAAUCCAAAUUACGGUUUGUGAAGGACAAUAAAGGAAAGGUAAUAUAUACUCCCUCCGUUCCAAAUUGUAAUUCAUUUUAACUUUUUUAGAUGCAAAAUUUUUACUAUGCACUUAGAUAUAGUAAAUAUUUAGAUAUAGUAAAUAUCAAGAUGCAUAAUAUUAUCUAUGAAUCUAAAAAGUCAAAACAACUUACAAUUUUACUUGCGGCAACUUGCGGCGGAGGGAGUAGUACAGCAUUAUUAGUUUCGAAGAGCAUUCUGUAGCUUAUCUACUGAAGUCAUCGAUUGUGCUACUUAUUGCUACUAUAGAUAGGAGGGGCCCACCAGGCUGAUGGGAGAGAGAAAGAGGCUCAAAGGUCUAGUUCAGAUCCGGAAAGAAUGGUUAGCCUCGGCCAGAAAAAAAAAAUUCACAUUUAGAUUCUCUGGAAAUAGCAUUUAGUCAGUUACUGAAAGGGUUGAGGUUAGAUAAAACUGAAGAAGCACAAAACUCGAAAAAGUAAUCUUUGUGAAAAAGGAUAUUGAAUUUCAGGGCAUUAUAUGUAGCAUUUAAAGUGGUUAUGAAAAGUUUGUUUAUUGUACAUGUUGCAAAUUUACAUCCUCAAUGAUGUCAAAAUGGUGUGAAACGGGAAAUGAAAAUUCAUGUAUAGGCCGGAUCAAUUUGGUGCCUAAAACCGCUAUACAGACUAGACGCAAAAUCUCAGCAUAGAGUAUACUCGCAAUCAAGAAGGCGGGUCAGGAUCUCUUGGCAGCUUGGACGCCUCUCCGGUUCUGCCCAGCAAUCUGUUAAACAAGGAUAAAGCAUGAGUAGGUCAACAUUAGGUGCCGGAAUAGAAUUCUGGAAAAUCAGUGUACUUGCAACGGUCACAUAAAUUUGUUUAGUUGUUUACUUUUUAGAACAUGUUGGUGACACACAAUUCAAAAGUGAGAUUUGAUAAAUGUAUGUCUGAACUCUAGGUUGCUGAUAAUGCUCCCUCUGUUCGUAAAUGUAUGAUAUUUCGGACAUCAACAUGGCCCCCAACACAAACAUUUGACCACCAAUUUUUGUAUGAAAAUGAUUCAGAAAAUUACUAUAUUAUAUGAAACUACUCUUCAAACAAAUUUAAAGGCUGUGUCCAUCUGAACAAUUCAAAGAGUUUUUCUUAAAUCCACAGUCAAAGUUAAAAGGUGUUACUGCACGCACACGCAUUCUAGCACGUGAUACAUUUCUUGAAAAUAGAUUUCACAAAAUAGAUUCACCUUCACCCGUCUCUAGAGAGUGGGAAUUUCUCGUAUGUAAUGCUUGAAAAUUGCAACAUGUAUCAUGCAUGACCACUAUUAUGUAUUAUUUCACAAACUACUUGGAAUUUGGAAUGUUGGAAUCUAGGCAAACCACAAUGGAGAUUCCAAAUUGAUGCAGGAUUGUACCAACCAACCUUUCAUAGAAGGAACACAAACCAUACCUGCUAUCAAGCUUCCAAGAGGUCCAUCUGGUAUUUCCAGUCUCGCCCCAUCAUUCGCAACAGAGUAAACGAUCUAACAUGUAGAUCAGGAGACAACAUGAUUGUGAGUUGGUUGAAUUUAGUCACAAUUUUAAAAAAAUACAAGCCUUGGAAAAUUAUGGUGGCUACCUGAACAGGUGGUAUUCCUUCCCAAGGUCUACUAAGAGUGCAAAGCUCCCACAUGAUAACCCCAAAGCUGAAGAUGUCACAUUUUUCUGUGAAUGGUUCAUUGCGAAUGAGCUCAGGAGCCAUCCACUCUGGAGUCCCCGCAGAUGAGUUGUCAUCCAUUGACAAAUCGGACAUUAUUCGAGAGAGCCCAAAGUCACAUAUCUUGACUGUCCAGUAUUUGUUAACAAGGCAAUUUGCACUCUUGAGAUCACGGUGAACAAUCUUCAGUCGGUGCAUGCACAUGAGGCCCCUUGUACAACACGGAAAUAAAGAACAUAAAGGGAGGAUAUAGCAAGGGUUAAACCAUCUGAAAAACUACAUGCAUUGAACAGUCCAGAUAACUAGAGGCAUUGAACAUGCUCACCUACAGAUAUCACGGAGCAUCUUUAACCUCCUCUUCCAAUGGAGCUUAAUUUUAUGCGUUUUUGAAUGAAUCAAACUGUACAAAGAGCCCAAUUCCAUGUACUCAGUGACUAGGGAUAAGUGAGGAGGCUUCAUGCAUGCACCAAGGAAGAGUAUGACUGCAGUCCAAAGCAACAUAAACAUAUUUAGCAUACUCUACAGAAUGUAAUAUAAGUUCUUUUCUUUAUGAAAUAGGAACCAGCAAUCCUGAAAAGGUUGUAAUCAAAAUUAACAAAUUGAAUUUCAAACUAAACUAAUGUAAGUUCAAUGUUGAGGCAGUACCAUUGGGAUGUCGAACUCGGCUGAAACAAAACGAGAAAAUAAUAAGAGGACAAUCUUUUAGACAACUCAUAACAAAAAGUCAUGGACUAAGAUAUAGGUAAAACCUAAGUAUUGAGAUCUCGUUGCAGAAAUCUUUCAUAUUCUCUGGUGUCAAAUCUUGCUCUAGGAAUACUUUUAUAGCUACGUCUGUUCCAUUCCAGAGGCCACGGAAGACUUCUCCGAAGAACCCUGAAUAAAAAUGCAGAUGAGUUACUACCCUAGAAUCAGGUGCCGCAUAAAGCAAACACAGAAUCUAUUACUUCAGAUUCAUUAUGAUUUUCUCGAUACUUCAACAAAUGGUAAUAAAGGAAGCAUAGCUUCUGAUGAUGCACCUGCCUUUAAGAGACUUCAGAUGAUGCAGUGCUUCCAAAAUAUAGCAAACAUUAGAAAACAGGAAAGAUUACUUGCCUACUCCCACACGAAUGCCAACAGUAAUCUCUGAAAACUCAAUGCACCAUUCCUCAUAUGGCAAUAAAGGCUUGUUCAGAAAUGGUGAAGAUUGCAACACCUUAUUCCAAGUUGACAUCAGAUCAGCUUCUGUAAAGUCAGAUGGGCCCCUGAGGUCAGAGGCAAGGAUACUUGACCUAUGGGGUGAUGAAGGUAGUGACACUGCUUUCUGACUAUUAAUUUGUCUUCUCAAACCCUCCAGUGCGCUUGGUCGUCUUAUAGACACUUCAUCAUCAUUGGAGUCACCAGCAGUCUCCUAUAUAAAGUAUGGGCCAUAACAACAAUUAAACCCAAAACUAAGUAAUUCAGACCUUCCGAUUGAUUUUGGGUUUACUGAAUAAAAGAGCGCAGACCAUUUUCUAGUAUAAGUAAUAGAUCAAGAAAACUUUAUUGAAAAUCAAAAGAAGACAUGUCAAUAAACUAGAAGGGCAGCAAGGAAAAAUAACAAGCACAUAUGAAGGUGUUCAGAAGGAACAAGUGUGACCUUAAAGCAUCACAGAAGUGUAUACAUGGUUAUAUGCAAACCAAAAGAAAGCAAGCACAAACUAAAUGCAGAUGCACUUGUGAAAUGCAAUUCUAAGAGGGAUGCUGAAUCCUGGUCCAGUUUGUGAUCACUUCAAUGCUGGUCUAUCUGGCCAUGGAUUUGCCCCCUUGGGCCAUUAAGGGAGUCGACAAGCUAAGAAGAGGAUUCCUCUGGAGAGGAAGGAGGGCUGGGGGGGGGGGGGGGGGAUCUCAAAUUUGCAAAAUCUUGAUUGGGCUCUCCGGAUGAGAUGGUUAUGGCUUUAGAAGACAGAUCCCACUCGCCCAUGGGCCACAUUUCAGGUUCAAGUUCCUCCCUGUGUUCAUGCUUUCUUCUCUAUAGCUAUUGUGACUGAGGUUGGUGAUGGAAAGAGCAGCUUAUUCUGGUGUGACCGCUGGAUUCAUGGCCAACAGAUUAUCAACCUCACUCCACAAGUUCAUGCCUUGGUCUCCAAAAAGAAGAGCUCAUAAACGAACAGUGCAAGACGCCCUAUCAGAUCACUCAUGGGUCUCGGACAUUCAAGGCGCCUUGACAGUGGGUGUGCUCUCAGAAUAUCUGGCUCUCUGGGAUUUAAUCAGUGAGAUGGUGUUGCAGCCUGAUGUAACUGAUACCCAUGUAAAUUUGCAUGGUCUGAAAUUCUGAAUAGUAGGGUUCACAAUGUGAGACAGCACUCGACUAUUUGGCAUUGGUGCAUUGCUGUCUAUGUACUGAUGCUAGCACAAGUGUGGAACUGCACAGGUACAUGAAAAUUUAAAAUAUUUCAUGUUAUCUGAACUAUCCUGCGCAAGCAGACAAAAGCUGCUCUGGACAUUGGCAAGGUAUGAGGCAAAACUAUGGCCACCAGUAGAAUCUAGUGAAAUAUAUUGUAACAAGCACCAUUUUGGAUAACUGCAUGGUCUCCAGGAUGUAACAUUGGGCACCAAUGUCCAUUGUAUCAUAUAUAUAAAAGAUGCAAUUACAAUAUAAUGAACUUGAAAUAAGGAUGCAGCACAACCAGUUCUUUACUUUUAUAACACCAGUAUUCUGAACAUCUGCAAGAUUAAUUUGACAAGUUUCUACAAUUUGUAUACUGGAAUUUGGUAGAAUAACAAUGGUAUAGAGGUAUUUAGAAAAAUGAAAUGGAGAGACAUAGAAAUGCCCUGGGAUAGCAAUAUACUUGAGAUAGUAACAUACGUGUUUAUGUGAAUCAUUUGAAGGUCCAAGACUACCAUCAUUCUGCCCCCUUGAAAGGCGAUUUUGUCUCAUGCUUUCACUCAUUGCUCGAACAGCUCUGCAAACAAGCAAAACAUACUUCUAUGUCAGCCAGGACAGAUAAUGUCCCCUAAAGAAUGAAAAAAAUACUUGCAAACUAGCUUGUGGCCCAUUAGCCAAAGCAAUAAGAUGCAUGUGACAGUUCUGUGAUUAAAGAAAAAGCUAAAUGGUACAGAAGUGAAAAGACCACAAGGAAGAUUGAACUUUUCAUCAUGGUCACUAGAAAGGAAAUACAAUAGGUGGUCCGAUGCAGAAAUGCGAGUUAUAGGACUGAACUUUGGAUUAAAAAUAAAAGGAAACCUCAACAUAGAACACGCACUAGAAAGAUAAACUGUUGUAUAGACAUAAGUUACUGAAAUAUAAAUUUAUGAUAGACGUGAAACAUAAUGUUAAUAAACAGCUACUCUUUGUUGUUUUUUAUUGGCAAAAUAGCCAUUUUGGUCCCUUAACUUUACCCUGAGUUCGUCCCUCAACUUCUAAAAAGGUCAAUCUAAUCCCUCAACUUUCGUUUUUGGGUCAAACUCAUCCUUUUUCUGAUUUUGCCCUCCAUACUGAUAUGAGACUAAUGCGAAAGUCAGUUUAGCCCUUAGCUUCUCCCCCCUUAAUUUCUGUCAUCCAAUGGACACAUGUCGUAUAAAGUGAAGCUAUCGUGGCUGGAAGGCUACUUAGUUAGAUUGGGAAAGUUUCGUCUGACAACGGCUGCGAGUUGAAAUGUAGAGGGCAUCAACCAUGAACUGAAACGCAUCACCGGAGUAGCGGAAUACCAGCUGGCACCACCAGUUCAACUGCAUAUUCUCUAGUAUUAACUUAGCUUGGCAAGAUAGAUGAAUGCCCGAUGCCAAUUAGUAUUUGUGUAGCUUAUUAUGACUGCUAUGAUGUCGUAUACAUUUUUUUAAAGUUGUCAAACUUAUUCCAUUUUCCGUAUGACUGUCUUUGCUUGAUGAUUUAUUUUGACCUCCUAGCUUAUCCGCACCCAGCUCCUUCUGUGCAGUGGCGGAGCUAGGAGUGAAAUCGGGGGGGGUGGAGGGCAAUUCCAGGCUAAUGGCUAAUCUACAGUUAUAUGCAAGGGCACGUUGUAGUUCCAAAGCUGGUCAUAUGGAUUGUGUGUAGACAAUAGGCACACCGGCAUAUGCAUAUAUAUUUUUUAUUAAUUUGUGAUCUACUAGUCAUUAGAUAAGUGACAUAACCACAAUACAAUGAGACAGUGAGCAGCUUAAGAAGGGAUCGAGUUGCAUGCCUGUAUGUGCUCCUGCUAACUAUUACCACAGUGCACGCAUUGUGCGUUGUCCUUGAAGAAGACGGUAAAUAUGCAAUUUUAAGAAUAGUUCAGAUGAUCCAUGUGUAUCUAAUGCUAGUUGGAGGUGGGUUAGACGUAUUCUAAACUAAAUACACCUGGUGUAUGAACCCUCAGAUUCCAUAACAACAAAAGGGUCCCAAAAAUGCAAUGAAUAAGUAGAAUAUAGUAGCGAGGUACCUAUUAAUACAGCUAAUGAAUGGGAGAAUGUGUGGUUUGUGGGAGAGAGAAUGCAUUUAUGCAUGUGGCCAUGCACAACAAUGGAUGUGCUCUCUAGUUUAGGCAUGCAAGCAGCCAUGGAGGCGUGUGCUUUCUUUGAAAAUUGCUCUACAGCAAGAGGGAGGGGGGGUAUGGCCCACUAUGGCCCCAACGUAGCUCCGCCGGUGCUUCUGUGUCCUGUGCGUGGUUGUGCUGCCAUGGUCUUAGUGCUUCUUCUGUGUGUUGUUAGAUGGACUGCCAUCUUCACAGUGCUGGAAGAAAUUGAGGGGAAAAUAGCUCAAGGGUAAAAUUGACUUUUCAUAUUAGUGUCAUAUCAGCAUGGAGUGCCACAUCAGUCCAAGGACAUGUUUGACCUAAAAACUAAAGUUGGGGGACUAAAUUGGCCGAUUUUAAAGUUAAGGGGCGAACUUUACCCUUGGAGCAAAGUUACAUGACCAAAACAGCUAUUUUGCCUUCUUUUUAUUCGUUUCGUUAUUUGUUUAAAACAGGGCAACAUUGUCCUAUUGCGUCUUAGAAGGCAACCAAGGUUUUAAUGAACUUGUGUUGUAGAGUAAUAAAACUAAAAGCACUACAUUUUCACAGGACUUAGCAGCUGACCACAUUUUGAGACAAAUCUGGUAGUUCAGAGAGUUGAAAUCAUCUUUGCCAACCUCACAAUAUCAUCACUGAUUUCAGGGGUAAUACUUAUACUUCUUCUCCGUGCUCUACGUGUAUUUGAUGUUGAUGCGCCAUCUGACCUAUGAUCAAGCAAGACAUGUUUAAUUAGGACAAAAUAAAGCAGUACUACCUGAUUAAAAUAUUGACUACACUAGUGUUAAAGCAUUUAUAGCCAAGGGUAACCUGGCUACCAAAGUUAAGCAUAAGUUCUAUUUUUUACUGCUAUAAAAGAUUUGGUUGCUGAGUCCUUUGUUUAUUUCUUCCUCCCCAUCCCUCACAAAACAGCAUGCAACUACCGGGCAUUCUGGUAAGUGGUCCCCUUCCACAAAGUUGAAAAAAAAAGUUUAAAGGACAAGAGAAAAUAUGUCUCGAACAAAGAAACUAACUUCUAAAAAAUUGUAAUCUUAUCCCAACAACUUUUACAUAGUGAGAGGGCUGAGCCUAUAAUGCAACCUAGGCAUGUCAGCGUAGGCGCGAUACAUGCAAGCAGCAGAUCUCAGCCAAGAGCAGUAGCCGCAAUGACGCACUGUGUUAGCAAGCACAACAUUGAAGGCAUGAUAAAGGCCAUGGCCGAACUGAGGAGCACAUGCCAACCCAGACACAGUGGUUUACUUGAUGGAAAGAUUCUUUUCUAUCUUUAGUGGCACAUGAUAUUCAGCUUUACAUCAUAGAAAGGUGAGAUAAAUUUGCUUAGGCUCUAUUUGUCAAACAUGAGAUAGCAGGUAUGGUUUUGUGGUUACAAAAAUUUGAUGCUCAUGUUGGAGCCAACAAUUUCACAGAUUUGCAGAAGUUCAAGUUAUACUCCACUAGAUGCCUUCUCCAUGGAUCAAGAGUAUAUUUUGAGAAGAGAAGAGUAGCCACGACAAAUAAGAUGAGUAUUGGUGUUAUGAAGAAAGAGCAACCAAAAUGUUUGUUUUUUGUAAAAAAGAAAAGAAAAUGUUAGCAAUGAACAUGUGGAUCCUGCAGCCUUGUGAUUGAGGUGCGCCAACAAGGAUCAGACUCGGUAGCCACACAGGUCAAAACCGGGUCAAUUUGGGAAUUUGGAGUUAGUUGCAUUUGUUUUGACAUUUCAAGGAUGCAAAUUAUACAGUAUUGGAGCUUAGUGUGUCGAUAAACAUUUUUUCAUGUUUCUACUCAUGAUUUUUUCACACCAUAUGGCAUCUGCUGAGGCAUCACAGAUGCAGCAUUAGAUGCUUUGUUUAGGAACGAAAGCAAUGAGAUCAGAAUUCAGAAUUUGCCUCUUCUGGUUAGUUCAGAUUGAAAAGAAAAUACACAACAGAGACUUACUGAGGUACCUUGACACAGCUACACUGUUACCGUAUUGUCUGUCACCCAGCAUUGAGCGCCCACGAACUCUGGACAAUGGAUGCUCUGGACUACAGGAACAAAGAAAGGAAUUUGAGGAAAAAGCAAUCUUAUCUGUGAAGGACUCAAUGUUCUAGAUUGGAAUGUGUAUACAAACACGGGGGGAAAUAUCACAUAUAAUGUAGUACUCCCUCCCGUCCCAAAUUACUAUUCGUUUUGGCUUUUCUAAAUGCAUAACUUUUGCUAUGUAUCUAGACAUAGUAUAUAUCUAGGUGCACAACAAAAGGCUAUGUACCUAGAAAAGCCAAAACAAAUAGUAAUUUGAGACGGAGGGAGUAGAAAAGAGAUAAAUAAGUAGCAGGAUAAAGCCUCCAUAUAAAACUCAAAACAAGGAAAUUUGCACUUACAGCACCUUUACUUCUCUCUACUCAUUUUAGUCACUUGCUGUACUUCUAAAUCAACCUUAAUUUGGCCCACCUUAAUGUUUGAUACAGCUAGUUUAUGUCAUACCAACAUGCCACUGGCAAUAGAUAUGCUUCUUGGAAUUUCAAACUCCAAGAGAUAUUCAGUUACAAAUUUAUAUUUAUUAUCCCAUCCAGUUUUUUUAUACUUAUCCCAUCCAGUUAAAGUAGAGCCGUCCUUGAAUGCAUGGAAUCUAACUAAUUAAAAUUUGAACUACUAGACCUACAUCUUUACAAAUACCAUUGGAUCAGUUAUAAGAAAAUCAUCAGCGGAUUUGCCUCCAAAAAUACUUUCAUUUAAGUUUAUCAUAUUUACAACUACGUUAUAAUCAUUUUUUAUGAGUGACGAUACAUUUAUACUGACAUAAUUUUCAAGCGGCCCAUUUAAUGCAUGCAAAAAAUCAAAGUUUGACUGCACACAUUGGUGGUGCCAGAAACAGAUCACGCAUGUAGCUGCAUCAGUACUUUUUCCCUAGGUCCUUUGUAUGUUUUAAAUUUUUAUGGAAUUUUGGUACGCUUAUGGAUGGAACCCCAGCUGCCCUUGGCCUAGAUCCACCAGUGUGUGGACAUUCAGGGAUAGGCAGUACGAGUUAUGGCAACCUAGCAGAAAAUAACUGAAGGCAAACUUGUUCUUUGUCCAUCCAAUGACAAUUGCUACUAAGAAACGACAUCAAAAUGAGAACCUUGAACUUGCAGUUCUUUGAUGUUCGUCCACAAUUUUCUUCCGGCUGCGACCGCAGAAGGCAUUGGCAACAUUUGGAUCACUAUGUGAUGAACUGGAAAAGCACAACGAAAAAAAAAUUCUGGUGAGUAAUUUUGCAGCUAAGUGGACAAUGAGAAAAUCAGUACACACACUAGGGUGCAAAUUGGUGCCCCUAAGGGUCACUACAGACCCUCUUUACUUCAACUAAUAGAAUUACUUUUCCUUUUCCAAAAUGUGGCGCAUUUUGGAAAACUUGUUCUAUUAAUGGAACUAAAGAGGGUCGGUGGUGAACAUAGGGGCACCAAUUCGCACCUCUAGUAAACAUGAAGGCAAAAGAAACUAAAAUCACUGAACAAGCUUGAUUAUGGCUUACCACCUCAUUUUACCCUCCAUAGAAUUUGUUGAUUUGAGCAUGAUGUUUCUUAGAGAGGGGACUUUGAAGGAUCUAUUGCUGUCAUCUUGCUCUUGCCUGAAAAAGAGACAGGGGUUGCUUAUAGUGCUCACCACAGAUCAAUAAACCAUGGCAAGGAAUUUCAAAGUAAUGUCAAUUUAAUUCCACCUGGAAAUGUUCGAUUUACAGUUGUUAAAUGUUCCCAAAUAUCAAGUUGGCAACCAAAAUACCAUUUUAAGUUUCGAACAGCGCUUAAAGCACAAAAUACCUCAAAAGCAGAAGUACAAAAGUAAAAUAAUGGUGCUUCGAAUAAGACAAGUUAAGACAACACAGAAGUUCUCAACAUUUCAUUUAAACAUUUUGAAAAAGGAAGCUGGAGUAAAUUAAUAUAAAACAAGCAGGUCUCAAAAAGUUAAAAAAAAAACAUCAGCUACAAUAUUAAAAGUUCAACAACAACAUUAAACAUUUUGAAGAAGUCAAUGUUCUACCUGCUGUUCCUAUACACCUAAAAGUUAAGCACUGUGCCAAUGGUAGUAAACCUAUCAGUUCCGAAUAGGCGAAUACCCGCACUGUGAAUGUGUAGCAUUCCAGCAGCUUGGGUUCUGCAAAUUAGCAGAUGCUGAGUUGGGAAGUACUGACCCCCUGGCACUGAUUUAAAAUUCUAUACACAUGGUUCAAAACUAAAUAGCAUAUAGAUGUAGUUCAUAUUGAUACAUUAAUACUAGAACAAAGGGACCAAACAACACUACUAACAAAUAUCACUAAAAUGGAAAUGCACAGGUAUACCGUUGAGCACAUAGGGGACUAUUCGGUUCAAGAGGAGAAUCACAGGAAUCAUAGUCAACCGAAUCACUCUCUCCAGCUGCAGAUAUAUGGGAUGUGAUGACAGCCUUGGAUGAAAAUGGAACUAAUUGUCCUGGAAAACGCAUCAGGUCAACUAGAAACUCCGCAGAUUUCAGCAUGACCACAACAGACAUAUGUUUGGACGAAUCGUCAUAUCCAUGGGGUUCUUCAUUUGGAAUGCCCUGAGUAAAAUAACAUAUUGGUUUAGGGUUAAAGAGUUCCAUUAGAAGAGAUAUAUAUUGUUUCAUAUUCAGGCAUUUGGAAUGCCCUGACAAGUCAAAUAACAUAUUGAUUUAGGGUUAAGGAGUUCCAUUAGAAGAGAUUAUUACUAUUUCAAAAUUCAGACAUAUUGAUGGAAGGUAAAUACAUACCACCAGCAGUUUAGAGUCUAUACCAACAGAGUCAGCAAGGACUUUAAAUAAUAUAGCUCUGGGCCUGCAAGAUCCAUGUCUGAUAUGUCCCAGCAAUUGAACGCCCCUGUUUUCUAAGAAAUGAGAAAGAUCUUCCGAGGAAGUUCUUGCAGGACUGAGAUGCGGGUUUGGUCGCUUGUAGAAGUCAGAAACCUGUAAUUAUCAUUAAACUGUGAAGUUGAUUAAAGAGAAGUAAAUACUUAAUAUGGCAUUUAUAUAGGCUGGAAGAAUAAAUAGUUAAUCAAUGGUUGGAAAGAAUCAUUCUUACUUCAAACACAAGUACAAGCCACUAAACACAUAAACCAAAGUAAUAGAAUGGAACAGUUCCAACAAGAUUCUUAGAAGAAAAAAAAGUUCCAGCAAGGAAAAAUUUGUGCAAAUCAUUUCAAGACAAUCAACUACAAGGAGGUUGAAUCUUGCGGAACUCUGGAGGAAGAAAAACUGCCAUAAUCAACCUACAUUUUGUAAAGGAUCUCGAAGAGAACUUACCAAACCUGCAACCUUUUUUAUUAUGGCAGCAGGAUUUGAAUUCAGUCCUUUUACCAGCGCUGUGCAUAGCUGCUUUAAAGCAGAUAUCUUUUUAUCUCUUUCUAUGUCCACAAGGAUAAUCUCAGCCUUAAAUCCUUCUAUUCCAAGAGAAUAAAGGUCAUCCGGAGAAGGUAUGGUGUCAAAACGCUCCUUGAGUCUCUUUUCCUGCAAAGUUCAGAGUGAACGGAUGAACUAAAAUGUCAAAAAUAAGUUACUCAUAAUCUUUUUACAAGCUAAUGUCAUAAAAAGGCUUCGCAUACCGGAAUAAUGGAAUAAAAACCAUUGGGUAUUGGACCUGAUAGAGAUCCAGUAGACCAUAAUGUCUGAGCAGCCUGUAAUGAAUGGCCAGCCUCCCUACAAUAAAGGGAAGAAUCCAAAUUCUUUUCCUGUUUAGUCAGGGAAAGGGACUGGACCUUGUGAUCCAAAUGGGAGGGCCAAUUCGAAUCUGAAGAUUGUGUCUGGGAUCUCCCUUCAUCCCCUGGCAGAUCAUCCAUCUCCAAAAUAUGUUGAAAUAUAGAAUCAUUUUGCUUCAAUUAUCAUCCUUCAAGGCCACCCUAUGUUUAAAUGGCAAACAAAUAAAACAUAAUAUCUUGACAAUUCAAAUUUGAGAUUGCGAGAAUUGUUUUUCAAGACAGUGGUGAGGCCUCGAAUUUACUACCAAAAAAAAAAUUGCUUACGAAGUUCCAGAACAACAUUCAAAAGAAAAGGUCUAUGCUAGCAGGGGAGUAUCGGAUCACAUUAACAUAUUCAUACAGACUGGAUGUUACUGUUUACCAUGUACAAACAAUAAUAUAAAUGCACCGAGUACAUCUCUAUCAACUUGAGACCAGGGUUUGAGUCACGAUUGUAGCAUUCUGAUUUAUGUUCAAAACUUGAAAUAUACGUGUCGUGGAUUGCUGAAUUCAUAUUCAAUUGCCAAAUCAAAGUGUGGUACCUUUUCAUGUUACACAUUCCUGUACUGAACAAACAGAACUAGGCAGAAUAUGAUCAACAUGCGGAUAAUCCAAUUGCUCCAGCAUGCUCUGAACAUGUUGCAUGUAUGUUGCUAGCAAAUAGAUCAUAGAUAGCAUUGUUAUCGUGAAAUCUUGAUUUCCUUGUUAUGAUUUUAGUUUACCAAUGCUACUCUGCCACAAAUAAGAAUUAUCGUGGGAACCAAUUUACCACUAACUAUUGAAGCAUCAACAUCCUUAUUUGCUCUAAGUUUGACUCCUAAAUAGAGCAUCUAUGCUUUGCCACAUCACCAGCACAACUACAGUUUCAUCAGAUCAAACCUCAAAGGAAUUUAAAUCAGGUUCAUCAAUGGAUGUUUUGUUAGACAUGAUUCGGCUGAAAUGGUGGAAGUUUGGUAGUCCAUAUGCAUGCACUUUUACGGCACCAUUCAAAAGAAAUUAUUCAUAGCCGCUGCAAAGCAGAGGCAAUAUGGUAGCAUUAAUCUAUUCUUGUUGAUACAACUGAAGGACUUUGCACCAAAGAAUCAAUAUUUGCAUUAUCAUGUAAACAACCCCAAAGUCCCAUACUUAUUUUCAAACUUCAAAGUUACCAAUAUUCCCUUAGACCAAUUUCCAUGAGUGUUUUUCACAUGGAACAACUGAUACAUUCUUUUUGUCUAUCCCAAUUAAUGUAAAAGCUAUGUCAAUAGAAAUUGUUUUUCAUGGUACUGAAAGCUUAUCGCAUGUUUAGUCAGUACAAUUGAAACACAGAUACAUUUGGUACUCCUCUAAAUUUUCUUUUCACAUAGGAGCAGAACUAGAAACAUACUCUGCAAAGGUUCAGACUUCACAGAUGUGUUGAUUAUACAGAUAUAUUUAGAGAGAACAAUCACUUCACCAAAAUUUGUCCAUUAAAACAUCAGGAAUUCACAAGUCAUAGACUCAUGGCAUCCAAGUAACAGAGAAUAAAGUAUGCACGCUAGAUACAACAUUUCAGGACUUUGUGUUCUCAUUCAAAUCAAACCUCGAAUAGGAUAAUGCAAAAUUGUUGCCAUACUUCAGAAUUUGACAUGUUGACCAAUUAACUGUAGCCUCGUAUCUGCAGCACACCUAAAUUCUAAAGUUCCCAAUGUCGCUUCCACCAGAGAUUAUAAAGCCAACCAUUAUCAAAAUCCACACACCAAUCACUAUCAAGCUCCACAACUAACUUAGGUUCCGCAAGAGAGAGAAAGGGGAGGGGUGAUGUUACAGCCAAGGUAACCAGGUGUGAAUGUUUGAUCACAUCAACCUAACCCCAUGUUUGACUAACCUGUACACCCAUCCAGGUUUUGGAGAACUAGUACGGACGCUGGGACACAAAACUAAGUCCAUGGUCAACUCUGAGCCAGUUAUCACUGUAACUACAGUUUAAACUGCACCAUGCUAAACACAGUGUAGGGAGGCAAGCACAGGUCUCCGGGCAAUCUGUAAUAGAGCAGUUAACCAGGCAAGCUUCCCUACGACUACUCUAUCUAGAGUCUAAACUCAGCAACAGCCAACGAGGUCAUACUGCCAAUGCCGCGACCUAAAACCCCUAAUCCUUUCAAACCAACGAGGGUUGGUGCCCUCUCACAAGUCAGCAGCCUCGGUUGACCUCCCCCGCAACCAUCCAGCGCAGCCACCCUCACUCCAUUGGAGCUCCCCGCAUCGAAUGACGAAUGCACGCAAAGUCAAACCCUCGCGGCGUUGACCAAAAAGGUGAACACAGCAUUGCCCGCUAGGACGCUACCACCAUUUCCCCCGCUCCCCACGUCACCUCGGAAUCGAAACCGAUUGACCCACCGAAUCCCGCACCCGCCACGGAGCACGCCCGCCCAUCGAUCGAGCCCGCAGCAACGGCCGCAUUCGGAGGGAACAGAGCGGAUGGAGGAACAGACCUAUGGCGCGGGCGGCGGAGGCUCGCCGCGGGAUCCCCAGGCGCACGGCCGCGCGAAGCGAAACCCAAGUCCGGCGCCGCGGUUCGUGGGCGCGUCGCGGGCGAGGCGGGUGGGCGUGGUGGCGGUGGGAGCGAGGCGAAGGCGUGCGAUUGAGCCGAAGGAGGGUGGAGAAGGGGAUCUCGUGAUGUGAUUAAUUAGCGCAGGUGGGGGAGUGGGCGGCGCUGCUUGCUUUUAAUCGUGGUUAGGGAUUGGUUCACGAGGCGCGCGAGAUGCGAGAGCGACUUGCCUCCGGCGGGGAUUGGAACGGGCGAAUGGCGGAGGAGCCGGACACCGGAGGAGGAGAGGCUGCCGGUGGGGGCCAGUCGGCUAGAUGGGCCUGCGGCGUACGAGUUUCGAGCCCGGCGGUUAUGAUAGGCCAGAGAGUUGACUUGAGAACAACACUGGGCCGACUUCUCACAUGGGACGGACAAAAAAAAAAAGAAGAAGUUUGGGGGGAAACUUCCUAUUGGGCCCCAUCACAAGAGCCCAGUAGGAGAAAUUCUGGAGUCGGAAAUCCUAUCCAUCUUCCGGAAGAAUUUUUUUUCCAAUCUUUAGGGUUCGUGUAGCCCUUCAAAACCGUUGGAUAUGUCUACUUUCCCCUCCUCAACUGAUAGCAUAGGACGCGCAUGCACCAGGCUGGAAAAGGGGUAGCAGCUUUUGUGGGAGGCUAGUAUACACGUGUUACUUAGAGCAACUCCAAAAGUAUACUAAAAAAUUCUUCCCAAAACUAUGUAGGGGGGUUCUCCCAAAAAAAAUUUUCCCCAAAAACAUAUCAGUCCACAGCAGAUCGUUAAUAAAUAGCCCCCAAUAUUUCAAACACACGCCACGUAAUCGUAUUGGGCCCAUGGGAAGGGACGCGCGGGCGUGCGGGAAUCAAGAUUGGGAGAAAAACGCCAACGCUAAAAUAUACGCGGUGGCAGGUUGUUUUUUAGUGUCGCUAAAAAAUUGGGGAAGGUUUAGGUGGAUUGUUGGAGUUCAUUUUUUCUCUCUUUUUUUCCUAAAAAAGGUAUUGGGGUAAGAUUAGCAGCUUCUUGGAGUUGCUCUUAGAGGUUGGCCCUGUCGGUGAAAGAUUCGAAAAAAAGAUUCCUUUUCGAUUUAAAACUUCAAACAUGUUUUUCUCUUAAACUGUGAAUUAUUUUUCGAAACCGUUUAAACCACUGUGUGUUUCUGAGAAUUAAUCUAACAUAAUGAGAUCCAAUAUGAAUAUAUUUUAUUAAUUUUUAAAAUUCAACAUUUUGGAUGAACUAACCCAACAUUUUAAGUAUGCUAUUUCAACAUUUUCACAUUGUUAAUGUUGAAUUAGUUUAUUUAAAAUGUUGAUCUUGAUUGGAAAAAAUGUUGAUAAGUCAACAUUUUGGAUGAACUAACUCAACAUUUUGAGUAUGUGAUUUCAACAUUUUCACAUUUUUUUAUGUUGAACUAAUUUUAUUUAAAAUGUUGAACUUGAUUCGAGAAAAUGUUGAUAAGUCAACAUUUUGGAUGAACUGACUCAACAUUUGAGUAUGUGAUUUCAACAUUUUCACAUUUUUUUAUGUUAAACUAGUUUAUUUAAAAUGUUGAACUUGAUUCAAAAAAUGUUGAUAAGUCAACAUUUUAGAUGACUAACUAAGUAUGCUAUUUCAACAUUUUCACAUUUUUUAUAUCGAACUAGUUUAUUUAAAAUGUUGAAUGAACUAACUCAACAUUUUGAAUGCUACUUCAACAUUUUGAGUGCCAUUCAACAUUUUUCUCAUAAAAUGUUUAACUAGUUUAUUUAAAAUGCUGAACUAGGUUUGAAAAAGUGUUAAUAAGUCAACACUUUGGAUGAAUUAACUCGAUAUUUUAAGUAUACUACUUCAAUAAUUUUCAGUACGCUGUUUCAACUAGUUUAUGAAAACGUUGAACUUGGUUUAAAAAAUGUUGAUCUUAGUAUUUAAAAUGUUGACUAUAUAAUUUAAUAUUUUAAAUGUAUUGGAUCAUAAAAUGUUUGAAUAUAAUAAUGAGUUCAAAUGCUACAAUAAGCUAUAAGAUUUACUAUUGGCUUUCGCUGCAAUUUUAAUUCAUAAAUGUAAUGCACCCUUUCUCCAGUUUUUUGUUUAUGACAGGUUGAUUUGCUACCAUUACGCCAGAAAUUUUUAUUCCAACUCCUGUCUUAUAAGUGCAACAAAUUUCAUGAAAAGUUCAUCGACAAGCUACUUUAUUUCAAAUGUUAUUCUCUACCUUUUGUUUCUAGGUUUGUCACAAGUUUCCUAUCAAUGAUUAUCUAUGUUUUAUACUUUAAAUGUUAUGAUAGAAAAACUGCAUCUUUCUAACAUUUUGUUACCAUUACAGGACUAGUAAAUGUUUUCAACAUUUCUAACUACAUGUUCACUUUUUUAUGAUGAAUGUUUCCAACAUUUGUUAAUUACCACUAGAUAUGAAGGUCCAACAAUUUUAGCAUAUGAUGCGCAAGAGUCGAUUGGAUCUACUACUGGAUCGGGUUAUUUACCGUGAUCAUGUGUUUCGGUAAAAUGGCUGAAAUGGUACGAUCUCGGAUUGAGGCGAAUUUUAUAUGAAAAUUGAUGUACAGAAAAAGUUACACAUGAAAUCCAACCACUUCUCCAUUUUCGAUGAAAUCAGAUUUCCCAAAUUCGGCUUGAAAGAUGGAGUUUUGGGCCGUUUAAGUUUGGAAUGUUAGAACACCUAACUCUAUUUUGCAGGAUUUUGUGAUCGGUAUGGCCCUUGUGUAUGUGAUGCAUGUGUGUAACUGAUUCGUGACCUGCAUGUCACGCAUAUCGCAAUACGGCUGGAGCCAUAUGUAUUGUCACCUUAAUGUAUUUCAUGGCCUACGUGCCAAUCUGUGAUGAUCCAAACAACUAUAUAAUUUUCUUUACUAGCUAUUAGAUGUAAUAGCGUGUACUAAUUCUUGGAGGACUUAUACUUGAAGGAUGGCACACAUGGAUCAUGGAGAUGGAGAUCAUCAUGGUGAACAGGUUCUGUGGAGAUGGAUAUCGCCAAUAGAAAUCGGGCCAUAUUGUGUCACAACUGUGUGCAUGCUAUUCCGUUUUGUUUUACUCCUACAUGUUGUGAUGUUAGAAGUAGAAUGAUCCCUCGCAAAUUUUAUGUUAGUAUGCCCUCCCAACUAAAACUUGCACCGUCCCAUGUCUUGUGCAAUUGGUGGUGGGUCUAUGAAAUUAGGGUGCCACUAGUUUUCCUUGACUAGAUGGGUUUGUAUCGGAUACUUACACGUAUAAGGGUUGGUUUGCUUAACAAGGUCAUCUUAACGGUUAAGAACCUUGGGGGCGCCGAGACAUGGAGAUGUCACCCAACAACGGGAAUCAUAUGUGAUAUGAUUAGCACAUAUGAUUAGCAAGAAGUUUGCUUACCAAUCUACCUUGCCUACUAGUAAUGAUGCUAAAGCUCACUAGUAGACUUGUUAGUUGUGGAUCCUGAAUCACUAAGUAUUAAUAGUGGAAUAUUGAUUUUAGUAGGAGUAGAUUCUGUUAAAUAGUUUAGUUUAAUGUGAUCUGCUUUGUCAUGGUUACUUUUAUCUUAGUAUUUUGUAUUAUUAUUUUGUUGUAGAUGGCACCUAGCAACACCACACUGUUUGCUUUGCGUUUGGUCCUUGAGAAGGACAAGUUGAAUGGAACAAACAACUCGGAUUUGAUCUGUAACCUGAGAAUUGUUCUCAGGACUGAGAAAAAGGAAGAUGUUCAAGACACCCCAUUACCAGAAGAACCUACUGAUGAUGCACGUGCUACUAUUUAGAAUGCUUACAAGAAAGCAUGUGAUGCUAACCUCGAAGUAAGCUGCCUUAUGCUUGCUUGCAUGGAACCCGAGCUGCAGAUGUAGUUCGAAACAAACCAUGAGGCGCAUGAUAUGAUCGUGGCGCUUAGAGACAUGUUCCAGACACAAGGCAGUACUGAAAGGUUCAAUGUGUCUAAGGCCUUUGUGGAGAGCAAGUUAGCAGAAGGUACAACAGUAGAACCACACGUAAUCAAAAUGGUUGGUUACACUCAACGGUUGGAGAAGUUGGGCUUCCCACUGGGCCAAGAGUUGGCCACUAGUUUCAUUCUUUCGUCUCUUCCGUCUAGCUGUGGGAACUUCAUCUCGAACUACCAUAUGCAUGGGACGGAGAAGGGUCUAAAUGAACUGUGUGGCAUGCUUAAAACAACAGAGGUUGGCAUUAAGAAAAGUGCUAGUAGCAGCCAUGUGAUGGCUAUACAGAACAAGCCUAGCUUUAAGAAGAAGGGCAAUUCUUGGAAGAAGAAGGGCAAGGCUGCCAAGCCAAACCCAGCGUCCAAGGUUAAAGCUGGACCUGUUCUAGACAAAGAGUGCUACACAAGGAGAAAAGUGGUUGCUGAAAGCAAGAAAUACUAUUGGUCUGCACCUUACCUAUAUAGAUAUGGAGCAGAUGGAGUAUUAAAAAGAUGCAUCCCAAGAGAAGGAAGGGAAGCAGUUCUUAAAAAAUGUCAUUCAUCAGAAUAUGGAGGGCAAGUGGAUUUUAUUGGCCAGAGAUGCAUGAAGAUGCAAAUAGAUUUGUUGCUACUUGCUCAGAAUGCUAAAGAACAGGAAAUAUUUCAGCUAGAAAUUCUAUGCCGUUGUACUACAAUAUGCAAGUAGAUUUAUUUGAUAUUUGGAGUAUAGAUUUCAUGGGACCAUUCUUAAACUCACAUGGAUUUAAGCACAUCUUGGUCAUGGUUGAUUAUGUGUCUAAAUGAGUAGAAACUAUUCCAUGUCGGAAGGCGUCAAUAGAAGAAUCAAUUCACAUUAUCAAGACUAUAAUAUUUCCUAGGUAUGGAGUGCCAAGAAUCUUGAUCAGCGAUCGAGGAUCACAUUUCACGGGAAAAGAUUUUGGCAAAUAUCUAUCAAAAUUGGGGAUUAAACAUAGAGUAUCUACAGUCUAUCAUCCUCAAACAAAUGGACAAGCGGAAAUUUCUAAUAAACAGCUGAAGGAUAUCCUGAAGAAGACGGUGAUCAAAGGAGGGAAGGAUUGGUCAAAGAAACUAGAUGGAGCAUUAUGGGCAUAUAGGACGGCUCACAAAACACCUAUAGGUAUGACCCAGUAUCAAUUCGUCCAUGGAAAAACAUGCCACCUCCCGUUGAACUCAAACAUAAAGCUUAUUGGGCUAUAAAGGAAAUGAAUCUUACUAUUGAUACUGCAAGAGUAAAAAGUAGAAUUUAGAUCAGUGAAUUAGAAGAGACGAGGCUUAAAGCUUACCACAGUGCAAGCGUUUAUAAGGAAAAGAUAAAGAGGUGGUUUGAUAAAAGGCUUCACAAGAAAGAAUUCAAAGAAGGAGACAAAGUGCUACCGUUCAACUCUAGGUUCAAACUCUUCGGUAAAGGAAAAUUGAUGAGCAAGUGGGAUGGACCAUACGUGGUUCAUUCUGUAUCACCUAAUGGAGCAGUAACGAUUAUGGACGUCAAAGGGGAUCAAUAUGUUGUGAAUGGAUAGAGACUAAAGGUAUUCUUGGAACCUGACGUCAUGCCUAUCAAUUAUAUUGACGUUUACACCAUAGAGGAAGAACGAUCAUGUCAAGCUUGAUGACACUAAAACAGGUACCUUGUACAUACUCUAUCUUACAUUCUGUUAUUUUCUUUUGAAUUUUUGUGUGGGACUUGAAAAAUUGAAUAUAUUUUUAGUCAUGCGCACUGCCACGAAAAAGCGGAUGGCAGAGGGGCCAGAAACCCCCAGGCCGAUCGACCUAGGAGGUUUUCACCUUCGAAUCAGUUCCCCUUUCCCAUCUUUGGUAAUGUCAGAAUAUGGAAGUGAAUUUUUGUGGGAAGGGGCGAGGAAGUUUUUGAAAAUGUGUGGAUCCUUGGCCAAGACUUCAAGAGUAUAUAAUGAGGCCAAUUGGAGCUUGAGUUUCGCAUCUAUACAAGCAAUUCAGAUCCACCCAAACCAGAAAAAAGUGCAAUGACGAUGACUAGGAGCUUAGGAGACAAGGGGGGCAGCAAUUGGCGAAGGAGGAGGCCAGGCCGAUCGGCCUAACCUCCCCAGCCUGAUUGGCACCACCCCCUCCCUUGACCACUGCCUUCGCCCUUCACAUGGAAGCUAAGAGGUGCGAGUUGGGUCCCAAAACUCCGCCAAGGACUGCUUGAAAUGCUCACAUCAGCGUUGGAGGCAAGGCGUUGUCUAGAAAGCUCACAGAUUGCAAGUUCAUCAUCCUCUCAAGUGAUGACGAAGUGCCAACAAAGAAGAAGGAGGCUGUCAUCACUCCCACAAGGCGUUCAGGAAGGCUCCUUAGGAUCAAACGCAAGAGCUAUGUGGUGAAGACGCUCAAGUACUCGCCAGCUGACUAUGGAGGUGAUAGCGACUGGAAGACGAUAGGAGCCCCGGAUUGUGGGGAAGAAAAGCAUGGAGGAAGAGGAACACCGUCAAGACAAGGGCAAAGAGAUGGAUCUAGAAUAAGAUGGGCCACAACCAAAGGAGCAUGAUCGUAUGUGUUGUACCGCUUGCAGGAAGAACAUCCACUACCUCUUCGACGCCGUCGAUGACAUCAUGGAGGCCUUGCAAGCUCUAGAUCAGAAGGUUGAAGACAGUGAUUGCCAUCAGGAGGACAACUUCAAGUUCUUAUAGAGGAACGUAAGGAAGCUCUUUGGUAUGUACGGCAAUAUGAGGAAGAAUAGAGCUAAUGGCGAAGGAAGUAGCAAUCGUCCCGUGUGCAAGCAGUGCGGGCAGCGUCACUAGUGUGUUUACAAGUGUCUCUCCCUUUGUACUUGAUUUGGUUAUGACAAGGACAUCGUAGAUUUUAAGUGUGGGGGGAGAGGGGAUCGCCACUCAUAAGGAGUUUUUUGAUCUAGUUUGGUUGAGUCGAGUCGUGUGAGAGACUAAAUUAGUAUUUUUUUAUUUCAAUUAAAAGUAGAUAAAGUAGUAUUUUUCUUAAGCUUCUGGAAAUACUUAGGCCUAGAUUACUACUUUAGCGUCUUUGUGAGAAGAAGCAUGAAUGAAAUCGAGGAUUGUGCAAGUGUUUUUAGUGUCUAUCUUUACUUGCUUAUCUUUUAUUUUGUCUUUACAACUUUGGAUCAUGAGCAUUGUCUUGAAUUCUAAACCUUAGUUGUGGAGUUUAGUAAUUGAUUUAUUUAUGCAAUACACAUGCUUUAUGAUGAUUAAGUUCUUCAGUUUUGAUUAUGCUUCAUGAGUAAGACUUGAAUUGGAGGUGAUCUAAAAUUUUAUUGCUCAUCUAAAGCCUCUACAAAAAUAAGAUUGAUCAAGUUCUUUAACCAGGUUGAGAGUUAUUAUUUAUCCUAGCCAAUGCCCAAAAAGAUUUAUUCGUACCACCAUAAGCAGAUUUGACGCUUUGAAUUAAAUUAGGAUCGCUCUCUUAGUUUGCUUUAAUUUUGAGCAAUGAUCAUAUCCUUUUACCAUCUCUGAUUUCUAGCCUCGUCAAUAUUCAAUAUGAGAGUUCUUCACCGGAACAAUCAUAUUUUCUACUGAUUCCUAAACCCGAACCAAAUAUUUCUCAAUUUUAUUACCUAUUCCUUAAACACAACCCAA